rnacentral:lncRNA from 1 species
AAUUAAUUACACUUUGUGAGAUUUGAUUUUAAUUAGAGUUCGAAUUAAUGUUGCAGCUAGCAGCGGUUGCACAGGCAAACAAUGCUGCUCAACCAGCACCUCAACUUUACUGGAACUCCGUCCUGCCAAACACACAGAUGCCAAGAUCUAUCAGUGAACUUCUGCAUCCUGGUUUGUGUUGAGCUCUUUAGAAUCUUAGAUAUCUCUUCUACCUGCCAUUUUACUUAAAUAUGUUCGACCACAUAUUUAUCAGUUAACUACUGUCAUUACAUGAGUGACACAUAUUCACAAAUCGGCUGAUCACUUAUUUUCCAUUAUGACGUUGAUAUAUAAUUUGCAGACUCCACAAAUGAAGAAAAGAGCACAAAUGACGUUGGCAAACCUGAAACUUUCCCAUUGGGCAAUCAAAAUUACUCCAGUCAAAAAAAUUAUGGAACAGGCAAUAAACGUUACUGCAGUCAAAAAAGGUAUGGAAGAGGCAAGAAACGUUACUGCGAUCAAAAAAAGUAUGGAAGAGGUGCUUCUCCAUCUGACAAUCAACUACUCCAUUAUAAAGACUUAGCUAUUUUCUUCUUGGAGAAGGACAUGCGCCCUGGCACAACAAUGAAGUUCCAAUUCUCUAGAAAUUCAAACACGGCUACUUUCUUGCCACGAGAAAGCGCUCAAUCGAUCCCCUUCUCCUCUAACAAACUACCAGAAAUUUUCAACCAUUUUUCAGUGAAGCCAACAUCUGAGGAAGCCAAAACAAUUAAGCAAACAAUCGAAGAGUGUGAAGCUCCCGGCCUUAAGGGAGAGGAAAUAUAUUGCGCCACAUCUUUAGAAUCAAUGGUUGAUUUUAGCACUUCGAAGCUUGGAACAAGAAACGUUGAAGCAAUCUCGACGGAGGUAUUGGAAAAAGGAGCCACCAUGUCCAUGCACAACUAUACAACAAUGCCGGGACUGAAGAAGUUGGCCAGUGACAAAGUCGUUGUGUGUCAUAAGCAGAACUAUCCCUAUGCUGUGUUUUUCUGCCAUGCAAUAAAACAUACAGCAGCUUAUGUUCUCUUCCUGAAAGGCGAUGAUGGGGAGAAGGUUAAAGCAGUAACCAUCUGUCAUCUAGACACAUCAGAAUGGAACCCAGAGCAUAUGUCCUUCCAAAUCGUCAACGUUAAGCCCGGAACCAUUCCCAUCUGCCAUUUCAUUUCCACUGAUGCUAUUGCCUGGGUUCCGAACCACAAAUCUGCAUGAUCAUCACUUAGCACUGUACGUAUAAUUAUCUCCUUACUUAUUUCUGCCUCUUCAUCAUGUGGUGUAAGAUAUAUGAUGAGAUGAAGUUUUUGGGAUUAGUGGUUGGGUUGCCUGAAAAACACAGAUUACAGAAACUGCUUGAAAUUAACCCGAUCAUGUUUUCUCUUGUAACUAUAUAGACUUCAACUUGUACUCAUAAUAAAGCAUGCUAUAUUUAUGAAGAGAUAUUAAUCUAUAUAUAUUUUUUAUAUAUGCUUUGGCUUUGUGGUUCUACCCAAUGUUUGAGUGUUGAAUUGUUACGUUGGAAUAGGCUGCUAAUGCAUGUAGUUAGAGAAGCCUUCAUUUAUAUCAAAGUCCUCAAACUAUCAAGAACUAAUGUAUCCAGAAACAUAUACCAAGACGCAAAACAACAUAUUUUCCAUGCUCUGUCUGUAACACCAAAGCAAACUUCCUUGAUCACAAAAGGAUCAAAUUCCAGUACUAAUCUAAUCCAUCAUGUAAAGCAUACAAGUGCCUCCCUAAAUACUAUACUCUUUUUGUUAUUUCCUACUAUACUAUUUAAGAUUUAAAAUUCAGGUCAACCCAUAGAUUUCUCGCCUUUUUCUUCUUCAUCUCGUCGGGCUUGUCUUCUUCUUGAGGAUUGUAUAGGCCAAGGAAAUGCUUUGAGUUAGUUUUUGCGCUUUUGCGUUUUGGGCCUUGGAAGUUGGGACCCAAACCAACUUCACAAAAAGAAAACGCUCAGACUAUAAUGAGUGGAAAGUUAUAAGGGGUAAGUUAUAAGGAGUUCACUUUAUAGCCAUCAGAUCAAUCUAAGGGCUGGGGAGAAUUGAGAUAAAGUUUUAAAAUCGGGUAGGUGAGGAACCCAAACCCGAAUUGAAUAUCCAGCACGUCCGAAAAAGAAGAAGAAGAGGCAAGCACGUCCGAAAAAGAAGAAGAAGAGGCAAGGUCGAAGUUUGAACAGAAAAAACUCAUCUCUUUAAAACCCAUAGCUCUGAGAAACGGUUGAAGGCAACGGUUAACGACGGUUGUUGAAGCCACUCCGUUCUCCAGACCCUGAAAAAGUAUUUAUUUUGAGUAGAAGGGGCAAAUGUGUGGAUUCCGAAACAGUGAAGGGGCGAAGCAGUGGAAGGGGAAGGAGAGAAGCCGUAUUCGUUGGAAGUGGUAGGUUCCAUUUGUGGAGCAAAGCAACACAAAGACCCCGCACAGACACCUUGCGAUUGUUCAAUAACCAGCAUUUGGUGAGUAAUUUAUGGAAUUUGAGUUUAGGGUUAGAGUAAUGGUUUUCCCCAAUUUGUACCAUCAAUUUUGUUGGAUUUGGCAUCUCUUCUUUGUGCUUCAGUUGCAUGUUAAUUUUUGCUUGGGUAUAUGUUAAAAAAAGAAUGAAAAUCAAGUCAAUAACAAGUGAAUAACAUGUCAAUAAUGAUAUGAAUAAGAUAAUGGUGUUGAAUUGGAGGAGGCCCUCAAAACAUUCCACAUUUGAAGCAGUGCAUAGUGCAGAUUAUCUCUCUGGCGCUAGAAUAUAUAUAUAUUUUGAAAUAAAUAUGAUUUCCUUUGUUACUAAAUUUGCCUGAGAAACAUGAGAACAGAUAAUAAUAAACUCAUGAAUAGAAGUGCAAAGCAUUUGAUGAGUAAUUUAUGGAAUUUGAGUUUAGGCCCAGGAAAUUCCUUGACCCCAAAAAAAAAAAAAAAGUUGAUUUAAAAUUCAGGUCAACCCAUAGAUUUCUCGCCUUUUUCUUCUUCAUCUCGUCGGGCUUGUCUUCUUCUUGAGGAUUGUAUAGGCCCAGGAAAUGCUUUGAGUUAAUUUUUGCAUUUUUGCGUUUUGGGCCUUGGAAGUUGGGACCCAACCCAACUUCACAAAAAGAAAACAGAUUUGCCAAAAAUCAAAUUUCAAGUCUCUCCUCCGAUCGAAAUUUGGAUUUGAUGAACUAAAGUGGUUUUACUUUCUCCAUCAGUGUUUGAUAACUUAAUUUGUUAUUUACUUUUUUUUUAAAAAACUUUGGCUUAUAUAUAUUAGUUUUCUUUUUUCCUUCAUAUUCACCACCUUUAUGUUGCAUAAGUAUUUCAGUCUUAAUGGGUUUCCAUCUACCACUCAUCUUUGCUCUUCUCAGUGUAAGCCUUUUUUUUUUUUUAAAGCACAAGAUUAGAGGGGAGGGGGAUUUCUCAAUGUAAGCUUUGCAGUUUCAUAAUUAAUAUUUCCAAUAUCUCACUGUUAGUAAAAUACAGAAAAAGUACUAAUAACAUAUGCACAUGUUACUAAUUUAUUGAGAUAAAACACCAUUUUGCCCCUAGAAUAUUUUAUUAGGUUUAAAGUUGACUUUUUGACCAGGAAGGAAUUUGGGUAUUUAGACUAUAUCGUUGCGUAGAGCAUGGCGAGAUGAGUCCGUAGACACAUGAUUGGCUCGAAUCAGAGUUAUAAUGAGAGAGAUACGAUCAAAAUACCCUCAGUGGUAUAACCGUAAUUUUGGCUUAAAGGGUUUGAUAAAAUAUAAUUUUUCUUUCUUUCUUUCUCUCUCUCUCUCUCUCUCUCUCUCUCUCCUCUCUCUCACGACGGCAGUGAUAGCCGGCCACUUUUUGGCCAGCCAUGCUCUCGUCCGGCCACUAAAGUUGACGGGGCCGGUACCAAAAUGACCGGGCCACCAUCCUUUUCCAACCCCAGCCAGGCCCCACUGCCAGCAGUCGUGAUUUUGCUGAAAAAUGGAGAAGAAGCGGCCGAUUUCGUUCGAACUUCUCCGACUUCGUUCUCUCUCCUCCGGCCACCGAUUUCGAUGAAUGAGGUAUGGUUUCUCACCUACUUUUUAUGCUCUAGCUGCCUGUUGGGUAGGAUUCGAUCAAUUCCUUGCGUAGGUAGCUUGAUUUUCGAAUUGGAUUUCGGCCGGUUUUGGGAUCUCGAUUCCGGCCACUUCCGGUCAGUUUUUGGGGUACAUCCCAAAACAAAAGUGGUUCUAAAUAGGGUGUUAUACCUAGGGUAGGAACCUUGAACCGUAAUUUUGAGAAUUUUCGGUGAUGCCUAAUCGCUUUGGACACCUACGCUAUGCCUGCGUGUGGGCACUAUAGAAAAAGGGCAUUGUGUCCCGAUGCAAUCCCCUUGUUGUCUUGAGCGCGUAGGUGUGCUCGGAUUUCAAUUUGGAUACCGUUUGAAUCUCGAACGAAUAUCGCAUAUUGUGCGUUAUUCGGGGUCGAUAGGUUUGAACUGUUGGAUAGUCUUAGAUUUAUAAUAUGUUAAUCUAGACAUUCUUAGGAUCGAAUGGGAUUAAACGGAUCGUAAAACGGAGUCCCGGAUACUCCAAAAAUGCCAACCCUAGGGCUAGGUUCCUAGUAACCGUCCGAUCGUGCGAUCGUGAGCGAUCCGACCGUUUGAUCCGAACCAAACUUGCAGGACGUGUAUCCUAAACCUUGUAGAACCCAUAGGAACUUUCGGAUUAGAAUUUGGAGGUCGUGGGCCCCUUGGGCCGUUUGACUAAGUUUGGGUAGUUUGACCCUUGGCUGAUCGUGAGUCUUCAGAGGUCUUGAGCGUUGUUGAGCUAUGUUGACUAGGUUUAGACUUUUAGAGUGUUUAUUAUUAUCAUAGGAAACUAUUAGAUAUUAUUUUAAUAAUUGAAAUUAUCAAAUUUAUGUUUAUGUGCAUGAUUGUUGGUCUAAAAAUAACAUUGUUUUCUUGAUAAAAUUACGUUGCAGUCUACUAUAGACUGGUAUCACUAAAUGGAGAUUACCUCUAUUAUUAGUUUAGAUAAUUAAGAGUAUGUCAGUUUGAAGUGCUAUAUGCACUACCCUAAGUACCACCCUGUGAUUGUUAGGUCCCAUGUGGUGUAGAUUAUACAGCGUCAGGACAGACCCCAUACGUGGCUUUGGAUGUUCUGGCGCAUGGGGGAGAUUAUGUAAUGGUUAGGUCAUACGUGGCGUAGGUUAUUCAGCGUGUUGACAGACCCUAUACGUGGCGUUGGAUGUUCCAGUAUGGAAAGAUUUUGUGAUUGUUAGGUCCCACGUGGCGUAGAUUAUCCGGCGUGAGGACAAACCCCAUUCGUGGCUUUGGAUGUUCCUGCGUAUGGGGGAGAUUAUGUGAUGGUUAGGUCACACGUGGCGUAGGUUAUUCGGCGUGUUGGCUAACCCCAUAAGUGCCGUUGGAUGUAACGACCGGUCCUAAAUAAAUUAGUGAAUAUUAAUUUAUUCAGAGAAAAUACCAUUUUGCCCAUAGAGUAUUUUAUUAGGUUCAAAGUUGACUUUUUGAUCAGAAAGGAAUUUGAGAAUUUCGAUUAUACCGUUGCAUAGAGCACGGCGAGAUGAGUCCGUAGACACGUGGUAUGCUCGAAUCGAAGUUGUAACGAGAGAGAUACGAUCAAAAUACCCUCAGUGGCAUAACCGUAAUUUUGGCAAAAAGGGUCGAUAAAAUCAUAUAUAUAUAUUUUCUCUCUCUCUCUCUCUCUCUCUCUCUCUCUCUCUGCGAUAUUGUCCCUCUCUCUCUUUGAUUCACUGCCAUCUGCCCACGGCAGGACUUGAGACUGGUCACGUUUGAACCGGCUCGAUGUCCCGAUCACGUCGCACCCAAAAUGCAAAUGGAAACCUUGAAUUCCAGCCACGGCUUCGACUGGUUUGAACUGGGUUUUUCCCGGCGUUGCGCCACCGCCUCCGCCGCCCAAUUCCGGUGAAACAGGUAUAAUUCCUCACCUAUUUUUCGAGAUCCAGCUGUUGUUGUGUAGGAAUUAGACGAUUUUCAUGUUUAGGAACUCGAUUUAGAAUUUAGGUUUUGGUCGAAUUUUCAAAGUGAAAUUUCGGCCACUUCCGCUGGUUUUUCGGGGUAUGUCUAAGAACAAAAGUGGUUCCAAAUAGGGUGUUAUACCUAGGGUAGGAACCUUGAGCUGUGAUUUUGAGAAUUUCCGGCGAUGCGUAUUCGCUUUGGACACCCACGCGCCGACAGCGCGUGGGCACUGUAGAAAAGGGGCAUUGUGUCUCAAUGCGAUCUGCUUGUUGUCUUGAGCUCGUAGGUAUGCUCGAAUUUCAAUUUGGAUACUGUUUGAGUCUCGAACGGAUAUCGCAUAGUGUACGUUAUCCGGGUUUGAUAGGUUUGAACCAUUGGAUAGUUUUGAAUUUGAUAUAUGUUAAUCUAGGCAUUUCUAGGAUCAUGUAGGAAUUCAGGGAUCAUGAAUCAGAGCCCCGGAUGUUCCGAUUUAAUAACUUAAAGUUUAUGUUUAUAAUAACUAUCAGAUCGUGCGAUCGUGAGCGAUCCGACUGUCUGAUCUGGACCAAACUUGCAGCACGUAUAUCCUAAACCUUGUGGAACAUAAAAAAAUUUCGGAUUAGAAUUUGGAGGUCGUGGGCCCCGUGGGCCCAUUUAACCAAUUAUGGGUAGUUUGAUCCUUGGUUGACCGUGAGUCUUCCGAGAUAGUUUUACCUUCCUAGGAGGAUUAUAAUGACCCUAGUGAUAGGUCUUGACCGUUGUUCAGCUAUGUUGACUAGGUUGAGACUUCUAGAGUGUUUAUUAUAUUAUUGUAGGAAACUCUUAGAUAUUAUUUUAAUAAUUGAAAUUAUGAAAUUUAUGUUUAUGUGCAUGAUCGUUGGUCUAAAAAUAAUAUUAUUUUCCUGAUAAAAUUACGUUGCAGUCUACUAUAGACUAGUAUCACUAAAGUGGGAAUACCUCUAUUAUUAGUUGAGAUAAUUGGGAGUAUGUCAGUUUGAAAUGUUAUACCCUAAGUACUACUCUAUGAUUGUCAGGUCACCCGUGGCGUAGGAUUUUCCGGUGAGAUGACAGACCCCAUACGUGGCGUUGGAAUUUCCAACGUAUGGAGAGAUUAUAUGAUUGUUAGGUUUCACGUGGCGUAGGAUUUUUCAGCGGGAUGACAAACCCCAUACGUGGCAUUGGAAGUUUCAGCGUAUGGGGAGAUGAUAUGAUUGUUAAGUCACACGUGGCGUAGGUUAUUUGGAGUGCUGACAGACCCCAUACGUGGCGUUGAAAUUUCUGGCGUAUGGAGAGAUGAUAUGAUUGUUAGGUCACUUUGGAUGUUCUAGCGUAUUGGGAGAUUAUGUGAUUACCAGUGAGAUGAAUAAAGGAUUGUUAUGUUAUAUUGGGAAAAACAUGUUUGUAGAAAGAAUUACGUGUGGCUUGAUCCCUCAGUAAGGGUACGUAGGCAGCCUAGGGUAGUGCCUUGGUGCAGUCGCUGACUAAACAUUAUAAUGUUGUUUUUAGGUUUGAUUAUAUGGUAUUAUGGGGCAAGGCCCCUAGGACUAUUGGUGAUAAUUCAUAGAUGGUAGUGGAUGCAUGCUAGAAAUUUGUAGGAAGUUAUUUCAUGUGGAUUGCAGUGGUACUCGUAAAAUUUAUUUGAGUUCCUUAAUUGCAUUGUUAAUAUAUUAAUUUACUUAAGAGUACUGCUAGUAGUUCUGCCUUGAUUUAUUUGAAGGCUGGAGGCCUUGUCUGGAAACUGUGUGCAAUUAGAUUGUGUGUGCUGGCAGUUGACUUUUUAAAUUGUGAAUUUUGUGCAGGUUGAAAUUUGGGAAAUGUUCAAUUUACAGGGGAGACUCUGCUGAAAUUUCGGUAGAAAGUCUUGUGCCCUUAUUCCUUUUUGGGGAAAAGGAUAUAGUUUUAGAAGUGGCGAUGUCGGGAAUUUCCACAGGAUUCGUCUCGGGUUUCGGGAAAUUCGGGGCGGGUCUGAAAAAGUUGUUUCAGUUUUGGCAAGUAUCGGAAAAGACCAAAAUUUUCCGACUUUAUUAUUACUAGAAACAAGGUCGAAGUAUUUACCAAUCAUGUGGCCUUCCAAGUGCUCUAGGUUAAGCCAGGAACCGUUCCUAUCUGCCGUUUCCUUCCCAACUAUGAUCAUGUUGUCUGGGUUCCAACCCACAAAUCUACAUUGGGCUACGUAUUUGAAUUUGUACUAAAGCGUGAUCUAUAGUAUGCAUAUAUUGGAUAAGUUUGAGAUCAGUGGCUUGGGUGUCCGCUGAGCUUGAACAAGUUUGGGUGUGCUGAGUGUUUCCAUGGGUGUGUUGAUGAUCAUGGUUAUUAGAUUUGUGAUAGUUUGGGCUCAAUUUCAACAGAACUCAUCUCAAGCCUAGAUAGUUGAUUCUUAAGUUUAUCAGGAAAAAAAAUUAAAAAUUAAAAAAUCUAAAGUUAAGCCCAAGGCGCCGAACUUGGACUUCUCACCAAACUGUGCAUAAAUUGAAAUAUUUAAUAGAAGCCCAAGAUUUUUGAAGCACAUAAUAUCUACAAAAAUCUACAAAGUGUAAUACUUUACAAACUUCUUAUGUGUACCAAUUUCUGCUCAAAUUAAUUUCUCUGUGGUGCUGAGAUUCAUCAUAAUUUUAGUAGAAAUUGGAAGUUUUCAUCAUUUUUGCUUUAAGUCUCUCCUCCACUCACUAAUAAAGAUUACUCAAGUGAGUUUACAAAACAUUUUUUUUCUACUCUCUCCUGAAGACUACACAUCUUCUCAAAAGAUUAGAUCACUUCACAUCUUGUAUAUGUGAAAACUAAUGCAAAAAGUUGAAACUUUAUCAUAAAACCUCGACAAAAAUUAGCUCUACUUAGAACAUUAAAUUUGGAUUCGUUGAUUUAAAUGGCAAUUUGACACUUCAUAGAAAUUUUUACAUACAUGUGUUAGUGUUUGAUCACUUCACUUAUUACUUACUAUAUUUAUUCCAUGAUUCUCCCUCAAGUUAUGUAAAUAUUAUUAUCAAACAUUUCAAUUCAUUUGUGAUAUUUCUUGUCCAUCUUUCAAUGUACCCUGAAAUCCAUUAGCCACAUAUGAUGACCAAAAUCCACACUCUGUUGUUUGCAAACGUUCAAUAUACGACUUGCAUCCACAGUCCUGACCCAAAUGAAAUGCGGAAACUGUCAAGCUAACUGUAGGGAGGACUAUAUUUGAUUUUACCUUAAAGACUGAUCCGAAACCACCUUCUCCAAGUUUAUUGUUGUUUGAAUAGUUUUUGGUUGCACAAACAACAGCGGCCAAGUCAAAUAAUGGCAAUUCCAGAUCUUCCUUUUGGCCGGGCUUCAGUUCUCCUGUGAAGUACGUAGUGAAGUAAAUAAUGUAGCAUGGAACCUUAGCUUAGAAACCAGAGAGGCAACAGCAAAAAUUUUCUAUAGAACUGAACCUACCUAUCUUAGAAAAUGAAGGGGCAGAAGAGUAGAAAAUCAAAUAGCUUACCAUAUUUUUGUUGCUGGUUCUUCCUCACAUAUAAUAGCAGGGUAAGGCCCAGGGUCAGCAGUCCAGUAGACAACACAGUACUGGUUACUAUGAUCUUUGUAUUGUGUCCUUGAUCUAGGAAUGAAGUAUUUGAAAGCAGAAGAUUGAGGAGUCAGAAAUUCAUAAAGAAAAAAUCUCUACUUUUUAUCAUCCAACGAACAAUUAAUGCUAGUUUCUGAGACAGUUCUAAAGAAAUAUUUUUCUAACAAUGUCAAAAGUUUUCUGGCUCUAUCUUGUUUCUAAUCAUGUCACUGUUGGAAGAUUUCUUUCUUCUUUUUUCCUUGGUGGCUUUUAUUUUUCUUUCAAACUUUGUUUUAAACAGCAAGAUGAUUCCAUACCUAGUUCUGACGAAGCCAUUCUUAUGUAAAUAUCUUGCCCAUUUAUAUUGGAAUAUCUUAUAUCAACCAGAUCGCUGAACCACAGCAAGGACCCCCUUCCUCCAUCUCGGAUAUCCAAAUUUGAAAAAGCGGCGCAGGAGCAGUUGUUCAUGCACAUCAUCUCACAUUCCUUGAGGUUCAUAAUUGUGUUAUACUAGGAUUGUUCUGUACUUUAUUUCACCCCAGUGUACUUCUUAAAGAUGUCUCCACUGCAAUUCAGUUGGCUCUUUCUCACAGAUCUAUAUGACCAAUCCACCAAGUCCCAGUCUUGUUGAAAGUCGGUAUAAAUCCUUUCAAGCAGCUACGUACUGGGGACUUGUCAAUACAACAUGCACCAUUCGGACCACAUAUUCCAUAUUUGUCGCAGAUAUCAGUCGUUGCUCUUAGAUAAACAACCCAACCUUGGUUUCCAUCACUCCCGAUGUAGCUCAGCCCAAAUCCAUCUUGAGUUAACGCCAGCCUGAAAAGAGUUGAGCUGUUGAGAAGCUUAUAACCAUAAUAUACUUCAUCAUCAUUAUCCAACACAAAAUCAUAUGUUGGAUUUAAAUUAUGCAUCCCACUAAAUUGGAUUCCAUUCCAUGGUGCAGUCCGAUAUUUUAUAACAGAACCCUCCCUCAGAAUUAAUUCAUGGUACCCAUAAGGACCAAGUUGAUAUGGGUAAUGUCCUUGAGAAGGAUCCUGGGGGCUUUUCCAGGGUGUAAGAUGCCAAUUAAAACCUGUGAUUUUGUUCCUAACAAGCUUCAUACCUGGUAUUAAUGUAUCUCCUGGGUAAUCAAAACUCUGCCAUAAAAUAUUAUCAGAGUCAUUACGACCAUUGCCAUCUAUCACAACAAGAUUUCCGGAAUCCAAAAUCUGUGCCACUGGAUUCUAUGAAGAACUUGAUGUGUUGGAAGACCUGUAGUGUUCUUUGUUGAAUAUUUGGAUUGCAAAGGGAGCAAGAAAUGUACUGAGAGAGAAAGAGAGAGAGAGAGAGAGAGAGAGAGAGAGAGAGAGAGCAGUGAGCCUUAGAUUGUUCUAACAGUUUUCUUACUCUGCAUGAACAUAGCAGCAGAGCUUAUAUUCCUUCAUGACUGUUACAUGUUCUCUCUUACAUCAGUAGAUUCAAAUCUAACGGUUUGUAAUAGUAAGCCAAUGUGAGUAUGACACAUGGCAAUACACAGCUGUCCUAACAGCUGGGAAUUCAAAACAGACUCUAGCAUUGCACCUGGCAUAUAAGCACAAGGCACUCAGCUAACACAAAGAUUAAAAACAGAUUGAAUAUAAACUGACAUAGAACUUACUAACUAAUCUGAAAUUAGCUAGACAGUUUACAUUUUAACACUCCCUUCUAAAGUGCUAGCUGAUUUCACUCCAAGCAUUCUCCUCAAAUAGUCAAACCUGUCUUUGGGAAGAGCUUUGGUGAAGAUAUCAGCAAUCUGCUCUUCUCCUUUGCAGUAGAGCAGUUCAAUCACUUCUUCUUGUAUUGCAUCUCUAAUAAAAUGAAACUUCCUUUUAAUAUGCUUGCUCCGUUGAUGAAAAACAGGAUUUUUAGCCAUUGCUAUGGCUGAAGUGUUGUCACAAAACACAGUUGUUGCAGUGGUCUGUUCUUCCCCAAAAUCUUCAAGAACAAACCUGAGCCAAAUGGCUUGUGAUGUAGCUUCUGCUGCACUCACAUACUCUGCCUCUGCAGUAGAGAGAGCCACACUGUGUUGUUUGACUGAUGCCCAUGAAAAAGCACCACUUCCAAAUGAAAAUGCAUAUCCAGAAGUGCUUUUCAUAUCUUCCUCAGAUCCACUCCAGUCACUGUCACAGUAACCAACUAAGAGUGCAGAUUUUCCUGUCACAUACUCAAUUCCAUAGUCAAUUGUGCCUUGUAUGUACCUUAGAACCCUUUUAGCUGCCCCAUAGUGCAUCUUAGAAGGGUUAUGCAUGAAUCUUGCAAGCAGGCAGGCAGAGAACAUGAUAUCUGGCCUGGUUGCAGUAAGGUACAGCAGGCUGCCUACAAUUUUUCUGAACAAACUUUCAUCUGCAGCAUCACUUCCAUCCUCUCUUUUCAAUUUAUCAGUAGCCACUAAUGGAGUGCUUACUGACUUGCAGUCUUUGAGUCCAAACUUAUCCAAGAGAGUGAGAGCAUACUUCUUUUGAUGAAUGAAGAUGCUCCCUUCAGUUUGUGUUACUCCCAUACCAAGAAAAUGGUGGAGUAAACCCAAAUCAGACAUCUCAUACUUGCACAUCAUUUCAGCUUUGAAUUCUUUCAUCAUUUCAUCUCUACUUCCUGUGUACACUACGUCAUCUACAUAGAUUGACACUAUUAGUGUUCCCACCUUCCUUUGUUCUCACAUAGAGAGUGGCUUCACUUGGACUUCUGUGAAAACCACACUGAUUCGAGUAGGUGUCAAUUUCACUAUACCAGGCCCUUGGAGCCUGCUUCAACCCAUAGAGGGCUUUUCUUAACCUAUACACCUUAUCCUCAUCAUCUUUAACCACAAAACCAUCCGGUUGAUCAAUAUAAACUUCUUCUUCAAGGACACCAUUUAGGAAGGCUGACUUGACAUCCAAUUGCCAUAGUUUCCAGCCUUUCUGAGCAGCAAGAGCUAUGAGAGUUCUAAUGGUGUCUAACCUUGCUACAGGAGCAAAGGUUUCAUUGAAAUCAAUCCCUGGUUUUUGUGUGUAUCCCUUGGCAACAAGUCUUGCUUUAUGUUUUUGAAUGGAGCCAUCAAGAUUAAGCUUAAUUUUGAAUAUCCACUUCACUCCCACAAUUGGUUUACUACUUGGCCUGUCAACCAAUUCCCAACUGGAGUUUUUCUCUAUCAUAAGUAUCUCCUCAGUCAUAGCCUUCCCCCAAGCUUCAUCUUUGACUGCUUCUUCAAAAUUUUCAGGUUCAAUGAUGCUCAUCUUGCAUUGAGCAUACACUUCACUCAAACUCUUCCAUUUCUUUGGGGUGUUAUCAUAAGUUUCUAAUGGAGCAGAGUCUUGAGUAGCAUGCACAUCAUUACUUGUUUGUGUUUCCAUAGGAGACUGUACAAUCUGUUGCUGUAACAGAUUUGGUUAUGAAUCCAAAUCUGAUACAAUUGAACUUACUCCAUCACCCCAAGACAUAGGGAUUUGCAAUGCCUCAUUGGUUUCCCAAUUCCACAUUGCUUCUUCAUCAAAAAUAACACUCCUAGACAGCUCAAUCUUUUGAGUUCUCAAGUUGAGCACUCUAUACCCCUUUUCACAUACACCAUAUCUUACAAAUACUCCCUUCUCACCUGUGUCUUCCAGCUUGUGCCUUUUCUGUGUGGGGAUGUGAAUAUAGCAUAGAGAACCAAAUAUUCUCAAAUGCUUGACACCUGGUUUUCUUCCACCGAACUUUUCAAAUGGAGUGGAAUUGUCCAGUGCACUUGUAGGACAUCUGUUCUGCAAAUAUACAGCUGUAUUGACAGCUUCUGCCCAAAACUUCAAAGGGAUUUUCUUCUCAUACAUCAUGGCUCUUGCCAUUUCCAUCACAGUACGAUUCUUUCUCUCUGUAACUCCAUUCUGUUGUGGAGAGUAGCCUACUGNNNNNNNNNNNNNNNNNNNNNNNNNNNNNNNNNNNNNNNNNNNNNNNNNNNNNNNNNNNNNNNNNNNNNNNNNNNNNNNNNNNNNNNNNNNNNNNNNNNNNNNNNNNNNNNNNNNNNNNNNNNNNNNNNNNNNNNNNNNNNNNNNNNNNNNNNNNNNNNNNNNNNNNNNNNNNNNNNNNNNNNNNNNGGUGUGGUCAUCAAUGAAGGUGAGGAAAUAUCUGUUCCCUCCAAGAGUGAUGGUCUGCAUUGGACCACAAAUGUCUGAGUGAAUCAGUUCUAGAGGUUGAGUGGCUCUCCAAGCUCCUUCCUUAUCAAAAGAGCUUCUGUGAUUCUUGCUUUCAGCACAACCUGAGCAGACCUUCUCAUGUUCUUGUAAAUUAGGCAUUCCCUGAACCAUAUCUCUCUCUUGUAACAACUUCAAACUAAUAUAGUUUAGGUGCCCAAAUCUUCUGUGCCACAGCCAGGAUGUUUCUCCAACUGUUGCUCUGUUUGCCAUAGGAGGAUUAACAUAGUCAAGAUUUAAAGGAAAACAUUUGUUUCCCUUCAUUGGCACUCUUGCAAUGCAAUCUUCCAACUGCCUAUCUCCAUAGAUAUCAACUGCAUUAUCACCAAAUACAAGCCAAUGCCCAUGUUCUAUCAUUUGACCUACACUUAGCAAAUUUUCAUCUAAACUUGGUACAAUCAUGAUUUCUUUGAUAUAUCUAGUCACACCCUUCAUUUCUAUAGCCAAAGUCCCUUUGCCUAUUAACUGCACUAGAUCACCAGUCCCCAUUUUGACUUUACUCUUCAUACUUUUAUCAACAUUUACAAGUAAUGACUCAUGGGAAGUCAUGUGAUUGCUGCAUGCACUAUCAACAUACCACAUAUUCACAUUCUUUCCAAUUGUUGCAGCAUGACAUGCAUAGAACAUAAUGGCAGGUUCAGUUACCUGAUUUGCAAUGUUAGCAAGUUUCCCUGCCUUGUUUGCUUGGUCACAGUCCUUAACAAAAUGACCAAAUCGAUUGCAGCCAUGACACUUUGGUUUUCCUUUAAACCAACACUCACCAUAGUGUAACUUCUCACAAUGUUUGCAUUUUCCAGAUUUGUCUCCUUGACUUGGUUUUCCCCCUUGAUUGGCACUGUUUUGGGGUUUAGAAUCCCAUUUCUUAUCCUUGGACUUCCAAUUCUUCUUUGAUUUAUUAGAGCCAGAACUAGAACUUGAUUGAGAUCCUUUUGAGUUUAUGCUCAUGCUGCUGAAAGCUUUCUCAGUGGUGCUUUCUGCAUGUCUGUCAAGGCGCUGAGCAAAACCUCUUAAUGCUGCAAUUACCUCCUGCACUUCAAUGGUUUCAAUGUCUCUAGUUUGCUCAAUCACAUAGCAGACUGGAUCAAAUUCCUUGGUUAAGCUUAUUAGCAGUUUUUGAACUAUCCUCCCUUUGGUCAGAUCUUCCCCAUAUCCCUUCAUCUGAUUUACAAGCUCAAGUAACCGAGUGAUGUAUCCAGACAAGAUCUCAUCAUCCUUCAUCCUGGUGUACUCAAAAUCUCGACGCAGACCCUGCAACAUGAUGGAUCUGACUUGCUUAUCACCAUGAAACUCCUGAUGCAAGAUAUCCCAAACACCUUUUGAGGUUUCUUCAUUUGAGAUUCUGGGAAAGAUGUCAUCUGAAACAGCACCUUGGAUAAUACCAAGAGCCUUAGCAUCUUUCAUCAACAAGGACACCAUCUCUGAAUCUGAUGACCCUUCUUUAUCAGCUUUUGAAUCUGGAACUUGAAGGCCUUUCUCAACCAAAUUCCAGAUUCCAUGAGAUUUGAAAAUUGUUCUCAUUCGAAUCUUCCAAAACUCAUAGUUCUCCCCAUUGAAUAUUGGAGCUCUAAGAUCACUCCCUCCUGACCCAGCCAUCUGAGACCAGACUCAAUGAGUUGAGAGUAGGAAAUUUCCCGUUGGAUUUCCAGACUCAGCUCCCACAGCUUCAACGCCCUCUAUCCAGAUCCAACCUGCGCACCUGAUACCAUGUUGAAUAUUUGGAUUGCAAAGGGAGCAAGAAAUGUACUGAGAGAGAGAGAGAGAGAGAGAGAGAGAGAGAGAGAGCAGUGAGCCUUAGAUUGUUCUAACAGUUUUCUUACUCUGCAUGAACAUAGCAGCAGAGCUUAUAUUCCUUCAUGACUGUUACAUGUUCUCUCUUACAUCAGUAGAUUCAAAUCUAACGGUUUGUAAUAGUAAGCCAAUGUGAGUAUGACACAUGGCAAUACACAGCUGUCCUAACAGCUGGGAAUUCAAAACAGACUCUAGCAUUGCACCUGGCAUAUAAGCACAAGGCACUCAGCUAACACAAAGAUUAAAAACAGAUUGAAUAUAAACUGACAUAGAACUUACUAACUAAUCUGAAAUUAGCUAGACAGUUCACAUUUUAACAUUCUUAUGGUCGGCAGGGACAAGAAUUCCAGGGCUGCUCAACUUGAAUACACCUGAUGAACCAGUGAGGGGUGUGUUUCUUUUAGUCUGCACUAUAUAUGCAGGGUCUGACUCUAAUUAGAAGAUAAUUGUAUUAAUUUGGUAAAGCUUUGUCUGUAACUGUCUCGCACCUUAAAAAAAUUUCACAAUUAGCAGCAUUGGCAAUACUUGAUUAGAAAGCAGAAACCCUACAGUAUAUAGUUAAGUUGAGUAGCUGGGAAGACAAUUAGUAAGCUUUCAAUACUAAAGUUGAAUAUUGGGGAGACAAAUUACUAGAGCUUCAAGUUCAGAUAAAUAGGAUGAAUUUCUCUUAAGGGAUCCCCUUUCACUGUAGCUUGGAGUAGAAUUCAUUUUGACACAAUAUCAAUUAUCAAUGUAAACACGUUACUGAUGCACUAUUGACAAUAUCGAUGCACGUCAUAUCAUAUUUGUGGGAGUAAAUUUCCUCACGAGAAUAUUUGGUUCAAAAGAUUCCCCUUUUUUUUUUUUUUGCCGCCUCUUUCUCCUUGCAAAAUAGAACAAAUAAGAGGACCACACCCGGGGGGUGUUGGCCAAAGGCCCUCCGAUGCUAAAUUAGUUCAAGUAUUUGUAAGAAAAAUACUAGCUAACUAGGGUACAGAGGUGUAUUUAAGGUGUAAACCGGGCAGCCGAAGUCUUAUGUAAAAGAGAGAGAGAAAGGAGGUGGCUAGCGUUUGAGAGGAAUUUUCUGCAGAGUUUUUAGUAGAGAUUUCAGACGUACCUCAACCAUUGUGUGUGGCCAUCUUUUUAUAGUGGUCUUGGAGGCUAGGGUUUCAGAGGAAUAAUUCCGUAGAUGGAAAGGAAUUAUUCCUCCCCUAUUUGGAAUUGAUUUGAUUAAUUAGGGAUUUGAUUUAUUAGGGUAAAUCAAAUCCCUAAUUGUGGUAGGUAUCAAAUCAAAUCCUUUUUUAAUUAGGUAACUCCUCAUUUAAUUGGGAAUUGUGGUAGGAAUCAAAUCAAUUCUCAACCUAAUUAGGUAACGUUCAAUUUAAUUGGGUAAUUCCCAAUUAAAUUGAGUAACUCCCAAUUAGGUUGAUUAAUUCCCAAUUAGAUCAAAUAAUCCCCUAAUUGAAGGAAUUAUUUGACCUAGGGUCUGAUUUAAUUCGAUUCCCACAAAUGCCCCCCAGCUUCUGCAUGGUGCAUGGUGGCACGUAGGAGAUGUAAAUUAUCUGUUGGGCUGUCCAGCUGUAACUGGGCUUCCUUCGUGGACCUGGGCUCCCGAGUAGAGGAGGUGUUUGACUUGCCAAUUUUAUGAACACCCAAUUGGAAAGGGUUUGAGAUUCCUUGUAGGUCAAGGAAUUUUGCUCCUUAUAAAUGUAGGGCUCCUCCAAAUUAUUCUCGACAUCAGAAAUCUACUCCUCCAAAUUUGUUAGUGAGAGAGAGAAGACUUUGGAGAAUUUUUCAGCGUGCUUGAGACUUCAUCUUUGCAGCCCAUCCAAGGUAAUUUGAUAGGAAGAAUUUUAUUUUGAGUUGCUAUGACUUUUGGCAGCAAGCUGUGAGACUAAGGGCAUGUCUUGAGGUGCGCGCUAGGGCUUUAGGCAUGGCAAGAGACUCGGAAAGGCUAGCAGGUUCGUUUCCACCUACGCUGGGCUCAAGGAGAAGGCAACAGGGCUUCAGGCCUUGUGGAUGAAGUGGGCUUUCGCUGGGAGCAAGAGGCCUGGAGCUGAGGCAAGGAGACAAUGGGCCUGGUACGAGGUGUGGGCUGAGCAUGCCAGCUUUGGAGCAAGGGGGCCAGGACGACUGCUGGGCAGGAGGUGCGCUGGGCUGCAUGCGCGAGCUGCGCCGAGUGCUGGCUGGAGGAGCGAGCUGGGCUGCGCGCUAGGCCAUUCAUGCUGGGCUACUUCCGUUUUUUUUUUGUUUUUUUUUAAAUUUUAUUUGCUGUUGCUGCUUUUUUUUUUGUUUUUUUGUUUUUUUUUUGUUUGGUAUUCUAACUCGUAAUUUUUUUUUUCUUCUUACAGCUACUUGUUGAUCAACCAUGUCUUCCGGAGAUGGUAGCAAGGCUCCAAGCUCUUAGGUCCUUUUGUAUUUAUGGGGAGGCUCCAUAGUGCAUGGCAAGAAGUUUGUGGUCAACUUGCAUCGCGUCACGACUUAUGCUCAGUUCCAGAAGUGGCGGGCCACUUAUGCGUCUGCCAUUCCAGAUGACGUGCUGGUCAAGCUAUUGAAAUCUCAAACUGAUAACGAGCCUUUGGUGGACGUGAGUGAUCAUGAUGCUAGGAUCAUUACCUUCCGUCCUUUUUACUUCUCUUUAGGCUUCAAAUUCCCGUUGUCAAAGCUCUUCAAGAAGGUGUUCUGUGCCAUGGGGUGUGCUCCGAGCCACUGUACUCAUGUGCUUCAAGAAUUUGAGUCGUUUCUUCAUGUUGGAGCUGACGAUGCGAGAGUUCUUUUAUUUUUUUCGAAGUGAGGCACUUUGAGCGGUACGCCCAAGUUCGUAUCUACAAGGCCAAGCUGUUCCACGGUCUCAGUCAAGGAGAUCACGCUUGACAUGAAGAUGUGUUGGAGGUCAGCAGACGGUGGGAGGGUGACGUCGGUGACGGCCCACCUGUUCCCAUCACCUAUUGUGAUGGUAUGUCUCUUUACGAUUUUUGAUAUGCUCCUUUUAUUUGAAUUUCUUGAAGUGUGGCAGACUAACUUCUAUCUUCUGCUCGUAGUGAGUGACAUUAGCAAGCAAUUGGAGCUCCGACCAGACAUGGCUAAGGUCCGUCGUGCUUUGAACAUCCCUCUAAGGUUUCACGAGUGGCGCUGGCUGUUGAGUGAGUACCGGGAGGAAGACGGUGGUUUUCUCCUUGCCGAGGAUGUCGAAAGGUGGAAGCAGAACGAUCCUGACCCUGAUGAUCUGCUUGGCAGACAGGAAGAAUGUUCUGCUUAAUCGCUCUUAAAGAGAAAGGCUGCUGCCAAAUCUUUGAGAUGUGAAGCUACUUCUUCGCAUGCAAAGGAUGGGUCUCCAUCGAGGAAGAAACCAAGGCUCCCUUCUGCUGAGAAGACUCAAGUGGGGUCUGCUCCCUCAUCAUCUGCCAGGGUUAAGCAUCUCGUGGGUGCAGAUAGCAAGAAGGUUGGUGGUAUGCAUGGUACUCGGGGUGUUCUGCCCAAGCUUCCUGCUGACACGCUCGAAAACCAUGAUAUACUUCGUGAAGUGGCUCGUGCCCAACCUAGUUCUGCCAAGCGUCAAAGAGAUGUAGACAUUCCUCCUAGAAGUUCGAGUUGUCUGCAUCGGUCAAAAGAUGGAGACCGAAGCGGGAGGUCUGCUUAUGAUCCAGCAUUAUUGACUCAUUUGGAGAUGAGGUUGGCGAAGGCUAAGAAGGUGAAAGAGUCAUCUGCCCGGGUUAAGGGUUCUUCCUCGGCGUUGGUAGUUGGUCCCAAGAUGAACAAGUCUAGCUCUGUAGGGGAUGCAUGCGUAUCUGAUCUGCUCAAGAUGAACUUCCUAUCAAACCCGUCCUCUUGUGUUGAGUUGGUUGAUCACAUCCCUCAAGCGGGCGAUCUAGGCACUUUCUCGUGCCUUUCCUUAGAAAAAUGAAGGAAAAUGACAUUCCAUCUGAUUCAAAAAGGACUGGUUUUUGCUACUGAGACUAUUUGGAACUCAUCUGCUAUUGCCCCUCUUCUGUCCAACUCAGCGAGUUGGAGAAGAAGAAUGCUGAUUGGCUAGACAGCUUUCCGCCGAGCAGGCCCGUUACGAGAAGAAGAUGUCUGAUUUGAGGGCGAUGAUAUCUGAGCUGAAAAGCUCCCUUACCGAGAAGGAUUUCGAGCUCAACUCUUCUGCUGCUGAUUUGGCUAGUCGAAAAGAUACCUUCUUUCGUCUUGAGCAUAAGAAUGCUGACAUCUUCCUUAGCUAUAACAAACUCCUGGCUAGAUUUCAUGCCUACCAUAAGUCUGCUAAAGAAUCCAAGACAGAUGGAGCUGCUGAAGGCGUAGCCGGUCAGGUGGAUGCCGAAGAGGCUGCAGCUUAAAAGUCUUCUGCUGGCGUCUCAGAGUAGAUGAAGACUCUUUUUUGUUUCUUUUCAGCUUUUGUAGUUUGCUUUAUUGUUUAGAAUAACUGGUCUUAUUUGACCAUCUUCUUUUUGUUGAACUUGGCUGGUUGGUCUGUUUGUUAGGGAAAUUUCAGUUACAUUUUCCAACUUCAAUUUGCAUAUUUGACUUGUGAACUGCUUAAGUAACCAGCCUGUGUUUUGAUUGCACAUCCCCCUUUAGAGAUUUGUGAGUACCAGGGUCCCCCUUGGAGGACUCCGGCCAUGCACAGUAUAUCUCGUAGGAUGGUUCCCCUUAGGAAGUUGGCGAGUACCAGGGUCCUCUUUGAGAGACUCCGGGUGUGUUCUGCACAUCCCGUAUGAUGCCUUAAUCGUCGCCUUGCUUCUCCCGUAGGACGCUGCUUAUAGGCAACUAUAUGACUAUCCUGCCUUUCUUAGGAAACGGAUAGGAACCUGGAUAUUUCCCGCAUGAAGCAUGGAGACCUCCUUUUAAGAAAUUUUUGGUGCACCAUGCUUCUCCCUUAGGACGCUUUUUUCGCAGGCUGGGUCUCCAAAUGGACGCUUUUAGUCGUUGCCCUGCGUCUCCCUUAGGACGCUCCUUAUGGGCAACUGUGUGACUAUCCUGCCUCCCUUAGGAAAUGGAUAAGACUUGAAUAUUUCCCGCAGUAAGCAUGGCGACCCCCUUUUAAGAAACUCCUGGCGUACCCUGCAUCUCCCUUAGGAUGCUUUUUAAGAGGGCUGCUUCUCCAAACGGACGCUUUUAGUCGUUGCCUAUGUCUCCCCUAGGAUGCUCCUUAUGGGCAACUGUGUGACUAUCCUGCCUCCCUUAGGAAACAGAUAGGAAACUAGAUAUCUCCCUUAGGAAAUUCCUAGCGCACCUUGCGUCUCCCGAAGGACGCUUUUUUAGCUGGCUACGUCCCGAAACGGACACUUUUAGUCGUCGCCCUGCGUCUCCCUUAGAAUGCGCCUUAUAGGCAACUGUGUGACUAUCCUGCCUCCCUUAGGAAACGGAUAGGAACCUGGAUAUCUCUCUUAGGAAAUUCCUGGGGCACCUUGCGUCUCCCGAAGGACGCUGCUUAUGGGAAAAUAUUGUGUUUCGUGGGCAGAUGAGACAUUUUGGAAUGAGAAACUGAACUUAUAUUGAUAUUCAUAAGAUUACAGUCCUUUAUUUGAAAAUGGAAAUAACUUGGUUCAAAAACUUAGAACUUCUAGCAGCUACGAGGAAGCACUAUGGAUAAUACUUUCGGAGAUGGUGAGCAUUCCAUUGUCGUGGUAUUUCCUUCCUAUCCAUGGUGUCCAGUGUGUUGCUUCCUCUGCCCCGGACCUGCUGAUCACAUAAACGCCCUCCCAGUUAGGAUUCACUUUUUUUGACCCGUGUCUUGGUGCAGUAAUGAAAGCCUUAGCACGAGGUCGCCUGGUUGAAACUGUUUGACCUUAGCUCUUUUGUCGUAGUAAGACUUCAACUGCUAGUGAUAGGAGGCGACCCGAAUAAUGGUCUUCUCACGCCUGCCCUCAAGUAAGUUGAGGUUGAGCCUCAUCUGCUCGGAGUUCUGAUCAACACUGCCUACCUUAAGACUUAUAGAGAGGACAGUGAUGUGAGGUGGUAUGAUCACUUCUGUUCCAUAGGCGAGAGAGAAUGGGGUUUCACCAGUCGAUCUUCGCUUGGUGGUGUGAUAAACCCAUGGUACUCUGGGGAGUUCAUCCACUCAUUUCCCUUCAGCGCCUUCCAGCCUUUUCUUUAAGCAGUCCAAUAUGACUUUGUUGGAUGCCUUGGCUUGUCCAUUUCCUUGUGGAUACCUCGGGGUGGACAAGUGUUGUUUGAUCUUGUAUUUCACAAAAAAAGCGGUGAUCUGCUUGCCAAUGAACUGUGAGCCAUUGUCGGUAACCAACGACUGUGGGCAGCCAAACCGGCAUAUGAUGUUUCUCCAGAUGAAUCACUCCACAUCGGCUUCUUUAGUAAAUGAUAGAGCUUCGGCCUCGAUUCAUUUAGUAAAGUAGUCGGUGGGGACGAUCAUCAUUUCUUUCUUGGCGGGCGCUAGUGGCAAGGGAUCCACUAGGUCGAUGGCCCAUUGCAUGAACAGCCAUGGACUGUUUUGCGGAUGAUAGACUUCGGCAGGCAAGUUAGGGAUCGGCUUGUAUUGCUGACAGCGUCACAUUUCUUGGCACAUUCAGCACAGUCGUGACGUAUGGUAGGCCAGAAGUAGCCUAUGUUUAGAACUUUCUGGGCGAGUGACCUGCCCCAGAAUGGUUGCCAUACUCGUCGUCGUGAAUUUUACAGAUAAUCUCAAGUGUUUGAUGGUACUUUAUGCAGGUGAGAUGAAGGCCGGAGUAUGAUCUGUGGAUGAGCUUGUUGCCGUGCAUGUAGUAUCUCUCGGCCUUUUGCUGGACUUUUCUAGCUUCGGACUUGUCCGUUGGCAGGUUUCCAUUCGUGAAAUAGUCGAUGAUGAGGUCUUGCUAGCUGGGGUCCUCGUCAAUCUGCAUGGUAUUAAUCGGCUCUAUUUCUUCAAUGCUUGGUCGGUCAAGGUGUUCGACCUAGAUGGAGUGUUUGAACUGGGUAUCCAGCGUUGAACCUUGGCUUGCCAGUGCGUCUGCAUGCGCGUUCUUUGCCCGGGACACUUGUUGGAUAGUGAAGGUAGGAAAUGCCUUCAACAGCUCUUGGACUCUAUCAAGGUAUAAGAUCAUCCUUGGGUGCUUUGCCAUAUAUUCACCUGAGGCUUGAUUCGUGAUCAACUGUGAGUUUGAGUAGAUGGCUAGCUUUUUGAUUGCGAGCUCCUUUGCCAAGCGUAAGUCGGCGAGUAAUGCCUCGUAUUCUACCUCGUUGUUCGAGACCGAGAAGCCAAGCGUAAUAGCUUGCUCUAACAGGGUUCUAUCCAGGGUGGUGAUAACGACCCCUGCUCCAGCUCCUUUUUGGUUCGACGCUCCGUCUACACGCAACUGCCACAUGUCUCUGGGAUGGCUUGGUUCUGCGGAGGUCCUGUCUGCUUUUGAACUUCCCUCCUUUUGGUUGACUAACUUCUCUUUUUUGGCUGAUGGGGUGAAUUCUGCGACGAAGUAUGCUAAAGCCUGGGCUUUUAUUGCAGUUUUUGGCCCGUAGAGGAGGUCAUAUUGGCUUAGCUCUAUAGCCCACUUCAUGAGUCGCUGAGAAGCAUCAGGGCUGUGGAGGAUUGAUCUCAAAAGAAAGUCAGUCAUGACUAUGACUCGAUGAGCUUAGUAGUAGGGUCGCAGCUUUCUCGCAGAAACUACAAGAGCCAAAAUAAGUUUCUCCAAUUUCGGGUAACGAGUCUCUGCAUCGAGGAGAGCUUUUGACGUGUAGAAUACCGGAUAUUGGGCCCCUAUCUCUUCUCGGAUGAGAGCUGAACUGACAGCUGAGUUGGACUUACCUCACUAGGGACUGGAUUUGAGAGCAUGGAAGGUGAGGUGAGGUAAGUCUUCAGAUUAUGGAAAGCUACUUUGCAGUCCUCAUCCCAUUUCUCUCUUUGUCCUUUCUUCAAAGCUUUGAAGAGUGGUCUGCACUUGUCGGUUGAUCUCGAGAGGAAUCGGUUGAGAACCGCUGCUUUGUCCGUCAGACUUUAUAUCUCUUUCACCGUGGAAGGCGACUUCAUCUCUAGAAUGGCUUUGAUUUGACGUGGAUGUGCCUCGACACCUCGUUGCGUGGCUAGGUAUCCCAAGAAUCGGCCGGAGGAUACACCAAACAGGCAUUUACUUGGAUUCAACUUCAUGCGAUACUGGCGGAGCAAGCUGAAUGAUUGGGUAAGACUUCCGAUGUGAUCUGCACGUUUUGGGGCUUUGACCAGCAUGUCAUCCACGUAGACCUUCAUAGUUUUGCCGAUCUGCUUAUUGAAGAUUUUAUUCCCGAGCCUUUGAUAGGUUGCUUUGGCGUUCUUCAGCCCAAAGGGCAUGACCUUAUAGCAGCAGGUCCCUCUCUCGAUGAUGAAAAAAGUUUUUGCCUUGUCAUCCUCGUGCAUCAGGAUUUGUUUAUAGCUGGACUAGGCGUCCAUGAAGCUAAGCAGUUGAUUGCCAGAAGUGGAAUCCACGAGUUGGUCGAUUCUCGGCAAUGAGAAGUUGUCUUUAGGGCAUGCUUUGUUGAGGUCUGUGUAAUCGACACAAACUCUCCAUUUGCCAUUUUCUUGUUUUGCCACCAAAACAACGUUGGCAAGCCACUCUGAGUAGGAGGCCUCUUCGAUGAAGCCGACAGCUAGGAGUUUGUCAAUCUCGGCCUCGAUGAUAGCAAGUCGCUGGGGUGCGAAGUUGCGUCUCUUCUGCGCCACUGGCUUGCAGGCAGGGUUGAAGUGGAGUCAGUGACAGAUGAUGUUCUUGUCGAUGCCAGACUUGUCUGACGGCAACCAUGCGAACAUGUCUCUGUUGCUCUGGAGGAAGGUGGUAAGCUCCACAUUCUCUUCUGGCCUUAGGCGCGAACCGAUCCACUCUUUCCUAUCUGGUUGGUCAGGAUCCAAGGGUAUUAACUCGACGUCCUCCUUGGGUUUCCAUCCUUCUUCAGGAAAGACCUAUGGACGGAUUUCCUCGACUUGGUCCUGACGCUUUAAUUGCUAUAAGAUAGCAAGAUCCAGUUGCUCAACCUCCUCCAGAUCUGCCUGGCUCACAGGGAGAAACUGCGCUUGUUUACCUUUCUUUAGCCCUUGGGCGGAGCAUUUCCUCGCCAUUGCCUAAUCGUUGUUGAUUUGGCCGACACCGCCCCCAAGGAUUGGGUACCGAAUUUUCUAAUGUGUGGCGGAGGUGAUUGCAUUAAUUUUGCCAAUCGAUGGUCUGCCCAGAAUGCCGUUGUAGGGUAAGACCUUAUUAAUGACCAUGAAGGUUAUGAGCUGAUUAUAAGUGGGGAGUAGACGUCGAGGUCUAUCAUGCCCACGGUAACCGUUGUUGCACCAUUAAAAUCGCUCAGCAACCUAGCUAAUUUGUAAAUCUUUGUCUCCAAUCCCAUCUGUUGAAUGACCUCCAGUUGCAGGAUAUUGGCUGCGCUGCCCUCGUCUGUGUGGAUUCAGUCUACCAUGACCUGAGCAAUUUGAAUGCUGAUGACAAGGGCUUCGUUAUGUGGCAUGUAGAGGCCGAUCAGAUCUUUCUUUUGGAAGCCGAUUACAGGAUCGUCUUCUGCUGGUGGAAGGUCGGUCGAGAUUUGGGAGAUCACAGUGGUCUGUUUGAUCUUCCUCUUUUUUUCCUUUCUGGUCAGCCCAGACUCCUCGGAGUCAGCUAGGAUUGUGUUAAUUCUUAUGACCUUCUGAGGCGGCUCCUUGGCGAUGUCACGAUCUUCUAUCCGCUGGAUGACCUUCUUUGCAAUGAAUUCUGUGCAGUGACCUUCUCUCACGAGUUCUUCAAGAUGUGCUUUCCAAGCGAAGCAGUUGUUCAUAGUGUGUCCGUGCAUUUCAUGGACGGCACAGUAUUUGCUAGUAUUCCUUUUGUCCGGAUCUUCUUUCAAGGGUGGUGGUCUUCUUACCCAAGGUUGUUCUUCACUUGGGCUAAGAUUUGAUGUAUGGAGAUGGUGAACUUGGUGUAGUUCUCUCCUGCCGUAGCAUCCCCUUAUGGGUGCGACCUGCGCUUGUCCUUGUCCCUGUUGCUAAAUCCGUCGCUUCUUUGGCCUGCCCCCUUAGUCGGCUGAUCUUCCUGCUUAGUAGAGUUCUUUGCGGCGAUUCGAUCGUCAUCCCAAAGCGCAUAGCUUUCCGCGGUCUCGUAGACCUCUGCCAAAGUUUGGCUGGGAGUGAUGGUCAGCUCGUGGUACAAGUCGUGCUCAGUCGAAAGGUCUUUCUUGAAAGCAGAGGACGCAAUUUGGUCAUCACAUCCUACAAUGUUGGCCUUUUCUACUUUGAAUCUCUUGAUGUAAUCUCUAAAGGAUUCGUCGAACUUCUUGCGCAGGUUAUACAGGUGGUCAGGGUUCUUCUUGAUUGUUCGGUAAGAGGUGUAUUCUUUGGUGAAUAAGUAAGUCAGCUCCUUGAAGCUGCUGAUCGACCUGGAUGGCAGAGUAUGGAACGAGUCUUGGGCUUCCUCACAAGGUCAUUGCAAACACCUUGCACAUCAGCGCGUCGUCAACCUUGUGGAGGAUCAUGACACUUUUGAAGUGUUUUAGAUGGCUCUCAGGAUCGGAAUCCCCCUUGAAGUGUGUGAAUGUGGGCGUUGAGAAUCGCUUCAGGAGAGCAGCCUGCUCGAUUUUGGCAGUGAAAGGUGUAGAGUAUGCCUGGUCUACCUCAUUUCGUACAUCUUCGAAAUUUCCACCGGUCUUCAAGUCUCGAAGUUGGUCAUUCACAAGCUUCUCUACGUCUUCCGCACACAUUGCUUGUCGGCCACAUUGGCGACCUUCACGAAUUGUUCGAUGCUGACUGACUUCCUCGUUGAUUUCCGAGGAUCGACCUUCUUGUCUGCAUUGCCUAGGUGGAGUGUUGGUGGAUUGCGCCUACGAAAGAUUCUCUGUGGCUUGUCAAUGAGAAUCGGUUCUUCGAGAGUGAGUAACGAAGUGCCUUUCCUCAUGGUCCUUAUUGUGAGGGUUAUCCAGCUGACCUCCCUGGGGCCUAGCCUUUCCUGAAUGCUUCUCUGCGAGUAGACAGUUGAAUGCUUUUCUUCACGAUCCUCGUUGUGAUGGUUGUUUGGCUGACCUCCUUAGGGUCUUAGCCUUUGAUGUACAUUUCCCUGCCUGCCCAAGUAGGUGCGGACGUCGAGUCGUGGGCCCAGCCUUUCGUGCACGUCGUUCCUUAAACUCAAUCUGCUCUGAGUGUGGCUUGCAGAUGCUUGCGACAUGUCGGCAGGUCGAUCACGUUGUUGUCCCUCGACUUGUCUGCCCACUCUUGCUUGACCUGCUUGGUACUCGUUGAGCUGUCUACCGGCCCGUUCAUCCUUCCUUCUUUCCUCGCCUGGUUGUCCAAGGCCAAGGUUUUGAGCAAAGCUUAUUUGGUUGAGGAGCUGCCUCAUUAGAUUGUUUUGGUCGUCCAUUCUUUAAGCUAGCUGGUCAACUCUCAGAUUAAGGUCUGCUUGAUUUCAUGGAUCAGGAGGAGAGAAGUGUGUGGAGCUCAACUGCACAUAGGCUAGGGUUUCAUUAGAGGUGUAUGCGGGAGCGUGUGUCGAGCGUGGAGGCAAUAGAGGGAAUGCUUGGAGUUGCUCCAAGACCGGCCCUAGGUCGGCGGUGGUAACGAGUCCACCUUGAUGGGAAGUUCCACCAUGUUUGGCGGCAGUGACCGAUGCAGUGGUGAGAGGUGGUGGUGCCACCAUGUCGAUCGCGGGAUCGUUGGUGGAGUGGCUUUGGGCCGUCGCAAAUCUAGCCAUCAUGGCGGCUUUGCCUCUCGUGUUCAUGCUUCCAACCAUGGUUGUUUGGAAGGCUUAGGUGGAUUGGAAAAUUAGAGGAACGGAUUCCUUGAGCACGCAUUGAGUAUAACUCGUGCUCUCAAUGAAAGCACCAAUUUGUGGGAGCAAAUUUCCCCACGAGAAUAUUCGGUUCGAAAGAUUCCCCUUUCUUAUUCGCCGCCUCUUUCUCCUCGCAAAAUAGAACAAAUAAGAGGACCACACCCGAGGGGUGUUGGCCAAAGGCCCUCCGAUGCCUAAAUUAGUUCAAGUAUUUGUAAGAAAAACACUAGCUAACUAGGGUAUGGAGAUGUGUUUAAGGUGUAAACCGGGCGGCCGGAACCUUAUGUAAAAGAGAGAGAGAAAUGAGGUGGCUAGGGUUUGAGAGGAAUUUUCUGCAGAGUUUUUAGUAGAGAUUUCAGACGUACCUCAACCAUUGUGUGUGGCCAUCUUUUUAUAGUGGUCUUGGAGGCUAGAGUUUCAGAGAAAUAAUUUCGUAGAUGGAAAGGAAUUAUUCCUCCCCUAUUUAGAAUUGAUUUGAUUAAUUACGGAUUUGAUUUAUUAGGGUAAAUCAAAUCCCUAAUUGUGGUAAGUAUCAAAUCAAAUCCUUUUUUAAUUAGGUAACUGCUCAUUUAAUUGACAAUUGUGGUAGGAAUCAAAUCAAUUCUCAACCUAAUUGGUAACGUUCAAUUUAAUUGGGUAAUUCCCAAUUAAAUUGAGUAACUCCCAAUUAGGUUGAUUAAUUCACACUUAGAUCAAAUAAUCCCCAAAUGGAAAGAAUUAUUUGACCUAAGGUAUGAUUUAAUUCGAUUCCCACAAUAUUUAGAUGCAUAAUUGAAUGCGAAUAAACAUCACUCUCUCCAGUGUGAAAUGGCGAAAAUUCUCUUCAAUCAAAAGUGGGCUUACUUCAAAUUUAGUUGAAGAAUGAUGGUGUGUCUUGCCUGACAAUUGACAAUUAGGUUUAGGAGCGUUCCUCUAGUAGAAAAAUCUAAAUCAUUUGUGGUCAUCCACUCACUUGGUUAGUCUUCCAGAAUCAAAUACCAAAUCAACCCAAAGGAAGCUGCAAUUUUCUGAAUUGUAUACUUGUUUUAAUUCUUCCUAUCUUUUUCUCUCUUUCAUUUUUUUUGUCUCCCUCAAGUUAAUACUUAAGUGAGUUGCCAAAUGGGGGUAAAAAAGAGAGUAGAAGAGAUGAACCCCACAUUUGACUUUAAUAGACAAAUGCCCAAGAGAAGUACCAGUAAGAGCAUCUCCAAUUGGGAGGUGCUAUCCUAUAAUUUGACACACAUUUCUUUUUUCUUUUUUUUCAAUUCUAACAACAUGUCAUCUAUAUCGCAAUAGGCCGUUGUAGUUAAAUUUUCAAAUAACCAAGUUGCUCUCUAUUUUCCAAAGAAGACUAGAAAACAACUUACCAUCUAUCUGGUGCUGCUUCUUCCAAACAUUAGAAAAAACAGAGCUACACCCAGGAGGAGCCCAGGAGAUGACACAAUACUGCCUACUAUGAUUCUUACUUUCUUCACAUUCAAUGAGACUAUAAAAUAUAACCCAAGUGGUCUAACCCCCCAGGGCGGAAAUUGGGUUUAGCAAGUUUAGCACUGAUUGUUGUAUAGUCUUAAACAGUCCUGAUCUCUUGGACCCCUGUAGUCCAAGAGAUUUAUGGUCACCCACCGUUGGAUGUAAAUUCAACGGUUGACUUGAAUCGGGUAAUAAUAAUUUAUGUCAUAUUGCAUUUAUAUAUAUCAUUUUGAACCAUUGGAUUAAUAUCCAACGGUGGGUGACCACAAUCUCUUGGACUCCUGUGGUCCAAGAGAUCGGGACUGUAGUCUUAAAAUAAGUAGUUUAGCGAGUGCAAACUUCGACUUAAAAAAACUCUCAUGUAUAGCCGCGCGGCUAUACUAUUUACAUAUAAAUAUAUAAAAAAGCACCCCCUAGUCACGUGUCACAAAUAGUAUAGUCGAAAACAGUAGAGCCGCGCGGCUAUACUGUUUUUAAAAUAAAAAAAACCAUAUUCGAUUCUCCUUAUAUUUAAAAGGGGUAUAGCCGCAUGGCGAUACUAAUUUUUUUUUUUCAAAAAAAGGGACCCCAGUACUCCUUUUAUAUAUUAUAAUAUAUUGUCUAAUAUUUGGAAUAUUUACUCUAAAAUAAACAAUAUAUUAGGUUCUUUUUGUCUACAAAUUGACCAUUAAACUUCUUAAUCACUCUUAUACUUUCAAUUAAAUCUACUAGGCUAGGUUAUGAUAUUUUCACUAAAAAACUCCUCCUUUUUUUCUUCUCUUUCUCUUCCUGUUUUGUUUAACUUAAGCUUAAGUUUUGUAAUUUUUUUUCCCGCCCUUUUUACAUGUUUGAGUAGGGUACUUUAAUAUUGGGAUUUAUGAACUUUUUUUGUAUUUCUUCUUUAUAUUGGAAUAUAAAUUAUUAACUUUUGAGUCUUUAAUAGUGUAGAUGAUGAGAUUAUUAUUCAACCAUUUUAUAAUAUGAAAUGAAGGACAAUCAUGAUUGUGAUGAAUGGAUUAUUAAUCAAUAUGAAAUGAUAUUAUGAAGUGGGCUAAAUCGAGUAGUUAGUAUCGUAUUGUUGAGACCCAAAAAAUCCAAGGCUAGGCCCAAAUAUAUUAUGAAGUGGGCUAAAUCGAGUAGUUAGUAUCGUAUUGUUGAGACCCAAAAAAUUCAAGGCUAGGCCCAAAUAUAUUUCCGGUCCAAUGCGAUACCUUACCGAGAAGAAACCUUAUUUGGGCACGCGAAAGUUCGUCAUAUGCUCUUGCACACAUGCCAUGCCAAGCAAAUAAGCAACAUGCCACGCUACAAGCUUAAGUGGGCCCAAGCCACGUGAAUGCCUAGGGCCUGCUGAGUGGGUUGUGGUAUGGAUGGUUAUGAGUAUUCACGAGGCCCAUUGAUGGUCUAAGGAGUGGAAGUUUUGGGCUACUUGGGAGCACCAAAACUCAAGCCCAUUCAUUGAGCCCAAACAUAUGGGUAAGCAUGAGAUAAAACCUAGUAGCCCAUCACCUUAAGAAAUCCUAAUAGCCCAUAACAUGUGAGAAAAUCCCACAUCAACCAAAGCUUCCAGCAGUCUGACGAAAUCAAAGGGAACUCACAAGCCGUUGGAAACAAAACAACCCAACACUGUAACACCCCGACCCCAAAUUUCCCCAAAUUUAACCCUUAUUUAAUUAUUUAAGGGUAUUUUAGUCAUAUUUUUAACCGGAGAGAGUUUGGGGCAAUGACUAGUAUUUUUGGAUAGGUCGUACUGAGACGAGUUUAUGGACACGCAGUGAGCUCGAAUCGGAGUUGUAACGAGAGAGAUAUGGUCAAAAGAAGCCCAGUGGCACAAUCGUAAAUAUUUUGAAAUGAGAUUUUUUAUAAAAAUCUGGUUUUCUCUCUCUCUCUCUCUCUCUCUCUCUCUCUCUCUCUCUCUCUCUCUCUCUCGCUAGCGACCUCUCUCUCUCUCCCCCGUCGGUCUCUCCCCUCUUUCUCCUCGUAACUCCGGCCACCGGCCCCGGCUGUGGACGGGGCCGGUACCAAAAUGACCGAGGCGUCGUCCUCUUCCUACCCCAGCCACCUCCCACCGCCAGCCGUCGCGGAUUCGCCGGAAUCUGGAGAUGAAGCGGCCUACGUCGUCCAAAUUUCAAAGCUGCCGAUCUCCCUCCUCCGGCCACCAAUUCCGUCGACCCAGGUAUGGAUUUUGAACUUCUCGAGCUGCUCUAGCUGAUGGUUGGGUAGGAUUAGAUCGAUUCUUAGCUUAGACAACUCGAUUUUCAAAUUGAAAAUCGGCCGAACUUCGGCUGCCGUGAUCGGCCAUUUCCGGCCACUUUUUGGGGUAGGUCCAAGAACAAAAGUGGCUCCAAAUAGGGUGUUAUACCUAGGGUAGGAGUUUGGAGCCGUGGUUUUGAGAUUUUCCGGCGAAGCGUUAUCGCUUUGGGCACCCACGCGCUGCCGGUGCGUGCGGCGGCGCGUGGGCACUGUAGAAAAAGUAGCACUGUGUUCCGAUGAGAUCCUUAGGUUGUCACGAGUGCGUAGGAUUUUGCGGAUCUCAAUUCGGACGUCGUUUGACUAUCGAACGGAUAUUCGCAUAUUGCGCGUUAUUCGGGUUCGAUAGGUUGGGACCGUUGGAUGGACCCAAAUUUAAUAUAUGUUAAUCUAAUUAAUUCUAGGAUCGUGUAGGAAUUCACGGAUUGUGAAUCGGAGCCCCGGAUGUUCCGAAUAAUAAUUUUAAAGUUUGUAUUUUAUAUUAAUUGUCAGAUCGUGCGAUCGUGAGCAAUCUGACCGUUCGAUCUGAACCAAACUUGCAGGACAAGUGUCCUAUACCUUGUAGAACCCAUAGGGACCUUCGGAUCGGAAAUUGGAGGUCGUGGGUUCCGCAAGUCGGUUUGACCAGGGUUAGAGAAGUUUGACCCUUGGUUGACCGUGAGUCUCCCGGAGUAAUCUCACCUUUCUAGGGGAGAUUAUCGGGUACUAGAUGAUUGUGGACACAAUAUUAGAAUUAAUUUAUAUAAUUAUAAUUAUAUAUGGUUGUACAAGGGUACAACAGAGUCUAGAAUGUCAGUUUGGAGUGCUAUACGCACUACUUUAGGUACCUCCCCGGAUGUUGGGAUUUACUACAAGUACCACCAAGUGAAAUUGAGGUCCCGCGUGGCGUAGGUUAUCCAGCGUUGGGAUAGGUCUCAUACGUGGGGUUGGUUGUACCGGCGUAUGGGGAGAUUUGUGAUAUUAUGUUCAGGUCUCACGUGGCGUAGGUUAUCCGGCGUUGAGACAGGCCCCAUACGUGGUGUUGGUUGUACCAGCGUAUGGGGAGCUAUGUGAUAUUGUGUUGAGGUCGCACGUGGCGUAGGUUAUCGGGCGUGUCGACAGACCCCAUACGUGGCGUUGGUUGUACCGGCGUAUGGGGAGAUUUGUGAUAUGAAAUUGAGGUCCCACGUGGCGUAGGUUAUCCGGCGUUGGGACAGGCCCCAUACGUGGCGUUGGUUGUACCGGCGUAUGGGGAAAUAUGUGAUAUGAUGGCAUGGUCGCACGUGGCAUAGGUUAUUCGGCUUGUUGACAGGCCCCAUACGUGGCGUUGGUUGUACCGGCGUAUGGGGAGAUUAUUUGAAAUGCAGAGAAACGAAAUAUGGUAUCGCCCAAAUGUGGAAUUGGGUUUUAGGGAAGAACUACGUGUGGCUUGAUCCCUCAAGGAGGGUACGUAGGCAGCCUAAGGUUAAUAGGUGCAGCCGCAGACUAAAUGUUAGUCAUAAUUGAUAUUUGAAUUGUUUGGUAGUUGGUUAAGAAUUAUUGGAAGGCCGAAGGCCAUUUGUGUGAAUUGCAUGAAAUUAUAUUGUGCAUGCUGCCAGUUGGGAAUAUUAAAUGCGUUUUUAUGCAGGUAUAAAUUUUAGGAAAUGUCCAAUUUAUAGGGGAGACUCUGCCGAAUUUUCGGCAGGAAGUCUCAGUUUUUAGUAUCUGGGCCUGGCAUCGGGAGGAUGUCGGGAAUUCCAAAGGGUCGUCUCGAGUUCUGAAAAAUUCGGUGCGGGUCCUUUCAAACACCUUAUAAAAUAUCCAACGCCGUGCAUCUCUGUUAAAACCAGAUCACAGCCAAACCACCAAAACCAUGCAAACCCAUAUGCUGAUCACCAUUUUUACUAGCACCCUUACCCAUUCUUUCCUCUUCAAGCUUUGGUGAGAAAACAAGAAACAAAAGUGGGCGGAUCUUCACCCACAUGGAGAAAUCCAGCUGCCUGAGGGCCCUGGAACUCCAAAAAACUUCUUACCUACAUGCUCAGGCUAGGGAAGUUUCACCAAAUAAGCAAGAAUGGAAGAAAGUGAAGGAAAAGGGGAAAGGGUGGCUUGACGAAAUUAAGGUUUUCAGCACUUAUAAAAGGAAACACUUUCUAUCCAGCAAAAACAACUCACCCUGGUUGCUGCAAGCCUCCUAGCAACCAUGAGAAUUCAUUGAAGGCAAGCAUCCCCUUUGGAACCCUUCAAUUUCAUGCUUUGUUCUUCCAUCUUCCUCCUUUCUCUCUCUCUCAAAACCCACAUCCAGAGAGAGCAAGCAUCAUCUCUCAUCUUUGGAACCCUUCGAUUUGAAGCCUUGUUCUUCCAUUGCUUCCCAUUUUCUCUUCUGUCAAAUCACCUAGGAGCUUGACGAAACUUUCGUCAAGCUGCUGGAAAUAUGGUAAAGCCACCCAUGCUUCCAUCUUCUUCCUCUCUUUCCAUAAACACACAUCCAAAGAGCAAGCUUCAUCUCUCAUCCUCUAAACCUCUGCAAUUUCAAGCCUCAUUCCUCUAUCUUCUCCCAUUUUCAGCGGUAGUGAGAAUGAUUUCUGCGUGUGCAUGGGAAGGAUUGUAACUCAGAUGAGGAGGAGAUGGUUUGGAGUGGGGUGAGGCAGUUGGAUAGAGCUCUUGGCCUUUUCAAGUUUGGAUGGGAAAGAGCAGGGAUGAAAGAAGCUUUACAACUGCAAGGGCAUAUAUGGUGCGUAGGGGCUGAAGGCAGAACACUUACAUAUAGAGGAAACACAUUUUUUGUCCAUGGGAUUCAUGUUUGACAAACACUUGUCUUAGACUAUGAGUUCAAAUUUCAAAACCUUUUUUUUUUCUUUCUGAAAUCAGGACCAGUGUGGAGAACUAGCAAGGAUUGGAGAAACAGAUUUUUGGGCGUCACUUGACCACAGAUUGUUGAUUGCUCAAAUGUGUAGAAUUGGCCAUCUUAAAUGUCAAAAUGAUUUAUCAAUUGGGGUUUUUUUAGAAACGUUUAUGUUUGUCAAUAGAGACAGAAGUCAGAGAACAUAAACCUUUCUCAGCAAAUUGAAAUUCUCAGUGCAUGCUCUGUUCUUCCAUGGCUUUCAAACCUUCUCUGCCACGGUGAAAUGGAUCGAUAGAGAUAGUUUAGGCCGUUCCAUUUGUUUGAUGAAGCAUUCGUUCUAGGGAUUCUGUAUAUUCAUAACAAAAUCACUAGAAUGAUUCUUAGAAAUUCAUCACUGCUAAAGGCAAUGGGUUCAGCAUAAUAACUUCUUAGUCUUGCUUCUUGGUCCUUUAUUUUCUUUGCAUAAUACUCCAAGUUUACCUGGGUUCUACAGAGAAAAUCUCGUAGAUACCUCUUUUUGUGGUCUUCCAUGGCAUUUAAGUGCUGCUUUCCAUGGUGAAGUGGGCCUAUAGAGACUACCUGAGGUGUGUAGGCUUUGUCAUUUCCACGCCGUAAUCGCUCAGGAACUCUGUAGAUACACCUUCAAGGGGGACAAGGGAGACAAACUAUCCAAUUCCUUGCGCCUUACAAAUAGAUCGCAUGGGUUUUCUAUUUCAUCUGCAGCUUCAUCAAUUCCUUCCAUUUUUCUCCUGAUCAUCAUGCGCGGUGAUUCAAAUAUUUCAUAAUGAACAUUGAAAUGAGAUGCUACAAGCAAACUUAUGAAAAGAAACAGAAAUACCAAAAAGACAAAUCAAUGUAGAUGGUUUAGAAAAUCUAAACAUUGCAAUUAUACUCCUUUGCCCAACUUCUAGGAGCAAACGUACACAAAGACCUUAUUGCUUCCAACUUUUCCAACAGAAUUUCAUAUGAAUUGCUCCAAGUGAAAUCCGUAUGAAAAAUCGGUAGUUGGAUUUUCAUCCUGCUUUAAUAUGAUUAUUUAACUUCUAACAAAAAAACUCUUAUUACUUGAGCAAGUAAAAUACUAUUCCAGGUUUCUCCUAGUUCUAUAUGCGCUUAUAAUUGGUAUACUCUAUAAAUACCAUAAUCUGAAUUUCUCUGUUUUGAUUACUUUAAUUUAUUACUUAUGUUUUAAUUAUUGUUUACUUAGUGAAUUAUUAGUAUUUAAGAGAAGGCCUUCCAUCGAUUAGGCACCACGUGUCUAUAAUAAGUAAAGCCGUCCGGCUAUACUUAAAAAAAAAAAAAAUUGUAGUAUAGCCGACCGGUAUAGCCGCGCGGCUAUACUAUUUAAUACAUUAUAUUUAAACGGUAUAGCCGCGCGGCUAUACUAUUUAAUAAAAUAAAAAACAAAAGAAAAAGAAAAAUUACCCUCCUAUUUCAUUAGUUUGUACUUUAUAGAUACUAGCCCCUUGACACAUGCUCACGCAUGUGCCAAUUGGUUUUCUUUUUCUUUUUUAUUUUUAUUUUUAGAAUUAAGAAAAAAUAACAGGAUAGUUAUGUUCCAUAAAAGUAGGACCUAUUAUCUUAUUUUGUUUUUAAUUUUAAUUUUUUUAAUAUUAAAAAAAUAUGAAUUUACGAUAUUAUCCUCAUUUAAUUAAUAAUUUCAAUUCUUAAUGUUUGAAUUAACAAAGGGCAUUUUCUGGUAUUUUGAAUGUUUCACCAUUCUCUGCCUUUUGCUUUAUAUAUAUAGAUUAAUUUGCCAGUUUCAAGAUAUCCAAAGUACAUAUUAGACUUUCACUAUAUAAAUUUCAAUAUAUAUUUUUUAUAACAUGUGUUGUUCUUAUUCAAUAAUAUGUGAGAAUUAUUUGUAUAAUACGUGAAUUUUGUGUGUCUUACUGAAUUUUUUUAAAUACGUGUAUUAAACGUUACAAAUACGUACAUAUAUGUACAACACGACUAUUGUAAGUUUGCUAUAUAAAAAAAAGUGAGAUGUAUCUAGAACACGAAUGUAUUAUCGAAAAAUAUAUAUGUAUGUAUAUAUAUAUAUAUAUAUGUAAAAGCCUAUAGCCUCUCACCUAUACUAUUUAUUAAAGACAAUUUAAAAAUUACAACAACAAAAAAACCAGUACAGCCACAAAGCUAUACUAUUUUAAAAAAAAAAAAUAGAAAAAAUAUCAAGUACUACACAGGGCAAAGGCCCAGUGUAAAAUAGUAUAGCCGUACGGCUAUACGUUUUUAAGAAGAAUUUAAAAAACUAAGUAUAGCUCACCGACUAUACUAUUUUUUAAUAUAAAAAAACAACCCCAUCCAUUAGGCGCCACGUGUCAACAGAAGUUUAUUUUUAAAAAAAAAAAUUAAAAGACAAGGAGUAUAGCCGGGUGGUUGUACUAUUUUUUUAUUUUAAAAAGAAGACAGUCCAUCGAUUAGGCGCCACGUGUCCAUAAUAAGUACAGCCGCUCGGCUAUAUGUUGGAUAUUUUGAAACUAGCAAAUUAAUAUCAAUAGCCGGUCGUAACCUAUGCUGUCCACGUCACUCAUGUUUUACCAGAGUUAAAGCAUCCACAAUGAGCUCCCCAAACCAUCUCUUUAGACAAAUUUUAGGGAGAAAUUGGAAAAGUACAACUCCAACCAUGCUCCCUAUCCACCAACUAAAAUAGGGAGACCUCUAGGAGCUCCUAAAUCUGAGGAGAGGGAAAGGACUCUUAGUGACUCCCUAUAAUUUAAUGUUGCUUUGUUUUAUGCAUAUUUUAAACUUUUAAUUAAAUCAAAUUAUUAUUUUAUAUUAUUUUGUAUACAGAUGGACCAAUUAUAUUAAAUUAAAAAAUAAUUAAAGUAUUUGUGACUCUCUAAACUAAGGAGUAUGAUUAGAGUUCAAAUUUUAUAAAAAGCUCUUAAAAUAGCUUUUGUGUGUUUUUAGCUAAAUUUUAACUAAAAAAUUUGAAGAUUCUUUAUUUGGGUUUCUUUCAAGACGAAAACCAUAUCCACAACAGACAUCUUUGGCUGUUCAUCACAAUUGAGAGACAAUGAAGAAGACAUAAGGGAGAGGCUGCCAAAUACUUAUCACCUUAGCCACCACCAACACCACAAGACCAAUAUGUGUAGGCCAGGAGGCUUUCCAAUUUUAAUAUAUAUAUAUAUAUAUAUUAAAAAAUAAAAUAAAAAUCAAUCUAUUAUCAUAUAUAUUAUAAAAUAAAGAUUAUUGCUCCAUCCUCCAUGCACUUGCGUGCCCUCUUACAAAGUAUGAAGUAGAUUUUGUUAGCUGGAUUUAUAAGAUCUUUUGUUUUUUGGAAAUUUUCUGAAAUAAGGAAAAUCAAGUAAAAUUAAUAAAGCAUAAAUUGGAAAGGGAAAAUAUCUAGAGGAUGCAUUGUAGGAUUGCUCAAGCCAAUAAUUGUACCCUCUAAAUAUAUAGGGACAUAUUUUUUUUGUUUUCAUGACAUGUCGUCCUAAAAUUAUUGUUCUUAGCGGGCUCUCCACCCCCUCUCGAUUGAAAACCUAUUGUGUAAAUCUUCAAUCCUGAAUUAGAAAAGUACAACUCCAACCAUGCUCCCUAUCCAUCUCCUAAAAUAGGGAUACCUCUAGGAGCUCCUAAAUCUGAGGCGAGAGAAAGGACUCUUAGUGUCUCUUUAUAAUUUAAUGUUGCUUUGUUUUAUGCAUAUUUAAACUUUUAAUUAAAUCAAAUUAUUUUUUUAUAUUAUUUUGUAUACAAAUGGACCAAUUAUAUUGAAUUAAAAAUAAAUUAAAGUAUUUAUGACUCUCUAAACUAGGGAGUAUGAUUGGAGUUCAAAUUUUAUAAAGAGCUCCUAAAAUAGCUUGUGUGUGUAGGGGUCUUUUUCUUCUGGCAACUACAGAUGGGUUGGGCUACCGUAAGGAGCAAACUGAAGAAAAUAUCCCCUGUGUCUGAGUUCAAAGAUUCGGCCCCAAAAUAUUUCGAAAAGGCAGUAAAGCCUUAGGAAACACCUUAGUUACCUUCACCAACGAAAAUGACGGCUGCUUACAGGUAGAUUCUUAGUGCUUACAGAUGAAUUCUUAGCUUAGCAUGAGGAGAUCGUGGCAUGGAAGCAAAGUUAGCAUGAGUUUAGCACUAAAGAGAAAAUUAUGUGUUCUUGGGAGGAAGAAGGGGUGUCCAGGUAAAUGGGAAAAGGUUUUGCAAGUAGAUUUGGCUAAGAGAGAAGGGAGAGAGAGAAGAGGGUGGCUAGAGUGCUUCUUCCGGCAGCUUGACAGUGACUCUGUCAAAUGUUAGAGCAAUCUGCCAUAAGAGGGAAAAUGGGGAAGAAGGAUGAACAGUGCACAAAAUUGCUAGGUUUUUGCAAGUAAGAGAGGAAGCUUGCUCUCUGGAUGUGGAUGAUCCGUUGGGUAGAAGAGGCCCCAUUUUAUAGCCGCUGGAAACUAUCAUUUCUCAAGAAACCCUAAUAGUUUCUACCCAAUUUGGUCAAGCUUUUCCCUUCCUUUCUCAUCUCCUCCCUUGACUUUUCCUAUCUUGGUGAAAUUUCCUCUGUCUAUUUGCACAAAAUCAGGAGCUCAAGGCCUCCCUUUCCCGCAACUGUUCAAUGGGAGACUCCAUUCUUAGCUAUUUUUCUUCUUCUUUCCUUCCUCCUUCCCUGACCAAAUCUGAUGAAGGAAAGCAAAUAGGUGCACACAUUGGUUUGAAGGGUGCUUCUCCUUCUAGCAGCUUACAUGCCAAUAUCCCUUGGGUCCUUGCAUGUUUUUUGCUUUGAAACUUGUUUCUUCCUUCCCGUCAACUCACGUGGUCUUCCAUGCUUCUUCAUGGCUUUAUCUUUCAGCCAAAAGAUGGAGUUUUUACUGCUUGCUACUUUUAAUUGUAUGGGUCUUCUAGGAUAGGAAGUCAACCUACCAAACAAAUGGGCCACCUUUAUCAAAUAUUGGGCUGUUGGGGUUAGUUUUAGUGGGCCAUUUUGACUGGGCUUUUUGGUUGGGUUAUUUAAGUUAUUUUCCCUUUUGUGCUCACCCAUGUAUUUAGGCCUAAGAAAUGGGCUUGGGCUCCGAGUCUCCCAAGCAACCCGGAACCUCCAUUUCUUGGCCCAUUAAUGGGCCUCAUGACAACCUAUUACCAUCCAUACCACAACCCACUCAAGCAAGCCCCGGGCAUUUGAAUGGCUUUGGCCCACUUUAGGCUUGUAGUGUGAUUGGGUGUGGCAUAACGAUUUCUCGCUUGGCAUGGCAUGUUGCUUGGCAUGUUUUUUCAUUACGAUGCUUGAUGGAUUUGUAGAGCUACCUAUUUUUAUGAUCUUAAUCUUGAUUCCUAGCAUGACAAAUUUAUUUAUUUGGCAUGGCAUGCGGAGCGUGACUUGUGCGUGGCGAGUUUUGUAUGCUCCAACUUGGGCCUUUCCUAAAUAAUGUAUCAUUUUGGGUUAUGAAUUCUUUCGGGCCCAACCGUGAAUUUUUUGGGUUUCAACAGUGUGUUUUUAGCUAAAUUUUAACUAAAAAAUAGGGAGCAUGAUUGUAGAUCAUCUUAUAUACCUUAAUUUGAAGAUUCUUUAUUUGGGUUUCUUUCAAGAUGAAAACCAUAUCCACAACUGGCAGACAUCUUUGGCUGUUCAUCACAAUUGAGAGACAAUGAAGAAGACAUAAGGGAGAGGCCGCCAAAUACUUAUCACCUCAGCCACCACCAACACCACAAGACCAAUAUGUGUAGGCCAGGGGGCUUUCCAAUUUUAAUAUAUAUAUAUGGAGUGAAAAAAAUAAAAUAAAGAUUAUUGCUCAUCCUCCAUGCACUUGCAUGCCCUCUUACAAAGUGUGAAGAAGAUUUUGUGUGCUUCAAGUCAUUGACUAGAGCUGAAACAUGGUUAGCUGGAUUUAUAAGAUCUUUUGUUUUCUGGGAAUUUUCAGAACCAAGGAAAAUCAAGUAAAAUUAAUAAAGCAAAAUGGAAAGGGAAAAGAUCUAGAGGAUGCAUUGUAGGAUUGCUCAUGCCAAUAAUUGUACCCUCUAAAUAUAUAGGGACAUAUUUUUUUUGUUUUCAUGACAUGUUGUCCUAAAAUAUUUGUUCCUAGCGGGCUCUCCACCCCCUCUCGAUUGAAAACCUAUUGUGUAAAUCUUCAAUCCUGAACGAUGCUCCUAAAACUCAAGUGUCCCAGGCCAAUUAUUGCUCUCAUACCACUUGUUGCAAUACACAUCCACUCAUUCUCAGGGAAAGAAACCCAUCGAUAUUAUCUCAAAUUUAACCACUUUAGUCUAUUAUGAUUAACUAUGUAUUUUAUGGAUCAAUGCAGUUGUGAGGUUUUAUACCCAAUUAGAUCGACCAAUACAGAGAUCACAUGUGGACUGAAAAGCGCCAUCGGUAGGGGAGUGUUUGGCACCCUUUACUGCCGAGUGCAACACAAGACCCCUUACCAGGAACUUAUCUACUAGGACACGUGAAGCCACCACAAGUAAUAUCAACAGUCCCACAUCGAAGUUUAACAUAACAUGUACACUCCCCAGGACUGAUAAAAGUGGGCACAAGUCCCAAAAAUGGGGGAACUUGGACUUUCAGCAAUUCAUCCAUUAUUAUGUCCAAAUUACUAUACACUCCGUACUUAUUCUUACUUAAGCAUUGGAGAGCCUUCGGCCGGUACCACACCAGUGCCUAAGGGCUUACCGAGCGUUCUCUAUCUUGCAUAUUGAUCGCUCUACUGAAGCCCAUAAAGAGUUAAAGGUCAAGACAUCACUAAGUUGAGCCCAAAAGUGCUGAACCACAUCAAAAAUAUGUAUAGAUUGAAAAAAUAAAAUAAAAAUCAAUCUAUUAUCAUAUAUAUUAUAAAAUAAAUAUUGGAUAAAUUACUCAAAUGGUCCUCAAACUUAUACUCGAUUUACAUUUUGGUCUCUCAAUUAAAUUAUUUGUUCAAAUGGUCCAUCAACUCUAUAUUAUUUCUGCAAAAUCUACAAAGUGGUGGGAGGCAGACCAACAAAAAAAAUUAGCGAAGGCUUAUAACUCUGGUAAAACAAGAGUUACUUGGAUAGAAUAAUGUUACGUCGUACUGAAGAUUUUUGGGUUUCUUUAAUUGGUUAAGUGAAGAUUCUUUAUUUGGGUUUCUUUCAAGAUGAAAGCCAUAUCCACAACCACAACCACAACUGGCAGACAAUCUUUGGCUGUUCAUCACAAUUGGGCGACAAUGAAGAAGACAGAAAUUGGAGUACUGUAUGUUAUCACCCACACCACAAGACCAAUAUAAGGAGGAUGGGGAGGCUGCGGAAUACUUAUCACCUUAGCCACCACCUACACCACAAGACCAAUAUGUUGUAGGCCAGGAGGCUUUCCAAUUUUAAAUUAGAUAAAUCGGAAACUGUUUCGAUAUCCAAUUGUAUUCUAUAAAAUCAAUGAACACGGUGCUUCAAGAAAGUAAUAAAAUUUCAAUAAUUCAAUUGAGUGGUCAAAUUCAAGUGAUUUUUUGUAGUGAUGAUCUUUGAAUGAGUAUCUAUAAAAGAGACGGUUUGGAUUAGUGAAAUACAAUAUGGAGUGGGCCCUACCAGCAAUCCACGACAAAAUGUCUGCAAGCUUUCGUAAUAUAAGGAGGAUGGGGAGGCUGCGCAAUACUUAUCACCUUAGCCACCACCUACACCACAAGACCAAUAUGUUGUAGGCCAGGAGGCUUUCCAAUUUUAAUAUAUAUAUAUAUAUAUAUAUAUAUAUAUAUAUAGGGAUGUGAUUUCUCUACUCCCCUUUUCUCUACUUAUACUCCCUUUUGCUUUUAAAUACUUUUUAAUCAAUUUUUUUUCCGCUUUCCUAUUAAUAUUCUACCAUUUCCCUACAUUAAUUUCUUUUUACUUCACUUUUAUAUUAGUUCUUUUUCUUUAUACUUAAUUUUUCAACUUGCACUCCAUUUUCAUUAUUUUUUUCCUAAUCGAGUAAGAAAUUAAGUUUUUUUUCCCCAUUUAAUACUGAAAAUGGAGUGUAAGUUAGAAAAUUAGGUAUAAAGAAAAAGAAAUAAUAUAAAAGUAAAGUAAAAAAGAAAUUAAUGUAGGGUAAAGGUAGAAUAGAAAAGAGAAUGAACAAAAUUGAUAAAUAAAUAAAAAAGGUUUAAAAAGCAAAAAGGAGUGUAAAUGGAGAAAAGGGGAAUGAGGAAAUCAGCUCCAUAUAUAUAUAGAUUGAAAAAAUUAAAAUUAAAAUCAAUCUAUUAUCAUAUAUAUUAUAAAAUAAAGAUUAUUGCUCCAAGGAAAUGACAUCUUUUGUUUUCUGGGAAUUUUCUGAACCAAGGAAAAUCAAAUAAAAUUAAUAAAGCAUAAAUUGGAAAGGGAAAAGAUCUAAAGGAUGCAUUGUAGGAUUGCUGAUGCCAAUAAUUGUACCCUCAAAUUAUACAUGGACAUAGGGGUGGGCAUUCAAAUAGGCAAACUAGAAAUCCGAGCUGAACCGCACCUAGGAAAACCGGAAAAAAAACCGAGUUGACCAAAAAGUCAACAACUGGUCAAAAAUCGAACCGGACCGAUUUGGACUGGUUUUGGAUUCAGUUUAUAUGCAAUGCUACAUUUUUAGUCUCAUAACUAAUAUUUAUCCAAGUUCAAUUUCAAAACAUCUUUCUUUUUUAGCUUUAAUAUUUAUUUUUAUAUGAAAUUAAAUAAUUUAUUAAUUUUCAAGUAAAUAAAAUAAAAUUUCAGUUGAAAUUUAUAUUAAAAAAAUAAUUUUAAUAAUCCAGUUCAAAACCAAACCGGACCAUCCAGCUGUGAGGUACAUUUCUCCCACAUGCCACAAUUGUAUAUUCACAAUUACGUCUGAUACAUCACAUCAUGCCACUUGCCUCAAAUGAAUUUAAGUGAGUGUGGCAGUGGAAAGUAAUUAAGCUCUAUAUUGGUGGGUGGACUGUUACUUCUGGGUUCCCCUCAUCAUUCGUCUAUAAAAUGGUGAAGGCAGUUGCUAUUGUUACCAUAAGAGCCAGCUCCGACUUCCUUUAAUUUCUUGCUUCAUAUCCACUAGCUACAUCUGUUACCAAGUUAAUUUCAGUCCUAAUGGGGUUUCAUCUCCCACUCAUCUUUGCUCUUCUCAGUGUAAGCUCUGCAAUUUGAUUAACUUUUCCAUUCUCUCUCAUUGUACUCUAUAUAAACGAAAGUUUUGUGUUCCUAUAAUUCUCUCCGAUUUUAUUUAGUACGUACUUAAGUGUCGUCCACUAAUUAAUUACACUUUGUGAUUUGAUUUUAAUUUGAGUUCGAAUUAAUGUUGCAGCUAGCAGCAGUGGCACUGGCAAACCAUGCUGCUCAACCAGCACCUCAACUUUACUGGAACUCCGUCCUGCCAAACACACAGAUGCCAAGAUCUAUCAGUGAACUUCUGCAUCCUGGUUUGUGUUGAGCUCUUUAGAAUCUUAGAUAUCUCUUCUACCUGCCAUUUUACUAAAAUAUGUUCCACCACAUAUUUAUCAGUUAACCACUGUUAUUACAUGAGUGACACAUAUUCACAAAUCGGCUGAUCACUUAUUUUCCAUUAUGACGUUGAUAUAUAAUUUGCAGACUCCACAAAUGAAGAAAAGAGCACAAAUGACGUUGGCAAACCUGAAACUUUCCCAUUGGGCAAUAAACAUUACUCCAGUCAAAAACAUUAUGGAAGAGGCAAACCUGAAACUUUCCCAUUGGGCAAUAAACAUUACUCCAGUCAAAGACAUUAUGGAAGAGGCAAACCUGAAACUUUCCCAUUGGGCAAUAAACAUUACUCCAGUCAAAGACAUUAUGGAAGAGGCAAACCUGAAACUUUCCCAUUGGGCAAUAAACAUUACUCCAGUCAAAAACAUUAUGGAAGAGGCAAACCUGAAACUUUCCCAUUGGGCAAUCAGCAUUACUCCAGUCAAAAAAAGUAUGGAAGAGGUGCUUCUCCAUCCGACAAUCAACCACCAAUUCCAUAGAAAUUCAAACACGGCUACUUUCUUGCCACGAGAAAGCGCUCAAUCGAUCCCCUUCUCCUCUAACAAACUACCAGAAAUUUUCAACCAUUUUUCAGUGAAGCCAACAUCUGAGGAAGCCAAAACAAUUAAGCAAACAAUCGAAGAGUGUGAAGCUCCAGACCUUAAGGGAGAGGAAAUAUAUUGCGCCACAUCUUUAGAAUCAAUGGUUGAUUUUAGCACUUCGAAGCUUGGAACAAGAAACGUUGAAGCAAUCUCGACGGAGGUAUUGGAAAAAGGAGCCACCAUGUCCAUCCAAAACUAUACAACAAUGCCGGGACUGAAGAAGUUGGCAGGUGACAAAGUCGUUGUGUGUCAUAAGCAGAACUAUCCCUAUGCUGUGUUUUUCUGCCAUGCAAUAAAACAUACAGCAGCUUAUGCUCUCUCCCUGAAAGGCGAUGAUGGGGAGAAGGUUAAAGCAGUAACCAUCUGCCAUCUAGACACAUCAGAAUGGGACCCAGAGCAUAUGUCCUUCAAAAUCGUCAACGUUAAGCCCGGAACCAUUCCCAUCUGCCAUUUCAUUUCCACUGAUGCUAUUGCCUGGGUUCCGAACCACAAAUCUGCAUGAUCAUCACUUAGCACUAGUACUGUGCGUAUAAUAUGCCUGUAUAAUUAUCUCCCUACUUAUUUCUGCCUGUUCAUCAUGUGGUGUAAGAUAUAUGUUGAGAUGAAGUUUUUGGGAUUAGUGGUCGAAAUUAACCCGAUCAUGUUUUCUCUUGUAACUAUAUAGACUUCAACUUGUACUCAUAAUAAAGCAUGCUAUAUUUAUGAAGAGAUAUUAAUCUUCAGGCAAAUAGAUAUUAUGAAAACAUAUAUAGCAAUUUAUCCAGAAGAAAUAUUAUGAAAUGAAAAGAAUAAAAAGUAAAAAAACAGAAGGAAAGGAAUUCGCACCUGCUAUGUAUGAAAGGACCAAGAUUGUUUUCCCUUUGGUUAAUGACUAGAAAAGCUCACUUGCAGAUUGCUUUCUCUGACCGUAGAUGCAACAGAAAUUUUCUCUUAAUAAUAGCACAAUGAUCGGGUAAUUGUAAGAACAAGUUGAUUUAAAAUUCCUUGACCCAAAAAAAAAAAAAAAAUCAUUUCAAAUUCAGGUCAACCCAUAGAUUUCUUGCCUUUUUCUUCUUCAUCACGUUGGGCUUGUCUUCUUCUUGAGGAUUGUAUAGGCCCAGGAAAUGCUUUGAGGUAGUUUUUGGCCUUGGAAGUUGGGACCCAACCCAACUUCACAAAAAGAAAACAGAUUUGCCAAAAAUCAAAUUUCAAGUCUCUCCUCAGAUCACUAAUACAGAUCAAAUUUUGGAUUUGAUGAACUAAAGUGGUUUUACUUUCUCUGUCAGUGUUUGAUGACUUAAUUUGUUAUUUACUUCUUUUUUUUUUUUUACUUGAUCUUUGUAGGGGUUUUUUUCUUCCGGUAACUUAAACGGGCUGGGCUGCCGUAAAGGGUAGAUUGAUGAAAUUGUCUCCUUUGUCUGAGUUCGAAAAUCAAGCCCCAAAAGCGCUUCGAAAGGGCAGUAGAGCCUUAGGAAGCGUUCUAGUCAUCUUCACCAACUAAAACAACAGCAACUUACAGAUGAUUUCUUAAGGCUUACAGAUAAAUUUUCUAGCUUGGCAUGAGAGGCUUGUGACAUGGAAGCAAAAUCAGCAUGAGUUUAGCACCAAAGAGGAAAAUAUGGCUUCCUAGGGAGAAAUGGGAGUGUUUAAGGUGAGGAAGAAGAGGUUUGCAGGCUGAUUUGGCUGAGGAGAGAGAAAGAAAGAACAAUGUUCUUCCAGUAGCUUGACAAAGCUUCUGACAGAUGUGAAAGUCGUCUGCCAUAAGAGGAAAAUGAAGAAGAAUGGUGAAUAGUGCAUGAAAUUGCUGGGUUUUUGCAGGUAAGAGAGAAAGCUUGCUCUCUGAAUUUGAGUUGGUUUUUGGUUGGGUAGAAGAGGCCCCCUUUUAUAGCUGCGGGAAACCAUCUUUUUUCAAGAAACCCUAAUGGUUUCUAUCCAUUUUGGCCAAGCUUUUCCCUUCAUUUCUCUUCUCCUCCCUUGACUUUUCCUAUCUUGGUGAAAUUUCCUCUGCCUAUUUGCACAAAAUUAGAGAUUUUGAGGAGCUCAAGACCCCUUUCCCGCAGCUGCCUCAGUGGAGAAUCCCCAUUUUCAGUCAUCUUUCUUCCUUCUUUUCUCCCAUCUUCCAAGGUUAGGUCUGAUGAGGGAAAGAAAUGGGUAUGCACACUGGUUUGAAGGGUAUUUUUGCUUGAAACUUGUUCUCUCCCAUGUGCUGGAGCUUCCCAGCAACUUACACACAUGGAUAUUUUGGCUUUCAUCGUGGCUUUUGUUUUCAGCUAGGUGCUGGAGAUUUCGCAGAUAUUUUCAUGAGUUGCUUGGGCCUUCUAGGACAAUAGGUUGGUUUAUCAAGUGAAUGGGCUAACUUCAUCAAUUGUUGGGCUAUUUUGGUUGAGUUAAUGGACUAUUUUGGUUGAAGUAAUGGGCUAUUUUGGUUGAAUUAAUGGGCUAUUUUUCUCUCUUUGUGCUCACCCACAUAUUUGGGCCUAAGAAAUGGGCUUGAGUUCCGGGGCUCCCAAGCAACCCCGGGACUUCCAUUUCUCGGCCCAUCAAUGGGCCUCAUAUCAACUUAUUACCAUCCAUAUCACAACCCACUCAAGCAAGCCCUGGGCAUCUUGCGUGGCUUGGGCCCACUUAAGCUUGUAGCGUGACGUGUUGCUUAUUUGCUUGGCAUGGCAUGUGUGCAAGCGCAUAUGACGAACUUUAGCGUGCCCAAAUUGGGUUUAUUCUCGGUAAGGUAUCGCAUUGGGCCGAGAAUUUAAUUGGGCAGAACUGUGGAUUUUUGGGCCUCAACAAUCUUAUAUAUAUUGGUUUUCUUUUUUUCCUUAAUAUUCACCACCUUUCUGUUGCAUAAGUAUUUCAGUCUUAACGGGUUUCCAUCUACCACUCAUCUUUGCUCUUUUAAGUGUAAGCUUUUUUUUUUUUUUUUUAAGCACAAGAUUAGAGGGGAGGGGGAUUUCUCAAUGUAAGCUUUGCAGUUUCAUAAUUAAUAUUUCCAAUAUCUCACUGUUAGUAAAAUAUGGAACAGGAAAAGUAUGAAUAAAAUACACACAUGUUUUAUUUAGCAAAAUUUUGACAAGAUACAACUGAAAAGUUUGGCCACUAUAUAAUAUUUUGAUAUAAUUUCUACACUUCUUCUCAAAAGAUUAGAUCACUUCACAUCUUGUGUAUGUGAAAACUAAUGUAAAAAGUUGAAACUUUAUCGUAAAACCUCGACAAAAAUGAGCUCUACUAGAAAAUGUUCAAUUUGGAUUCGUUGAUUUAAAUGGCAAUUUGACACUUGAUAGAAAUUUUUACAUACAUGUGUUAGUGUUUGAUCACUUCACAUGUUACUUACUAUAUUUAUUCCACUCAAGUUAGGUAAAUAUUAUUAUCAAACAUUUCAAUUAAUUUGUGAUUUUUUUAUUAUUUAAUCAAUUAUGAAUUAAUGGAUUCUUCUUGUUGUUUUGAAGACCAAUAAAAAAAAAAGGGUAAGGAUGGCUUAUAACUCUGAUAAAACAACAGUGACGUGGACAGCAGAUGUUACACCGUACUGAAGAUUUUUGAAGAUUCUUUAUUUGGGUUUCUUUCAAGAUGAAAACCAUAUUAUCCACAACCACAAUGAAGAAGACAGAAAAUGGAGUAAUUCAGAUGUUACCAGCCAUCCACGACAAACUGAAGUCUGCAAAGCAUUCGUAAUCUAAAGGGAGACUUUGGAAAAGCCCAAAGGAGAGAGAAAAUUUUUAAAAGAAGCAAAAAUGGACAAAAUUGCCCUUAUUUAUUUUUUGAUUUCCUAAGAAAUCCUUUACAUUUGCAUGUCUUUGGUUUGAAAGUUGAGAGGUUAUUCUGUCUUUUUUCAAAAAGCUUUGGCUUUUUCCAAAAGUGAAAGUUUUUUUAUGGGUAAAACCUAAAUUUACUUAAUCCCUAAAAAGGAUGGGGAGGCUGCGCAAUACUUAGCCACGUGUAGGCCAGGAGGCUUUCCAAUUUUAAUAUAUAUAUAAAUUGAAAAAAUAAAAUAAAAAUCAAUCUAUUAUCCUAUAUAAAAUAAAGAUUAUUGCUUCCAUGGGCAGUGCUAUGCACAGGACAGUGCCUGCCCAGCACAAAUUUUUUUUAAAUAAAAAAAAAAAAUCUACAUAUGUUAUAAGCUCAUCCAAAAAAAUAAAAUAAAAUAAAAGUAAAUUCUACAUAUAUGUUGCCCAUCUAGGUGGUUCCAUAUCUUCUCUCUCCUUCUCUUUUGGCUAUUAGACUUCUUGUUUCUCUCUCUCUCUUUGCUACCUCACAUCAGCAAGUUUCUCCCUCUCUUUUUUUGGGGUCAAAUUCUUCCUCUAUUGACAAAAUCUUCUAUUAUCUUGGGUGGGCAACUUGGCAACAACAUCUUCUCUUCUCCUUUUGUCAACAACAAGUAUUAUUCUCAUUCUCUCAUUUGCUAUAUAUCUUUAAUUAUAGUUUUAAUUUAAAAUUGAGUAUUCUAGGGUUUAAUUAGGGAUGAAUUAUAAUUUUAGAAUUUUGUUGAAAUUAAUUAAGGCUUCGAUUAGGGGUGAAUUAUUCUACUGCUUUGGUUUGGAAUUUUGUUAAAAUUGAGUAUUAUAGGGUUUAAUUAUGGAUGAAUUAUAAUUUUUGAUUUUGGUAUUAUUGAGAUGUUAUUAUGAGAAUUUGUUUCAUUUUUUUAUUGGUAUAUUUGAUUAAAAUUCUUUCUACAUAUUAUUCAUAGGCUAUCUUUUAUUAUGUCGGAUCACAAUCGGAAUCCCAAGAGAACAAAGAAUUUGAAUAGUGUUGUUUUGUAUUGCAUUGCAUUUACUUUUGGUUUUAGUUUUGCUUUUAGUGUAAAUUACUCAAAUGGUCCUCAAAUUUGUACCCGAUUUACAUUUUGGUCCAUAAACUAAAUUAUUCAUUCAAAUGGUGCACCAACUCUUUAUUAAUCAGUGCUUUGGUCCUACCGUUAUGUUUUCUAUUAAAUUUAGUCAUGUGAGCAGCACAUGCUACAUUUGUAGGGGUAAAUAAGACUUUUGACCACUUUAUCACCUAUGUAUCACCACUUUAUAACCUAUUUGGAGAACAUAGGUCAGUUAUGGACGGUUUUACAAUUAUAUUUGACGGCAACAUUAACAUAAUGUAACAGUGGGAUCAAUGGAGCGAUUAAUAUAGAGUUGAUGGACCGUUUGAACGAAUAAUUUAAUUGAGGGACCAAAACGUAAAUUGAGUAUAAGUUUGAGGACCAUUUGAGUAAUGUACCCUUCGCUUUUAUAUUUGUUGAACUUUUAUUUAUGGAUAGAUAUGCAUUUGAGGGUAAGACCCAUUAUGUUCCCCCUGACUUGGUGUAUCUUUUUAUGUUUAUUAAUGAAAUUCACUCGAACUGUUGAGUUUAGUAUGUAAGUUUUGCCUAACCGGCUUUUGAAUCCUAGAACCGCCACUGUUGCUCCAUCCUCCAUGCACUUGCAUGUGCUCUUACAAAGUGUGAAGUAGAUUUUGUGUGCUCCAAGUCAUUGACUAGAGCUGAAACAUGGUUAGCUAGAUUUAUAAGGACCCAUCUCUCUAUUUCCUAGACAUAUACCCAUCUCUCUAUAAAUCUAUAUGUAAAACUCAAUUUCAAACUUAAAUGACCAGUAAGAUAUAAGAGGUCAUAGUAUUCCUAUGUUUUUACAUCGUUGCCACCAGACUUCUUAUUUUAUUUAUAAUUUAUUUCAAGCAUUUCAUUAACUGCCAUAAUUGUAAUUAAUACUCCAUAUUAAUAGCAUAUCAAUCACCCCAUUUCUUUUGAUUGCCAUUCCCUCUAACAUAUCGCCCCUUAAAAUUGAAAACCAAAAAAAAAAAAAAUGUAAAUUACAUAUCCAAUAAUGUACCUAUGAAAAAUAUAAAUAUAAAUAUAUACGUAUAAAAAUAUAGGUUUAUUAUUUACCAAAUAAAAAAUAUAAAAAAACUAGGUCAGUUGCUUUGUAAUUGAAAUUUCUAUACAUUUUCCACAAAUUAAAAAUAGGUACACAAUAAUUUAUAGAAAAUAUAGGUGCAUUAUUUAUCCAUAGGUAAAAAUACCUAUAAAUGCACAUAGGUAAAUUAUUUACCCAUAUAUUAUUUUUUUGCUAAGGAUUUACCUUAGUUUUUAGUAGAUUAAUUUACCUACCUAGAGGCAUAGGUAGCUUAAAAAAAUUGUAGCACCUUAGUUGGUUGCAUACUAAUUUACCUACCUAGAGGCAUAGGUUGCUAAGAAAAAAUGUAGGUAAAUUCAUGUACCUAAACACAUAGGGGUCAAAUAGAGAAUAACAUGUUAUUUCCCUUCGAACAAAUUAAUUUCAAACCAUAACAAUAAUUGAAUUCGGAAAUUGGUAUAAAUAAAAGGAAAUAAAUAAGCUAUCAAUUUGAAAAUUAAAAUAAGAAAUGAUCAAGUAGUCAUAUUUGAAAAAAAAGAAAAGAAUAUAUUCUUGGUUUUUAUAGGAACAACGUGUAUAUUCAAACCAAAUGGCAGUAACUACACCAAGCUUUAAUUACUUUUUUUUAAGGCCAAAAGUCACUUUUGGUCUCUGUAGUUUGACACUUCUAUUACUUUUGACGCUGUAGUUUCAAUUCCGUCAAUUUUGCCAUUGUAGUUUCAUAUUUGUAGCAAUUCAAGGACAUGUUAAUAUUAAUGUCAAUUUGUUUAAUGAUGCAAGGGGUAAUUUCGUCAUCCCAAAAUCCUUGAGCAUAAAAGCUUGUCUGAAAUUCUCCCCAUUUCAUAUUAGGGCUCGAAAUUCAACCACUAAUCCCAAUUUUUGAAGAACCCUAUACCCAAAUGACCAAUUUCAAGCCCUAAUAACAAAUUAGGGAAGUUUUAGAUGAGCUUUUAUGCUCAAGGAUUUUGAGUUGAAGAAAUUGCCCCUUGCACUGUCAAAGAAAUUGAUAGGAAUACUGACUUGUCCUUGAAUUGCUACAAAUACAAAAAUACAGGGUCAAAAUUAACAGAAUUUAAACUAUAUGGUCAAAAGUGGUUAAAGUGCCAAACUACAAGGACCAAAAGUGACUUUUAGCCUUUUUGUUUAAAUAAGGAAAAAACUUACCUAUUAAAUCCUUGGAAUCUAUACAAAAUUGAAACACAGUUAAUCAGCAUUGAAUUGCAGCUAAUUUCUUAAACAAGGGUAUUAUAGGAAUUUAAAAAGUAUAACAUUUAAUCCAUUGAGCUUGAUUAGGAAUCUUGAUGAGUUGGAUCCUAGUUAUAUAGUUUCUCUUAUAAAAAUCGGGUUUUAUUUAUAGACAAAUAAAACAAUGGGUUGUAGGUAAGAAAAUAUUAAUUUGAAGGGAAAGUGUCACAUCCUGGGAUCGGCUCCGCCGUAGCACGAUAUUGUCCGCUUUGGGCCCCCCUCUCUGCCCGCACGGUUUUGUUUCUGGGAGCUCACGAGCAACUUCCCAGUGGGUCACCCAUCCUGGGAUUGCUCUGGCCCCCAACUCGCUUAACUUCGGAAUUCCUAUGACUCCGAAGCCAGUGAGCUCCCAAAAGGCCUCGUGCUAGAUGGAUGCGGGUGUGUACAUAUAAGACACAUCACCCCCUCUCCGUUGGUUGAUGUGGGAUCUUACAGAAAGAGUCAAAUUUACUAAAUUAAUAAAGCAUAAAUUGGAAAGGGAAAAGAUCUAGAGGAUGCAUUGUAGGAUUGCUCAUGCCAAUAAUUGCACCCUCUCGAUAUUGAAAAACCUAUUGUGUAUUAUUAUCUUCAAUCAUGAAUGAUGCACCUAAAACCCAAGUGUCCCAAGCCAACCAUUGCGCUCAUACCACUUGUUGCAGUACACAUUCACCCGUUUUUAAAGAAAGAAAUUCUACCAAUCGAUAUUGUCUCAAAUUUAAUCACAUAGGUCUAUUAUGGUUAACCAUAUGUACUUUUAUCGGCCAUAUAGAGGUACCUUUUUCCAACGUGCAACAAUUGUAUUUGAUUCACAAUUAUGUCUGAUAUACAUCACAUCAUGCCACUUGCCUCAAAUGAAUUUAAUUGAGUGAGGCAAUGGGAAGUAAUUAAGCUCUAUAUUGGUGGGUGGAGUGUUACUUCUGGAACCCUCAUCAUUCGUCCAUACAAGGGAACAAUUCCCUUCCUUCUAUAAAAUGGUGAAGCCAGUUGCUAUUGUUUGUUAGAGUUUUAGGAUCUGAGUGUUAGAUUUUGUGAGAAGAGAGAAGAGAAUUUAGUGAAAACUUCCAAUACUGCUCUGCUAUACGUGUAGCAGAGAGAACAUUCUGUUUUGUUAUAUAUUUUCAGUACAACAACACACACUUGGUGUGAGAAGAAAAAUGACUGUUAUGCACAGUACCAGCUGGAUGCUUUCCAUCAAAGUAAUCUCAGCCAUUCACUAUCUAACCAAUCAAGCUAUGACACCUGGACUAAGUAUAAAGAAAUACAACUAAGCAGAAAACAAGACUCUUAAUCCUGAAAUCAACUUAAGCACUUAUAAUUCAACACUCCCCUUUAAGUCUUGAGGUGAUUUCACUCCAAGCAUGCCUCUGAGAUAAUUGAAUCUGUCUUUGGCCAGAGGUUUGGUAAAAAUGUCAGCCAAUUGUUCAUUUGUAGGACAAUAUUCCAGAUUGAUUACCCCUUCUUGCAAUGCAUCCUUGAUGAAGUGAUACCUCCUGUCAAUAUGCUUUGUCUUCUGGUGGAAUACAGGGUUUUUAGUGAUUGCAAUUGCUGAGAUAUUAUCACAAUGCAAUGGAGUAGCUUCAGUUUGAAGCUCUCUAAAGUCUUCUAGCACAAAACGGAGCCAAAUAGCUUGAGUAGUAGCCUCAGCUGCACUGAUGUACUCAGCUUCUGCAGUAGACAGUGCAACACAGUUCUGUUUCACUGAGGCCCAAGAAAAUACUCCACUUCCAAAACUAAACGCAUACCCUGAUGUGCUCUUGCAAUCACCAACUGAUCCUCCCCAAUCACUGUCACAGUAACCAACUAGAAUUGAUCUUUUGCCUUUCACAUAUUCAAGACCAUAGUCCAGAGUUCCUUUGAUGUAUCUCAAAACCCUUUUAGCUGUUCCAUAGUGUCUAUUUGUAGGACAGUGCAUGAAUCUAGCUAGCAAGCUUGAGGCAUACAUGAUGUCUGGUCUUGUAGCAGUUAAGUACAGCAAGCUACCAACAAUGCUUCUGUAUUGUUCUUCAUUUGCAGCUCAACUCCCAUCAUCCUUAGCUAGUUUCUCAGUGGCAACAAGGGGUGUUGUCACAGGUUUGCACUCAGUCAAACCAAACUUGCUCAACAAGGUGCUAGCAUAUUUCUUUUGAUGUAGAAAUAUACUAGACUCAGUCUGAAUAACUCCCAUGCCAAGAAAGUGAUGAAGUAAGCCCAAAUCAGUCAUCUCAUACUUAGCCAUCAUGUCUUCUUUGAAUUCAGCCAACAAUGCUUGACUGCUCCCUGUAUACACAAUAUCGUCUACAUAGAUAGACACAAUUAGAAUCUCCUUAUCUCCCCUUACUUUGGUAUAUAAGGUUGUUUCACUUAAGCUUUUCACAAAACCACAUUGAGUGAAGUAGCUGUCUAUCUCUCCAUACCAAGCCCUUGGGGCUUGCUUCAGACCAUAAAGGGCUUUAUGCAAACGAUAAACCUUGUCUUCUUUACCUUUAAUUACAAAACCUUCAGGCUGACUGACAUAAACUUCCUCUUGCAGCACACCAUUAAGGAAAGCAGACUUCACAUCAAGCUGGAACAAUUUCCAAUCCUUUUGAGCAGCUAGAGCAAUAAGUGUUCUAAUGGUGUCCAAUCUGGCUAUAGGUGCAUAAGUCUCAUUAUAAUCCAGUCCAGGCUUCUGAGCAUACCCCUUAGCCACUAAUCUUGCUUUAUUCUUUUGCACUGAGCCAUCCAAAUUCAGCUUUGUCUUGUACACCCACUUAACUCCAAUCACUGGUUUUUCAGUUAGUCUAUCUACCAAUUCCCAUGUUUCAUUCUUUUCAAUCAUCUGCAGUUCAUCUUCCAUAGCCUUAAGCCAAGAUUCAUCCUGAGCAACAUCAGCAUAUUUUUCUGGUUCCAUGAUACACAAGUUACACUGAGCUAGAACAUCAUCUAGCCUUCUCCAUUUUAGAGGGGUGUGAUCAUAAGCUUGAGUUCUCCUUUCUUCACUGCUUAUAUCACCUGGAGUUGAUGAAAUGCUCUCUUGCAUAUCCAAAGUUUGAGGUGUACCAGUAGAAUUCUCAUUAGAACUGUCAGAUUUCAAGUCCAAAUCAACUUGGUUUUCAAUUGAGUAUGUUGUCAUAACUGAACCAUUUUUGUUUGUCCAAUGCCAAGCAUUUUCUUCAUCAAAUGUCACAUCCCUUGAUAGUAAAAGCUUGUUAGAAACAGGAUCAAAAACUCUAUAUCCUUUUUCACAAGUUGCAUAUCCCACAAACACUCCCUUUGUACUCUUAGGAUCCCGCUUGUGUCUCAAUUCAGUUGGCACAUGAACAUAACACAGAGAACCAAACACUUUCAGAUGUGCAAUUCCAGGCUUCCUUCCACUAUAUGCUUCGAAUGGAGUAAUGUUGUUGAGAGCUUUGGUAGGACAUCUGUUCAGCAAAUAGAUAGCUGUAUGCACAGCUUCUGCCCAUAGGAAAUAAGGCAUUCCCUUCUCAUGUAACAUUGAUUUUGCCAUCUCAAUGACAGUUCUAUUCUUCCUCUCAACUACUCCAUUCUGCUGAGGAGUAUAGGCCAUUGUAAGCUGCCUUUGAAUGCCAUUAGCUUCACAAAACUCCAAAAAAUCAGUAGACAUAAACUCUCCACCCCUGUCACUUCUUAUGCACUGAACCUUGUGUCCAGUUUGUAAUUCAGUCAUGGACUUGAACUUCUUGAAACAAAAGAAGGCUUUUGACUUGUUUCUCAAGAAGUAUACCCAAAUCAUUCUUGUGAAAUCAUCUAUAAUCAGCAUGAAAUAUCUGUUCCUUGCAACAGACUCAUUUCUCAUGGGACCACAGAGAUCCACAUGUAUUAGCACUAGUACUUUGCUUGCUCUUUGAGCUUGAUCUUUUGGAAAAACAUUUCUGUGCUGUUUUCCAAAUUGGCACCCGUCACACACACCACUUUGUUCUUCCAAUUUUGGUAAACCAUGUACCAUUUCUUUAUCACUUAGCUGCUUCAAUCCUCCAAAAUGCAGAUGACCAAAUCUCUUGUGCCAAAUCCAUGUGGAUUGAAGAAAACUAGUCUUCAUUAGUAACUGUUUUUCAGCUAGAAAAGAGACAGGAUAGCAUCUGUUACUCUUCAUUUGCACCUUUAUGAUGAGAUAAUCCAUGGAUGGGCUAUCAAAUACCCUGCACAUCCCUUCUCCAAACACUAGACAGUACCCAUGUUCAUCCAUCUGCCCAACACUUAGCAGAUUUUCUUUCAAUCCUGGCAGAUACAUUACUUCUCUGAUGUAUUUCCUGCCCUUUGCUGUAUCAAUACUCAGUGAGCCAAUACCAGCUACACUCACUAAUGCACCAGUUGGCAUUUGUACUCUCCCAGCUACAUUAGUUCUCACAUCAACCAGCAAAUCUAAAUUUCCUGUCAUAUGAUUGCUGCAGCCACUGUCAAUGUACCAUUCAUUGGUUUUGAUCUCAGUGGUUGAGCAAUUGGCAUAAAACAGGUUUCCUGUAACCUCCAUUUGAUUUACACAAUUAGCCUUCUGCACAUUUUUGCUCACUGUACAGUCUCUAGCAAGAUGUCCAACUCUGUCACAGUUAUAGCAUUUUGGUUUUCCCUUAUACCUGCACUCACCAAAAUGAUGCUUUGAACACACCUUGCAUUGAGGCUUUGUGUUUUCCUGAUUUGAGAACUGUGUUGAAGUGUGGUUCUGUGCAGAAUAAUUAUUCUGCUGUGUCUUGUCUUUUGCCUCCCAUGACUUCCCUUUAGAGUUCCAGCUUCUCUGUGACUUAGAUGAACCAGACUGAGAAGCAUUUUUGUUCUGACCCUUUGAAUUCACAGUGAAUGAGGCAAAUGCCUUCUCAGCUGUAUCAACACUAUGCAUUUCAAGCCUUUGCUCCCGACUCUUCAAAAUGGCAGUUACUUCCUGCAAAUCCACAGUUUCUAGUGUCUUUGUGUUUUCAAUCACAAUGCAUAUAGGGUCAUACUUCUUACUUAGACUAAUUAACACCUUCUGAACCUACCUCUCAUUUGACAGAACUUCACCAAAUGUUUUCAUUUGGUUAAUCAAUUCAGUUAGUCUAGUAAGAUAUUCAGAUAAGGUUUCACUAUCACGCAUCCUACUGUAUUCAAACUCACGUCUAAGGUUUUGAAGCUUUACCGAUCUAACAUGCUCUCCACCAUGAUAUUCUGAGUACAGCAGAUUCCAAGCCAUCUUUGCAGAGUCAGCAUUGGCAAUUCUGGGAAAAAUCUGAUCAGAAACAGCAUUUUGAAUGAUACCCAAGGCCUUCGCAUCCUUCAUGAGAAUCGCAGCUGUUUUCUCAUCAACUUCUUCUUCUGAACCAUCCUCAGAUUCCUGCUUCGUCUUUGAAUCUGGGAUUAAAAACCCCUUCUCUACCAAACCCCAUAAACCAUAUGAUCUGAAUAUGGUUACCAUCUUAAUCCUCCAAAAUUCAUAGUUCUCACCUGAGAAAAUGGGGAUUCUAGCCUCUGAACUUCCAGAUCCAGCCAUUACGAAUUUCAGAUUCGCCUGGAAACAAGAUGUUUUCAGAUUUGACCCUUGAUCGAGCUCAAUCAGCUUCGUGAGCUUAGAAUGAGCUCACCUCGAUCGAUUUUCUUCACAGAACAACGCCCAGCUUCAGAUAAUCAAACUUGGCUCUGAGGCCAUGUUAGAGUUUUAGGAUCUGAGUGUUAGAUAUUGUGAGAAGAGAGAAGAGAAUUUAGUGAAAAUUUCCAAUACUGCUCUGCUAUACGUGUAGCAGAGAGAACAUUCUCUUUUGCUAUAUAUUUUCAGUACAACAACACACACUUGGUGUGAGAAGAAAAAUGACUGUUAUGCACAGUACCAGCUGGAUGCUUUCCAUCAAAGUAAUCUCAGCCAUUCACUAUCUAACCAAUCAAGCUAUGACACCUGGACUAAGUAUAAAGAAAUACAACUAAGCAGAAAACAAGACUCUUAAUCCUGAAAUCAACUUAAGCACUUAUAAUUCAACAUUGUUACCAUAAGAGCCAGCUCCGACUUUCUUUAAUUUCAGUCCUAACGGGGUUUCAUCUUCCACUCAUCUUUGCUCUUCUCAGUGUAAGCUCUGCAAUUUGAUUAACUUUCCCAUUAUCUCUCACUGUACUCUAUAUAAAGGAAUAAGUGUCGUCCACUAAUUAAUUACACUUUGUGAGAUUUGAUUUUAAUUAGAGUUCGAAUUGAUGUUGCAGCUAGCAGCGGUGGCACUGGCAAACCAUGCUGCUCAACCAGCACCUCAACUUUACUGGAACUCCGUCCUGCCAAACACACAAAUGCCAAGAGCUAUCAGUGAACUUCUGCAUCCUGGUUUGUGUUGAAUAAAUAUAGUAUGUUACUGGAGUACGUAUGGCAACAUAUUCACAAAUGUGUCACGUAUUUUCCAAUAUGACGUUGAUAUAUAAUUGCAGACUCCACAAACGAAGAAAAGAGCACAAAUGUCAUGAAUGCUGUUGGGAAUGGAAAGCCAAUUGACCACAAGGGCAACCUGAAAAUACUGUACUACCACAGCUUGCACGACGCCCAUUUUCUUACAAGAGUGAUGAUCGUCCCACUGACAAUCAACUCCAUUAUAAAAACGUAGCUAUUUUCUUCUUGGAGAAGGACAUGCGCCCUGGCACAACAAUGAGCUUCCAAUUCCCUAGAAAUUCAAACACGGCUACUUUCCUGCCACCAGAAAGAGCUCAAUCGAUCCCCUUCUCCUCUAACAAACUACCAGAAAUUUUCAACCAUUUUUCAGUGAAGCCAACAUCUGUGGAAGCCAAAACAAUUAAGCAAACAAUCGAAGAGUGUGAGGCUCCAGGCAUUAAGGGAGAGGAAAUAUAUUGCGCCACAUCUUUAGAAUCAAUGGUUGAUUUUAGCACUUCGAAUUUUCGAACAAGAAACGUUCAAGCAAUCUCGACAGAGGUAUUGGAAAAAGGUGCCACCAUGUCCAUGCACAAGCAUACAACAAUGCCGGGACUGAAGAAGUUGGCAGGUGACAAAGUCGUUGUGUGUCAUAAGCAGAACUAUCCCUAUGCUGUGUUUUACUGCCAUGUAAUAAAACCAACAGCAGCUUAUGUUCUCUCCCUGAAAGGCGAUGAUGGGGUGAAGAUUAAAGCAGUAGCCAUCUGCCAUCUAGACACAUCAGAAUGGAACCCAAAGCAUUUGGCCUUCCAAAUCCUCAAAGUUAAGCCCGGAACAAUUCCCAUCUGCCAUUUCCUUCCCACUGAUCAUAGUGUCUGGGUUCCGAACCACAAAUCUGCAUGAUCAUCACUUAGCACUGUACGUAUAAUAAGCUUGCACCCCUGUAUAAUUAUCUCCCUACUCUACUUAUUUCUGCCUCUUCAUGUGGUGUAAGAUAUAUGAUGAGAUGAAGUUUUUGGGAUUAGUGGUCGGGUUGCCUUAAAAACACAGAUUACAGAAACUGCUUGAACUUAACCCGAUCAUGUUUUCUCUUGUACUCGUAAAGCAUGCUGUUGUGGUUCUACUUAAUUUCGUUCUCCCCAAUGUUUGAGUGUUUAAUUGUUACGUUGGAUAAUGCUUGUAGUUAGAGAAGCCUUCAUUUAUAUCAAAGUCCUCAACUUGUAAAGAUAUCAAUGGUCCUAGUGCUGCCACGUGUAAGAAGAUUGAAGAAUAAAGCUGUUGAGAUAUUGUUAGACCUGUUAUGCAGUUUAGGAAAACUGUUAGUAUUGAUAAGAGAAGGUUAGAGAUGUUAGAGAGGUUAGAAAACACGUGAACAAGGCUUUAACUCAGCUGAUAUAAAGUCUGUAGUUGUGCUCAGUUGAACUUAAUGAGAAAUACAACAAGUCUCUUCUCUAUCUCUGAAAUUCUCUCUGCUCUCUCUGCUUUACUUCUUUUGUCUCUGCUCUACAUUUUUUUUCAAUCUUCCUAUCUUAACAAAACUAUCAAGAAUUAAUGCAUCCAGAAACAUAUAUACCAAGACGCAAAACAACAUAUUUUUCAUGCUCUGUCUGUAACACCAAAGCAAACUUCCUUUAUCACAAAAGGAUCAAAUUCCAGUACUAAUCUAAUCCAUCAUGUAAAGCAUACAAUCUACAAGUGCCUCCCUUAAUUUGUCCAUUGGAUAUAUAUGUCACUUUUUGGUAAUUUGGUAUAGCAGCACCACGUAGUCUUGAAAUAGUAGUGCGGCUAUACCAAAUAUACCAUUUGCCCCUGCAUUUAACAGAAAAGUAAACAAAAUUGACGGUAGAACUAUUUGUCCUAACGAAACUGCAGUUGAAAGACCAUGAGAACGAUUUUGAAAAUUGAGGGACUCAAAUGAAAAUUGGGUCUAAGUUCAAGAACCAAUAAAACGAUUAACCCAUAGAUUUUGGAUCCAGUACCACAUCCCAAAGAGAAAACCACAAGUUUGCAAGCAAGUUUGUCCAUAAUAACACUACGUACAGUAUGGGCAGUGCGCUAGACUCAUCUCACUUUCUCAACCUAUCCUAUAGUUGUCUAAAAGAGUUUCUAAUUUAAUGUACUGAGAUUUACGAAAGAAAUAUCAGAGAAACAAUUUUCAGGCAAUAAAAAAAUGUCUUGGCAAGAAAAUGUACAAUUUGUUACAUAACUUAUUAAAUAUGAACAGUUGAAAGAAAAAAGAAUCUGGAUGAGGGAUUUGCAAAUUCCUAUGGCCCAAUUACCUUUUUUUCUUUGUUGUUUUUUUUUUUUUUUUUUUGGUUCUUUUGAUCCAGUAGCAUAUUCCAAAGAAUGAAAACCACAGGCAUGCAAUGCAAGCUCUUUUCCCACGUUUUCCUCUGUUUUUCUCCUAUCAUGGAAGUGAUUAAAACACACCUCUAAGCUUGUUUUGCGUUUGGUAGCCGAGUGUAAAAGCUCAAUGCAAGAUAGUUUGAGGUAGAAUUUUCUCCUAUUUUAUUAGGACAAUGAUAAUUAAAAAAAAGUGUGAUUCAUUGAAUAUUUGCGGGGUUUUGUUCAGACCUGACAAAGUUCUAAGUCAACACAUCAAAUUCCUUUUUCCAACAUGCAACAAUUGUAUUUGAUUCCCAAUUUUUUCUGAUAUACAUCACAUCAUGCCACUUGCAUCAAAUGAAUUUAAUUGAGUGAGGCAAUGGGAAGUAAUUAAGCUCUGUAUUCGUGGGUGGAGUGUUACUUCUGGAACCCUAAUAAUUCGUCCCUACAGGACUCUAGAACUCUCAAACUUCUUACAAGGACUACUUAACUCUAUAGCUUAAUGCAUAUAGCAUAUAUAUGCAAACACAAUUAGAAAUUCUACAACAGAAGCAAGAUCAAUCUCACUAUGCCUUCUAAACAAACAAACAAAUAAAACAAGCAUAUUAAUUGCUUUAAUCACUCUACUAACAUCAACACAGCACACUUAGUUUACUAACAGAUGAUAUAGAAAGGAAAAAAAAGGACCAAUAGGGAGAAAAUGGUGAACUAAGGAGAGACUAAUACUUCUGGUCCUUAGAAGGCAUAACAGAAAUAAUAGAGCACACUGCUUGAAUGCAAGUCAGUAUUAGGAGCAAAACAGCUGCAAUGAAAGAAAUAGUUGCCCAAGGUGUAUUGAAAUAAUGUUGCCUCAAAUUUGCCUUCCAUUUGUUCCAAGGCUUUCUGCAGUAGCUAUUAAGGCGCUCAGAAAGAAUAGCAAAGUAGAAGCUUUCACGAUACACUGCAAUUCCUUUUCCGAGGUUGUUAAUCAGAGUGCACACCUCAUUGUAGUCACCAAGCAUAUUUUUGACAAUCCCAUCCUUCAGAAGGAACUCCACAUCCUUUUCGGUGUUCACAAACUCAUCCAUGAGUGAAACAUAAUCACUUAUGUAAUUCUUACGGCAAUGGCACUAUUCAAAGGCAAUGAGGUUACGGAGUGUGAGCUCUGUGUAAUCGUGUAUUUUUAGUUUUGGAAUUUCUAGAAUCCCAUCGUUGAAUUGUGUUAACGCAGCUUUCCUUUCCUAGCCUACACGGAAGUCAACUUCACAAUCUCCUCCUAGCAAUUAGUCUUUCCUGCUGUAAAUCAGAUUUCCUACUGUAAAUCGGAUUGUAUUCAUGUCUAUAUUAUUUCCUACUUUAAGUAGAUAUCUUGUACUAGUAUAAAUAGGGACUUUGUGUAAUCUGUUAAAUACAAGGAAAUAUAUACUCUGCAUGGUAUCAGCCUAACCUAGGGUUCUCUCUCUCUCCCUUAUUCGAUCCUCUUCUCCUUUAGGUCCACCUCAUGGCUUUGUCUGAAUCCACCAUCUCCCUCCCAAGCCCCAACUCUUCUAUUUUAUCAAGCUUAUUGACUCCAACUAUCUUCUUUGGCUCCGCCAACUCAAACCCUUUUUAGUCGGCCAUGACCUCUGGAAAUUUAUCGAUGGCAUUCAUAAACAACCUUCUGCCCACACCUCCACCUCUACCACCGCAACACCCACAACCACCACCACUCUUACCCAAAUCAAUCAUGCCCAUGCUCAGUGGUACCAACAAGACCAACUCAUUGUUAGCUACAUCACCAAUACACUCUCUGAGUCCAUUCUCUUUCUCACUGUUGGUUGCACCUCUGCCCGGGAUCUCUGGGAGUGUCUCCAACGCCACUUCUCUCAAUCCAGUAUGGCCAGUGAAUCUACUCUUCGUUUUAAACUCAUGGAUUUGCAAAAAGGCUCUGAACCCACUUAUGCUUACAUUCGUCAUGCUAAGUCCUUUGCCGAUUCACUGGCUGCCAUCAAUGAACCUGUCUCCCCAAAAGAACUUGUCACUACUGUGCUUUGGGGUUUAAGACCCUAUUGCAACAUCCUCGUCACAGCAAUUCUCAAUUUCCCUCUGCUUCCUAACUUUGCUAAUCUUCGUGCUCGUUUGUUAGCAUUUGACGCACAGACUCCUUGAAUCUCUCCUGAUCAAAACACAGCGCAAAUGGCCACCCAAUCCUCUCCUCACACCACCGGUCAUACUUCCUUCCCUUCUCACCGUGGUGGUGGCUCUUCCAACAACAGGCGUGGUGGCCUCGGUGGCUGGCGCAAUAGCGGCCGGGGUGGCUGGCGCAGCUUCUCAUCUUCCUGGAGCAACCCGUGGAAUGGCUUCCAGCAGCUCCAAUGACCUAAUCAACCAUGGCCUCCUUUUGCUCCAAGUUCUGGAUCUCAAAGCAACUGGCCUUCCUUUCAGCCUCCUUGGGCCUAAUCUGCCGCUUCUAUCAAACACUUUGCCCGGCCCAACUCAGCUCCUGGUGUCUUGGGACCCGCUUGGUGCACUACCUGCAAUACCAAUCACAUACUACUACAAUAUGUCCUCAUCGCUACAAUGGCCCAGAAUCCUUUCUUUGCUAGGGCUCAAUUCAUGUAGCCACCUGACUCUACUUGGUACCCUGACACAAGUACCACUCAUCAUAUGAUUGGUAGUCCUUCUAAUCUCCAAAAUCAAUCCUUCUAAUCUCCAAAAUCAACAGCCAUAUCAGGUUCAUAAUUCUGUAUUUCUUGGUAAUGGAGAUUCUCUCCCUAUCUCUCAUACUAGCUCUCUCUUUUGUCUUCCAUCUCUUCGUACUAAUCUUCUUUUUGUUGCCCAUUUUACUUGUGAUAAUUUAGUUUUCUUUGUCUUUACUCUUGACUUUUAUCAAAUCUAUGACUUAUGUACUGGUUCGUUACUCUUUCAGGGCCCUUCUAAAGAUGGUCUUUACCCACUUUCCAUCUCCUCUCACUCAUCCAUAGUCCCCCAUGCCCUUACCACCGUGCACUCUCCUGCUUGGCAUCAUUGCCUUGGCCAUCCAUUCCAUCGUGUGCUCUCUCAUUUAGCGCCAUCUCUAGGCUUUAAAGUUUCUCAUGCUUUCUGUAAGGAUUGUGCACUUAGCAAAUCCACCAAACUGUCAUUUCUUAGUAAUAAAACCUUUGCCCCAUCUCCCUUUUAUUUAAUUCACUCUGAUGUAUGGAUGUCCUCGGUCAUUUCUGUCACUGGUUAUCGCUAUUAUGUCUUGUUUACAGAUGACUUUUCUCGUUACUCCUGGAUCUAUCAUAUGCACCGUAAAAAUGAGGUCUUUUCUCACUUUCAAACCUUUCUUGCUAUGGUUAAAAAUCAAUUUCACACCACUGUACAAAUUCUUUAAAGUGACAAUGGCACUGAAUAUGUUAAUAAUGCUUUCUCUGAUCUUUGCAGUCAACUAGGCAUCCACCAACGUUUCACAUGUCCCCACACUCCCCAACAAAAUGGCCUAGCUGAACAUAAACACAGACACAUUGCCACCAUGAUCUGUCCCCGGUCAUUUAUUCAACCAUCUUGACCUUUUGCUUGAUCAUUUUCCACAAGCAACCGUCCACGUACCCCAAUAAUUUAAAAGGGCUGAUGAUCUUUAAUUUGGUGAAAGCUUCUAUCUACCUACCGUGCUAUAUAUGAGCUAUGCAAUCGUGACCGUGUUACAUGACGUCCCAAUGUCGUAGGGAUAAAAAAAUAAUAGUCAUGGUUUUCUUAUUAAUGUCAAUACAUUCAUAGCAAAGAGCUUGUAGCUCUAGUGGUUAAGAGCAAUUACCCAUGCACUUGAGAUAUUUUGUGUUUAAAUCCCCUCUUCCCCAAUAUUUCUUGUAUAAAAAUAAAAAUAACAAUAAUAAUGACAUUAAUGUUGUAUUCUAUAAAGUGUUGGACAUGUUUUAUACCCCUUUCUUGCAAAUUACAGUUUGCCACGUGUACAAAAAUAAUAGAUAAGUGUUGGACAUCAAGAGCACUUACAUAUAGGUUUAAUAGGUAAGUUUUGAAUAUUUCUGUAUUUAGCUUUAAAUAUUGAAAAUCAACCUAUUAGCAUAUUAAAGAUUUGUCCAUAUUCGACGUACAUUCUCUUAUUUUUCUCUCAUUGAAGUAAAUACAAAACUAAGCACAUAGUGGGAAAGUGCGUCACGAUUAGGGGUGGGUUUAGUCUAGGUUGGUUCAUUUUUGGGCUCAAUUUGAACACCGAACUGUAAGCUUCGGUUUGGCUAUUUUGGAAACCGAAACCAAACCAUAAUUGAUGAAAACCGACCACUUCGAUUACCUUCUGGUCUUCCAACCAGAAGAAAACUCAAAACUUUAACCAUACCAAGUGCAACAGAAUUACACCAGGCUGGAUUCAAGUUUAUGAUGGUUAAAGAUAAAAACUUAUUUGACAUACAAUUUGAGAAUGGAAUCCUCAAAAUUCCACACCUGCGAAUACGGGGUUUAACAGAAAUUUUCUUCCGCAAUCUUAUUGCCUAUGAGCAGUGUGAGCUUCAUGAUCAUUACAUCAACGACUAUGUCUUCAUCAUGGACCGCCUGGUCGACAGUGCCAGGGAUGUGGAAUUGCUUGUGAAGAGUGGAAUUCUUGAAUCUAUGCUACCGGACAGCGAGGCAGCAGGGGAAUUUAUUAAUUCUCUUGACUUGGGGCCUAUUUUAGGCAAGCUUGAAACAAGACUAUUUCAGUUCACCAUGGGCUGGCCUGUCUAUUAUUGUAGCCGCUAUACUAGUUGUGCUCACAUUUAUUCAAACAGUGUGCUCCGUAAUGGCGCUGUAGGUUCUUCAUUUCCUCAAUUUCAUGUUUAGUGGUUGCAGAUUUGUUGCUCAUGUACGUGUUUAUCUAAAGUUAAAUAAGAGUGAUUGACUGGAUUGACUGUUAGUCUGUUAGUUUGUUUUUCUGGGGUUUUUCCCCCCUGUUCGUCAAAAAAAAAAAUAAAAGAGUGAUGGCUUGUGCCUAUGAAAAUUACUUAGGAGUAUGCUCCACAGAGCCAAAAUAAAUAAACUAGGGAAGUGGAGGUUCUUCUGUUUGUAUAUAAAUGAGCAAUUCAAACUCUCAGUGCCAAGGGAGUUACCCUUGAUACAUUUGUUAAAAAUUAUAUAUUUGGUCUUACAUCAAACAAAUAAUUUGAAGGGCUUUUUUGACAACUGCUGACAGCGUUUGGCAGAAAAGUUUAGAAGCGCUUCUACGCUUCUAGAUCAUAAAAGUGCUUUACCAAAAAGCACUUAGAUUUCUUAUGAAAAUUUCAACAUUUUUAUAAUAAAAGCGCUUGCUAGAAGCACUUAUAAGCAGAAGUGCUUCAUAGAGAAGCAGUCCCAAACGAGCUUGAUUUUCAAAUGUGCUGCUUAAGAAGAAAUUUAAUACGUUUUGAAAACAAAAAAAAAUACGAAAUUUAAUACGUUUGUUUUACAAAUUGUAUUAAUUGUUAUCAAUAAUACUUGUGCACACCCACAACAUACUUCUUUCUUUCUUUAUUUUCCUUCAGUACAGUUCUGCCUUUCUUUAAUUAUUUUUAACGAAUGCAAAGAGUUUGUCACAAAAUCAAGGAUUGAAAAAAAAAGAGAGUAAAUUAUGUGCUAGAGAAACUUUCCUGCAGAAAUUGAAGAACAACUCUAGUUUCUCUCUUUCGCCUUGUACUCCCGCACUGAGGUUAGUAUUGUUAUAAUGUGCAGAUUAUACGGUCACUCUUGUAUAAUGGCGAGAAGGCUCUAAUUAUAUUUUUGAACCUCUUUGACAGGACCCGCCCCGAAUUUCCCGAAACCCAAGACGAAUUCUGUGGAAAUUCCCUACAUCACCCCGAUGUUGGGCCCACUUCUAAAACUAUAUCAUUUUUCCUAAAAAGGAAUAAGGGCACGAGACUUUCUACCGAAAUUUCGGCAGAGUCUCUCCUGUAAAUUGAACAUUUCCCAAAAUUUCAACCUGCAUAAAACACAUUUUAUAUUACCCAACUGGCAGCAUGCACAAAAUAAUAACAUGCAAUUCACAUAAACGGCCUCUGGCCCUCCGGUAAUUCAGAGCAAUGCAAACUAGCAACUCUAAACCUAAUAAAACAACAUAAGUAACAUUUAGCCAGCGGCUGCACCCAGGCACUACCCUAGGCUACCUACGUACCCUUACUAAGGGAUCAAGCCACACGUAGUUCUUUCAUACAAAAUUUCCAAAUCCAUCAACAUGCAAUCAAUUACAGAAUCCCAAACAAAAUCUUUCUCAAACAUCAUUAGUUCCCAACUCAGUAUAAUAAUCCUUAAUUCAUCUCUGUAAUAAUCACAAUAUCUCCCCAUACGCCGGAACUACCAACACCACGUAUGGAGCCUGCCUGUACGCCAGAUAACCAACGACACGUGGGACCUCAUCAUCAUAUCACAUAAUCUCCCCAUACGCCGAAACUACCAACACCACGUAUGGGGUCUGUCAACACGCCGGAUAACCUACGACGUGUGACCUCAACAUCAAAUCACAAUAUCUCCCCAUACACCGGAACUACCUACGCCACGUAUGGGGUCUGUCCACAUGCCGGAUAACCUACGACACGUGGGACCUCAUCAUCAUAUCACAUAAUAUAUUAACGAUCAAGAAAUAUCACUACGGUCAUUUAAUCCUCCUGGGAAGGUAAAACUAUCUCAGGAGACUCACGGUCAACCAAGGGUCAAACUACCUCAUACUUGGACAAACGAGCCCACGGAGCCCACAACCUCCGUUUUACUAUCCAAGAGUUCCUAUAGGUUCUACAAGGUUUAGGAUACACGGCUUGCAAGUUUGGUCAAGAUCAGACGGUCGGAUCGCUCACGAUAGGACGGUUACUGCAAACCUAGCCCUAGGGUUGGCAUUUUCGGAGUAUCCGAAACUCCGUUUUACGAUCUGUCGAAUCAUAGACGAUCCUAAGGAUUUGCAGACUAACUAUAAUAAAUUCAAGACCAUCCAACGGUCUAAACCUAUCGAACCCGGAUAACGCGCAAUAGGCAAUAUCCAAAUUGAAAUCCGAGCACACCUACGCACUCGUGAGGACUAGGAGAUUACAUCGGGACAUAGUGCCCUUUUUCUACAGUGCCCAUGAGCCGCCGCACGCACCAGCAACGCGUGGGUGCCCAAAGCGAUUAUGCAUCGCCAAAAAAUCUCAAAACCACGGCUCAAGACUCCUACCCUAGGUAUAACACCCUAUUUGGAACCACUUUUGUUCUUGGACCUACCCCAAAAACUGAUCAGAAGUGGCCGGAAUGGCUGAAAUGUAAUUCAAAAAUCAAGCUACCAACGCUCAAAAUCGAUGCAAUCCUACCCAACCAUCAACUAGAUUAUGAAGAAUGGAUAAAUUUCCAUACCUUGAUCGCCAACAAUGGCGGCCGGAGGAGAGAGAUCUGAUCCGGCGAAGUUCGAGUGAAAACGGCCAAAAAUCAUCUUUUUCAGGCGGCUGGAGGGCGACCGAUGUCAGGGAAGGGCAGGGUCGUGACGCUAAGGCUGAGCCUGUCCUUUUGGCACCGGUCCCUUCCGCAGCCGUGUCCGGUGGCUGGAGUUUCGAAGAGAGAGAGAGAGAGAGAGAGAGAGAGAGAGAGAGAAAUCUGAUUUUUAUCAAACCUUUUUGCCAAAAUUACGGUUAUGCCACUGAGGGUAUUUUGAUAGUAUCUCUCUCGUUACAACUUCGAUUCGAGCCCACCACGUGUGUACGGACUCAUCUAACUGUGUUGUACGCAACGGUAUAGUCGAAAUUCCCAAAUUAUUUCCUUGUCAAAAAGUCAACUUUAAACAUUAUAAAAUAUUUUAGGGAAAAAAUGGUAUUUUCUCUCAAUAAAUUAGUAACUAAUUUAUUUAGGACUGGGUCAUUAUACUCUUUUUCGCUUCAAUGGAUGGGAAAAAAUUUUAUGUAAUAUCCCACAUCGACCAACGAAGAGGGGGCGAUGUGUCUUAUAUGUACAUGCCCGCCUCCAUCUAGCAUAAGGCCUUUUGGAAGCUCACUGGCUUCAGAGUCAUGGGAACUCCGAAGUUAAGCGAGUUGGGGGCUAGAGCAAUCCCAGGAUGAGUAACCCACUGGGAAGUUGCUCGUGAGCUUCGAGAAACAAAACCGUGAGGGCAGAGAGAGGGGCCCAAAGCGGACAAUAAGGCCUCGUGCUAGAUGGAGGCGGGCAUGUACAUAUAAGGCACAUCACUCUCUCUCCGUUGGUCGAUGUGGAAUGUUAGAAUGGAAUUGUUACCUUUGGUGUGGAGGUGUUCUAUCAUUUGAGCAAGAAAUUCCCACAUAUUCUUCAACUAUUUUUCAAGCAUGCAUAUUCCUCCCUAUCAAUCUUUGGUUUCUUCCUUUACUGUGCAUAGUAAGGAUCCAGUCAGGGACGGACCGUCGCUAUGACUAUCCUGGGCUAUAGCCCAGGCAAAUUAUUUUUUUUUCUAGUCUAAAAUAGCAAUCCCACCGCUUGCUGUAGUACUUGUUCAGUUCGUCACAAACAUGAGCAUAAUAGAAGUUAUCAACAUCUAUAUAGGAACCCCAAUGAAAAGGCUGUUAACUAAUAAUGAAGUUAACCCGUCAAUUUUUCCGCAUAUCAGAUAUCUCUCAGAAUAUGCGAUUCCAUAUUCAAUAAGCCACUCCACAUGCCCUGAGGUUUUCAUCAAACCACCCAUUAAGGAAACAUACUGACUCAUGUAAUUAUCAUUACUCAUCGGGUAAUGCAAUUGUUCAAAGGCAAGGACAUUUCUCAUUAUUUAUGUAGCGAACCCCAAUGGAAAUGGUGGGAUCUUCAGAACCCCAUCGGUGCUACUGAAUUGUAUGUCAAAUAUGUUUUCACCUUGUCACGCCUCAAACUUGACUCCAGCGUGCUGUAAUUCUGUCAAGCUGGGUAUGGAUGAUGGGAGUUUGAUGCAGGAGCAUAGGGGUGGAUCAAGAUAGAUAUUUACUAUUUAAUUAGUUAUUUCAUGAUAUAUUGUUAUUUUCUUAUUUAGGUAGUUUUAUGAUAUCUUUUAUUAUUUAUGUGUGAUUUUAUAAUUAAUUAGUAUACUUUUGGACCAAGUAGCCUUGGUGCUCAAGUCUUGUAAAGCCUAUAAAUAAGGCUAAUGUAAUAGUUGUAGAAUAGAUGUCGAUGAUUAAUAAAAUCGUUUAUUUGUGGCAUGGAUUUGCUACGAUAUAUGUGAGUUUGCACUAGCCCUAGAUUUCAGUGCUCGUGUAUGUGGUUGGUGACCUGUGUCCGGAUCCCGAUCCCCAUCAAUUGGUAUCAGAGCUAUGGCUCAAGAUCUGCUAUAUCGGGGAGGUUUUUGGAUGGAGGGUCGUUUUAACAACUACAACGACAUGGAGGAAAUUAGGAGGAUGCUACGGCAACUUAUGGAACACAUUGCUCGCAUUGAAGCUCGAACCCAGAUAGGUAAGAGUUCUGACGGGGAGGGAUGUGUGAACCCUUAUCUGAACCGAGUAGCUCGCAUCGACACUCUAAGCCGUGAGAGUCUCGACGGGGAGUACGAGGGAGAUAGCCCUUUUCAUUAUUGUGCUCCGCUGUGUGAGUCAAGUGAAGAGGGGCACGGUUAUUCUCAUUGUGUCUUUGAAGGUAUAAAUGAAUUUAGUAAUUUUGGUGCAUCUUGUUAUUCAUCAAAGUUAUUAAAUUUGGAUUUACCUCCAUUAUUUGAUCCUUGCAAUUGUGAAAAUUGCAAUAAAAAUUGUUUGGGUGUUCAAAGCAAUUUUGAUAAGCAAUUUAUUGACCAGAACAGUGAAGAGAUGAGAAUUGAGAAAACUUUCGAAGAUAUUAUUGAUUUUAUGGGCAUUAAUAUUUUCACUUGGAAGGUUGCCAAAAAUCUGGUUGAUUUUGUCAAUCGGUUGAAGAUUCUAGAGAGAAACAUUUGCAUUGCUAGAGGGAGUAAGAAGUCAAGAAUAACGAAAUAUUCCAAAUAUCUUUUUAUUUGGAAAGGAAGGUUUCAAUUGGAUGCUAAAAGAUCCAAAAUUAAUAUGCAGCAAUUGAAGAUUCUACUCGGAUUUUCCUUAAUCAAAGGCUUGAAUUCGAGGACGAAUUCUUUCCAACUAUGGGAGUCUGAUGCAGGAGCAUAGGGGUGGAUCAAGAUAGAUAUUUACUAUUUAAUUUGUUAUUUCAUGAUAUAUUGUUAUUUUCUUAUUUAGGUAGUUUUAUGAUAUCUUUUAUUAUUUAUGUGUGAUUUUAUAAUUAAUUAGUUUACUUUUGGACCAAGUAGCCUUGGUGCUCAAGUCUUGUAAAGCCUAUAAAUAAGGCUAAUGUAAUAGUUGUAGAAUAGAUGUCGAUGAUUAAUAAAAUCGUUUAUUUGUGGCAUGGAUUUGCUACAAUAUAUGUGAGUUUGCACUAACCCUUGAUUUCGGUGCUCGUGUAUGUGGUUGGUGACCUGUGUCCGGAUCCCGAUCCCCAUCAGAGUUCCCCUCCAGCUUUUGAUUCCAACGGUUGAUAGAGUUUAAAUAUUUUCCUGAAAAGAUCAAUAAUAUGUGCCACUGAUCUAAAAGUCUCCAAAUUGUCUUCCAAUUUGUCAACAGGCAAUAGAUGUUCGAAGAAACUGAAAGAAAUACAAAUUAUUGAAAGCCCCUCAGUAAUGCUGUUAUUGUCAGCAUUAGCAGGGAGUGUAAUUUUCUGUGGGUCGAAAAGAUCCUCGAGAAUGAAGAAUGGCAACUGAUUUUCAAGCAACCACGUAUCUGUCCAUGCAUCUUGCAACAUACCUGGUUUGUCAAAUAUGCGGUCAUUUUCGUCCCAAAAUUUGAAGUAGUCCUUCAAUAAGGGCUCAAUAACGAAGGCGGCGCCCACUAGAAUGAUUGUUACAAAUUCAUCACUGCUAAACUUGAUGGGUUCUCCAUAACAACGUCUCAAUCUUGCUUCGUGGUCCUUUAUUUUCUUAAUAUAAUCCUCCAAACUCACAUUGGUCCGACCUAUAAAAUCUUGCAGGUAUCUCUGUUUGUUCUCUUCCAAUACGACAUUCAAGCCUUCCUUUCCAUGGUGAAGUGGACCUAUAGAGACCGACUGCCUGAGGUGUGCAGAGCUUUUCAUUCACACAUACGUAGAUAAAAUGUCUGGGGGCUCAGAGAGUGAUGAAUGUGCAACAGCUAAUGGGAGGGUUUAUAUUCCUGAAGUAAGAAAUGAGGAAACACCAGCAGUUGGGAUGAAGUUUGACUCGCUUGACCUCGUUUACAAUUUCUAUAAUAGAUAUGCAUUCUUGGCUGGCUUUGGUAUUCGACUUCAUUCUAGCUUUUGGGGGAAAAAUAAGAAAGAGAUUUUGAGGAAAGAAUUUGUAUGUUGCAAACAAGGUGCAUACAAGAAGGAUGAAACUCGGGAGAGAAAAAGACAACGGGGAAUAAGUAGAUGCAAUUGCAAAGCAAAGAUUGUGGUUGUGAAGACAAAUGGGAGCAAGAAGUAUACCAUUUCUCUUUUUGCAGAGGGACACAAUCAUAAGAUGACACCCUCAGAAAGAAUGCAUUUAUUGAGAUCACACCGUCAUAUUUCAGAUUCUACAAAAGUACUCACAAAACAGUUGGGUUCAGUUAAUAUUCCCAUUCAUCAGAAGGUAAGUAUAUUCGAGGUGCAAUCCGGAGGAAUGGAUAAAAUCGGUUUUAUCAAAAAAGAUAUCUACAAUCUUGAAUGUAGUGUGAAUGGGAAGCUGAGGAACCACGAUGUUGAACUAGUGACCGAGUAUUUUAUGGCUGAACAGAAAAAAAAUGAGGCUUUUUAUUUCAAGAUUGAGGGAGAUGGGCAUGACAGGUUUAGUCGAUGUUUUUGGGCAGAUGCAACUUCUAGACGGGCGUAUGGGUUUUAUGGAGAUGUUGUUGUAUUCGAUACCACAUUCAACACGAAUCGAUACGACUUGACAUUUGCACCAAUGUUGGGAGUUAAUAACCAUGGUCAGACAAUUGUCUUAGCAUGCGCAUUUUUGAGCAAGGAAACGACUGAGUCGUUUGUUUGGAUGUUUGAGGAGUUUAAGAAAGCCAUGCCAGGUGGGGAACCUAAAACGAUCAUUACAGAUCAAGAUGCGGCAAUGGCCAUAGCGAUUUCAAUAGCCUUCCCGAGUACAUUUCAUCGACUUUGCAUAUGGCACAUCACAUCAAAGUUCUCUGUUAAGUUACCACGUGACGCUUAUAAGGAGUAUUGGCCUGAAUUUCAGAAAGCCAUAUGGGAUACUGACAAUAAGGAUGAGUUUGAUGCAAAAUGGAAUAUUGUGGUUAUAAAGGCUGGUUUGACUGACCAUCCAUGGCUAAGUUCAAUGUUUGAUUUAAGGGAAUCUUGGGUUCCAGCCUACGCACGACAAUUUUUUGCCGCUGGAAUGUCAAGCAGCCAAAGAGCGGAAGGUUCUCAUGGUUUUUUCAAGCAAUACAUAUCAAGGAGAAAUUCGUUGAUGGAUUUCAUAAUACGAUUUGAGAGGGCAUUUUCUCAUCAACGUGAAAAAGAGUUAGUUGCUGAUCACGUAGAUGCAUUUGAAGUGGCUCAAUGUCUUCUACCGAUGCCAAUGAACAAACAAAUGGCUACCUUGUACACAAGGACAAUGUUUCAAAAGUUUGAGCAAGAACUAAUACAAAGUACAGCAUGUUUCCUAGAGCUCAAAACAGAGGAUGCAUGUAAAGUUGUGUUCAACGUGAGCGAAAGGAAAAAUUGGGAAACAAGAGUGGCAGAAGUCGUAUAUGUCAAAGAUUCUGACCACGCAUCGUGUAGCUGCAAAAGAUUUGAAUUUGUUGGAAUUAUUUGCAAGCACAUCCUAGCAUUGUUCAGAAGGGACCAGAUUGAAUAUAUGCCCGAUAAAUAUAUUUUGAAGAGGUGGAAGAAAACUGCGAAAUGUGGAUUGGUGUCAGAUGCAAAUGGCAACGAAAUUAAAGACUGUGCAGAUCCUGGCCUUCUAAUAAAGCGGAGUACAAUGUCUCGACUUGCUUCAAAUGUGGUUGAGGAUGCAUUAAUGAGUGAAGAAGGAUGUGAGCUACUGUCAGAGACUCUAAAAAGUUUGCAGGUGAAGUUGAAGUUGCUGAAGGAUGGACCAAGUAAUAACGAAGUUGGAGGGUCCAGCUCUCAAACACAAUAUAUGAAAGACCCUAAGAGAGUGAGGUGCAAAGGAAGGUCGAAAGGAAUAACGGGAGCAAAGGAAAAGGCAAUGAAGCGAGGGAUUAGACACUGUCGGGAGUGUGGACACAUUGGUCAUGAUAGAAGACAAUGCCCAGCCUUGAACACACCGUAAGAUGCUACCACUAUUUGUAAUAAUAUCUAAAAUAUGAAAAGGUAAAAUUUUUAUGUGCUUGUGUUUGAUGUUUAUGCAGGACAUCACCGUCGAACAAUGACAAAUCAACUCCAAUACAUCGUAGUGACCCAUUAUUCGACGAUUUUGACAAGAUGCACAGACCAACUGAAUGAUUGAUAUUUGUAUUAGACGAAAUGUGGUUGUUAUGAAGAUUAAUGAUCAAGUGAAGUUUUAUAGAUUCAGUUUUUGAAUGUUAUUGUGUUUUUGUUCAUGUCCACCGAUGAGCUCUUACUAUGUCCACUGGUAAUUGAAAUGAAAAUUUUCUUGGUUUCAUUCUUCCAAGACAUUUGGAGACAUGUUAAUUUUACGUCUUCUCCCUAUUUAUAAAUUUUCAUAGACAUUUGAUCAAGUUUGAAAUUUGUAGUUAUGUGAAGAAGCAAUGACUCUUACCAUGUAAAAUGGGCAGUUUAGGGUGAAAUUUGUUUUAACAGAGAUUCAUUUUUCAAUUCCUCAGGGUAAUGCAGCAAUUACAGCAGCCAGCUGUUGUUUCCAUUACCAGUAAUCAUUUCCAGCAGCAGCCACUUUUUCCGACUGGUUAUUAGGGGCACGAUUUUGUACACUUUUGUAAGUGAAGGAUACUCGAAGCACUUUGUUGGAACAGAGCAAAUAGAAACCAGCGGGUAAAAAAAAAACAUAACAUUGCAGCUAAUUACAUUUCGAUACAUAGGUGAAAAAUAUUAAAGGGUACACUAACUUACAUAAAUACUCAUAAUUCCACACACAAAAGAACAUUUGAUUGCAAAACAUAUUAUGUGCUUCCUCAUAGCAAUACCACGAUCUCCCCAACCAACUGAACAACGGUAGCCACAAUCACUGGGUCGUACUCGUCAGCUUCUUCUUAGCAGGUCUCACAUGCUUAUGGCCACUCAUAUCCCUAGUGAUAUACACGAAAUAAAUCUUCAGCAAUAUUUGGAAUUUUAUUAUAUAUAAAUAAACCAUAAACCAUUCAGUAAACAAUGUAUAGCACAUGUUAUGUAACUUAUGACUCACGUGUCAGUUUUUUUUUUAACACAUUAGUACUCCAGCUCUUUAAUGUAAAUGGACAUGAUAAGGAGCAUUUACUGAUUCCCGGCUUUCUAUGAUAUUGACUGCUUCUUGAAUAAUAUUUCCAUAUUUGCAAAAUAUAAUGUUAGACAUUAUAACACAUGAUGACUUGCAAUACAUAGUCCCAAUAAUUAUAUAUCAAGCAAAUGAAACUGAUAUUUGUGUUAUUUUAAGUUAGAUAAUGACAUUAAGGGAGUAUAUGUGCAAUACCACGGUCACCCUCAACCAACUGAACAGCGGUAGCCGCAAUCACUUAGUCGUAUCGGUCGGCUUCUUCCGAGCAGCUUUGACGUGCUUAUGCUCAUUCAUGUCACCCCCAUCGUCUAGUAUCUCUCUCACAGCAUCAGGGGACACAUAGUUCCAAUCAUAACUUGUAUGAGUAGUUGCCGCAAAUGCUCGGAAUUUGUCGAAUCCUUCGUUGAAUGCCAACUCCAGUUCAGUAUGGUGCUCUUCGCAUCGCAUAUGGUUCAUCAAACAACCUUUGAUUUCAUCAUUCAUUACUGUAUCCAACUCCUCAGCUUUCAGCUUCCUGCUAUGACUCAGCUUCAAGUACUUGUUCUUUUGGGAUAACGCUUUGUUCACCCUAAUGUUAAGAUCAGCCAAAAUUGCCUCGUCUUCAACACAUUUCUCGUGCCAUGAAUUGAUCAGUCUGGAAUUAUAAUCCAGCUUGCCACUGACUGCAUGUAUUGCCUGUAAUGGAUCAUCGGAGUCCCCCUCACUCCCAAAUGAUGUUGAAAAAGGAAGGGGUCGGCGAGUACAAUGUGGAAAUAGAACCUGCCACUCCAAUUUGUCAUCUUCGAUUGUGUUGUUGGCGCCUGAAGAGGUUGACAUGCUUGAAUAAUCCUCUUUGUUUUGGGAGGAUGAGGAUUGCAUAUGCAAUUUCGUUUGAGAAAGGGAACAUAGGUUUAUAGACCAACAUACCAAAGCUUGUGUGUAGUCAACAUAUGUACUUUUUGGCGGGAAUUUUUUAAAAAUAGGUGUUAGGUUUUGCUUUUCAAGCAUGUCAACCUCACACUCUCCUGACACCACUGCUAGUGGUUGAAACAAAGUCAAUGGAAGUGACAUCUACUUAGUUAACUCAACCAAACUAGUUAGGAUUAAACUUAGAUUGUAUCAGACCAAAAAAUAAUUUCUACUUUGUCAACCAAAUAUUUUUUGGCGGGAACCCUUUUCUUGGUAUUACUAUCACCCCUUUCAUAUAAAAUCUCCUUCCACACAAAACUCACUCCUCCACCGAAUCUGUCUCCAUCUACCGAUACUCUCUCAAGCAAACAAACUCAUUCCCCCCAAAGAAUGAGCAUAAGCACAACCAAGUUUGAUGUGAGCAUAAUAAACACCCCUCCAAACAAAGACCGGCUUCGACACGCAAGUGAGUCACCGGACAAGCAAUGUCACAUUGCUAGACAGAAUGACCAUUUUGUUGGAAGUUUUGAGUCUGAAAGAGUUGUUGCUUUUUGGAAGGAGAGGCAUCUUCAACUUGGUGAUGAAAUCCAAAGGGCAAGGGCACGUUUGGAAUUUGUGGAAGGCCAAAUUGAAGAUGACAAAAGGCAGGCCAAUCUGGAUAGGGCGAAGUUGUAGCGCAUGAAGCGUAGACACAAACGACUUCGGAGUGUAGCUGUUCAAAAAUACAAGAACUCAUCUAAUGUAGUGGAGUCAAAGAAGCGUGUGAUGCAAGCUGGAUUCGACUACUUCCGAUCCUAUGCAAAACUCGUCGUACCCGGGUUUGAUUGGUCAUCUAUUACCGUUUCCGACGUCACCAAAUAUACUCAGCAAGGGAAGUAACCAUUUUGGUUCUCGUGUUUUAGCAGAGGCAAAUAAGUGGAAUUGGAAUUUUGGUUACACUCUGCUUCAAAGCUAUUUUGAUGCUAACUACUAUGGAAGAUUUAAACCUUAAUAUUUUGAUGUCUUUAAUUACGAAAACAGAAGAUGCAAAGAGCUCAUCUACUUCAGCCAUAUGUUGCUGCCAUGUCCAUUUGUUUUUGAUCACUUAUCAGAUUUGGACAUGGUUGCAUCAUAUGCAAUGUUGCCUUUAUUUAUUAUAUGUUAGGACAAGGUUUAUGGAAAAGCUUUUGUGAGUGCGUUUGUGACAAGGUUAUGGAAUUAUUAUGUACACUUUAUAUAUUGUUUUUUGUACUGGUUCAUUUCCUACUAUUUCUUGCUUUCUUUAUAUUUUAUGUUUGUGGAAUCCCUCUCAAAGUUAACAUAUACUGUGAAAAAAAUAUUAUGCAACUGAUUAUAUAAUCACUCAUAUAGACUAGGACAAAUAUUCACUAAGGGUUUUAAACUUGCUUCACUUGUGUGAUGUUAUUGACAAAAAGUAUGGCAUUAUUUAUGUGAUUUGACAUGAUUGAAAAUAUAUUACUGAUUCCCAAUGCGGCGUCAUAUGGACAACGUAUUGAAUACCUGUGACGUGUUAAUAACUCAAGGUGCAGUUGCAUGUGGACAACUUCUUGAAUACCUCUGACGUGUUGAAAACUCUAGGUGCAGUUGCAUGUGGACAACUUAUUGAAUACGAACUGACGUCUUCAAAGCUCUAGGCGUAGUUGCAAUGAUGGCUUCAAAGCAUGUGCAAUUAUUUUUUAUGUACAUUAUUAUAACAAAACAUAUUAUUGUAUAUAGUGAAACUAAAUAUUGUAUUAUUAGAAAUUAUAUUUCGAAUAUUAUCCGAAAUAUACGUGUUAACGUGAAUUUGGGUUAAGAGGAAAGUGAGUUAUGUACAAAUAAUUUUCAUUUUCUCAUUUUCCGGGCAUUUUUUGGAUUUUCGUAGAAUUUAUUACCUAUGUCCACAGAUUGUUGCACUAAAAAAGCCAAAAUAAUAGCAAGAGGACACCUGGAGCGAUCUCAGCCCGUCACUGAUGACUACUUGCACAAGUGUACGUCAGUCAACAUGGCCACACCCUCCCAUUUUACCCUAAAUUAUUAUUUUAUUACUUUUCCUUACAAAAAUCAGAACUAAUUACACACAAAAUAAAAAAAUUAUCCGAAAAUUGCUACGAACUCAUUGACACUCCAUCUCCGUUGCUGAAUUCUCCGAUUCAUUGUUACGUAUUUGUAAAAUUAAUUCCCAACAUUAACGGGAGAUGCUUGUUGAAGUAGGUUAUUCAAGUUGAAGUUAACAAACAUCAAUACUUAGGGUUAAGAGGAAAGUGAGUUAUGUAACACAAUUUGGAUUAUUUCAUUGCGAGACGAAUGAUUUAUAGGUUCUCCUAGUUUUAUGACGUCACAAGUAGGCCGGAGUAAUUUUUGGGGCAUUUUUACGAUUUUCCUACUAUUUUUUACCUAGUUUCAAAGAUUUUUGAACAAAAGAAUCCAAAAUGUAAAAGAAGAUGACACCUGGCGCGAUCUCAGCCCGUCACUUUUCACUACUUGCACAAGUGUACGUCAGUCAACAUGGCCACAUCCUCUCAUUUUACCCUAAAUUAUUAUUUUAUUACGUUUUGUCUUGGAAAAUUCAUAACUAAAUACACAAAAAUUCAAAAUUAUUUCUGAAAAUUGCUACGAACUCAUUGACACUCCAUCUCCGUUGCUGAAUUCUCCGAUUCAUUGUUACGCAUUUUUAAAAUUAAUUCCCAACAUUAACGGGAGAUGCUUGUUGAAGUAGGUUAUUCAAGUUGAAGUUAACAAACAUCAAUACUUAGGGUUAAGAGGAAAGUGAGUUAUGUAACACAAUUUGGAUUAUUUCAUUGUGAGACGAAUGAUUUAUAGGUUCUCCUAGUUUUAUGACGUCACAAGUAGGCCGGAGUAAUUUUUGGGCCAUUUUUACGAUUUUCCUACUAUUUAUUACCUAGUUUCAAAGAUUUUUGAACAAAAGAAUCCAAAAUUAACAAGAAUAUGACACCUGGCGCGAUCUCAGCCAGUCACUUUUGACUACUUGCACAAGUGUACGUUACCGAACAUGGCCACAUCCUCCCAUUUUACCCUAAAUUAUUAUUUUAUUACCUUUUUUCUUGGAAAAUUCAUAACUAAAUACACAAAAAUUAGAAAAACGAUCCGAAAAUUUCUACGAACUUAUUGCGAUUUCAUCUUCCUACUGCAUUCCCUGUUUAAUGGUUAUGCUACAUUAGUAUUUUAUUAUUAUUUAUCCACAAUUAUUAUAAUUAUUAUGAUAUUACUUUUUAGGCUGUCCAUUUGUUAAUUAUACCACAUCCAACUUGUUGAAAACAAUUUUAUUUUCCGUGCGAAUAGGCCAUUUGUAGUGCUUAUCGGUUUCUCUGUUCUUCAAUUUGUUAAUUUUUUUAUUUUUUAGGUUGAAGGGAUGUUUUGAAACAUAAUAUGGAAAUAUACAAGUCAUCCAUUGUACUCCUUCCACACAAAAAAAUAGUCUACGUCAUUCACUGUUCAACACCCUAGGUUAAGACACGUGUAACCAAAUCCGUUCGGAUAUGCUAAGUGGGAAAAUGUCAUUCCCAAGCACUGGUGAAAAGACACUUAUUUACUCCAUGCAUGACUUUUGGUUUACCAAAUAUGAAGAUUGGGGUCGGUGAGCAAAAUAUCUGUGUCAGUAAAAUGUCAUUCCUAGCCAUCUAUGAUGUAAGUAAUAAUUCCGCUAUAUAAUAAAUAUUAUACAUUUAUAUAUAAAACGGUUUAUGACAAAAUACCAACAUUUGAACAACAUUUAAACUGAGAUAGGUAUAACGUAGCCAGCCAACCUAGAAGUGAAGAGAAGCAAGUCCACAAUGCAUCAAAACUGUAAAUUCGUACUAAAACUAAUGCAAAAAUACGUGAUUCCCUCGCACAACUUACUCACGCAGGAUUUUGCACCAAAAAAUACUCUCACGGUGCCAUUUGCAUCGGUUGCAGCAAGUCCAAAACGCAGGAUUUAUCUUGUCUUCACUAGGCCACCCUGGAAUAACAAAAUACCAUUCAUUGUUGUUACAAGCGCUGCACCGAUUGAACUUAAUCUUCCCAUAGUCAAACAUAUCUACGAUAUGUCUUGCAACAAAUGCUCCGCGACAUCUUCCUGUUAAAGCAUCCCUGGUUCCUUUCAUAUCAAUGUUGUUACGUUGAUUCAAAGAACACAAGAAUUGUAAUGCAUCCUCUUUUGACUGACCAAUUCCGGACAUACCAAGUAGUCCAACUACAUAUGCCGCUUCCAUAUGGCCUGCCGUGGCUGCAAUGCGCAUCCCAUACAACGCUUCCACCUUACCGUCUGUGAAAAAACCUUCGAAUGCUUCUCUAAAUAUGGACUCAGGGUUAUCGCAAGCCCUGCAUUGUUGCAAGAAAUGCUGGACUGCAGGUUUGGCACGGUAGCAGAUAGGAUGGUGUGGGUACUUUGCCAUUGAAAUGGUGUUCCACACUUGUGGACUGUUUGCCAAAAUGUUGAACAAUCGGCACACACAUGCCAUACGGAAGAGAUCUUCCGAUGAUUCGGUUGCCACGUAUAACAUCACUUGAAACCAAGCGGACUCCGGGAUAAAGGCUUCGGGCAUAUCGAAAUGGAGAUGCUUCCUUCUCUUUCCUCCGACUGUAGUGAAGUGUUUCGAAUUCAUUGAAAAGUUUUUGGAAUGGAACGAUUUGAGGAGUGGCAGAGGGGAUAAAUGAUAAUAUUUGGGGUACACGUUCUACUUCCGAGCCUCUGUUUAUAGUGUUUUGAAAAGGUGUUUCCAGUUGGGGUUUUUCCAAGUUGACCCUUUUGAAAGAAACUGAAUCCAAGUGAAUUAAAACUUAAGACAAAAGAAGGGAAAACGUCAUAACGGUGCAUACAGAGUCAGACAGUUAAAAAGUUAAUUAAAUGGCUAUUUGCAUAGCCAUUUUUGGGUUUAUCCCACUAUCAAAUUCAUUGAUACAAAUGUGAUGGAUUACUGACUAGUGACAGAAGGUCCCAUCAUAUACUUUUUCAUUUUCGCACACCCAACUAUCCCUAGUAAUGUUAUUAAAAUGGAACCAAUAAUGACGGAUUCUUAUCCAACUAGUUGCCUUAAUGAAAUAUAAAUAAAUUAAUAAAAUUGAAGCAGUGUCCCGUCAUUAGUCAGAAAAUAUAUUUGGUAGUGAAGUAGUUUCUAUUGCUUUUCGGGCUAAAAGAUGUCACAAUGCUGACGGUACAGGUGUCGACAUCGUGACCAACCCACCAAAUGAUCCCAAAAAAAAGUAAUAUAACUCGAUUUGGGCAGAGAUGAGAGAGAGCUGAGUGACAAGUUUAGGGUUAUGAGUGAAGGGGUAUGAAUGACAACUAUGAGUGAGAAGGUAUGAGUCCGAAGAGGUUUCAGUGAGAAGAUUUGAGUGAGAAGAGGUACAACUGAGAAGAUUCAACAUGUCUUCGUCUUCAUCUCCUGCUCAAACAAAGAGGUGUCAGUAUUGUGGAGCUACAAUGGUGCUUCGGGUUUCAAAAUCUGAAAAAAAAUCGAGGGAAGCCAUUCUGGAAGUGUCUAACCUCCUAUGUAAGUUUUAAUUUAAAGAAUAUGUAUGUGGGUGAAAAAAAACCUAUGUCUAACUCUGACAGAAUUAUAUUCCAUAUAUGAUGCCUGCAAUUAGGGAGCCACCAGUUGCAAUGGAUUCGAAUGGGUUGAUGUAACCUCCGCUGAAGCAGAACAUCAAGAUGACACGUAUGAUGUUAGAGUGCUGAACAUGCUGAAGUCCAUUAAGGACUUGGUAUUAGUUUUAUUAGUUGUAUUAAUUGUCAUUUUAUUUGUUCUUUUAAUGAUCAUUUAACUGCACGGUUUAAAAGAUUGUGAAAGUUCUCUCGCACAAGACAUAUUGCACGCACCACCAAUGAGACCCUAAACCCAUUUUGUAAUAUUUGGUAACUGCAUGUAUUUCGCAUGUUAUUGAAUGUUUAUUGAAGGUUUAUUGAUAGUUUGCUGCAUGUAUAUGGAAUAUCAUUGCCCCAAAAUUGGAUGUUUAUUGGGGCCACAAGUAUCACUCAAGUAAGAAUGAAGGGGAGAAACGGACCUUAUUCUUUCUUAUAGUAGGAAGAACAACUGUUAAGUUUAAUAUCCUAUUCAAUACGACUUCCCUAUGGUUGGUGUACUUGGGGACUGAAGUAUAUUGCAUCAUUAUUGUGGGCAAGGGCAUGUCUAUUGUGUGUGUUAAGGGAGUAUUGUGUGGGCAAGGGCAUGUCUACUGUGUGUAUAUUGCAUGUCUACUGUGUGUAUAUUGCAUAUCUAUUCUCUGUAUAUGGCAGGCCAAGUUUGUGUAUAUUGUUUGUCUGUUGUGUGUGUAUUGCUUGUCGGUGCGUUUGUGAAUUGUGGUUCAUUUUGUGUAUAUUGUCUUUGUUUCUACUUUUAUGCUACUGAGCUGCGGAAAACCUCGCAUGUUUAGACACCUAUUAUGAUGCAACACAUUGCGAUUAAUGGUGGCUUGCAUCAACAAUGACAUAUCACUUUGCAAUGAUGUAAUACACUUAAAAAGCCGUCUUCAAAUCCCAAUUCACAUAUGCAGUCUUAAAAUUCUAAUUCAAUGCAGUUUGGUUAACAAACAUGUAAAUGUCAUGAAGGAGUUAGCGGUAGAAUUCGAUAAGGACCCGUACGUCUCUAUUGUGUAUUUACAUUAGUUUGAGAAUGGACAUUCCCAAAACCUUCUCAUGUACCAUUUGUCAUCUUCAACCAAUAUCAUGGGAAGUAAGCAUCUCCCCUUGUUAUCUCCGCAGCCAAUUUCAACCGAAAAAAAGGCAUGUUGUGCGAGGUGCAAGUAGCUAACGGAAGCUUAGCGCUGAAAAGCUCAAUGUACUUUAACACAAACAUGCCACAAUCGCCUCUGAAGCAAAACAAGAACUCGAUCAAUUCAACUAAUGACAUUCUAAUGUAAUUGACAAUUGAAAGUAAUAAAAUUAAAUUGCAAGUUGUGCUUACUCAUUAGACUGUUGUGGAACAUCCACACGCUCUAUUGGCCACGGACACCACCAAUCUCGGCUGCAAUUGUUUGCAUAAACACCUUCUUCAUAAAAGUCGAUGGUGUUGAGAAGAUUUGGAAGCGUAAUUGAUAGCGGGCCGAGUUCUUCCUUUACGAUGUCAUCUGGAAUUAGUGAAACCUUUGAAUCGUACACUUUGAUUCACACAAUACCAGAUCAAACANNNNNNNNNNNNNNNNNNNNNNNNNNNNNNNNNNNNNNNNNNNNNNNNNNNNNNNNNNNNNNNNNNNNNNNNNNNNNNNNNNNNNNNNNNNNNNNNNNNNNNNNNNNNNNNNNNNNNNNNNNNNNNNNNNNNNNNNNNNNNNNNNNNNNNNNNNNNNNNNNNNNNNNNNNNNNNNNNNNNNNNNNNNNNNNNNNNNNNNNNNNNNNNNNNNNNNNNNNNNNNNNNNNNNNNNNNNNNNNNNNNNNNNNNNNNNNNNNNNNNNNNNNNNNNNNNNNNNNNNNNNNNNNNNNNNNNNNNNNNNNNNNNNNNNNNNNNNNNNNNNNNNNNNNNNNNNNNNNNNNNNNNNNNNNNNNNNNNNNNNNNNNNNNNNNNNNNNNNNNNNNNNNNNNNNNNNNNNNNNNNNNNNNNNNNNNNNNNNNNNNNNNNNNNNNNNNNNNNNNNNNNNNNNNNNNNNNNNNNNNNNNNNNNNNNNNNNNNNNNNNNNNNNNNNNNNNNNNNNNNNNNNNNNNNNNNNNNNNNNNNNNNNNNNNNNNNNNNNNNNNNNNNNNNNNNNNNNNNNNNNNNNNNNNNNNNNNNNNNNNNNNNNNNNNNNNNNNNNNNNNNNNNNNNNNNNNNNNNNNNNNNNNNNNNNNNNNNNNNNNNNNNNNNNNNNNNNNNNNNNNNNNNNNNNNNNNNNNNNNNNNNNNNNNNNNNNNNNNNNNNNNNNNNNNNNNNNNNNNNNNNNNNNNNNNNNNNNNNNNNNNNNNNNNNNNNNNNNNNNNNNNNNNNNNNNNNNNNNNNNNNNNNNNNNNNNNNNNNNNNNNNNNNNNNNNNNNNNNNNNNNNNNNNNNNNNNNNNNNNNNNNNNNNNNNNNNNNNNNNNNNNNNNNNNNNNNNNNNNNNNNNNNNNNNNNNNNNNNNNNNNNNNNNNNNNNNNNNNNNNNNNNNNNNNNNNNNNNNNNNNNNNNNNNNNNNNNNNNNNNNNNNNNNNNNNNNNNNNNNNNNNNNNNNNNNNNNNNNNNNNNNNNNNNNNNNNNNNNNNNNNNNNNNNNNNNNNNNNNNNNNNNNNNNNNNNNNNNNNNNNNNNNNNNNNNNNNNNNNNNNNNNNNNNNNNNNNNNNNNNNNNNNNNNNNNNNNNNNNNNNNNNNNNNNNNNNNNNNNNNNNNNNNNNNNNNNNNNNNNNNNNNNNNNNNNNNNNNNNNNNNNNNNNNNNNNNNNNUUUUCCUCUCCCUCAUCUCUAUUAUUUGGCCCUUCACCCCCUUCAAUCCCUUCAUCUUCUUUUUCCUCUCCCUCAUUUCUGUUACUUGGCCCUUCAUCCCAUUGAAUGUCAUCCAUUUCCCCAUAUCCCUUAAAUAGAUGUGAGACGACACAACGAUUCGUCCUCUGUUUCAGUAAAGCUAGGUCCCUCCUUACUUCCUGCUCAAACUGAGGACCUAAACAUUGGUCCAAUAGUUUUUCCAUCCGUAUGACCUUUAAGUGAAGGACGUCUUUUUCCCGCUUUUCUUGAAACAACUCGGACCUCAACAAGCUUACCACCUUGUUCAACUCAUCAAGAUCACCACAUGAAGAAGGAAUUGACUCUGCCGAGACAACAGCAGGGCGAUCCUGUGGCCAACUCCAAUAUGGCUGUCUCAUUUCCUCUUCACUUAGACAUAGCGCCCGCAACUGAACUGACUGUUUCAGAAUACAGACAAGAGUCAUAUUAAAUCAUUCUACUUCAUAAUUUCAUUCAAUCUUAUCAAUAGUUCUAAGGGCUGCAAACCAAACCUCUUUGCUCUGGAAAAAAUAAUUGUUCAACUUUCUCAUCUCUGGAACAGACGUAGUAGUUCUCCAUCGCAAAAUACGCGGGACAGCGGUCGGAUCAACAACCUUGCAGUAAUUCAGGUCCGCCAUUCUAGGAAUUAAUUCAUAUACCCAAAUCUACACAAUUCACAGGACAAAAGUCAUUAUUUAUGUUUUAAAGAAAAACAAAACAUAACUGACAUGAACAUUAUUACCAUGUACCUGGAAAGCAUACGUGAAACCUUUAAAACUCCAGCCACUCCUUUGCGCUUCACUAUGCUUAUCCUUCUUGCCCUUCUCAUUUCUCCGGCUUGUUCCCGUUACCUUACUUUUCCCCUUCCCUCUUCCCUCUUCAUUUUCCAAGCUUUUCACAUACUUUGUUGGUGCAGAAAAUAGACUGUCUUGGGUUUUGUCAAAGGACACCGAACCCCACGGAUACCUGUUGAACGCAUCCAAGUCCUCUACAAGGGUCAGGUAAUUUAGAUUGAUGUUCAAAUGUUUGUCCCUUCCCAAAACCACUAACUCAGCAAAGUAAACAAGAGGUAGCUUGAAGAUGUCAUCUUCCUCUGUGCACCUCACAAAUGCUUCUUCUAAAGCAUUGCAUGUAAUUCCUUCGUCUAUAAAAUAUCUUUUCUGAAGUCUGAUUUCAUUACUCUCUCCACUGGAAACUUCAGGCACUUCCCCAAAACGAAGCCCUGUGAUCAAACAGAAAUCCUGACGAGUGAACUGAGCAACGUCACACCCUAAUAAGAAACUCAGUCCAUCCAAGUCUUUCACACCCUGCCCCGCUACUCUACGCAACACAACCCCAUGCACAAUCUGUCCGCUAAACUGAAUCUUAUCUAUAUUCAGAAGAUGGCCAAAGCAUGAUGUCUUGAAUUGUUCUAAUUGUUCCGCACUCAACUUCGCUCGAAUUGCAGCUAGAGAUGAAUUUGCAUGUGAGCAGUUGUUCACCCGUGAUGAAUAUACCUCUGCCUCUGGCCAUACCAGCUCCACGUUGGAUCCCAUUUCCUCAAAUACAAUGUGAAAUAACGUGAACAUAUAUACUACCACGUAUUUGCACAAUCACAACUAGUCAACCAGGCACAUUACAACUUUUACAAAGUACAUGAGCAUAUGGAUUACUCAUCACAGGCUUUAACAUCAUCAAAGCAAUAUGACAAUUUUUGUGCAAAUACCUGUUAAUGCAAUGAUUAUGUGAAUUACAAACAAUUUCACGUGUUUUAUUUAUGGAUCCAUACUCGUGUGAGUGCAAUGUAGGCAAGUUCUGCACUUCACACACAUGACAAUUAUUGUCAUCUCAUACACAACCCAAAAUAAAUAAAUAAGAAAUAUAGUGGAAGGAAGCAAAGCAAAGCAUGUACUCUGCUAUCUGCUUGCUAAGCAAUUGCCACAUCCUUCUUUCUUUCUACCUUUUUCUUCAGUCACCCACAAUCGUCAUAGAUCAACCUUCAUUUCAAAUGCUUUGCACUUUUAUUCAUGAGUUUAUUAUUAUCUGUUCUCAUUUCUCAUAGGCAAAUUUAGUAACAAAUGAAAUAAUAUUUAUUUCACAAAAUAUAUAAAUUCUAGUGCCAGAGAGGUACUCUUCACUCUGCACUGCUUCAAAUGUGGAAGGUUUUGAGAUGUUAUUGACAUGUGAUUGACUUUAUUUUCAUUCGUUUUUUAACAUAUACCCAAGCAAAAAUUAACAUGCAAUUGAAGCACAAAUAAGAGAUGCCAAAUCCAACAACAUUGAUGGUACAAAUUGGGGAAAACCAUUACUCUAACCCUAAACUCAAAUUCCUUACAUUACUCAUCAAAUGCUUUGCAGUUCUAUUCAUGAGUUUAUUAUUAUCUGUUCAAAUGUUUCUCAGGCAAAUUUAGUAACAAAGGAAAUCAUAUUUACUUCAUAAAAUAUAUAUAUAUAUAUAUAUAUUCUAGCGCCUCUUCUUAAUCUGCACUAUGCACUGCUUCAAAUGUGGAAGGUUUUGAGGGCCUCCUCCAAUUCAACACCAUUAUCUUAUUCAUAUCAUUAUUGACAUGUUAUUCACUUGUUAUUGACUUCAUUUUCAUUCUUUUUUUAACAUAUACCUAAGCAAAAAUUAACAUGCAACUGAAGCACAACGAAGAGAUGCCAAAUCCAACAAAAUUUAUGGUACAAAUUGGGGAAAACCAUUACUCUAACCCUAAACUCAAAUUCCAUAAAUUACUCACCAAAUGCUGGUUAUUGCAAGGUGUCUGUGUGGGGUCUUUCUGUUUCUUUGCUCCACAAAUGGAACCUACCACUUCCAACGAAUACAGCUUUUCCCCUUCCCCUUCCACUGCUUCGCCUCUUCACUGAUUUGGAAUCCACACCUUUGCCCCUUCUACUCCAAAUAAAUACUUUCUCGGGGUCUGGAGAACGGAGUGGCGAAUCGUUGCCUUCAACUGUCGUUAGCCGUUGCCUUCAUUGGGUAUCUCAGACCUCUGUGUUUUAGAGAGAUGAGUUCUUUCUGUUCAAACUUCGAACUUGCCUCUUCUUCUUCUUUUUCGGACGUGUUUCCCUCUUCUUCUUCUUUUUGGACGUGCUGGAUAUUCAAUUCGGGUUUGGGUUCCUUACCUACCCAAUUGUGAAACUUUAACUCAAUUCUCCCCAGCCCUUGGAUUAAUCUGAUGGCUAUAAAGUGAACCCCUUAUAACUUACCCCUUAUAACUUUCCACUCAUUAUAGUCUUGGCCAGGUAUGGCGGCCAUGCUAGUAAGUGUUGGGUCUUUGACCCAACUUAAGCUAAAUGGGUCAUAAGAUGACCGAUCAUCUUAUCUCAUAAGGAUAUAUAAGUCAUGUUAUGAUUUAGGAUUUUAUAGGGUUUCCUUUGUAAGAGGUAAGAGAGAAACAAGCUCUCUCUCUCUCUACACAAGGAGGUCAGCCAUAGCAAGGGAAAGGCUCCUAGCACUCUCCUCUCUCUUAUUAUAUCAUCCUUCCAAGGACAGCUUUGGUAUGGUAAAGUUGGAGGUUGCACACUUUGUGCACUUUGGUAAGAACUCAUCCAAGGGAGCCAAGAUUAAAUUGGUUAGCUGUUGGAUUAAAUUGGUUAGCACGAUUCAACGGUUAAUAGAUAAAACUUCACAUAAAAGUCAUAUAUAAGGCCCUCACUAUAGAAUGACUCGUUAGUUUAGUCUCUUGUUACAUAUCAAAUGUUAGAGAUAUUUUUUAAUAAGGAUCUGCCAUACCACAUAGUUGGAUAAGACAUUAUACACGGCUUUUGUAAGAGCAUCUCCAGCGCUCCAAACUAGCCCAAGCAGCAGGGGGGCCUAAGUCUAGGAAGCAGCUCCAGCUCGCAAGAUUCAACCCAGGCAAGGUGUGGAACCCACGAGGAGAUCUAGCCCGUCACCUUGCCUUUGGGUUUCAGUCAAGCUGAUGUCAACGAAAGAAUUUCAAAUUUUUUUUACCGUUACAAUGUACGCGCCAACGAUAAAUUUUCUUUGGAUUUCUUGCAUUGAUCCACAGCUACCAAAAACCAACAGCUACAAGCCACGUGGCUUCUCCAGGAGCCUCCGAUCCAAAAAUCAUGUCAAAUCUAACGGCAGUCCAUUUUUUGGCUAAAAAUAUCAAAAAAUUAUGGAAACAUGUUCUAUAAAUUCCUACAAAUAUUAUUCACUUCCCACACCAAAUCUUCAUACAAAUUCAUAUCCUUUCAAUAUUUUUCACUUUCCAUACAAGAUUUUCUACUACUAAGUUUCGUUUGUGUAAAAAUACAAAUGACCUCUUCUAUCGAAGCCGGAGGCGCGUGUACAACCGUGGAAGAUAUUUUGUUGCGUGAGUGUUGGGUCAAAGUUGGUCAUUCCCUGAUCACGGGCAAUGAGAUGAAGUCCUCUCGUAGGAGUUUCUGACAUCGCAACGAAAGUAAGAUGUGAUAUGAAAAUGUAAGGAAUUUGAUGAGAGGAAUGGGAUUUGAGGAGUUUGAUGUAGGAAUUGAUGUAGGAAUUGAAUUUGGGAGGUAUGUAUAUAAGAUUUGAGGGUAUGUGUUUAGGGAUUUUGAUAAGAGGAUUUGAGGAAUUUAGAUUUGAAGGAUUUGGAUUUGGGGAAUUUAAAUAUGAGGAAUUUGAUUAGGGUUUGGGUUUGAAUAUGUGAAAUUUGAUAUGAGAGUUUAGAGACAACAGAUGAUCGAUUGCUCUGAUACCAUGCUAAAAUAUGAUAUGGUUUGAAUACUUUAGGUUGAGUUUUAUUCUUUUCCAUAAAAAGGUAUAUAUAGGAGUUUACAUGAGUGCUUUACAAAGAAAUAGAUACAAUAAUCAAUUAGGAUAAUAUCUCCUAAUUAUACAAUAAUUUGUCAACUAUAUAGAAUAGGAAAGUAAAUUCCUUAAUUAAUCAAGAAAAUAAAUCUCAUUGAUUAAUUAGGAGACUAACGUCAACAUUUAUAAGCCAUAAAAGAGCAGAAAAAGAGGUACUUAGGAGAUUUUAUACGUCGGACUAAGGUAAGCUUAAAGGACUAUAUCAAAAAAAUAAGGGACCAAGAAGCAAGACAGAGAAGUUGUUAUGCAAACCCAUUAAGUUUAGCAGUGAUGAAUUUGUAAAAAUCAUUCUAGUGGAUUCUGCCUUCACUAUUGAGUUCUUAUUGAGGUUCUAUCUGAAAGGAUCUGGACAUGAAGGAGACCGCUUAUUAAACAAACCGUGGAUGUUUACAGCCUGACAUGUGGUUGCUUGAAAAUCAGCUCCCAUUCUUUAUUCUUGAGGAUCUUUAUCACACAUACAUAAUAACCGACUCUUUUAGGAAUUAUUACAGUACUCAUGAUCAUGAGAGGCUUUCAAUAAUUAAUAUUUCUAAGAAUUUCUUCACAGCCGGAAUAUUGAAUUUGGAGGGGAAGGGAGACAAAUGGAACAGAAUAUCAUCUUCUUCUAGUGUUGGAAAUUUUAUAUUAUUUAAUAAUAUUUAAUUUCUAUUGUGAAUGAAAAAUAAGUUUCUUUAAGAAACGUGUGUCUUAGGCCAGUUUUUCUAACUGGUCGGCUUCCUUAGAUUUGUGCCUAUUGCUUUUCAAAGUAUAAUGAUGCAAUGGUUGUAUCUCGUUCAGGCAAAUGGAAGGUAUAUAGCAAUUUAUAGAACAAUACAGUAAUCCAGAAGAAAUAUUAUGAAAUGAAAAGAAUAAAAAGUAAAAAAAGAGAAAGAAAGGAAUUCCCACCUGCAAUGUAUAUGUAUGAAAGGAAGGACCAAGUUUGUUUUAAAAUGGUAAGAACAAGUUGAUUUUAAAUUGGGUUCAGAUCAACUCAUAGAUUUCUUGCCUUUUCUGUUCUCCUUCCUUGGACAUGAACUGUUUAAUCUUGGACUCUUCCCCAUCAUGUUGGGCCUGUCUUCUUCUUGAGGAUUGUAUAGGCCUAGGAAAUGCUUCGGGGUAGUUUUUGUGUUUUGGGCAUUGGGACCCAACUUCACAAAAAGAAAACAAAUUUGACCAAAACACAAAUUUGAAGGACAUUGAAAUUGUACCCGUAGGAUAGAUUAAAACACUAUAAGGGAGGUAAAUAGUACGUUUACAGAGUUUAAGUGUAAUAAAGGAAUAAAAACAUGCCCAGAGAAUUGAUAAGUGAUAUCAAUUCUUGAAUAUACGUGAAAAUUAUUUUAUGUGGUUAAACCCCACCUCUGGGGAAAAUCCACGGAACUUCUUAGUCCAACUUCUAUCACUUAUCCUAGACACAUUCUAGAUAAUGUUUGCCAACCUCUUCGUAACUCAACUUCUGUCACGAGAUGAUCUUUCAACACUUUAUGUCGAACGCAAUACUGGUCACGAUUUCUUCAAGCUCGCCGGAGUUCUUCCAAUUCUCCUUAUAUUGAAUCUGAUACUAGUCACGAUCGAUUCAAGCUCAUCGGAGAAAAAUCGCCACAACAAUCUUGGUGCCCUCAACCGUAUGAGUCACUGAACAUGCAAAUGAAUACAAUAUGAAUGAUAAAAGUGUUUGAUAAAUCACCAAGUUAUGGAACACUUGAUGAUUUAUCUCAAAUAAAAAUUCAGCUUUCCAAAGUUUAUGAAUUGAAAAUAUGACCGUUAAAGCUCUCUAAACAAAGAAGACGAAGGUCUUAUUUUAUAGACUUUUACUUUACAAGAAAGAAAACACGUUGAAAACCAAAUCUCCAAUUUCCAAGGCUUGACAGAAAAUCACAAAAUUAUCUUUCCUAUUCUAGAGAUUGGUCACAUGAAGUCCAACCAAUAGGAAAUGAGAUAUUUAAGAAAGGAAGAUUUUGAUCAAUAUCAAUAUCAAAUGAAUUCUUAUACGCCUAGUCAAUUGUUAUGGGUAUCUUGACUCCUUGAUAUUGUGAUAUGAUUGAAACAUGAUUUCCACGUUAGAAAAUUAAGGGGAUGUUAAAACAUGAAGGUAAUAGGAGAAUCAAAUUGAUUUGGGCCAAAAUUGCCUAAAAAGAAAACACUCCUUAAUAAACUUCAAUUUACUUUUAAAAAUAGUAAAACGUGAUUGAAUCGUUCUUUAAAACAAUUCCCUAAUAUACAUGCAUGAUAGUGAUAUCACUUACCUUUGAAUCAGAUGGCUUUCACGGGUCAAGCCACAAGUUUUUGUCUUGGGGAUUGCUGAGCUUCAUCAAUCCUGCCAAUGUCAAUUUUGCCCCUAAGCUCUCUCAAAGCACGUUUACAACCUAUGCUAACAUAUAUUAGAGUUUAUGUUAGUAUCAAGAAAAUGCCAACACUAAUUUCGUAACACGUAGAAAUUGUUAGAGAUUGAAGUUUUUAUCAUUUUUUCUUCCAGACUCUCCACCACUCACUAAUAUAGUUUACUCAUGUGAUGAGUUUACAAAACCUAUUUCUCUACUCUCACAAAGACUAUACUUAGGGGGGUGUAUUCAAUUAGGAUUCUAAAGCGUUUAAAAAGAUUUUGUUUAAGUGCCAGCUUUCAUAGAACUUGAUGGAACUUUAUAAUUCGUAUAGAACUUGAUAGACUUUCAGAAGACUUCUGUAUAAUUUUUUAAUAAAACUUUCUUAAGCUUUCAUAGAACUUGAUAGGCUUUCAUUCCAAACUUAUGUAGAUGGUAUAUUUCAUUUUAUCCCCAUCCUUGACAUUUAAAGAAAGAAACUUGAAUUUUUUCAAUCAAAUUUGUUUUUGUUACCAAAGCAGCAAAAACAAAAAGUACUUGUUUGCGAUGGAAGAACAUAUGCACAGUUCAAAAUGAAAAGAAUAAGAAGCAAAGUACCUAUUUGACCAAUGAAUGCUGUGUCAACUAGAGAAGCAAUUGGAUCGGCUGUCAAAGCCAAUGCUGCAGGCAAUGCAUCGAUGGUCCAAAUUGCAAUAAAAAAAUAUUUUGAAUAAUGGCUCUUGCAGACAAAGACCACAUAAAUUCUGAACUGGUCUAGCUUGAAUAAUAAGGUUAGAUUAGCCAAUUGAUGAGAUUAAAAGCAAAGCAAGUUGAUGAAUUUAUCAUCAACUAUUUAAUAACCACAGUCCUGAUCUCUUGGACCCCUGUAGUCCAAGAGAUUUAUGGUCACCCACCGUUGGAUGUAAAUUCAACGGUUGACUUGAAUCGGGUAAUAAUCAUUUAUGUCAUAUUGCAUUUAUAUAUAUCAUUUUGAACCAUUGGAUUAAUAUCCAACGGUGGGUGACCACAAUCUCUUGGACUCCUGUGGUCCAAGAGAUCGGGACUGUUAAUAACCAAUAGAGUAUUUAAACAUAAACAACAAUGUUUGAUCAACAAAACAAAUAGUCCAAAUAUCAUCCAAAAAACAAUAACAAAAAAUCAAUCAUUCCAAACAAACUAGUCAUUCUCAAAAACUCUCAAAAAACCCACUCAUUCCAAAUUGUAGGAUAUCCAAUUUGAGCACUCCUCAGGAGACAUUUUCAAAAAUGCAUCCUUUUUUGUGUUACUAUGCAACAAAGAGAGUGCUUUAUAACGAGCAUGUUCAUCCAAAUUUGGGGUCUCCUUAAUGGCAUCCCAUAUAUAACUCCGCUGCUCUCUCUCUUUUUCCCUUUUUGCCAAUAGGUUAUGGACCUCCCGGAAGUCGAUGACAAUUGAAUCAAUGCUAAGGCUAAUUCUUCCCAUAGCUUGCUGGGUGGUCACAUUUGAGAUAGCAUUCCCUUCCAAAUAUGUUCUAGUUCGUUUCCUCUAGUAACAAGCAUAAAUCCUAGUAACAAGCAUAAACCCUAACCCCAACCUAUAACCUAAUAACAAGAAGAAAACCCAACGAGGUAUUGAUCAAAGAAAAAUUAGGGAGCAUACCUUCACAGAUGGAGGAAGGAAGCUGUUCGUCUUCGCAGAGAGAAAAUCUAGGGAAAGAGAAAAACGUCUUAUGAAAUACUUGGGGGGGAGGUUGGAUUUAUUUUGGUCUUUUUUAUUUAUAACUCUCCCCUUAAAACCUACGUAAAUUUAUCACUUAAUGAAAUCCUUCCAAAUAUAUGACCUUUCGAAUACACCUAGAUUUGAUUCAACUUUUUUAUAAUCAUAAUUGAAUACACCCAUAUUUGAAUGGACUUUUUAAAAGUUCAUAUAGGUCCGAAAUGAAUAUACUCAAACUUGUAAAACCUCUUUUAAAGUUUGUAUAAAUCCAAAUUGAAUACACCUGGAUUUUUAAAAUCUUUUUAAACACUUUAUAAUCCUAAUUGAAUACACCCCCCUUAUUCUCAAAAGACUAUAUUACUUUACCUCUAUCUCUGUGAAAUGUAAAAAGUUGAAACUUUAAUGUCAAACCUCAACAAAAGAUGAACUUUCAUCAGUUACGUUGAAUUUGGAUUUGUUGAACUUAAGUGGUUUUAUUUUCUUUGUCAGUGUUUGAUGACUUAAUUUGGUAUUUAUUUCUUCUUUUUUUUCCUUGGAAAUGUGUUCCACCAACGUGAGGAAGAAAAAUAUGCACAAAUUAAUAUAUUUAAUAGAAGCCCAAGAUUUCGGAUGCAUAUAAUUUCUACAAAAAUCUACAAAGUUUUUUACUUUACAAACUUCUUAUGUCUACCAAUUUCUACUAAAAUUAAUUUCUCUGUGGUGCUCAAAUUCAUCAUAUGUGUGUCGUUAAUUUUAUUGAAAAUUGGAAGUUCCCAUCAUUUUUGUUUUUUGGGAAUUUUCUGAACCAAGGAAAAUCAAGUAAAAUUAAUAAAGCCUAAAUUGGAAAGGGAAAAUAUCUAGAGGAUGCAUUGUAGGAUUGCUCAUGCCAAUAAUUGUACCCUCUAAAUAUAUAGAGACAUAUUUUUUUUGUUUUCAUGACAUGUGGUCCUAAAAUUAUUGUGUAAAUCUUCAAUCCUGAACGAUGCACCUAAAACUCAUCCACCCAUUCUCAGGCCAAUUAUUGCACCUAGUGGGCUCUCGACCCCCUCUCAAAUUUAACCACAUAUUUUAUGGACCAUCCAGCUGUGAGGUACAUUCCCCCCACAUGCCACAAUUGUAUAUUCACAAUUACGUCUGAUACAUCACAUCAUGCCACUUGCCUCAAAUGAAUUUAAGUGAGUGAGGCAGUUGGAAGUAAUUAAGCUCUAUAUUGGUGGGUGGAGUGUUACUUCUCGGUUCCCCUCAUCAUUCGUCUAUAAAAUGGUGAAGGCAGUUGCUAUUGUUACCAUAAGAGCCAGCUCCGACUUCCUUUAAUUUCUUGCUUCAUAUCCACUAGCUACAUCUGUUACCAAGUUAAUUUCAGUUCUAAUGGGGUUUCAUCUCCCACUCAUCUUUGCUCUUCUCAGUGUAAGCUCUGCAAUUUGAUUAACUUUUCCAUUCUCUCUCAUUGUACUCUAUAUAAACGAAAGUUUUGUGUUCCUAUUGUUCUCUCCGAUUUUAUUUAGUACGUACUUAAGUGUCGUCCACUAAUUAAUUAUACUUUGUGAUUUGAUUUUAAUUUGAGUUUGAAUUAAUGUUGCAGCUAGCAGCAGUGGCACUGGCAAACCAUGCUGCUCAACCAGCACCUCAACUUUACUGGAGCUCCGUCCUGCCAAACACACAGAUGCCAAGAUCUAUCAGUGAACUUCUGCAUCCUGGUUUGUGUUGAGCUCUUUAGAAUCUUAGAUAUCUCUUCUACCUGCCAUUUUACUAAAAUAUGUUCCACCACAUAUUUAUCAGUUAACCAUUGUCAUUACAUGAGUGACACAUAUUCACAAAUCGGCUGAUCACUUAUUUUCCAUUAUGACUUGAUAUAUAAUUUGCAGACUCCACAAAUGAAGAAAAGAGCACAAAUGACGUUGGCAAACCUGAAACUUUCCCAUUGGGCAAUCAACAUUACUCCAGUCAAAAACAUUAUGGAGGCAUACCUGAAACUUCCCCAUUGGGCAAUAAACAUUACUCCAGUCAAAAACAUUAUGGAAGAGGCAAACCUGAAACUUUCCCAUUGGGCAAUCAGCAUUACUCCAGUCAAAGACAUUAUGGAAGAGGCAAACCUGAAACUUUCCCAUUGGGCAAUAAACAUUACUCCAGUCAAAAACAUUAUGGAAGAGGCAAACCUGAAACUUUCCCAUUGGGCAAUCAGCAUUACUCCAGUCAAAAAAAGUAUGGAAGAGGUGCUUCUCCAUCCGACAAUCAACAACUCCAUUAUAAAGACUUAGCUAUUUUCUUCUUGGAGAAGGACAUGCGCCCUGGCACAACAAUGAAGUUCCAAUUCCCUAUAAAUUCAAACACGGCUACUUUCUUGCCACGAGAAAGCGCUCAAUCGAUCCCCUUCUCCUCUAACAAACUGCCAGAAAUUUUCAACCAUUUUUCAGUGAAGCCAACAUCUGAGGAAGCCAAAACAAUUAAGCAAACAAUCGAAGAGUGUGAAGCUCCAGACCUUAAGGGAGAGGAAAUAUAUUGCGCCACAUCUUUAGAAUCAAUGGUUGAUUUUAGCACUUCGAAGCUUGGAACAAGAAACGUUGAAGCAAUCUCGACGGAGGUAUUGGAAAAAGGAGCCACCAUGUCCAUCCAAAACUAUACAACAAUGCCGGGACUGAAGAAGUUGGCAGGUGACAAAGUCGUUGUGUGUCAUAAGCAGAACUAUCCCUAUGCUGUGUUUUUCUGCCAUGCAAUAAAACAUACAGCAGCUUAUGCUCUCUCCCUGAAAGGCGAUGAUGGGGAGAAGGUUAAAGCAGUAACCAUCUGCCAUCUAGACACAUCAGAAUGGGACCCAGAGCAUAUGUCCUUCCAAAUCGUCAACGUUAAGCCCGGAACCAUUCCCAUCUGCCAUUUCAUUUCCACUGAUGCUAUUGCCUGGGUUCCGAACCACAAAUCUGCAUGAUCAUCACUUAGCACUAGUACUGUGCGUAUAAUAUGCCUGUAUAAUUAUCUCCCUACUUAUUUCUGCCUCUUCAUCAUGUGGUGUAAGAUAUAUGUUGAGAUGAAGUUUUUGGGAUUUGUGGUCGAAAUUAACCCGAUCAUGUUUUCUCUUGCAACCAUAUAGACUUCAACUUGUACUCAUAAUAAAGCAUGCUAUAUUUAUGAAGAGAUAUUAAUCUUCAGGCAAAUAGAUAUUAUGAAAACAUAUAUAGCAAUUUAUCCAGAAGAAACAUUAUGAAAUGAAAAGAAUAAAAAGUAGAAAAACAGAAGGAAAGGAAUUCGCACGUGCUAUGCUAUGUAUGAAAGGACCAAGAUUGUUUUCCCUUUGGUUAAUGACUAGAAAAGCUCACUUGCAGAGUGCUUUCUCCGACCAUAGAUGGAAGAGAAAUUUUCUCUUAAUAAUAGCACAAUGAUCGGGUAAUUGUAAGAACAAGUUGAUUUAAAAUUCCUUGACCCAAAAAAAAAAAAAAAGUUCUUUUCAAAUUCAGGUCAACCCAUAGAUUUCUUGCCUUCGUCUUCUUCAUCACGUUGGGCUUGUCUUCUUUUUGCGUUUUGGGCCUUGGAAGUUGGGACCCAACCCAACUUCACAAAAAGAAAACAGAUUUGCCAAAAAUCAAAUUUCAAGUCUCUCCUCCGAUCACUAAUACAGAUCAAAUUUUGGAUUUGAUGAACUAAAGUGGUUUUACUUUCUCUGUCAGUGUUUGAUGACUUAAUUUGUUAUUUACUUUUUUUUUUUUACUUGAUCUUUGUAGGGGCUUUUUUUUUUCCGGCAGCUUAAACGGGCUGGGCUGCCGUAAAGGGUAGAUUGAUGAAAUUGUCCCCUUUGUCUGAAUUCGAAAAUCAAGCCCCAAAAGCGCUUCGAAAGGGCAGUAGAGCCUUAGGAAGCGUUCUGGUUACCUUCACUAAUUAAAACAACAGCAACUUACAGAUGAUUUCUUGAGGCUUACAGAUAAAUUUUCUAGCUUGGCAUGACAUGGAAGCAAAAUCAGCAUGAGUUUAGCACCAAAGAGGAAAAUAUGGCUUCCUAGGGAGAAAUGAGAGUGUUUAAGGUGAGGAAGAAGAGGUUUGCAGGCUGAUUUGGCUGAGAAAAGAGAAAGAAAGAACAAUGUUCUUCCGGCAGCUUGACAAAGCUUCUGACAGAUGUGAAAGUCGUCCGCCAGAAGAGGAAAAUGGAGAAGAAGGAUGAAUAGUGCACGAAAUUGGUGGGUUCUUGCAGGUAAGAGAGAAAGCUUGCUCUCUGAAUCUGAGUUGGUUUUGGUUGGGUAGAAGAAGCCCCCUUUUAUAGCUGCGGGAAACCAUCUUUUUCCAAGAAACCCUAAUGGUUUCUAUCCUUUUUGGCCAAGCUUUUCCCUUCCUUUCUCUUCUCCUCCCUUGACUUUUCCUAUCUUGGUGAAAUUUCCUCUGCCUAUUUGCACAAAAUUAGAGAUUUUGAGGAGCUCAAGGCCCCUUUCCCGCAGCUGCCUUAGUGGAGAAUCCCCAUUUUCAGUCAUCUUUCUUCCUUCUUUUCUCCCAUCUUCCAAGGCUAGGUUUGAUGAGAGAAAGAAAUGGAUAUGCACACUGGUUUGAAGGGUGUUUUUCCUUGAAACUUGUUCUCUCCCAUGUGCUGGAGCUUCCCAGCAGCUUACACACAUAGAUAUUUUGGCUUUCAUCGUGGCUUUUGUUUUCAGCUAGGUGCUGGAGAUUUUGCAUAUAUUUUCUUGAGUUGCUUGGGCCUUCUAGGACAAUACGUUGGUUUAUCAAGUGAAUGGGCUAACUUCAUCAAUUGUUGGGCAAUUUUGGUUGAGUUAAUGGACUAUUUUGGUUCAAGUAAUGGACUAUUUUGGUUGAAAUAAUAGGCUAUUUUUCUCUCUUUGUGCUCACCCACAUAUUUGGGCCUAAAAAAUGGGCUUGAGUUUCGGGGCUCCCAAGCAACCCCGGGACUUCCAUUUCUCGGCCCAUCAAUGAGCCUCAUGUCAACUUAUUACCAUCCAUACCACAACCCACUCAAGCAAGCCUCAGGCAUCUUGCGUGGCUUGGGCCCACGUAAGCUCGUAGUGGCAAUGUUGCUUAUUUGCUUGACGUGGCAUGUGUGCAAGUGCAUAUGACGAACUUUCGCGUGCCCAAAUUGAGUUUCUUCUCGGUAGGGUAUCGCAUUGGGCCGAGAAUUUAAUUGGGUAGAACCGUGGAUUUUUUGGGCCUCAACAAUCUUAUAUAUAUUAGUUUUCUUUUUUUCCUUAAUAUUCACCACCUUUCUGUUGCAUAAGUAUUCCAGUCUUAGCGGGUUUCCAUCUACCACUCAUCUUUGCUCUUUUAAGUGCAAGCUUUUUUAUUUUUAUUUUUUUAUGCACAAGAUUAGAGGGGAGGGAGAUUUCUCAAUGUAAGCUUUGCAGUUUCAUAAUUAAUAUUUCCAAUAUCUCACUGUUAGUAAAAUAUGGAACGGGAAAAGUACGAAUAAAAUACACACAUGUUUUAUUUAGCAAAAUUUUGACAAGAUACAACUGAAAAGUUUGGCCACUAUAUAAUAUUUUGAUUUAAUUUUUUUUAUUUUUUUAAUAUAUAUUAUUUUUAUUCAAUAAUAUGUGAAAAAUAGGUGUACAAUAUAUGAAAUUUGUAUGUAUUAUUGAAAAAUUCGUAAAAAAAAAACAUGUUAUUAAAUGUGAAAAAUAUGUACGUAUAUGUAUAAAACAUGUAUUGUACAUUACUUUUUAACAAACUUGUAUUUUACCUAGUCUUUAAACCGUAUAUGGAAAACGGAAGUAUUAUUGAAAAAUACAUAUGUACGUAUAUGUAUAAAACAUGUAUUGUACAUUACUUUUUAACAAACUUGUAUUUUACCUAGUCUUUAAACCGUAUAUGGAAAACGGAAGUAUUAUUAAAAAAUACAUAUGUACGUGUAUAAUAUGAGUAUUAAACAAAAAAAUGUGCUAAGUACUUAUCUUUUAAUUUAAUAAUUCAUUUCAUUUUGUGAUCUCAUACGUAGUAAUGAGAGUUCAAAUUAAUGUUGCAGCUGACAAUGGUGGCUCUGGCAAGCCAUGCUUGAUGCAGGAGUAUAGGGGUGGAUCAAGAUAGAUAUUUACCAUGUAAUUAGUUAUUUCAUGAUAUAUUGUUAUUUUCUUAUUUAGGUAGUUUUAUGAUAUCUUUUAUUAUUUAUGUGGGAUUUUAUAAUUAAUUAGUUUACUUUUGGACCAAGUAGCCUUGGUGCUCAAGUCUUGUAAAGCUUAUAAAUAAGGCUAAUGUAAUAGUUGUAGGAAAAGAGAUGUCGAUGAUUAAUAAAAUCGUUUAUUUGUGGCAUGGAUUUGCUACGAUAUAUGUGAGUUUGCACUAGCCCUAGAUUUCGGUGCUCGUGUAUGUGGUUGGUGACCUGUGUCCGGAUCCCGAUCCCCAUCAAUGCUGUUCUCCCAGUACCUCAACUUUACUGGAACUCUUUCCUGCCAAACACAAAUGCCAAGAGCUAUCAGUCAACUUCUGCAUCCUGGUUUCUAUUAAGGGACUUUUCGUGAGCUUAUCAUCUACCCAAAUUUUACUCAUCCGACGUAAUUUUAAAAGUGAUUUGAUCCUUUGGCAAAGUAAUCUUGAACUACAAAAAAGGAGGGCACUCGAAUAGGCAUGCCAUUUGGUAUUACCCACCUCUAAUUUCUUUUAAAAUUUUAGUAAUUGAUUUUUAAGAUUAGAAAAUGGGAAAGUUCAAAACCGAAAAAGUUGUUUCAGUUUUGGCAAGUAUCGGAAAAGACUAAAAUUUUCCGACUUUAUUAUUACUAGAAACAAAGUCGAAGUAUUCACCAAUCAUGUGGCCUUCCAAGUGCUCAAGGUUAAGCCAGGAACCGUUCCUAUCAGCCAUUUCCUUCCCAAGUAUGAUCAUGUUGUCUGGGUUCCAACCCACAAAUCUACAUCAGUACCUGAACUAAUCAGUUCUACAUGAAUAUUCAUUCAUGGCAACCUUGGGCUAAGUAUUUGAAUUUAUGCUCAUAAAGCUUUAAUGCUUUUGAGGGCCAAUCGUUGUCUACAUAUGGUAUUGUAGCAUCUUUAGAUGGAAGAGGUCAGGGGUUCAAUUCUUGUUUUCCACUUCUUUAUUUGUUGGUUUAUCGAGUGUAGAGUGGAGUUGCACCUAUAUGUUCGUCUCUCACCCCAUCAUUUACCAUUGAUAUAUAUUUAAUAGAAGCCUAAGAUUUCGGAAGCACAUAAUUUCUACUUUACAAACUUCCUGUGUCUACCAAUUUCUACUAAAAUUAAUUUAUCUGCGGUGCUGAGAUUCAUCAUAAUUUUAAUAGAAAUUGGAAGUUUUCAUCAUUUUUGCUUUAAGUCUCUACUCCACUCACUAAUAAAGAUUACUCAUGUGAGUUUACAAAACAUUUUUUUUUUCUACUCUCUCCUGAAGACUACACUUCUUCUCAAAAAAUUAGAUCACUUCACAUCUUGUGUAUGUGAAAACUAAUGUAAAAAGUUGAAACUUUAUCGUAAAACCUCGACAAAAAUGAGCUCUACUACAAAAUGUUAAAUUUGGAUUCGUUGAUUUAAAUGGCAAUUUGACACUUGAUAGAAAUUUUUACAUACAUGUGUUAGUGUUUGAUCACUUCACAUGUCACUUACUAUAUUUAUUCCACUCAAGUUAGGUAAAUAUUAUUAUCAAACAUUUCAAUUAAUUUGUGAUUUUUUUAUUAUUUAAUCAAUUAUGAAUUAAUGGAUUCUUCUUGUUGUUUUGAAGACCAACAAAAAAAAAAAAAAGGGUAGUGAUGGCUUAUAAUUCUGGUAAAACAACAGUGACGUGGACAACAGAUGUUACGCUGUACUAAAGAUUUUUGAAGAUUCUUUAUUUGAGUUUCUUUCAAGAUAAAAACCAUAUUAUCCACAACCACAAGCACAUCCGGCAGACAAUCUUUGGCUAUUCAUCACAAUUGGGAGACAAUGAAGAAGACAGAAAAUGGAGUAAUUCAGAUGUUACCAGCCAUCCACGACAAACUGAAGUCUGCAAAGCAUUCGUAAUCUAAAAAGGAUGGGGAGGCUGCGCAAUACUUAGCCACGUGUAGGCCAGGAGGCUUUCCAAUUUUAAUAUAUAUAUAGAUUGAAAAAAUAAAAUAAAAAUCAAUCUAUUAUCAUAUAUAUUAUAAAAUAAAGAUUAUUGCUCCCAUGGGCGGUGCUAUGCACAGGACAGUGCCUGCCUAGUCCAAAUUUUUUUUAAAUAAAAAUAAAAAUCUACAUAUGUUAUAAGCUCAUCCAAAAAAAAAAAAAAAAAUAAAAGUGUUGUAAAUUAUAAGGUGGAGCCCACAUGUUGGAAGGCUUUGCCUACAAAAGGGUUCACACCCUCCCUUUGUAAUUAGACAUUGAGAAUACUAAGGAAGACAGAAAUGAAUAGAGAGAAAACAUUCCCUUCUCUCCAUCUCAAUUCCCUCUCCAAUUCCUCUAGAUUUAUAACACGUUAUCAGCAGCACGAAUCGCUUUCAAACAAUACCAGCUGAAUUUUAUGAUGAAACCCAGAUCUCUCAUCCAUCUCUGCUGCUCCACUACUUCAAAAUAAAUCCCACAGAAAAAGAAAAAGCCUCAAUGCUCUCUCUCUCUCUCUGUCUCGCUUGGGAGACUUGGACAAUUCCUCAUCCCCGUUACUGACAAUUUCAACAGCUUCAGGGGAAGCUAGUUUAUCUUCCUCUGCUCACGAAACCAUGACUCUUUCAGAGCCAAACAACAACACAAUAGACAACGCAUGGAGACCAGACUGGAGCUCGUCGGCUAAGGCACCGACGAUCCGACCCUACCCGUAUGGACCUUCCGGAUGUGGUUCCUGGGUCUUGUCUCAUGUGCCCUCCUCUCAUUUCUCAACCAAUUCUACAAGCAGCAGAGCUUCAAAUCAAACAGAUCAUGGCAUCGCUUUCACACCUCCCCAUCUUCCUCUUCCUCCUGUUCACCGCUUUCUAUUCUACAGCUUCGCAGUCCUUCAUCGGCGCAUCCAAAGGCGACAUACCGGCGCUCGCCUCAGAUCCGAACGCGGCGGCUCAGUGGGUGAACUCGAAUGUCCUCGCCUUCUACUCGGCCAGCAACAUCGACCUCAUCAACGUCGGCAACGAGGUCCUUUUUCUCCAACGACCAGGGCCUCAUCUCGCAGCUCCUCCCCGCCAUGCGAAAUGUCCAAUCUGCCCUCUCCGCCGCGUCCCUCGGCGGCAAGGUCCGUGUCUCCACGGUCCACUGCCUCGCCGGAUCGGGAUCCUUCCUUCAAGUGUUUCUCUGUCUUCGACUUGAAAAAGAAGGUCAUGGCAGGCCUAUGUAAAAAUUGCGAAAAGGAAGGCAAUCUUCAACCUUUUCUCCUGUCUCUCUCUUGAUCAAUUCAUGGAAGGCACAUUUGGGUCUUCCGGGGGCUCAUCAAAUGAGUCAGCAAUGUCAAAGGUGGAGGUGGUGGAGCAAGACUACGUGGGGAUGUCAUAUGAGGCAACCUCAUACCCAGCUGAGGCAGAGCUUGUGCUGGGCCUGGGCCUUGGCCUGAGCCUUCGUGGUGGUGGUGCAGGGAAGCAGCCAAAGCCAUGUGCAUGGGGUGAGCGUGGUAGAAUCUUGACUGCUAAAGUUAGGUGCUGAGUUACACUGUGUUCUCUGCUACUGACCCUAAGAGGAGUGCUAGAAACUUCCAUGUUCCGCCAUCAUUUCGCUUUCACUGUUACAAGGCACUGGAGUAUGUUUAAUUGAAAAGUGAGAUACACAGCAAGUUGAUCAGCCUAGUGGAAAGCAAAGGAUUAUUGCCAGGGAUAUGAACACCCACCGAAAUAAAGGGAUAAGUACUCUUUUUCCCUUCGACCAGUUUUUUUUUGUCCCACUGGGUUUUUACUGGCAAGGUUUUUCACGAAACAUAUUCCGUAUCAUUUGUGGUCUCUAAGAGGGAGUGUUGUAAAUUAUAAGGUGGAGCCCACAUGUUGGAAGGCUUUGCCUACAAAAGGGUUCACACCCUCCCUUUGUAAUUAGACAUUGAGAAUACUAAGGAAGACAGAAAUGAAUAGAGAGAAAACAUUCCCUUCUCUCCAUCUCAAUUCCCUCUCCAAUUCCUCUAGAUUUAUAACAAAAAGUAAAUUCUACACAUAUGUUGCCCAUCCAGGUGGUCCCAUAUCUUCUCUUUCCUUUUCUUUUGGCUAUUAGACUUCUUGUUUCUCUCUCUCUCUUUGCUACCCCACAUCAGCAAGUUUCUCCCUCUCUUUUUUUGGGAUCAAAUUCUUCUUCUAUUGACAAAAUCUUCUAUUAUAUUGGGUGGGCAACUUGGCAACAACAUCUUCUCCUCUCCUUUUGUCAACAGCAAGUAUUAUUCUCAUUCUCUCAUUUGCUAUAUAUCUUUAAUUAUAGUUUUAAUUUAAAAUUGAGUAUUCUAGGGUUUAAUUAGGGAUGAAUUAUAAUUUUGGGAUUUUGUUGAAAUUAAUUAGGGCUUCGAUUAGGGGUGAAUUAUUCUACUGCUUUGAUUUGGAAUUUUGUUAAAAUUGAGUAUUAUAGGUUUAAUUAUGGAUGAAUUACAAUUUUUGGUUUUGGUAUUGUUGAGAUGUUAUUAUGAGAAUUUGUUUGAUUUUUUGUUGGUAUAUUUGAUUAAAAUUCUUUCUACAUAUUAUUCAUAGGCUAUCUUUUAUUAUGUCGGAUCACAAUCGGAAUCCCAAGAAAACAAAAAAUUUGAAUAGUGUUGUUUUGUAUUGCAUUGCAUUUACUUUUGGUUUUAGUUUUGCUUUUAGUGUAAAUUACUCAAAUGGUCCUCAAAUUUGUACCCAAUUUACAUUUUGGUCCAUAAACUAAAUUAUUCAUUCAAAUGGUCCACCAACUCUUUAUUAAUCGGUGCUUUGGUCCUAUCGUUAUGUUUUCUAUUAAAUUUAGUCAUGUGAGCAGCACAUGCUACAUUUGUAUGGGUAAAUAAGACUUUUGACCAGUGGCGGAUCCACGUUGGGACAAGAGGGGUCGGACGACCCCUUGGAAGGCUGGAAAUUUGGCAAGGGAGUCCAUGAAAGCCCCCUUGGACAGCUGCUGGAAGCCCCCUUGUAUGCACACAAUGUGCUCGACGAAAUGCCCCAACGAAAUGUCCUGCGCAGCUGUGCUGCGCCUUGCGCGUAAUUUUUUUUUAAAACCAGCCUUGCCAAACGACGUCGUUUGGUCAAGGCUCAGUCAAAUUUUUUUUUAAUUAACCUGGCCUCAAAACGACGUCGUUUUGGGCCAGGUUUAAAAAAAAAAAAACAGAACAGUACACACGCACAGCAGCUCUGCACAGAUUCAUUUUCUCCAAACCUUUCAUUCCCAAUUCCACAGCCCCUCUUCCCAUCCUCUCAAACCCUAACCUCCCAACCUCCCAACCUUGGACAACCUCCAUCAACUCUUCACCGGUGGCCCAAUGCCGAUCACCACCACCUUCUACCGCCGUCCGCCGCCCAUUUUUUAAACUACAAGUAAGUAAGCAUGGAAAAUCUGAUAUUAAUAAUUAUAGUGAUAAUAUAUAUUGUUGAUAUUGAUAUUUUUUUUUUAUGUAAUGAAAUUUAUGGAUAUGAAUCAUAUUGAUUGAUUGAGUUUAUGCUUGAAAUUUAUGGAUAUGAAUCAUAUUGAUAUUUUUUUUUAUGUAAUUAAAUUUAUGGAUAUGAAUCAUAGUGAUAAUCAUAUUAAUGUAGAUUGAUUGAGUUUAUGCUUGAUUGAUAAUAUGAAUUGAUUGGGUAUAUUAAAUAUUGAUUGCUAUUUGAUAUGAUAAUUUGGUAUAUUGAAUAUUGAUUGAUAUGGGUUUAGGGAGUAUAUUGAAUAUUGAGAGUGGGUUAUUGAAAUUUUCAUAUUCAUAUGAUAAUUAGGAUAAAAAUUAAUGAUUGAUUGAAUUAAUUGAUUUGUAGAUUUAUGGAACGAUUCUUUAAAAGAAAAUUAUCUACGGAUAGUUCUUCUCUGUCUAAUCCGGGUAGUUCAAAUGCAAGACCAAUUGAAGUAGAUGAGAUCUUAGCUAAUCUUCAAGCAGACCCUGGACUAAGAACUCGAAUGGCGGAUUAUAGUCCUAAUAUUAGGGAUGAGAUCCGAAGAGCAUAUCUACAAAAGGGACCUUGUCAACCUAGAAGUUAUAAAUUCCCACAAACUAAUCAAUCAGGAAUUAAUAGACGCUUCAUUGCUCAUUGGUUUGAUGAUCAUGAUUGGUUGGAAUAUAGUAUUGCUAAAGAUGCUACGUUUUGUCUUCAUUGUUAUCUCUUCAAAUCUAAUUUUGAUCAAGUGGGUGGUGAUGCAUUCACUGGGGUAGGCUUCAAUAAUUGGAAGAAGGCGAAAGAAAGAUUUAACCUUCAUAUUGGACCGGUUGGUAGUGUUCACAACCAAGCUAGAGAAGUUGCUUACAAUUUGAUGCAUCAAACUACACACAUUGAAACAAUUGUGCUCAAGCAAACAAGCCAAGCUCGCACGGCUUAUCGCACUUGCUUGAAUGCAUCACUUAAGUGCACUAGGUAUUUGUUGCGGCAAGGGCUUUCUUUUCGUGGUCAUGAUGAAAGUGCACAAUCAAGUAAUAAAGGGAAUUAUUUAGAGCUCUUGCAAUUUCUUGCGGAUCAUGAUGAAAAAGUUAAGGCCGUUGUAUUGGAAAAUGCUCCGGGAAAUUUAAAGUUAAUAGCUCCUUCAAUUCAAAAAGAUCUUGUCAAUUCUUGUGCCAAAGAAACCAUUGAUCUUAUCUUGAGUGAUGUAAAAGAUAGAUAUUUUUCAAUAAUGGUGGAUGAAGCACGUGAUGUUUCAAUAAAGGAGCAAAUGGCAAUGGUGUUGCGUUAUGUGAAUGACAAAGGACAAAUAAUUGAAAGGUUUGUGGGGGUUCAACAUGUAACCGACACUACUUCAAGUGCACUAAAGGAAACAAUUGAUGAAUUCUUUUCUUCCGCGAAUUUGAGCUUUUCCAAGCUACGAGGACAAGGUUAUGAUGGAGCUAGCAAUAUGAGAGGUGAGUUCAAUGGCCUUAAGAGAAAGAUUUUGAGAGAACAACCUUGUGCAUUUUAUGUUCAUUGCUUUGCUCAUCAACUUCAACUAGCUCUUGUUGCGGUAGCAAAGAAAAACAUUGAUGUCAACUCUUUUUUCACAACGGCUAAUAGUUUGGUUAAUGUGGUUGGAGCAUCUUGUAAGCGUCGCGAUGCACUUAGAGCACAAUACCAAGAAGAGCUUGUGAGAGCUUUUGAAGAUGAUUGUCUUAUAACGGGGCGGGGCUUAAAUCAAGAAAGGACUCUCAAACGUGCCGGCAAUACACGAUGGAACUCACAUUAUGGUACGUUGAUUAGUAUCAUUUCUAUGUUCCCAUCUGUGGUGAAUGUGCUUCAAAUGAUUGUUGAUGAUAAUCUUAAUGAUAGUUCGGGUGAAGCCUAUAAGUUAAGGAGAGAAAUACAAUCUUUUGAGUUUGUGUUUCACUUAUUUGUAAUGAAAGCUAUAUUGGGAAUAACAAACACUUUGUCUCUAGCAUUGCAAAAGAAAGAUCAAGACAUUGUGAGUACAAUGAAUUUAGUGAAAACAUGCAAGGAAAACCUGCAGUUGAUGAGGGAUAAUGAGUUUGAAGAAUUGGUUGGGCAAGCAUCCUCGUUUUGUUACAAAUAUGAUAUUAUAGUUCCUACCAUGGAUGAGGAAUAUGUAAUUCCAGGGAGAUCAUGGCGUAAUGCUCCAAUGAAGACAAAUUAUCAUCGUUAUCGUGUGGAGAUCUUUAUUCAUGUAAUUGAUGGGCAACUUGCGGAAUUAAAUGAUCGCUUCAACGAGGUAAGUACUGAGUUACUUACUUGUUUGGCAUGCUUGAGUCCAAAAAAUAACUUUGUGACUUUUGACAAACGAAAGCUAGUUCGUCUUGCUCAAUUUUAUCCUUAUGAUUUUUCGGAUAGAGACUUAUUGAUGCUUGAAGAUCAACUUGGUGUUUAUGUUCAUCAUAUGCGUUCGAGUAGUGAUUUUUCUCAAUUGGAAGGGAUUAGUAGUCUUGCGGAAAAAAUGGUGGAGAAAGGAAUGCAUGAAAUAUUUCCUUUUGUAUUUGCUUCUUACAUUGGCUUUGGUUUUACCGGUUGCAACUGCAUCAGUGGAGAGGGCAUUUUCCGCUAUGAAUAUUAUUAAAAAUCCACUUCGCAACAGAAUGGGAGAUCAAUGGUUGAAUGAUAGCUUGCUUGUUUACAUUGAGAGAGAUGUUUUUGCUUGUAUUGAUAACGAAAUUAUAAUGCAAUGUUUUCAGAAUAUGAAAACUCGUCGUGGACAAUUGUAACUUGUAUUAUUGGUUUUGUUAUGAAUUAUGAAUGAAAGUACUAUCUUUCUAUCUUUUUAGCAUUAUUUUCUUUGUAGAAAAAUUUCAGAACUUUUACACUAAGCCCCCUUGGCUACAUAAUCCUGGAUCCGCCACUGCUUUUGACCACUUUAUCACCUAUGUAUCACCACUUUAUAACCUAUUUGGGGAACAUAGGUCAGUUAUGGACGGUUUUACCCUUACAUUUGACGGCAACAUUAACAUAAUGUAACAGUGGGAUCAAUGGAGUGAUUAAUAUAAAGUUGAUGGACCAUUUGAAUGAAUAAUUUAAUUGAGAGACCAAAAUGUAAAUCAAGUAUAAGUUUGAGGACCAUUUGAGUAAUUUACCCUUCGCUUUUAUAUUUGUUGAACUUUUAUUUAUGAUAGAUAUGCAUUUAAGGGUAAGACCCAUUAUGUUCCCCUGGCUAGGUGUAUCUUUUUAUGUUUAUUAAUGAAAUUCACUCGAACUGUUGAGUUUAGUAUGUAAGUUUUGCCUAACUGGCUUUUGAAUCCUAGAACCGCCACUGUUGCUCCAUCCUCCAUGCACUUGCAUGUGCUCUUACAAAGUGUGAAGUAGAUUUUGUGUGCUCCAAGUCAUUGACUAGAGCUGAAACAUGGUUAGCUAGAUUUAUAAGGACCCAUCUCUUUAUUUCCUAGACAUAUACCCAUCUCUCUAUAAAUCUAUAUGUAAAACCUAAUUUCAAACUUAAAUGACCAGUAGGAUAUAAAAGGUCAUAGUAUUCCUAUGUUUUUAUAUCGUUGCCACCAGACUUCUUAUUUUAUUUAUAAUUUAUUUCAAGCAUUUCAUUAACUGCCAUAAUUGUAAUUAAUACUCCAUAUUAAUAGCAUAUCAAUCACCCCAUUUCUUUUGGUUGCCAUUCCCUCUAACAUAUCGCCCCUUAAAUUUGAAAACCAAAAAAAAAAAAUGUAAAUUACAUAUCCAAUAAUGUACCUAUGAAAAAUAUAAAUAUAAAUAUAUACAUAUAAAAAUAUAGGUAUAUUAUUUACCAAAUAGAAAAUAUAAAAACCUAGGUCAGUUGCUUUGUAAUUGAAAUUUCUGUACAUUUUCCACAAAUUAAAAAUAGGUACAUAAUAAUUUAUAGAAAAUAUAUGUACAUUAUUUAUCCAUAGGUAAAAAUACCGAUAAAUGCACAUAGGUGAAUUAUUUACCAAUAUAUUAUUUUUUUGCUAAGGAUUUACCUUAGUUUUUAGUAGAUUAAUUUACCUACCUAGAGGCAUAGGUAGCUUAAAAAAAAUGUACCACCUUAGUUGGUUGCAUACUAAUUUACCUACCUAGAGGCAUAGGUUGCUAAGAAAAAAUGUAGGUAAAUUCAUGUACCUAAACACAUAGGGGUCAAAUAGAGAAUAACAUGUUAUUUCCCUUUGAACAAAUUAAUUUCAAACCAUAACAAUUAUUGAAUUUGGAAAUUGGUAUAAAUAAAAGGAAAUAAAUAAACUAUCAAUUUGAAAAUUAAAAUAAGAAAUGAUCAAGUAGUCAUAUUUGAAAAAAAAGGAAAGAAUAUAUUCUUGGUUUUUAUAGGAACAACGAGUAUAUUCAAACCAAACGGCGAUAACUACACCAAGCUUUAAUUACUUUUUUUUAAGGCCAAAAGUCACUUUUGGUCCCUGUAGUUCGGCAUUUCUACCACUUUUGAUGUUGUAGUUUCAAUUCCGUCAAUUUUGCCAUUGUAGUUUCGUAUUUGUAGCAAUUCAAGGACCUGUUAAUAUUAAUGUCAAUUUGUUUAAUGAUGCAAGAGGUAAUUUCGUCAUCCCAAAAUCCUUGAGCAUAAAAGAUUGUCUGAAAUUCUCCCCAUUUCAUAUUAGGGCUCGAAAUUCAACCACUAAUCCUAAUUUUUGAAGAACCCUAGACCCAAAUGACCAAUUUCAAGCCCUAAUAUGAAAUUACGGAAGUUUUAGAUGAGCUUUUAUGCUCAAGGAUUUUGAGUUGAAGAAACUGCCCCUUGCACUGUCAAAUAAAUUGACAGGAAUACUGACUUGUCCUUGAAUUGCUACAAAUACAAAACUACAGUGUCAAAAUUAACAGAAUUUAAACUAUAGGGUCAAAAGUAGUUGAAGUGUCAAACUAUAAGGACCAAAAGUGACUUUUAGCCUUUUUGUUUCAAUAAGGAAAAAACUGACCUAUUAAAUCCUUGGAAUCUAUACAAAAUUGAAACACAAUUAAUCAACAUUGAAUUGCAGCUAAUUUCUUAAACAAGGGUAUUAUAGGAAUUUAAAAAGUAUAACAUUUAAUCCAUUGAAUUUGAUUAGGAAACUUGAUGAAUUGAAUCCUAGUUAUAUAGUUUUUCUUAUAAAAAUCAGGUUUUAUUUAUAGACAAAUAAAACAAUGGGUUGUAGGUAAGAAAAUAUUAAUUUGAAGGGAAAGAGUCAAAUUUACUAAAUUAAUAAAGCAUAAAUUGGAAAGGGAAAAGAUCUAGAGGAUGCAUUGUAGGAUUGCUCAUGCCAAUAAUUGCACCCUCUCGAUAUUGAAAAACCUAUUGUUUAUUAUUAUCUUCAAUCCUGAAUGAUGCACCUAAAACCCAAGUGUCUCAGGCCAACCAUUGCGCUCAUACCACUUGUUGCAGUACACAUUCACCUGUUUUUAAAGAAAGAAAUUCUACCAAUCGAUAUUUUCUCAAAUUUAAUCACAUAGAUCUAUUAUGGUUAACCAUAUGUACUUUUAUCUGCCAUCCAGAGGUACCUUUUUCCAACGUGCAACAAUUGUAUUUGAUUCACAAUUAUGUCUGAUAUACAUCACAUCAUGCCACUUGCCUCAAAUGAAUUUAAUUGAGUGAGGCAAUGGGAAGUAAUUAAGCUCUAUAUUGGUGGGUGGAGUGUUACUUCUGGAACCCUCAUCAUUCGUCCAUACAGGGGAACAAUUCCCUUCCUUCUAUAAAAUGGGAGCAAUUCUCUCACUGUACUCUAUAUAAAGGAAUAAGUGUCGUCCACUAAUUAAUUACACUUUGUGAGAUUUGAUUUUAAUUAGAGUUCGAAUUAAUGUUGCAGCUAGCAGCGGUGGCACUGGCAAACCAUGCUGCUCAACCAGCACCUCCACUUUACUGGAAUUCCAUCCUGCCAAACACACAAAUGCCAAGAGCUAUCAGUGAACUUCUGCAUCCUGAUUUGUGUUGAAUAGAUAUAGUAUGUUACUGGAGUACGUAUGGCAACAUAUUCACAAAUGUGUCACGUAUUUUCCAUUAUGACGUUGAUAUAUAAUUGCAGACUCCACAAACGAAGAAAAGAGCACAAAUGUCAUGAAUGCUGUUGGGAAUGGAAAGCCAAUUGACCACAAGGGCAAACCUGAAAAUACUGUACUACCACAGCUUGCACGACGCCCAUUUUCUUACAAGAGUGAUGAUCGUCCCACUGACAAUCAACUCCAUUAUAAAAACGUAGCUAUUUUCUUCUUGGAGAAGGACAUGCGCCCUGGCACAACAAUGAGCUUCCAAUUCCCUAGAAAUUCAAACACGGCUACUUUCCUGCCACGAGAAAGAGCUCAAUCGAUCCCCUUCUCCUCUAACAAACUACCAGAAAUUUUCAACCAUUUUUCAGUGAAGCCAACAUCUGUGGAAGCCAAAACAAUUAAGCAAACAAUCGAAGAGUGUGAGGCUCCAGGCAUUAAGGGAGAGGAAAUAUAUUGCGCCACAUCUUUAGAAUCAAUGGUUGAUUUUAGCACUUCGAAGCUUCGAACAAGAAACGUUCAAGCAAUCUCGACGGAGGUAUUGGAAAAAGGUGCCACCAUGUCCAUGCACAAGCACACAACAAUGCCGGGACUGAAGAAGUUGGCAGGUGUCAAAGUCGUUUUGUGUCAUAAGCAGAACUAUCCCUAUGCUGUGUUUUACUGCCAUGUAAUAAAACCAACAGCAGCUUAUGUUCUCUCCCUGAAAGGCGAUGAUGGGGUGAAAGUUAAAGCAGUAGCCAUCUGCCAUCUAGACACAUCAGAAUGGAACCCAAAGCAUUUGGCCUUCCAAAUCCUCAAAGUUAAGCCCGGAACAAUUCCCAUCUGCCAUUUCCUUCCCACUGAUCAUAUUGUCUGGGUUCCGAACCACAAAUCUGCAUGAUCAUCACUUAGCACUGUACGUAUAAUAACCUUUACCCCUGUAUAAUUAUCUCCCUACUCUACUUAUUUCUGCCUCUUCAUGUGGUGUAAGAUAUAUGAUGAGAUGAAGUUUUUGGGAUUAGUGGUCGGGUUGCCUUAAAAACACAGAUUACAGAAACUGCUUGAACUUAACCCGAUCAUGUUUUCUCUUGUACUCGUAAAGCAUGCUGUUGUGGUUCUACUUAAUUUCGUCCUCCCCAAUGUUUGAGUGUUUAAUUGUUACGUUGGAAUAGGCUGCUAAUGCAUGUAGUUAGAGAAGCUUUCAUUUAUAUCAAAGUCCUCAAACUAUCAAGAAUUAAUGCAUCCAGAAACAUAUAUACCAAGACGCAAAACAACAUAUUUUCCAUGCUGUGUCGGUAACACCAAAGCAAACUUCCUUUAUCACAAAAGGACCAAAUUCCAAUACUAAUCUAAUCCAUCAUGUAAAGCAUACAAUCUACAACUGCCUCCCUAAAUUUGUCCAUUGGAUAUAUAUGUCACUUUUUGGUAAUUUGGUAUAGCAGCACCACGUAGUAUGCAUUUAACAGAAAAGUAAACAAAAUUGACAGUAGAACUAUUUGUCCUAACGAAACUGAAGUUGAAAGACCAUGAGAACGAUUUUGAAAAUUAAGGGACUCAAAUGAAAAUUGGGUCUAAGUUCAGGGACCAAUAAAACGAUUAACCCAUAGAUUUUGGAUCCAGUACCACAUCCCAAAGAGAAAACCACAAGUUUGCAAGCAAGUUUGUCCAUACUAACACUACGUACAGUAUGGGCAAUGUGCUAGACUCAUCUCACUUUCUCAACCUAUCCUAUACUUGUCUAAAAGAGUUUCUAAUUUAAUGUACUGAGAUUUACGAAAGAAAUAUCAGAGAAACAAUUUUCAGGCAAUAAAAAAAUGUCUUGGCAAGAAAAUGCACAAUUUGUUACAUAACUUAUUAAAUAUGAACAGUUGAAAGAAAAAAGAAUUUGGAUGAGGGAUUUGCAAAUUCCUAUGGCCCAAUUACCUUUUUUUCUUUGUUUUUUUUUGGUUCUUUUGAUCCAGUAGCAUAUUCCAAAGAAUGAAAACCACAGGCAUGCAAUGCAAGCUCUUUUCCCAUGUUUUCCUCUGUUUUUCUCCUAUCAUGGAAGUGAUUAAAACACACCUCUAAGCUUGUUUUGCGUUUGGUAGCCGAGUGUAAAAGCUCAAUGCAAGAUAGUUUGAGGUAGAAUUUUCUCCUGUUUUAUUAGGACAAUGAUGAGCUAUAUGUGACAACAAAUUGCUUUAAUAAUGAAAAUUAAAAAAGUGUGAUUCAUUGAAUAUUUGCGGGGUUUUGUUCAGAGCUGACAAAGUUCUAAGUCAACACAUCAAAUUCCUUUUUCCAACAAUCGUAUUUGAUUCACAAUUUUGUCUGAUAUACAUCACAUCAUGACACUUGCAUCAAAUGAAUUUAAUUGAGUGAGGCAAUGGGAAGUAAUUAAGCUCUAUAUUGGUGGGUGGAGUGUUACUUCUGGAAUCCUAAUCAUUCGUCCCUACAGGACUCUAGAACUCUCACACUUCUUACAAGGACUACUUAACUCUAUAGCUUAUUGCAUAUAGCAUAUAUAUGCAAACCCAAUUAGAAAUUCUACAACAGAAGCAAGAUCAAUCUCACUAUGCCUUCUAAACAAACAAACAAAUAAAACAAGCAUAUUAAUUGCUUUAAUCACUCUACUAACAUCAACACAGCACACUUAGUUUACUAACAGAUGAUAUAGAAAGGAAAAAAAAGGACCAAUAGGGAGAAAAUGGUGAACUAAGGAGAGACUAAUACUUCUGGUCCUUAGAAGGCAUAACAGAAAUAAUAGAGCACACUGCUUGAAUGCAAGUCAGUAUUAGGAGCAAAACAGCUGCAAUGAAAGAAAUAGUUGCCCAAGGUGUAUUGAAAUAAUGUUGCCUCAAAUUUGCCUUCCAUUUGUUCCAAGGCUUUCUGCAGUAGCUAUUAAGGCGCUCAGAAAGAGUAGCAAAGUAGAAGCUUUCACGAUACACUGCAAUUCCUUUUCCGAGGUUGUUAAUCAGAGUGCACACCUCAUUGUAGUCACCAAGCAUAUUUUUGACAAUCCCAUACUUCAGAAGGAACUCCACAUCCUUUUCGGUGUUCACAAACUCAUCCAUGAGUGAAACAUAAUCACUUAUGUAAUUCUUACGGCAAUGGCACUAUUCAAAGGCAAUGAGGUUAUGGAGUGUGAGCUCUGUGUAAUCGUUUAUUUUUAGUUUUGGAAUUUCUAGAAUCCCAUCGUUGAAUCGUGUUAACGCAGCUUUCCUUUCCUAGCCUACGCGGAAGUCAACUUCACAAUCUCCUCCUAGCAAUUAGCCUUUCCUACUGUAAAUCGGAUUGUAUUCAUGUCUAUAUUAUUUCCUACCUUAAAUAGAUAUCCUGUACUAGUAUACAUAGGGACUUUGUGUAAUCUGUUAAAUACAAGGAAAUAUAUACUCUACAUGGUAUCAACCUAACCUAGGGUUCUCUCUCUCCCCCUUAUUCGAUCCUCUUCUCCUUUAGGUCCACCUCAUGGCUUCGUUUGAAUCCACCAUCUCCCUCCCAAGCCCUAACUCUUCUCAUUUUAUCAAGCUUACUAACUCCAACUAUCUUCUUUGGCUCCGCCAACUCAAACCCUUUUAGUUGGCCAUGACCUCUGGAAAUUUAUCGAUGGCAUUCAUAAACAACCUUCUGCCCACACCUCCACCUCUACCACCACAACACCCACAACCACCACCACUCUUACCGAAAUCAAUCCUACCUAUGCUCAGUGGUACCAACAAGACCAACUCAUUGUUAGCUACAUCACCAGUACACUCUCUGAGUCCAUUUUCUCUCUCACUGUCGGUUGCAUCUCUGCCCGGGAUCUCUGGGAGUGUCUCCAAUGCCACUUCUCUUAAUCCAAUAUGGCCAGUGAAUCUGCUCUUCGUUUUCAACUCAUGGAUUUGCAAAAAGGCUCUCAACCCAUUGAUGCUUACCUUCGUCAUGCUAAGUCUCUUGCCGAUUCACUAGCUGCCAUCAAUUAACCUGUCUCCCCAAAAGAACUUGUCACUGCUGUGCUUCGGGGUUUAGGACCCGAUCACAAAAUGCUCAUCACAGCAAUUCUCAAUUUCUCUCCGCUUCCAGACUUUGCUGAUCUUCGUGCUCGUUUGUUAGCUUUUGAUGCACAGACUCCUCGAAUCUUUCCUGAUCAAAACACAACGCUAAUGGCCACCCAAUCUUCUCCUUACACCACCGGUCAUACUUCCUUCCCUUCUCACCGUGGUUGUGGCUCUUCCAGCAAUAGGCGCGGUGGCUGGUGCAGUAUUGGCCGUGGUGGCUGGCACAACUUCUCAUCUUCCUAGAGCAACCCGUGGAAUGGCUUCCAGCAGCCCUAAUGACCUAAUCAACUGUGGCCUCCUUUUGCUCUAAGUUUUGGAUCUCAAAGCAACUGGCCUUCCUUUCAACCUCUUUGGGCCCAAUCUGCCGCUUCUAGCAAACACUCUGCCCGACCCAACUCAGCUCCUGGUGUCUUGGGACCCGCUUGGUGCACCACAUGCAAUACCAAUCGACAUACUACUACAACAUGUCCUUAUUGCUACAAUGGCCCAGAAUUCUUCCUUUGCUGGGGCUCAAUUCAUGCAGCCACCUAACUCUACAUGGUACCCUGACACAAGUGCCACUCAUCAUAUGACUGGUAGUUCUUCUAAUCUCCAAAGGAAAUUAAAUGAAGGAGUCCUACGAAGGCUCAAGGCUCGAAAGCACACGAUCCGGCUCUGCUGCGGAGCUCACUCAACUACUGGCUGAGGGGGCGCAAAACAGAAAAUUGUGAGUGGACAAAAAUAAAAAUUCAGUUCAGUGUAAACCAACGUAAUAUAACCCCACCGUUUAGAAAACCAUGCAAGAAAUCCAAAUGCAUCUCAAAACCAUCAUAAUCAUCAAAUCAAAAUCAAAUACUGGAUGCCAAGUCCGAAAUCCAUAAAGAAAGCUUUACAAACCCACCAUCCAAAUCUUACAAUCCCACAACUAAACUCUCGAAAGCGUACCCAUUGGCAGUACCAGCAAGGAAGUAUCCUCACCGAGAAACAAGAACAAAAGAAUAGCUAUAUAUAUAAUUAUAUAAUAUAACCACACCUAGUUGUACCGGGAAAACAAUCCAACCGGGGGAUUGUUUGACUAGUCACCAUGGCAGAGUCAAAGUAAACAAAUUCCUCAAUUCACCAUGUGACUAGGGAACGAGCUGUCCAACUGGGGGACCAACUCUCAGCCAGCAUGUACCGUCGAUAGCCUCAAAACCCGUACGUCUGUGACCAGUCCUACGCGUGCAGACUACCCAAUCAAGGGUUUACAGCAACAUCCCAUCAAGGAUGCCCUAGGUUCCCACAAUUCCAAGUAUCUCAAGUUUGCGUAUCCAAGUUCCAAAUCCGGGGAGGUACAUAGGGUAGUGCUUAUAGCACUCCAAAUUGACAUUCUAUACUCAUCACUUUCCACAAUCUCAUCUCAACAACCUAAGUACCCCACACAUAGCCAAACAUAUAUAGAAAUUCUCAAAAUCCAUAUAUACAUACUCAAGAUACUCAAAUAUGUCAAAAUCCAAAAUAUAUUUCCAAUGCAUCAUAAAAAUAUCACUUUUAACAAUUGAAUAAAUAAUAUAUAUCCAAUAUACCAAUUAAAACAUCAUGCAUAAUAUUUCCCAUCAUAAAAUCAUGCAUAAGAUUUGAAAACAAAGUCCACUCACAAGUAGUCCCACACUGCUUGACCUUGAGAGGGUCCCGCCUACUGCGUAUGCGUGGUUGGAGUACCUAUUUCAGAAUACGUAUACGAGAUUAAUAAGAAGCGUUUCGAACGAGAACUUUGAAUUAAAUAUCCUAAUUUCCCAGGUUUCUAGUAAGUGUACUAGGAACGAGACGUUCUAAGGUUCCACUACCCAAUUCGAACCAUGGAAGAGCUUCGGGAGACACUCGGUCAACCGGCGGUCAAAUUCCCAAAUCGGGUCAACUGGCCCACGGGACCCACGACCUCCGUUUUUAAAAUCCGUAAGUUCCUAAAGGUUUCACAAUGUCUAAGAUACUACUAUCACAAGUUUGGUCCGAAACGGACUGUUAGAUCGCUUACGAUCGCACGAUCAGACGGUUAUUGUAAAACGUAAACUUUAAGUUAUUGAAUCAGAACAUCCGGGGCUCCGAUUCACGAUCCGCGAAUUCCUACACGAUCCUAGGAAGGUCUAGAGUAACAUAUAUUGGAAUGGAGUCGAUCCAAAGGUCCGAACAUAUCGAACCUAGACCGGAUAACUCCUAAUAUGUGAGAUUCGUUCGGGGUUCGAACAUCAACCAAAUUGGAAUCCUAAGGUACCUACGUGCUCGUGACAUUAAGGGGAUCAAUUGGGACAAAAAUGCCCCUCUGCUACAGUGCCCACGUGCCACCACACGCGGCGGUAGAGAGUGGGUGUCCAAAGCGAUUUCUCUUCGCCGGAAAAUCUCCAAAUUACAAGCCACUCUCCUGGCUACAGGUUCUACUCAACGAGUGGAACACUUUAUUCAACUACAGCCAAGUCCAAUUCGGACGGCAAGUGGCCGGAAACUCACGGUUUAACCCGGAACUUCAUGGCUUGGAUUGGGCGACCAUCGUCACCAUUGUCGUGGCACAACCUAGGAAAUAGCUAAAAGGAGAGGAGGGCUACCUAUUCCAAGCGAUGGCGCAGCUCGCGGUAGCCGAAAAUGUAGCCGAUGACGUUGGCAGUUUUGGCCGGUUUUUCACGUCGUUGCCAUCGCCGUUUGUCGAGUUUUCGAUUGGAGAAAAGGGGUGGGGUGAGUAGAGGAGGAAGAGAGGAAGCUUUUGCAAGAAAUGACACUUGUCAGGGAGGGGGGGGUUGGGGGAAGAGAGAGAGAGAGAGAGAGAGAGAGAGAGAAAAAAAAAAAAUUUCAGAUUUUCAUCCAAACCCUUUUCGAAAUAUUUACAAGUUUGCCACUAAACUACUUUUGGUUGCCAAAUCUUCGUUAUAACUCCGAUUCAAGCCUACCACGUGUCUACGGAUUCGUCUCAAUACAACCUACCCAAAAAUACCAGUCACUGCCCCAAACUCUUUUUGGGUAAGAAAAUGACCAAAAUACCCCUACCCCAAGGGUAAAUUCAUAAUUUCACUUCAAUAAUUUAAUAAAGAAUUAAAUUUGGAGUCGGGGUGUUACAUUAACUACCUGUUUAGUAGGUGUGGGGUUUUAUACAAAAAGCAUCGAUGUUAUUGGGAGUGGAACCACUUAUUAUAAGUUGUGAUUUAUUUAGUCAAGUUUCCUAUGUGGGAUUUUCUAUUCUUCAACAAGCCCCCUCAUGUGGGACCACCACAUAGUGGGCCACAUGUAAAGCUAAGUCCACAUCGGAGUCAAUCAUUCAAGCCCAAUACCUAAACACCACGUAUUGUGUGAGGGGUAGGGGUAAACAUUCAAGCCCAACAUGUGAACCACCAAAUAUUAAGUAAGGGUAAAGGCUCAAUUCAGGCCCAAUCAAUGAACCCAUUAUGAUAUCAUGUUAAAUUUCAGAUAGACGGGACUGUGGCCCACCACUAGCAACAUUGAUAUUGUCCCCAACUUAACUACAUGUUUAGUAGGUGUGGAGUUCUAUACAUAAGGUCUCGAUGUUUUUAGGAGUGGAACCACUUAUUAUAAGUUAUAAUUUAUUUAGUCAAGUUUCCAGUCAACCUGACUUUGAUACCAUGUUAAGAUUUUAAAGGGACGAACUCUUGGCACUAUUAGUAACAUCGACAUUGUCCCCAACUUAACCACCUGUUUAGCAAGUGUGGGGUUUUAUCCUAAAGGCCUCGAUCUUAUUAAGAGUUGAGUCAUUUAUUAUAUGGAACUUUCUAUUUUGUUAACUCUGUGUAUUCUUCAUCAAUGUGAACACCCCUAAACCAAUCAUACCUGAUACGAAUUGAAACACAAGUUUGUUUUUUGCCUUUGGUAGAUGAGUAGCUAGAAAAGCUCAAUGCACUUGCUCUUCUGCUACAUUUCAAUAUAAGAACAAGGUUUGGAAGUCAGGUCAACUCCUCAUAGCUUCCUUGCCUUUGCUUUGACAUGUCUAUGCACUUCUUGGGGAAGUUUGAAUAAUCCAUUGCAGGCCCCAUGACAACUAAGGAACCAACAUUUUGUAGAAGGUUUUGUCUAUACCUUUUGACUAUAAGUAAAAUCUUUUGUAUCUGCUCUUAUGUUUCGGUGAAGUUUCUAUGUGUCCUUUGUGCCGAGUUUCUAUGCGUCCUUUGUUGAACCAAAAAAUGAGGUUGUUUCUUACUAGAUUCAAAUACUUAAAAGAAAAAAAGAAAUUGUUGUUUCUUAAUGGAUUUUAUGAUGAACAAUAUCAAACUCUCCUCUUAUACGUCUGUUGGUAAAUUUUAACAACAAUAUUAAAACCUUGCAAGUGCACAAAUCAAAUGAUAGUAUAGUAAGCAAGCAAGGGUCGAUCCCACGGAGAUUGUGAUCUAAAGAGAUGUUUAUCAAUGUCACGCAAUGAAAAUCAAAACAAAGGACUUCCAAACACACGCCAACACCAAGGGGGGUUUUGAUUUGUUUUUGUGAAUCAAACAAAAUAAGGAAAAGGAAACAAAAGAGAAUUUAAAUUAGAGUUUAAGAGAAAUUGGUUUAAAAUCAAUCAAGAUCAAUAGCUAGGACUUACUAUCCACCUCCAAACAAUCAAUCAAUCCAUAAACAACAAUAGAUAAUCAAUUUCUAGUAAGCACACUACUACAAAAAAGCAAAAAGACGACGGUAAAUCACCGUCGUGUAUUCGGUUUUUCAAUGGUCGUGGAAUCCACCGUCAUCUUUUCCCUCAUAAACCACGACGCUAAAUCACCGUCGUUGUUACAAUAUACAACGUCAUCAACAAAUACAAAACGACGUCUUUGUACUGCAAAAAGAUCUAAAAAAGCAAUCGAUGAUGAGAAAAGACGACCAACUCUCUAAACAAACCGUCGUUAAAAAGAAAAAAUAUGACACAUAUUAACAGAACAUGGCCGCAAGAUAGACAUACAACGACGAAAAUUAAAAUAAGACGCCGUUAAAUAUCAUUUUCACGACAAUAAAAAAUAUGUCGUCUUUAAAUACAUUAGAAGACGACGUUAUUGAUACCUACUACGUCGCCUAUAUAAAAAUAACCGUCGUAAAAUAAAUUUUCCACUUCGAUUUUUCUAUAAAAGAUGACGUGGAAAUAGUUGUCAGUGUCAUUAUUUACGACGUAUGUAUUUAUAGAGUAGACGUUGAACAACGAAACAACGUCGGUUACAAAUAUAUGAGAGUCGUAUUACAAAAUUUAUACGUCCUAUUUUCAGAAACAAACAACGACGAUAAAUAUUAGACGUUGUUAAAUAAAACAACGUCGAAAACAAAUAAAAACAGACGUGUUUAGUCUGCUAAAGUUCUAAAAAAUAGUCGAGGAUGAGAAUAGACGACCAACUCAAACAAAUCACCGUCGUUAAAAAGGAAAAAUAUGACACAUAUUAAAAGAACAAGGCCGCAAGAUAGACAUACAACGACGACAACUAAAACACUACGCCGUCAAAUAUAAUUUUCACGACAAGAAAAAAUAUGACGUCUUUAAAUACAUGAGAAGACGACGUUAUUGAAAUAUACUACGUUUCUUAUUUACAAACAACCGUCGUGAAAUAAAUUUUCCACUUCGAUUUUUCUAAAAAAGAUGAUGUGGAAAUAGUUGUCAGUGUCAUUAUUUACGACGUAUGUAUUUAUAUAGUUGACGUUGAAAUGCGAAACAACGUCGGUGGCAUUUAUAUAGUCGACGUUGUAUUUAUAUGUAUUCAUUACUCACGACGCACUUAUUAAUAUAGACGACGUUGAACUUCUAAACAACGUCGGUUCCAAAUAAAUGAGAGCCGUAUUACAGAAAAUAUAGAUGGCGUUGAUUAUGAUGAGAGCCGUAUUACAAAUAACGUCGUUUAAUUGAUAUUAGACGGCGGUUAUAAUGAAUUACCGUCGGAAUUCAUUUCGUUCCUCUUCGUUUAUAAAAGAACUUGCGACGUGGAAAAUGUAUGAUGACGUCGUAUUUUUUAACGUUCAGAUUAUAUAUCUCGUUUUUUAGACGUCGGUAUUAUGGGAUUGGAGUCGUGUUAUUUUGAAUUACAUGGCGGUUCUUAAUCCUUCCCCGACGUGAUAUCCUGAAUAAUUGCUUCAUAAUAGCGUCGUGGUUCUUCAUUGUUACGUUGCUUUAAGACGUCGGUAAAUAUGCUGAAUAACUGGUUCACAAUAACGUCGUGUUUUAUUUGAACGUAGAAAGUGAAGAAAUCACAUUACAAUAUAUUACAAAAUUAAUGUCAUACACUGCCAAUUACAUAAGCAUCAUUCAAUCCAUAUAUCUUCACACCCAUCUCGAAUAUUUUGACCGCCUAACUCACCCACCAGUUCAUCAAAUGUGUCAACAUUUGGCAUCCCUCUAGUAAAUGGCUCACACUCAAUUAUCACAUCACCUAAGACUUCAUCACCAAUAACAUUAUUAUAUUCUCUAUUAGGCAUUGAUAACACUACCGACCAACCACGAUGCAUCGGGUCGUCAACAAAAAAUAUUUGUUUGACUUGAGAAGCCAAAACAAAUUGGUCAUUCCUAUGUCCAAUUUUACUCAAAUCUACAAGGGUAAAUCCAAGUUCGUCGACUACAAGACCAGAACUAUCUAUCCAAUCACACCUAAAGACUGGGAUUGUAAACUUUUGGUAGUCAAGGUCCCAAAUUUCUUGAAUGACACCAUAGAAACCCAUAUUUGAGAGAAUUGAGUUUUUAUCCUUGGCACUAGCAACUUGCAUGGUAUGUGCAAGUAAAUAAACUCCACUAUUUUGAGUUGUCCGCACAUCAUCUUGUGCCUUGAUAUUGAAUUUAAUACCUUUAAUAAGAUAGCUCCUAUAUAAUGGCACAGCCAUGUUUGGACCAGCUGCUAGCCACCUUAAAUUUUCUGAUACGCCAUGAUUGUCUUCCUCAAGUUCACUUUGAACCUGCAAAUUAAUCAUAUAUCUUAAUGCAAUCUAACAUAGAAAUAAGAAGAAAAUUAAAAGAGAAAUAUGUUAUUCAACAACAUAUACCUUGAAGCGUAGCCAUUGAAUGAAAGUGUUAUUGUGCUUAUCCUGCAGCCACUUUGUGAUUUAAGGUAUGACAAUCAUGUGAUUUAAGGCCAAGAAGUCUUGAAUCUUGUAAAGAUACAAGAUUUUUAAUAUUUGAAGAAUAACCUUCAGGGACCUUCAUACCAUAGAAAGAAUUGCAAACCUCUCUCUUCUCUGCUCUUGACAAAUUCCAAGGCCCAGGAGGCAAACGAGUACGUCUUUCUCCAUACUCGGGUUGCAAAUCAGUUUUGACCCCCAUGUUCAAUAAAUCUAAUCGAGCAGCAAUCCCAUCUUUAUUUUUUCCAGGGAUCUCCAGCAAUGUACCAAUGAUACUAUCGCAAACAUUCUUCUCAAUGUGCAUAACAUCUAGGGCAUGCCUCACAGGAAGGUAUUUCCAAUACUCGAGAUCAAAGAAUAUUGAUUUCUUCUUCCAACAAACUCUGUCACCAUUUUCAACCAUGUGCAGCACUUCUUCUCCGGUUAAUGGCUCGGGAGGUAUGCCAUAUUCAGGUUUCCCAUUAAAAGCUGCACGUUGCCUCCUAUAUGGAUGAUUGAUUGGUAACCAUUUUCUAUGCCCAAUGUAACAAAUUUUGUGGCCAUUUUCAACCUGUGACUAGGUGUAUCAUCGCCGCAUAUUGGACAAGCUUUAUAUCCUUUAACAACACAACCAGAUAAGUUUCCAUAGGCGGGGAAAUCAUUAAUUGUCCACAUUAAUGCAGCUCUGAGUGUAAAGUAUUCUCCAUUAUGUGCAUCAUACACUCCUCUAAUCCCAUCCCACAAAGAUUUUAAAUCAUCAAUCAAAGGCUCCAAGUAGACGUCUAUAUCAUUUUCGGGUUGUUUAGGACCGGAAAUCAAUAAGGUUAACAUCAUGAACUUUCGUUUCAUGCACAGCCAUGGAGGGAGAUUAUAUGUAACUAAGAUAACCGGCCAACAACUAUAUCUGCUACUUAGAGAACUGUGGGGAUUGAAUCCAUCAGAUGAAAGAGCCAAUCUCAAGUUUCUCGGCUCAUUACCAAACUCAGGCCAUUUAUCAUCAAGAAGUUUCCAAGACGGGGAAUCCGCCGGAUGAGACAUCUGACCGUCAAUUGAUUUUCUAGCAGCAUGCCAAGUCAAACUCUUAGCUGUCUCAUGUGAUUGAAACAUCCUUUUAAACCUUGGAAUUGGAGGAAAAUACCACACCACCUUCGCUGGCACAUCCUCUUUCAAGAUUGAAUCUUUGCCUUCCUUCCACCUUGAGAUACCACAAGUAGGACAAUUAGUUGAAUCCUCAUACUCCUUCCUAUACAAGAUGCAAUCAUUGGGGCAUGCGUGCAUUUUCUCAUAACUCAGCCCCAAUGCACACAAAGUCUUUUUUGCCUCAUACAUAGAGGUUGGUAUUGUAUUUCCUUCUGGAAGCAAAUCGCCUUGAAGUAUCAAUAAUUCUGUAAAACAGACAUCACUCAUCCCAUGUUUUGCCUUCAAAUUAUACAACUUCACUAAUGCCGAUAACUUCGUGUACUUUCUACAACCAGGGUACACUGGUUGAUCUCCAUCCCCAAUCACAUUGGCAAACUCAUACGGAUCGGAACCAAAAUCACCAAAAUCAUUAUCAUCCAUAUCAAUUUCUUCAGACACAAAACUGUACCUACUAUGGCCAUCAUCUUCUUCAACAUUUCUACUAGCAUUAGUAGUUGCUUCCCAAGGUUCUCCGUGAAAUGUCCAAUUCUUAUAGCUUUGGUCAAUUCCAUUAAAGUAUAAGUGAUCCCUUAUAAUUCCAACCCCAAACAACUUCAAAUUAACACAUUUAACACAUGGACAACGGAUAUGUGUUGUAGUUAGAAGAUUUUCUACAGCAAAGUUCAAAAAUGCUUCCACCCCAAACUCAUAUGCCUUCGAUCUUCUAUCCGAGUGCAUCCAUGACUUAUUCAUCUCCGACACUAUAACCUAUUAUCUAUAAUAAAGUGAAAAUACAGGCAAUGACCAUCACUAUAGCAGAUUAUACAAAGAUCUAAUAGCAAGUAAUACAUAACAGAGACGACGGGUUUUAAACAAAAACAGACGUAUUUGGCAUAUAUAGACGACGGAUUUUCAACAGACGUCGUCUAAUAUAAGUAAUACAAACGACGGUUUAUGAAAAAACCGUCGUGUAUAAGUAAUACAACGACGGUUUUUUCAUAAACCGUCGUGUAAUCGUCGUCGUAUGCCUAAAAAGGCGUCGUGUCUCAGUUUAUUUUCAAGAACCCAAAACCCAUUAAGAACACAACAUAUAUAUGAAACCAAGCAAGAAACCAACAUAUACAUGAAGCCAAGCAUGAAAACAAUAAAUCCAUUCCCAAUUCAACAUAACAUAGGGUGAUUAAAAGAUCCGACAAAAUUAAAACCAUUCCCAAUUCAACAUAACAGAUAAUGUAAUCCAUGAACCCAUUAAACAGAAAAUCCAUGAACCUAUACCUAUAAGCACAUUAUUAACAGAUCGCAAAGCAUAUACCUAAAACCCUUUAACAAAACAACCUAAUAUCAUUCAAUGAAUUUACAAAGGGAAGAUAGGGUUUGUACUUACAGGUUGGACGAGCUCACAGAUUCGACGAAGCCUGGAGAGUGCAACUUUUAAUUAGAGCAGAAGUGAGAGAGCGAAUGUUAUGUUGCGCGAAAUCUGAAAAUUUUAGGGUUCAGGGUUAGAAGUAUAAGAAUAAGAGCCAAAUAUAAAAAAAUUUAGGGCGCGCGAAAAUUUUUAGAGCGCGCGCUCUUUAAAACGUCGAAAGAAAAACCAUGGCGAAAGUUCUACAAGAACCGACGUAAAUGUAAUAUUCCACGACGAAAACACUUAACGUAACGCCGUUUAUUUUGACGUUCAUUUUUCGGAUUAAUUUUAAAUUUAUUUUGAAUAUUUUGAUAUAAAGACGACUGAAAAACCACGUCGAAGUUAAGAAAUUGAAAACGUUGUAAAUUAUAAUAGACGACUUACAUAUUAAAAUGACGUCGUUUAAAGUGGAAACCAUGUCGGAUAUUUUACUGCACGACGUAACAUAUGUAUUCCACGACUCAACCACCGUCGUUAACAAUUAAUACCCUAAACCCUUAAAACUAAAUUAUAUAAUUUUAAAAAUUAAGUUUAUAAAAGGGUUUAUGGUUUUACAGCCUAAUAUAUACCCUAUACUACCCAAAAAUUAUACUUUAAAAAUAAACCCCAAUAAAUAACAACCCUAAUCUCUAAACCCUAGACUCUAAACCCUAAACCAUAAAACUAGAAGUGAUUUUAUGACUCAUCAAAACAAUUUUGUUUUGGAUGGUCAUUUUAAAUUUUUUUUAUUCAAAAUGAAUUUUUUCAAGGUUUAGGGGGAAGAAAAUAUAUCAAUGACUUCAUAGGAGUUGACUUUUCAUUUUUCUGAUUUAUUUUAAAUUUAUUUUGAAUAUUUUGAUAUAAAAAUAAUAAAAUAUUCUUAUCACAAUAACAAACCACGUCGGUGUUAAUAAAUUUUAGACGUUGUAAAUUGUAAUAGACGACUAAGUUGUUAAAAUGACGUCGUUUAAAUGAGAAACCAUGGCGGAUAUUUAACUAUCCGACAUAAAAUAUAUAUUCCACGACUUAACCGCUGUCGUUACAAAGUACUACCCUGAACCCUUAAGAAAUUGAAGACGUUGUAAACCAUAAACGACUCAAUUGUUCAAAGAACGUCGUCUAAAUAUCCUUUUACGUCGGAUUUGGUUAAAACGAAACAACAAAAAACGACGGCUUUUGACUUUAUUACGUCGUUGGAAAAGUAUUACACGUCGGUUACGCAAUUUGUAUGUUUGUUUUUUUUUUUAAUUUAAGAAAACCUCAACAAAUUUUUACAUUAUAUAUUAUAGACAAAAUUUGUACAUUAUACAUAAAUAUCAAGUGUUCAAUAAUUCCCCUAUUCCAGGUGAAGGCAAACAAACUCUGACCAUUCAUUCCGGACUUCAUCAAUUGCUUCUUGGGGGUAUGGCGCUUCCUGUUUUCCCUUGGCAUACUGCAUAAACAAUGACUAUUAGGGUUUAUAAAUAAAAAGAAAUUCAAUCACAGACGACGAUAUUUUUCAUAACCGACGUACUAUAUCUAUUCAACGACGGUAAUUUUACAUGACCGUCGUUGAUAAUACAAAAAACGACGUAAAAUGUAUGAAGGUAAUUUCUUCUUACCUUCUUCUCAAACCCCAAGGAAGGAUCCAUGAUGAUGUCCCUCAUGAAGCGCAUCACAUAAUACCCGCAUUCGACAUUGCUGGGUUGCUUUGGUGUCCCUGACAGAGUUUUCCAAAUGGCUGCCUUACGGCCUGGUCUGGCUAUGUGAGAAUUAUAAAUUUUUAUAGCACUGUUCACAAUGUUUUUGGCCUCUUCAUCGACCACACGAUUUCCUGGCAGAGGAUCCAGAAAAUAGACGGUUUCUCUCUUUGCUCUUACAAUCAGCAAGAUCCAAUGACGGCUGCACAAAAUUAAUAUAAAAACGACGGUUAUUUACAAUAACGACGUAUUAUAAUGUUUCACACGACGAAAUAAAGUAGCAAUCGACGACAUUUUACAUUUAUCACGACGAUAAAUAACUACCGACGUGGUUAGUAGUUUCAAACGACUCAAUAAAAUAAAACACCGACGUGGUUAGUUUAUACGCUGUAAUUUAUUGAAAAUCAUAAAAACAAAAUCCUGUUAAGGAGACUAACCCUGGAUUGUAAGGCAUCAGGAAAAUCUGUUCACCGUCAGUCUUUUGAAGUCGAGCUGCUAGUAAGCGUGAUCUGUCAGCUAUUGUGCCAGAGUUGGCACUAACUGUAGCAAGGUCGAUAAAGCCAACCAUAUUGCACAUAUUUGCUCGUUUCAAAACAUCGUGCAAGUGCCUAAAUAUAUAAAAUAAUAUAAACAAGUCAGCACAAAAAAACACACGACGGUUAUGUAUAACAAAACGACGUAUUAUAAAAUUUCACACGACGUACUGAAAUAGACAACGACGUUAUAAUAUAUUUAUCACGACGGUAAAUACUAACGACGUGGUUAGUUAGUUAAGACGACGUAAUAAAUAAACCAACGACGUAUUAUUUUAGAAUGACAAACCUCAUAUAUACAAAAAAACACGACGGUUAUGUAUAACAAAACGACGUAUUAUAAAAUUUCACACGACAUACUGAAAUAGACAACGACGUUAUGAUAUACUAACGACGUGGUUAGUUGGUUAAGACGACGCAAUAAAUACACCAACGACGUAUUAUUUUAGAAUGACAAACCUCAUAUAUACAGCAAUGACAGUGGCUCCUAUUUCUUCCAUGCCUGCAAAUUGUGUAAUAUCUUCAGGCAGGAGGAAGGUAUCGCGCUCUAGACCAAACACCUCCUUAUCAAUUGUAAAGUGCAGGGUCUUAUCCUGAGGCACGAGUGUCGUUUCCACAUAACGACAAAGGGAGUUUAAAGAAGAUGGCGCCUCCAUAUUUGAAUAAUCAACAACUUUAAUAACCUGUUUAAAGAAAUAUAAAAAAUGACGUGGUAAUUCAAUAAAAACGACGGUUUAAGGAAUAAAACGUCGUCUGAAAAGAAUUUAAACGUCGUCUGAAGAAACCGUCGUGGUGAAUAAUUUAUUACGUCUUAAAAAAAAUUCCGCCGUCUAAGUUGUAAACAAACGACGGUUUAAAGAAAAAUAUCGACGUCUGGAAUUUUGAAAAACAAAUAAAAAAGGCAAAGUUAUGUGAACAUACCUGGUCGUCAUCUUCUUUCUCCUUUUCAUCAUGUUUUUCUUCUGUCUUCCCUUCAUCUAUUACGUCGAGAAUGACUAACUCCGUCGUCUAAAAACCACAAAGUUUUAAAAUAACGACGUUUAAUGGCGUGUAAAACAAGUAAACUAAAUACGACGUGGUAUUGAAAUACAAACGACGGUUUAUGUUUAAAAUCGUGGUGGUAUGUAUUUCAAACGACGGUUUUAUUAAUAAUAACGACAUCUAAUGGUUUUUAAAAAAACAGAGAAUUCAAAGUUCAGAUAUGUUACCUUUUCUUCCUGAUGUUUCCCAUUUUUGGCAGUAUCAUCCUCAAAAUGCUGGGAUCUCACAUCACCUCCAGAGCAGCUUGCUUUGUCAGACAUUGGAUUUUUGGGACUUUGGCUAAUUCUGGGUUUAAGCAUGCUUGGAUCAAAAUUGGGAAUUAAUUGGGAAAGCUGACUCAGGAAAUGCUCCCUCUCAGCCUCUACCAAUUGUUUCGUUCUAGCCUCCAUCCUUAAAGCCUCUUCCCUUGCCUUAGCUUCCAUCUUUUUAGUCUCUUCUUGAAGGAGAACUCUUAAACUGUCCUUCAAACGGUCGUCAAAGCUCACUCUCUGUGGUUUGGGUAAAUUGAAAUAUUGCCUUGGUGAGAUCCCAGCACCUACUCCUCUCACUCUGCCUGGAUGCUCGGGGCCCAAAGCCAUGGUCAGCACAUCAUUGCUGCCAGAAACAGUGACUUUGCCUUCCGAGACUUGUUUUUGCAAUUCAUCCUAAAACAAAGAUAUAUAAAAAAGUAAGAACAAAAACACACGACGGUUAUUUAUAUACAAACGACGUAUUAUAUAAUUUCACACGACGCAAUAACAUAUAAAUCGACGUUAUUAUAAUUUAUCACGACGGUAGUUUUUAAACCGACGUGGUUAGUUUUUAAAACGACGAAAUGAAUAAACCACCGACGUCUUAUGCUUUAUUUACAGAUAACAGAGGGAUGAUUCAAUAUUCACACCUUUAACGACCUUGUUUAAAAUAUUUCGACGUAGUAAUUCAAUACAAACGACGCGAAAAUGAACCACCGACAUCUUAUGCUAUAAUUACAGAAAACAGAGUAGUGAUUCCUGAUUUAGACCUUUAACGAUGUGGUAAUAUCAUUCACACGACGCAAAAUAUAACAUAAGACGUAAUAAGAAUUAUUCACAGUUUAAUAAAAAUUUAAAACAGAGUGAGUAGGCUUACAAUUAAUUUUGCUUUCUCUGCCACCUUUGGAUCCGGGAUGUUACCAUGUUUGUCCUGUCUAGCUCUCUUCCAUAAGGUAGAUCGAUCAAUUUCUACCCCAGGCAUGGUUUCCUCCAAUUGAUCCUCCAAACCAGCAUAUCCUUUUCGAGACAAUCGAUGAUUGUACUCAAGUUUCUCCCUAAUCUGUGCAUGUUGAGAAUGCACAGACUCAAAAUCUUUGGAUAACCUUGAAGCUACAAAGGCAUCCCAUUGUGCUUUCUCUAUGAAUUUAUAUAUUUCAGGGGGUUGGCUUAAUCUCUCCCUGUCAUUAGUGUAUGGAAGGAUAUAUUGCCUCGUUAGUGUAGACUUGAAAUCCUUCCAUUUCUUGGCAGCAGAAGCUAACACAGAGCUCUUGCCCCCUUGACCUACCACAAAAGCAAUGUCAACUGCUUCCCAAAUCUGCUCCUUUAUAUCCUUGGAGAUUUGAGCCUAUUUCAUGUCCACAAGUGGAACUCUGGAGCGUGCCAACACACCAAUGUAGGACUGCAUCUCACUAUGUGCUUGGCCAAUUCCUUUCCCCCUUUUAUUGUACUCAACAAUUGGCCUCAGUUUCUGAAGUUUUCUCUUCACAACAUGAGGCAUUGUGCUCAUACCUCGACCAGACUUUGAAUCAUCAGAGAUUGUUGUCGUGCUGGUUCGUUCUGUCUCAGCAGAUGAUGAAGCAAACUUCAUCUUCUUCGAAGGCUUCACUUGAGGAGGUACCAUUCCAAGGUCCUUACCUCCAUUUUUCUUGGAGCCAGAAUCCUUACUUUGGUCUUAGUGAGAAACCAUUUUUACAGACAAAACUGCAAGUGAAAAUAUUUCAGGAAAAGAUUAAGAACACAAACGACAGUUAUUAAUAAAAUACGACGUAUGAUAUGAUUUUAAACGACGCAAUGAAAUAAUCUCAGACGUAAUAAAUGUUUAAAACCAAGGUAAUUAAACAACGACGAAAUAAUUAACUAUAAACGACGUGAUAAUUAACUAUAAACGACGAAAUAUUUAUAUAACGUCGUGGUAUUGAUGUUCACACGACGUCAGUCGUAAUAUACCGUCGUCUAUAUAAGGAUCCAAAACCCUUCUUUCUUUCUCUGUGAAUGUUUGAUUGCAGAUUUGAUUUUUCUGAACCAUGGUUUUUGUUUUCUAAUUUGAUAAAAUACAAGGCCAAGAAAGAAAGUUUUGGAAUCUUAUAUAGACGACGGUAUUUUAAUAUGACGUCGUGGUAUUAACAUUCACACGACGUAAAACAAUAAGAUACUGUCGUCUAUAUUAGAUACCAACCCUACUUUCUUUUUCUUUAUAUUUUAUCAAAUUAGGGAAAAACAAAAACCAUUGUUCAGAGAAAUCAAACCUGCAAUUAAACAAGCAAAUAAAAAAAAGACUAUAAUUUUAAAAACAACUUUGUCAAUUUUCAGACGACGCUAGAACGACUGACGAACCGUCGUGGUCUACAUAUUUAACCACGUACAUAAGAAGCUACCGUCGUCUUAUUUAGUUGAGGUAGUUGUCUUCAAAGUUGGAAACUUUCCCUCUUUGUCUGUAUAUUUUAUUGAACUUGGAAAGAAGUAAAAUGAUUUUGGCCAGAAAAAAGGUAAAAAGAUUUUUCAAACAAAAAACGUAUGAGCAUGCAAAACAACAACCAAAAUAGUGAAAAUGAAAGCUUACCUUUUGCGUGCAAUGAAAGCAAGAGGAAGAUUAUGUUUAAGUUCAGAGACGACGAAGAAGAAGAGAGGAAGACGAUGAGAUACUCUGACAGUGCUCUGACAAGGAAAAAAGUCUAAAAGUUUUCUCUGGGAGAUUGAACUUUUUAAUCGGGUUUGAAAACGGCGCAUGUGUAUGUCAGGUAGACGAAAAGUUGCUUACAUAUAAAACCAUUUCAAAAAAAUAAUACGGCGGUUACAUAUAACUACGACGUAUAAAUUACAAAAUACGACGGUACAUUUAACUUCGGACGUGGUAAAUAAAUACGACAGUAGUGUUGUAGGUACCGUCGUAGUAAACUCAAAAAUUAAAGUACAUAAGUAAUAACUCGCGUCAUGGUAGAUUAUUUAACACGUCGUUUUUAUUAAUUUACCGACGUGGAUUUCUGUAAUAUACGUCGAUAAUACCGACGUUGAUUUUACAAUUUAAACGGCGGUUUUUUUGUAAGGACCGCCGUUGGUUUUAAAAAUUUAUUCUAUAAAUUUGUCGCUUUCAUUCAUUUUCGGUUUACAUUUAAGGUUCCAAGUUCUUCCUCUCUCAGUCUCUCACGUCUCAAAGACAAUAAUUUGGAUGUCUUUCUCAAAGAGAAAUUGAGCUUACUCGCAUCAAAUAUAUGUCCACAAGAAGAAGCUUGUCAACUAGCCUUCUCACUUCCUUGAUCAAGCCUGAUAGGACACUUAGUGCUUCUGAAUACUCCUUGCUUUCCAUCAAAAGAGAUGCAAGCCUGGCCUCCACUCGCUGUCGAAGGAAAGUUCGCUUCUCAGGGAAAUCUUCUUGAUUUUCUUGGCUAAGAAGAUCCGUCAGAUUUGUGAUAGCCUCUUCCUUUAUCCGUAGAGCUUCAGAAGAAGAAGAUGGGUUUCAAGAAUGCGAUAAAGAAUAGAAAUGGCUUCAGAUGGCCUCUAAAGCAUGAGCAAUCGAAUCAGUAGUUGUUGGGAGAUAUGAUGAAGACAUUGUCAAUGCUUUGAACUAUACAAGUCCUGCAGAAAGAUAAAGGACCAAACUGUUAAAGAAACUGAAACAAUGGCGGUUUUCUGUUCUACCGUCGUCUUUUCUCGUCGUCUAUAUUAAGGUAAGAUGGCGGUAGAUUUAUAAUUACCGACGUAGAUUAUUUUGUUAAACGUCGUUAAGUGUACUACAACCGACGUGGAUUUUAUUUUUAAAUUAUAAAUAGAGUUUUUUUUCCCCUAUUCUUUCAGUUUUAGUUUUCAAUUACAAAGCGUGAUAAAUAGAUUUUUCUUUCCCGAGGAAAUUUAAAAUGAGGGAAAUUAAUGUUCUAGAAUUUGUAAACUAACACGACGCAAUAUUUGCAAAUCUGUGUCAUCUGUUAAGAUUAUGAUGUGGAACAGAGUUCCAUCUGGUAAGAUUUCGUAACCCUUGGGAUCUCAGACAAAUCUGAUUAUGUCGGCGGUUUUCUAUAUAAAUCGUCGUGGUUAUUUCAAUUCUUGUCAUUAAGUAGAUCUACCGACGUAGGAUAAGAAAAUCAAAGAAAAAAAUUGUUAACAAAAAUUCUUAUUAAGACGACGGUUAAAAUUAAAGGUACGACGUAUAAAAUGAAUAAAUACGACGUUAAAUUUUAUUGUACGAUUUAAAGAUAACGUCGUAGAACUAUAAGAGAAUGACGUCGAUAUAUUUAUAUUUUCCGUCGUUGUACAUUAAUUUAAUACGGCGAUAUUUUGUAUUUUAAAGCCGUGGAUUUGUUUGUAAUUAUACGGCGUCUUAUACGAAAACCUCGUCGUGUUAUUUUAUGAGUAAAAACGGCAGUUUUUAUUGAAAUCGUCGUCUUUACUUUCUACGUCGGUCGAUUCAUAACUUCUGCCGUUCUUUGUUGGCAUUGAUUUUACACUGCGAAAAUCUGUUUCAAAUAGACGUCGGUUGUUUAAUUAUGUACGUUGUUGUUUUUGAACAGCCAUUUGAAUCUCCAUUUUUUAGUUGUCUAAGGUUGUAUUACACGACGGUGUUUUUAGAACCGUCGUCUUUUUAAAAACCACGACGGUUUUCACUUAGACCGUCGUUGUUUUCUGGUCGUCUUUUUCACUUUUUGUAGUAGUGGCAUAUGAUGACGACACUCACAACAAGAUCAUGGCAUUUGACUCGAGUUGUAUGAUUCUCUCUUAAGUGUAUGUAAAGUGUAUGACAUUUACAUCAAUACGUGUAUUCUUAAUUGAAAUCUACUAUGGCAUUUACUCAAAUUAACAAUCAAGAAUCCAUUAAGAUCAAAGAGAAUAUGAGUGUCACAAAAACCCUAAAACAUGGCAUUUGUUAUUAGGAAUUCAAGAAUCGAUUUCUCAUAACUAGUUCUUAACCCAAUUAUUCGUUGCAAAUAAGAACACAUUCAAUAUGGCAAUUGACCUAUGUUCUACAACAAUUUAAUUCCAAUACAUGCUUCUAAGUUAGCUACUCAAAGAAACAAAAUAUCAGAAUUCACAUAACAUAUAGAAACCGAAAACAUCACGCUUGUAGAAACUAAAAAUCCAUUAACCUUGUUUAUAAAAUUGAAAUCAUGUUUAGGGCUUCAAGAUUAAGCCCUAACUAACAAGAAAUUAGUUACUCAUGGUCUUGGAUGAACUCAAAAAUAAAUACAUAAGAACUGAAAAUUAAAGAAGGAAGGAAAAGAAAGAACUCGUUCGCAGCUUUCUCCUCUUGCGCUGUUGAUCUCUUUAGGACGUGAAUCCUUUUUAUCAGCCUUGCCUCGUCUUUUAUAUCACUUAUAUCAGAGUUCUAAACCCUAAAAUUGACUGAAAAGUCGUCCAAGAAGUCUUGGUAAACAAGGAAUCCAAAUAGGAAAGUAAAAAUCACAAUUCCUAACUCCACUGGGAAAUACAGCUCAGCCCAAUGUUCACACGAUUUUGGGAUCUUCGACCUUGUAGAAAAAUCAUUAAAAAUAUAUUUUAGAAAGAUAAAUGUCUUAUCUUUCCAACCAUAUAUAGCACGUAACUUGAAAAAUUCGGAAAGGCUUCCGUUUCUUCACAUUCACGUAGCAUGUACGAAACUGUCCUGUCUGCACGUGGGCUAACUUUACUUGUAAUACUGUACCAAUUGGCUCGGUAGAAAAUUCUAGAAAAAUCAUAGAUUGAACUUCAAGAUGUUAGCUUUCAUCUCCAAUCAGGGGCGGCCUUGGGGAGGUGCAAGUGGCGCCACCGCACAGGGCCCCCGAAAAAAAAAAUAUUUAUAUUAUAUAUAUAUAUUAAUAUUAUAUGAAUCGUAUAUAUAAUAUAGCGUCUGGAUAUUUGCACAACAGCGUGUUCAGGGGAGUUGGAUGGAGCACAUCUCUCUUUGGCAAAAGGGCCCGAGUUCGAUGCUCCUUGAUGUCGUUCUACUGGCUAGCCUUUUGUGAUAUUAUUUUUGCAUUCAAACUUUACAUAAUUAUUGAACCAUUGGAUUAAUAUGCAACGAUGGGUGACCACAAUCUCUUGGACUCCUGUGGUCCAUGAGAUCGGGACUGAUAUUACAUGACUUAUUUUAUUAAAUUAUUAUCAUGUUGAUGAUUGGUUGUAUGAGAAUAUAGUUUGUAGAAAUAUUUAUCUAUUUCUUGUUGGGGUUUUCUUCCAGGUUAUAGGGUUUUGGAAUUUUUCUUUGUAAUCUAAACAUGCCACCUACUAGAAAAUACGUUUAUGGAUAUACAAAACGGCUUAGAAAAAGAAAAUUCGAGGAAUUGACUCAAUCUCAAAGAGGAGCUCUUGAUAGAUUCAUUGUUAGAGAAUCACAUGCUACAAUUGAUGAAAAUAUUUAAAUUUUUAUGAAUUUAAUUUCUGAUUUUCAUUGCAUAUUUAUUGAUGGUGAAUUUUAGUUAUAAAAAAAAAUUGUUUAUGACAUUAAGUUAUGGCAAAUUUUUAUAGUAUUUUCGUAUUAGAUUAUGCAAGGCCCCAAUUUAAGUUUCGCACAGGGCCCUCAAAAUCUCAGGGACGGCCCUGUCUCCAAUUGGUCUUGUGCUAAAAUUCCUCCGAAAAGUUGAUUUUCCCUUAAAAACCUUCUAAGAGUGCAGAAAAGCUGAAAAUCAGAAAAAUAAAGUAAUAAGCCAUUUUUAAAUCUAAUUCUCUUACAAAACCAAAGUAAAAAGAGUACAUAAAUGAGUAUAUUUAUGGACUUAUCAACGUCUUCUUCGUUGGACUUGGGGUUGUUUUCCUUAUAUGUCCCCUAUAUAUAUAUAUGGCCUUUAGUUGAGCCCACAAAUACCUUCAGUUAGUUUUUGGGUUUAGGGGCCUACAGAACCUGCACUAAACAAUAAAAGAAAAUACCUAAUUAGUUUAGUACGAAUUUAUAAUGAAGGCUUUAUUAGGUGAAGUUUUAUUUCUUAAUCGUUAGAUCAAAUUGGUUAGCAUCUGAAGUCGCCCAAAGAUUUGAGAGGGAUUCCACAAACAUAUAAUAUAAAGAAAGAAAGCAAUAGUAGGAGAUGAACCAGUACAAAAAACAAUAUAUAAAUAGUACAUAAUAAUUCCAUAACCUUGUCACAAACGCACUCACAAAUGCUUUCCAUAAACCUUGCCCUAACAUAUAACAAAUAAAGGCAACAUUGCAUAUGAUGCAACCAUGUCCAAAUCUGAUACGUGAUAAAAAAAAAAGGACAUGGCAGCAACAUAUGACUGAAGUAGAUGGGCUCUUUGCAUCUCGUGUUAUCGUAAUUAAAGACAUCAAAAUAUUAAGGUUGAAAUCUUCUAUAGUAGCAAGCAUUAAAAUAGGUUUGAAGCAGAGUUUAAAGAAAAUUCCAAUUCCACUGAUUUGCCUCUGCUCAAAGACGAGAACCAAAAUGGUUACUUCCCUUGCUGAGUAUAUUUGUUAACGUCGGAAACGGUAAUAGAUGACCAAUCAAACCCAAGUACGACGAGUUUUGCAUAGGAUCAGAAGUAGUUGAAUCCAGCUUGCAUCACACGCUUCUUUGACUCCAUUGCAUUAGAUGAGUUUUUGUAUUUUUGAACAGCUACACUCCGAAGUCGUUUGUGUCUACGCUUCAUGCGCUGCAACUUCGCCCUAUCCAGAUUGGCCUGCCUUUUGUCAUCUUCAAUUUGGCCUUCAACAAAUUCCAAACGUGCCCUUGCCCUUUGGAUUUCAUCACCAAGUUGAAGAUGCCUCUCCUUCCAAAAAGCAAGAACUCUUUCAGACUCAAAACUUCCAACAAAAUGGUCAUUCUAUCUAGGAAUGUGACAUUGCUUGUCUGGUGACUCACCUGCGUUUCAAAGGCGGUCUUUGUUUGGAGGGGUGUUUAUUAUGCUCACAUCAAACUUGGUUAGUAAAUCCAUUCUAUGGGGGGAGUGAGUUUCUGUGGAGGAGAGAGUUUCAGUAGAUGGAGACAGAUUCGGUGGAGGAGUGAGAUUUUUGUGGAGGGAGAAUUUCUAUGAAAUGGGUGAUAGUAAUACCAAUAAAAGGGUUCCCGCCAAAAAGUAUUUGGUUGACAAUGUAUAAAUUAAUUUUUGGUCUGAUACAAUCUAAGUUUAAUCCUAACUAGUUUGGUUAGUUUGGUUGAAUUCACUAACUAGAUGUCACUUCCAUUGAGUUUCUUUCAACCACUAUCAGUGGUGUAAGGAGAGUGUGAGGUUGACAUGCUUGAAAAGCAAAACCUAACACCUCUUUUUUUUAAAAUUGAAAGAAAGUACAUAUGUUGACUACACACAAGCUUUGGUAUGUUGGUCUAUAAAGCUAUGUUCCCUUUCUCAAACGAAAUUGCAUAUGCAAUCCUCGUCCUCCCAAAACAAAUAGAAUUAUUCAAGCAUGUCAACCUCUUCAGGCGCCAACAACACAAUCAAAGAUGACAAAUUGGAGUCGCAGGUUCUAUUUCCACAUUGUACUCGCCGACCCCUUCCAUUUUCAACAUCAUUUGGGAGUGAGGGGGACUCCGAUGAUCCAUUAGAGCUAAUACAUGCAGUCAAUAGCAAGCUGGAUUAUAAUUCCAGACUGAUCAAUUCAUGGCGCGAGAAAUAUGUUGAAGACGAAGCCAUUUUGGCUGAUCUUAACAUUAGAGUGAACAAAGCGUUCUCCCAAAAGAACAAGUACUUGAAGCUGAGUCAUAAAAGGAAGCUGAAAGCUGAGGAGUUAGAUACAGUAAUGAAUGAUGAAAUUAAAGGUUGUUUGAUGAAUCAUAUGCGAUGCGAAGAGCACCACAGUGAACUGGAGUUGGCAUUCAACGAAGGAUUCGAAAAAUUACGAGCAUUUGCAGCAACUACUCAUACAAGUUAUAAUUGGGACUAUGUGUCCCCUGAUGUUGUGAGAGAGAUACUAGACGAUGGUGGUGACAUGAAUGAGCAUAAGCACGUCAAAGCUGCUUGGAAGAAGCCGACCGAUACGACUAAGUGAUUGCGGCUACAGUUGUUCAGUUGGUUGAGAGUGAUCGUGGUAUUGCACAAAUUAGAAGUAUAUUCCCAUAAUGUCAUUAUCUAAUUUAAAAUAACACAAAUAUCAGUUUCAUUUGCUUCAUAUUGUAACACCCCGACCCCAAAUUUCCCCAAAAUUUACCCUCAUUUAAUUAAUUAAUUAUUUAAGGGUAUUUUAGUCAUAUUUUUAACCGGAGAGAGUUUGGGACCAUGACUUGUAUUUUUGGAUAGGUCGUACUGAGACGAGUUCAUAGACACGUAGUGGGCUCGAAUCAGAGUUGUAACGAGAGAGAUAUGGUCAAAAGAAACCCAGUGGCACAAUCGUAAAUAUUUCAAAAUGGGAUUUUUAUAAAAAUCUGGUUUUUCUCUCUCUCUCUCUCUCUCUCUCUCUCUCUCCCGCGACUUCUCUCUCUCUCCCGUCGGCUCUCUCUCUUUCUCUCCUUGUAUCUCCGGCCACCGACCACGGCUGUGGGCGGGGCCGGUACCAAACUGACCGGGACGACGUCCCCUUCCUUCCCCGACCAUUCCCCGCCGGCAACGCGGCCGUUGCUGGCCGGAAAAUGCAGAAAACCGCCGGGAGGUCGUCGAAACUUCAACGCCGUCGAUCUCCCUCCUCCGGCCACCAUUUUCGUCGACCCAGGUAUGGAUCUUGAACCUCUCGAGCUGUUCUAGCUGUUUGUUGGUUGGGUUUUGAUCGAUUCGAUCUCUAGAUCACUCGAUUUUCGAAUUGAAAAUUGGCCGAAACUUCGGCCGCCGUGAUCGGCCAUUUUCGGCCACUUUUUGUGGUAGGUCCAAGAACAAAAGUGGCUCCAAAUAGGGUGUUAUACCUAGGGUAGAAGUUUGGAGCCGAGAUGUUGAGAUUUUCCGGCGAAGCGUUAUCGCUUUGGGCACCCACGCGUGCGGCGGCGCGUGGGCACUGUAGAAAAAGUAGAUGUGUUCCGAUGAGAUCCUUAGGUUGUCACGAGUGCGUAGGAUUUGGCGGAUCUCAAUUCGGACGUCGUUUGACUAUCGAACGGAUAAUCGCAUAUUAUGCGUUAUCCGGGUUCGAUAGGUUGAGACCGUCGGAUGGUCCCAAAUUUAAUAUAUGUUGAUCUAGGUAUUUCUAGGAUCGUGUAGGAUUUCACGGAUCGUGAAUCGGAGCCCCGGAUGUUCCGAAUAAUAAUUUAAAGUUUAUAUUUUAUAUUAACCAUCAGAUUAUGCGAUCGUGAGAAAUCCGACCGUCUGAUCUGAACCAAACUGGCAGGAAAAGUGUCCUGUACCUGGUAGAACCCAUAGGGACCUUCGGAUCGGAAAUUGGAGGUCGUGGGUUCCGCAAGUCUGUUUGACCAGGGUUAGAGUAGUUUGACCCUUGGUUGACCGUGAGUCUCCCGGAGUAAUCUCACCCUUCCAGGGGGAAUUAUCGGGAGCUAGACUAUUGUGGAGGGUUACACAAUAUUAGAAUUAUUUAUAUAAUUAUAUAUGGUUGUACAAGGGUACAACAAAGUCUAGAAUGUCAGUUUGGAGUGCUAUACGCACUACUUUAGGUACCUCCUCGGAUUUUGGAUUCGCUACAAGCACCACCAAGUGAAAGUUAGGUCCCGCGUGGCGUAGGUUAUCCGGCGUUGGGACAGACCCCAUACGUGGCGUUGGUUGUACCGGCGUAUGGGGAGAUUUGCAAUAUGAUGUUCAGGUCUCACGUGGCGUAGGUUAUCCGGCGUUGAGACAGGCCCCGUACGUGGCGUUGGUUGUACCAGCGUACGGGGAGAUUAUGUGAUAUGAUGUUGAGGUCCCGCGUGGCGUAGGUUAUCCGGCGUUGGGACAGGCCCCAUACGUGGCGUUGGUUGUACCGGCGUAUGGGGAGUUAUAUGAUAUGAUAGUAUGGCAUGGUCGCACAUGGCGUAGGUUAUCCGGCGUGUUGACAGGCCCCAUACGUGGCGUUGGUUGUAUCGGCGUAUGGGGAGAAUAUGUGAAAUGCAGAGAAAGGAAAUAAGGUAUCACCGAUGUGUGGAAUUGGGUUUUAGGGAAGAACUACGUGUGGCUUGAUCCCUCAAGGAGGGUACGUAGGCAGCCUAAGGUUAUUGGGUGCAGCCGCAGACUAAAUAUUAGUCAUAUUUGGUAUUUGAAUUGUAUGGUAGUUGUUUGAGAAUUAUUGGAAGGCCAAAGGCCAUUUAUGAGAAUUUGCAUGAAAUUAUAUUGUGCAUGCUGCUAGUUGUGGAUAUUAAAUGUGUUUUUAUGCAGGUUGAAAUUUUGGGAAAUGUCCAAUUUAUAGGGGAGACUCUGCUGAAAUUUCGGCAGGAAGUCUCGGUUUUUAGUAAGUGGGCCUGGCAUCGGGGUGAUGUCAGGAAUUCCAAAGGGUUCGUCUCGGGUUUUGAGAAAAUUCGGGGCGGGUCCUUAAACAUAUAUAAUUAUUGGGACUAUGUAUUGCAAGUCAUCAUGUGUUCCUUCUGUCUAACAUUAUAUUUUGCAAAUAUCAAAAUAUUAUUCAAUAAGCAGUCAAUAUCACAGCAAGUUGGGAAUUAGUAAAGCCCCAUUAUCAUGUCCGUUCACAUUAAAGAGCUGGCGUACUUUUUCUCAAAAAACUGACACGUGAGUCAUAAGUAACAUAACAUGUGCUAUACAUUGUUUAGUGAAUGGUUUAUGGUUUAUUUAUAUAUAAUAAAAUUCCAAAUAUUGCUGAAUAUUUGUUUUUUCUAUAUCCCUGGGAACAUGAGUGACCAUAAGCAUGUAAGACCUGUUAAGAAGAAGCUGACUAAUACGACCGAGUGAUUGUGGCUACCGUUGUUUAGUUGGUUGGGGAGAUCGUGGUAUUGCUAAGAGGGAGCACAUAAUGUGCUUUGCAAUCAAAUUUUCUUUUGUGUGUGGAAUUAUGAGUAGUUCAAAUGUUAGUGUACCCUUUAAUAUUCUUCAACCGUUUGAAAUGUGAUUAGCUGCAAUGUACUUUUUUACACGCUGCUUUCUAAUCACUCUGUUCCAACAAAGUGCUUUAAGUAUCCUUCAGUUACAAAUGUUUACAAAAUCGUGCAUCUAAUAACCAGUCGAGCUCAGAUCUUAAUAACAAGUAAAACACUAGAACAUAACAUUCGGAAAAAGUGGGUGCUGCUGGAAAUCAUUACUGGUAAUGGAAGCAAGAGCUGGCUGCUGGAAAUGCUGCAUUAGCCUGUGAUAUAAUCAAUGAAUCUCUGUUAAAACAUAAUUCACCAUAAACUACCCAUUUUACAUGGUAAAAGUCAUUGCUUCUUCACAUAACUCAAAAUUUGAUACUUUAUCAAAUGUCUAUGAAAAUUUCUAAAUAGGGGAAAGACGUAAAAUUAACAUGUGUCCAAAUUUCAUGCAAGAAUGAAACCAAGCAAAUUUUUAUUUCAAUUAUCAGUGGACAUAGUAAGAACUCAUCGGUGGACAUGAACAAAAAAAUAAUAAUAUUAAAAACUGAAUCUAGAAAACUUCACCUGAUCAUUAGUCUUCAUAACAACCGAAUUUCGUCUAAUAGAAACAUAAAUCAUUCAGUUGGUCCGUGCAUCGUGUCAAAUUCAUAGAAUAAUGGGUCACUACGAUCUAUUGGAGUUGAUUCGUCAUUGUUCGACGGUGAUGUCCUGCAUAGACAUCAAACACAAGCACAGAAAAAAUUUACCUAUUCAAAUUUUAGGUGUUAUUAUAAAUAGUGUUAGCAUCUUACGGUGUGUUCAAAUUUCUUGCGCAUUGUCUUCUAUCAUGACCAAUGUGUCCACACUCCAGACAGUGUCUAAUCCCUCGCUUCAUUGCCUUUUCUUUUGCUCCCGUUACUCGUUUCGACCUUCUUUUGCACCUCACUCUCUUAGGGUCUUUCAUAUAUUGUGUUUGAGAGCUGGACCCUCCAACUUCGUUAUUACUUGGUCCAUCCUUCAACAACUUCAACUUCACCUGCAAACUUUUUAGAGUCUCUGACAGUAGCUCACAUCCUUCUUCACUCAUUAAUGCACCCUCAACCACAUCUUAAGCAAGUCGAGACAUUGUACUCCGCCUUAUUAAAAGACCAGGAUCUGCAGAGUCUUUAAUUUCGUUGCCAUUUGCAUCUGACACCAAUUCAGAUUUUGCAGUUUUCUUCCACCUCUUUAAAAUAUAUUUAUCGGGCAUAUAUUCAAUCUGGUCCCUUCUGAACAAUGCUAGGAUGUGCUUGCAAAUAAUUCCAACAAAUUCAAAUCUUUUGCACCCACACGAUGCGUGGUCAGAAUCUUUAACAUAUACGACGUCUGCCACUCUUGUUUCCCAAUUUUUCCUUUUGCUCACGCGAAAGACAACUUUAGAAGCACCCUCUGUUUUGAGCUCUAGGAAACAUGUUGUACUUUGUAUUAGUUCUUGGUCAAACUUUUGAAACAUUGUCCUUGUGUACAAGGUAGCCAUUUGUUUGUUCAUUGGCAUCGGUAGAAUACAUUGAGCCACUUCAAAUGCAUCUACGUGAUCAGCAACUAACUCUUUUUGACGUUGAUGAGAAAGUGCCCUCUCAAAUCGUAUUAUGAAAUCCAUCAACGAAUUUCUCCUUGAUAUGUAUUGCUUGAAAAAACCAUGAGAACCUUCCACUCUUUGGCUGCUUGACAUUCCAGCGGCAAAAAAUUGUUGUGCGUAGGCUGGAACCCAAGAUUCUCUUAAAUCAAACAUUGAACUUAGCCAUGGAUGGUCAGUCAAACCAGCCUUUGUAACCACAAUAUUCCAUUUUGUAACAAACUUAUCCUUAUUGUCAGUAUCCCAUACGGCUUUCUGAAAUUCACGCCAAUACUCCUUAUAAGCAGAAUGUGGUAACUUAACAGAGAACUUUGAUGUGAUGUGCAAUAUGCAAAGUCGAUGAAAUGUAGUCGGGAAGGGUAUUGAAAUCGCUCUGGUCAUUGCCGCAUCUUGAUCUGUAAUGAUCGUUUUAGGUCCGCCACUUGGCAUGGCUUUCUUAAACUCCUCAAACAUCCAAAUAAACGACUCAGUCGUUUCCUUGCUCAAAAAUGCGCAUGCUUAGACAAUUGUCUGACCAUGGUUAUUAACUCCCAACAUUGGUGCAAAUGUCAAGUCGUAUCGAUUCGUGUUGAAUGUGGUAUCGAAUACAACAACAUCUCCAUAAAACCCGUACGCCCAUCUAGAAGUUGCAUCUGCCCAAAAACAUUGACUAAACCUGUCAUGGCCAUCUCUCUCAAUCUUGAAAUAAAAAGCCUCAUUUUUUUUUUCUGUUCAGCCAUAAAAUACUCGGUCACUAGUUCAACAUCGUGGUUCCUCAACUUCCCAUUCACACUACAUUCAAAAUUGUAGAUAUCUUUUUUGAUAAAACCGAUUUUAUCCAUUCCUCCGGAUUGCACCUCGAAAAUACUUACCUUCUGAUGAAUGAGAAUAUUAACCGAACCCAACUGUUUUGUGAGUACUUUUGUAGAAUCUGAACUAUGACGGUGUGAUCUCAAUAAAUGCAUUCUUUCUGAGGGUGUCAUCUUAUGAUUGUGUCCCUCUGCAAAAAGAGAGAUGGUAUACUUCUUGCUCCCAUUUGUCUUCACAACCACAAUCUUAGCUUUGCAAUUGCAUCUACUUAUUCCCCGCUGUCUUUUUCUCUCCCGAGUUUCAUCUCUCCUGUAUUCACCUUGUUUGCAACAUACAAAUUCUUUCCUCAAAAUCUCUUUCUUAUUUCCCCCCCAAAAGCUGGAAUGAAGUCGAAUACCAAAGCCAGCCAAGAAUGCAUAUCUAUUAUAGAAAUUGUAAACGAGGUCAAGCAAGUCGAACUUCAUCCCAACUGCUGGUGUUUCCUCAUUUCUUACUUCAAGAAUGUAAACCCUCCCAUUAGCUGUUACACAGUCAUCACUCUCUGAGCCCCCAGACAUUUUAUCCACGUAUAUUAUUGAUCCACUUCUAUAUUAUUGCAUAGCAAAUAUUAAUUCAUUAAUAAAUCAUUACUGCAUCACAACAUAUCAAUGCAUUCCACUUACACAAAACAUUGCCCAAAUUGACACAAAACACGCAUAGCCUAACUUGUUGGAUUCCGAUUACACAAAACGCAAGCAAAAUUUAAUAAUAGUUACGUCAUCUCUUGUGAAAUAAUCUAGAAAAAAUAACAUUAGAACCAACAUGUUCAACUAAGAACACAAAUGCAAUUCAAACCAGCAAUCACAUAACUUCACCCAAUAUCCUCUCCAAAUGCUUACUCCUAAUGUCAUUAAGCCUAAGUUUAGGAUCUUUUACCUACAUUUCAUAAUUUUUCACCCCCACCAAAAAUAAUCAACUAAGUAUACUGAAUAUUCAUAAGGAAAUGACGCAUUAUUGAUGCCACAAAUGACGAAUUUCCUACCCUCACAAAAAACAAAUCAAACCCAAUUAAAUCAAUCCAGCAAGAGUGAACUUACCUCUCAAAAUCAAUCGGGAGCUCCGAAGUCAGUAAGCUUGAGAGAAUGUGGUGGACAUUAGAGAAGACUCUUUGGUAUUGGAGACUCCAUCUCUACCAAAAUCGAGGAACGAACUGCUGCUACGGCGUCUAGCUACAGAAAAAGAUAUGCUACUUUACUUUCAUCUGGAAUCUUGUUUGCUGAACGAAAAAGAGAAAGGGUUUUCACUUGAGCCAUAGAAUCAAAACAAGGCAACAUCUAGGUAAGAGCCAUUAAUCGUCAUAUCGAGGAUACCAUAGAUCGCAGGCCUCCCAAGGAGCUGAUGACAAUGGAGCGACUAUAGGGUUUGGGAGCUUUGGAUCCUUCUAAUUGUGGGUUUGCGUUACAUUCAAAAAAAGAGGAGUGUGUUGUUGAGUUUUUCACAUAGAGGGAAAGAGGGAAAGAUCUUCAACUGAAGUUGGGUUUCCAACGGGUCAAAUUUCAACCCGGUUCUACAUGCACCCUCUUUUAAAAACUCACCGUUGGAUUUCAUCCAACGGCUCGUACAUACCCCUCAAAAACACCCCUUAUAACUUUCCACUCACUAUAGAAGCUCUCCCCAGGAAAUGCUUCGAGGUAGAUUUUAUGUUUUGGGCCUUGGGACCCAACUUCACAAAAAGAAAACAAAUUUGACCAAAAAACAAAGUUGAAGGACAUUGAUAUUGUACCUGUAGGAUAGGUUAAAACACUAAAAGGAAGGUAAAUAGUACGUUUACAGAGUUUAAGUGUAAUAAAGGAAUAAAAACAUGCCCAGAGAAUUGAUAAGUGAUAUCAAUUCUUGAAUAUAUAGAACGUAAAAUAAAGGAAUACGUAGAAAAUUAUUUUAUGUGGUAAAACUCAAUCUAUGGGGCCACGGGACUUCUUAGUCCAAAAAAAAUCCAUUGAACGAUGAUUACAAGAAGUACUCACACACUUAUCCUAGACACAUUCUAGAUAAUUUUUACUAACAUCUUUGUAACUCAACUUCUGUCAUAGGAUGAUUUUUUGACACUCCUUAUGUUGAACGCAAUACUGGUCACGAUUUCUUCAAGCUCGCAGGAACUCUCCUUAUAUUGAAUAUGAUACUAGUCACGAUAGAUUCAAGCUCAUCGGAGAAAAACAGCCACAACGGUCUUGGUGCCCUCAAUGGUAUGAGUCACUGAACAUGCAAAUAAAUACAAUAUGAAUGAUAAAAGUGUUUGAUAAAUCACCAAGUUAUGGAACACUUGAUGAUUUAUCUCAAAUAAAAACUCAGCUUUCCAAAGUUUAUGAAUUGAAAAUAUGAUCGUUAAAGCUCUCUAAACAAAGAAGACGAAGAUCUUAUUUUAUAGAAUUUUUCUUUAUAAGAAAGAAAACACAUUGAAAACCAAAUCUCCAAGGCUUGACAGAAAAUCACAAAAGUAUCUUUCCUAUUCUAGAGAUUGGUCACAUGUAGUCCAACCAAUAGGACAUGAGAUAUUUAAGAAAUGAAGAUUUUGAUCAAUAUCAAUAUCAAAUGAAUUCUUAUACGCCUAGUCAACUAUUAAGGGUAUCUUGACUCCUUGAUAUUGUGAUAUGAUUGAAACAUGAUUUCCACGUUAGAAAAUUAAGGGGAUGUUAAAACAUGAAAGUAAUAGGAGAAUCAAAUUGAUUUCGGCCAAAAUUGCCUAAAAAGAAAACACUCCUAAAUAAACUCAAUUCACUUUUAAAAACAGUAAAACGUGAUUGAAUUGUUCUUUAAAACAAUUCCCUAAUAUACAUGCAUGAUAAUGACAUCACUUACCUCUGAAUCAAAUGCCUUUCAUAGGUCAAGCCACAAGUCUGUGUUUUGGGGAUUGCUGAGCUGCAUCAAUCCUGCCAAUGUCAAUGCUGCCCCUAUGCUCUCUCAAAGCACGUUUACAACCUAUGCUAACAUAUACCCUAAACCCUAGUAUCAAGAAAAUGCCAACACUAAUUUCGUAACACGUAGAAAUUGUUAGAGAUUGGAAGUUUUUUUUCUUCAAGUCUCUCCACCACUCACUAAUACAGAUUGCUCAUGUGAUGAGUUUACAAAACCUAUUUCUCUACUCUCACAAAGACUAUACUUCUUCUCAAAAGACUAUAUCACUUUACCUCUAUCUCUGUGAAAUGUAAAAAGUUGAAACUUUAAUGUCAAACCUCGACAAAAGAUGAACUUCCAUAAGUUACGUUGAAUUUGGAUUUGUUGAACUUAAGUGGUUUUACUUUUCUGUCAGUGUUUGAUGACUUAAUUUGGUAUUUACUUCUUCUUUUUUUCCUUGGAAAUGUGUUCCACCAACGUGAGGAAGAAAAAUAUGCACAAAUUAAUAUAUUUAAUAGAAGCCCAAGAUUUCGGAAGCACAUAAUUUCUACAAAAUUCUACAAAGUGUUCUACUUUACAAACUUCAUAUGUCUACCAAUUUUUACUAAAAUUAAUUUAUCUGCAGUGCUCAAAUUCAUCAUAUGUGUGUCCUUAAUUUUAGUGAAAAUUGGAAGUUUCCAUUAUUUUUGUUUUACGGGAAUUUUUUGAACCAAGGAAAAUCAAGUAAAAUUAAUAAAGCAUAAAUUGGAAAGGGAAAAUAUCUAGAGGAUGCAUUGUAGGAUUGCUCAUGCCAAUAAUUGUACCCUCUAAAUAUAUAGGGACAUAUUUUUUUUGCUCAUACCACUUGUUGCAGUACACAUUCACCCGUUUUCAAAGAAAGAAAUUCUACCAAUCGAUAAUGUCUCAAAUUUAAUCACAUAUUUUAUGGACCAUCCAGCUAUGAGGUUUUAUCUCAAAAACCUUCGGUACAUUUCUCCCACAUGCCACAAUUGUAUAUUCACAAUUACGUCUGAUACAUCACAUCAUGCCACUUGCCUCAAAUGAAUUUAAGUGAGUGAGGCAGUUGGAAGUAAUUAAGCUCUAUAUUGGUGGGUGGAGUGUUAGUUCUGGGUACCCCUCAUCAUUCGUCUAUAAAAUGGUGAAGCCAGUUGCUACUGUUACCAUAAGAGCCAGCUCCGACUUUCUUUAAUUUCUUGCUUCAUAUCCACUAGCUACAUCUGUUGCUCUUCUCAGUGUAAGCUCUGCAAUUUGAUUAACUUUCCCAUUAUCUCUCACUGUACUCUAUAUAAAGGAAUAAGUGUCGUCCAUUAAUUCUCUCCGAAAGUGUCGUCCUGAUUUUAAUUAGAGUUCGAAUUAAUGUUGCAGCUAGCAGCGGUUGCACUGGCAAACCAUGCUGCUCAACCGGUACCUCAACUUUACUGGAACUCCGUCCUGCCAAACACACAGAUGCCAAGAUCUAUCAGUGAACUUCUGCAUCCUGGUUUGUGUUUGAGCACUUUAGAAUCUUAGAUAUCUCUUCUACCUGCCAUUUUACUAAAAUAUGUUCAACCACAUAUUUAUCAGUUAACUACUGUCAUUACAUGAGUGACACAUAUUCACAAAUCGGCUGAUCACUUAUUUUCCAUUAUGACGUUGAUAUAUAAUGUUGGGAAUGGAAAGCCAAUUGACCACAAGGGAAAACCUGAAAAUACUGUACUACCACAGCUAGCACGAAGCCCAUUUUCUUACAAGAGUGAUGUGGGGACCAAAUCUCAUGUAUCAUAGCUUAACCCAUAUGCCACAACUAAAAGACGUGGGAUGAUCGAACAGCAUACCCACAUGGUCAUGGAUCUCUUCAGAUAAUCAAUAUUAAACAACCCAUAAACUUCUCCCUUUGAAGAACAAAUUAAAACCAAUUUCUAGAGGAAGGUUACAAAACAUUUUAGCCCGUGAAGAACAAAUCAAGACAAUAUAACCCAUUUGAUAACAAAAUCAAAAUGAGAUUUACCAAUACUAGAUGACCACGGCGCCAGUAUAAUGGUACGACGGCGGCGUUAUUGUAACGGUGGAGAAGUGGAUGGUAUGACGACGGUGUUAGUGUGACGGUGGAGGAAACGAUAUUAUGAAGGAGGCGUUGCUAUGUUCGGUGGAGGAGUCGUGUGUUUCACAGUUCAAUAUAUCCUUUUUAGUCAUUUUAUAUUAGGGUAAAUCAGUAAUUCAAUAAAUAAUUUGAUAGUAUGGUGUACUCAGUUAAUAUUAGGGUUCAUUUAACAGCACUCAAAUUAACUAGUGUAGAGUCUAUCUAUAUUAUUAAUACUAAAAAUAAAUAUAUGACUAAAUAACUCAAAAAAAAAAUAAAUCUACAAUCUUUUUUUUAAAAAAUUUUUUUUAUAGAAUUUUAUUAGAUUAAUAGGCACUACUAAAAAAUCUCCUUAUAAACUACAAAUACACGCAUAACUUAUACUAAUGUGAGCUACUGACACCACCUGCCACAUGACAGUUGUCCAAGCAUAGUGUUGUCAUUCAUUAUUCCCCACAGCAACUAACAUCCAAUAAAGGGUUGGGGCCCACCCAUACUCCACCUCUCUGUAUGUAGCUCUUUGAGAAUACAGAAGAAAUAUUUUUUAGGGAAAUAGCUUAAAAUGAUACCCAUUUCAUAAUUUUAAUUAAAAAUACCACCCCUUUCCAAUUUUUGUACAACUAUCACCUAUAAAUAUAAAAUUAUUGUCCACUUAUUGCUGAUUUUUCACAAGUUCAGAAAUUUUGGAAAGAAGAAGCUCACACAGCUCUCUCUCUCUCUCUCUCUCUCUCUCUCUCUCUCUAGCACAACUCUCUUUCUUUGGUAUCUGUCUAUCACAGCUCUCUGUGUCUCUCUUGGCUCUCUCUAUCUUGGCUCUCUCUCUCUCUAGCACAACUCUCUGUCUCUCUCUUUGCUCUCUUUCUCAUAGCGCAGCUGUUUCUCUCUCUAGCUUCGUUAUGUCUCUUUCUCCCCUAUUCGAUCUCUUGCUUUCUGUUUGGAAUCGCGAACCCCUCCCUUUAGCUAUGUCUUCUGAAUAGCUGCUUGCAACCUUGAAGCUCUAGUGGAUUGCCGACCUCGAAAAGGUAGUGUUGAUGGUUAUUUUCUUAAUAUCAGUGGGAUUAUGUGAAAUGGGUUAUAGUUUGAUUGUUUGGGUUUGUGUUAAAUUCGUUUUGGCUUUAAUUUCUUUGGGUUAGGUUUUGUUGAAUAUUCAUACUCAUUCAUCUGGGUUUGUACCAAUUGCAUUUAGAUUGGUCUGGAUAUGUGAAUCUUGAAACUUGGGAUUUUCUAUUUGAUGUAGUAGAUCUGUAUAGUGUGAUUCUGUUGUGUUCCUCUUAUUUUACAGUCGUAUUGCUGUUAUAUUGUCAUUAUAUUGCUUAUAUAUUGCUGUUAUAUUGUGGUUAUAUUGCUAUUGUAUUGUUUGGUUAUUGUGGUUAUAUUGUGUUAAUGAAAUGUUGUUUUGUCAUGGUCAGAAAUGGAGACAAUUGUUAUUCUCGUGUGCUACAAUGGAAAAUGGGUCACCUCGAAGAAGAUGUGCAAAUACGAAGGGGGUGACUCAAAAGGCUUAAUAGUUCCACGGACCAUCAAAUUUGUUGAACUGUUGGACCGUGUGCAUUAGAUUGGUAAUACAAACAGCAGGGAAGACAAGGUUUGCUUAAAAUUCUCAGUUUUGGUGGCCUCGAAUGAGUGGAAGCACAUAAAUAUUGAGGACGAUGAUGAUAUCAAUUUUUUUAUGAAGUACAAUUCCGAGGUAACACCUUCAAAACUAGCUCCCUUACUCGUGAGUAUAGAAGAUAAAGGAUUGACAAAUGAUGUAGUUCAUAGUAUGCAUAUCACGACAGAUAGUAGUCGGAUGGGUCAUUCUUCAGUUGCCAUUGUUGAAAGCAAUGAAGUAACUUGGAAUAAUACGAAUGUCACUGAUGUGGGAGGUGAAGUAGGGACAGAUUUUGUGGAUAUGAUUGAUUUUAGCGAGGUGUAGGAGAUGCAUGGUGGUGAUAAUAGUACUGAAAGAAAUGAAGUGUCAGUGUACUCUGCCCCUCCUAAUUUGGGCUGCUUCAACAUAGCUGCCCAGUUGCCAAUAAUGCGUUUAGGAGGAGAAUCUGAACCCACUCGUCAACAUUAUUGGAGUCAAAUAGGUGAACAAAAUCGGUACAAUGCAGCCGGUGUAAAUGAUGAAGAAGCAUAUUUGGACAGCGGGUUUUCACGAAGUGAUUGGAAUCCGAAAAUUACAGUUGGGCAAAUUUUCUCUAGUAAGAAAGCAUUGUUGACGGAGUUACGGUUGACGGCAUUAAGAGGCCACUUUGAAUUUAAGGUGCAAUUCUCUUGCACUAAAAGGUUGCUUGUGGUUUGUUGUCAACGUCCAUGCCCAUGGCGGGUCCGAGCAUCGAGAAUUGGAGAAUACAGCUUCAUGAUUGUGAGGUGUACAACUGUCCAUGAAUGUGAUUUGAGGUUCGUAAGUGACAAGCAUCGUCAAGCAACCGCAGCACUUGUAGCCACUUCACUUAAAAGGAAGUGACAUUAUGAGAGAUGUGAAACACAACUUUGGUUGCACCAUCCAUUAUUCGAAAGCUUGGAAAGCAAAGGAGUUAGCUCUAUUGUCCAUUAGAGGAUCAGCGGAGGAGGCAUAUUAUAUCCUUCCAGCUUAUUGCUAUGAAUUGGAGCGUAUGAAUCCCGGCACAAAAACACACAUCCAAACUGAUGAGAACAAUCACUUUGUGUAUUUAUUUAUGGCGGUUGGCGCAUGUAUUAGAGGGUUCCGUUCUUCCAUGCGCCCAGUGAUAGCCGUGGAUGCCACUCAUUUAAAAUCCAAGUACAAGGGUGUUAUGUUUGUAGCAAAUGCAUUCGAUGGUAAUUGAAAUAUAUAUCCUCUUGCUUUUGGGAUCGGGGAUUUGGAGACGGAUGCAUCAUGGCAUUGGUUUUUCACUAAACUUCAUGAAGCCAUUGGUGAGUGUCCCAAUCUUGUUAUUAUUUCUGAUCGCAAUGUUAGCAUAGAGAAUGUGUGGAACAAAAUUUUUCCAACUGCACAACGUGGCAUAUGCUUUUAUCAUAUGAAGGGGAACAUGAAACGCACUUGCUAGUUGAAAAAGCGUGAUCACAUACUUAUGCACUUUGAGCAGGCUGCGAAAUCUUAUUCCAUUGCUGAAUUUGAUUGUCAUUUUUGCAAGAUCAAGCGAAAGGAACAUGUUGCUCAAUAUCUUGAAGAGACAGGGUUACAUAAGUGGUCUAGAGCUCACAUGGAUGGACGCCGCUACAAUGUAAUGACAACAAAUAUUGCAGAGUCAAUCAACUCAGUCCUUAGGUUUGCAAGGAUGCUGCCAGUGGUUCAUUUGAUAGGGGAAAUUGUUAAUCUCCUUGUGAAAUGGUUCACCGAACGUUGUGAGUUGGUUUUGAAUUGCACAACAACAUUGUGCCCCAAUUUUGGAGAGAAGAAGUUGAGGAACAGGUUGGAGGAUGCUGCAAGGAUGAAUGUGGUUAAAGUAAAUAAUGCACAGUUUAAUGUUUUGGACGGUGAUAUGGACGGCCUCGUAGAUUUGGCGAACAGCAGUUGUAGUUGUAGAAAGUUUCAGCUUGAGCAGCUACCUUGCAAGCAUGUAGUUGCAGUUUGCCGCUUCUUGAAAGUAAAUGUAUACGCAAAGGCUUCUCGGUAUUACACUCAGAAAACCUGGAUGAUGCUUAUUCGGAUAGCAUCUACCCGGCACAACCUCACGGAAUGUGGGAUAUUCCUGAAGAUGUUCGAAGUCGAGUUGUGCUGCCUCCCAUGGCAAGGGUCAUGCCAGGCAGACGAAAGAAGAUCAGAAUUCCCUCGCAAGGAGAGGGCACCAUUAGAAGAAAGUGCUCAAGGUGCGGUUCCGCAGGCCACAAUAAAAGCACAUGUAAAAACAAUAUUCCAUUGCGCAAUGUAUCUUAGACAAUAUGAUUUGUGUUGCUUUGGUAGGUCAUGUAAACUCUACUUUUAUUUGUGGUGGGUUUCGUGUUAUGUUGAAUGGGAAUUCUUUUAAAUUUGCAUAAUUUGGGUUGCAUUGCUACAGCAUGCUGUAUUGCUGACAGAUUGCUAUUAUAUUGGACUUUUAUUGUACUGGUAUUGCUUCCAGAUUGCUAUUAUAAUUUGAGUGCGAAAUUAAAGGGACUGGAAUGUAAUUCCAAAUGGAUCCAAAUCAUUAAAGUUCUUAGAAUUCCUAUAUUACACAGUUACUGUGAUACUCCGACUAUACCUUCUUUUAUGAUUACAAAUUCGGCCAAUGCAUAGGCCAGAUGUGGGGCAAAUACAAGGUGAAAUGUCCUAUGUGUUUGACUACAUAUACUUGUUGAAGGAGCAUUACGAAUGCUAACCUCAAUAGAUUGCUCAUGUCUUGCCAAGAACACUCUUGAAUUUAUGCAAUGUGCCCAAGCCAGUCCCAAAGCUGGACUCACCCGUCUGCCUGAUGUGUCCAGGGACUCCAAGUUUCCCAACCUCACCUCAUUCACUUUAUCAUGUGGCCCAAUAAAAUCCACCACUUGGUUGGUGACAACCACCGCCAACCCAAACUUAUUUGCUAAACCCUUCAAUGUCCCAGAUAUGUUGAAAAAUAUUUCAAACCGCCAUUUCAAAUCUGCUGGUGUUGUCUGAUACUGUGAUCGGAACAAUGCAGCAAUGGAAUCAAUGACAAUGAGUUUCACAGGUAGGUGGGUGUGAUCAAUGGCAAUAAAUGCUUCUAUGUCUCCAAGGACAUGGAUGAGUUGUUGAGCAUCAUGAACACCAUGAACAUAUAUGUCUUCCAAUGGCUCCAACCUUAUUAAGUUGGGGUAUGAUGCAUGAUAAAGGUUGCCUAGUUGUUGCAAUCGACGAAAUGGGAAGCUGAAUUCUGUGAAUAUGUAGACGGUGGAGCCCUCUAGUCCGCCAUGUGAGGGUGGGAGCUGAGCUGGUACCGUAAGUUGGAGACAAAGUUGCGUCUUCCCAGAACCACUCUCCCCUACCAAUUCUGUUAUAGAGUUGCAGGGUAUCCCACCCCCCAAGCAGUCAUCUAGUAUUGGGCAUCCAAUGGAUAAUUGAGGGGUUGAAAGAGGAAGGAGCAUGAGGUUUUAGGGUGUCAUAUUUGUGUAAUUUAGGGGGGGAUGUGAUGGUGCUACAAGGCAUGCAUUAUAUAUAUAUAUAUAUGUAGAGUUCAUUUUGAAGGUCUGUAUUGUAGGCCAUAUGUCUUUUAAGGGAUGUAUAAUCCAUCCUUUUUUCAGGUUGUAAUUAAUUUUUUGUUUAUUUAUUAGUAUUUUUUUGGACCAAAUAAUUUAAAAAACAUUAUGAUGCAGUACGUACUGUAAUAGGAUCAUAUUGUAACUCUAUCAUCACUCUAUUGUACUCUUAUUGACAUAAUAUUGCCGUUAUAUGCAUGUUUAUUAUAUAGUUAUUACUGCUAUAUCGCCACUGAACUGGACACCGAUAAACUGUAUACGCACAAAUACAAAAAGAGGCUUCAUCAUUCCAUAAAAUCCUAUUUCCAAACUUACAUAAUACAACAACAGGCCACCCCAUCGUUACAUAAUACAAAAAUACGCCACCUCAUAGUUCCAUUUCCCUACUGUUGACAAAUUCGAAGUUGCAUACUCUUCAAGUGCGGUGACCGCGACGCAUGAAAUUCAUGACCCCGGCCACAGUGAUGUUGGCCUAGUUUCCUGCCGGAUCCACUAUUUUUGCAAACUUACGAAAUAGUUCGAAUCCGCUUUCCACUUCUUCUUGCUUCAACUUGGCCGUUGCUUCUGAUUCCUUGAAUACCAUAAUUGCAGUGGUAGGGGCAAUUUCAAUUUUUGCUUUCAUUGUCUUUAUAUGUAGGAGAUGCAUGCGCGCAUGAUAACGAGAGCGAAUUGUGCGGUUUUUUAUGACACCCCAUCUAGUUUGGCCCUCCACAAUUUUGAAACUAUGUCUGCAUGAAGAUUUUUCCAAAACAUGGUAUUGCCUCGACAUUGCUGCAUGCCAUGGACCAAGUCUGCAGGGAGUGAAUUGGGUGACUUGGCUUGUGUUUCAGUCUUCUCUCCUUCAGUAAUUGAAAGUGUUGGGUGUGGUGUGAGGUUAUGGUCCAUGGUCUUCGAUAUUUAUUGUAGCCUAGUGUACAACUUAAUUGGAAAAAAAGGGGACUAAAUGCGAUGGGAGUGAAAUCAGUGGGGAAGGUAGUGGCUGUAAGCAGGAGUUAAUGUGAUGGAAGUUUUCAUUUCAAACAACUGGGUUGAUUAAUAUAGGCAAGUUUUAAUGACCUGGAGUAACUCAGAGAGUUAUUGGUGGGAGGGAUUAGAGGGAGUAAUUGGCGGGAGGGAUUGGCGGGAGUCUUAGGCGGGAUAGUAUUGGGCGGGAGUUAUUACCCAGUUGACUGUAUGCCUUUUUGUAAUAUAUUUGUAUGUUGGACGUUCCAAACUUGGUAAUUUUCCCAUUAUGUAAUUCAAAUAAGGGAUUUGCCUAUUUGCCUAAUUGACCAACUCAUUCAAAUUGACCAAUAUGGUUAUUGUCUUAUUUCUCAUUUCAGCAAUCUCAAUUCGUUUCCAUUUUUCCAUUCUUCAUAUUUUCCUAUUUUCCAUGUGUCAUCCAAUUUUCCAAUUUUCCAAUUUUUCAUUAUUUUUGCCUAUUUUUUCCUAUUCCCUAUUUUCCUAUUGUGCAAUUUCCCAAGUUUCCUUUUGUUGUAUUUCUAGUUUUCCAAUUUUUCAAUGUUCCCAUUUUCCCAUUAUGUAAUUUAAAAAAAGUUGCCUGCUUUGCCUAAUUCAGAAAGUAAUUAAAAUGGUCCAAUAUGGUAAUUGUCUUAUUUUCCAUUUCCACAAUUUCAAUUCGUUUCCAAUUUUCUUAUUUUCCAUGUGUCCCUAUUUCCUAUUUCCAUUUUUCAAAUUUUAAGUUUUUGUCCAAUUAUCCAAUUAUCUUUUUUCCAAUUGGACUAUUUUCUAAGUUUCCUUUUUUUCCUAUUUCCAAUUUUCCAAUUUUUCAAUUUGCUAACUUUCCUUUUGUUCUAUUUCCAAUUUUGCUAUUUUCCAAGUUGCCUUAUUUCCUAUUUUUCAAUUAUCCAGUUAUCCAAUAUUCCAAUUUUCCAAUUAUCCAAUUUUCAAUUUUCCAAUUUGCGAAUUUGCCUAUUUUCCAAGUGUCCUUUUUUCCUAUUUCCUAUUUCAAAUUUUCCAAUUUUCAUGUUUUCAGAGUUUCCUUUUUUUUUCCUAUUUUCCAAGUUUCCUUUUGUCCAAUUUCAAAUUUUCCAAUUUUCCAAGUUGCUUUAUUUUCCAAUUACCCAAAUUUCCUAUUUUCCAAGUGUCCUUUUUUCCUUUUUCCAAUUUUCCAAUUUUCCAAGUGUCAUGUAAUCCUAUUGCCUAGUUUCCUCUUUCCAAUUUUUCCUUUUUUCCUAUUUCCAAUUUUCAAUUUUCCAAAUUUCCCAAAUUUCCAACUUUCCAUUUUUUCGUAUUUCCGAUUUGCCAAUUUUCCUUUUGUUCUAUUUCCAAUUUUCCAAGUUUCCUUAUUUCCCAUUCUCCAAGUUUUCACUUUUCCUAUUUUUCAAUUUCGCUAUUUUCCAAUUUUCUGUUCUGAAAUUCGCAAUAAAUGCUUAGUUACACAGUCCUAUUUUGGGUUGAAAUCCACAAUUUUCAAUUUCCCAUUAAGGUUUGCUUUUUUGUCGUUUGGAAGCCAAUUUUAUUGUUGUUAAUGUAAUGUUGUACUGUUGUAAAUUACAGCCAAUGAGUUAAUGAUGUAGUUUGCAAUCCCAUCAAUUGAAUGCACCAACUAAAUACCCAAUAUACUUCAUAUAAGUUCGUACAUAUAACUCAACCUUCCUAUACAGAACUGCAACAGAGGCACCUUCUUAACGGGAAAGGUAAUUAGUCUUACUAAAACGCAAAUAUUCUCCACUACAGCUAACCAAUUGUCGUUUACAACUGGAGACUGAAUCUACCUUUAUUUGUUUUGUUGCAGGCAACAGCUGUGAAUUGUCCCCGGCAAUACUUAAAGAUGUCGGAUGUACGCCCUCCAAAUGAGCAUGUCACAGUUACCCGGGGGACCAGCCGUGGCAUGUGCCAUUCCCAUCUCCACCUCGGACUCCCAAUCAUGAUCCCACUUCAUCUGGAAGUGAGGCUGAGAGCAAUGAUCCGCUUGACAAAAUCUCUGCCGUCAAGCACCACCUCCAAUAUAUGUCAAAGGCAACGGAUUGGUGGGAGAGUAAGUGCGAUAUUCAUGGCCAAGUUAUGGGAAACUUGGCCAACAAGUUGAACAAAGCAUACGCUGGAGAGGUGAAGCAAACUCUAAAAGCAAAAAGUCGGAGCAAAGAGUUAGAGUCCUUGAAGUUGAAAUUGGAAGAGAGAAAGAAAAAUGCUGUCGAAAAAUUCACACAAUCUGAAGAAUAUAACCAUGAAAUGGUUGAAUGUUUCAACAACGGCUUUGAAAUGUUCCGAGAUUAUGCUUCGGUCAUCUCACCAGACUACAAUUGGAGUGAAAUUGAUGUAGCUGGUGUUUGGCAGGUGCUGAAUAUGGGUGCUGAGGGAAUGGCUCAUCAUAGCCUCGUGCAUGCAGCAAGGAGAAAGGACAAAGACUUGGAUCUUUUGAUGGACCUGUAGUAACAGUGAGUGCUGCUUCAGUUCAACUCACCUGAGUACAUGGAUCUUUUGUUGCCUUCAUUUUCCCUUCGCAGGCUAGUAUUGUUAAGGUUCGGUGGCGAUUUCUUUUGCAUGUGUAAAAUGUUGUCUGUAAUGUGUAUGUAUUGUAUGUAGAUUGACUUAAUAUUGUAGUUCUAUUGUAUGUAUAUUGCCUUAAUAUUGCCUUUGUAUAGCAUAGAUAGUGUAUGCAUAUUGCCACCGUAUUGGAUGUAUAUUGUAAAACUAUUGGUAUCGUAUUGCCCUUAUAUUGCUCUAAUAUUGCCUCUAUAGUGCACCUAUAUUGACCUAAUAUUGCUCUUAUAUCGUAUGUCAAUGGCAUGUGCUCUAAUAAGUCUCCAGUUCGUUGAAAGUAAUCCUGAAUUCAAAUAUGAUGGACAAGACAAUUGUUAUCCAUCCUUAUAUUACCAUGAAUUGAUUUGGACCUUUCAAAUGAUAGUUGGAGUUGCACAUGGAUUCAUAUUCAAAAGGAAAGUAAUUCUCUCCCUCAAUGAAUUGUCGUUCAAAAGAAGGCAGCUAUCAAAUUUUGGGUACAAAAAGGCAACAUCCACGGUAAAUUAAUUGGGCACAAACCACAUAUUACAAAACCAGGAUGAUUUUUGGCAUGCUUCAAAAGAGAAGGGCCAAAUACAACAGAAAAGAAAAUCCAUUCAAGCUUGUACAAUAGAAUGCACAAUAACCCUUUUACAUGUCCUUCCAACACCAGUGUUUUGCCUACUUUAGAGUCGCAGGAGGAGAGCUUAUUGCCAUUGUGCAAUUCGAGGGGGCAGUCAAUUUGGAAUGGUGGCAUAAACAUGUUUACUCCACGGAUCACCUAUAUGGGACAGAGCUUCCUUCUUCCCUUGUCGUCUGUAGGUUUCAACUUCACACUUUUUAUAUACAUGUAUGAGAACUUGUGGCUAUUUAUUUAUGGCCUUCUAACACUUGUUCUGCCAUUCCAAAGUGGGUUGGAGACUUUUUGAGUUGAAUGACUGGAAAGACUUCAGAUGACAGAAACUAGAGAGUUUGAAGAAAAAGGGUUACCAAGAACAGCAGUCAUGCCCACGACAUAAACUAAACAUGCUAUAAGCUCCACAGUAAUAUUUACUUCAUCUCCAUAAUCAGAAUAUUGGGAAAAAAAUACCACGGAGAAAUACGUGAAAUGAAAAACAACUCGGCAGUUACUGUGAGAUUGUGUACAUAAAACUUGGAACAACCAAACCAAUUAAAGCUAAGCCAUCUCAUACGUAUACCUACAUCAAAUAACAGUGUAUGGUCAUCUUGUUUAGAAUAUUGCAAUCAACACUUGGUUGAGACCGACCUGCAAAAACAACUGGGUUAAGUACAGAUGAAGCCAUUUAUGAAGGGCAGUUCCAGAAUUAAGACCUACGUUAAUUUGUAACUGCCACCGAAUCAGUUCAUAGUGCCAAAUGCAUCUACCAAGCACACAGAUAUGACCAGCCAAAAGAAAAAAAAGCAAAGUAAAAAAGAUAAAAGAGGCAUGCCAUAAAUGGGAACCUCAGCAGAAAUCAUCAGAUAUGCAUACAAGCAGAUUGAGUAACAUCUCACUAAGUAGAGGUCAUGUUGGUAAUCGCAUGUUGUGUUUGCACACAGACAUUUGGUUUUUGCAAACACAACAUGCAAUUGCAUUCCAUGAUGUGUGUGUUGUGUUUGCACACAGACAUUUGGUUUUUGCAAACACAACAUGCAAUUGCAUGAUGUGUGUGUUGUGUUUGCACACAGACAUAUGGUUUUUGCAAACACAACAUGCAAUUGCAUAUUGUGUGUGUUGUGUUUGCACACAGACAUAUGGUUUUUGCAAACACAACAUGCAAUUGCAUAUUGUGUGUGUUGUGUUUGCACACAGACAUUUGGUUUUUACACACACGAUAUGUAACAUUUAGUUUUACCCUUUUAUUCUUAUUUUCUUCGUUCAAACAUGGUGGUGAGAAAAGCACCAAACCAUCCCAUCAUAUAAAGCAAAACUCAUACAAUAUUUUAGAUGCAAAAGUUAUAUAUUUUAUAUAAAUGCAUCAUCCGCAUGGCUUGAAAUUACAAAUUCACGUUCACAUAUUACUUUUCACAAGCGCACAGACUAACAAUAAUAAUAAUCAACCAAGUAGUUGCGACAUUCAUCCUAUUACGUCCAUAUUGAUAAUGUCAGAAGUUUCAUCGAUAAGCCUCAUCAAACUACAAGUUUUUUAAUUUGAAUUAUGAAUUCAGAACUAAAAGCUCAUGAUAUGCAGAAAAUGACAUACAUUGUCCACAAUCGACUUUUCGAUAUAUUUCUGCUCUAGCAAUUUAUCGUCCAAAUUCUGGACUCUCUGUGUCAGGUGCUUCUUUGUGUUCUAUCCAGCAUAAGAAUAUUUAAUAGUGUGAUUUCAAUUGUUUAUACAAAUUCUAUAAGUAAUAUUGAUGAGUGCUGUAAAUCUAUUUGAUAUUGGGAACAAACAUGGUCCCACUAACAGAAACUCAAACAAAACAGGAAUUUUUUUUUAUUUUUUUUGGCAUAGACAGCCGAAAAGAAACUUACAGCAAUAGCCUCUGUCACGCUCUCCAGACGUUUAUGCAAUUUUGAAACAGCAGCAUUCAUACUACGCUUUGUCACAUACAGAAGAUCUGAGAAUUUUAGACCCUAACCAUUUGUGAAGAGCAAAUAUUAGAUUUGCUUAAAGAAGACAACAACUCACAGAACCAAUGGAUGAAAUAAUAUGAACAUAAAUAUAUCAUUUGGAUACCUUCCACCACAUGUAACCAUAACCCAAUGCCCCCAAGGUAGCUGUUGGCAUUAUUAGUGAUGUCAAACCUAUUAAAAAAAUCAAAAAAAAAAAUAUAACCAAGUAUAAAAUGUUUCUAUUGCAUUAUGAAAUACAUACGUGUAAGGAAUUAAUCGUUUUACAACUUAACCAAAAAGUCAAGGCAGGAGCAUGCAUUCAUUGAGUGGUUAUAAGCAAGAGGAAAAAGCACAAAGCAUGCUAAGAAUUCAUUUGAACACAGAAGAGAAAGUAAGCUACCUUGGAAUUUGGCUGUCAUUCCCCUUCAGGACGGCUCUCUGUAGUGACGAGUCUAGUUGUCGGACCUCAGCUGCCAGUCGGCGCACCUAAAACAAAGUAACACAGGAAAAUUGAUAUCCAUUACAAAAAACAAAAAUUGAACACGAGAAAGCAUCCUUCGACACUAAAUUUAUAGCAGUUUUUCCAAUACCUGUGAUGCGAUCGCAUAAAAGUCACCUUCUGAUUGUUCUCCGGUUCCAUUGAACAAAGGCUGCAAACAAAACAGAAAUAGACACAAAUCCAUCAAUUUUUUGAGCAACAAGACACAAGCUCCGAAAUAAAUAAACUAUCUAACUGAUCAAAACCCUAGUUUACCAAAUGCAUUACAAAAUUAAAAACUCAUACAAAAAUAACACCAAAUACAAAUGUUCUGCGAGUUCCACUAGCAAAGCAGAGUACAAAUCAUGAAAAUGGUACCUGAAGUUCACCGAUCAAUUCAGAUAAUUGACCAUUCUUACGCAGGAUGGUGCUCGUAUACCCUGUAGAAAGAGAACAAUCACUCAGAUCAAAUGUAGCUAAAUACACAAGGAAACUAAUCCAGUAUGCAAGAUGAAAGAGGAGUGAUUGGUACCUACUCCAGCGAAGAUCAGCAAACACAGUAUGAGGUUCCAAAUUCAAAUAACAACAUAAUGCUAAGCAGAGAAGUAGAAUUGCUGCCGAAAUUAUUUAAAACGAACUAAGUCAAAACUAAAUGGAGAAAUGUUAACAAAGUUGUAUGCUUCAGUAAGUCCAGUAACAGAUUCCCAAAACCACAGAGACAAAAUGUGAACAAUGGCUACAAAAGCAUCCAUAAAGAGCAACUAUGUUUAUAUAUGGAGGUGUACAAAAUAGUUAACCUUCAAAAUCGAAACAGUGUGUGUGCCAUGUAAGGCAAUUAGCCACUGCUUCUAGACUAUACAAUAUUACACCUCACAAUAAUAACUAAACCAACUAGCUCUAGCAAAAAGGCAGGAUGACCAUAUAAAGUACCCCCAGCAAAGCAUCUACGUCUGCAUCUUCAUAUCAAGGAGUUCCUGACAUAAGUAAUGAGCAAAGUGAAUUCCCAAGUCAUAAGUCCAGAAUGAGGUGAAUUCACGGACAUUAAAACAUUUACCUCAUAAAUAUGCCUCCCCCCUUAAACCCUCAAUUGCAAGCCUCAGCCGGUAAUAUUUGAUCUUCAAAGGGUCAACUUUAUCUACCGAAAUCCCAGCACUGAGAUGCUCGAUGAAUUUGACGGUCAUGAUUCCGCAAGACGUACUGUGAGACCAAUAAGUUGGGAAAUUAGAACUGCAGUUAUGUAAGAUUUGGAUAAACUGCACUAAAUUCACAAAGCUUACCCAUCUCGUUGUUGUGGCACAUCUGCAAUGCUGCAAACUGAGAAUGGCGUAAACGUCAACAUCUUCAGCCCCUUUUGCUUAACCUUUUCAACCUCAGAAUCUUCAUAAAAGUGCAUAUCGUACAGCACUCGUGCCAGCGUAUCGCUAAUAGGGUGCAGAAGUGUAACCAGCUUCGAACAUUUGGUAAAAGCAACAUAUGAGUCAUACACAGUUGCAGUAUGUCAGACGAAAUCAAUUUCGAUUGCAACCCAGUAAGACCCUUUAAGAUUAUAUGGAAUAUAGACCUUCCGGACUUUUGUCCAAGCUUGGCCAUACCCGUGUUGCCACGUACCGCGUACAAAGUAAUGUAUAUUCUGCAGCUUGCUGGGUGGAAGGUCAACGGUGUUUGAAGCAACUGCCUUCUUCGAUCCACGUUUCUUGGCAGUCGGUUUGAACGGAUCUAGAAAUUGCUGCAUAAAUUGAAAUGAAGGCAUAUUAGAAAAUCACAACCGAAAGCAAAUGAAGCAGCGAAUGUAACAUGGUAACAUGUUUACCUGCAAGCAACAAUCUGCUGUUGUCCAGUCAGUUCCAAAUACCAACGGAUGAGAGAGUUGCCUUUUCCAGAUAAGAAAGGUUGCCAUGUCCAGGUGCUGAAAGUUGACACACAUAAUAUCAGCACAAUUUCAUACAACUGUACACUUAAAAAAGGUGAGAAAACAAUUUAAUUAUCGCAAUAAAGUAGAGCUUUGUGUAUUCUUACCCUUGAGCUAAUCCAUUCCGUUUCAUCGAUAAGUCUGUAGAAAAAAUCAGCGCCCACUGAAAAUAAUUCCAGCUGCACCUCCGCACUACAAAAGGCAAACUUGCAAUGGUUACUUUUAUAGUCAUCUCAUAAUUCUGACUUUGUUGAUGACAAAAAUACACAUGUAUAUUAAAGCAAACUCUACGUUUUCUCAUUAGUCUAUGACUACAUACUAGAAUAGGAUGAAGAUUGGAAUUCAAAGGUAAAGAAUCCUAACCUGAUAUCGUUUUUCCAGGCAGUACAAAACUCUAUUACUGCCUUCACAUCUUCAAUGGGCACGGAUUUUGAUGGAUCAAAACAUGGCGGGGUUGCAGUCGCAGCCAACACACUCAUCGUCCUCUUCUUCCUCAAAGGAUCAGUAAAUGGGCUCAACAAUGUCUGCGCCGGGCGCUUCUGUCUGCACCCUUUACCUUCCACUUCUUUUUUUUCCACACUCGAACUACCUUCUUCAUCACCAGCCAUACUAACUGUGGGUAGACUUGGAGGAUUCAUCGGACCUCCCGAUGGCAUACUCUUAGUCACUUUCCAAUCUUCUAACAGAGACAACACUUUUUGGCAGAUUUCGUCACACCCGGCCACAUCUUCCGGGGUAGGCAGCUUCUCGGAUUGUGCCUGCUCAGCUGCUUCAUGCACUUGUAAGUGAGGAACUGAAGCGGCCAUUUCUGCCUCUUCGACUACCAUGGCUGCGGAAGGUUCGGCUCCAUCACCGGGAACUUGUGUUUCCAUUACCGCCGGUUCUGUAGGCGGACUAACAUGGUCAUGUAAUGGCGACAAGUGAUUGUCGCCUCCUUCAUUCAUAUGAGGACUACUGAGGUCCUCAUGUCCUUUCCCACCUUCAUUCACCCCACCAUUUCGUUUUUUCAGCUGCUCUAUCUCCACAUUAAAAUAAUGCUCCAUUAAAGCCAGGGUGUUGCGGAAAUCCUCCACACACUUUUUAUUUUUUUCGAACUCUCUUUCAACUUUCAAUGACUCCUUCCGUACCAUGUCUUCCAACUGAUGCACUCUGUUGCGAAGCGCUCGAUUUGAUAUGGCAACUUUGGCCAAUUCAUCCUUUGUCCUUUGAAAGUCACGCUUCAAAGUGCGUAACUCUCUGGACGCGACUGUACCCUGCAUUCAGUUAUAAUGCAAGUGUUACAAUAUUUUCAAAAUAUAUUGCAACAAUACAGCAGUUAUUUUCCUAUUGUAUUAUGACGUAUAUCUUGGAAAAAAAUGUAAUGCUUGCCUUAGAAGACGACGGAAGGCUAGCAGUUUCGUCAAUGUCCUUAUCUUUUUCUUCUACAGAGGCAGAAGUGCUGGUUUUUUGUUCAGCGUCAUCGCCAAACAACUGAACAAGUUCUUCAGUGUCGUCAACACUGUCACCCCAAGUCCAAUACGGCUGCUGCUUGUCGAUUACAGAUGGCCGGAGAAGUUGCACAUCAACCUGCAAUUUACACAUACAAUAUACAUAUCAGUAAACUUAUUAUAUUAUAUUUUCAUAUGCCUAACAUUAUCAUUAAAAACUUAACUAACCUCACGGUUCUCGAAUACUUGGCUCAUUAGCUCAUAAAAACACGGCGAACUAUUGCUCCUCCAAUGUAGUAAACGAGGGAUGUAGGCAUUAUCUUCGUGCACCACCAAAUGUAGUGCAGCCAACGCUGGAAAAACCUCAUAAGCCCAAAUCUGGUUUGAGGAAUAAAACGUGAGUCACUGUAAACAAAUGAAAUUUAACUUCAACAUGAAUGGAAAUUUGCUCACCUGAAGUGCAUAGGCAAAACCUUUGAGGUGGUACUCUCUUGGUCUACCAGUUGCCGUUGUUUUUGCUUUCUUUUCAGAUUUUUUUGUUUUUGCAGCUUUUUUGGGCACUUUCACUCGCUGGUAAUCUGUACAAAGUGCCCUCAGAAGUGACACAAUUGUCUUGGCAUAACACACAGCACCCCAUGGAUACUUCCCAAACUCUUCAAGGUCUUCCACCAACUUCAAAUAUCGCAUGUCAAUCUGGACAUGUUUUUCACUGCCCAACAGCACAAACACAGCAAAGUAUACAAAUCUGAGCUUCAAUACAUCGUCCGCAUCAACGCAUUUGAGGAAGGCCUUUUCUAAUUCCAAAACAUUGACAGUUUUAUAGUUGCCAAAGUACUUCCUUUUCAAUGAGCAGUUCUCAUUAGUGGGAAUCGGAAUAAAGGGAAGGUUUCCAAACCUUAGCCCUGUCACGAUGCAAAAUUGCUGCGCCGUGAAUUGGAUCACCUUAUUGCCAACGAUGAAUUUGAUCCCGUUGAGUUGGGAAACUGUCUUUGGAUCAGCUUUCCUCAGCAGCAAGCCGUGGACAAUUGGCGAAGUCCACUUGAGGUCCUCAAUCAGUAGGAGAUGCCCAAAACAACUCUCUUCAAACCUUUGUAGCUGUUGUUCACUGAAUUUCUCCUUUAUCGUGCUGAUUGCAGUCUUCGUAUGGGAUAGGGACAAUGCUUUUCCUUGGAACUUUUCUUCCUCUGCAAUCAUCAACUUCAUUUGAGCAACCAUCUUUCCCUGCAUGCCAAUAUUAUAAAAAAAAAUUCAGUCCGUUGCAAUCUAGACAAUAACAAGCAAUAAACAAUCAGCACUUAUCUACAGCCUAUUAUAGGAUAUUAAGUGAAAACAAAAAAACAAAAAAUACAGGGCAUAAACAAAACCCCAGCUAUUUACAACUGACCUACUAAUUCAAUAGCUCAAAGCCACAUCCCAAGACACCCAGUACUCUACCACUCUUGCAUAAUAUAAUAUCUAAAGACACAUCUCAACACACCAGAUAAUCAUGACACAGCUUCAGCUAGAAUGGGAAUGUGCGGUAGCACAAGCCUAAUUGAGAACAAUUCAAGACUAACGAUAGAAAUCUAUCUGACUAGAAAGAGUUUUAAAAAAACAAGAAGACAUCGGGAAAGAAUUGAUUGACUUCAAGGUAUAAUGUAAUGGAACAUCCUAUGAAUUAGUGGCAACCAUAAUAAUGACUCCACUAUGGCCCUCCUUUCAAAUGUAAGAAAAUGAAUGAAAUUGGCACCAUCCCUUCAGUUUUUUCUUAACAAAAUAAGAGAUUUGUAUGUAUUCUCUGCUUUAUCGAUAUCAAAGAUAAAUUAAUAAAUAAACCAUCAAAACUGUAUAAAAUGUUUGUUAGACAUGUACAAUUACAAAAUUAUAAGUUCUCCUCAGAAACAAAGUUCUCUAAGUACGCAAACAAGAAAAGCAAAAGCUUAAAGAGUUAGCUUAUAGCAAAAUCAAUGUCCCCAUUUCUCUAAACCACACCUGCUGGUGGUAGGUUCCCAUCUUCACUCAUUUCCCGCUUUCUUUUAAACAGACAAUGAUCAAGCACAAAAGAGCAAACUUUUAAAUAACUCAUAUUACACCACAAAUAGUUCUAAAGAAAACUUAUUCAUAUCCAAUAUGCAACCCCUAAAGUUAGUAAACAGAGUUAUAAAAAAAUAUGUCAAAUUAACAAGCAUUAUUCUCAAACAAAAAGUAUGAUAUGGUUGGGAGUUUACAAGUUCAAAAUGAUAUACACAGGUUAAUUGUCUUAGACUUUAGAUAUCAUCUUCAACAAAGAAAAUAGAUACCGAUUAGACUUGUAAGAAGGUUAAAUGCAAUGGUCAUAAAGACCCAUAGUAAGCCACCAAAUACCAAUCAAUAACUGCUAUAAAAACCAUAAUAAAACCAUAAUAAACUAAAAAUACAACAGCACUAAAAUGCCAACACAACAUCACUACAUUAGCAAUAUAGUAGCAACAAAACCACAAUACGACAUCAAUAGCAACAGCAAAACAACAGCAGUGCAAGCAUCAGUCCACAAAGAACAAACCCAUUCACUGUUUCAAACAAGGAAUCAUCAUACUAAGAUCAUUUCAGAGAAACCCCAAAACCAAUUUCAGUGAAACCCCUAAACCAAUUUCAGAGAAACCCCUAAACCAAUUUCAGAGAAACCCCUAAACCUUCAACCAAUUUCGAACAAAUCCCUGAACCAAUUUCAUAGAAAUGCAUAAACCCUAAACCAACUUCAAAGAAACCCUAAACUGUAAGAAAAUGACGAUGAACAGUACCUGUUCAAGGUGAACGAUGGAGUUGAGCUUCGAUGAACAAAUUUCGCUCGGAGAGGAAGAGAGAAGAGAGAGUCAGAGCUGAGCGACGAGAGAUUAAGGGCUGAGCGACGAGAGAGUGAGAGCUGAUCGACGAGAGAUGAGAGAGUGAGAGCAAAGUGACGACAGAGUGAAGAGAAAUUGAGAGAAGGAGCCAAGAGAGAGAGCUGAGAGAGAACUUCAGCAAAACUGAUAGAGAACUUCAGCAAAAGUGAUAUGUGUACAAUAAGGGGACAAUAAAUAUAUAUUUAUAGGUUAUAGUUCCAAAUUUUUUUAAAAAGAGUGGUAUUUUCAGUUACAAUUAUAAAAAUGGUGGCAUUUUGAGCUAUUUCCUUAUUUUUUAUUCAACAUGGACGCAGAAACUGUUGCUAAACUGCAAACUUCUUAAAAUAUUUGUCUCACUUUCUCAACCCUAUAUUUGUCUAACUUUCUAGAUCCAUGUACUGAGAUUUAUUAGGGAAAUAUUGUAGAAACUGAUUAUUUUGAAAUAUUAAAUGUGAAAAACUGAACAAAAAUUUGAUGGGUUACAUAUUUCAACUCAUUUCAGCAGCUUAGAUUUUGAAGACCUCGGAAGAGGCCAUGCAGUGAGCCUAGCUAGUGCACUGUUGAUCACUUCAGUGUCUACCGAUCUGUAAUUUUUCCAGAUUGGUUAUAUUUUCCUUUACAUAUUCUUAUAUUAUUCCCAGCUGUAAGUGUUUUACACACUUGUCUAUUAGAAAAGGGGAGACUUAUAAAUAAAUCCAAAAUGGGUACAGUAUUUAUAAAGAAUGACAAAAUUAAAGUGUUUGGGCAAUAAUGCCCUUAUUCAUUUUGAGAUUGCCUAAGGAAUAUUUUUUCUGAUUUUCAGAAGAUGCCAAAGGACCGUUGUUUGAUGAUUGCCGUAAGGAGCUAAGAAAACUUGCUUUGAUAGUUUUGGACAGAUGCAUGCUACUGUUGCUGGGAUGAUCUCUUCACGUGAAAUGAGGAUGAUGAUGCUUCUACACUACACAAUCCAACGAAUUCACAUGUCUAUUUCAGAUACAAGUAUAAACUAACAAGGCUUUAAAAUAUGGGCUGAUGCACUGUUGUUGAUGUUGCUGACACUGUUACUGUGUUGUUGAUACUGUCACUGCGUUGCUGUUGGAAAAAGCACAAGGACUUCACAUGUUGCUUUCGUCUUUUGUGGAGGAGAGAGACCUAGGACUUGCAUGUCUUAGAUAUUUAAGAUAAGGGGCUUUCGUUCCAUUUUGAAAAUACUUUGGGUGUUUUUGAAAGGUGAUUGUUUCUUUUGGGUUUCUCACUAAAUUUCGCUUUAGAAGGGAAAAUAAUAAUAAUAAUGUCAAACAAAGUAGGGUAAAUAUUCAGAUAUGCUCAUAUUAUUAUUCUUCUCCAAUAUUGAGGUAUUUAUACAAGUACAAAGAUGUGUUAACCCUAAAUAAAAUAGGAAAUAUAUCUAAAUUAUAAUAGGCAGUAAAUCUCUAUUACAAUAGGACUAAAUAAUAAUUGGUAAGUAACCAAAAUUCUAAUGAAAUAAGGAAUCAAAAUCCUAACUAAGUAAGGACUCGCCAACACUCCCCCUCAAGUUAGGGCAAACAUAUUUCGCAUGCCUAACUUGACAAGCGAGUCAUAGAACACCAUACUUGAGAAGCACCAAUUGUAGAGAAGGUCUUUUCGUCAACCACGAGUGAAACAAGUGACAAACUAAAGCAAAGUUCGCAGCGGAAACACAAGAGCGAAUCCUAAAAAAUAGGGCACAUAGCAGAACACAAAAAUCCUGGAGCACGACAGUAGAUAAGGCAGAACACAGAAACCCUGUUAGCACGGCAAUAGGUAAGGCAGAAAAAGUCAAGAGCAAAGGCAAGGUCAACAGGCGUGACCACAACGAAAACACACCAGCAAAGACAUGAGCAACAAUAUUAGCACCAUAAUAGACAUGAGCAACAAUACUGGUACCAACAACAGCAAUACAAGGCACUGGCACCAGCAAGAGCAACAAGGCAUGGACAUAACAUGCAUAAUCAAUAGUAAUCAACAUUGUCCCCAACAAGAGUCAUAAUAGGCAUGAGCAAUAACAUUGUCCCCACUAAGAGACUUAACAGGUAUGAGUAACAGUACUGGCACCAGCAAAGGGCAUAGUAGUCAGCAGCAAUAACAAUGACAAAUACUUCUAUUAUUGCAGAGACAACUUCUCUUCACUCCCCAUCUCCCCUUGAAGAGAAGGGGUCAUCGGAACCAUAAGAAAAGUGGCACUUAAGAAACAGAAGUUGACUGACGCUCAAAUGUAGAAGAAUCAGCCAUGGCAAAUAGGUAGCUGAAUUGCAGCGGAAUAGAUGAGCAGCGGUGUCACUCCCCCUCAUAUCUGAUAAUGUAUGAGAGUCGAGAUUUGGAGAAAGCAAUAUCGAAAAAUAAAGUUGCAGAACCCAAAUAAAGUUGCAUCUAUCUCCCCAUCAAAUCCGACACUGGUAAAGGGUCGAGAUUUGAAAGAGGAGAAAUUGAAAUAAUAGUAAAGAGACUCAAACAUGCAGUCUCAUGGCAGAAACAAAUGCAAGAGGGGAAGAUGGUAGCAUACGGUUGUCCCAUGAAGAAAAAACUUCAGAAAAGGAGAAUAGUAAGGGAGGAAACCUAGCAAAUCAUGAACAGAGACAAAGACAAAGAUGCUCAAACUGAGAAGCGGAAAGGCAACUCAAGAGAGCAACCGAAGAAGACAGAGGCCCGCAGAACAGUCAAAGUUAAGGCUCGGCGAGUGGUGACGAUGCUCGCGGAGGAAAGCAACGGCUCGGUGAGCGGUGAUGAGGCUCACGGAGUAAAGAGACUUGUUAUGAAGUUUCAAAGAUAGAGAAGCUGAGACAUCAAGAAAGACCAUCUGGCAUACAAAGAUGAAAAAUAAAAAUUUUGGAACAGUAGCAAAGAAGCAUGUGAAGGCUGGUGCGGUGAAAACACAUAUGAAAGGAUGAACAAAAGAAGAUGACUAUACAAGAUGAAGACCCAUGAUGGGUUAGGAAUGAGGAGUGCCAACGACUCUCAAUUUGGCAGAGGUUAUCGCAGGUUAGGAACCUGGCUCUGAUACCAUGUCAAACAAAGUAGGGUAAAUAUUCAGUUAUGCUCAGAUAUGCUCAUAUUAUUAUUUUUCUCCAAUAUGGAGAUAAUUAUACAAGUACAAAGAUGUGUUAACCCUAAAUAAAAUAGAAAAUAUAUCUAAAUUACAAUUGGAAGUAAAUCUAUAUUACAAUAGGACUAAAUAAUAAUUGGUAAGUAACUAAAAUUCUAAUGAAAUAAGGAACCAAAAUCCUAACUAAGUUAGGACUCGCCAACAAAUAAUAGUACAACUCUUAUUAGCAACAGGUUACAAACUUCUUCUACAACACACCAACAUGAAUCUAGCCCUGAUCCACUCUUUUACAUACUUGAAAACAAAACAAAACACGAAAAACAAAAAACAAGAAACAAGAUAGGGAGAAAAUGGCUACGGAGAGACUUCCUGCUAAUCAGGGGCGGCCCUGGGGUGGUGCAAGUGGCGUCACCGCACAGGGCCCCCGAUUCUUAAGGGCCCCCAAAAAAUAAUUCUUUAUAUUAUAUAUAUAUAUAUUAAUAUUAUAUGAAUCGUAUAUAAAGUAUAGCGUCUGGAUGAUAAAGAGACUCAUUAUCAUUAUCUUAGUCAUAAGAUUCAAAAUGAAUUGAUACUUUUGUUAGCUUCUGAGCUCAAAAGUGCAAUCAUUAAAAAGAUUGAAGAAGCUAAAUAUUUUUCUGUGAUUCUUGAUUGUACUCCAGAUGCUAGAAACCAAGAACAAAUGAGUUUGAUAGUAAGAUGUGUGGAUGUCUCUACUAAUUCAAUAAAGGUUGAAGAAUUCUUUUUGGAAUUUUUGAUUGUGAAUGAUACAACAGGACAAGGACUUUUUGAAGAGUUGCAAACGGUGUUGCAAAAACUUAAGCUUGAUAUUGAUAAUGUGAGAGGACAAGGCUAUGACAAUGGAUCAAAUAUGAGUGGGAAAUAUCAAGGUGUCCAAAGAAAAUUUUUGGAUGUAAAUCCUAGAGCAUUGUACACACCUUGUGGUUGUCAUAGUCUUAAUUUAACACUUUGCGAUAUUGCAAACUCUUGUGGAAAAGCAAAAGAUUUUUUUGGAAUCAUACAACGUAUUUAUACAUUGUUUGCUAAUUCUACAAAGCGGUGGAAGAUAUUGAAAGAUAAUGUUAAACACUUAACUCUGAAAUCAUUGUCAGUUACACGUUGGGAAAGUCGUAUUGAAAGUGUGAGAGCAAUAAGAUUCCAAGCUGCAGAUUUAAGAGAAGCUUUACUUCAGUUAGCAGAAAGUGACGGUGACUCCAAAAUAACAAGUGAAGCUAAUUCUUUGGCAACAUAUGAACUUGGAAAUUUUGAGUUCUUAUUGGGCAUGGUUAUUUGGUAUGAUAUAUUAGGUGGUGUCAAUGUAGUGAGCAAAAACUUACAAUCUGAAGACAUGCUUAUUGAUGUUGCUAUUGAUAAAGUGAAAGGGUUGAUUACUUUUUUUUUGAAAAGUAUAGAGAAAAUGGGUUUACAGAAGCUAUGUGUACUGCUAAAAAAAUUGCUACUGACAUGGGAAUUGACCCGGUGUUUCCUGAGAAGCGAAAAAUUCGUAGAAAAAAACAUUUUGAUGAGAAUACUUGUGAGCUAUCCCAAUCAGUUCCUGAAUCAACUGAAGAAAAGUUUAGAAUUGAUUAUUUCUUGUAUUUAGUGGACCAAGCUAUUGGUUCUUUACGAAGAAGGUUUCGACAAUAUCAAGAGUAUGAGAAUUUUUGGGUUUUUGUUUACUUCAGAGAAGUUAAAUUCAUUGGAUGAUUGCGAUUUGAAGAAUAGUUGCAGUCAUCUGGAAAGCAUUUUGAAAAAUGACAAGUUUUCUGAUGUCGAUGGGGAGGAUUUAUUUGUUGAGUUGAAAGUUUUACAAGAGCUUUUACCAAAAGUAAAUACCACAGCUACUGCAAUAUUAAAUUUCUUGAAAAGAUUAAAUUGUUUUCCAAAUGCAUUCAUUGCAUAUAGAAUCCUAUUGACUAUUCCUGUUACUGUUGCAUCUGCGGAAAGAAGUUUUUCAAAAUUAAAAUUGUUAAAAUCAUACUUGAGAUCAACUAUGUCGCAAGAAAGAUUAAAUGGACUAGCUUUGAUUUCAAUUGAAAGUGAACUUCUUGAAAAACUUGAUUAUGAACAUUUGAUUGAUGAUUUCUCUUCUAAAAAUUCAAGAAGAUCAAUUUUCAGACAUUAGUAUUGUACUAGCUGUGUUUUUUUUUUUCUUCUAGGGUAAAAGCUCUCAUAAUAAUUUUAAUUCUUCAAAUAAGACAGCAAAUACAAUGUGAUGAAUUUUGGAUAAUCAGGUAUGUUUUUGUUGUUGCUUUUGUGUUUAAUGCAAUAUAAUCUAAUUUUUUUAAUGACAUUUGUGUGCAACUACUCUUUGAUUUGUGAUUGCCAAUUUUUUUUUCUUUCUAUUAAACACAGAUUGCUUAUUGGAGGCAGCAAGAGACCUUAUAGGGGCACAAGGAGCUUAUUUUUGUACAAAACAUUUAACUUUAUCAAAUGGAAACAUUUAAAUUUUUAUGAAUUUGAUUUCUGAUUGUCAUUGCAUAUUUAUUGAUGGUGAAUUUUAGUUAUAAAAAAAAAAUUGUUUAUGACAUUAAGUUAUGGCAAAUUUUUAUAGUAUUUUCGUAUUAGAUUAUGCGAGGUCCCAAUUUAAGUUUCGCACAGGGCCCUCAAAAUCUCAGGAACGGCCCUGCUGCUAAUACUUGAUCAAUAACAGAGAUAAUAGAGCACACUGUUUGUAUGACAAUGAGUAUCAGAAGAAUAAUAGCUGCAAAGAGAGAAAUAGCUGCCCAAGGUGUGUUGAAAUACUUUUGUCUCAAAUUUGCCUUCCGUCUGUUCGUGGUCUUCUUGCAGUACUCGUUUAGUUUGCCAGCAAGAUCACCAAAAUAGUAGUUUCCGUGGUUCGGAGCAACUUUACUGCAAAGCUUGUUAAUCAUAAUGGAAACCUUAUUGUUGUCACCUAGCGUGUUUACAACAAUUCCAUUGUCAACAAGCAACUCUACAUCCUUUGGGGUGUUUACAAAUUUAUCCAGGAUGAAAACAUAAUCGCUUAUGUAUUUAUCCACGCAAUGGCCUUGUUCAAAGGCAAUGAGAUUUCUAUGUGUAAGCUGUGUAAUCAUGUAUUUCAAUUUUUGGAAUUUCCAAGGUGUUUUUCUUGAACUGUAUAUCGAAUAAGUUCUUGCUUGAUCCCACGUUAAACUUAACUCCGGCCUGGUGUAGUUUUGUCAUGCUGGGUGUACUUUGGAGCCCUCCAUUUUUUUUUCUUUUGGCAGAUGUAAAGUUCUAAUAAAAUCAACAAAAUGUAAAGGUUUUUUAGGAUCAGGAGGCAUAAAAGACUUACGGAAGGCUGGUGAGUUCUCCAAGUUUUCUAAACGCAGUGCCUGUUGGAAGAACUUGUAAGAGAGUUCAAUUAUUGAAGGCUCCCCAGUCUGAGCACCUGUGAGAUUGUAAAGAUCCUCGAGAAUGAAAAAUGGCAGCUGAUUUACGAGCAUAAGCAUGUCAGGCAAUAUAUUUUGUAGCACCCAUGGUUUUUUAAAUAUCCAAGCAUCAUCAUCCUGCAAUUUUUCUUCCUGAAAUUUUUCUUCGGAUUUAUUCCUCAACAAUAGCUCAAUGACAAAGGCGGCAUCAACUAGAAUGAUAUUCACAAAAGUAGCAAUGUUAAACUUCUUAGGGCUAGUUUGGCGGCGUUGUGCUUUUAAAAAAAUAUGCUUCUGCUGUGCUGUGAAAAUAAUUAGCUGUGAAAAAAAGCUACUAGGCGUUUGGUAAACUGUUUUUGAAAAACUGCUGUGAGUAGUCAAAGUGUUUGGUAAAUUUUUAUCAGAAGUACUUUUAGUGUGUAUAAUGACCAAAAAGGACAUGAUGAUGAAAUUGUUUGUUAUUUUCUUCAUUCUUUUUCUACUUUAAAAAAAAAAAAAACCCAAUUUCACUACAUAAAUUUUUAUUCUUUUUUAAUUCACACCUUUUUAUCAAAAAAUUUAAUCUACAAUUAACAUACAUAUUUUACCAUAAAUUAUAAAUUACUAUUAUAACAAAAGUAAUUCUAAAUAUUGUUAUAUUAAUAUGGGCUUCGGACAUGACAAAAAUACAAAAAUUGUUCAAUUUUAAAAUGCCCCAAUAGAUCACUACAAUAUAAAAGAAGCUAAUUAGAUGCAUUCAUUAAACUUGUAGCGAUGCUAUUUCUUAAUGCAUUCAUUAGCUUCUUUUUUUGGUUUCCAAUGGUUCUCUAACAAUUUUAACUAAAAAAACAACCAUAAUGCUUUGUGAACAAUAAAUUCAAGUCCAAAUCUGCUAUUGCCCACACCAUACAUAUAUACAUAAUUGUUCCUUUCAUAAAACUUGAAGAUUCAAUAGUAAUUACACAGUUUACCAAUCUUGAUUCCAACUAUAUCCAUAAAAUUAAACUAUAAUUAGAAAUAGAGGAGCUACAUGUGAUUACUCAUAAAUGCUUCCCACUCUCAUCAUCAUCAUCAUCAUCAUCUUCCUCCUCUGUACUUUGCCUUUCACAAAUGGACAAGACCAGAUGGUAACGUACACGACAUGGUCCACAUAUAGAUAAAUUUUGGGUUCACUGGAGAACAUAAAAGAGUUUUUACACGAAUACAAAGUUAGUUAAGUAGUGAAUAAAGUAAAACUAUUCUGUACAAUUCUAGCUGAUGCAGUCCAAAAAGAAUAUAUGUCUAAUAACUUAAAUAACAAUAAAGAGAAACAAAAGCCUCAUGAAAAAUGCUAGAGUAAAAGUUACAUAACUGAAUCGAUGGACAGAGAACUCCACAGGCAGAGAAACAGCAACAAAAAUUGUCAAAACAGUAGCAAGACCAUGUUGGAGUCAAGGCCAAAGAUCAUAUUUCCUGUGUAUCUUCUUCCAUUCUGAAUUAUUCUCGUAUUCAAAUACUGUAACUCUAUUUCAAGUGCACCCCAAAAUACUUAUCUAAGGCCAGUACAUAGGACUUCAUAAAGGGUGCGAUAAAAAAUAUUGCCCCUUAAUUGAUAAACAGAACCAAGAUCCCAACAGCACACCAAAACUAUACCAACCACACCUACAUAAUAUGGACAGAAAAUCCUGUUGUUCCGAUCUCUAACCACACCAAUGACAUUCAUUAGGAAAAUACAAAAGAUGGGUACCCUGCAUUUCUAACAUUUAAGAUAAAAUUCACUGCCAGCUAAUCACAAAUUUGAAAAGAUGGCAAGAAAAUUGGCUAAGCUUUAACAAAAACCAGAGCAGUCCUUGCAUAGACCUGACUUUUUGCUCCAAGCUUUAGCAGAUCACUUACUGGUAGAGAGCAGAGAACAUGUAUGUGAAUAUCUGAAGUUGGAAGGGUAAGCCAUCACAAACACCAAGAGAUCUGAUUCUCAUCUCUUGUUACAACAACAAAUCACAAACACCAAUACAUCUGAUUCAGAAUCUCAUAAACAAUGGAGGAACAAACACAUAUUCACACACAUAUAAAUCCCUAAACAGAAAAAAUAAAAAAUAAAAAAAAAACCAUGAAAGUCAUAGGAGAAUCAAAUUGAUUUGGGCCAAAAUUGCCUAAAAAGAAAACACUCCUAAAUAAACUUCAAUUCACUUUUAAAAACAGUAAAACAUGAUUGAAUCAUUCUUUAAAACAAUUCCCUAAUAUACAUGCAUGAUAAUGACAUCAUUUACCCCUGAAUCAAAUGCCUUUCACUGGUCAAGCCACAAGUCUGUGUUUUGGGAAUUGCUGAGCUGCAUCAAUCCUGCCAAUGUAAAUUCUGCCCCUAGGCUCUCUCAAAGUGCGUUUACAACCUAUGCUAACAUAUACUAGAGUUUGUUUUAGUAUCUAGAAAAUGCCAACACUAAUUUCGUAACACGUAGAAAUUGUUACAUAUUGGAAGUUUUUAUCAUUUUUUCUUCCAGUCUCUCCACCACUCACUAAUACAGAUUACUCAUGUGAUGAGUUUACAAAACAUAUUUCUCUACUCCCACAAAGACCAUACUUUUUCUCAAAAGACUAUAUCACUUUAUCUCUAUCUUUGUGAAAUGUAAAAAGUUGAAACUUUAAUGUCAAACCUCGACAAAAGAUGAACAUCCAUCAUCAAUUACAUUGAAUUUGAAUUUGUUGAACUUAAGUAGUUUUACUUCUCUGUCAGCGUUUGAUGACUUGAUUUGUUAUUUACUUCUUCUUUUUUCCUUGGAAAUGUGUUCCAUCAACGUGAGGAAGAAAAAUAUGCACAAAUUAAUAUAUUUAAUAGAAGCAAAAAUUAAUAUUUACAAAAAUAUGCACAAAUCAAGUAAAAUUAAUAAAGCAUAAAUUGGAAAGGGAAAAUAUGUAGAGGAUGCAUUGUAGGAUUGCUCAUGCCAAUAAUUGUACCCUCUAAAUAUAUAGGGACAUAUUUUUUUUUGUUUUCAUGACAUGUGGUCCUAAAAUUAUUGUUCUUAGCGGGCUCUCCACCCCUCUCGACUGAAAACCUAUUGUGUAAAUCUUCAAUCCUGAAUGAUGCACCUAAAACUCAUGUUGCAAUACACAUCCACCCAUUCUCAGGCCAAUUAUUACUCCUAGUGGGCUCUCCACCCCCUCUCAAAUUUAAGUGGUCCAUUAUUAUUAACCGUAUAUUUUAUGGACCAGCCAGCUGUGAGGUUUUAUCUCAAAAACCUUUCUCCCACAUGCCACAAUUUAUGUCUGAUACAUCACAUCAUGCCAGUUGUCUCAAAUGAAUUUAAGUGAGUGAGGCAGUGUUACUUCUGGGUACCCCUCAUUAUUCGUCUAUAAAUUGGUGAAGCCAGUUGCUACUGUUACCAUAAGAGCCAGCUCCGACUUUCAAAAUAAAAAUUCCAACAACGGUCUUAGUGCCUUCAAUUGUAUGAGUCAUUGAACAUGCAAAUGAAUAAAAUAUGAAUGAUAAAAGUGUUUGAUAAAUCACCAAGUUAUAGAACACUUGAUGAUUUAUCUCAAAUAAAAAUUCAGCUUUCUAAAGUUUGUGAAUUGAAAAUAUAAUCGUUAAAGCUCUCUAAACAAAGAAGACGAAAGUCUUAUUUUAUAGAAUUUUUCUUUACAAGAAAGAAAACAUGUUGAAAACCAAAUCUCCAAUUUCCAAGGCUUGACAGAAAAUCAAAAAAAUAUCUUUCCUAUUCUAGAGAUUGGUCACAUGUAGUUCAACCAAUAGGAAAUGAGAUAUUUAAGAAAGCAAGAUUUUGAUCAAUACCAAUAUCAAAUGAAUUCUUAUACGCCUAGUCAACUAUUAAGGGUAUCUUGACUCCUUGAUAUUGUGAUAUGAUUGAAACAUGAUUUCCAUGUUAGAAAAUUAAGGGGAUGUUAAAACAUGAAAGUAAUAGGAGAAUCAAAUUGAUUUGGACUAAAAUUGCCUAAAAAGAAAACACUCUUAAAUAAACUUCAAUUCACUUUUAAAAACAGUAAAACAUGAUUGAAUCAUUUUUUAAAACAAUUCCCUAAUAUACAUGCAUGAUAAUGACAUCACUUACCCCUAAAUCAAAUUGUCACGCCCCGGACCUGGGGGUCAGUGGAAACCCCACGUUCGGUGCGUGAGAAAAUAAAAAGUAAAAUAAAAUAAAAAGAAUGCCGAAACAAGGGUUUAAAAUAAACUUCUCUUAUAAAAAUAACUCCAAAAUCUUACAACUUUACAAGAAAUAAAUAAAGCCCUAUCAUUCUUAUCUAAUUCAGCCUCAACUGGUUUAGUCCUUGUCUUGCCCACUAAUUCAUCUAAAAAAUGAAGAGUGUUGCUAAACGAACCCUAAAAUUAAUUGAGUACACCCUACUACCAAACGAUUUAUUGAAUUUGUCACAUCUCGGGAUCAACUCCGCCGUAGCACGAUAUUGUUCGCUUUGGGCCCUCCCUCUCUGGCUCGCAUGGUUUUGUUUCUGGGAACUCACGAGUAACUUCCCAGUGGGUCACCAAUCCUGGGAUUGCUCUAGCCCACAACUCGCUUAACUUCGGAGUUCCUACGACUCCGAAGCCUGUGAGCUCCCAAAAGGUCUCGUGCUAGAUGGAUGCGGGUGUGCACAUAUAAGGCACAUCACCCCCUCUCCGUUGGUUGAUGUGGGAUCUUAUAGAAUUACUAAUUUAUCCUAAUAUAAAAUGACCAAAGAAGAUAAAAUAAUAUUGGUAUCUAUUGCUUUGAAUCCAUGCCUUCAAACAAAUUGACUUAAUUUUUAACAAACAACACGGAGUCCAGGAGAAGUGUAUUGAUCCAAGUUGAUUUUUGUAUGCGUAAAACUUAAACAAUCAAUAACACAAAGCAGUUCAUGCUGAAAUAUUGGAAACCCACACCCAAAGAGUUCUCCGCUGCGAGGUUGAAGGCAGGAGAGAUGGGUGACAGAUUUUACUUCCACUGCGAAGUUGGAGGCUAGGAGAGUCUGUGACUGCCAUGGUUGAGGGAGAAGAUGCGUUCAAAAUGCCUAUUGAUAUUUUACAUUAUUGGCUUUUUUCAAAAGUGAAAGUUUUUUUAUGGGUAAAACCUAAAUUUACUUUUUCUAUACAAGUUAACAGUGUUUGUGUAUUGUGAAAAGGUGGAGAGACGUGUCAAAAUUUUAGACAAAGGACAGGAGGAGAUAGGGAAUUUGGGGACAGCAGAUCUCAACUCCCUUGAGACCCUAUUCUCUACGCCACCCCUCCCCCUCAACAACCCUAGUCACCAUUUCUCCUUCAACUCCAACGGCAACUCAUUAAAACCCAAUUCUCAAAUGCAACAAUCUAAUCCCAAUCCCAAUUCAGAUGUUUCUAAAAAACCCAUUGUCGUGGUGGAGAACUGCAAUUCCAGGUGGUGGUGGUGGUACCACAUGGGAGAGAGAAAAAAGAAGAAGAAGAAGCAGGAGAGAGAGAGUUUUUUAUUUUAUUAUUAUUUUACUGUAAUUUUUUAAUUUAAAUAAUUAAAAAAAUUAAAAGUUAAAGAGGAUGUACCAUGGGUAUUUUUGGUAGUUAAAUAAGGUGUACUUAGGGUCAGUUUGGCAUUGCUGUGCUGUGAAAAUAAUAGCUGUCAGAUUUGCUGUGAGAGAAAUCAGCUGUGAGAGAAAUCAGUUUGGCGUUUGAUAAAAUUUUUGUUAAAAGUGUGUUGAUAUUGAUUUUAUGCUUAAUCCGAAAAUGAUUGCUGCAUAAUCAUUAAACCCAGCGCCUCUUCGAAACUGAUUCCUAUAUAAUCAGAAAAUGAAAGCACCUCAUUAGCUGCUUUCCUUUAUAGCUUUCUCUCACAGCAAUUUUUAACAAUAAGUGAUUUUCUCACAGUUUACCAAACGGGUUGGGCUUCUCAAAAUUUUUUAAAAAUCACUUAUUACCCCAAAUAAGCAAUACCAAACGGGCACUUAGUUAAUUUUACAUUUUAAUUUAAACAUUAGGGUGUACUCAGUUAAUUUUAGGGUUCGUUCAGCAGCACUCAAAAUUAAACAAGGUGAGGGAUGAGCAAGUAGGGACAUGAGACAUUGCCACAGUAGAUUGAUAUAACUAAAUAUUAUUAUAAACAUAGAAAUAUAUAAGUAUUAUUAUAAUAGGAUUCAUAAUAAUUAAUAUAAAAGUAUAACAACAAUAUUUACAUUUAUGUACCAAGAUAAUUACACAUAUAAAUAUAACCAAUAUAUAUUUUUAUAUAUUUUAAAAUAUAAGUCUUUACGUAAAUGCCUUUCACGGGUCAAGCCACAAGUCUGUGUUUUGGGGAUUGCUGAGCUGCAUCAAUCCUGCCAAUGUCAAUUCUGCCCCUGAGCUCUCUCAAAGCACGUUUAAAACCUAUGCUAACAUAUACUAGAGUUUAUGCUGUAUCUAGAAAAUGCCAACACUAAUUUCGUAACACGUAGAAAUUGUUAGAGAUUGGAAGUUUUUAUCAUUUUUUCUUCCAGUCUCUCCACUACUUAUUAAUACAGAUUACUCAUGUGAUGAGUUUACAAAACCUAUUUCUCUACUCUCGCAAAGACUAAACUUCUUCUCAAAAGACUAGAUCACUUUACCUCUAUCUCUGUGAAAUGUAAAAAGUUGAAACUUUAAUGUCAAACCUCGACAAAGUGUUCUACUUUACAAACUUCUUGUGUCUACCAAUUUGUACUAAAAUUAAUUUCUCUACAGUGCUCAGAUUCAUCAUAUGUGUGUCCUUAAUUUUAGUGGAAAUUGGAAGUUUCCAUAAUUUUUGCUUUAAGUCACUCUUCUGAAGGAAGUUGAGGUUCCACUUCAUAAUCCAAAAUGUCAGGUUGACUUAUGGCAAACAAUGUAAAUAUGUAGGAGUACUAUGACCUUUUAUAGCAUUUUUAGUUUGAAUUUGGGUUUUAUACAUAGAUUUCAAAAUUAAUAGGUUGAUGCCUAGGAAAUAGAAAUUGUAAGGGCCUAUAUUAGAGUAGCCCUCUUAAAAAUAAUAUUAAUUAAUGAAUAUUUGUUCUUCUUGUUGUUUUGAAGUAGUGGUGGGAGGCAGACCAACAAAAAAAAAAUAUAGUGAAGGCUUAUAAGAGCAUUUACAAUCAUGCUCCCUAUUUUUUAGUUAAAAUUUAGCUAAAAAUAGAAAAAAAGUUAUUAUAGGAGCUCUUUAUAAAGCUCCUUUAUAAAAUUUGAACUCCAAUCAUACUCCCUAGUUUAGGGAGUCAAAAAUACUAUAGUUAUUUUUUAAUUCAAUUUGAUUUUGGUUAAUCUCUAUAAAUAUGAAAAAAUAGUUAGCAUUAAUUAAAAGUUUAAACUAUGCAUAAAACAAAGAAACAUUAAAUUAUAGGGAGCCACUAUGAGUCAUUACUCUCUCCUCAGAUUUAGGAGCUCCUAAAGGUCUCCCUAUUUUAUGAGGUGGAUAAGGAGCAUGGUUGGAGUUGUAUUUCUUCAAUUUCCUCCCUAAAAUUUGUCUAAGGAUGUGGUUUAGGGAGCCCAUUGUGAAUGCUCUAACUCUGGUAAAACACGAGUGACAUGGACAACAUAUGUUACGUCGUACUGAAGAUUUUUGGGUUUCUUUAAUUGGUUAAGUAGCAUCCACACAGCUUCCUAAAUCAUCUCCUUAGACAAAUUUUAGGGAGGAAUUGGAAAAGUACAACUCCAACUAUGCUCCCUAUCCACCAACUAAAAUAGGGAGACUUCUAGGAGCUCCUAAAUCUGAUGAGAGAGAAAGGACUCUUAAUGACUCCCUAUAAUUUAAUGUUGCUUUAUAUUAUUUUGUAUACAGACGGGUCAAUUAUAUUAAAUUAAAAAAUAAUUAAAGUAUUUAUGACUCUCUAAACUAGUGAGCAUAAUUGUAGAUCAUCUUAUAUACCUUAAUUUGAAGAUUCUUUAUUUGGGUUUCUUUCAAGACUUAUCACCUUAGCCACGCCACCUACACGUCUGCAAGCUUUCCUAACAAGGAAGGGGAGGCUGCGCAAUACUUAUCACCUUAGCCACACUACACCAAAUUGACGUCUGCAAGCUUUCGUAAUCUAACAAGGAAGGGGAGGCUGCGCAAUACUUAUCACCUUAGCCACACCAACACCACAAGACCAAUAUGUGUAGUCCAGGAGGCUUUCCCAUUUUAAUAUAUAUUAUCAAAUAAAAUAAAAAUCAAUCUAUUAUCAUAUAUAUUAUAAAAUAAAGAUUAUUGCUCCAUCCUCCAUGCACUUGCAUGCCUCUUACAAAGUGUGAAGUAGAUUUUGUGUGCUCCAAGUCAUUGACGAGAGCUGUAACAUGGUUAGCUGGAUUUAUAAGAUCUUUUCUUUUCUGGGAAUUUUCUGAAUCAAGAAAAAUUAAGUAAAAUUAAUAAAGCAUAAAUUAGAAAGGAAAAAUAUCUAGAGGAUGCAUUGUAGGAUUGCACAUGCCAAUAAUUGUAUCCUCUAAAUAUAUAGGGACAUAUUUUUUUGUUUUCAUGACAUGUGGCCCUAAAAUUAUUGUUCCUAGCGGGCUCUCCACCCCCUCUCGAUUGAAAACUAAUUGUGUAAAUCUUCAAUCUUGAAUGAUGCACCUAAAACUCAAGUGUCCCAGGCCAAUUAUUGCUCUCAUACCACUUGUUGUAAUAAACAUCCAUCCAUUCUAAAGGAAAGAUAACCAUCGAUAUUAUCUCAAAUUUAACCACUUAAGUUCAUUAUGAUUAACUAUGUAUCUUAUGGACCAAUCCAAUCAUGAGGUUUUAUACCCAAUUAGAUCGACUAAUACAAAGUUCACACGUGGAUUGAAAAGCGCUAUCAGUAGGGGAGUGUUCGGCACCCUUUACUGCCGAACGCAACACAAGACCCCUUGCAUGCCUUCACUAAGUUGAGCCUAUCUAUUUUUUAGCAUUAACAAUAUAUAUAGAUUGAAAAAAUAAAAUAAAAAUCAAUCUAUUAUCAUAUAAAAUAAAUAUUAUUGCUCCAUCCUCCAUACACUUGCAUGCCCUCUUACAAAGUGUGAAGUAGAUUUUUUGUGCUCCAACUCAUUGACUAGGGCUGAAACAUGGUUAGUUGGAUUUAUAAGAUCUUUUCUUUUCUGGGAAUUUUCUGAAGCACGGAAAAUCAAAUAAAAUUAAUAAAGCAGAAACUGUACCCUUUAAUUAUAUAUGGACGUAUGUUUUUUUGUUUUCAAGUCUUAGAUGACAUGGGGACCUAAAAUUAUUGCUCCUAGUGGACUCUCGACCCCUCUCAAAUUUAAGUGGUCCAUUAUUAUUAACCACAUAUUUUAUGGACCAUGCAGCUGUGAGGUUUUAUCUCAAAAACCUUCGGUACAUUUCUCCCACAUGCCACAAUUGUAUAUUCACAAUUACGGCUGUUACGUCACAUCAUGCCACUUGCCUCACAUGCAACAAGUCUGUGUUUUGGGGAUUGCCGAGCUGCAUCAAUUCUGCCAAUGUCAAUUCUGCCCCUGGACUCUCUCAAAGCACAUUUAAAACCUAUGCGAACAUAUAUUAGAGUUUAUGAUGUAUGUAUCUAGAAAAUGCCAACACUAAUUUCGUAACAUGUAAAAAUUAUUAGAGAUUGGAAGUUUUUAUCAUUUUUUCUUCCAGUCUCUCCACCACUUAUUAAUACAGAUUACUCAUGUGAUGAGUUUACAAAACCUAUUUCUCUACUCUCGCAAAGACUAAACUUCUUCUCAAAAGACUAGAUCACUUUACCUCUAUCUCUGUGAAAUGUAAAAAGUUGAAACUUUAAUGUCAAACCUCGACAAAGUGUUCUACUUUACAAACUUCUUGUGUCUACCAAUUUGUACUAAAAUUAAUUUAUCUACGGUGCUCAGCUUCAUCGUAUGUGUGUCCUUAAUUUUAGUGGAAAUUGGAAGUUUCCAUAAUUUUUGCUUUAAGUCACUCUUCUGAAGGAAGUUGAGGUUCCACUCCAUAAUCCCAAAUGUCAGGUUGACUUAUGGCAAACAAUGUAAAUAUGUAGGAGUACUAUGACCUUUUAUAGCAUUUUUAGUUUGAAUUUGGGUUUUAUACAUAGAUUUCAAAAUUAAUAGGUUGAUGCCUAGGAAAUAGAAAUUGUAAGGGCCUAUAUUAGAGUAGCCCUCUUAAAAAUAAUAUUAAUUAAUGAAUAUUUGUUCUUCUUGUUGUUUUGAAGUAGUGGUGGGAGGCAGACCAACAAAAAAAAUAUAGUGAAGGCUUAUAAGAGCAUUUACAAUCAUGCUCCCUAUUUUUUAGUUAAAAUUUAGCUAAAAAUAGAAAAAAGUUAUUAUAGGAGCUCUUUAUAAAAUUUGAAUUCCAAUCGUACUCCCUAAUUUAGGGAGUCAUAAAUAUUAUAGUUAUUUUUUAAUUCAAUUUGAUUUUGGUUAAUCUCUAUAAAUAAAUAAAAAUAUGAAAAAAUAGUUAGCAUUAAUUAAAAGUUUAAACUAUGCAUAAAACAAAGAAACAUUAAAUUAUAGGGAGCCACUAUGCCAAUAAUUGUAUCCUCUAAAUAUAUAGGGACAUAUUUUUUUUGUUUUCAUGACAUGUGGCCCUAAAAUUAUUGUUCCUAGCGGGCUCUCCAACCCCUCUCGAUUGAAAACCAAUUGUGUAAAUCUUCAAUCUUGAAUGAUGCACCUAAAACUCAAGUGUCCCAGGCCAAUUAUUGCUCUCAUACCACGUGUUGUAAUAAACAUCCAUCCAUUCUAAAGGAAAGAUAACCAUCGAUAUUAUCUCAAAUUUAACCACUUAAGUUCAUUAUGAUUAACUAUGUAUCUUAUGAACCAAUCCAAUCGUGAGGUUUUAUACCCAAUUAGAUCGACCAAUACAAAGUUCACACGUGGAUUGAAAAGCACUAUCAAUAGGGGAGUGUUCGGCACCCUUUACUGCCGAGCGCAACACAAGAUCCCUUGCAUGCCCUCACUAAGUUGAGCCCAACUAUUUUUUAGCAUUAACAAUAUAUAUAGAUUGAAAAAAUAAAAUAAAAAUCAAUCUAUUAUCAUAUAUUUUAUAAAAUACAUAUUAUUGCUCCAUCCUCCAUACACUUGCAUGCCCUCUUACAAAGUGUGAAGUAGAUUUUUUGUGCUCCAACUCAUUGACUAGGGCUGAAACAUGGUUAGUUAGAUUUAUAAGAUCUUUUGUUUUUUGGGAAUUUUCUGAAGCAAGGAAAAUCAAAUAAAAUUAAUAAAGCAGAAACUGUACCCUUUAAUUAUAUAUGGACAUAUGUUUUUUUGUUUUUUUGCUCUCGACCCCUCUCAAAUUUAAGUGGUCCAUUAUUGUUAACCACAUAUUUUAUGGACCAUCCAGCUUCGGUACAUUUCAAAAAGCUUCGGUACAUUUCUCCCACAUGACACAAUUGUAUAUUCACAAUUACUUCUGGGUACCCCUCAUCAGUCGUCUAUAAAAUGGUGAAGCCAGUUGCUACUGUUACCAUAAGAGCCAGCUCCGACUUUCUUUAAUUUCUUGCUACAUCUGUUGCUAAGUUAAUUUCAGUCCUAAUGGGGUUUCAUCUCCCACUCAUCUUUGCUAUUCUCAGUGUAAGCUCUGCAAUUUGAUUAACUUUUCCAUUCUCUCUCAUUGUACUCUAUAUAUAUAAAUGAAAGUUUUGUGUUCCUAUAAUUCUCUCCGAUUUUAUUUAGUACGUACUUAAGUGUCGUCCACUAAUUAAUUACACUUUGUGAGAUUUGAUUUUAAUUAGAGUUCGAAUUAAUGUUGCAGCUAGCAGCGGUUGCACUGGCAAACAAUGCUGCUCAACCAGCACCUCAACUUUACUGGAACUCCGUCCUGCCAAACACACAGAUGCCAAGAUCUAUCAGUGAACUUCUGCAUCCUGGUUUGUGUUCAGCUCUUUAUAAUCUUAGAUAUCUCUUCUACCUGCCAUUUUACUAAAAUAUGUUCGACCACAUAUUUAUCAGCUAACUACUGUGAUUACAAGAAUGACACUUAUUUUCCAAUAUAAUUUGCAGACUCCACAAAUGAAGAAAAGAGCAAACCUGAAAUUUUCCCAUUGCAGGGCAAUAGAGUUUACACUCAAAGCCAUUAUAAAAAACGUCCUCCUCCUCCAUCUGACGAGGGCAAACCUGAAACUUUCCCAUUGGGCAAUAGCCAUUACACUCAAACCCGUUAUAAAAAACGUCCUCCUCCUCCAUCUGACGAGGGCAAACCUGAAAAUUUCCCAUUGGGCAAUAGCCAUUACACUCAAACCCGUUAUAAAAAACGUCCUCCUCCUCCAUCCGACGAGGGCAAACCUGAAAAUUUCCCAUUGGCCAAUAGCUUUUACACUCAAACCCGUUAUAAAAAACGUCCUCCUCCUCCAUCUGACGAGGGCAAACCUGAAAAUUUCCCAUUGGCCAAUAGCUUUUACACUCAAAGCCAUUAUAAAAAACGUCCUCCUCCUCCAUCUGACGAGGGCAAACCUGAAAAUUUCCCAUUGGCACGUUCUCCUCCAUCUGACAGUCAACUAAAGCAUUACAAAGACUUAGCUAUUUUCUUCUUCGAGAAGGACAUGCGCCCGGGCACAACUAUGAAGUUCCAAUUCCCUAGAAAUUCAAACACGGCUACUUUCCUGCCACGCGAAAGUGCUCAAUCGAUCCCCUUCUCCUCUAAGAAACUACCAGAAAUUUUCAACCAUUUUUCAGUGAAGCCAACAUCUGAGGAAGCCAAAACAAUUAAGCAAACAAUCGAAGAGUGUGAAGCUCCAGGCCUUAAGGGAGAGGAAAAAUAUUGCGCCACAUCUUUAGAAUCAAUGGUUGAUUUUAGCACUUCGAAGCUUGGAACAAGAAACGUUGAAGCAAUCUCAACGGAGGUAUUGGAAGAAGGAGCCACCAAGUACAUGCACAACUAUACAACAAUGCCGGGACUGAAGAAGUUGGAAGGUGACAAAGUCGUUGUGUGUCAUAAGGAGAACUAUCCCUAUGCUGUGUUUCUCUGCCAUGCAAUAAAACAAACAGAAGCUUAUGUUCUCUCCCUGAAAGCCGAUGAUGGGAUGAAGGUGAAAGCAGUAACCAUCUGCCAUCUAGACACAUCAGAAUGGGACCCAGAGCAUUUGUCCUUCCAAAUCCUCAACGUUAAGCCCGGAACCACUCCCAUCUGCCAUUUCCUUACCACUGAUGCUAUUGCCUGGGUUCCAAAACACAAAUCUGCAUGAUCAUCACUUAGCACUGUACGUGUAAUAAGCUUGGUCGGGUUGCACCCUAGGCCUGCAUAAUUAUCUCCCUACUUAUUUCUGCCUCUUCAUCAUGCGGUGUAAGAUAUAUGAUGAGAUGAAGUUUUCUCUUGUAACUAUGUAGACUACUUCAACUUGUACUCAUAAUAAAGCACGCUGUUGGGGGGUUCUACUUAAUUUCGUUCUCUCCAAUGUUUGAGUGUUGAAUUGUUACGUUGGAAUAGGCUGCUAAUGCAUGUAGUUAGAGAAGCCUUCAUUUAUAUCAAAGUCCUCAAACUAUCAAGAAUUAAUGUAUCCAGAAACAUAUACCAAGACGCAAAACAACAUAUUUUCCAUUCUCUGUCUGUAACACCAAAGCAAACUUCCUUUAUCACAUCAUUUAAAGGAUCAAAUUCCAGUACUAAUCUAAUCCAUCAUGUAAAGCAUACAAGUGCCUACCUAAAUUUGUCCAUUGGAUAUAUAUGUCACUUUUUAUUUUUUGAUAGAGAUAUAAAUGUUGAAAAAAUUAGAGUACACAACUCUUAUAGACACUACUACGAUUUACUAUUUGCGCGACGGAAGUUUGCGCGACGAACAUUGUUUCGUCGCGCAAAAAGCACUAUUGCGACGAAAAAAAAAUACCGUAGCGCAAACAACAUAACACAAGCGCGACAAACAGUUUCGUCGCGCAAACAAUCUAUGCGCGACCAAUAUUAAUUUCGUCGCGCAAAGGUAGGGGAAAAAAACCCGGUUUUUUUUUUUUGGCGCCAUAAUCUUGCGCGACAACAACAAUCGUCGCGCAUGACAAUAUUGCGCGACAAUUCAAAGAAUUCGUCAGGUAAAGAUGGACAGAAAAUUGUCUCAUUUUUUUGGCGGUAAAAAACUUUGCGCGACGAAAUUUUUCGUCUCAAAAGACAACUUAGCGCGACGGAAAUAUGUACCGUCGCGUAAAAAAACGAGGGAUACUUAUUUUUGGCGCCAAAAUGCAGGGUGGAUAAAAAAAAUUUUGCGCGACGGAAUUACCUUCGUCGCGUAAAGUGUAAUGCCGGUGCUUUCUUGCGCGACGAAAUAAAUAAUUUGCGCGACGUAAUUUAAACCUUGCGCGACGAAAAGUAUUAUUUGCGCGACGAAAUUUUGUGCGACGAAUAAUAUGUUUCGUCGCACAAAAAAGCAGAUGUCGACAGGUAAUUGCGCGACGGAAAUGUUGUUUUGUGCGAUGGAAAAGUGGGUUUUCGCGACGGCAUUUUGCGCGACGGAUAUUGGUGUUCGUCGCGCAAAGUCCUUCUUCUUCAUAUUAGUAUCUGCCAUUGCAGAGGCAGAAUGCAGAAAUUGCAUUCUGCCUCUCUCUCACUCUCCCUGCCGCUGCUCUGCUGUGAAUUCAAUACGUUCAUUGGGUAUGUAUUUUUUGUCGUUAGUUUAAAUGUAUUAAUGUAAAUUCGUAGUAACGCUAUUAAUUUUGUUAUCGUUAGGGAUAUUUGUGAUUAGUGAUUGGUGGAGAACGAUUGAGAAGGUAUGUUAUUGUAAAAGUUUGUUUGUUAUGUUUGUAAUUUUUUUGUGAAGUUAUAUGUAUAUAAUGUUGUGAAAUUGUGCGUGACAUAGCACAAUGUGUUGUGAUGUACGAAGUUAAUUGAAAUUAACUUCGUACUUUUAUUUUUAUGUUUAGUAACACGUAGUUUCCCGUUCGAGAUUAGUUGGAUUUCGUGCAUGGAUGAGUAAUGCAUGACUGCGGUCCAAUUAAUUCUUGAAUUGUCCCAUUAUUUGGACAGUUUGGUAAUGCAUAGUGUUGUCACAUAAUCUUCGGCUACAGGAUUAGGUUUCGAUUGUGGAGAUUUCGGUGUCAUCUCGGUACGUUCUUCGAGUGGUACGUAGGUAUUUAUACCUAUGCCCACUUCAAGAACUGUGUCGAGAUGCUGCCGAAAUUAAUCCACGUCGAAAUCUAAUCUCAUGUAGCCGUAGGUUACGUGACAGGACUAUGCAUUCCCGAAUGGGAUAGGGCCCUUACCGGAGGCAUAAGGUGACAUUAUAACUUCGUAUGAAGUUGUUGUGAUUGUUGUGUCGUGAUUGUGGUUUCAUGAAUUAUGAGCAGAAGGUGGAUACAUAACCCGAAUAGAUGCGCAGACGAAUACUUGGAUGGAAUCGAGGAUUUUAUUGAGUUUGCACAUAGACACAACCCGGGUGCAAGUAGAAUCCGUUGUCCUUGUAGGAGGUGUAACAACACGUUGUGGGAGACAAUUGAAAAUGUUGGAUUUCAUUUAGUAAGGAAUGGAAUGAUUGAAACAUAUAGCAUUUGGAACCUUCACGGCGAACAUGUAGGCCAUGCUUCGUCUUCAAAUGCCCCAAGAGUGGACAAUGUUGAACCUAUUGUGGAUCCUAAUGAUCAAGUCAUGGGUAUUAUACAGGAUGCUUUUCCAUUCGCAUCGACCAACAUCAAUCAGGAAGGGGAAGAUAACGUGCCUACACCAAUAGACAGUGCGGAGUUUGAACAGUAUGAAAAACUGUUAAAAAAUGCCAACCAAGAGUUAUACCCGGGGUACGAGAGCUUUUCCGUUCUCACUUCUAUUGUGGAGCUAAUGCACGGAAAAAUAAAGUAUCGUAUGUCGAACUUGUGUUUCGAUUACUUUUUGGGGGUUUUCAAGAGAAUGCUUCCGACGGAUAAUUAUUUGCCGAAAGACCAGAAACAUGCACAGAAGGUGUUGCAUGGUCUUGGAUUGGGUUAUGAAAAAAUCCACGCUUGCAAAAACAAUUGCAUGUUAUUCUACAAAGAGCAUGAAACGUUGGAUACAUGCCCUAUAUGCAAUGAGUCGAGGUUCAAAAUGACAUCCCAGAAUAGAACGACUAAGAUACCACAAAAAGUCAUGCGUUAUCUGCCCCUUAAACCUGGGUUGCAGCGAUUGUAUAUGUCGACGCAUACUGCCACAGACAUGAGAUGGCAUAAGGAAAAACGGGUAGACGAUGAUGUGAUGCGGCAUCCUGCAGAUGGGGAGGCAUGGAAAGAGUUCGAUCGAACGUUCCCCGAGUUUGCUGCUGAUCCCCGAAAUGUAAGAUUGGGACUUGCCACUGACGGAUUCAAUCCGUAUGGGGUUCUAAACCAACACCACAGCACUUGGCCGAUUUUCGCAUUCCCAUAUAAUUUGCCGCCUUGGAAAUGCAUGAAAAAAGAAUACAUGAUGAUGACUGUUUUGAUAACUGAGGAUCCUGGCAGGUCAAUUGAUGUGUACUUAAGGCCUCUGGUUGAUGAGCUGAAAGAUUUAUGGACAAACGGUGUUCGCACGUACGAUAAAUCAACUGGGAGGAUGUUCACUUUGCGAGCAGCAAUUAUGUGGACUGUGAAUGAUUUUCCAGCAUAUGCAAUGGUUUCUGGGUGGAGCACAAAAGGUUAUAUGGCAUGUCAUGUAUGCAAGGAAGAUGUAACUUCUGGUUGGCACGCGGGAAAAGUUUGUUACCUUGGUCAUCGGAGAUGGUUGCCAUGGGACCACGAGUGGCGAGAAAAAGAUAAAGAGUUCAACGGGAACACAGAGCGUCGCCUCAGACCUGGAGAAUGGUCCGGUGAUGAGAUCUUGGAACAGCUGAACCGUUUGGAUUUUGGUCCGUUCGGAAAAACAAUUAGUCGGACCAGACCUUCUACACAUUUGAACUGGACGCACAAGCCUAUGUUUUUUGAGCUCCCAUAUUGGUCGAAACUGAAAUUGAGGCACAAUCUAGAUGUGAUGCAUGUUGAGAAAAAUGUAUUCGACACAUUGGUGGGCACGAUUCUAGAUAUCGAGGGGAAGACGAAGGACACGAUCAAAGCUCGUCUUGAUUUGGAAAGAAUGGGCAUACGAAGGGGUUUAUGGAUGAAUAGGGACAGUGAUAAAGCUAGAAGGGAUCUUGCAUUCUUUUCUAUGAAACCGAAUGACAAAAAGGAGUUUCUAAAGUUUGUAUCGUCUGUCAAAUUUCCCGAUGGGUAUGCUUCUAAUAUCGCACGUUGCGUGAAUGUCGAUGGGGGUAAAUUUACUGGACUUAAGAGCCAUGACUGCCAUGUUCCUGUGGGUAUUCGACACCUACUGCCGGAAGAUGUGGUGAAGCCAAUCAUGUUGUUAUCCAGAUUUUUUUCCCAACUGACGGCAAAAACAUUGCGAAGGACAGACAUGUUUCAGUUGCGCCAUGACAUUGUCCAAGUCCUAUGCAAGUUUGAGAUGAUAUUUCCUCCGGCUUUCUUUACAAGUAUGAUGCACGUAAUGGUUCACUUGCCAGAAGAGGCAUUGCUUGCUGGUCCUGUCAACUAUCGCUGGAUGUAUCCAAUAGAAAGGUAUAUAAUCUUUAUCAUUUGUGUAUGCAUCAUUAUCGACACUUUGCUAAUUUGUAUCAUAUCGUUUUAUUUUGGCAGGCUUCUCGGAGAGCUGAAAAAAAGUGUACGCAACAGGGCAAAGCCCGAAGGAUUAAUUAUAGAGGCUUGGGUUCAAUAUGAGUCGCUUACUUUCUGUGGAAUGUAUUUAAAAGAUGUGGAGACGGUUUUCAAUCGUCCUCAACGCAAUAAUGACGGAGGUAUGAGAAAUGAAAAACUUUUUGUUUUUGCCCAAAGCGCAUGACCAUUUGGAGAUCCUGGACGAGGAGAGUCGUUUUCUAGAAAUGACAUGGAGGUAGCGCAUUGGUUCGUACUGAACAAUUGUGAUGAGAUAAUGGCCUACUUAGAUGAGCAUGAACAGAUGAUGAAGCGAGAACAUCCAUCACAUUUGGUUGCCCGGAAACAUCGUGAAUUAUUUCCACAAUGGUUUUUGGAUUCUGUAAGUUAUAACUGUUUUGUAAUUGACAAAUAUAAAUUGUAGUAUUUAAUUUUGUCAGACUAACAUGUAAAUGAUUUUGUAUACUAUUAGGUGAAUAAAUUGAAAUCAUCGAAUUCCCCCACUUACAGUGAUGAGUUAUAUAACUUGGCGUUCGGCCCAAUUCGUGCUGAGUUGUUCUCGGGUUGUAAUGUUAACGGCGUCAAAUUUUUGGGGGCCGCACGAGAUGACAAGUUGUGUAUGCAAAACAGCGGUGUCCAUGUCCCAGGUGGAGGCGAAAGUACGGACAUUGAUUUCUAUGGCAAACUGACAACUGUCGUGCAAUUGCUUUAGAAAGAUCGAUACCAAGUCAUCAUGUUUAAGUGUCGAUGGUUCGAUACCAACCCAAAUAGGGCGGGAAGUGUUAAAAUCGACCAUGGAGUACUGUUUGUGAACAUGGCGUCCCAAAUUGUGUAUCUAGAUGACCCUAAAGCCGGGAGCGGGUGAAAAGUUGUGCAGAAGAUGGAUCAUAGGAACGUGUAUGAUAUACCAGAACUAGACCCAAGUGACAACGACGUCGACAAUGUGGCUGACCAACGUUUAGAAUCUUCAAUGGAAAAUGAUGCGGAAACACUUCGAGAUACAAAUGUUAUACAAGAACCGUUUCAAAUAGAAGGAGUGUCUUCAGUAGAAAUACCGAUUCAGUCAAUUACAAUUGACCUCGGUGAUCUUCCCCGAUACGAUGUUGCAGUGGGUCCUAGCAACGCCGAUGAUGCAGUUAUAGAGGAGGAGGAGGAAGAAGAUUGGGAGACCGAGAGUGAUGAUAGCGAUGAUAACGAAAGUUAUUAUAGUUCAGAUGAUGAAUAAUGAAUUUAUUUGUAAAGUUAUUAUGUUAGUGUAUUCAUUUUGUGUAAUACAAAUCUUUGAAUAUAUGUAGUUGUCCAUAUGUAGUUGUGUAUUCAUUCUCCAUAUUUCAUCACAAACUUCAUUGGAAUGUCAAUACUUUAGUCAAUACUUAUUACGACCCCAUGCUUGUCGAUUGGUUUUUAUUUAUUUAUUUAUUAAUGUCUUUAACUCUUCAAUUAUUAUUUUUUUCUUUUGAGAUAUAGUUAUUUCUUCAUGUUUAAACAAAAAAUAUAAGUUAUUUCUCCAAUAUUAUCUGUGUGCCACUUAUUUUUCUUCACUUUGGUUCAUGAUUAGUGGCAUCAAUCUAGUCAAACCGAUAAAAUCGGUCGAUUCAAAUCUUAAUUAUCAAUUUAGUUUGGUUUUGAUGAAGAAAUACAAAGCCUUUCCAAAAAAUACAGAGCAUAAAAAAUGAUGAAUACAAAACCUUUCCAAAAAAUACAAAGCAUACACAAUUUGAAUUAAAUGAGGAUUUAUGGCGCCAAAUCCUUGCGCAACGAUAAGGAGCCCUUCGUCGCGCAAAUAUAUAUUAGGUAACGUUAUAGUAUAAUAUAUACCCACAUAUAUAUUUAAAAUUGGCGAUCGAAGUAGUUCAUUGUAUUCAUAUGAAGUGUAGGACUGUAGCUGCAAAAAAUCAUCAACAUCGGAGUUAAAAUAACCGUUCAAUCAUCACUUUUUAUUUAGAACCGUCGAAAAGUUUUACCCCGUUACUUAAUCUCUGAAUGUUUUUUUUGUCUGAUUUUUGCUGUCUAUGAUCUCGAAGUAUAACAAAACAAGUUUGACGGCUGGAUGACUGAAGCUAGUUUCGUAGACUGCGUGUGCUAUCAAAAUCAUAUAUUCACCAAAAACUCAAAAAUUUGUUCAUACAUUUGUGAAAAUGUAACUUAAUGUUUAUGUGGUAUCCCCUAGUGUAAAAAUAUGAAAUUGAAGAUCAAAUUCAGUCAUUGUAUUCAUAUAGGGUCAACAAAUGUUGCUGUAAAAAAUGAUCAAAAUCGGAGUUAAAAUAACCGUUAAAUCAUGACUUUUCAUUUAUAACCGUCAAAAUAUUUUGUCCUGUUCCCUGAUAUCUGAAUGUUUGGUCGUUUUGAUUUUUGGCGUAUACGAUCUCCAAGUAUAAACAAAUAAGUUUGCCGGUUGGAUCAUUGAAACUAUUUUAGGGUUUAGGGUUUAGGGCUUAGGGCUUAGGGUUUAGGGUUUACAUUUUAGGGUUUAGGUUUUGCGCGACGAAUAAACAUUCCUUUCGUCGCACAAAGUGAAAGUGACAAAGAUUGCGCGACGGAUAAGUCUUCCAUUCGUCGCGUAAUCUGGGACACACAUUUCACCCCUCCAUACCCUUUGAACACUUAGUGAAAAUUUCAACCGAAUGAAAUUCUUGAACCCGCGCGACGAACAAAGCAAAUACGUCGCGUAAAGUGGACGUGAACAAGAUUGCGCGACGGAUAAAUCUGGUAUUCGUCGCGCAAUCUGGGCCACACUUUCACCCUUCCAUCCCCUUUGAACACUUAGUGAAAAUUUCAACCGAAUGAAAUUUUUGAACUCGCGCGACGAACAAAACAAAUACGUUGCGCAAAGUGGACGUGAACAAGAUUGUGCGACGGAUAAAUCUAAUUUUCGUCGCGCAAUCUGGGCCACGCUUUCACCCUUCCAUCCCCUUUGAACACUUAGUGAAAAUUUCAAGCGAAGCAAAAUCUUCAACUCGCGCGACGAAUAAAAGUAUUCGUCGCGCAAAAGGCACAGGCCUCUGAUUUUUGUUAGCAAACAUUGCGCGACGUUUACUGUCUUCGUCGCGCAAAAGGCACAGACCCUUCAGUUUCAGCCUCCCGCUAAACCCAAAAUUUUCCCAAAAUUUUGGCGGAACGACAGCGUUUUGCGCGACGAACAUAUGACUUUCCGUCGCACAAGGUUAACCUUGCUCGACGUUUACUAUCUUCGUCGCGCAAAAGCACAAACCCUUCAGUUUCAGCCUCCCGCUAAACCCUAAGUCCCAAAAUUUGGGCGGAACGACAUCGUUUUGCGCGACGAAUAUAUGAUUUUCCGUCGCGCAAGGAGAACCUUGCGCAACGUUUACUAUCUUCGUCGCGCAAAAUCACAGUUUCAGCCUCCCGCUAAACCCUAAAUCCCAAAAUUUUGGUGGAACAACAGCGUUUUGCGCGACGAACCAUGUAUUUUUCGUCGCGCAAAAGGCACAGACCCUAAUCCCCAUUCAAAAUUUGGCGUUCUGGGAGACCUUGCGCGACGGAUAUUUCAUCGCGCAAGAUUCAUUAAUACCAUUUUGCACGACGCAUUCUGUUCUUCGUCGCGCAAAGUCGAAUAAAUUUGCAGAAACGGCCCGAUGCCUCCUUCUUCCCCAUUUUCUGGUUUCUCUCCGUUUCUUCCUCUCUCUCCGCCGUCACCUUAGCCCUCUCUCUCUGCCAUCACCUCAGCCACCUCCGCUCGUUCCGUAGCCUCCCUGCCGUCACCGUCGAGCCUGCCGUCGCAAUUUCGUCAGUUUUUCCCGAUUCUUCGCCGGCCGAUUUCUCUCUCCUCCGGCCACCAUUUUCGACGCCUAAGGUAUGAUUUCUCGACUAUUUUUUGUGCUCUAGCUGAUGGUUGGUUAGGAUUUCUUGAAUUUUCGCUAUAGGAAAUAGGAAUUAAAACCCUAGGUUUUGGCCGCUUUGGGAAUUUCAAAUCCGGCCACUUCCGGCCAUUUUUCGGGGUAGGUCCGAGAACAAAAGUGGCUCCAAUUAAUGUUUUCAACCUAGGGUAGGAACCUUGGCCCUUAGUUUUUAGAAUUUUCCGACGAAUGUUAUCGCUUUGGACACCCACGCGCUGCCGGCGCGUGUGGUGGCGCGUGGGAUGUUGUGGCAGUGGGGCAUUGGGUCCCAGAGCAAUCCCCUGUUUGUCACGAGCGCGUAGGUUUGCUCGGAUUUGAAUUUGGUUAUCGUUUGAGUCUUGAUCGGAUUUCGGCUAUUGUGCGAUUUCCAGGUUUGAUAUGUUCGGACCGUUGGAUCGAACUCAAACUCACGUAGUUGUACCUUUGUGUUUCUACGAUCGUUUAGGAUUCGACCGAUCGUUGAUCGGUGUCCCGGAUACUUCGAAAUUCCAAACCCUAGGUGAAGCUAUGCUUUUAAUUAAUUAGUUUAAAUUCUUAAUGAAAUUAUAUGUGCAGAUGUCAGAUUUGAUUAGACGUGGUAGGUCGAUGAUGACUGCACCGAGUUCGGAUCCCCCUGCUCAGUCGGCAUAUGCUGCCACUGCUCCAGCUUUGAUGGAGCACGUGCUGGUUGGUCCCGGGGCGUCCCAGGCGCCUGCGUCAUCUGCGUCAUCCGUCGCGCAGCCAGCUAGUGCUAGGCGGCGGCACCGGCCCGCCGACACGACAUCGACCGACGGUACUGGUGCCUCGGGAUCACAGCCAGAUAUAACUACCAUUUUGUAUUGUUAAUUUUAUAUUGAAAUUUGACAAUGUUGUUUAUUUAACAUUAAUAUCUUUUUUCUUUGCAGCGAAGAAGAACACCUGAGGGCCGUGUCGUCAGCUGAAGACGGCGAAGGUCACCCGGGUGACCAACAGUCGUAUCAGCAUCGGAUACGACGAGCGCCAUCGGGCUGCACCGACGGCGGAGUUGCAUAGCUCCUUGGCCCACGACAUUGGCCACGUCGUGCGGACCCAUUGCCUGAUGCAAUGGAAGUCUUGGAGGGUCAUGCCUGACGAGAUCAAGGUGGAGGUUCGCGGCCAGUUGUCGGUAUGUACCUUACAUUUUCAUUAAUUUUCUUUAAAAUUGUGUAUAUUUCUAUUACUUAACGUAUCUAAUUAAUUGAUUGCAGACGAACUAUAACUUGGAGGAUCUCGACGAAGAGUCGUUGGCGUACGUCAACAGACUCUUCGCUGAGAGGUACAAGCAGUGGAAGAGCGACUUGCACCAUCAUUUUCAGGCCUUUGAUGAUCCGCAAGUCGCUCUUCAGGAGGGUUGCCCGAAGGAGCUUGAGGGGCGGGAGGAUAGUUGGGAGUGGCUCUGCGCUCAUUUUCAAGCGUCCGAAUAUGUGGUAUUUUUUUAAUAAUAUUUGUUUAAUUAUUACUUAUUUCUUAUUAAUGUUUAUUUCAUUUUUUUUAUUUCAUUAUUAUUUAAUUUGUUAUGUUUUAACUAAUACGUUUCAUUUUUUGUAUAACAGAAUAAGGCCCAAGUGAAUAAGGGUAAUAGGAAGAAGAAGACCCUUCUCCACCAUUCCGGCUCCAGGCCCUUUUCGUAUAGGAUGGAUGCCCGGCGACGGGUAAUAAUCACAUAAUUUAUAUUUCAUUUUUAAUGUCAUUUUUAUUAAUUUAUUUUUUUCAUACUAAUAUUUUUCUUCUCUUGUUCAAUUUAGGAGGGGUCCAAGUUCCCAGAGAUCGACGUCUUUGGUGACGUUUAUGUUCGACCCGGGAAUGAGUUGGCCGAGUCCCUUCAUGUAAGUAUUAUUUAAUUUUAAUUCUUAUGUUACGCAUUCAAUUUAUAUGCAUGUUUAAAUUUAUAUUUUAUGUUAUGUUCAACAGACGACGAUGGUGGAGAGGAGCCAGUUGGUUCUUCAGGAGUCCGCCUCCCAGCUUCCUCCCGAGACUCCGAUCGAGUCUGUGGCUCCUCCACAGGAUGCUGGAUUUCAGAUCUUGACGGAGACGUUGGAUCAGACUCUCGGGAGGAGGCCGGGGACAUAUUGUCGAGGGAUGGGGAAUGCCCGGCGGAGGGAACCUAGACCUCGUUCAUCGGCCCAGUCAAACAGUCAGGUGACUGCUUUGACAGCACAGGUGGCCGAGCUUCAGGGUCAGAUGUCGGUGAUUCUACAGUCCCUCGCACAGAGCGGCUUUCCAAUCCCGCAGUUUCGUGCGUCAACCUCCCAGCCCGUCCACCCCGAGUAUGCCCACCAGACCACUGCCCCGGUGGACGCCCAGACCUCCGAGCCGCAUACUGGCGACGACCCGAUUGAUUUUGCUUCAUUAUUUGAUUAGUGUAUUUAUUUUCAUCAUAAACAUUUAUUUUAUUUGUAAUACAUUUAUUUUAUUUUAUAACAAAAUUUUGUUCUAAUUUAUUUUUAUUGCAAUUUCAUUGUUUAAUCAAUAAAAAAACCAAUUUUAUUUAAAAAAAAUAAAAAUAAAUAAAAAACAAAAACAAAAAAAACAAAAAAAAAUUGUAAUAUUAUUUUUGCGCGACGGAAGACAUUUCGUCGCGCAAAACCACAUGUAACAAAAAAAAUUAAAAAAAUCAAUUUUUUAUUACUUUAAUUCUUGCGCGACGAAUACAUACGUCUCGCAAACAUUUUUUGCGCGACGAAAUGUUUCGUCGCGCAACAGCUUUUGCGCGACGACUGAAAUUUUCGUCGCCAAAUAGAUGAGCGACGAAAACUUUCUCAUCGCGCGAAUAGUUCUGCGACGAAUAUAUACGUCUCCCGGACUAGUUUUGCGCGACGAAUUAUUUUCGUCGCGCUAUUCGUUUCGUCGCGCAAAUAUACGUGCGCCGAAUACUUUAUCGUCGCGCAAAUAUUUAUGCGACGAACAGUUGUUUCGUCUCCACACCGUUGGUGCAACGAUGGUUUACCCGUCGCACAAUUAUGCGCGACGAAGUGUUGUACCUCGUCGCGCAAAGGCUUUCUUCACGAUCUUCGCGCGACGGAAGGUGCGCGACGAAUUUUUUGUCGCGCUGAAAUUAGGGCGACUAAAUAAGACUUUGCGCGACGUUUUGUUAUUCGUCGCGCAAAGAGUAAAAUGUAGUAGUGAGACUUGUUGGAGACAAAACAGGUAAACAAAUUACUUGUAUUAGACUCACAAAAUAUUACAACAAGACAACUCUCAAAGAAAAGACAAACUCUCACACUUCUCACAAGGACUACUUAACUUUAUAGCUUAUUGCAUAUAGCAUAUGCAAACACAAUUAGAACAUACCUACGUACACUAUGGGAACACUCGUGUAUAUUUCAACACAAGAAAACAUGUGCACCGUGCACGGUUCACAUGAAGUAAGAAAUGAAGAGGAAAUAAAGAAGAAGAAUACAAAAGAAAAUGGAGAUGAGAAAAAAAAAAAAACCGAAUAAUGAAAAAUGAAUUGACAAUUAUAUAUGGUUGACAUUAGAUCUAAUAUUAUAUGUAACAACUAUUGAUCUAAAAUAAACAUUAAAUCAAACAAUAAUUAAAAGAUUUGACAAUAUAAAAAUUUAUUGAGGACAAAAAAAGGCAAAAACUUAUGAAAAAUGGAAACAAUAAAUAUGAACUGAGUCAUCAACUCACCAUGGUAAGUUUGCUGACGUAUAAAAAUAGUCAAUGGACAUCGAAAAGUAAUUGGCUUACAUCAAAAAUUAAAAUCACGUGGGUUAUUCCUAAGAAACCUUAAUAUUUGCCUUCCAUUUGUUCCAGCAAAAUAAAAGUCAUUGCUACUUAUUGUAACCCCUUUUCCAAGCUUAUUAAUCAAAGUAGACACCUCACUGCUGUCACCUAGCCAAUUUUCAACAAUGUCAUACUUAACAAGCAACUCCACAUCCUUUGAGGUGUUCACAAAACGAUCCAUGAGACUAACAUAAUCACUUAUGUACGUCUCCUCGUAGUGGCAUUGUUCAAAUGCGAUGAGAUUUCUAAUUAAUACCUCUGUAUGAUCGCUUAUUUUCAAUCUUGGAAUUUCAAGAGUCCGGCCAGCAAAUCUAAUAAGGUAUUCAUUGAUCCCUCAUUCAACUUGAACCCUGCCCUGUGUAGCUCUGUGAUGCUGGGUGUGUUUAUAGUUAUGAGUUUCCCGUCAUUAGUUUUUAGGGUUAUUCGUUAUAUGAGUCCCUGAACUUAGACCCGAUUUGCAUUUUAGUCCCUCAAUUUCCAAAAUCGUUCCAGUGGUCCUUCAACUUUAGUUUCGUUAGGACAAAUGGUCCUGCCGUCAAAUGAUUAUAAAGUGGAAAAAACAAGAACAAAAAAGGAAGUGAGUUAAAUUUGCACCUGCUAUGUUCAAACGACAAAGUUCGUUUCCGUUUGGUCGAUUACAAGAGAAGCUCAAUGCAGCUUACUUGGUUCCUCUUGGUAGAUGGAAAUAUAAUUUUUCUCCUAAUAACAAAGGUUUAGUGCAAUCAAUGAUGGGCUGUAUAGAACAACUUUUUUGUUUUAUAUGUUUAUGUGAGACAAGUUUUGCCAGAUUGAAUUAAUGUCUUCUAGCUAUGUACCUUAUCUUUUUGCCGGGCCAUGAGUUGAAUGUAGAGGCAGAGCAUGGCCUUGGGUUUGUAAAAGACAAAAGACUGAACCAGACGUAAUUAUUUAGAUUUUGGAUCCAGUUCCACAUCCCAAAGAGAAAACCACAAGUUUGCAAGCAAGUUUGUCCAUAUUAACACUACGUAGAGUAUAGGCAGUGUGCUACUCAUCUCACUUUCUCAACCUACCCUAUAUUUGUCUAAAAGAGUUUCUAAUUUCGUGUACUGAUUCACUACUACAUUUUACACUUUGUGCGACGAAGAGAAUUUCGUCACGCAAAAUACAUUGGUCGCGCAAAGUUUAAAAAAAAUUUUAAAAAAAUAAAAAAUUCCCGCGUCCAAUUUUUGGUACUUGUCCAAAUUUUUUGAGUUUUGCGCGACGAAUACUAACAUCGCGCAAAUAUUUGCGCGACGAAAUAUUUUUUGUUUUAAAUUUUUUUAAUUUAAAAUAAACUAAUUUAAUAGUUUGCGCUACGAAAUAUUUUGUCGCGCAAGGUUUUUGACUUUUUGUUUUAUUAUUUCUUUAAUAUGAAUUUAUUUAUAUGAAUUUUUUGAAAUUUUUACUUUUUAAAUUUAAUUUAAUUGUAUGAUUUCUUUUUAAAAUUACUUUAAUUUAAAUUGAUAUUAAUUUUUACUUUUUAAAUUUAAUUUAAUUGUAUGAUUUUUUUUAAUUACUUUAAUUUAAAUUGACAUAUUCAAAAUAAAAUUACAUAUGAAAAAUAGUGAUUAAAUUAUCCAAUAAAUAUAUAUAUAUAUAUAAUAUUCAAAAUGUACACAUAAAUUAACAAAGCACAAUAAUAAAAUCCUAAUACAAGCGUAUUGUGGUGGUAGUGUCGGAGGAUAUGUUUUGAUAGCUUCCUAAUCCUCAACUUUAGCCGUCAAAGUCUCGAUGAUUCCCUACAAAAAAAAUAAAUAUGGUCAAAUAACCACAAACAAAAAAAAAAAAAAAAAAAAAGGCAUAAUCUCCCCUAAAAUUGUUAUACCACAAAUCCAACCCAAACUCCAAUCCCUCCCCUUUACUCAACCCCAAAACCCACACAAACUCAAAAUUAACUCCAAAAACACAUAUUAAUGAAAAAAAUUUAAAAUUUGGAGAGAAUAUACCUUUUGGCAAGAUUGAGAGUGAAUGAGAGGGAGAAGUGAGUGUGAGAGAAUUAGAGAAGAUAGUGAUAGAGAGAUGAGAGAGAUGAGAGAGUGAGUGAGAGAGAGUGAGAGAUAGUGAAGAGAGAGAUGAGAGAUUAAGUGAGAGGAGUGAGUGAGAGAAAUGGUGGGAUUUGGGGAGAGGGAAAGAGAAAGGAGAGGUAAGAGUAGAGAAAGGCAUUGAGAAAAUGGUGGAUGAGUUAUUUCGGUUUUAAAAACCGUAUCACUUUGCGUGACGAAAAAUAUUGUUGGUCGCGCAAAGGUUUGCGCGACGAAAAAUAUUGGAAUAUUGAUCGCGCAAACUUUUGAGCGACGAAACAUAUUGGUCGCGCAAAGUCUAAAAAAAUUAUUUAAAAAAAAUAAAAAUCCCCGCGUCCCAUUUUUGGUACCCGCCAAAAUUUUUAAAUUUUUGCGCGACGAAUAUAGGAAUAUUGAUCGCGCAAAGUCUAAAAAAAUUAUUUAAAAAAAUAAAAAUCCCCGCGUCCCAUUUUUGGUACCCGCCAAAAUUUUUAAAUUUUUGCGCGACGAAUAUAGGAAUAUUGGUCGCGCAAAGUCUAAAAAAAUUAUUUAAAAAAAUAAAAAUCCCCGCGUCCCAUUUUUGGUACCCGCCAAAAUUUUUCAAUUUUUGCGCGACGAAAAAUACAUAUUGGUCGCGCAAAGUCUAAAAAAAUUAUUUAAAAAAAUAAAAAUCCCCGCGUCCCAUUUUUGGUACCCGCCAAAAUUUUUAAAUUUUUGCGCGACGAAAAAUACAUACUGGUCGCGCAAAGUCUAAAAAAAUUCCCGCGUCCGAUUUUUGGUACCCGCCCAAAUUUUUGCGAGACGAAAAAUAUAUAUUGGUCGCGCAAAGUUUUGAGCGACAAAAAAUAUUGGUCGCGCAAAGUCUAAAAUUUUUUUAUUUUUUUUUUAAAAUCCAGCGUCCCAUUUUUGGUACCCGUCCAAAUUUUUAGAGUUUUGCGCGACAAACUGUUGGUUGCGCAAACUUUUGAGAGACGAAAAAUUGGUUCGUAACACAAUAUUUAUAAAAAUAAUUGUUAUGAAUAAUAAAAAUAAAAUUAUUUUAUUUUACAAUUUAAAAUAUAAAUAAGGUUAAAGCUGCUUAAGAAAUAUAUAUACUAUUCAAUUUCUUAAGUGUUAUACGUACAAAAUAAAUAAAUUUAAAGGUACUUAAUAAAUAAAUAUAUAUACACACACCAUUCAACGAUCCAACCGUCAGACUUAUUUGUAUAUACUUCAAGAUCGUAUACCCCAAAAAUCACAAAAAACAAACAUUUAGAGAUCUAGUAACGAGACAAAACUUUUCGAUGGUUAUAAAUGAAAAAUUACGAUUUAACGGUUAUUUUAACUCCGAUUUUGAUGAUUUUUUUUUACAGCUACACUCCUUGACCAUAUAUGAAUACAAUGACUGAAUUUGAUCUUCAAUUUAAAAUAUUUACACUAGUGGAUACCACAAAAUCUUAUGUUAUAUCUAACGAACGUAUAAAUAACCUCUUAAUUGUUAGUGAAUAUAUUGUUUUGAUGGCAUAUGCAUUCACCAAAACUAGUUUCAACGAUCCAACCAUCAAACUUGUUUGUUUAUACUUCGAGAUCAUAUACGCCAAAAAUCAGAAAAAAUAAACAUUCAGAGAUCAAGUAAUGGGACAAAAAUUUUCGACGGUUAUAAUGAAAAAUCACGAUUUAACGGUUAUUUUAACUCCGAUUUUGAUGAUUUUUUACAGCUACACUCCUUGACCCUAUAUGAAUACAAUGACUGAAUUUGAUCUUCAAUUUAAAAUAUUUACACUAGUGUAUACCACAAAAUCUUAUGUUAUAUUUAACGAACGUAUAAAUAAACUCUUAAUUGUUAGUGAAUAUAUUGUUUUGAUGGCAUAUGCAUUCACCAAAACUAGUUUCAACGAUCCAACCGUCAAACUUGUUUGUUUAUACUUCGAGAUCAUAUACGCCAAAAAUCGGAAAAAAUAAACAUUCAGAGAUCAAGUAAUGGGACAAAACUUUUCGACGGUUAUAAUGAAAAAUCACGAUUUAACGGUUAUUUUAACUCCGAUUUUGAUGAUUUUUUACAGCUACACUCCUUGAACCUAUAUGAAUACAAUGACUGAAUUUGAUCUUCAAUUUAAAAUAUUUACACUAGUGGAUACCACAAAAUCUUAUGUUAUAUUUAACGAACGUAUAAAUAAACUCUUAAUUGUUAGUGAAUAUAUUGUUUUGAUGGCAUAUGCAUUUACCAAAACUAGUUUCAACGAUCCAACCGUCAACCUUGUUUGUUUAUACUUCGAGAUCAUAUACGCCAAAAAUCGGAAAAAAUAAACAUUCAGAGAUCAAGUAAUGAGACAAAACUUUUCGACGGUUAUAAUGAAAAAUCACGAUUUAACGGUUAUUUUAACUCCGAUUUUGAUGAUUUUUUACAGCUACACUCCUUGACCCUAUAUGAAUACAAUGAACUAAUUCGAUCGUCAAUUUAAAAUAUAUAUUUUCUAACAAAAACCCAAUCUGAACAACAAUAAUAUAUUUUUCUAACAAAAAUCCGAUCCGAUCUAAAAUAAUAAAUUUAAAGCUACUUAAUAAAUAUAUAUACUGUUUAAUUUCUUAAGUGUUAUGCAUACAAAAUAAAAAACAAAAAUAAAUUAGUAUAGGCGACAAAAUGUUUGGAUUACGUCAUGCAAAGAUUUUAAAAUAUAUAUAUAUAUUAUUUUUAUAAGGACUUUGCGCGACGAAGUUCAUUGUUUCGUCGCGCAAAGUCACUUUGAGCGACGAUGUAUUGUUGUCGCGCAAAAGUUUGUCGCGCAAAGUUACUUUGCGCGACGAAUUUUUUUUCAUCGCUCAAAAUUUGGUCGCGCAAGACUUUGAGUGACGAUGUAUUGUCGUCGCGCAAAAGUUUGUCGCGCGAAGUGACUUUGCGCUACGAAUUGUUUUUCGUCACGCAAAAUUUGGUCGCGCAAGACUUUGAGCGACGAAGUUUUGAGUUUCGUCGCGCAAAGUGACUUUGAGCGACGAAUAGUUUUUCGUCGCGCAAAAUUUGGUCGCGCAAGGGGUUUUUUUUUACUAGUAUGAGUUUUAUAUACAAUUUAUAACAAUAUUUUCAGGCAAAAAAAUGUCUUGGCAAGAAAAUGUACAAUUUGUUACGUACUUAACUGGAACGAUUACCUUCAAAUUCCUAUGGCCAAUUACCUUCUUUUUUCUUCCUUUUUUUUUUUUUUUUUUUUUUGGUUGUUGUUGUUCUUUUGAUCAAGUUGCAUAUUCCAAAGAACGAAAACCAGUACAGGCUCUUUUCCAAUGCAAGCUCUUUUCCCAUGUUUCCCUCUGUUUUUCUCCUAUUUUUCUUAUAUGGAAGUGAUUAAAAUACACCUCUAAGCUUGUUUUGCGUUUGGUAACCGACUGUAAAAGCUCAAUGCAGAUAGUUUGAGGUAGAAUUUUCUCCAAUUUUACUAGCACAGUGAUAAGCUAUACUAUAUGUAACAACAAAUUGCUUUAAUAAUGAUAAUGAAAAAAGUGUGAUCCAUCGAAUAUUUGCGGGGUUUUGUUCCAAGUCAACACAUCAAAUUCUUUUACACCAUGAAAUUAAAAAAAAUUUAUUCAACCAUCUCGACCUUAUGCUCGAUCAUUUUGCACAAGCAACCGUCCACGUACCCCAAUAAUUUAAAAGGGCUGAUGAUCUUUAAUUUGGCGAAAGCUUCUAUCUACUUCUACCGCGCUAUAUAUGAGCUAUGCAAUUGUGACGGUGUUACAUGACGUCACAAUGUCGUAGGGAUAAAAAAAUAAUAGUCAUGGUUUCUUAUUAAUGUUAAUACAGGCAUAGCAAAAAGCUUGUAUUUCUAGUGGUUAAGAACAAUUACCCAUGCACUUGAGAUAUUAUGUGCUUAAAUCCCCUCUUCCCCAAUAUUUCUUGUAUAAAAAUAAAAAUAAAAAUAAAAAUAAUAAAGAUAUUGAUAUUGUAUUCUAUAAAGUGUUGGACAUGUUUUAUACCCCUUUACUGCAAAUUACAGUUUGACACAUGUACAAAAAUAAUAGGUAAGUGUUGGACAUCAAGAGUACUUACAUAUAGGUUUAAUAGGUAAGUUUUGAAUAUUUCUGUCUUUAGCUUUAAUUAUUGAAAAUCAACCUAUUAUCAUAUUAAAGACUUAUCCAUGUUCAACGUACAUUCUCUUAUUUUUCUCUCAUUGAAGUAAAUACAAAACUAAGCACAUAGUGGAAAAGUAGGUCACGAUUAGGGGUGGGUUUGGUCUGGGUUGGUUCAGUUUUGGGCUCAACCCGAACACCGAACCGUAGACCUCGAUUUGGCUAUUUUGGAAACCAAAACUAAACCAUAAUUAAUGAAAACCGACCACUUCAAUUACCUUCUGGUCUUCCAACCAGAAGAAAACUCAAAACUUUAACCAUACCAAGUGCAACAGAAUUACACCAGGCUGGAGUCAAGUUUAUGAUGGUUAAAGAUAAAAACUUAUUUGACAUACAAUUUGAGAAUGGAAUCCUCAAAAUUCCACACCUGCGAAUACAGGGUUAAACAGAAAUUUUCUUCCGCAAUUUUAUUGCCUAUGAGCAGUGUGAGCUCCAUGAUCAUUACAUCAACAACUAUGUCUUCGUCAUGGACCGCCUGGUCGACAGUGCCAGGGAUGUGGAAUUGCUUGUGAAGAGUGGAAUUCUUGAAUCCAUGCUACCGGACAGCGAGGCAGCAGGGGAAUUUAUUAAUUCUCUUGACUUGGGGCCUAUUUUAGGCAAGCUUGAAACAAGACUAUUUCAGUUCACCAUGGGCUGGCCUGUCUAUUAUUGUAGCCGCUAUACUAGUUGUGCUCACAUUUAUUCAAACAGUGUGCUCCGUAAUGGCGCUGUAGGUUCUUCAUUUCCUCAAUUUCAUGUUUAGUGGUUGCAGAUUUGUUGCUCAUGUACGUGUUUAUCUAAAGUUAAAUAAGAGUGAUUGACUGAUAGUCUGUUAGUUUGUUUUUCUGGGGUUUUUCCCCUGUUCGUCAAAAAAGAAAAAGAGAAAGAGUGAUUGCUUGUGCCUGUUUGGGCCUAAUUUGACACACCCAAUCCAAAAUCAAAAAGUCCAUGUCAAUUUUGGACAGCCACCAGCAUUCCCUUUGUAAUUAGGCCAAAAACUGCACACCCAACCUAGCACUGGAGCCUAGAACAAACAAGGUAAACUCAGGACCCAAGCAGUUUGAUUUUUUCAUUUAAAUUGGAAUCAAGGGCCCCAAGUCAAAAAAGCCCAAGCCCAAGGCAGAUUUUUUACCAAAAAGACCCAAGGAAGCCCAGUGCAUGCGAAUUGCUUAGCCCACAAUCCCAAAACUCAAAACUAAGUUUGGCAUGAUUAAAUAAAGAUAGAGAGAAGCCCAAAAUUGAAGAAACCCAAAACAGUUUUAUCAAAAUUGUCAGCUCUCUACCCAAGACCUAAAAAGGGUCAAAAAUACCACUAUUGGCAAAAUUGACGCACUCAGCCUUGGAUCACAAAGAAAUCCACGUGACUAUUUGACUUUGAGAAGUCAACAAUUUCAACUAGUCACAAGAGAAGUUGAUUGGAAUUAAUGUAGGCAGGUCAUUACAGAAAAGACUUCUUUGAAACUCUGUAGCCAAAAGAUCAAAAUCCCUUUCUAUAUAAUUCUGCAUCAGAGUAGGUGGUCUUUCCAAGAGAUAAGCAGACUACGUUUUCAAGAGAUAAGUAGAGAAUGAGGGAGUUGUUCAACAAGAAAAGCAAACUAACCAUCAUGAUAGGUUGUGUUCUUUCUCUCUACAAAAAACAAUAGGGAACAAAGAAGAGUUGGUUUUUCUUUCAGAAAAAGGAAGGAAAAGACCUACAUGAAAACUAAUUAUUGAUGGUUCUUCUCUGCCAGAACAGAUAACUUCUCAUUUUCUUUGACAUUUAAAAAUGAAAGGUCUCGCUUUUACAAAAUCUGCCGCCCAUUAUUUAAAGAUUAGAAAACCCACUCCAGCAUUUCCUAUAAAUAUGAGAGGAGGUGAUGUCACAUCACGGGAUUGGCUCUGCCGUAGCACGAUAUUGUCCACUUUGCGCCCCCCUCUCUACCCUCACGGUUUUAUUUUUGGGAACUCACGAGCAACUUCCCAGUGGGUCACUCAUCUUGGGAUUGCUCUAGCCCCCAGCUCGCUUAACUUCGGAGUUCCCAUGACUCCGAAGCCAAUGAGCUCCCAAAAGGCCUCGUGUUAGAUGGAGGCGGGCAUGUACAUAUAAGGCACAUCACCUCCUCUCCGUUGGUCGAUGUGGGAUGUUACAGGUGAACAUAUCAAAGGACAGCCAAAAAAUCAAUCAAAGACAAAAACUCAAAAUGAUCACUUGAUCUCAAAAGCCUUCAAAACACUGAAGCAAGCAAAGCUCAUUGAGCCACAACGAACAAGUCAGCUAGAAUUCAGAAUCUUUAGAGUCAGUUCAGUUUCAGAGAAAUAAUCAAAGAAAGCGAGAUCUCUCUCGUUACAAAUUUGGUUCAGCUUAAAGCCAAAACAAGCAGAGUUCAGGUUCUUACAAAUAUGAAAACCUCAAUAAAUUUAUGGAGAGCCCUGAUCAAGCAAAACAGGUACUACAGUGCAGUUCUAGCUUAGUAAUAAUCAAAUCCACCCACUUCUGCCCCUUCCAGAUUGAGAAGGUCCCAAUUCUGCCCAUUCAAAAAGCCUUCCAAGACUUGAAAUAGAUUAAAGCUCUGCCAAACUCAAAUGUUGGAAUCAAUUCGCAGCUGAAACAUGACAGUUGAAGGUGUUGAUAGUCCAGUCCAGCACAGACAUACCCAGUCUAGCCCAGAUCAGAAGCAUUCACCGAGGCAGAAAUUGAAGUCCAAAGCUCUUUUUGUCUUUUUAGAGUUGGUCUUCCUUUUCUGAGCUUUGUAAAAGGCAAUUCUGCCUAAAACAGUUCACUUUCUUAUCAUUUAUUCUGGCCAGAACUACCAGUUUUGUACUGUGAAAAAUUAUGAAGUCCUCACCAGUCUAAGGCAAGAAAAGAACUUACUUGGGAGAUAUUCCUCACCAAAUUCACAACCGUUUGUUUAGAAAUCAGUAACUUGGUGUAACGACCCGGUCCUAAAUAAAUUGGUAAUUAUUAAUUUAUUCAGAUAAAAGACCAUUUUGCCCAUAGAAUAUUUUAAUAGGUUUACAUGUUGACCCGGGAGGCUUCGGUGAAAUUGUUACAUCUCGGUCCGAAAAAGUGUUAAAAUAAUUAAAGUAGAGUGCUGCUAAAAGAACCCUAAAAUUAACUGAGUACACCCUAUGAUCUAAGUACACCCUAAUAUUUUAAUUAAAAUAUAAAAUUAACUAAGUACACCCUAUAAAACUAUCAAAAAUAACACUGAUACACCCUAAUACUUGUAGCAUUAUUUUAUAGUUGAUUAUUUUAAUAGUGUUUAUAAAUCUUUGACUUUUCAUAUGGAUUUAUGCUUCUACUAAAAUUGUUGCCACUUUUUUUCCAAUUCCAAGUUCUUGCAAUCACCACAUCUUUCGUUAAAAACACAAUAGGACAAGCAAUCUCUUGAUUAGGGUUGAAUAUGGUUAGUAGGGUGUACUUAUUAAUAUUAUAUUUGUUUCACAAUUCCAUAUAUCCUUUUUGGUCAUUUUAUAUUAGGGUAAACCAGUAAUUCAAUAUAUACUUUUAUAGUAGGGUGUACUCAGUUAAUUUUAGGGUUCGUUUAGCAGCACUCUUAAAGUAAGAGAGAAUAAAAUGAAAUAAACAUUAAAAUAAAAUGAUUUGAAUUAAUUAAGGUUUUUGAGAAAUUAAAAUAUUAUUUAAUAUUAUAAGGGGAAAAAGAUCAUUUUAAGUUUGGGAAGGAAUUUGGAAAUUCCAAUUGUACCGUUGUGUAGAGCAUGUCGAAACGAGUCCGUAGACACGUAGUGGACUCGAAUCGUAGUUAUAACGGAGAAAUGGCGAUCAAAAGAAGUUCAGUGGCAUAGCCAUAAAUAUUUCGAAGUUCAGUUUUUUUAAAACCCAAAUUUCUUCUCUCUGGGGAGUGGGAGAGCCAACUUCAAAUGGUGAUUUCUCCCAACUCCGACCACCACACUUCCCUCUUCCUUCAGUUUUGGCAUCAUGAUGGGUUCCAUCCCGGAAUGACACAUUUUCGACGCUAAGGACGUCACAAAUGGUAUUUGAGAUGCUUUGUAAAUUUGUAACCAUGGAAAACACAAUGAACUUUAUGUUCGGAGUUGCAAGAGAACAUUAAGGGGAAUAUGGAGAGUGGGAAAAUAGUAAUAAGUGGAGAUCUGUAUGCUUACUUACUACUGAACUUCCGUCGUGGUGGUUAGUAUGAAAAAGUGUUAGAGAUUAUAGAUUUUAUGGAGGAACAUGGUUGUACACUGAUAAGUAGUCGGUAGGAGUUGAUUUAAGUUCCAAGAGAAAUUCAUUAUGAACUGGGAUGAAUUACUGCAAGAUUCUUGCUGUUUUGAAGUUAUUGAUUUUAGGGGCAUCACCUCUGAAUGAUCAUAAUAACCAUGCGUGGGCUCUGCAUGAGGUUUCUUUGACAUUGUUUGAUUUUGUGUAUUGAUAAUUACACUUAGGGGUGUCACGUUUCUAGAAACGUGUCUAUCCAAAUUGUUGUAUCUCAAUAUCCUAUGGAAGGAAAGCUGAGAAGCUGAAAAUACUGGAUUUAUGGUGGUGAGAUAAAAAUUGUCAGGAACUUUCAAAAGUCAAAUUAUUUCACAAAGGGAAAUACUGGAGAGAAGUAUUAGAGAAUUUUCUUUGGAUAAGUUAUAUAGGAGUGGAGGAGUUGCGAGUUUAACCAAGGAGGGUUGUGACAAUUUAAAUUGAGAAGUAGUGGUGUUGGGUGAAGUAUUAUUUCAUUCGCGUGGGCUUGAAUGCCGCGAUUGACAGGAAUGGAACAUUAGGGUUCUUCUUCCUUGCUCUCUCACGCGAGCUCGCCAUAGAGAGUAUUUCUUGGCGUGGUACUGGCUUCGUCCGACCUCCGAUUACUGUGAUUUUUGAAAGGACCCGGCCCAAAUUUCUCAAAAUCCGAGGCGAAUCCUGUGAAAUUCCCGACAUCACUCCGAUGCCAGGCCCACUUACUAAAGACCGAGACUUUCUGCCGAACUUUCGGCAGAGUCUCCCCUAUAAAUUGGACAUUUUCCAAAACUACCACCUGCAUAAAACACAAUUUAUAUCCCCAACUGGCAGCAUGCACAAGAUAAUUUCAUGCAAAUCACAUAAUCGGCCUGCGGCCUUCAAAUAAUUCAAAACGAAACCACCAAGCACACUAUCAAAUUAAUUCCUACCUUAAACAAGGCAAACAAUAAAUUUAAAUAUGAAUUAUGACUACUAAAUUUCAACAUACGAGGUUUUAACCUCCUAACACAAUCACAUCUAUGUCCGCGGCUGCACCUAAUAACCUUAGGCUGCCUACGUACCUUCACUGAGGGAUCAAGCCACACGUAGUUCUUCCGUAAAACCCAAUUCCACACAUAGGCAAUACCUUUAUUCAUUUCUCUGUAUUUCACAUAAUCUCCCCAUACGCCAGUACUACCAUUGCCACGUAUGGGACUUGUCAACAAGCCGGAUAACCUACACCACGUGCGAUCUCAACAUAAUAUCACAUAAUCUCCUCAUACGCCGGUACAACCAGCGCCACGUAUGGGGCCUGUCAACACGCCGGAUAACCUACGCCACGUGCGACCUCAUCAUACUAUCACAUGAUCUCCCCAUACGCAGGUACAACCAACACCACGUAUGGGGCCUGUCUCAACGCCGGAUAACCUACGCCACGUGAGACCUGAACAUAAUAUCACAUAUCUCCUCAUACGCCGGUACAACCAAUGCCACGUAUGGGGCCUGUCAACACGCCGGAUAACCUACGCCACAUGCGACCUCAAUAUACUAUCACAAUAUCUCCCCAUACGCCGGUGCAACCAACGCCACAUAUAGGGUCUGUCUCAAAUUGGAUAACCUACGCCACGCUAGACCUCAACAUCAUAUCACAAUAUCUCCUCAUACGCCGGUACAACCAACGUCACGUAUGGGGUCUGUCCGCAUGCCGGAUAACCUACGCCAUGUGGGACCUAACUUUCACAGAGUGGUACUUGUAGUGUAACCAAAAUCUGGGGAGGUGCCUAAGGUAGUGCAUAUAGCACUUCAAACUGACAUUCUCUCACUUAUCUAAACUAAUACUAGAGGUCUUCCCAUUUUAAUGGUACCAGUCUAUAGUAGAUUGUAACGUAAUUUAAUCAUAAAAAUAAUAUUAUUUCUAGACCAACGAUUAUUCACAUAAACAUGAAUUUCAUAAUUUCACUAUUUAAAAUAAUAUCUAAAAGUUUCCUAUAAUACAAAUAAACACUCUAAAGAUCCCAACUUAGUCAACACAGCUCAACAAUGCUCAAGACCUGUCAUUAGGGUCAUUAUGAUCCUUCUAGGAAGGUAAAACUACCUCGAAAGACUCAAGGUCAACCAAGGGUCAAACCACCCACAAUUGGUCAAACGGGCCCACGGGGCCCACGACCUCCAAAUUCCAAUCCGAAGGUUCCUAUGGGAUCUACAAGGUAUAGGACACUCGUCUUGCAAGUUAAGCCUAGAUCGGAUGGUCAGAUCGCUCACGAUCGCACAAUCUGAUGGUUAAUAUAAAACAUAAACUUUAAAUUAUUUAAUCGGAACAUCCGGGGCUCCCGAUUCACGAUCUGUUCCUACACGAUCCUAGAAAUACAUAGAUUAACAUAUAUUAAAUUUGAGACCAUCCAACGGUCCUAACCUAUCGAACCCGGAUAACGCGCAAUAGGCGAUAUUCGUUCGAUAGUCAAACGACGUCCGAAUUGAGAUUUACGAAAUCCUACGCACUCGUGACAACCUAAGGAUCUCAUUGAGACAUAUUGCUAUCCCAAAACCGACCGAAAUCCAAUUCGAAAAUCGAGUUACUUACGUUAAGAAUCGACCGAAUCCUACCCAACAGGCAGCUAGAGCAUGAAAAGUAUGUGAGAAACCAUACCUCACUCGUCGAAAUCAGUGGCCAAAGGAGGGAGAUCGACGAUAGAGAAGUUCGGACGAACUGACCGCUUCUUCUCCAUUUUUCAGCGAAACCACGGUAGCUGGUGGCGGGACCUAGCUGGGGUUGGAAGAGGAUGACGCCCCGGUCAUUUUGGUAUCGGCCUCGUGGUCAUCGGUGGCCGGAUGAGAAAACAGCCGGCGAAAAUGUGACCGGCUGCCGUUGCGCACGCGAGAGAGACCACGAGAGAGAGAGAGAGAGAGAGAGAGAGAGAAAUCUGAUUGUGCCACUGAGAUUCUUUUGACCAUAUCUCUCUCGUUACAACUCCGAUUCAAGCCCACCACGUGUCUACGGACUCAUCUCGGUACGACCUAUCCAAAAAUACCAAUCACUACCCCAAAUACUUUUUGGAUCAGAAAGUGACCAAAUUACCCCUACCUCAAUGGUAACUUUGUAAUUUCACUUAAAUAAUUUAAAUAAGGGAUUAAAUUUGGAGUCGGGGUGUUACAAUUUUUGUUGCUAAAUGUUGUCAUCAUUUCUCCUCUACAUCACUCAGUGAUCAUUCACUCCCAUUUCUCUAGUUUACACGGUGAAUUUUAUUUCUAAAAUUUCUUAAAAUUCCGGCCACUGUGAGUUUGACCAGCGACUUGGGUUACUUUUGCCCAUCUUUUUGGAAAUGGAACCGAUUUGAGGAAGAUUAGGAGGAAAGAUACAUAGGCCGCUGAGGCAGAAGUAAAGCCGGAGCUUUACCAUAGACAGAAGUUGUUUUAGAAGUCCUGGAAGAUUGUGAACAGGAAUUGGAAGUUUGCAUGGGGUGAUAGGAUUUUUAGUACUUGUGCAAACAGUGUUAAAAAUCACAUAAAAUACUUGCAAGAAUACAAGGCUAUUGUAGUCUAGAUGCUCAUGCAAGGUCGUUUUCCUCAAGGACUAAUUAGCAAUUUAUGUAAAAAUAAAUUCCAAUUACUACUUAAAAUAAAAAGUCAAGAAAGAUGAUUAUAAAUUUGGUUGAUUCUAAAAAACAAAUAUUAAACAAAAACAAAUACGAUUGAAAGAAAGAGUUUUGAAUAUCAAUUUAUAAAAACACUAGGGUUUCACCAUCACCUAGCAAUCCUAUGAACUUUUACCAAUUACUUAUGAUUUGCACAUGCCACUUUGAAGGUUAGGUUUUCCUAAUGUAUAUUCUACUUAGAACCUCCAACACAGAAUGUAUAUCCAACAUGCAACCCGUCCGGACGUUCGGAUCAAAUCUGAACAUGAAAGACUCAUUAAGUUUUGUGAAAACCCUUUGAAAAACCAUGCAACCCUUAAGACGUGGUGUUCAUCUUAAGUGAAAUUACAAUUAUUAAUCAGAAGAAGCUAGCAUCAAUUUCAGGGAACCUUCCGACCAAAAUUGCAUCCAAUUACUUUUCUAAAGAUCCUAAUGGUGAUCAGGCAUUAAGACAAUUAGAUAGUUUAAAACAGUGAUUAACAAUUCAAAAUACGCAUGCACUCAUCAUAAGCAAUUAAAUAAAAAUCACAUAUUCAUGCUAAGGUUCAAGGCUUCACCCUAGCAAAAGAAAUUUAGUUACGCAUACUCAUAAUUGAAAUCCAAGAAAAUAUCAUUAAGAAGAAAAGAACGAAAACACCUGAAAGUUGUGAAAACCCAAAACCCUAGCAAUUGCUCUCCACAAUGCAAAGUUCAAAAGUGAAAAGGGAGUCCUCCAUUCCUUGUGAGAAAGAGCUUAAAUACCCCUUAAAACCUAGCUGCCAAUGUACAGCUUUUCUAUCCCCACAAGGAAACUAAUUAAAAUAAAAUAAUACUAGGAAAUAAAGUCCAAAUUGGAAUAGGAGAAUCUGCUCAAAAUCUGCCCAGCCACGUUUUGGCCCCAAAUCUCCUCCAAAUCUGGCCCAAGAUAGCUUGUUUUAAAGAUAAAAAAUGUUCUGAACACUUCUUUAGAAGGCCACGAACCCAUCCGAGGUCAUCUUGGGCUCCAAAAACGCAAUAAAAGCCCAACACGUCACUAUUCCAGCACCGCGCACUGCUCCUUUAUUUUGUUGCCAGAAAAUAACCGCUUGGAAGAAAAAUCUGAAAUUUUGAUACGAUCAAGCUAAGUGACUCAAGAACGUCCUCCAACUGGAAUUACUCCAAAAUUCCUCAAUUUGAUUAUGUUUUGCUCCAGAGAGAUUCGAAAGUCCUAUAUUGGAAAUAUAAUUCAAAGUAUCAAAAGUCUUCCAAAAUAAUAACCAAAAUAUACUAAGAAUGAGGUUAAAUAUAUAAUAUAAAAUAUGUCCAUCAAAAUACCCCCAAACUUAGCUUUUGCUUGUCCUCAAGUGAAACAAGACUCAAACAAAAAUAAAAACUUAACAGAUUAGACAUCUGGCUAACACUUAACUAGGACAAAAUUUCCACCUUCAAGUUGCAAUCCAUAGAAAAUUUUAAAAACUAGAACAUCCUUUCAAUAGAUCUAAGUAAUCCCACCACAAAGUCUAAGCUAUUUAGACUCAAUUAGAAAAGAAUUCACAAACUUCUUUCGGUGCAAAGUGAACCAUUAUGGUUAUGGAGACUUGACUAAAACCCUUAACUCUCAUCCCUUUUAUUCAUACUUCACACACUCCACACUUUUUGUUUUUUUUGUUUUUUGUUUUUUGUUUUUUUGUUUUUUUUUCUUUUUGUUUUUAUAGUAACAGUAGUGGUUGUGCAAUGUUGGUUCCCUUAAGCUUUCAAUCCAACCGUGUAGCCAGCUUUAGGUCAAUGUCUCCCAAACCACUCGGGUUUUAGGGCACUAGGUGUAGAACACCCCUAAGGACUUAUUAACUCAAGCUGAAAAGGCUACGAAACCAACUAACCACCCUGCCUCAUGCCAAAACUCUACCUUUUGUCUCGAGAAUCACUGCUGAUUAGGCAGGAUUGACCCGGUUACUAGCAAAGCUUCGGGUGAGGUAAUUAUUACUUUAUAACACAAACUAACUUUAUUUAUAUUGAACAUAAAUUAAAACACAUUUGGACAAAAAGUAAGUAUUCCAAUCUCACUCCCCAAAAACCAUGUUGGUGUGAUGUGCAAAUUUCAAAGUAUAAUUCAUGAAUUAAUGUCUAAGCAACAAUAAAUAGAAAAUACUCUACCGUGGGAUUGAUUUUCACCAUGUCCAUUUGUUCUAACGUUUAAAAUAAUCUAUGGAUAUUGACUGAAAAACGAAAAUUUGUAAACAAGACUCAAAAAAUGAAAAAUAAAAAAAAUUACGUUCCCACCCCCUAACUUAAAUCACACAUUGUCCUCAAGGUGGGGUAAAUAAUCAAAAGAAACAAGAGCAGAAACAAAACGACUAAAACUUAGAAAAUGGAAAUCAAAAAUAAAGAAAAUACUCUAAGAAAAGAAAUUAGGAAGGCAAAGGAUGAGAUCCAGAUGGAUCUGGUAAUCCUAUCCGUAGAGAUGGAAAGAUUCUAUACACGCCAUUGAGACUGGAUUUGGAGAUGAGGAUUUGACCCUACCUUGUUCGACGAAUUCCCUCAAGGGGAAUUAUAGCAAUAAAAUACAUAUGCUUCUACAAACAUUUAAUUGCACUGCUACGACGUGGAAAGAGUGCUUUGGGGUCUCAUCUCAUGUGAACCCGUUCGAGUAGAAAUCUUUCAUUAGAAUCAGAAAUGGGUCAUGGUAAAGAGAGGUAGAUGAUGAUUACAGUUCGGUAAAAAUGAUCAUUUCUGACAUUCCUCUCAAAGAACCGUGUUGGCAAUGUCGUUUAUCGAUUCUAAAGAAAGAAGAAAAAUAUCAACAAGUCAAAGAACGUGGAUUUCUUUUAAGGGGAGAGCUAGAACAAAAUCAAAUCACGAAUGGAAGAGUUUAGCUUUCAGAGGAAGAUUGAGCAUUACAGCAGCUAUUAAAGGAUAUUUUUAGUUGAAGAAUGAGAUUUUUCUUCCUCUGAUUGUUUAGCUAGAGCUUUUGGCUUGACUGCCAACGUGGUUGUGGAGGAAGAAACUUGGGAACCCGAGUAGUAGAUGCGAGCCCACUACCCAUACCCCUUUUGAGUGACAGGUAUGAAAUUUCAAGGAUGAAAUUUUUAUAAGAGGGGUAGAUUGUAACGACCCGGUCCUAAAUAAAUUGGUAAUUAUUAAUUUAUUCAUAUAAAAGACCAUUUUGCCCCCAUAAUAUUUUAAUAGGUUUACAUGUUGACUUGUUGACCGGGGAGGCUUUGGUGAAAUUGUUACAUCCCGGUCUGAAAAAGUGUUAAAAUAAUUAAAGUAAGAGAGAAUAAAUUGAAAUAAACAUUAAAAUAAAAUGAUUUGAAUUAAUUAAGGUGUUUGAGAAAUUAAAAUAUUAUUUAAAAUUAUAAGGGGCAAAAAGAUCAUUUUAAGUUUGGGAAGGAAUUUGAAAAUUUUGAUUGUACCGUUGUGUGGAGCACGUCGAAACGAGUCCGUAGACACAUAGUGGACUCGAAUCGGAGUUGUAACGAAAAAAUGGCGAUCAAAAGAAUUUCAGUGGCAUAACCGUAAAUAUUUUGAAGUUCAGUUUUUUUAAAACCCACAUUUAUUCUCUCUGGGGAGUGGGACGUGCCAACUUCAAAUGGUGAUUUCUCCCAACUCCGGCCACCAAUUCAAGUAAGACCGGCCCCGUUAGAACCACCACACUUCCCUCUUCCAGUCCCAGCCCAUCUCAGUCUCGAUCCGCCGUCGUAGUCGCCGAAAAUCGCCACGAAACAAGGUGGUUUGGAUAGUUUUUGUCGAAAUUUCGUGGAGCUCGUUCUCCCUCCUCCGGCCACCGUUUCAGGCGAGUGAGGUAUCAUUUCUCACCUAUUUUCUAUGAUAUAGCUGAUGGUUGGAUAUGAUUUGAUAAAUUUUGAGCGUUGAUAGUUCGAUUUUCGAAUCAAAGUUUGGCCGAAUUUCGGGAUGAAAUUCCGGCCACUUUCGAUCACUUUUUGGGGUAGGCCCAAGAACAAAAGUGUCUUCAAUUGAUGUCCUGAUCCCAGGGUAAGAGCAUUGGUCGAAAAUUUUGAGAUUUUCCUGCUGGUGGUAUCGCUUUGGGCACCCAUGCGCUGAUGGCGCGUGUGGCAGCGUGUGGGCACUGUAGCAGAGGGCCAUUGUGUCCCAAUGCGACCCCCUUGUUGUCACGAGUGCGUAAGGGUGCUCGGAUUCCAAUUUGGUUGAGGUUUGAACCCCGAAUGGAUUUCGUAUAUUGUACAUUAUCCGGGUUUGAUAGGUUUGAACCGUUGGAUAGUCUUGAAUUUAAUAUAUGUUAGUCUAGACAUCCCUAGGAUCAUAUAGGAUUUCGCGGAUCAUGGAUCGGAGCCCCGGAUGUUCUGAUUUAAUAAAUUAAAGUUUGUGUUUUACAAUAACCGUCCGAUCGUGCGAUCGCGAGCAAUCCGACAGUCCGAUCCGAACCAAACUUGCAGGACGGGUAUCCUAAAUCUUGUAGAACCCAUAGGAGCUUUCGGAUAAGAAUUUGGAGGUCGUGGGCCCGGUUGACCAAGAUUAGGUAGUUUGACCCCUCGGUUGACCAUGAGUCUUCCGAGGUAGUUUCACCCUUCGAGGAGUACUAGAAUGACCUUAUUACAUAGUCUCGACCUUUAAUUGAGCUAUGUUGACUAUGUUGAGAUUUUUAGAGUGUUUAUUAUUAUCGUAUGAAAACUCUUGGAUAUUACUUUUAAUAAUUGAAAUUAUGGAUUUGAUGAGCGUGGGUAAAUUGAUUUGAUGAGUGGUGAAAAGAAGUCGUGGGCUUGGCUAUGACUAUUAGGAAGUGAGGGGACAUUUAUGUUGAAUAUGCAUUAAUUUCAACAAUUGAAAGAACAUGCAUGGAAUGGGUAUAUAUAUAUAUAUAGAUAAAUUGGAUUAAAGAUUGAGAAAUUAAUAAGUUGAGAUAUUAGUAAUAUUUAAUUGAGAAAUGGAUUUUGAGGUGGAAAUUGGAAGGUUGAAUUUGGGGAAUUUUGGAAUUGAGAAUUAUGGGUUAAUACUGAAAGAUGUAGGAUUAUACUAUGUAAGUACCAUCCCCUAGUUACUAGGCUUCCCAUACGUGGAGUUGGAAUUUCUGGCGUGUGGGAAGGAUAUAUGAUUAUUAGAUCUCACAUGCCGUUGGAUUUUCCAGCGUGAGACAGACCCCAUACGUGGGGUUGGAUUUUUCGGCGUAUGGGGAGAUUAUGUGAUGGUUAGGUCACACGUAGGGUGGGAUUUUCCAACGUGUUGACAGACCCCAUAAGUGGCGUUGGAUUUUCCGGUGUAUAGGGAGAUUAUGUGAUGGUUAGGUCACACGUGGCAUAGGAUUUUCCAGCGUGUUGACAGACCCCGUACGUGGCGUUGGAUUUUCAGCGUAUGAGGAGAUUAUGUGAUGGUUAGGUCCCAUGUGGCGUAGGAUUUUCCGGCGUGUUGACAGACUCCAUACGUGACGUUGGAUUUUCCGACGUAUGGGGAGAUUAUCUGAUGGUUAGGUCACACGUGGAGUAGGAUUUUUCAGCGUGUUGACAGACCCCAUACGUGACGUUGGAUUUUCCGGCGUAUGGAGAGAUUAUGUGAUGGUUAGGUCACACGUGGCGUAGAAUUUUCUGGCGUGUUGACAGACCCCAUAUGUGGCGUUGGAUUUUCCGGCAUAUGGGGAGAUAAUGAGAUGGUUAGGUCACACGUGGCAUAGGAUUUUCUGGCUUGUUGACAGACCCCAUAUGUGGCGUUGGAUUUUCGCGCGUAUGGGAAGGAUAUGUGAUUAUUAGGUCUCACAGGUGGCGUUGGAAUUUCCGGCGUAUGAGACACUAACAGUGAGAAGAGAAUGAGAUUAUUUUUCUAUAUCAGAGAAAGGUUAGAGUAUAAAAAGAAAUAUGUUUGGUGUGUGGUAAUUUAAAUUAAAACAGGGAAAGAUAACUUACCUGUACUACUGAAACAGUUGUGUAACAUUUGGAGCAUGAUUAUGGAGUGAAAGAACUACGUGUGGCUUGAUCUCUCAGUAAGGGUACGUAGGCAACCUAGGUGCAGUCGUAGACUAAACGUUAUUUAUGUUGUUUUAUUGAGAUUGGUUCUGACCCUGUCGUUGGUCCUGAAAUUCGGUUGAAAACUAGAUGCGAGUAAAUAAUUGUUCAUACUCCCGUUUCGUUGAGGGAGGAUUGUGUAAAUGUGUUCUGGUCAAGACAGGUAUAAGAACUCGUUUAGGAUUGAUGUACGAUUUGGGCUAAGGCCUUAAACUACUUGUUGUUGUAUUAGGAGAUUAAAACCUCGCAUGUGGGAUAAUUGGGAAAGUUAGAUGAUGUAAAGUGCACUUAGGCAUUCAUAUAUAUGUUUAAAUUUAUUAUUUGUCUUGCUUAACGUAAUUGUUUGACUUAUGGGCUUUAUUGGUGAUUUGCUUCAGAUUAUUUAAAGGCCGAAGGCCGUUUAUGUGAAUUGCAUUUUGAUACAUUGUGCAUGCUACUAGUUGUGGAUAUUAAAUGUGUUUUAUGCAGGUUGAAAUUUUUGGGAUUGUUCAAAUUACAGGGGAGACUGCCAAAAUUUUGAUAGAAAGUCUCGGUCAUUAGUAAGUGGGCCCGGCAUCGAGGUGAUGUCGGAAUUUACACAAGAUUCCUCUCGGGUUUUCAGGAAUUCGGGGCGGAUCCUGUUACUUGGGGUGCAAAUUAUCCAUUUGUUCACCCGUUUUCGUGUUUUACUUCUGAGGUGGAAGGGCGAAGUUUCCCACUGGCUUGGAGACCACUUGUUGGUCGACAAGUCAGCUUUCUUUGGUGUGUGUGAGCGUGCCACUGCUAGCAAUGUAAAUUCUAGCAGACUUAUUUUUUAGAGUGGAUAACUUGCGCCUCAAGUUACUGACUUCUAAAACAAAUGAUUGUGAAUUUGGGUGAGGAAUAUCUCCCAAGUAAGUUCUUUUCUUGCCUCAAACUGGUGAGGACUUUCACAAUUUAUCUCAGUAUCAAAUGGUUGUUCUGGCCAGAAUAGAUAAUAAUAAAGUAGACUGUUUCAGGCAGAACUGCCUUUUACAAAAUUAAGAAGGGAGAAAUCAACUCUAGAAAGGAAAAAAGAUGGCUGGAAUCCCAUUUCUGCCUGGGUAGAAACUUCUGAUCCGGGCUGGACUGGGUAUGUCUAUGCUGGACGGUGCUGUCAACAACUUUAGCUUGCUCGGCUUUAGUUGUAAAUCGAUACCAAAGUUCAAUUUUGGCAGAGCUUCAAUCUACUUCAAGCCUUGGGAGACUUUUGAGUGGGCAGAACUGCAGCUUCUUCAGUUUGAAGGGACAGAAGUGGCUAUUCUCGAGGAUUUAGCAAGCUGGAACUAUGCUAUAAAAUUUGUUGAGGUUUUCAUAUUUGUGAAAACUCAAACUAUGUUUGUCUUGGCUUUUGCUGAACCAAAUUUGUAACGAGAGGGAUCUUGUUUUCAGAAGACUUAUUUUCUAAGUCUGAACUUUGGAAUUCUGAUCUAAAGCUGUUUUCUUGUUUGUUUUUUUUUGAUUGACUGAUGAAUUGAGUGUCCUUUGUUUCUUUGCCUUCUUUCGCUUUUAUAAGAGAUCCUCCUAAGGAGGUCAUUUUUAAUCCUAAACAAUGGGCGGCAAAAAGAUCUCUUAUAAUGUAAAGUAAGAAGGGUUUCUUAUCAAUCAAGGCAGAUAGGUUCUGAGCAGUCACCUCCUAAAAACAGUCCAUUCCCUGGUUUCCUGGGUGGCAGCUUUCUAAUUCAACCAACGCCACCGUCUGUGUGGGCUUUUUAUGGCAGUUUUGGCUCUUUUCUUUUGUAUUUUCUGAGUGGUUCCCUGUUUCCCGUUCUAAUUUAGAAAGCGUGAUUCGUGAAUUCCUUGGGAGAUGGUGUAUUGAUUUGGAGCAAAAUCUUGAACACAGAUGGGUUUUUGAUCUUCAAUUGGCAGUGUUUCAGAGACGUCCCUCUCACAUUUUUAAACUUUAGUUGGAAUUGCUGACUUUUCCAAAGUUGAGGCAAUCACGUGGGUGUGUCUUUGAUCCCUUGGUUUUGAAUCUAUCGAAAAUUACGGGCUGAUCUUUGAAGCCCAUUUCGAAAGUUUCCACAUCUGGGCUUUCUUUGGGCUGAGGCUUUAUUUCCAACAUUCUUGGUGUGAAGCCCAAACUGUCUGGGUCUUAUUUUCGUUUUUCUCAAGUCUCUGGGCUGGGCAGGCAAUUUUAUCAUGGGCCUGUCUUCUGGUCUUGGGCGUGCCGAAUUUGGGCCCAAACAAUGCCCCCUAAGUCUGAAUCGUUUUGGAAUGGUUUCAGACUUAAUGUUUUGCCAUUUAAUUCACGUGCCAGUUUCUUCCGUGUUUUCGCCCACGUCUGCCACGUUUGCCUGCUACGAACUAGAGUUCGUGGGAAAACGGCUAGUUAUUAUCUAGUUACUAGCUAAUAAUCAUCAGGUGCCGUCCCAUCUUCUUCUUCCCACGUUUUCGAGCCCCUCUUUAAAAGAAAUUCAAAUUCAUAGCUUCUGAAAAAAGAAACCCUAAACCUUCCAGCUCUUGUUCCUGCGAGUUCUUUCUUCGAGAUUUCCAAAGCCUUCUUUAGACCUUCCUUUCUUCUGCUUCUUCCCUUGAAUCAGAAAUGUCUUCCCCAAGGUCCCGCGCUCAGUCUUCUUCCGCUUCAGUUCCUCCCGAUUAUAUCACUGGGAGCGGGAUUGAUGCUCACGCGAUAGAAAUCAGGAGCAAGCUUCAUCCCUUUGCCCAGAAGAAUCUGGACGAGAAUGUCCUCCAUUUGUUUGAGAACACCCUGGUGUUAGGGCCUCACUGGUUUGGUCCUGUUCCAGCUGAGAUGGCAGAAUUGCUAAAAAAGGAUGCCGAGGCUCCUUUGUGUUUUGAGAGCUCUUCUGCCCUGGCUUCUUAUUCUUGGGUUAGCAAGAAUUUGAGCCGGUCCUUCCCGUCCAGCGAGGUGAGGAAUAGUCUGGUCAAAUGGGCAGACUGGAUUGAUAGACUUCUCCCGAGAUAUGGGGGUCACUGGAGGAGAGCUGGGAUUUAUGACGCCAUUUUUCUGUCCAAACAAUCGAUUAACAGAGAUGAGAAUCUGCUUGCUGCUGCUUUAUGCUUCUGGAAUUCUGCCAGCAAUACAUUUGACUUCCGCGUGGGUCCUAUGGCGCCAACCUUGCUGGAUAUGGCUCAGAUUUUUGGGUUCAGGCCCCAUGGUAGGCCUGUUGAUGCCAUUGGAGAUUAUCACAGGCGAAGGAAUCAAGAGAAAGUGGCCACCCCUUUUACUAUCCCUCCAGCCGUGAUCAACCAGAACUGCUCUUUCUCCAACUAUCUGAAGAAGUUCAGUGCUGAUAAGGACAAGGAUCAGCAACAUAUGUUGUUCCUUCUGUAUUGGCUGAAUUGGUUCGUUCUCCCCAAUCGGUCUUCUGCAGUUCUGCUAGAGUACAGACACUUGGCAGAAGCACUCCACAAUCACACUGAUGUGGGGCUCGGGCCUACAGUUCUGGCUCACCUUUUCAAGAAUCUGCAUACUUCCACCCUGGAGAACCCAUUGAACCUGUCAGCCCCUGGCGCAUUCUGGAUGAUCCAGAUCUGGCUGCAGGUUUAUUUUCCAGAACUAAGGUUCCCAGACAUAGUUCUGCCUGAAGAUCAAGUCCUGGCUCUUCCUCUGAUGUCGGCAGAAGUGCCCAAGCAUUCUAUUGAGGAGUAUUUGAUGCUCUUCAGGCAUUGUACAAAGAGGUCGGCAGCUCAGUGGCAAGUGGUGAUCAGGAGGACCUAUCCUUGGUUCCAGACCGGAUUUCGGUUGUUUGAGAAGGAGCCAGAAGAUGAAGCUGCCAGAACAGAUUUCAGGAGGAAAUUUCUGAGCAUUACUCUGCCCAGAGAUCUACCCCAUGGUGGGGGCAAACCUCCAAACUAUCAUCUGGGGGCAGAAGUCUACCAUCCCAACUUCUGCGCGAGGCAGCUUGGUUGUCCCCAACUCAUUCCGCUGAAAUCAUAUCGGAGUUGUAACCGGGCCUCUUCUUGGAGGGAUGCAGAUGAUCUGGAGGUGCACAAGGAUGCCCGGUGUGCAGUGAACAAAAUCAACAACAGCACGGAUGCCCUCUAUCCCUCGUGGGAGCUGAAUUCCUGCAGUUCUGCCGACUUUGACGCAUGGUGGAAAGCCAGAUUCCAAAGUCUGCCUGCUUCUGUCACUGCCCUCAAGGUGCUGUUUGAUGGUUGGGAAAACUGGGUCGUUUUUGCGAAUGGGGAUGCCAAGACGCAUAUGAUCCAGACCAUCAAGGAUAUUAACGCGCAAAUUAUAGAAGGUAGAUUUCUGAUUCUGUAUGGGGUUCGUUCUGUCCUGAUGAUUGAUUUCUAAUGUCUAUUCUGCCUGUAUCAGAUCCUUCUUUGACCAGCGUAGGUGGGCAGUCUGUUCAUGCUGGGGAAGUGAUUGGUAAGUCUUUUCUUUUAAUUCUAUUCUGUCUUUUCCUGCUGGAUUGGUCUCUAAUGUCUAAUGCCUUGGUGCAGUCUCUUCCGUUAUUGCUGCCGGGGACUUGGAGCUCCCUUCUGCGGAUGAAGGAGAUGAGGUCCAGACAGAACAAACACCUACCGAGGCCGCUCUUUCUGGCAGAAGAAAAAGGAAAGGACCUGCCCCUCCUUCGGAUAAUCCCACGCGGCCUGGUAUUUCAGGUAAGCUCGUGAUGUUCCAACCAUUCUCUUUAAAUUUAUUAUGUCUUGCCUUCUUUUCCCUAAUACUGCUUUUUGUUCUGUGCAGCUGGAAGUCCUUCCCCUCCUCCUACCAAGUUGAAAAAACUUAAAAAGAGGAGUGAGGAGGAGUAUGUCGCCGCGGAAGAGACGGCAGCAAUUCCCACCACUACCUCCGGGACGGAUGAAGAGCUGCGAGAGGCUUUUGAGGAGGUGGAGCAGGAAAAAGAAUUGGAAGAGCUGGAAGAAACGCCUCAGGAAAAAACGGCAGUGGCGGAAGGAGAGGUAAGUUUUAUUUCUGUGAUUCGCAUCAGUUCCCUUCUCGCCCUGUUUCUUCCGUUCUGACCCUUAUUUUGUAGGAGAAGAUCCCUGCUGAGGUGAUUGCAGAGAGCAUUGCCUUGGCGCAGAAGCAACAAGGGGGUCCAAGGGCUGAGCGGACUAGCUCAGAACUAGCCCUAUUUGAGGAUGCUGAGGCAGAGCAUUCUACUGCCGUUCCAGCGGCUGAGGAUCAGGCGGAACGGUCUGCAUCAGAGCCUGUGGAUCAGGCAGAGCUGUCUGUUGUGGUUCCGGAGGCUGAAGUGGAAACAACCGCCGCUGCCCCUGUGGUUGUGGUAACUUUCUUUCUUUAUCUGUCCACACUCUCCUGCAUUUCUGCCUUGUUCUUUAUUUUUAACUGUUGUAGCCUUUUCAGGUAGAAGUGCCUAAAGCUGUUGGCGUCCUGGCAGCGGUUACCAGUCCCCAGAAGCCUCCCAUUGUUGCUGUAAGUUUUCAUAACUUUUGGGCCUUUAUUUUCCACUUUCUGCCUGGUCUUACCUUAUGCUUUCUUCUUGCAGAUGCCAAUUCAUUCCCUUCCAGGAUCAUCUGCCACGGCUUCUUUUGCUGAUCCAGAACUCGAAGAGUUUGAAGCCAUGGAUCUGGAUGCCCAAUUGGACAGAUUGGAGAAACUCAGCUCUCCUCCAGGCAAGGCAAAAUCUAGGGCAGUGGAGGAGGCCAUGGAGAGGUUGAAAAUCUGGCAGUCUAAUGAGCUGGAGUUUGAUCAAGACAAUGAAGCCUUAAAUCAGCUGAUGAAGGACCUGGACCUGCUUCACAGACAGAACAUGGCUCCAAAACCUAUCCUUGAGAUGGGCCUAAGCUUGGCCAGAGAUGUGCUCAAUCUGCAUGAUCGCUAUGAGGAUCUCAGGCCUACUUUCAAGACUUCUGAAUUCUGCAAGGCCACUCAUGAAGCCAACCUGGCUGAUUUUGCAAAGCAGAAAGCAGAACUGGAUCAGAUGGUGGCCGGAUAUAAGGAAGCCAGGGCCACUGCGGACAAGCUGGAGAAGCCGAUGGAAGAGCUCCAAAAACAACUGGCAGAAUGCAGGGAGGUGCAGAGCAGGCUUGGGGCUGGACUGAGUUCUAAAACUAAGGCCACUUUCCUUGUGCAAAGUAUGGUUGCAGCUUCCAGGACAGCCUUGGAGAUUGCAGAGGCUUCAAUUCACCAGGGGGUGCUGCUCCAGAAAGAGCUUUCUGUCAAGAAAGCGAACCUGCAGGAGACUCUUAGAAAACUAGGAUUUUAGCUUCUUCUUUCCUUUUAUUGUUCGAAUAAUUUGCCGCAAAGGUGGCUAUUUUUAUAUAAGCUUUCAAAGCAUUUUACUGCUUUUCAUUUAUUCUUGAUGCAAUAACUGGAUACGGCUUUGAAAGUAAAAAACAGAACAACUUUAAAGCAAAAAUAAAUCUAAACAAAAUUCUUUUCAAGAAACAAAAAGGUCAAACUUGUUCCUCUUCUAUCCCGGGAUCUGUUUAUACAGCCUGCGAAUCCCACGUGGUUGGAUAGAACUUCUUUAACCAUUUACCAUUGAUUGGGGCAAAAUGAACAACUCCAUCUCGGUCCUGCAACCUGUAUGCCCCCAUUCCGAGGAUUUGGUUAAUUAUAAAAGGGCCUUCCCAUGUAGGUGACCAUUUCCCAUAUCCAGCUAUGUGUGCUCCAAGGGGCAGAAUUGCCUUCCAGACUAUCUCUCCCUCUUCAAAACUCUUGUUUUUGACUCUUUUGUUGUAGGCCCUUGAUACAGCCUGUUUUCCUGCUAAGAGUUUGUUGAGGGUGUCAAUUCUGCUUGCAUCCAAUUCUUCCAAUUCCAGCAACAUGGCUUGAGAGUAAUCCUCCCCAGUGAGACCAUGCUGGUGAGCAAUUCUAAGAGACUGGACCGCUAUCUCCAUGGGAAGAAUUGCAUCGUGGCCGUAGGUUAGAGCAUAGGGGGUCAUGCCAGUUGCUUCUCUCUUUGAAGUUCUGUAUGCCCACAAAGUUUCUGAUAACUUCUCAUGCCAUUACUUUGGAUUCUUCUCUAGCAUCUUUUUGAUGAUAUUGAUAAUCACCUUGUUACUUGAUUCCACCUGUCCAUUAGCUUGAGCAUAGUAAGGAGUAGAUUGAAGCAGUUUGAACUUGAACGUUUCUGCCAUAUCUAGCAUGUCCCUAGAUAUGAAAGAAGAACCCCUAUCGGUUGUGAUUGAUUCUGGAAUGCCAAACCUUUGUAUGAUCUGUUCUUCUAUAAAGGUGAUGAUCUCUUGAGAUGUUGUGGUUUUUACUGGCUUGGCCUCUACCCACUUGGUGAAGUAAUCUGUGGCAACGAUAAUGAAACAGUGCUGCUGGUUGCUGGCUGGAUAGAUUUUGCCAAUGAGAUCCAUUGCCCAUCCCCUGAAAGGCCAUGGUUUUACUACUGGAUUCAUGGGAACCGAAGGAGCCUGCUGGAUUGGGCCGUGCCUUUGACAGGCUUCACAUCCUUUGGAGUAGUUGAUGCAAUCCUUCAUCAUGGUUGGCCAGAAGUAGCCAUACCUUCUGAUUAACCAGCACAUCUUUCUUCCCCCUUGGUGAGCUCCACAGAUCCCCUCAUGGGUUUCUCCCAUGGCUUUCAUAUAUUCUGUCUUCCCGAGGCACCUUAAUAGUACCUCAUCCUUACUUUUUCGGACCAAAUCUUCAUUCCACAUGAGGUAGUUUGUAGCCAUGAUUCUGACUCUUUUCUUAGAGGGCAGAGUGGGAUAUCGUAAGUAAGUCAUGAUAGGCUCCCUCCAAUCAUCUUCAGUGAUCAAGGCAGAAUUGACUUCUAUCUCCAUUCCUCUCGUCAAAACAGAUGGUAGACUUUUCCUUCCUAUCUUGAUGAUCCUUUGGACGCAGUCUUCGGGCAUUUGUAUGCCUGAUGCCACCUGAGCCAGUUCAUUGGCUGCAAAGUUUUCCUCCCUUGGGAUGUUCUCCCAAGUAGCUUCUCUAAAUUCUGUUAGCAGAUUUCUAGCUGCUACUAGAUAUACAGCCAGAGAAGGAUUCAGACACUUAUAUUCUCCAGCAAUCUGUUUUAGGACAAGCAUGGAAUCUCCCAAGAUCUCCACGGACUGGACUCAUAAUUCUACCAACAUCUCGAGCCCUAUAAUCAAAGCCUCAUACUCGGCCAUGUUGUUGGUGCAUUGGAAAUCUAGCUGGAAGGAAUAGCAAUGUCUGACCCCUAAUGGUUCUUCCAGAACAAUCCCUGCUCCUGAAGCCUUGUCUGUCUUUGAUCCAUCAAAAUAUAACUUCCAAGGUGUGAGAUGAAUCGAGUAGAUUGGAUUGUUAAGGCAAACAUGAGCUCUAGUUAGCAGAUCUGCAUUUGCUAUGUCCAAAGAAUCCAUGUUUUCAAUUUCCUCUCCCGAGUGAUCUACCAAGAAGUCUGCCACAGCUUGCCCUUUGACAGCUUUCUGGGGGACAUACCUGAAGGUGAAUUCUGUCAAAGCCAAAGUCCAUUUCCCAAUUCUGCCCCUCAGCAUUGGUCUUGUUAGCAUGUAUUUGAUUAAGUCUGUUUUGGCAAUGAUGUAGAUAGUAUGUGGCAGCAUGUAGUGCCUGAGCUUUACAGCAGUGAAAUAUAAGGCCAGGCAAAGCCUUUCUAUUGCGGAAUACCUUCUUUCCACUUCUGUCAAUGUUCUGCUUAGAUAGUAGGCUGCCUGUUCUUUUCCUUCUUUGUUAUCUUGAACUAUUAGACUUCCAAUGGAUACUUCUGAUGCAGAUACAUAAAGCUUGAGGGGUCUGCCCCUUUUUGGUGGGGACAGAACUGGUGGAUUUGAGAGGUAAUGCUUUAUUUCCUGGAAAGCCUGUUGGUGCUGUUCUUCCCAUUUGAAUGUCUGUUCCUGCUUCAGUCUUAACAGGGAAGAAAAAGGUUGGAUUUUUCCUGCAGAAUUGGAUAUGAAUCUCCUUAGAAAAUUGAUUUUUCCUAAGAGACUUUGAAGUUCCUUCUUGUUCUGAGGUGGUAGAGCUUCUAUGAUGGAUGUUGCUUUAUUUCUGUCAACCUCUAUACCUCUCUGGUGGACCAAGAAUCCUAAGAAAUUCCCUGCUUGGACUCCAAAAACACAUUUUUUGGGGUUCAUUUUCAGUUUGUGCUGCCUCAUUCUUAGGAAUGCCCUUCUCAGGCUUGCUACGUGAUUUCCUUCCUCAGGGGAUUUAAUCACCACGUCAUCUAUGUAUACUUCCAAGGAAUGUCCUAUCAUAUCAUGAAAAAUAGAAUUCAUUGCCUUUGGUAGGUGGCUCCCGCAUUUCUCAAACCGAAAGGCAUUACAGUAUACUCGAAAGCACCUAUAUGUCCUGGACACAUAAAGGCUGUCUUGUGGAUGUCCUGUUCUGCCAUCAUGAUCUGGUUAUAACCUGCAUUGCCGUCCAUGAAAGAUAGCAUCUGGUUAUGAGUGGCUCCAUCCACUAGCAUGUCUGCCAUUGGCAUAGGAUAUUCGUCUUUAGGAGAUGCCUCAUUCAGAUUUCUGUACAAUAUUUGCUAACCAAUCGGAAUAGACGGCUGGCCUGAUGAAUCCUGCCUUGAGCAGCCUUUCUAUCUCUUCUUUGACCUUUAGUUCUGUGUCCAUAGACAUUCUUCUUCUGGCCUGUUUGACUGGAAGGUAGCCAUCUUUAAUUGGCAGCUUGUGCUCCACUCACUGCCUGUCCAAUCCUGGCAUUUCGUGGUAAUGCCAGGCAAAACAAUCUCUGAACUCCUGUAAAAGUGCCAUGAGUUCAGUCUUGAGUGGUUCCUUCAAAAGUGUGCUGAUGAAAGUAGGCCUUGGAUCUUCUUCUGUUCCUAAGUUUAUCUCCUGUAGAGGAUCCUCUACUUCUGGCAGGGAGUCAUCCAGUGCUGCUGGUGCAAAAUCUAAUACUUCCUCCUGUAAAAUUUCCUCCUCUUGCUCUUUUGUGCUUUCAUGGGUGAAUUCUGCCAUAUUGAUGGCUGGAUUCUGUAUGAAAAGCCUCCUUUCUCCCCAGUAUAUCAACAAUCUUUUUGUGAUGGAUCGGAUUGUUGCAGCUCGAUCCUUGUCUAGUUGAUUCGGACUAAACAUCAGAGUUCUGGAAGUUCAGCACAAAAAGGUCUAUUCCAGUCCUCUAGAGAACUGGCUAAACCUUCUUCAAUGAGUCUUUGGGCCGUGACACCAUGUGGACGGCCGUUCUGAUUGACUCCAAGGAAAGUGAAAGGACCGAGGUCAUCAUGAUAAUACCUUGUUUCAAAGCACAUGGCAGAGGGCAGGAAUGGCCGUGGAUCAGCCUCUAUAAUCUCCAUGCAGCCUUCUUCAUUCCAUAGUGCUAACUGCGGGUGGAGGGUGGAAGGAAUACAAAGGCUCUGGUGAAUCCAAUCCCUGCCAAGUAGUGCAUUGUAGGUGGUGGAAGUAGUGUCUAUAACAAAGAAUGCUAUUUUCAACUCUUUGCUUCCGAUUAUGACAUCCACAUCUAAGAUGCCAUGUAUUUUGGUGAUGCAACCAGAAGUUGGUGACGGUCAAUCGUGUUGGAAUCAGAUCUUUCUCUGUCCUGCCCAGCUUGGUCAGCAUUCUGUGGGGUAAUAGAUUAAUGGCUGCACCUCCAUUUACCAUGAUCUUGGAAAUAGGAAUACCCCCAAGAUUUGCCGUUAUAAACAAAGGUCUGAGGUGAAACAAGGUUGCUCUGUAGCUGGUUUAUUGGCUGUUCUGCCUGUCUUGGGGUUUUCUGCUUGUGGUUCUGGUGGCUCCUCUGCUUCUGCCAAUCUACAUUCAAAGCUUUCCUGAGAGAAAACAUCCCCUUCCAGAGUGCUUUCUUGUCCUUCGGCUGCCCUGAAUUUACUUGGUAGGAUGAAUACCAUGUUAAUUCCCAGAUCACCCUGUAGGAGGUCUUCUAAUUCUGCGCCAAAAGCUUCUGUUUCUGGGUCCAAUUCUACACCAAAUUCCAUUAAUUCUUCCCCGUAUUCUUCCGUCCAGUCAUCCUGUUCUGCUACUUCGAGGGGCUCUUUCUGAUCAUCUGCGGAAGGUUCAUAGUCCAAUUGCUCUUCUUCAUAUUCCUCAGUGUAGUCGUCUUCUCCUUGUAACGGGGUAGACCCAGAUUUCUCUGGUGUCUGCGUGGUGUCAGGACGGCUGCUGGACGACGAGGCCACAUGGAUAGGAGACCUGGCUGGGGGUUCUGUUUUCAGCAAUUCCCUUGACUGGCAAGCUUUCUGUUCUGUCUGGGGAAGUGUUUCAGGAUUUUUUCCUUUCCUAGCAGAACUGGGUUGUGAACGUACCUGCGUAUUAUCUUGGCUCUUAAGAUAUGUGCAGUAUUGCCUCUGGAUUCUCCUUUUCUGGGUUCUGGUUAGCUCCAGAGUCGGUCUACCGCUUCUUCCUACGGAAUACCAUCUCCCUUCUAUGAUCGUUGCCAAGGAUCUUUCGUUUCUGGGCAUCUUGACUGGUAUUUCCUUUCUGGGUUGCUCCAUCCUCCUCUCGCUGUAUUGUGUAGGCCUAAGACAGCUCUUCUGCCUUGUUUUGUCUCGGGAUGAGGUUCCAAUUCUGUCAAAGACACUAGGUGUGGGCUGAUUUUGUCUGUCUAGAACCACCUCUAGCUCUGUUUCACAUUUGCACCUACUGCAGAGCACUACCCCAGCCGAGAUGGUCGCUCUUGGUAUUUGACUGGUCUCCCUUAUGAUUCUUCUGCCUCUGCUGCAACCAGCAUCUGUGAUUGGCUCGGUUUUCCUCUGUUCUGGCCAAUUUAAGUUGACCAUAUUGACUUGUGGUUGAGGAAAAGGAUCCGUUGUGACGGAUGGUGGUUUUUCUGCCAGUUUCAACCUUCCUGCCGUUAUCCCUUCUUGUAUUACGUCCCUGAAAACAACACAACUAUUGGUAGAAUGGUUCCAAGAGUUGUGCCACCUGCAGUACUGUCUGCCCUUGAGUUCUUCCGGCUUCGGUAUUCUGUGAGGCGUCUCUAUUGCCUUCUACAGUAGCAUUUCGUGGAACAAGGCAUCAACCUUGGUUAAGUCAAAAGAGUAAACCUUGUUUUACGUUGGUUUGUUUGGAACGAAUCCUCCUGUGAAUGGUGGUGGCUUUUGGUCUUUAGGUGGCUUUGUGAGGGCUUUGCAACUAAUGGGAUGUUUUAGUUUUGCCAUUUCUGCCACUGAAACCUCUUUCUCUUCUGAUUCUUCUGCAUCUUCUUGUGAUUCCACCUCGAUCAGGUGGACUGAAGAAGAAGGGGUUUUAUAGUAUGUACCUUUGGAGGAGUUCCUCCUUUGCUGUUCCUCCCUGAGUAACUCCUCAUAUUUGGAUGCCUUAUCAGCCAGUUCUGCCAGAUCUCCGAACAAUAUCCCGUCGAACCUUUUCCUGAGAGAGAUUUUAAGGGCAACUUGGGCCAUCUGGAUGAAGUGUCUUUCUUCCAUCGGGAUUCGGCACUUCAUUUUGAGCUUUCUGAACCUGGUUAUGAAAUCUUGGGCCGGUUCAUCUUCACUUUGCUUGAGGGCAGCUAGAUCACUGAUGGUGACUUCUGGCUGAAUCCUGUAAUAGUAGUCAUGGAAGACAUUUUCCAUCUGUUCCCAGGUUUGAACAGAGUUAGCUGGCAGGCUGGUGUACCAGGUAAAAGCUUGCCCAAAAAGAGAGUUGCCGAAAAGCCUUAAUUUCAGCAGAGGGUUGCUUUCUAUAGCUAUGCAUUGGACGGAGAACCUGCCUAUAUGUUCAACUGAGGAAGAAUGGGGGUCUUCCCCAUUGAACAAAGUGAAGUUUGGCACUUUGAAACCUGGAGACAACAGUAUUUGAUCGAUAUAGGCUGGGUAUGGCUUUCUGUAAGUAGGCCUUUCCCCUAUUCUAGCCUCGGGUUCCAUGAUUUCUCUGAUCAUUCUUUGCAACGCUCCUAUGUCAUUCAAAGCAUUGACUGGGGGAAGAUUUUGUCCCUGUUCUGGCUGAACGUAAUCAAACCUGGGCUCUGCUCUGUGUGGUCUGGGUGGAACUUCCUCCCUGUGUUCUUCCUGCUCUUCGACUUCUGGAUGAUUCCUCCAGUUUGCCCCCGGUCUAUUCCUGUCAUGAUUAGCAAAAAGGUUGUUCCCUCCUCGGCCUCUCCUCCUUCUUGCAAGUGGAGGGAAUGGAUUAGGGUCCAUCCUUCUGGGUCUAUAUGGCAAUACUGCCGGUGGUUCAGGCAGAAGCGCCAAAGGUUGAUCAUGUGGGAGCACAUGAAGUGGAAUGGGCUGAGGUUCUGGCUGGUUCUGAGCCAGUGCCAGGUUAUCUGGUUGAGCUGGGGCUUCAUGUUUUUGAUUAGGAAGGGCUCCUUCCCUCGGACCAGCCUGAAUUUCUCCGUGGUCUGGCACUCCAGCCAUCUGUGCAACUAGGAAAUUUUCCUGGUAUGGCCAUAUUAGUCCUGGCGGAGGGCCAUAAGGGAGAUCCAACUGCUGGAUUACAGGAUCUGGGUUUGGGUUUCUGGCCAUGGCGGAUUCUCGGUCCUUCCGGAACUGUCUGUUUACCUGCCAUUACAUCAUGGCUGUCAUGUUAUUGAGAGUGUCCUGGCUCCUUCGUACUGUGAUCUCUUGUCGGAGUACUGACUCCUGUAUUUGAUUCAUCCUUUUGGAGCCAGUCCUGGAACGUCUACUUCCUGUACUGCCGUGGGCAGAUUGCCUAGCAUCGCUUUUUUCUGAUUCGAGGCCUUCCCUGAGAACCAUCUUGUUUUUCUCCAUAUCUGGUGUGGGUUCUGACUAGAUCUUCCGGUAUUUGUGAAUCUGUGAAUGAUUCUGUCAGAGUAUAUAUACUGAGAAGUCCCACUGGGUGUGCCAAAUUAUUCACCCGUUUUCGUGUUUUACUCCUGAGGUGGAAGGGCGAAGUUCCCCACUAGCUUGGAGACCACUUGUUGGUCGACAAGUCAGCUUUCUUUGGUGUGUGUGAGCGUGCCACUGCUAGCAAUGUAAAUUCUAGCAGACUUAUUUUUUAGAGUGGAUAACUUGCGCCUCAAGUUACUGACUUCUAAAACAAAUGAUUGUGAAUUUGGGUGAGGAAUAUCUCCCAAGUAAGUUCUUUUCUUGCCUCAGACUGGUGAGGACUUUCACAAUUUAUCUCAGUAUCAAAUGGUUGUUCUGGCCAGAAUAGAUAAUAAUAAAGUAGACUGUUUCAGGCAGAACUGCCUUUUACAAAAUUAAGAAGGGAGAAAUCAACUCUAGAAAGGCAAAAAGAUGGCUGGAAUCCCAUUUCUGCCUGGGUAGAAACUUCUGAUCCGGGCUGGACUGGGUAUGUCUAUGCUGGACGGUGCUGUCAACAACUUUAGCUUGCUCGGCUUUAGUUGUAAAUCGAUACCAAAGUUCAAUUUUGGCAGAGCUUCAAUCUACUUCAAGCCUUGGGAGACUUUUGAGUGGGCAGAACUGCAGCUUCUUCAGUUUGAAGGGACAGAAGUGGCUAUUCUCGAGGAUUUAGCAAGCUGGAACUAUGCUAUAAAAUUUGUUGAGGUUUUCAUAUUUGUGAAAACUCAAACUAUGUUUGUCUUGGCUUUUGCUGAACCAAAUUUGUAACGAGAGGGAUCUUGUUUUCAGAAGACUUAUUUUCUAAGUCUGAACUUUGGAAUUCUGAUCUAAAGCUGUUUUCUUGUUUGUUUUUUUUUUAUUGACUGAUGAAUUGAGUGUCCUUUGUUUCUUUGCCUUCUUUCGCUUUUAUAAGAGAUCCUCCUAAGGAGGUCAUUUUUAAUCCUAAACAAUGGGCGGCAAAAAGAUCUCUUAUAAUGUAAAGUAAGAAGGGUUUCUUAUCAAUCAAGGCAGAUAGGUUCUGAGCAGUCACCUCCUAAAAACAGUCCCUUCCCUGGUUUCCUGGGUGGCAGCUUUCUAAUUCAACCAACGCCACCGUCUGUGUGGGCUUUUUAUGGCGGUUUUGGCUCUUUUCUUUUGUAUUUUCUGAGUGGUUCCCUGUUUCCCGUUCUAAUUUAGAAAGCGUGAUCCGUGAAUUCCUUGGGAGAUGGUGUAUUGAUUUGGAGCAAAAUCUUGAACACAGAUGGGUUUUUGAUCUUCAAUUGGCAGUGUUUCAGAGACGUCCCUCUCACAUUUUUAAACUUUAGUUGGAAUUGCUGACUUUUCCAAAGUUGAGGCAAUCACGUGGGUGUGUCUUUGAUCCCUUGGUUUUGAAUCUUUCAAAAAUUACGGGCUGAUCUUUGAAGCCCAUUUCGAAAGUUUCCACAUCUGGGCUUUCUUUGGGCUGAGGCUUUAUUUCCAACAUUCUUGGUGUGAACUGGACUAAACAGUUAGUCGGACCAGACCGUCUACACAUAUGAACUGGACUCACAAGCCUAUGUUUUUUGAGCUCCCAUAUUGGUCGAAACUCAAAUUGAGGCACAAUCUAGAUGUGAUGCAUGUUGAGAAAAAUGUAUUUAACACAUUGGUGGGCACGAUUCUAGAUAUCGAGGGCAAGACAAAGGACACAAUCAAAGCCCGUCUUGAUUUGGAAAGAAUGGGCAUACAAAGGGGUUUAUGGAUGAACAGGGACAGUGAUAAAGCUAGAAGGGAUCUUGCAUUCUUUUCUAUGAAACCGAAUGAUAAAAAAGAGUUUCUAAAGUUUGUAUCGUCUGUAAAGUUUCCUGAUGGGUAUGCUUCUAAUAUCGCACAUUGCGUGAAUGUUGACGAGGGUAAAUUUACUGGACUGAAGAGCCAUGACUGCCAUGUGUUUAUGCAACGCCUACUUCCUGUGGGUAUUCGACAUCUAUUGCCGGAAGAUGUUGUGAAGCCAAUCAUGUUGUUGUCCAGAUUUUUUUCCCAACUGACGGCAAAAACAUUGCGAAAGACAGACAUAUUUCAGUUGCGCCAUGACAUUGUCCAAGUCCUAUGCAAGUUUGAGAUGAUAUUUCCUCCAGCUUUCUUCACAAGUAUGAUGCACGUGAUGGUUCACUUGCCAGAAGAGGCAUUGCUUGCUAGUCCUGUCAACUAUCGCUGGAUGUAUCCAAUAGAAAGGUAUAUAAUCUUUAUCGUUUGUGUAUGCAUCAUUAUCACAGACUUGCUAAUUUGUAUCAUAUCGUUUUAUUUUGACAGGCUUCUCGGAGAGCUGAAAAAAAGUGUACGCAACAGGGCGAAGCCCGAAGGAUCAAUUAUAGAGGCUUGGGUUCAAUAUGAGUCGCUUACUUUCUGUGGAAUGUAUUUAAAAGAUGUGGAGACGGCUUUCAAUCGUCCUCAACGCAAUAACGACGAAGGUAUGAGAAAGGAAAAACUUUCUGUUUUUGCCCAAAGUGCACGACCCUUUGGAGAUCCUGGACGAGGAGAGUCGUUUUCUAGAAAUGACAUGGAGGUAGCGCAUUGGUUCGUACUGAACAAUUGUGAUGAGAUAAUGGCAUACUUAGAUAAGCAUGAAGAGAUGAUGAAGCGAGAACAUCCAUCACAUUUAGUUGCCCAGAAACACCGUGAAUUGUUUCCACAAUGGUUUUUGGAUUCUGUAAGUUAUAAGUGUUUUGUAUUUGACAAAUAUAAAUUGUAGUAUUUAAUUUUGUCAGACUAACAUGUGAAUGGUUUUGUAUUAUAUUAGGUGAAUAAGUUGAAAUCAUCGAAUUCCCCCACUUACAGUGAUGAGUUAUAUAACUUGGCGUUCGGCCCAAUUCGCGCUGAAUUGUUUCGGGUUGUUAUAUUAAUGGCGUCAAAUUUUUGGGAGCCGCACGAGAUGACAAGUUGUGUAUGCAAAACAGCGGUGUCCAUGUCCCAGGUGGAGGCGAAAGUACGAACAUUGAUUUCUAUGGCAAACUCACAACUGUCAUUCAAUUGCUUUACAAAGAUCGAUACUAAGUGAUCAUGUUUAAGUGUCGAUGGUUUGAUAGCAACCCAAAUAGGCCGGGAAGUGUUAAAAUCAACCAUGGCUUACUAUCUGUGAACAUUAACAGAACUUGGUAUGAUGACGACCCUUACAUUUUGGCAAACAUGGCAACACAAAUUGUGUAUCUAGAUGACCCUAAAGCCGGGAGCAGUUGGAAAGUUGUUCAGAAGAUGGAUCAUAGGAACUUGUAUGCUAUACCAGAACUAGACCCAACUGACAAUGACGUCAACAAUGUGGCUGACCAACGUUUAGAAUCUUCAAUGGAAAAUGAUGCGGAAACACUUCGAGAUACACAUGUUAUACAAGAACCGUUUCAAAUACAAGGAGUGUCUUCAAUCGAAAUACCGAUUCAGUCAAUUACAAUUGACCUCGGGGAUCUUCCAAGAUUCGAUGUUGCAGUGAGCCCGAGCAACGAAGAUGAUGUAGUUAUAGAGGAGGAGGAGGAGGAUUGGGAGACUGAAAGUGAUGAUAGCGAAGAUAACGAAAGUUAUUAUAGUUCAGAUGAUGAAUAAUUAAAUUUUUUAUAUUUUUAUUAUGCUAGUGUACAGACUUUGUGUAAAACAAAAGUUUGAAUAUAUGUAGUUGUGAUAUCCAAACCUUAUAUAUGUGGACAACUGAAACAUUAUUAAAAUAAAUUUAGUUAUAAAACAUCGGUAAAUCAAUAUAUCCAAACCCUUUUAAUAUUCAUUUAAAAUUUUUUUUUUUGACAAAAACGUUUACAAAAUGAAAAUGAUAAAAUAUUUGUUAUAAAACAUUGAUAAAUAAAUAUAUCCAAACCAUUUUCAUACAAAGUUUGAAAAUUAUUGACAACAAACAUUUUUCAAAAAUGAAAAUCCUUGCGCGACGAAGUACACCUCGUCACGCAAAGUUUGCGCGACCCAGUAAACAGUCGUUGUGUAAAGUUAAAACAUUGCGAGACAAAUUAUCAUCCGUCACGCGAUAGAAUUUUGCGCGACGAAUAUUUACUCUCGUCGCGCAAAUGUAUAUUCUUUUAUAAUAUAUUUUAUAUACACAUAUAUAUUCGAAAUUGACGAUCGAGUUAGUUCAUUGUAUUCAUAUAGGGUCAUGGAGUGUAGCUGUAAAAAAUCAUCAAAAUCGGAGUUAAAAUAACUGUUAAAUCAUGACUUUUCAUUUAUAACCGUUCAAAAAUUUUGUCCCGAUACUUGAUCUCUGAAUGUUUUUUUUUUCCGAUUUUUGGGGCCUAAGAUCUCGAAGUAUAAACAAACACGUUUGACGGCUGGAUUAUUGAAACUACUUUCGUAGAAUGCGUAUGCCAUCAAAACUAUAUAUUCACCAACAAUGAAUAGUUUACUUAUACUUUCAUUAAAUAUAACAUAAGAUUAUGUGGUAUCACCCUAGUGUAAACAUCUUAAAUUGAAGAUCAAAUUCAGUAAUUGUAUUCAUAUAGGGUCAAGAAAAGUAGCUAUAAAAAAUCAUCAAAAUCGGAGUUAAAAUAACCGUUAAAUCAUGACUUUUCAUUUAGAUUCGUCGAAAAGUUUUGUACUGUUACUUGAUCUCUUAACGUUUUUUUUGUCAGAUUUUCGGCGUAUACGAUCUCGAAAUAUAAAAAAACAAGUUUGCCGGUUAGAUCAUUAAAACUAGUUUCGGGUUUAGGAUUUCUGCAGUUUAGGGUUUAGGGUUUGCGCGACGAAGCCAUUUCGUUGGUCGCACAAAGCCUGCAAAGAACAGUCUUGCGCUACGAAACUAGGAUUCUUUGUCACGCAAUCUCAACCAGCCCUUUCACCCUCUUCCUCCUUGGACACUUAGCCAAAAAAAGUUGCGAGUUUACAGAAAGCGGCUUUGCGCGACGCUGCCGGUAUUCGUCGCGCAAUAUGUAUGCCAAUAAAACCUAAAUCCCAAAUUUUGGCGAAUUACAACUUUGCGCGACGAAUAUGGGAAGCUUCGCGCAAAGUUUUCAAUCUUUCCCGCUAAACCCUAAGUCCCAAAAUUUUGGCGGAUUGACAACAUUGCGCCACGAAAGAAGGUACUGUGCGUCGCACAAAGUUUUCAAUCUCUCCCGCUAAACCCUAAGUCCCAAAAUUUUGGCGGAUUGACAAUAUUGCGCGACGAAAGAAGGUACUGUGCAUCGCGCAAAGUUUUCAAUCUCUCCCACUAAACCCUAAGUCCCAAAAUUUUGGCGGAUUGACAACAUUGCUCGACGAAAUAUGGUACUGUGCGUCGCGCAAAGUUUUCAAUCUCUACCCAAUAUUUUGCCGGAUUGACAACAUUGUGCGACGAAAGACGAUACUGUGUGUCGCGCAAAAACUACCCUGAUACCAAAUUUUGGGAUUAACAAUAUUGCACGACAGAAGUUAUACUUAUGUCGUCGCGCAAGUGUCAAUUAAAAUAUUUUGCGUGACGCUUUUGUUUGUUCGUUGCGCAAAAUCGAAUAAAAUUGCAGAAACGACGCGAUAGCCUCCUUCUUCCCCAGAUUUGUUUUUCUACCCUAACUCUCUCUCUCUCUCUCCGCCUUCAGCUCAGCCCCCUACCCCAGUGGAUUUUGGACGACGGCGCCACAACAGUGGUACCCCGGAGGUUUCCCGCCGUCACCGUCGAGCCAGCCGCCCUAAUUCCUCGAUUUUCACCGAAUCUGCGCCGCCGUCGUUCUCUCUCCUUCGGCGACCAAAUCCGACACCUGAGGUAUGGUUUCUGUCCUAUUUUUGAUGCUUUAACUGAUGGUUGGGUAGGAUUUGUGUAAUUGUUGCAAUAGGGCAGUGGAUUUGAAACCCUAAAUUUCGACCGAUUUUUGAAUUCCAAUUCCGGCCACUUCUGGCCAUUUUUCAGGGUAGGUCCGAGAACAAAAGUGGCUCCAAUUGAUGUUUUGAACCUAGGGUAGGAACCUUGGCCCUUAGUUUUAAGAAAUUUUCGACGAUUGGUAUCGCUUUGGACACCCACGCUCUGCCAGCGCUUGUGGUGGCGCGUGGGGUACUGUAGCAGUCUUGCAUUGGGUCCCAGUGCAAUCCCAUAUUUGUCACGAGCGCGUAGGUGUUUUCGGAUUGGAAUUUGGUUACCGUUUGAGUCUCGAACGGAUUUUGCCUAUUGUGCGAUUUCCGGGUUUGUUAUGUUCGGACCGUUGGAUCGAACUCAAACUCACGUAUGGUGUACCUUGUAUUUCUUGGAUCGUCUAGGAUUCGACGGAUCGUGGAUCGGAGUCCCGAAUACUCCGAACUCGCAAACCCUAGGUCAAGAAUCUUAAUAAAAUUGUAUGUGCUUUCAAAUAUUCGUAUGUUUUAUUAAUUUGUAUGUGUAUUAAUGAAAUUGUGUAGAUGUCAGACCUGAUUAGACGUCGUAGGGCGGUGACGACUACGCAGAGUUCUGAGCCCCCGGCUCAACUGACAUCUGCUGCCACUGCGCCAGCACUGAUGGACCACUUGGCAGUUGGUCCCGCGGGGUCCCAGGCUCCUGCUUCAUCAGCUUCAUUAGUGGCACAACCUGUUAGCGCCAGGAAGCGUCAUCGGCCUGCCAGCACCACCGACACCACAUCCACUGAUGCGUCGGGGUCACAGCCAGGUAUAGAUUUCCUUAAACUCCAGUUAUUUAUAUUUUUGUUUUUGUUUUUAUUUUUGUUUUUGUUUUUGUUUUUGUUUUUAUUUGUGUGUGUAUUUUAUAGUUAAAUUUGUUAUUUAUUUAACAUUAAUGUCAUCUUUCUUUGCAGCCAAGAAGAACACCCGAGGGCCGUGUCGGUAGUUGAAGACGGCGAAGGUCACUCGGGUGACCAACAGUCGUAUCAACAUCGGAUACGACAAGCGACAUCGGGCUGCACCGACGGCGGAGUUGCAUAGCUCCUUGGCCCACGACAUUGGUGAUGUCAUUCCGAGCCAUUGCCCGAUGAAAUGGAAGUCUUGGAAGGUGAUGCCUGACGAGACCAAGAUGGAGGUUCGCGGCCAGUUGUCAGUAUGUAGGCCUUUUAAUUCUUUUUCUUUCAAAUUUUAUAUUUCUAUUAUUUAAAUGUAUUUAAUUAAUUUAUUGCAGACGAACUACAACUUGGAGGACCUGGACGACGAGUCGUUGGCGUACAUCAACAGACUCUUCUCUGAGAGGUACAAAUAGUGGAAGAGCGACUUGCACCACUAUUUUGAGGCGUUUGAUGAUCCAGAAGUCUCUCUUCAGGAGGGUUGCCCGAAGGAGCUUGAGGGGCGGGAGGAUAGUUGGGCGUGGCUCUGCUCUCAUUUUCAGGCGCCCGCUUUUGUGGUAAUUUGUAAUAUGAAUUUCAAAUUUAUUAUAUUUUUCUUACUAAUGUUUUUUUAAUGUUUUAUAUUUAAUUUCAAUUUCAACUAAUACGUUUUAUUUUUUGUAUAACAGAAUAAAGCCAAAGUCAAUAAGGGCAAUAGGAAGAAGAAGACUCUUCUCCAUCAUUCGGGUUCCAGGCCCUUCUCCUAUAGGAUGGAUGCAUGGCGGCAGGUAAUCAUAAAAAAAAUUUUAUUUAAUUUUUAAUAUUUAAUUAUUCUUAAUUUAUUUUUUUGUACUAAUAUUUUUCUUCUCUUGUUCAAUUUAGGGGGGUCCAAAUUCCCAGAGAUCGACGUCUUUGGCGACGUUUAUGUUCGACCUGGGAAUGAGUUGGGCGAGUCCCUUCAUGUAAGUAUUAUUUAAUUUUAAUUAUUAUGUUACGCAUUCAAGUUUAAAGGUUAUUAUAUGAAUGUUUUAAUUUAUAUUUUAUGUUAUGCUAAACAGAUGACGAUGGUGGAGAGGAGCCAGUUGGUUCUUCAAGAGUCCGCCUCCCAACUUCCUUCCGAUACUCCGAUCGAGUCUGUGGAUCCUCCACAGGAUGCUGGGUUUCAGAUCUUGACGGAGACAUUGGAUCAGACUCUAGGGAGGAGACCGGGGAUAUAUUGUCGAGGGAUGGAGAAUGCCAGGCGGAGGGAAGCCAGACCCCGUUCAUUAGCGCAGUCAAGCAGUCAGGUCACUGCUUUGACAGCACAGGUGGCCACUCUUCAGAGUCAGAUGUCGGACAUUCUGCAGUCCCUCGCACAGUUCGGCAUUCCAGUCCCGCAUUUUGAUGCGCCGACCUCUGAGCCCGUCCAUCCUGAGCAUCCCCACCAGACGACGGCCCUUGUAGACCCCCAGACCUCUGAACCGCAUGUGCCAGACGACAAUGUAGAUUUUGGAACAUUAUGAUUAGUUUUUUUAUUUUCAUAAUUAUUUUUUAAAUAUUUCUCUUGCAGCAUACAUUUAUUUUAUAUAAUAAAUAUGUUCUUUACAAUUCUUUUUUUUAUUGGAAUUUCAUUUUAUUACCCAAAAAAAAAAAACCAAAUUUAUUUUUUUAUAAAAUAAAAUAAAAAGUAAUAUUAAAAUUAAAUAAUAAUUAUAUAUAUUAAUUUUGCGCGACGAAAUCUUUCUCGUCGCGCAAAUUUAUAUAUUACGAAAUAAAAAUGUUUCAUUUUUUUAAAUACAUAUAAUUUAUUCUUGCGCGACGAAUAUUUUCGUCUCUCAAAAAGGAUUUGCGCGACAACAGUUUUUCGUCGCGCAAAAUGUGUUGACACGAAUUGCACGACGAAGAUAUCUUUGUGCCGCAAAUAUCUACGACACGUAUUGCGCGAUGAAAAUGUUCGUCGCGCAAAAAACGUAUGCGCGACAACAAUGUUUCGUCGCGCAAUACGUGUAGACAUGAAUUGCGCGACGAAGAACUCUUGGUGCCGCAAAUGUGUACGAGACGUAUUGUGCGACGAAUAUUAUUCGCCGCGCAUCGUUGUGGCGACGAACCCGCUUUCGUCGCGCAUAAGUUUGUGCGACGAACUAUUGCAUCGUCUCUGAACCUUUUGUGCAACGAAGGGUAACCGUCGCACAAAUUUGCGCGACGAGUGAUACAAUCAGUCGCGCAAAGUCUUUCUUCACCAUCUUUGCACCACAGAUUACGCGCGACGAAUUUUCUGUCGUGCUUGAGUUUGUGCGACCAAAUUUAACUCUGCGCGACGAAAUUGGCUUCGUCGCGCAAAUCGUAAAAUGUAGUAGUGGAAGUUAUCAACAUCUAUAGGAACCCCAAUGAAAAGGCUGUUAACUAAUAAUGAAGUAAACCCCUCAAUGUUUCCGCGUAUCAGAUAUCUCUCAGAAUAUGCGAUUCCAUACUCAAUAAGCAACUCCACAUCCCCUGAGGUUUUCACCAAACCACCCAUUAAGGAAACAUACUGACUCAUGUGUAAUUAUCAUUACUCAUCGGGUAAUGCAAUUGUUCAAAGGCAAGGACAUUUCUCAUUAUUUCUGUAGUGAACCCCAAUGGAAAUGGUGGGAUCUUCAGAACCCCAUUGGUGCUACUGAAUUGUAUGUCAAAUAUGUUUUCACCUUGUCGCGCCUCAAACUUGACUCCAGCGUGCUGUAAUUCUGUCAAGCUGGGUAUGGAUGAUGGGAGUUCCCCUCCAGCUUUUGAUUCCAACGGUUGAUAGAGUUUAAAUAUUUUCCUGUAAAGAUCAACAAUAUGUGCCACUGAUCUAAAAGUCUCCAAAUUGUCUUCCAUUUUGUCAACAGGCAAUAGAUGUUCGAAGAAACUGAAAGAAAGACUAAUUAUUGAAAGCCCCUCAGUAAUGCAGUUAUUGUCAGCAUCAGCAGGGAGUGUAAUUUUCUGUGGGUCGAAAAGAUCCUCGAGAAUGAAGAAUGGCAACUGAUUUUCAAGCAACCACAUAUCUGUCCAUACAUCUUGCAACAUACCUGGUUUGUCAAAUAUGCGGUCAUUUUCAUCCCAAAAUUUGAAGUAGUCCUUCAAUAAGAGCUCAAUAACGAAGGCGGCAUCCACUAGAAUGAUUGUUACAAAUUCAUCACUGCUAAACUUGAUGGGUUCUCCAUAACAACGUCUCAAUCUUGCUUCGUGGUCCUUUAUUUUCUUAAUAUAAUCCUCCAAACUCACAUUGGUCCGACCUAUAAAAUCUUGCAGGUAUCUCUGUUUGUGCUCUUCCUAUACGACAUUCAAGCCUUCCUUUCCAUGGUGAAGUGGGCCUAUAGAGACCACCUGAGGUGUGCAGAGCUUUUCAUUCACACUUCGUAGUCGUUGAGGAACUCUGUAGAUACAGCACUUGGAGGAUGGGGGAGACAAGCUAUUGAACCCUUUUCUCAUCGAAUUUGCUAAUGAAAUGUAUGGGUUUUCUAUGUCAUUUUGAGCAGAUUGAUGGCUUCCUGCCAUUUUCCAGCUCCUGACUAUAUGUGGUGUUCCGAUUGUAACAGAUUACAAUAAUGAUGAGUAUGGAUAACUGAAUUACUGAUAAAACAAUCAAGAAACAUUUCGUUAUUUUCCAUUCCCAAUAACGAAAUCAAAAUGUUCAAGGAAAUAUAAUCAGGAUAUUGCAAUUAUAUAGCCAUUCAUAAGCUGCCUGGCAUGGAAUAAGAGGUGGAAACCAAAUCUACUUAUUGGCCAAAGUUCGAAUUCACUAUAUAUAGAUAUAUAUUUUGCCAAAAUCUAAAACUGACCAACCUUAGAUACAAAAACACGGUACAGCCCGGUUAAAGUAAUUCCAAGUGCGAAGAAAGAAAGGAAUUGAGCGUUUGUACCUCUACAGCUAGCCAAAUUUUCUAUUGAUUCUUUAAAUUUUAGAGAGCAAUUACUCUUAAUUUGGUAGGUGUAGGACUGUGCAACUUCAAGCUUUAAUGAAAGAAGCCAAGUUUAUUCUAAGGGGACAAGUCAGAGACAACGAAAUUUUGCUCAGCUUCAUUUUCAAAUUUGCUGCUUAAGAAGGAAAUUUAAUAUGUUUGUUUCACAAAUUGUAUUGUCAUCAAUGAAACUCGUGCACACCCAACGAAAUUUGCAUGGCUUAUUUUCAAAGGAGUACUGCUAUUUCCAUCCUCUGUCCUAUUUUUCCACUCACCUUAUCUUCAAAAUUUUAAAGACAAAAAUAAACCCCUUUGUAAAAUGCUUAAAAAGAAAUUUAAUAUGUUUGUUUCAAAAAUUGAUAUUGUCAUCAAUGGUUAAAGAAUUGCUGGUGACAACAUAUACUUCUUUUCUACUGUAUUAAUUUCUUUCUUUAUUUUUUCUUCAGUAUAGUUCUGCCUUUCUUUUACAUGUUUAUGCGCAUAUUUGACACGUUCAAGUAUACUUAUAUAACAAAUGCAAUGAGUUUGUAGUCACAAAAAUCAAGGAUUGAAAACAAAAAGUAAUAUUAUGUGCAAGAGAAACUUACCUGCAGAAACUGAAGAACUCCUCUAGUUUCUUCUCUGUCGCUAUGUACUCCCGCGUUCAAGUUAUUAUUCUUACAAUGUACAUACACUAUUAUAUAAUGGCGAGAAGGCUCUGAUUAACCUCCUUUUUGCUUCAUUGGAUGGGGCAAGAAUGGAAUUGUCACCGUGGGUGUGGAGGUGAUCUACCAUUUGAGCAAGAAAUUCCCACAUAUUCUUUAACUAUUUUUCAAGCAUGCAUAUUCCUCCCUAUCAAUCUUUGGUCUCUUCUUUUACUAUUUUUCAAGCAUGCAUACUUUGAUUUUAAAUCAUCUUUUCCGCACUAAUUUGCUUCAAUCAAGAAACAGUUAAUAUAUUUUGUAUCAUCAUUAGAGAACACUUGAAACUGCAUAAGUUAAUUUUGAAGAUGAUGGCAGAACCAAAAUGUGUAUAGCUUAUAACUAUAAUUUCUUGAUUACAACAAGAGGUUUCAAGUUUUCAACAACACAAAUAUGAAUCUCCCAAGCAAAGAUAAACAAUAAAGCAAGCAUACGGAUUGUCAAAUUGCCUUCAAUCACUCUAAAAUACUUCAUACCGUCCGACACUGGCUUCAAUUACUCUACAAUACUUCAAUUCAUAUAUUGUCCUAUUUUCACAUGUACAUCCUGCUUUUACUUAAGGGUUAAUUGUUGAUUUACCCCUUGAACUUGUACUCUACUUUCAAUUUGCACCCUCAACUUUUUUUUUUGAAAAUUAGGUGCAUGAACUAAUUUUUAUUGCCAAUUCCCCCUACCAACAUGUCAUCUAAUAGUCUGUCAAAUCAUUAAAAAAUAUAAUAUUUUUGGAAAAAAUUAAAGAAAAAAAAAUUCCUAAGGACCCACAGACCCAGAACCCACCCUCCGUUGCCCCCGCUUGCUGUUUUCUUCUCCUCCCAGUCCCCCAUGACCACCACCCUCCACUGCCACACCAAUCCCCUACCCAACAGACCCCUCACCCCUUCUUUUUUUUCACCCCCGAACCCAGCAUGAGUUAUUGGUUAAUACCAUUUUCUUAAUUGCCAAAUAAAAAAAAAAAACAGAGUUAACCCUCUGUUAAGCUAGCUGACUAGUGGGGCGAAAUGGAGGAAAAUCAAUAUGGAGACAGCGGAUCCGGUCCCGUGUAAGUGUAUCUGAUGGAAUAAAAGAAUGAUAUUAUUGGUGGUGGGUACGGUUAUGUGGAAGUAAUAAUGGGUAAGAGAAGAAACUUGUUCUCUUGUGAUAAUCAAAAGACAGAAAGUAGUGGGAAAAGACAGAAAGUAGUGGGACACUAUUUUAGAUAUGAUAAUGUUCCUUCCUUGAUUGAUGCAAAUGAAGAGAAAAGGGUGGCUUUAUAUAAUAGCCACUACCGACCUAACACAUUAAAAACACAACUAACACCAAACAUAGUUAAUUCAACUAACUUCUACCACACCAUUAAUUUAACACACAACUACUAACAAACUGCCAACUAUUUCAAAGUUACCAGCCGACUAUUAAUGAAGUCUAGAUUACUUUAACAUCCUCCCUUAAGCUAGACUUCAUUUACGCCAAUUAAUUUUCUCAUCUUGAUGAGCGGCUCUUUCUUCAACGGUUUGGUGAACAAAUCUGCCAGCUGAUCUUGGGACUUGCAAUACAGAACCUCAACUUCUUUAUCUUUGAUUAGCUCUCUGAUGAAAUGGAACUUGAUCUUGAUGUAACACCCCGACCCCAAAUUUUCCCAAAUUUUACCCUUAUUUAAUUAUUUAAUUAUUUAAGGGUAUUUUAGUCAUAUUUUUAACCGGAGAGAGUUUGGGACCGUGACUAGUAUUUUUGGAUAGGUCGAGCUGAGACGAGUUCAUAGACACGUAGUGGGCUCGAAUCGGAGUUGUAACGAGAGAGAUAUGGUCAAAAGAAGCCCAGUGGCACAAUCGUAAAUAUUUCGAAAUGGGAUUUUUUAUAAAAACUCAAAUUUUUCUCUCUCUCUCUCUCUCUCUCUCUCUCUCUCUCUCUCUCUCUCGCGACUCCUCUCUCUCUCUCCCGUCGGCCUCUCCUCUCUCUCUCUUCGUAACUCCGGCCACCGGCCGCGGCUGCGGACGGGGCCGGUGUCAAAAGAACCGGCUCGACCUCGGCAUCACGACCCAGCCCAUCCCCGCCAUCGGCCGCCGCUCCAGCCGCCGGAAAAUGGCGAUUUUCGCCCAGAUGUCGCCGGAACUUCAACGCCGUCGAUCUCCCUCCUCCGGCCACCAAUUCCGUCGACCCAGGUAUGGAUUUUGAACCUCUCGAGCUGCUCUAGCUGAUGGUUGGGUAGGAUUAGAUCGAUUCUUAGCGUAGAUCACUCGAUUUUCGAAUUGAAAAUCGGCCGAAACUUCGGCCGCCGUGAUCGGCCAUUUCCGGCCACUUUUUGGGGUAGGUCCAAGAACAAAAGUGGCUCCAAAUAGGGUGUUAUACCUAGGGUAGGAGUUUGGAGCCGUGGUUUUGAGAUUUUCCGGCGGAGCGUUAUCGCUUUGGGCACCCACGCGCUGCUGGCGCGUGCGGCGGAGCGUGGGCACUGUAUAAAAAGUAGCGAUGUAUUCCGAUGAGAUCCUUAGGUUGUCACGAGUGCGUAGGAUUUUGCGGAUCUCAAUUCGGACGUCGUUUGACUAUCGAACGAAUAAUCGCAUAGUGUGCGUUAUCCGGGUUCGAUAGGUUGGGACCGUUGGAUGGUCCCAAAUUUAAUAUAUGUUAAUCUAGGUAUUUCUAGGAUCGUGUAGGAAUUCACGGAUCGUGAAUCGGAACUCCGGAUGUUCCGAAUAAUAAUUUUAAGUUUAUAUUUUAUAUUAACCAUCAGAUCGUGCGAUCGUGAGCAAUCCGACCGUCCGAUCUGAACCAAACUUGCAGGACAAGUGUCCUACACCUGGUAGAACCCAUAGGGACUUCCGGAUCGGAAAUUGGAGGUCGUGGGUUCUGCAGGUCCGUUUGACCAGGGUUAGAGUAGUUUGACUCUUGGUUGACCGUGAGUCUCCCGGAGUAAUCUCACCCUUCCAGGGGGAAUUAUCGGGAGCUAGACUAUUGUGGAGGGUUACACAAUAUUAGAAUUAUUUAUAUAAAUUAUGUGGUUGUACAAGGGUACAACAGAGUCUAGAAUGUCAGUUUGGAGUGCUAUACGCACUACUCUAGGUACCUCCUCGGACUUUGGAAUUUCUACAAGUACCACCAAGUGAAAGUUAGGUCCCACGUGGCGUAGGUUAUCCGGCGUGUCGACAGACCCCAUACGUGGCGUUGGUUGUACCGGCGUAUGGGGAGAUUUGUGAUAUGAUAUUGAGGUCCCGCGUGGCGUAGGUUAUCCGGCGUUGGGACAGGCCCCAUACGUGGCGUUGGUUGUACCGGCGUAUGGGGAGAUAUUAUGAUAGUAUGGCAUGGUCGCACGUGGCGUAGGUUAUCCGGCGUGUCGACAGACCCCAUACGUGGCGUUGGUUGUACCGGCGUAUGGGGAGAUUUGUGAUAUGAUAUUGAGGUCCUGCGUGGCGUAGGUUAUCCUGCGUUGGGAUAGGCCCCAUACGUGGCGUUAGUUGUACCGGCGUAUGGGGAGAUAUUAUGAUAGUAUGGCAUGGUCGCACGUGGCGUAGGUUAUCCGGCGUGUUGACAGGCCCCAUACGUGGCGUUGGUUGUACCAGCGUAUGGGGAGAAUAUGUGAAAUACAGAGAAAUGAAAUAAGGUAUUGCCCAAGUGUGGAAUUGGGUUUUAGGGAAGAACUACUUAUGGCUUGAUCCCUCAAGGAGGGUACGUAGGCAGCCUAAGGUUAUUAGGUGCAGCCGCAGACUAAAUAUUAGUCAUAAAUUGUAAUUGAACUGUUUGGUAGUCGUUUGAGGAAGUAUUGAAAGGCCGAAGGCCAUUUGUGUGAAUUGCAUGAAAUUAUAUUGUGCAUGCUGCCAGUUGGGAAUAUUAAAUGCGUUUUUAUGCAGGUAUAAAUUUUGGGAAUGUCCAAUUUACAGGGGAGACUCUGCCAAAAUUUCGGCAGGAAGUCUCGGUUUUUAGUAAGUGGGCCUGGCAUCGGGGUGAUGUCAGGAAUUCCAAAGGGUUCGUCUCGGGUUUUGAGAAAAUUCGGGGCGGGUCCUUUCACUUGAUAUGCUUACUCUUGCUGUGAAACAUUGGAUUUUUGGAAAGACAAAUAGCUGAUUUGUUGUUGCAGAACAGCUUUGUAGGUCCUUCUUGAACUUGACCCAUCUCUUCUAAAAUACUUUUCAGCCACCUAGCUUGACAACCUGCUGAUGCAAGAGCAACAUACUCAGAUUCUGUAGUUGAAAGUGCCACUAUAGAUUGCUUUUUGGAGGACCAUGAAAUCGCACUUGAGCCAAUGCUAAAGACAUAACCAGAUGUGCUUUUGCAAGUAUCAACAUCUCCACCCAAGUCACUGUCACUGUAGCCAGUCAAAUUUAGAUUCUGAAUAGGAUAAUAAUGCAAACCAUAAUUGAUAGUUCCAACCACAUAUCUUAGGAUUCUCUUUCCAAGCUCCCAAUGAACAUCUUUUGGUGACUCCACUAAACGGCUGAGGAAGCUUACUGCAUAUGUAAGAUCUGGCCUUGUUGUAGUUAAAUACAAGAGGCCACCCACUAGACUUCGAAACAAAGUUUGAUUUACCAUUGUGCUUCCAUCAUUCUUACCUAUCUUAACACCAACCUCCAUUGGAGUAGCAAUUGACUUUGCAUUUUCCAACCUGAACCUUUUCAACAAUUCCUUUGCGUAUUUCUUUUGAGAAAUAUAGAUACCAUUCUCAUUUUGUUUGACUUCAAUUCCAAGAAAGAAAUGAAGCAAACCAAGGUCUGUCAUUUCAAAUCUUUGUGACAUAAUCAUCUUGAAAUUAUCACACAUUUGAGCAUUACUUCCAGUAAAUAUUAAGUCAUCCACAUAUAAGCAGACAAUCAAAAUCUCACCUUGAGAGUUCUUCUUGGUGUAAAGAGUAUGCUCAUAUGGGCAUUUGUGAAACCCAUACUCUUGGAAGAAUGCAUCAAUCCGACUGUACCAAGCUCUUGGAGCUUGUUUCAAACCAUAUAAAGCCUUCUUCAAUCUACACACUUUUGUUUCUUCAUUUCCCUGCACAUAACCUGGAGGUUGAGCAACAUACACUUCUUCUUCCAAAAAACCUUGCAAGAAUGCUGGUUUAACUUCCAUUUGAAAGACUUUCCAACAAUUUUGGGCAGCAAGAGCUAACACCAUUCGGAUGGUGUCAAAGCGUGCAACUGGAGCAAAAACUUCAUUGUAAUCAAUUCCAUAAUUUUGCUUGUAGCCUUUAGCUACCAAGCGAGCUUUGUAUUUCUCAACUUCUCCUUGAGCAUUCAGCUUGGUCUUAUACACCCAUUUUACUCCUAUAGGCUUCUUUCCUUGAGGAAGAUCAACCAGCUCCCAUGUGUCAUUUUUCUUAAUGGAAUCAAUUUCUUGAUCCAUAGCCUUCACCCAAUUUUCAUCCUUUGAAGCCUCUUCAAACAUAAUUGGGUCUGCAUCUACAAAUAGAGCAAAAUUUGUGCCACCAUUAGUGAUCAAAACAUAAUCACUAGAUGGGUACCUUGUGGAUGGUUGAUGAGCUCUUGUUGAUCUCCUUUGUCCUCUGCAAAUUUCUUCUUCCUCACUGCUAUCACUAGAAGAAGUUGAUGAUGACCCUUGUGAUGAAGAUUCCUAUGAUGAUAGAGUUGUUGGUGGAGUUAAAUCUGGAUUUUCAAGGCCAAUGUCCAACAGUAUUGGACUUUGAUUUUCAGCUUCACUCCAAUUCCAUGCUUCUUCUUCAUUGAACUUGACAUCACGACUAACAAUAAUCUUGUUAGUCAAUGGAUUAAACAACUUAUAUGCCUUGGCCUUUUCACUAUACCCAACAAGAAUGCACUUUUCUGAUUUGUCAUCCAAUUUUCUCCUUGUUUUAUCAGGAAUAUGAGAAUAAGCAAUGCUGCCAAAUAUCCUUAAGUGACUAAUACAUGGCUUGAGGCCACUCUAAGCUUCUUGAGGAGUCUUGCCUUCCACACUAUUGGACGAUGCACGGUUCAAGAGAUAUACAGCACAUGCCACUGCUUCUGCCCAAAAACGAUUAGGCAUUGCUUUUGCCUUCAACAUGCUUCUUGCCAAUUCCAUAACGGUCCUAUUUUUUCUCUCGGCCACACCAUUUUGCUGUGGGGUGUACCGAGCUGUGAACUGAUGCUUAAUCCCAUUUUCUUUUAGAAAAUUUUCGAACACAUUGGAUGAGAAUUCUCCACCUUGAUCAGACCGCAAGGUUUUCAAUGCAAAUCCACUUUGCUUCUCAGCCAAAGCUUUGAAAACUUUAAAGUAAUCAAACACCUCUGAUUUAUAUUUGAGAAAAUAGACCCAUGUCUUUCUGCUAUAAUCAUCAAUGAAUGUAAGAAAGUAGCGGUUACCUCCUGUUGAUGUUGUGUUCAUGGGCCCGCAUACAUCUGAGUGCACCAGCUCAAGAGGAUGGGAUGCUCUCCAAGAAUUUCCUGUAAGAAACGAAUUUCUCUGAUGUUUUCCCAGCACACAUGCUUCACAAACUUGUGUUUGAUGCUGUAUCGUUGGUAGGCCUCGUACCAUAUGUUGUUUCCCCAUCAAUGAUAGUGUAUUGAAACUCAAAUGCCCAUAGCGUAGAAGCCACAACCAUGAGGAAUCCUUGAUAAGUGCACUUAAGCAAGCAAAAGAUUCAUACUUUAUGUUCAGAGAAAACAUAUUGUCUCCUGACAUCUGCACCUUUGUAAUUAGAGAGUUGUACUUGUCUCUAAUUACACACUGGUCUUCCCUGAACUGAAUAUUAUGGCCUUUAUGAAGAAGUUGCCCCACACUAAGGAGAUUGUAAUUUAAAUCUGGAACAUAUAACACAUCAGAGAUUCUUUUUUGUUCUCCAGACUUGGAUAGAAAAAGAAUAUCUCCACAUCCUUUGGCCACUAGCUUUCCACCAUCACCAAUCCUUACUUCUGAGUUGUUGGUAUGCUUGAAAUUGACAAAGGCACUUUUGUUGCCUGUCAUGUGAUUACUACAUCCGCUAUCAAGAUACCAUUUUUCUGCACACACGUUUCCUUCCCUGGCAGCUGCAUAUGCAAGUAGAACCACAUUAUCAUUUUCCCUUUCAGAAGCUUUUUCAUGCACAAAGCUUGAUUCGGCUCCUCCAUUUGUUUUGUUUUUGCAUGUUGACUUGAUGUGCCCAUAUUGCUUGCAAUUGUAGCACUGAAUAUUAGAAAGAGAGGAACCUUGUUCUCUUCCUCUUCCUCUUGAAUAACCACCAUAAUCUCCUCUUCCUCUUGGAUAACCAUAAUCUCCUCUUCUUCUUGAAUAACCAUAAUCUCGUGCAGAGCCUUCAUCAUUAGUUUUUUUUAGGUCAUUUGCAUAGCCACGUCCUUGAUUAUUUCUUCCUCGUCCACGAGUAAAGCCGCCUCUUCCUCUUCUAGAACUUCCUCUGAAUGAGACUUGAGAUUGAAAAGCUUGCUCAACAGGGCCAGAGUCAAACUGCUUCAGUCGUAACUCAUGGGAUUGAAGAGAACCCAUUAAACUGUCAAGAGACAAAGUAGACAGAUCUUUGGAUUCUUCAAUUGCCACCACAAUAUAUUCAAACUUUCGGGGACAUACUUCGAAGAAUUUUUUCAGCAACUCUCUGAUCUUCAAUUUUUUCUCCAUUAAUUCUCAGUUGGUUGACUAGAGAAAUGACACGAUUGAAAUAGUCUUCAACAGAUUCUGACUCCUUCAUACGUAACAUAUCAAACUCACCUCUUAGAGUUUGCAGUCUUGCCAUCUUCACUUUAUCUUCUCCUUUAUAUGAUGCAAAGAGAGUGUCCCACGCCUGUUUUGAUGUAAUGCAUGAUGAGAUUCUUUCAAAGAUAGCUUCAUCCACUGCUUGAAAGAUAAAGAAUAAAGCUUUUUUGUCCUUCUUACGUGUCUCCUUCAGCUCUGUGAGUUGUUGUUGAGUGAGGACUGCUUGAUCAUUUGGCUCCACAAAGCCAUUUUCAACCACCUCCCACAAAUCUUGAGCAGCAUACAACACCUUCAUUUGGAUGCUCCAUUGACUAUAAUUCUUCCCUGUAAACUUUGGAAGCUGGGGCUGUAACAAGUUGUUGUUUGAAGCCAUAUGAUUCUGAGUUUCCAGCUCUGAUACCACUUUGAUGGAAUAAAAGAAUGAUAUUAUUGGUGGUGGGUACGGUUAUGUGGAAGUAAUAAUGGGUAAGAGAAGAAACUUGUUCUCUUGUGAUAAUCAAAAGACAGAAAGUAGUGGGACACUAUUUUAGAUAUGAUAAUGUUCCUUCCUUGAUUGAUGCAAAUGAAGAGAAAAGGGUGGCUUUAUAUAAUAGCCACUACCGACCUAACACAUUAAAAACACAACUAACACCAAACAUAGUUAAUUCAACUAACUUCUACCACACCAUUAAUUUAACACACAACUACUAACAAACUGCCAACUAUUUCAAAGUUACCAGCUGACUAUUAAUGAAGUCUAGAUUACUUUAACAGUAUCGAAUCUAGCUUUAAUAUGUAUUGGGUCCUCUGGACAAGAAUUCUAUCCUUUUCGUCCUAACUAAUAUGUAGGGGAAAAACAAUACAUCAAUUAUCCUUUUCGUCCUAACUAAUAUGUAGGGGAAAAACAAUACAUCAAUUAUGAAUUUUUUUUAUCUGGGUUCGAAAUUAAAUAUGAAUGGAGUUUUGGAGGCUUAAAAGUUAUAAGCUCAAGAAAGGAAGGAAACUAUAUGUACAUUUGGGUCGGAGGCAAAGGUCCAGUCAUCUACCGUCCAGGAUAUACAGUAUCAAAAAAGGCUUAAGAAUUGUAAUAAGGUGACAUACGCCCACAUACGGCCAACGCUAGCAUAUUUCGUAAGUGUAUUAUAUGUCUUCUAAGUAUAUCAUAGUUAUGUGUCAAUUUUAGAUCCAAUUGCACACCCAAAAUACAGAAACAAAAUCAUUGAGAAUACACUUUUUUUCACUUAUAUUUUGAAUAUGCAUUGCCUGUAUUUCAUGUGUAUGAUAUAGGGGCUUCACUUAUAGUUUUUGCACAAAACCUCCCUUGAUGAAGGAUGUCUUAGAUUAAUGACAUCAAUGAUUUGUUACAUUUGGAGUACCCAACAUAACAGCUCUCUGAUUAACAAUAAAGUUAUAAAAUUUCAACAGUUUCAUACCUAACAAGCAUAGAGAAACAAAUAAAACAACCACAUUGCUUCGAUCACUGUACAUGCACACAGCUCACUUUCACUAACUACAGAGGCUAUAUUUUCUACAUAUACACUAACUUUUUCUUUCUCCAGCUCUCUUACACCACCAGGCUGGUGACAAACCCAGCUCGCGUCAUGUGGAGGACCAAAAGGAAAUGACAAGGAGAAAACGGCUAAGGAGAGACUUACUCUCAACACUUAGAAGGCAGAGCAGAGAUAACAGAGCACACUGCUUGUAUAAAAGUGAGUAUGAGGAGAAAAAUAGCGGUAGCAAUUGAAAUAGUUGCCCAAGGUGUGUUGCAAUAGUUUUGUCUCAAGUUUGCCUGCCAUUUGUGCCAAGACGUUCUGCAGUACUUGUUGAGGUCUGCACAAAGAAUAGCAAAAUAGAAGUCAUUAGAGUCCACAAUGACCCCAUCUGCAAGGUUGUUGAUCAGAGUAGACCCUCCACUACUGUCACCGAGCAUAUUUUCGACGAUUCCUUGCUUAACAACCAACUCCACAUCCGUUGCGGUGUUCACAAAGCGAUCCACGAUGACAACAUAAUUGUUUAUGUAAUUCUCCAUGCAAUGGCAUUGUUCAAAGGCAAGGAGGUUUCUGAUUGUAAGCUCUGUCUCAUCACUUAUUGCUAAUUUUGGAAUUUCUAGAAUCCCAUUAGCGAAUUGUAUGUCGAAUAAGUUUUUGGGUGAUCCCACCUUAAACUUGACUCCUGCUCUGUGUAACUCUGUGAUGCUGGAUGUGUUUAAGAGUUUCAAGUCGCCCCUUAGCAGGUGGUUUCAAUGGUAGAGGUAGAUACAAAUUUCUACAAAAAUCUACAAAGUGUUCUACUUUAGAAGUACAUAAUUUCUCCAUAUUGCCAUCCGUUCCCUCUAUGUGCAUUAGAGUUUUGAAGAAAUUGUGGCAAAGGUUAAGCAUCGAAAGCCUCUCAAUAUUGUUAUUGUUAGAAGAGACUUUGAUUUUUUCGGGGUCAAAAAGUUCCUCAAGAAUGAAGAAUGGCAGCUGAUUUUCAAACAACCGCAUGUCAGGCCAUACGUCUGGCAACAGCCAUGGUUUGUUAAAUAUGCGGUCAAUUUCAUCCUGCAAUUCAUCGAAACGAUACCUCAACAAGACCUCAAUGAUGAAGGCGGCAUCCACUAGAAUGAUUCUCACAAAUUCAUCACUGCUAACCUGAAUGGUUUCUGCAUAACAACUGCGCAGUUUUGCUUCUUGGUCUUUUACUUUCUGUACAUAAUCGGCUAGGCUUACCCUGGUCCGACGUAUAUAAUCUUGUAAGUACCUCUUUUUGUGAUCUUCCAUGGCUUUUAGGCCUUCCUCGCCAUGAUGAAGUGGGCCUAUAGAGACUACCUGAGGUGUGUAGGCCUUUUCACUCACACGCCGUAGUCGUUCAGGAACUCUAUAAAUGCAACACAAGGAGGAGAGGGAAGACAAGCCAUCCAACUCCUCACUCAUUGAAGUUACUAAUGGAAUGCAAGGGUUUUCAAUAUCAUGUGGAGCUUGAUCGCUUCCUUCCAUUUUCCGCUGAUGUGUUUGUUGUUGUCAAUCAUAAUGGAUGAUAAUGAAAUGAUAGUCACUGACACAACAAUAAACAAAUUUUUCAAGAUGGCUGAGAAAAUUAAUACAAACAUUGCAAUUAUAAGACCAAACACACAAAGACUUUUGAUCCUUGUAACUCUUACAUACCACACUAGUGCCUUAAGAAUUCGAUUUGAAUGCACCAAAUUCAUUCAAAACUCUUCUGGUCAACUCUGUUUCUUGUAAUUAUUCUUGGAAGAUUCUAAUACAUUUUUGAUUGAAAAAUUCCUACUAAUCAUGUGAAUCAGUACCAAAGUUUAUUUCAAAUUAACAUACAAACCCCACUUUUUUUUUCCUACAUAUAUACUUCUUUAUUUCCCCUCAACUUAUUGGAGCUUCUAAUAAAGCAAAUUCUUUCUGUGAUGAUAUCAGAUAGUAGAUUAUGCUUCCAGUCAAAACAUAGACAAACCAAAAUCCCAUUAGAAGAGAAGAAAAUAAUAUACGACAUUCACAUAACCUUCUGCUCAAUUCCAAUUUCCAACUACAAUGAAACAUAAGACACUUAAAAGCUUCAAGAAAUUGGAUGUGCAAGCAAACAUAGCGAAAUUAUGAAAGACAGAGAAAGGUGUUGGGCAUUGAAAACAUACCUGAUACGUAUUGAAACACAAUUUUUUUUUGCCUUUGGUAGAUGGAGUAGCUAGAAAAGCUCAAUGCACUUGCUCUUCUGCUACAUUUCAAUAUAAGAACAUUGUUUGGAAGUCCGGUCAAUUCCUCAAAGCUUCCUUGCCUUUGUUUUGACAUGCCGAUGCCCGUCUUGGGGAAGUUUGAAUAAUCCAUUGCAGGCCCCAUGAUAGGAUUUUUAGUACUUGUGCAAACAGUGUUAAAAAUCACAUAAAAUACUUGCAAGAAUACAAGGCUAUUGUAGUAUAGAUGCUCAUGCAAGGUCGUUUUCCUCAAGGACUAAUUAGCAAUUUAUGUAAAAACAAAUUCCAAUUACUACUUAAAAUAAAAAGUCAAGAAAGAUGAUUAUAAAUUUGGUGGAUUCUAAAAAACAAAUAUUAAACAAAAACAAAUACGAUUGAAAGAAAGAGUUUUGAAUAUCAAUUUAUAAAAACACUAGGGUUUCACCAUCACCUAGCAAUCCUAUGAACUUUUACCAAUUACUUAUGAUUUGCACAUGCCACUUUGAAGGUUAGGUUUUCCUAAUGUAUAUUCUACUUGGAACCUCCAACACAGAACGUAUAUCCAACAUGCAACCCGUCCGGACGUUCGGAUCAAAUCUGAACAUGAAAGACUCAUUAAGUUUUGUGAAAACCCUUUGAAAAACCAUGCAACCCUUAAGACGUGGUGUUCAUCUUAAGUGAAAUUACAAUUAUUAAUCACAAGAAGCUAGCAUAAAUUUCAGGGAACCUUCCGACCAAAAUUGCAUCCAAUUACUUUUCUAAAGAUCCUAAUGGUGAUCAGGCAUUAAGACAAUUAGAUAGUUUAAAAUAGUGAUUAACAAUUCAAAAUACGCAUGCACUCAUCAUAAGCAAUUAAAUAAAAAUCACAUAUUCAUGCUAAGGUUCAAGGCUUCACCCUAGCAAAAGAAAUUUAGUUACGCAUACUCAUAAUUGAAAUCCAAGAAAAUAUCAUUAAGAAGAAAAGAACGAAAACACCUGAAAGUUGUGAAAACCCAAAACCCUAGCAAUUGCUCUCUACAAUGCAAAGUUCAAAAAUAAUUAAGAAGUCCUAAAUUCCUUGUGAGAAAGAGCUUAAAUAUCCCUUAAAACCUAGCUGCCAAUGUACAGCUUUUCUAUCCCUACAAGGAAACUAAUUAAAGUAAAAUAAUACUAGGAAAUAAAGUCCAAAUUGGAAUAGGAGAAUUUGCCCAAAAUCAGCCCAGCCACGUUUUGGCCCCAAAUCUCCUCCAAAUCUGGCCCAAGAUAGCUUUUUUUAAAGACACUACUACAAAAAGUGAAAAAGACGACCAGAAAACAACGACGGUCUAAGUGAAAACCGUCGUGGUUUUUAAAAAGACGACGGUUCUAAAAACACCGUCGUGUAAUACCACCUUAGACAACUAAAAAAUGGAGAUUCAAAUGGCUGUUCAAAAACAACGACGUACCUAAUUAAACAACCGACGUCUAUUUGAAACAGAUUUCCGCAGUGUAAAAUCAAAGCAAACAAAGAACGGCAGAAGUUAUGAAUAGACCGACGUAGAAAGUAAAGACGACGAUUUCAAUAAAAGCCGCCGUUUUUACUCAUAAAAUAACACGACGAGGUUUUCGUAUAAGACGCCGUAUAAUUACAAACAAAUCCACGGCUUUAAAAUACAAAAUAAUCUUAACAGAUGACACAGAUUUGCAAUCAGAGAGACAAUUUUUUGGAAGUUGAUCAACGUCGUUGAAAAUUUGCAAUCAGAGAGACAAUUUUCAACGACGGUUAUAUUAUACCUAACGACGUUUAAAAACAAAUCAACGUCGCUCAACAAAUAUAUUACGUCGUCUUAGUCUUACUUAAGACGACGAAAAACGACGACAGUAGUAAAAAAACAGUCGUUGUUUUUAUAUUCUUAUUUUAUUUAAAUCUGUCGUGUUAGUUAAAAACGACGGCAUAACAAAAAACCGUCGUUUUGUUUCAAACUGAAUUAAUUUAAAAUUUCUUCAGGAAAGCAAAAUCUAUUUAUAAUUUCCUCGGGUUAGUAAUAUUGUGUCGUGUUAGUUUACAAAUUCUAGAACAUUAAUUUCCCUCAUUUUAAAUUUUCUCGGGAAAGAAAAAUCUAUUUAUCACGCUUUGUAAUUGAAAACUAAAACUGAAAGAAUUCUGGAAAAAAAACUCUAUUUAUAAUUUAAAAAUAAAAUGCACGUCGGUUGUAGUACACUUAACGACGUUUAACAAAAUAAUCUACGUCGGUAAUUAUAAAUCUACCGCCAUCUUACCCUAAUAUAGACGACGAGAAAAGACGACGGUAGAACAGAAAACCGCCGUUGUUUCAGUUUCUUUAACAGUUUGGUCCUUUAUCUUUCUGCAGGACUUGUAUAGUUCAAAGCAUUGACAAUGUCUUCAUCAUAUCUCCCAGCAACUACUGAUUCGAUUGCUCAUGCUUUAGAGGCCAUCUGAAGCCAUUUCUAUUCUUUAUCGCAUUCUUGAAACCCAUCUUCUUCUUCUGAAGCUCUACGGAUAAAGGAANNNNNNNNNNNNNNNNNNNNNNNNNNNNNNNNNNNNNNNNNNNNNNNNNNNNNNNNNNNNNNNNNNNNNNNNNNNNNNNNNNNNNNNNNNNNNNNNNNNNNNNNNNNNNNNNNNNNNNNNNNNNNNNNNNNNNNNNNNNNNNNNNNNNNNNNNNNNNNNUUUUUUUUGGGGUUGGUUUUUUAUAGUAACCAGUUAUAACAGUAGUGGUUGUGCAAUGUUUGGUUCCCUUAAGCUUCGAUCCAACCGUGUAGCCAGCUUUAGGUCAAUGUCUCCCAAACCACUCGGGUUUUAGGGCACUAGGUGUAGAACACCCCUAAGGACUUAUUAACUCAAGCUGAAAAGGCUACGAAACCAACUAACCACCCUGCCUCAUGCCAAAACUCUACCUUUUGUCUCGAAAAUCACUGCUGAUUAGGCAGGACUGGCCCGGUUACUAGCAAAGCUUCGGGUGAGGCAAUUAUUACUUUAUAACACAUACUAACUUUAUUUAAAUUGAACAGAAAUUAAAACACACUUGGACAAAAAGUAAGUAUUCCAAUCUCACUCCCCAAAAACCAUAUUGGUGUGAUGUGCAAAUUUCAAAGUAUAAUUCAUGAAUUAGUGUCUAAGCAACAAUAAAUAGAAAAGACUCUACUGUGGGAUUGAUUUUCACUAUGUCCAUUUAUUCUAACGUUUAAAAUAAUCUAUGGAUAUUGACUGAAAAACGAAAAUUUUAAACAAGACUUAAAAAAAACUAAAAAUCUAAAAUUUACUUUCCCACCCCCUAACUUAAAUCACACAUUGUCCUCAAGGUGUGGUAAAUAAUCAAAAGAAACAAGAGCAGAAACAAAACGACUAAAUCCUAGAAAAUGAAAAUCAAAAAUAAAGAAAAUACUCUAAGAAAAGAAACUAGGAAGGAAAAAUAGAAGAAUAAUAAAAUAAAAUAAAAUAAGAAAGAAAAGGAGAAAAACAACAAUAGAAAAGAAAUAGGAAAGAAAAUACCCAAAAAUGAGACACCUUGGGGAUUCAAAGGCAGGACCAGGCGGAGUGUUGCGAAAAAGCGCUGACCAACUCAACCACGUCCACACUGGCAUCAAAUAGGAGCGACAGCUACAAUAUAACCUGCUGUAGCUGCUGCAUCUGUCAUUUGAAAAAUAUUGGAUUCCCUUCUCCUACCCCGAGCUCAGAGCCGAAAGGCUCUCUUCUGUCCAUUCCCAUUUUGCAGAAGAAAAAAGAAUAUUGCUGGAUAAACCAAAGCCUCCGCUGUGUCCAGAGAAUCAGAAAAGGUCUCUGAUUUCUCUCUUCUCAAGGCCAUCCAUCUCCGCCUUCACUCUUCUUCAUUCUCUCCAACACUCACGAUCCUUUCCUCUCUUUCAACCCAAUUACACCAGCGUUUUCAUCUGCGUGAGGAGGCCACAUUUGCAGCAAACACAACCAGUGAGGUUGAAUUAUCUGAUGCACCUGAAUUUUUGGAUGGUUUUGGAGUCCCUAGAUUCCUCAAAUUCAGAUCUGUCUCCAUCCAUGUCACCAGAUGCUAACUUGUUCCAAGAUGAAAACAAGCUGAAGCCGAACAAGAGUCUAUUCUCCACCAGUAAGGACCCCAGAUCUGUGCAUCCCGUAGGUAAACUUUCGAACCCCAGAACUGGUUUUUUUUUUUUUUUUUUUCCGUUUUUUUUUUGUUUUGAAAAUAAAAGAAGUAAAGAGUUUAGAAAAAUUGGGUUGCCUCCCAAUAAGCGCGCUAUUUUAAGUCUGUAGCUAGACUUUGCAGAAGCCUGGUGGUCAAAUCACUGGUUCCUUCAGAGUCAAAGACUCGGCUGCAAUGUCAAAGGGUGUCUCCACGUAGGGUUUUAGCCUAUGACCAUUCACCUUGAACGUGUUGCCUUUAUCUUCAUUAGUGAUUUGAACUGCUCCAUGAGGAAAAACUUGAGUCACUAGGUAGGGUCCAGUCCAGCGAGAUUUUAAUUUCCCUGGAAACAACUUGAGCCUUGAACUAAAUAACAGAACCUUUUGCCCUGGCUGAAAUUCCUUCCGUAAAAUUUGACUGUCAUGAAAUGCCUUAGUUCUUUCCUUGUAGAUGCGAGAACUAUCAUAAGCACCUUGACGAAUUUCCUCUAGCUCAUUUAACUGCAAUUUCCGCUUUUCCCCAGCUGAGUCAUAUGCAAAAUUUAACUCUUUAAUGGCCCAGUAAGCUUUAUGCUCCAGCUCCAUAGGUAGAUGACAGGCUUUCCCAUAAACAAGUCGGAAUGGUGACAUCCCAAUAGGAGUUUUAUAAGCUGUCCUGUAUGCCCACAAAGCAUCAUUUAGUUUGAAACUCCAAUCCUUGCGUGUAGAGCUCACUGUUUUCUCCAAAAUACGCUUUAUUUCUCUGUUUGAAACUUCAACUUGACCAGAUGUCUGUGGGUGGUAUGGUGUAGCCACGCGAUGAUUAAUCCCGUAUUUUGCCAGUAGGUUAGCAAAUGGUUUAUUAAUAAAAUGCUUCCCCCCAUCACUAAGAAUAACACGCGGUAUUCCAAAACGUGGAAAUAUAACCCCCUGGAGGAACUUCAGGACCACUGAUCCUUGAUUAGUUGGUGCUGCAAUGGCCUCGACCCAUUUUGAAACAUAUUCCACAGCCACUAAAAUAUAUUGGUGCCCAUUAGAAGAUGGGAAUGGCCCCAUGAAAUCAAUACCCCAAACAUCAAAUAGUUCAACAAUUAGGAUACUUUGUUGGGGCAUUUCAUUCCUUCUGGAUUGAUUGCCGACCCUUUGACACCGAUCACAUGCCUUGCACCAAUUCUGUGAAUCUCUAAAAAGUGUUGGCCAAAAUAACCCACUCUGUAGGAUUUUCUCUGCUGUCCUUUUCUGCGCAAAAUGUCCUCCUCAAGCAUAGUGAUGAGCAAACUUUAAAACACUUUCUUGUUCAGCCUCCGGAAUACACCUGCGAAUAAUCUGGUCUGCACAAUACUUGUAUAAGUACGGUUCAUCCCAGAAAUAGUGCUUUACAUCAGAUAAAAACUUCUUUUUCUGCUGGUAGGAAAAAUCUGGAUGCACCACACCCUUAGCCAAAUAAUUGACAAUAUCUGCAAACCAAGGUGUGUCAAUUUUGACAGCAAAUAGCUGUUCAUCUGGGAAACUUUCACUCAAUGGUAGAGAAUCUGCCUCUGUAGCUGCUGGAAUAAUUAAUCUAGAUAAAUGAUCAGCCACAACAUUCUCACUGCCCUUCUUGUCUUUAAUCUCUAAGUCAAAUUCUUGAAGUAAGAGAACCCAACGAAUCAAUCUAGGCUUUGCAUCCUUCUUAGACAACAAGUAUUUUAGUGCAGCAUGAUCUGUAUAGACAAUUAUUUUAGCCCCAACCAAAUAAGACCGAAAUUUCUCUAGUGCGAACACAACUGCCAACAAUUCCUUCUCUGUAGUUGCAUAGUUAAGCUGUGCAUCAUUUAGAGUACGACUUGCAUAAUAGAUGACAUGGGGAAGCUUAUCUUUUCGCUGCCCUAAAACUGCCCCGACAGCAUAAUCUGACGCAUCACACAUUAGUUCAAAUGGUAAAUCCCAAUUUGGUGCAGCAAUGAUGGGUGCCGAAGUUAGGAGUGCUUUCAACUUGUUGAAUGCUUCUAAACAGGCCUUAUCAAAAUUAAAUGGUGCAUCCUUAGCCAAUAAAGUGCACAAAGGUCGACUAAUCUUGGAGAAAUCCUUGAUGAACCGACGAUAAAAACCUGCGUGUCCUAAGAAGGACCUCACACCUUUUACUGAUGUAGGAGGUGGCAGCUUUGCAAUAACUUCAAUCUUUGCCUUGUCAACCUCGAUGCCUUUGCUAGAAAUUGAAUGACCCAAGACAAUUCCCUGUUCAACCAUGAAAUGCCACUUUUCCCAGUUUAGCACUAAAUUUGUCGCUUGACAUCUCUGAAGAACUAAUGAUAAAUUCUGUAAGCAUUGAUCAUAUGAAUCCCCAAAAACAGAAAAAUCAUCCAUAAAAACUUCCACAAUAUUUUCGACCAAGCCAGAAAAAAUACUCAUCAUACAACGUUGAAACGUAGCAGGUGCAUCGCAUAAUCCGAAUGGCAUCCUCCGAUAAGCGUAAGUACCAAAUGGACAAGUGAAAGUAGUCUUCUCUUGAUCCUCUGGUGCUAUUGGAAUCUGAUUAUACCCAGAAUACCCAUCAAGAAAACAGUAAAAAGCCCGCCCAACCAACCUUUCUAACAUCUGGUCAAUAAAAGGCAAUGGAAAAUGGUCUUUUCUCGUCCCUGUGUUAAGCUUCCGAUAAUCUACACACAUUCUCCAACCCGUAGUCAAUCGUGUAGGAACUAACUCAUUAUUAUCAUUUUUCACCACUGUAAUACCGGUCCGUUUAGGCACAACUUGAGUCGGGCUAACCCAUUUACUGUCAGAAAUAGGAUAAAUCAUACCUGCAUCAAGUAAUUUCAUAACCUCUGUUCUAACCACCUCUUUCAUAAUUGGGUUAAGGCGGCGUUGAGCAUCAACUGUUAGCUUUACGUCGUCUUCCAUUAAUAUUCUGUGCAUACAUAGUGCUGGGCUGAUUCCCUUGAUAUCCGCAAUUGUCCAUCCCAAUGCAUCUUGAUAUUUUCUCAAUACACGAAGCAAUUUAUCCUCCUCUGUCGGUGUUAAAUCUGCUGCAAUUAUAACUGGCAACGUCUCUGCAGCUCCUAAAUAUGCAUAUUUAAGAUGUUGUGGUAAAGGCUUCAGCUCCAAUUUUGGCGGCUGCUGUCUGGAUGGUUUAAGGGGCUGUUUGGGCUCCCCUAAACUCUCAUACACAUUCCUAAAUUUUGGCAACACUGUGGGCAGACUGUUCAAUGCGUGUAUGUACUCAUGAACACCUUCAUCUUCAAAAUCUGUCUCAAAUGCCCCCUGUAAAACAUGCAACAACUGAUCUGUUUUUGAAUUAGCAUAAAAUCUGUCCUGCACCAUACUGUCUACCAUGUCAAUACGCAUACAAUCUAGCUGUUCAGCAGGACGUUUUGUUGCCGCAAACAAAUUAAACACCACAGAUUGGUCCUGAACCCGUAAAGUCAAUGUUCCAGCUUCCACAUCAAUUAAGGUCCUAGCUGUUGCCAUAAACGGCCUCCCCAAAAUAAUAGGUGUUUGAAGGUCUUCAUCCAUGUCUAAAACCACAAAAUCUGCCGGUAGAUAAAGAUUAUCAACCUUAAUAAUUAGAUCUUCAAUAACACCUCUUGGAUAAGUGAUUGAACGGUCAGCUAGUUGAAGUAUAAUUGAUAUAGGCUUUAAAUCUCCUUGCCCCAAUCGCUGAAAAACAGAAAAAGGCAUCAAAUUAAUACUUGCACCCAAAUCAAUUAAAGCACUCUUAAAAUUAGAAUUUCCAAUAGUGCAAGAAAUAUUAAAACUCCCUGGAUCUUUUUUCUUAGGUGGUAGUUUGUGUAGCAAAACUGCAUUGCACUGUUCUGUCAAAAUAACUUUUUCCAAAUCUGAAAGCUUCUUUUUGCUGCUGCAAACUUCCUUCAAAAAUUUGGCAUAUGAUGGAAUUUUCUUGAUUGCAUCCAGUAAGGGAAUGUUGAUUUGAACCUUGGAUAAUGUCUGCAUAAAGUCCUUGAGUUGCUGAUCUUUUACUUUUGGCUUCAAACGUUCUGGAUAUGGAAUUGGGGCCUCAUAAACACGCUCAGGUACUUGUUUUGGAACAGUUUCUAGAUCUGCCAUAUUAUGUUUUUCUACAGGUUUGGCAGGUUCUGCUGCUGCAAAAUUUUCUGUAUGAUCCUCCACUGCAUGCUGCUCCUUUUCAAUGUUAUUUUCACGAUUGUCAUAGCUUUUUCCACAUCGUAAAGUCCGAACAACUUUGCAAUCUUCACGUCCAUUUGGAUUAGGAAUUGUUUGACUAGGAAAUUUGCCCUUUUAUCUGUCUGAAAUCUGUGUAGCUAGUUGUCCAAAUUGUUGCUCCAAACUUUUAAUAGAUGCUUCAACAUUUUGAAAUCUUUGAUUGUUGCCCUCGAUGAAUGAUUGAGUUGUUGCUGCCAGUUUAGCAAGUUGAUCUUCCAUAGAUGGUUUGGAGGGAACAAAAGGUUUUUGUGCAUGCUGGAAUGGUUUGGCAUUAGUCUGAUUGUCACCCCAUUUGAAAUUAGGGUGAUCCCUCCAUCCAGGAUUGUAAUGAGUUGCAUAUGCAUCAUUCCUAGGCCUUUGAUAGCUGUUCAUCAUAUUGACAUGUUGUUCAACAAGCUCUGGGUAAGAGUCUCUAUGUGGGCAGCCCAUUAUGUCAUGUGUAGCCAUACUGCAUAUAGUGCAAACUGUUGAUGUAGGUGGCUGCUGUGUAGAACUUGCUAUAUGUUGUAGAAGCAUAUCAAACUUUGCAUCAAUUUUCUUAUCCAUUUUUUCCAUUUGUGCAGACAUGUUGGGAGAACCUACUGAUAACUCAAAAAUGCCCCUUUUCUGUGAAUGUUCUGCUGCCCAUUGCUGAGAUUCUGUAGCCAUCAUAUCAAACAGUUCAAAUGCCUCUCUUGCAGAUUUAUUUGAUAAUGAUCCUCCAGCUGAUGCAUUCACAUGGCUCUUAGAUGUAGGAUUAAGCCCAUCAAAGAAAAUAUUCAUUUGUGUAUCUGAAUCAAUUUUAACAUGUGGACACUUUAUGUACAUCUUUGUAUAUCUCUCCCACGCUUCAUGAAACUCUUCAUUAGGCUUCUGUGUGAAUGUCAAAAUCUCCCUCUUGUAAUUCAAUGUCUUGGAUGCUGGAUAAUAUUUGUUCAGGAAUUUUGUGUGUAACUGCUGCCAAGUAGUAAUGCUAUUAGCUGGUAGAGUGAAUAACCAAGUUUCUGCCUUGUCCUUCAAAGUGAAAGGGAAAAGACGUAACUUAAUAGCCUCAGCAGAAAAACCCCUAAUCAAAAUAUUCUUGCAACCCACAAUAAAUUUUGCAAUAUGUAUGUUUGCAUCUUCAUUAGGCAAUCCCCGAAAAGUAGGUAGAAUUUCAAGCAUAUGGUGCCUGAUCUCGAACGAAUCACCCUCUUCUUGUUCAGGAUACACAAUGCAAUUGGGAACAUCAGUGGCACGGGCUUCCAAUGACUCCCUGAGUGGUCUACCUGCCGCAGGUAAUUCUAACGCCAUGUUACUCUCGUUUGCAAACAGAUCCUGCAGAAAAGUGCCCUGCAGUGAACAGUCCCAAGCCCAAGUAACUUCUCUCCGCUGUCUAUGCAGUGUGCGCUCUGGUUCUGGAUCAAAUUGUACAAUCUGUGUAGUUCCUGAUCUGGUCUGGACCAUGCAGUCUGCAAAAUCUGCAACAGAAACAAAAUUGUUCAAUUUCAAUUUUUUUUUUUGGACGAAAAUUAAAAAUAAAAUAAAAUGAAAUAAAUCAGAAAAAGGUUAAACAAAAAUUGUCUAAAAUAGUCCCCAGCAACGGCGCCAAUUUCUUGAUAGGAUUUUUAGUACUUGUGCAAACAGUGUUAAAAAUCACAUAAAAUACUUGCAAGAAUACAAGGCUAUUGUAGUAUAGAUGCUCAUGCAAGGUCGUUUUCCUCAAGGACUAAUUAGCAAUUUAUGUAAAAACAAAUUUCAAUUACUACUUAAAAUAAAAAGUCAAGAAAGAUGAUUAUAAAUUUGGUGGAUUCUAAAAAACAAAUAUUAAACAAAAACAAAUACGAUUGAAAGAAAGAGUUUUGAAUAUCAAUUUAUAAAACCACUAGGGUUUCACCAUCACCUAGCAAUCCUAUGAACUUUUACCAAUUACUUAUGAUUUGCACAUGCCACUUUGAAGGUUAGGUUUUCCUAUUGUAUAUUCUACUUGGAACCUCCAACACAGAACGUAUAUCCAACAUGCAACCCGUCCGGACGUUCGGAUCAAAUCUGAACAUGAAAGACUCAUUAAGUUUUGUGAAAACCCUUUGAAAAACCAUGCAACCCUUAAGACGUGGUGUUCAUCUUAAGUGAAAUUACAAUUAUUAAUCACAAGAAGCUAGCAUAAAUUUCAGGGAACCUUCCGACCAAAAUUGCAUCCAAUUACUUUUCUAAAGAUCCUAAUGGUGAUCAGGCAUUAAGACAAUUAGAUAGUUUAAAAUAGUGAUUAACAAUUCAAAAUACGCAUGCACUCAUCAUAAGCAAUUAAAUAAAAAUCACAUAUUCAUGCUAAGGUUCAAGGCUUCACCCUAGCAAAAGAAAUUUAGUUACGCAUACUCAUAAUUGAAAUCCAAGAAAAUAUCAUUAAGAAGAAAAGAACGAAAACACCUGAAAGUUGUGAAAACCCAAAACCCUAGCAAUUGCUCUCUACAAUGCAAAGUUCAAAAAUAAUUAAGAAGUCCUAAAUUCCUUGUGAGAAAGAGCUUAAAUAUCCCUUAAAACCUAGCUGCCAAUGUACAGCUUUUCUAUCCCUACAAGGAAACUAAUUAAAGUAAAAUAAUACUAGGAAAUAAAGUCCAAAUUGGAAUAGGAGAAUUUGCCCAAAAUCAGCCCAGCCACGUUUUGGCCCCAAAUCUCCUCCAAAUCUGGCCCAAGAUAGCUUUUUUUAAAGACACUACUACAAAAAGUGAAAAAGACGACCAGAAAACAACGACGGUCUAAGUGAAAACCGUCGUGGUUUUUAAAAAGACGACGGUUCUAAAAACACCGUCGUGUAAUACCACCUUAGACAACUAAAAAAUGGAGAUUCAAAUGGCUGUUCAAAAACAACGACGUACCUAAUUAAACAACCGACGUCUAUUUGAAACAGAUUUCCGCAGUGUAAAAUCAAAGCAAACAAAGAACGGCAGAAGUUAUGAAUAGACCGACGUAGAAAGUAAAGACGACGAUUUCAAUAAAAGCCGCCGUUUUUACUCAUAAAAUAACACGACGAGGUUUUCGUAUAAGACGCCGUAUAAUUACAAACAAAUCCACGGCUUUAAAAUACAAAAAUAAUCUUAACAGAUGACACAGAUUUGCAAUCAGAAGAGACAAUUUUUGAAGUUGAUCAACGUCGUUGAAAAUUGCAAUCAGAAGAGACAUUUUCAACGACGGNNNNNNNNNNNNNNNNNNNNNNNNNNNNNNNNNNNNNNNNNNNNNNNNNNNNNNNNNNNNNNNNNNNNNNNNNNNNNNNNNNNNNNNNNNNNNNNNNNNNGGAAGUUGAUCAACGUCGUUGAAAAUUUGCAAUCAGAGAGACAAUUUUCAACGACGGUUAUAUUAUACCUAACGACGUUUAAAAACAAAUCAACGUCGCUCAACAAAUAUAUUACGUCGUCUUAGUCUUACUUAAGACGACGAAAAACGACGACAGUAGUAAAAAAACAGUCGUUGUUUUUAUAUUCUUAUUUUAUUUAAAUCUGUCGUGUUAGUUAAAAACGACGGCAUAACAAAAAACCGUCGUUUUGUUUCAAACUGAAUUAAUUUAAAAUUUCUUCAGGAAAGCAAAAUCUAUUUAUAAUUUCCUCGGGUUAGUAAUAUUGUGUCGUGUUAGUUUACAAAUUCUAGAACAUUAAUUUCCCUCAUUUUAAAUUUUCUCGGGAAAGAAAAAUCUAUUUAUCACGCUUUGUAAUUGAAAACUAAAACUGAAAGAAUUCUGGAAAAAAAACUCUAUUUAUAAUUUAAAAAUAAAAUGCACGUCGGUUGUAGUACACUUAACGACGUUUAACAAAAUAAUCUACGUCGGUAAUUAUAAAUCUACCGCCAUCUUACCCUAAUAUAGACGACGAGAAAAGACGACGGUAGAACAGAAAACCGCCGUUGUUUCAGUUUCUUUAACAGUUUGGUCCUUUAUCUUUCUGCAGGACUUGUAUAGUUCAAAGCAUUGACAAUGUCUUCAUCAUAUCUCCCAGCAACUACUGAUUCGAUUGCUCAUGCUUUAGAGGCCAUCUGAAGCCAUUUCUAUUCUUUAUCGCAUUCUUGAAACCCAUCUUCUUCUUCUGAAGCUCUACGGAUAAAGGAAGAGGCUAUCACAAAUCUGACGGAUCUUCUUAGUCAAAAAAAUCAAGCAGAGGAUCAGGCACAUCUGAUCUUCAGAUUUCCCUGAGAAGCGAACUUUCCUUCGACAGCGAGUGGAGGCCAGGCUUGCAUCUCUUUUGAUGGAAAGCAAGGAGUAUUCAGAAGCACUAAGUGUCCUAUCAGGCUUGAUCAAGGAAGUGAGAAGGCUAGUUGACAAGCUUCUUCUUGUCAACUAGCCUAAAUGUAAGCUCAAUUUCUCUUUGAGAAAGACCUCCAAAUUAUUGUCUUUGAGAUGUGAGAGACAGUGUCUCUGAGAGAGGAAGAACUUGGAACCCUAAAUGUAAACCGCGAAAAUGAAUGAAAGCGACAAAUUUAUAGAAUAAAUUUUUAAAACCAACGGCGGUACUUACCAAGAAACCGCCGUUUCAAUUGUAAAAUCAACGUCGGUAUUACUGACGUAUAUUACAGAACUCCACGUCGGUACAUUAAUAAUCACGACGUCUUAAAUAAUCUACCAUGACGCGAGUUAUUACUUAUGUACUUUAAUUUUUGAGUUUACUACGACGGUACCUACAACACUACUGUCGUAUUUAUUUACCACGUCCGAAGUUAAAUUUACCGACGUAUUUUGUACUUUAUACGUCGUAGUUAUAUGUAACCGCCGUAUUAUUUUUUUGAAAUGGUUUUAUAUGUAAGCAACUUUUCGUCUACUUGACUUACACAUUAGUUGUUUUUAUAUUCUUAUUUUAUUUAAAUCUGUCAUCCAAAAAAGAAACUUUACAUAUUGCAGAAUAUUAAUUUCCUUCGUUUUAAAUUUCCUCCGGAAAAAAAACUCUAUUUAUAACGCACUGUAAUUGAAAAAUAAACUGAAAGGUCACGGGAAAAAAAAUUCUAUUCAUAAUUUAAAAAUUAAAAUCCACGUCGGUUAUAUUAAACCUAACGACGUUAAAUGAAAUGAUUCCACGUCGAACGAAAAAUAUUUCGUCGUGUUAGUUAAAAACGACGUAGUUAAAUGUAACCGCCGUAUUAUUUUUUUGAAAUGGUUUUAUAUGUAAGCAACUUUUGGACUUACACAUGCACUGUUUCCAAACCCGAUUAAAAAUUUCAAUCUCCAGAGAAACCUUUUCGUCUUUUUUCCUUGUCAGAGCAUUAUCAGAGUUUCUCAUCGUCUUCCUCUCGUCUUCUUCGUCGUCCUUGAACUUAAACAUCGAUCAUCUUCCUCUUGCUUUCAUUGCACGCAAAAGGUAAGCUUUCAUUUUCACUAUUUUGGUUACUGUUUUGCAUGCUCAUACGUUUUUUGUUUGAAAAAUCUUUUUACCUUUUUUCUGGCCAAAAUCAUUUUACUUCUUUCCAAGUUUGAUAAAAUAUACAGACAAAAAGGGAAAGUUUCCAACUUUGAAGACAACUACCUCAACUAAAUGAGACGACGGUAGACCACGACGGUUCGUCAGUUGUUCUAGCGUCGUCUGAAAAUUGACAAAGUUGUUUUUAAAAUAAUAGUCUUUUUUUAUAUGCUUGUUUAAUUGCAGGUUUGAUUUCUCUGAACAAUGGUUUUUGUUUUUCCCUUAUUUGAUAAAAUAUAAAGAAAAAGAAACUAGGGUUGGUAUCUAAUAUAGACGACAAAAUAUCUUAUUGUUUUACGUCGUGUGAAUGUUAAUACCACGACGGUGUAUUACUAUUAACGUCGUAUGAACAUAAAUACCACGACGUUAUAUAAAUAAUAGUUUACCACGACGGUGUAUUACUAUUGACGUCGUGUGAACAUAUAUACCACGACGUUAUAUAAAUAAUGGUUUUAAACAUUUAUUACGUCUGAGAUUAUUUCAUUGCGUCGUCUAAAAUCAUAUCAUACGUCGUAUUUUUUUAAUACCGUCGUUUGUGUUCUUAAUGUUUUCCUGAAAUAUUUUCACUUGCAGUUUUGUCUGUUAAAAUGGUUUCUCAACAACAAACUAAGGAUUCUGGCUCCAAGAAGCUUGGAAUGGUAGCUCCUCAAGACAAGUCUUCGAAGGAGAUGAAGUCUUCGAAGAAGAUGAAGUUUGCUUCAUCAUCUGCUGAGACAGAACCAACCAGCCAGACAACAAUCUCUGAUGAUUCAAAGACUGGUCGAGGCAUGAGCACAAUGCCUCGUGUUGUGAAGAGAAAGCUUCAGAAACUGAGGCCAAUUGUUGAGUACAAUAAAAGGGGGAAAGGUGUUGGCCAAGCACAUAUUGAGAUGCAGUCGUAUAUUGGUGUGUUGGCACGCUCCAGGAUCCCACUUGUGGACAAGAAAUGGUCCCAAAUCCCCAAGGAUAUAAAGGAGCAGAUUUGGGAAGCAGUUGACAUGGCUUUUGUCGUAGGCCAAGGGGGCAAGACCUCUGUUUUAGCUUCUGCUUCCAAGAAAUGGAAGGAUUUCAAGUCUACACUAACGAGGCAUUAUAUCCUUCCAUACACCAAUGACAGGGAGAAAUUAAGCCAACCCCCUGAAACAUAUAAAUUCAUAGAGAAAGCACAAUGGGAUGCCUUUGUAGCUUCAAGGCUAUCCAAAGAUUUUGAGUCUGUGCAUUCUCAACAUGCACAGAUUAGGGAGAAACUCGAGUACAAUCAUCGAUUGUCUCGAAAAGGAUAUGCUGGAUUGGAGGAUCAAUUGGAGGAAACCAUGCCUGGGGUAGAAAUUGAUCGAUCUACCUUAUGGAAGAGAGCUAGACAGGACAAACAUGGUAACAUCCCUGAUCCAAAGGUGGCAGAGAAAGCAAAAUUAAUUGUAAGCCUACUAUCACUCUGUUUUAAAUUUUUAUUAAACUGUGAAUUAUUCUUAUUACGUCGUAUGUUAUAUUUUUCGUCGUGUGAAUGAUAUUACCACGUCGAAAAGUUUUUAAAAACGUCGUUAAAGGUCUAAAUAGGAAUCACUACUAAUUUUCUGUAAUUAUAGCAUAAGACGUCGGUGGUUCAUUUUCGCGUCGUUUGAAUGAUAUUACCACGUCGAAACUUUUUUAAAAACGUCAUUAACGGUCUAAAUAGGAAUCACUACUCUGUUUUCUUUAAUUAUAGCAUAAGACGUCGGUUGUUUAUUCAUUUCGUCGUUUUAAAUAAAUAACCACGUCGGUAUAACUACCGUCGUGAUAAGUUAUAAUAACGUCGGUUUAUACGUUAUUGCGUCGUGUGAAAUUAUAUAAUACGUCGUUUGUACAUAAAUAACCGUCGUGUGUUUUUUUGUUUAUCUUUGUUUUAGGAUGAAUUGCAGAAACAAGUCUCGGAAGGCAAAGUCAGAGUAGAUGGCAGCAAUGAUGUGCUGACCAUGGCUUUGGGCCCCGAGCAUCCAGGCAGAGUGAGGGGAGUUGGUGCUGGUGUUUCCCCAAGGCAAUAUUUCAAUUUGCCCAAACCACAGAGGGUGAGCUUUGACGACCAUUUGAAGGACAGUUUAAGAGUUCUCCUUCAAGAAGAGACUAAAAAGAUGGAGGCUAAGGCAAGGGAAGAGGCCUUAAGAAUGGAGGCUAGGACAAAACAAUUGGUAGAGGCUGAGAGGGAGCAUUUCCUGAGUCAGCUUUCCCAAUUAAUUCCCAAUUUUGAUCCAAGCAUGCUUAAACCAAGAAUUAGCCAAAGCCCCAAAAAUCCAAUGUCUGACAAAGCUAGCUGCUCUGGAGGUGAUGUGAGAUCCCUACAUUUGGAGGAUGAUACUGCCAAAAUGGGGAAACAUCAGCCAGAUGAAGAGAAGGAAGAAGAAAAAAGAGAUGAAGAGAAGGAAGAAGAAAAGGAGAAAGAAGAUGAAGAAAAGCAUGACGACAAGGUAUGUUCACAUAACUUUGCCUUUUUUAUUUGUUUUUCAAAAUUUCAGACGUCGAUAUUUUUAUUUAAUCCGUCGUUUGUUUAAAACUUAGACGGCGGACUUUUUUUAAGACGUAAUAAAAUAUUUAAACGACGGUUUUUGCACCGUCGUUUAAAUGGUUUCAGACGACGCUUUAUUCAUAAAAUCGUCGUCUUUAUUGAAUUACCACGACAGUUUUUUCACCGUCGUUUAAAUACUUUUAAGACGACGUUUUAUUCCUUAAACCGUCGUCUUUGUUGAAUUACCACGUCAUUUUUUUUAUUUCUUUAAACAGGUUAUUGAAGUUGGUGCUUAUUCAAAUAUGGAGGCGCCAUCUUCUUUAAAAACCCUUUGUCGUUUUGUGGAAACGACACUCCUGCCUGAGGAUAAGACACUCCAAUUUACAAUUGAUAAGGAGGUGUUUGGUGGUGAGCGCGAUACCUUCCUCCUGCCUGAAGAUAUUACACAAUUUGCAGGCAUGGAAGAAAUUGGAGCUACUGUAUUGGCUGUAUAUAUGAGGUUUGUACUUCUAAAAUAAUACCUCGUUGGUUUAUAUAUUGCGUCGUCUUAACUAACUAACCACGUCGUCUUAACUAACUACCGUCGUGAUAAAUAUAUUAUAACGUCCUCAUCUAUUUCAGUACGUCGUGUGAAAUAUUAUAAUACGUCGUUUUUUUAUACAUAACCGUCGUGUUUGUUUGUGCUGACUUGUUUAUAUUAUUUUAUGUAUUUAGGUACUUACACGAUGUUUUGAAACAAGCCAAUAUGUGCAGCAUGGUUGGCUUUAUCGACCCUGCUACAGUUAGUGCCAACUCUGGCACAAUAACUGAAAGAUCACGACUGGUAGCAGCUCGACUUCAGAAGACAGACGGUGAACAGAUUUUCAUGAUGCCUUACAAUCCAGGGUUAGUCUCCUUAGGAUUUUGUUUUUAUGAUUUUCAAUAAAUGACAGCUUAUAAACUAACCACGUCGGUGUUUUAUUUUAUUUAGUCGUUUGAAACUACUAACCACGUCGGUAUUUAUUUAUCGUCGUGAUAAAUAUAUAAUGUCGUCGUUAUCUACUUUAUUUCGUCGUGUGAAAUACUAUAAUACGUCGUUUUUGUAAAUAACCGUCGUUUUUAUAUUCAUUUUGUGCAGCCGUCAUUGGAUCUUGCUGAUUGUAAGAGCAAAGAAGGAGACCGUCUAUUUUCUGGAUCCUCUGCCAGGUCAUCGUGUGGUCGACGAAGAGGCGAAAAACAUCGUGAACAGUGCUUUAAAAAUAUAUAAUACCCACAUAGCCCGAGCACGACGUAAAAAUGUAAUUUGGAAAACUCUCUCAGGCACACCAAAGCAACCCAGCAAUGUCGAAUGCGGGUACUAUGUGAUGCGCUUCAUGAGGGACAUCAUCAUGGAUCCUUCCUUGGGGUUUGAGAAUAAGGUAAGAAGAAAUUACCUUCAUACAUUUCACGUCGUUUUUUGUAUUAUCAACGACGGUCAUGUAAAAUUAACGUCGUUGAAUGGAUAUACUACGUCGGUUAUGAAAAAUAUCGUCGUCUGUGAUUGAAUUUCUUUUUAUUUAUAAACCCUAAUAGUCAUUGUUUAUGCAGUAUGCCAAGGGAAACCAGGAAGCUUCAUACCCCCAAGAAGCCAUUGAUGAAGUCCGGAAUGAAUGGGCAGAGUUUGUUUUCCAAAUUAUUAAACAGGGCAAUUAUUGAACACUUGAUAUUUAUGUAUAAUGUACAAAUUUUCUCUAUAAUAUGUAAUGUAAAAAUUUGUUGAGGUUUUCUUAAAUUAAAAAAAAAACAAACAUACAAAUUGCUUAACCGACGUGUAAUACUUUUCCAACGACCUAAUAAAGUCAAAAACCGUCGUAUUUUGUUGUUUCGUGUUUUAAACAAAUACGACGUAAAAAUAUAGUUAGACGACGUUCUUUGAACAAUUGAGUCGUUUAUGGUUUACAACAUCUUCAAUUUCUUAAGGGUUCAGGGUAUCAUCGACGACGUUUAUGUAACGACAGCGGUUAAGUCGUGGAAUAUAUAUUUUACGUCGUAUAGUUAAAUAGCCGCCAUGGUUUCUCAUUUUAACGACGUCAUUUUAACGACUUAGUAGUCUAUUACAAUUUACAACGUCUACAAUUUAUUAACACCGACGUGGUUUGUUGUUGUGGUAAGAAUAUUUUAUUAUUUUUAUAUCAAAAUAUUCAAAAUAAAUUUAAAAUAAAUCAGAAAAUUGAAAAGUCAUCUCCUAUGAAGUCAUUGAUAUAUUUUCUUCCACAUAAACCUUGAAAAAAUUCAUUUUGAAUAACAAAAAUUUAAAAUGACCAUCCAAAACAAAAUUGUUUUGAUGAGUCAUAAAAUCACUUCUAGUUUUAUGGUUUAGGGUUUAGAGUCUAGGGUUUAGAGAUUAGGGUUGUUAUUUGUUGGGGUUUAUUUUUAAAGUAUAAUUUUUGGGUAGUCUAGGGUAUAUGUUAGGCUUUAAAACCAUAAAACCUUUUAUAAACUUAAUUUUUUAAAUUGUAUAAUUUAGUUUUAUGGGUUUAGGGUAUUAAUUUUUAACGACGGUGGUUGCGUCGUGGAAUACAUAUUUUACGUCGUACAGAAAAACAUACGACAUGGUUUACGCUUUAAACGACGUCAUUUUAAUAUGUAAGUCGGUUUAUAUAAUUUACAACGUCUUUAAUUUCUUAACACCGACGUGGUUUUUCAGUCGUCGUUAUAUAAAAAAUUCAAAAUAAAUUUAAAAUUAAUCCGAAAAAUGAAGCUUCAAAAUGAACGGCCUUACGUUCUUAAUCCGAAAAAUGAAGUUUCCGUCGUGGAAUAUUAAAUUUACGUCGGUACUUGUAGAACUUUCGCCUUGGUUUUUCUUUCGACGUUUUAAAACGCGCGAGCUCUAAAAAUUUUCGCGUGACCUAAAUUUUUUUAGAUUUGGCUCUUAUUCUUAUACUUCGAACCCUGAAACCUAAAAUUUUCAGAUUUCGCUCUCUCACUUCUGCUCUAAUUAAAAGUUGCACUCUCCAGGCUUCGUCGAAUCUGUGAGCUCGUCCAACCUGUAAGUACAAACCCUAUCUUCCCCUUGUAAAUUCAUUGAAUGAUAUUAGGUUGUUUUGUUAAAGGGUUUUAUGUGUAUGCUUUGCGAUCUGUUAAUAAUGUGCUUAUAGGUAUGGGUUCAUAGAUUUUCUGUUUAAUGGGUUCAUGGAUUACAUUAUCUGUUAUGUUGAAUUGGGAAUGGAUUUAAUUUUGUCGUAUCUUUUAAUCACCCUAUGUUAUGUUGAAUUGGGAAUGGAUUUAUUGUUUUCAUGCUUGGUUUCAUGUAUAUGUUGGUUUCUUGCUUGGUUUCAUAUAUAUGUUGUGUUCUUAAUGGGUUUUGUGUUCUUGAAAAUAAACUGAGACACGACAAAUUUUAAGGCAUACGACGACGAUUACACGACGGUUUUUUUAAACUACCGUCGUUGUAUUACUUAUACAAGACGGUUUUUUCAUAAACCGUCGUUUGUAUUACUUAUAAUAGACGACGUCUGUUGAAAAUCCGUCGUCUAUAUAUGCCAAAUACGUCUGUUUUUGUUUAAAACCCGUCAUCUCUGUUGUGUAUUACUUGCGAUUAGAUCAUUGUAUAAUCUGCUAUAGUGAUGGUCAUUGCCUGUAUUUUCACUUUAUUAUAGAUAAUAGGUUAUAGUGUCGGAGAUGGAUAAGUCAUGGAUGCACUCGGAUAGAAGAUCGAAGGCAUAUGAAUUUGGGGUGGAAGCAUUUUUGAACUUUGCUUGAGAAGUACUUUCCCCCUUCAUUCUUUGAUAUCAUGGUUCAUCUAGUAGUACAUCUUGUCAGAGAAGUUCGUCUAUGUGGGCCAGUAUAUUUUAGGUGGAUGUAUCCGUUUGAAAGAUAUAUGAAAGUGCUGAAGGGGUAUGUUCAGAAUCGUACUCGUCCCGAAGGUUGCAUUGCUGAGCGGUAUAUAGCUUAAGAAGCGGUAGAGUUUUGUACUCAGCAUUUAUCUGAUGUUAGUACAGUUGGAGUGCCUUCAAGCCAAAAGAUGGGACUUUCAAAGCCAUUAUCAGGUUGCACAGUGAGCGUAGUUGAUCAGGACCUGUUGAAUCAAGCACAUCUAUAUGUCUUGGAGAAUACGGAGGAAGUCCUACCUUAUAUCGAGUACGUAUGAGCUUUAUUCUUUAAGUUUCCAUUUUAAAUUAUUUCUUAUGUUUAUCUUCUAUAUUUGGGACCGUAAUGCUUGAAUUUUUCGUGUCAUGUAGGCAACAUAUGAUCCACAUCAAGAUUGCUUAUCCAAAAUUUAGAAAGAGAACAAAGUGGCUGCAGGAUAAGCACAAUAGCACUUUCAUUCAAUGGCUACGCUUCAAGGUAUAUGUUGUUGAAUAACAUAUUUCUCUUUUAAUUUUCUUCUUAUUUAUAUGUUAGAUUGAAUUAAGAUAUGAUUAAUUUGCAGGUUCAAAGUGAACUUGAGGAAGACAAUCAUGGCGUAUCAGAAAAUUUAAGGUGGCUAGCAGCUGGUCCAAACAUGUCAGUGCCAUUAUAUAGGAGCUAUCUUAUUAAAGGUAUUAAAUUCAAUAUCAAGGCACAAGAUGAUGUGCGGACAACUCAAAAUAGUGGAGUUUAUUUACUUGCACAUACCAUGCAAGUUGCUAGUGCCAAGGAUAAAAACCCAAUUCUCUCAAACAUGGGUUUCUAUGGUGUCAUUCAAGAAAUUUGGGACCUUGACUACCAAAAGUUUACAAUCCCAGUCUUUAGGUGUGAUUGGAUAGAUAGUUCUGGUCUUGUAGUCGACGAACUUGGAUUUACCCUUGUAGAUUUGAGUAAAAUUGGACAUAGGAAUGACCAAUUUGUUUUGGCUUCUCAAGUCAAACAAAUAUUUUUUGUUGACGACCCGAUGCAUCGUGGUUGGUCGGUAGUGUUAUCAAUGCCUAAUAGAGAAUAUAAUGAUGUUAUUGGUGAUGAAGUCUUAGGUGAUGUGAUAAUUGAGUGUGAGCCAUUUACUAGAGGGAUGCCAAAUGUUGACACAUUUGAUGAACUGGUGGGUGAGUUAGGCGGUCAAAAUAUUCGAGAUGGGUGUGAAGAUAUAUGGAUUGAAUGAUGCUUAUGUAAUUGGCAGUGUAUGACAUUAAUUUUGUAAUAUAUUGUAAUGUGAUUUCUUCACUUUCUACGUUCAAAUAAAACACGACGUUAUUGUGAACCAGUUAUUCAGCAUAUUUACCGACGUCUUAAAGCAACGUAACAAUGAAGAACCACGACGCUAUUGUGAAGCAAUUAUUCAGGAUAUCACGUCGGGGAAGGAUUAAGAACCGCCAUGUAAUUCAAAAUAACACGACUCCAAUCCCAUAAUACCGACGUCUAAAAAACGAGAUAUAUAAUCUGAACGUUAAAAAAUACGACGUCAUCAUACAUUUUCCACAUCGCAAGUUCUUUUAUAAACGAAGAGGAACGAAAUGAAUUCCGACGGAAAUUCAUUAUAACCGCCGUCUAAUAACAAUUAAACGACGUUAUUUGUAAUACGGCUCUCAUCAUAAUCAACGCCGUCUAUAUGUUCUGUAAUACGGCUCUCAUUUAUUUGGAACCGACGUUGUUUAGAAGUUCAACGUCGUCUAUAUUAUUAAGUGCGUCGUGAGUAAUGAUGAUAGAUAUAAAUACAACGUCGACUAUAUAAAUGCCACUGACGUUGUUUCGCAUUUCAACGUCAACUGUAUAAAUACAUACGUCGUAAAUAAUGACACUGACAACUAUUUCCACGUCAUCUUUUUUAGAAAAAUCGAAGUGGAAAAUUUAUUUCACGACGGUUGUUUGUAAAUAAGAGACGUAGUAUAUUUCAAUAACGUCGUCUUCUCAUGUAUUUAAAGACGUCAUAUUUUUUCUUGUCGUGUAAAUUAUAUUUAACGGCGUAGUAUUUUAGUUGUCGUCGUUGUAUGUAUAUCUUGCGGCCUUGUUCUUUUAACAUGUGUCAUAUUUUUCCUUUUUAACGACGGUGAUUUGUUUGAGUUGGUCGUCUAUUCUCAUCCUCGACUAUUUUCUAGAACUUUAGCAGACUAAACACGUCUGUUUUUAUUGUUUUCCGACGUUGUUUUAUUUAACAACGUCUAAUAUUUAUCGUCGUUGUUUGUUUCUGAAAAUAUGACGUAUAAAUUUUGUAAUACGACUCUCAUAUAUUUGUAACCGACGUUGUUUCGUUUUUCAACGUCUACUCUAUAAAUACAUACGUCGUAAAUAAUGACACUGACAACUAUUUUCACGUCAUCUUUUAUCGAAAAAUCGAAGUGGAAAAUUAAUUUUACGACGGCUGUUUUUAUAUAUGCGACGUAGUAGGUAUCAAUAACGUCGUCUUCUAAUGUAUUUAAAGACGUCAAAUUUUUUAUUGUCGUGAAAAUGAUAUUUAACGGCGUCGUAUUUUUAUUUUCGUCGUUGUAUGUCUAUCUUGCGGCCUUGUUCUCUUAAUAUGUGUCAUAUUUUUCCUUUUUAACGACGGUUUUUUUAGAGAGUUGGUCGUCUAUUCUCAUCCUCGACUGCUUUUUUAGAUCUUUUUGCAGUACAAAGACGUCGUUUUGUAUUUGUUGAUGACGUUGUAUAUUUUAACAACGACGGUGAUUUUGCGUCGUGGUUUAUGAGGGAAAAGAUGACGGUGGAUUCCACGACCAUUGAAAAACCGAAUACACGACGGUGAUUUACCGUCGUCUUUUUGCUUUUUUGUAGUAGUGAGAUAAAAAUGUUCUGAACACUUCUCUAGAAGGCCACGAACCCAUCCGAGGUCAUCUUGGGCUCCAAAAACACAAUAAAAGCCCAACACGUCACUAUUCCAGCACCGCGCACUGCUCAUUUAUUUUAUUGCCAGAAAAUAACCGCUUGGAAGAAAAAUCUGAAAUUUUGAUACGAUCAAGCUAAGUGACUCAAGAACGUCCUCCAACUGGAAUUACUCCAAAAUUCCUCAAUUUGAUUAUGUUUUGCUCCAGAGAGAGUCGAAAGUCCUAUAUUGGAAAUAUAAUUCAAAGUAUCAAAAUUCUUCCAAAAUAUUAACCAAAAUAUACUAAGAAUGAGGUUAAAUAUAUAAUAUAAAAUAUGUCCAUCACCCCACAACAACUAAAGAACCAACAUUUUGUAGAAGGUUUUGUCUAUACCUUUGACUGUAAGUAAAUCUCUUGUAUCUGCUCCUGUGGUUCGGUGAAGUUUCUUUGUGUCCUUUCUGCGGAGUCUCCCAUGCUUGUUCCAUGAAAAUGUUCUAGGAGAAAAUACGGUUGUUUCUUACUAGAUUCAAAUGAUUAAGAAAAAUAAAAACGCAAGAAAAAAGGUAUUUUCUUGAUGGACUUGGUGAUGAAAAAUAUCACUCUCUUUAUAUGUCGUCUUCCUUGGACUUUGAGACCUUGGGUUUCGAUUCUUCUUGAGGAUUGCAUAGGGUUUCUAGGCCCAAGAAUACUUUGAGUUAGUUUUUGCGUUUUGGGCUUUGAGACUUUGAGACUAUAAUGAGUGGAAAGUUAUAAGGGGUAAGUUAUAAGGGGGUCACUUUAUAGCCAUCAGAUUAAUCCAAGGGCUGGGGAGAAUUGAGAUAAAGUUUCACAAUUGGGUAGGUGAGGAACCCAAACCCGAAUUGAAUAUCCAGCACGUCCAAAAAGAAGAAGAAGAGGGAAACACGUCCGAAAAAGAAGAAGAAGAGGCAAGUUCGAAGUUUGAACAGAAAGAACUCAUCUCUCUAAAACACAGAGGUCUGAGAUACCCAAUGAAGGCAACGGCUAACGACAGUUGAAGGCAACAAUUCGCCACUCCGUUCUCCAGACCCCGAAAAAGUAUUUAUUUGGAGUAGAAGGGGCAAAGGUGUGGAUUCCAAAUCAGUGAAGGGGCGAAGCAGUGGAAGGGGAAGGGGAGAAGCUGUAUUCGUUGGAAGUGUAGGUUCCAUUUGUGGAGCAAAGAAAUAGAAAGACCCCACACAGACACCUUGCAAUAACCAGCAUUUGGUGAGUAAUUUAUGGAAUUUGAGUUUAGGGUUAGAGUAAUGGUUUUCCCCAAUUUGUACCAUAAAUUUUGUUGGAUUUGGCAUCUCUUCGUUGUGCUUCAGUUGCAUGUUAAUUUUUGCUUAGGUAUAUGUUAAAAAAGGAAUGAAAAUUAAGUCAAUAACAAGUGAAUAACAUGUCAAUAAUGAUAUGAAUAAGAUAAUGGUGUUGAAUUGGAGGAGGCCCUCAAAACCUUCCACAUUUGAAGCAGUGCAUAGUGCAGAUUAAGAAGAGGCGCUAGAAUAUAUAUAUAUAUUUUAUGAAGUAAAUAUGAUUUCCUUUGUUACUAAAUUUGCCUGAGAAACAUUUGAACAGAUAAUAAUAAACUCAUGAAUAGAACUGCAAAGCAUUUGAUGAGCAAUGUAAGGAAUUUAAGUUUAGGGUUAGAGUAAUGGCAUCUCUUAUUUGUGCUUCAAUUGCAUGUUAAUUUUUGCUUGGGUAUAUGUUAAAAAAUGAAUGAAAAUAAAGUCAAUCACAUGUCAAUAACAUCUCAAUAACAUGUCAAUAACAUGUCAGUAAUGAUAUGAAUAAGAUAAUUGUGUUAAAUUGGAGGAGGCGCUCAAAACCUUCACAUUUGAAGCAGUGCAGAGUGAAGAGUACCUCUCUGGCACUAGAAUUUAUAUAUUUUGUGAAAUAAAUAUUAUUUCAUUUGUUACUAAAUUUGCCUAUGAGAAAUGAGAACAGAUAAUAAUAAACUCAUGAAUAAAAGUGCAAAGCAUUUGAAAUGAAGGUUGAUCUAUGACGAUUGUGGGUGACUGAAGAAAAAGGUAGAAAGAAAGAAGGAUGUGGCAAUUGCUUAGCAAGCAGAUAGCAGAGUACAUGCUUUGCUUUGCUUCCUUCCACUAUAUUUCUUAUUUAUUUAUUUUGGGUUGUGUAUGAGAUGACAAUAAUUGUCAUGUGUGUGAAGUGCAGAACUUGCCUACAUUGCACUCACACGAGUAUGGAUGCAUAAAUAAAACACGUGAAAUUGUUUGUAAUUCACAUAAUCAUUGCAUUAACAGGUAUUUGCACAAAAAUUGUCAUAUUGCUUUGAUGAUGUUAAAGGCUGUGAUGAGUAAUCCCUAUGCUCAUGUACUUUGUAAAAGUUGUAAUGUGCCUGGUUGACUAGUUGUGAUUGUGCAAAUACGUGGUAGUAUAUAUGUUCACGUUAUUUCACAUUGUAUUUGAGGAAAUGGGAUCCAACGUGGAGCUGGUAUGGCCAGAGGCAGAGGUAUAUUCGUCACGGGUGAACAACUGCUCACAUGCAAAUUCAUCUCUAGCUGCAAUUCGAGCGAAGUUGAGUGCGGAACAAUUAGAACAAUUCAAGACAUCAUGCUUUGGCCAUCUUCUGAAUAUAGAUAAGAUUCAGUUUAGCGGGCAGAUUGUGCAUGGGGUUGUGUUGCGUAGAGUAGCGGGGCAGGGUGUGAAAGACUUGGAUGGACUGAGUUUCUUAUUAGGGUGUGACGUUGCUCAGUUCACUCGUCAGGAUUUCUGUUUGAUCACAGGGCUUCGUUUUGGGGAAGUGCCUGAAGUUUCCAGUGGAGAGAGUGAUGAAAUCAGACUUCAGAAAAGAUAUUUUAUAGACGAAGGAAUUACAUGCAAUGCUUUAGAAGAAGCAUUUGUGAGGUGCACAGAGGAAGAUGACAUCUACAAGCAAGCUCUUGUUUACUUUGCUGAGUUAGUGGUUUUGGGAAGGGACAAACAUUUGAACAUCAAUCUAAAUUACCUGACCCUUGUAGAGGACUUGGAUGCGUUCAACAGGUAUCCGUGGGGUUCGGUGUCCUUUGACAAAACCCAAGACAGUCUAUUUUCUGCACCAACAAAGUAUGUGAAAAGCUUGGAAAAUGAAGAGGGAAGAGGGAAGGGGAAAAGUAAGGUAACGGGAACAAGCCGGAGAAAUGAGAAGGGCAAGAAGGAUAAGCAUGGUGAAGCGCAAAUGAGUGGCUGGAGUUUUAAAGGUUUCACGUAUGCUUUCCAGGUACAUGGUAAUAAUGUUCAUGUCAGUUAUGUUUUGUUUUUCUUUAAAACAUAAAUAAUGACUUUUGUCCUGUGAAUUGUGUAGAUUUGGGUAUAUGAAUUAAUUCCUAGAAUGGCGGACCUGAAUUACUGCAAGGUUGUUGAUCCGACCGUUGUCCCGCGUAUUUUGCGAUGGAGAACUACUACGUCUGUUCCAGAGAUGAGAAAGUUGAACAAUUAUUUUUUCCAGAGCAAAGAGGUUUGGUUUGCAGCCCUUGGAACUAUUGAUAAGAUUGAAUGAAAUUAUGAAGUAGAAUGAUUUGAUAUGACUCUUGUCUGUAUUCUGAAACAGUCAGUUCAGUUGCGGGCGCUAUGUCCGAGUGAAGAGGAAAUGAGACAGCCAUAUUGGAGUUGGCCACAGGAUCGCCCUGCUGUUGUCUCAGCAGAGUCAAUUCCUUCUUCAUGUGGUGAUCUUGAUGAGUUGAACAAGGUGGUAAGUUGGUUGAGGUCCGAGUUGUUUCAAGUAAAGCGGGAAAAAGACGUCCUUCACUUAAAGGUCAUACGGAUGGAAAAACUGUUGGACCAAUGUUUAGGUCCUCAGUUUGAGCAGGAAGUAAGGAGGGACCUAGCUUUACUGAAACAGAGGACGAAUCGUUGUGUCAUCUCACAUCUAUUUAAGGGAUAUGGGGAAAUGGAUGACAUUCAAUGGGAUGAAGGGCCAAGUAACAGAAAUGAGGGAGAGGAAAAGGAAGAUGAAGGGAUUGAAGGGGGUGAAGGGCCAAAUAAUAGAAAUGAGGGAGCACAUAAGGAAAAGGAGGGGAUUGACGGAGAGGAAAAGGAAGAGGAGGGGAUUGAAGGGGGUGAAGUGCAAGGAAAACCAAGUGAGGUAGAGGAAGGGCAAAGGAAAAGAAGUGAAGGAGAGCAAGUGCAAGUAAAAAGUAGCAAAGGAGAGGAAGCCCAGAGACAGAGCAGUGAGGGAGAGGAAGUGAAAAGAAAAAGCAGUAAGGGAGAGAAACUGCAAAGGAAAAAAAGGGAGGGCAAGGAAGUGAAAACACAAACAAGUGAGGAAAAGGAAGUGCAAAGAAACCAAUGUGAGAAAGAAGAUAAUGAAGUUAUGUUGCUUGGGGGUGACAUUGGCGAGAGCACGGAGGGGACACUGCUUGAGUUUACUGUCGGGGACAUUGAUUUGGAUGAACCUACAGCUGUGCUAUCUCAGUUGAACGUGUGGUUGAAUGAUAAAGGUAAAGCUCUGGCACAAGGGGUCCAAUUACGGAAAAGGAAGAGGAUCAUUCCUUUGUGGAAGAUCAUUGAAGGCAGUGAAUUGGUUCCAAAAAUUGGGGCACAGACAACCGGACUGAAGAUGUUAGACCCAAUGAAGGCGAUUUCGCAUGAUGAUCUGGUGAAAUUGCUGAAACUUUGUUGGGAAUGGCGCCAGGACCCAAAGUAAGUCCCUUGCAAUUAUAAGAUACAAGCAUGACUGUAUAUAAUUUUUUAUAUACAGUGUUCUAAAACUGUUUUAUAUUCAUAGUUUGGUGAUGCAAUUUGGCAACGUGGAAGCUGAGAUUGAAUUCUUCGCUUCCCUCGUGAAAGCUGAUGGUUGGCUGAAAGGAGAUGUAAGUGUAAUUGAUUAUGCAUUUGUUUUAAUGUACAUACAUUAUGAGAUUGACAAGAAAAACAUGUUGCAGCACAUUGAUUUGGGGUUGUAUCUCAUCCGGAAGCGACAACAACAGUUGGAGACAGAUUCGGUAGAAGUAGCGGACUGGACAACGACCGAUGUUUUUUUUAUGGUAUGUCAUCGGCCUUGACCAAGUGCCGUUAAUAAUUACACAUUUUCCAUACACACACUAGUGGAGGUGUUUAACCAUUGAUUGUUUUGUAUUUCACAGAAUCACAUUCGUACUUGCUUUGCGGAUAAUAAAAGAAAAAAACAGCAGCUUGGGUGGAAAAUCAGGAAAAGUUUACUAACCGUUGUAAAUGGGAAGGUUCCUCCGUGUGGGUUGGAUUGGCAGACCGUCUAUAAGGUGUAUACCCCAUUUAUGUUGACGAAGUACAAGCAUUGGGUGGCUGUAAUGAUUGAUCUGGUAUUGUGUGAAAUCAAAGUGUACGAUUCAAAGGUUUCACUAAUUCCAGAUGACAUCGUAAAGGAAGAACUCGGCCCGCUAUCAAUUACGCUUCCAAAUCUUCUCAACACCAUCGACUUUUAUGAAAAAGGUGUUUAUGCAAACAAUUGCAGCCAAGAUUAGUGGUGUCCGUGGCCAAUAGAGCGUGUGGAUGUUCCACAACAGUCUAAUGAGUAAGCACAACUUGCAAUUUAAUUUUAUUACUUUCAAUUGUCAAUUACGUUAGAAUGUCAUUAGUUGAAUUGAUCGAGUUCUUGUUUUGCUUCAGAGGCGAUUGUGGCAUGUUUGUGUUAAAGUACAUUGAGCUUUUCAGCGCUGAGCUUCCGUUAGCUACUUGCACCUCGCACAACAUGCCUUUUUUUCGGUUGAAAUUGGCUGCGGAGAUAACAAGGGGAGAUGCUUACUUCCCAUGAUAUUGGUUGAAGAUGACAAAUGGUACAUGAGAAGGUUUUGGGAAUGUCCAUUCUCAAACUAAUGUAAAUACACAAUAGAGAAGUACGGGUCCUUAUCGAAUUCUACCGCUAACUCCUUCAUGACAUUUACAUGUUUGUUAACCAAACUGCAUUGAAUUGGAAUUUUAAGACUGCAUAUGUGAAUUGGGAUUUGAAGAUGGCUUUUUAAGUGUAUUACAUCAUUGCAAAGUGAUAUGUCAUUGUUGAUGCAAGCCACCAUUAAUCGCAAUGUGUUGCAUCAUAAUAGGUGUCUAAACAUGCGAAAGGUUUUCCGCAGCUCAGUAGCAUAAAAGUAGAAACAAAGACAAUAUACACAAAAUGAACAACAAUUCACAAAUGCACCGACAAGCAAUACACACACAACAGACAAACAAUAUACACAAACUUGGCCUGCCAUAUACAGAGAAUAGACAUGCAAUAUACACACAGUAGACAUGCAAUAUACACACAAUAGACAUGCAAUAUACACACAAUACUCCCUUAACACACACAAUAGACAUGCCCUUGCCCACAAUAAUGAUGCAAUAUACUUCAGUCCCCAAGUACACCAACCAUAGGGAAGUCGUAUUGAAUAGGAUAUUAAACUUAACAGUUGUUCUUCCUACUAAAAGAAAGAAUAAGGUUCGUUUCCCCCCUUCAUUCUUACUUGAGUGAUACUUGUGGCCCCAAUAAACAUCCAAUUUUGGGGCAAUGAUAUUCCAUAUACAUGCAGCAAACUAUCAAUAAACCUUCAAUAAACCUUCAAUAAACAUUCAAUAUCGUUUCUAUAACAUGCGAAAUACAUGCAGUUACCAAAUAUUACAAAAUGGGUUUAGGGUCUCAUUGGUGGUGCGUGCAACAUGUCUUGUGCGGGAGAACUUUCACAAUCUUUUAAACCGUGCAGUUAAAUGAUCAUUAAAAGAACAAAUAAAAUGACAAUUGAUACAACUAAUAAAACUAAUACCAAGUCCUUAAUGGACUUCAGCAUGUUCAGCACUCUAGCAUCAUACGUGUCAUCUUGAUGUUCUGCUUCAGCGGAGGUUACAUCAACCCAUUCGAAUCCAUUGCAACUGGUGGCUCCCUAAUUGCAGGCAUCAUAUAUGGAAUAUAAUUCUGUCAGAGUUAGACAUAGGUUUUUUUUCACCCACAUACAUAUUCUUUAAAUUAAAACUUACAUAGGAGGUUAGACACUUCCAGAAUGGCUUCCCUCGAUUUUUGUCAGAUUUUGAAACCCGAAGCACCAUUGUAGCUCCACAAUACUGACACCUCUUUGUUUGAGCGGGAGAUGAAGAUGAAGACAUGUUUAAUCUUCUCAGUUGUACCUCUUCUCACUCAGAUCUUCUCACUGAAACCUCUUCGGACUCAUACCUUCUCACUCAUAGUUGUCAUUCAUACCACUUCACUCAUAACCCUAAACUUGUCACUCAGCUCUCUCUCAUCUCUGCCCAAAUCGAGUUAUAUUUCUUUUUUUUGGGAUCAUUUGGUGGGUUGGUCACGAUGUCGACACCUGUACCGUCAGCAUUGUGACAUCUUUUAGCCCGAAAAGCAAUAUAAACUACUUCACUACCAAAUAUAUUUUCUGAAUAAUGACGGGACACUGCUUCAAUUUUAUUAAUUUAUUUAUAUUUCAUUAAGGCAACUAGUUGGAUAAGAAUCCGUCAUUAUUGGUUCCAUUUUAAUAACAUUACUAGGGGUAAUUGGGUGUGGGAAAAUGAAAAAGUAUAUGAUGGGACCUUCUGUCACUAGUCAGUAAUCCAUCACAUUUGUAUCAAUGAAUUUGAUAGUGGGAUAAACCCAAAAAUGGCUAUGCAAAUAGCCAUUUAAUUAACUUUUUGACUGUCUGACUCUGUAUGCACCGUUAUGACGUUUUCCCUUCUUUUGUCUUAAGUUUUAAUUCACUGGGGUUCAGUUUCUUUCAAAAGGGUCAACUUGGAAAAACCCCAACUGGAAACACCUUUUCAAAACACUAUAAACAGAGGCUAAAACAAAACGUGUACCCCAAAUAUUAUCAUUUAUCCCCUCUGCCACUCCUCAAAUCGUUCCAUUCCAAAAACUUUUCAAUGAAUUCGAAACACUUCACUACAGUCGGAGGAAAGAGAAGGAAGCAUGUCCAUUUCGAUAUGCCCGAAGCCUUCAUCCCGGAGUCCGCUUGGUUUCAAGUCAUGUUAUACGUGGCAACCGAAUCAUCGGAAGAUCUCUUCCGUAUGGCAUCUGUGUGACGAUUGUUCCGAACUUUGGCAAACAGUUCACAAGUGUGGAACACCAUUUCAAUGGCAAAGUACCCAGACCAUCCUAUAUGGUACCGUGCCAGACCUGCGGUCCAGCAUUUCUUGCAACAAUGCAGGGCUUGCGAUAACCCUGAGUCCAUAUUUAGAGAAGCAUUCGAAGGUUUUUUCAGGCACGGUAAGGUGGAAGCGUUGUAUGGGAUGCGCAUUGCAGCCACGGCAGGCCAUAUGGAAGCGGCAUAUGUAGUUGGACUACUUGGUAUGUCCGGAAUUGGUCAGUCAAAAGAGGAUGCAUUACAAUUCUUGUGUUCUUUGAAUCAACGUAACAACAUUGAUAUGAAAGGAACCAGGGAUGCUUUGACAGGAAGAUUUCACGGAGCAUUUGUUGCAAGACAUAUCGUAGAUAUGUUUGACUAUGGGAAGAUUAAGUUCAAUCGGUGCAGCGCUUGUAACAACAAUGAAUGGUAUUUUGUUAUUCCAGGCUGGCCUAGUGAAGACAAGAUAAAUCCUGCGUUGUGGACUUGUUGCAAUCGAUGCAAAUGGCACCGUGAGAGUAUUUUUUGGUGCAAACUGAUGCGUGAGUAUGUUGUGCGAGGGAAUCACGUAUUUUUGCAUUAGUUUUAGUACGAAUUUACGGUUUUGAUGCAUUGUGGACUUGCUUCUCUUCACUUCUAGGUUGGCUGGCUACGUUAUACCUAUCUCAGUUUAAAUGUUGUUCAAAUGUUGGUAUUUUGUCAUAAACCGUUUUAUAUAUAAAUGUAUAAUAUUUAUUAUAUAGCGGAAUUAUUACUUACAUCAUAGACGGCUAGGAAUGACAUUUUACUGACACAGAUAUUUUGCUCACCGACCCCAAUCUUCAUAUUUGAUAAACGAAAAGUUAUGCAUGGAGUAAAUAGGUGUCUUUUCACCAGUGCUUGGGAAUGACAUUUUCCCACUUAGCAUAUCCGAAAGGAUUUGGUUACACGUUUCUUAACCUAGGGGGUUGAACAGUGAAUGACGUAGACUAUUUUUUGUGUGUGGAAGGAGUACAAUGGAUGACUUGUAUAUUUCCAUAUUAUGUUUCAAAACAUCCCUUCAACCUAAAAAAUAAAAAAAUUAACAAAUUGAAGAACAGAGAAACCGAUGAGCACUACAAAUGGCCUAUUCGCACGGAAAAUAAAAUUGUUUUCAACAAGUUGGACUAAAUAUAAUUAACAAAUGGACAGCCUAAAAAGUAAUAUCAUAAUAAUUAUAAUAAUUGUGGAUAAAUAAUAAUAAAAUACUAAUGUAACAUAACCAUUAAACAGGGAAUGCAGUAGGAAGAUGAAAUCGCAAUAAGUUCGUAGAAAUUUUGGGAUCGUUUUUCUAAUUUUUGUGUAUUUAGUUAUGAAUUUUCCAAGAAAAAAGGUAAUAAAAUAAUAAUUUAGGGUAAAAUGGGAGGAUGUGGCCAUGUUCGGUAACGUACACUUGUGCAAGUAGUCAAAAGUGACGGGCUGAGAUCGCGCCAGGUGUCAUAUUCUUGUUAAUUUUGGAUUCUUUUGUUAAAAAAUCUUUGAAACUAGGUAAUAAAUAGUAGGAAAAUCGUAAAAAUGGCCCAAAAAUUACUCCGGCCUCCUUUUGACGUCCUAAAACUAGGAGAACCUAUAAAUCAUUCGUCUCGCAAUGAAAUAAUCCAAAUUGUGUUACAUAACUCACUUUCCUCUUAACCCUAAGUAUUGAUGUUUGUUAACUUCAACUUGAAUAACCUACUUCAACAAGCAUCUCCCGUUAAUAUUGGGAAUUAAUUUUACAAAUGCGUAACAAUGAAUCGGAGAAUUCAGCAACGGAGAUGGAGUGUCAAUGAGUUCGUAGCAAUUUUCGGAUAAUUUUUUUAUUUUGUGUGUAAUUAGUUCUGAUUUUUGUAAGGAAAAGUAAUAAAAUAAUAAUUUAGGGUAAAAUGGGAGGGUGUGGCCAUGUUGACUGACGUACACUUGUGCAAGUAGUCAUCAGUGACGGGCUGAGAUCGCGCCAGGUGUCCUUUUGCUAUUAUUUUGGCUUUUUUAGUGCAACAAUCUGUGGACAUAGGUAAUAAAUUCUACGAAAAUCCAAAAAAUGCCCGGAAAAUGAGAAAAUGAAAAUUAUUUGUACAUAACUCACUUUCCUCUUAACCCAAAUUCACGUUAACACGUAUAUUUCGGAUAAUAUUCGAAAUAUAAUUUCUAAUAAUACAAUAUUUAGUUUCACUAUAUACAAUAAUAUGUUUUUUUUAUAAUAAUGUACAUAAAUAAUAAUUGCACAUGCUUUGAAGCCAUCAUUGCAACUACGCCUAGAGCUUUGAAGACGUCAGUUCGUAUUCAAUAAGUUGUCCACAUGCAACUGCACCUAGAGUUUUCAACACGUCAGAGGUAUUCAAUAAGUUGUCCACAUGCAACUGCACCUAGAGUUAUUAACACGUCACAGGUAUUCAAUAAGUUGUCCAUAUGACGCCGCAUUGGGAAUCAGUAAUAUAUUUUCAAUCAUGUCAAAUCACAUAAAUAAUGCCAUACUUUUUCUCAAUAACCUCACACAAGUGAAGCAAUUUUAAAACCCUUAGUGAAUAUUUAUCCUAGUCUAUAUGAGUGAUUAUAUAAUCAGUUGCAUAAUAUUUUUUUCACAGUAUAUGUUAACUUUGAGAGGGAUUCCACAAACAUAAAAUAUAAAGAAAGCAAGAAAUAGUAGGAAAUGAACCAGUACAAAAAACAAUAUAUAAAGUGUACAUAAUAAUUCCAUAACCUUGUCACAAACGCACUCACAAAAGCUUUUCCAUAAACCUUGUCCUAACAUAUAAUAAAUAAAGGCAACAUUGCAUAUGAUGCAACCAUGUCCAAAUCUGAUAAGUGAUCAAAAACAAAUGGACAUGGCAGCAACAUAUGAUUGAAGUAGAUGGGCUCUUUGCAUCUUCUGUUUUCGUAAUUAAAGACAUCAAAAUAUUAAGGUUUAAAUCUUCCAUAGUAGUUAGCAUCAAAAUAGCUUUGAAGCAGAGUGUAACGAAAAUUCCAAUUCCACUUAUUUGCCUCUGCUCAAACACGAGAACCAAAAUGGUUACUUCCCUUGCUGAGUAUAUUUGGUGACGUCGGAAACGGUAAUAGAUGACCAAUCAAACCCGGGUACGACGAGUUUUGCAUAGGAUCGGAAGUAGUCGAAUCCAGCUUGCAUCACACGCUUCUUUGACUCCACUACAUUAGAUGAGUUCUUGUAUUUUUGAACAGCUACACUCUGAAGUCGUUUGUGUCUACGCUUCAUGCGCUGCAACUUCGCCCUAUCCAGAUUGGCCUGCCUUUUGUCAUCUUCAAUUUGGCCUUCCACAAAUUCCAAACGUGCCCUUGCCCUUUGGAUUUCAUCACCAAGUUGAAGAUGCCUCUCCUUCCAAAAAGCAACAACUCUUUCAGACUCAAAACUUCCAACAAAAUGGUCAUUCUGUCUAGCAAUGUGACAUUGCUUGUCUGGUGACUCACUUGCGUGUCGAAGCCGGUCUUUGUUUGGAGGGGUGUUUAUUAUACUCACAUCAAACUUGGUUGUGCUUAUGCUCAUUCUUUGGGGGGAAUGAGUUUGUUUGCUUGAGAGAGUAUCGGUAGAUGGAGACAGAUUCGGUGGAGGAGUGAGUUUUGUGUGGAAGGAGAUUUUAUAUGAAAGGGGUGAUAGUAAUACCAAGAAAAGGGUUCCCGCCAAAAAAUAUUUGGUUGACAAAGUAGAAAUUAUUUUUUUAGUCUGAUACAAUCUAAGUUUAAUCCUAACUAGUUUGGUUGAGUUAACUAAGUAGAUGUCACUUCCAUUGACUUUCUUUCAACAACUAUCAGUGGUGUAAGGAGAGUGUGAGGUUGACAUGCUUGAAAAGCAAAAGCUGACACCUAUUUUUAAAAAAUUCCCGCCAAAAAGUACAUAUGUUGACUACACACAAGCUUUGGUAUGUUGGUCUAUAAACCUAUGUUCCCUUUCUCAAACGAAAUUGCAUAUGCAAUCCUCAUCCUCCCAAAACAAAGAGGAUUAUUCAAGCAUGUCAACCUCUUCAGGCGCCAACAACACAAUCGAACAUGACAAAUUGGAGUCACAGGUUCUAUUUCCACAUUGUACUCGCCGACCCCUUCCUUUUUCAACAUCAUUUGGGAGUGAGGGGGACUCCGAUGAUCCAUUAGAGGCAAUACAUGCAGUCAGUGGCAAGCUGGAUUAUAAUUCCAGACUGAUCAAUUCAUGGCACGAGAAAUGUGUUGAAGACGAGGCAAUUUUGGCUGAUCUUAACAUUAGGGUGAGCAAAGCGUUAUCCCAAAAGAACAAGUACUUGAAGCUGAGUCAUAGCAGGAAGCUGAAAGCUGAGGAGUUGGAUACAGUAAUGAAUGAUGAAAUGAAAGGUUGUUUGAUGAACCAUAUGCGAUGCGAACAGCACCAUACUGAACUGGAGUUGGCAUUCAACGAAGGAUUCGACAAAUUCCGAGCAUUUGCGGCAACUACUCAUACAAGUUAUGAUUGGAACUAUGUGUCCCCUGAUGCUGUGAGAGAGAUACUAGACGAUGGGGGUGACAUGAAUGAGCAUAAGCACGUCAAAGCUGCUCGGAAGAAGCCGACCGAUACGACUAAGUGAUUGCGGCUACCGCUGUUCAGUUAGUUGAGGGUGACCGUGGUAUUGCACAUAUACUCCCUUAAUGUCAUUAUCUAACUUAAAAUAACACAAAUAUCAGUUUCAUUUGCUUGAUAUAUAAUUAUUGGGACUAUGUAUUGCAAGUCAUCAUGUGUUAUAAUGUCUAACAUUAUAUUUUGCAAAUAUGGAAAUAUUAUUCAAGAAGCAGUCAAUAUCACAGAAAGCCGGGAAUCAGUAAAUGCUCCUUAUCAUGUCCAUUUACAUUAAAGAGCUGGAGUACUAAUGUGUUCAAAAAAAACUGACACGUGAGUCAUAAGUAACAUAACAUGUGCUAUACAUUGUUUACUGAAUGGUUUAUGGUUUAUUUGUAUAUAAUAAAAUUUCAAAUAUUGCUGAAGAUUUAUUUCGUGUAUAUCACUAGGGAUAUGAGUGGCCAUAAGCAUGUGAGACCUGCUAAGAAGAAGCUGACGAGUACGACCCAGUGAUUGGCUACCGUUGUUCAGUUGGUUGGGGAGAUCGUGGUAUUGCUAUGAGGAAGCACACAAUAUGUUUUGCAAUCAAAUGUUCUUUUGUGUGUGGAAUUAUGAGUAUUUAUGUAAGUUAGUGUACCCUUUAAUAUUUUUCACCUAAGUAUCGAAAUGCAGUUUUUGAAUGUUAUGUUUUUUUUUACCCGCUGCUUUCUAUUUGCUCUGUUCCAACAAAGUGCUUCAAGUAUCCUUCACUUACAAAAGUGUACAAAAUCGUGCCCCUAAUAACCAGUCGGAAAAAGUGGCUACUGCUGGAAAUGAUUACUGGUAAUGGAAACAACAGCUGGCUGCUGUAAUUGCUGCAUUACCGUGAGGAUUUGAAAAAUGAAUCUCUGUUAAAACAAAUUUCACCCUAAACUGCCCAUUUUACAUGGUAAAAGUCAUUGCUUCUUCAAAUCUUUUGCAGCUACACGAUGCGUGGUCAGAAUCUUUGACAUAUACGACUUCUGCCACUCUUGUUUCCCAAUUUUUUCUUUCGCUCACGUUGAACACAACUUUACAAGCAUCCUCUGUUUUGAGCUCUAGGAAACAUGCUGUACUUUGUAUUAGUUCUUGCUCAAACUUUUGAAACAUUGUCCUUGUGUACAAGGUAGCCAUUUGUUUGUUCAUUGGCAUCGGUAGAAGACAUUGAGCCACUUCAAAUGCAUCUGCGUGAUCAGCAACUAACUCUUUUUCACGUUGAUGAGAAAGUGCCCUCUCAAAUCGUAUUAUGAAAUCCAUCAACGAAUUUCUCCUUGAUAUGUAUUGCUUGAAAAAACCAUGAGAACCUUCCGCUCUUUGGCUGCUUGACAUUCCAGCGGCAAAAAAUUGUCGUGCGUAGGCUGGAACCCAAGAUUCCCUUAAAUCAAACAUUGAACUUAGCCAUGGAUGGUCAGUCAAACCAGCCUUUGUAACCACAAUAUUCCAUUUUGCAUCAAACUCAUCCUUAUUGUCAGUAUCCCAUAUGGCUUUCUGAAAUUCAGGCCAAUACUCCUUAUAAGCGUCACGUGGUAACUUAACAGAGAACUUUGAUGUGAUGUGCUAUAUGCAAAGUCGAUGAAAUGUACUCGGGAAGGCUAUUGAAAUCGCUAUGGCCAUUGCCGCAUCUUGAUCUGUAAUGAUCGUUUUAGGUUCCCCACCUGGCAUGGCUUUCUUAAACUCCUCAAACAUCCAAACAAACGACUCAGUCGUUUCCUUGCUCAAAAAUGUGCAUGCUAACACAAUUGUCUGACCAUGGUUAUUAACUCCCAACAUUGGUGCAAAUGUCAAGUCGUAUCGAUUCGUGUUGAAUGUGGUAUCAAAUACAACAACAUCUCCAUAAAACCCAUACGCCCGUCUAGAAGUUGCAUCUGCCCAAAAACAUCGACUAAACCUAUCAUGCCCAUCUCCCUCAAUCUUGAAAUAAAAAGCCUCAUUUUUUUUCUGUUCAGCCAUAAAAUACUCGGUCACUAGUUCAACAUCGUGGUUCCUCAGCUUCCCAAUCACACUACAUUCAAGAUUGUAGAUAUCUUUUUUGAUAAAACCGAUUUUAUCCAUUCCUCCGGAUUGCACCUCGAAAAUACUUACCUUCUGAUGAAUGGGAAUAUUAACUGAACCCAACUGUUUUGUGAGUACUUUUGUAGAAUCUGAAAUAUGACGGUGUGAUCUCAAUAAAUGCAUUCUUUCUAAGGGUGUCAUCUUAUGAUUGUGUCCCUCUGCAAAAAGAGAAAUGUUAUACUUGUUGCUCCCAUUUGUCUUCACAACCACAAUCUUUGCUUUGCAAUUGCAUCUACUUAUUCCCCGUUGUCUUUUUCUCUCCCGAGUUUCAUCCUUCCUGUAUGCACCUUGUUUGCAACAUACAAAUUCUUUCCUCAAAAUCUCUUUCUUAUUUUUCCCCCAAAAGCUAGAAUGAAGUCGAAUACCAAAGCCAGCCAAGAAUGCAUAUCUAUUAUAGAAAUUGUAAACGAGGUCAAGCGAGUCAAACUUCAUCCCAACUGCUGGUGUUUCCUCAUUUCUUACUUCAGGAAUAUAAACCCUCCCAUUAGCUGUUGCACAUUCAUCACUCUCUGAGCCCCCAGACAUUUUAUCUACGUAUAUUAUUGAUCCACUUCUAUAUUACUGCAUAGCAAUUAUUCAUUCAUUAAUCAGUCAUUACUGCAUCACAACAUAUCAAUGCAUUCCACUUACACAAAACAUUGCCCAAAUUGACACAAAAUACGCAUAGCCUAACUUCCGAUUACACAAAACACAAGCAAAAUUUCAUAAAAGUUACGUCAUCUCUUGUGAAAUAAUCUGGUCAAAAUAACAUUAGAACCAACAUGUUCAACUAAGAACACAAAUGUAAUUCAAACCACCAAUUACAGAACUUCACCCAAUAUCCUCUCCAACUGCUUACUCCUAAUGUCAUUAAGCCUAAGUUUAGGUUCUUUUACCUACAUUUCAUAAUUUUUCACCCCGACCAACAACAAUGAACUAAGUAUAUUGAAUAUUCACAAGGAAAUGACACAUUAUUGAUGCCACAAAUGACGAAUUUCCCACCCUCACAAAAAAUAAACCUAACCCAAUAAAAUCAAUCCAGCAAGUGAACUUACCUCUCAAAAUCAAUCGAGAGCUCUGAAGUCAGUCAGCUUGAAAGAAUGUGGUGGACAUUAGAGAAGACUCUUUGGUAUUUGAGACUCCAUCUCUAUCAAAAUCGAGGAACAACUGCUGCUGCGGCUUCUAGCUACAAAAACAGAUAUGCUACUUUGCUUUCAUCUAGAAUCUUGUCAGCUGAAUGAAAAAGAGAAGGGGUUUUCACUUGAGCCAUAGAAUCAAAACAGGGCAACAGCUAGGUAAGAGCCAUUCUUCGUAAUACCCAGGAUACCAUAGAUCGCAGGCCUCCCAACGAGCUAAUGACAGUGGAGUGACUAUAAGGUUUGGGAGAUUUGGAUCCUUCUAAUUGUGGGUUUGCUUUACAUUCAAAAAGAAAGGAUUGUGUUCUUCAGUUUUUCACAGAGAGGGAAAGAGGGGAACAACUGAAGUUGGGUUUCUAACGGGUUAGAUUUCAACCCGAUUCUACAUGCACCCUCUUUUAAAAACUCACCGUUGGAUGAAAUCCAACGGCUCUUACAUACCCCUCAAAAACACCCCUUAUAACUUCCCACUCACUAUAGAAGCUCCCCCAACUAAAUCCCAAAAGGGAAACAGAUUUGAACAACAUACAAAUUUGAAGGACACACAAAUAUGAAUCUCAGCACCGGUGAGAAAUUAAUUUUAGUUGAGGUUGGUAGGUAGGCAUUGGAAGUUUUUAUUGUUUUUGCUCCAAGUCCCUCCUCCACUCACUAAUACAGAUUACUCGCAAAUGAACUAAAGUCUGCAGGGAUAUAUGGACUCCCCUGUCCAUACGAAUGUUGGAAGAAAUGUGUGUUAAAUUUUAGAGAGACGGGUCUGUGACCCACCACUAGCAACGUUGAUAUUGUCUCCAACUUAACUACAUGUUUAGUAGAUGUGGGGUUUUAUACAAAAAGUAUUGAUGUUAUUGGGAAUGGAACCACUUAUUAUAAGUUAAAAUUUAUUUAGUCAAGUUUCCUAUGUGGGACUUUCUAUUCUUCAACAAGCCCCUUCAUGUGGGACCACCACAUAGUGGGCCACACGUAGAGCCAAGUCCACAUCGGAGUCAAUCAUUCAAGCCCAAUACCUAAACACCACGUAUUGUGUGAGGGGUAGGGGUAAACAUUCAAGCCCAACAUAUGAACACUGUAACAUCCCAACUCCAAAUUUAAUCCCUUAUUUAAAUUAUUUAAGUGAAAUUACAAAUUUACCCUUGGGGUAGGGAUAUUUUGGUCAUUUUCUUACCCGAAAAGAGUUUGGGGCAGUGACUAGUAUUUUUUGGUAGAUCGUACUGAGAUGAGUCUGUAGACAUGUAGUGGGCUCGAUUCGGAGUUGAAACGAAGAAGUUACGAGCAAAACAUCACCAAUGGCAAAACCGUAAAUAUUUCAAAAUGAAUUUUUAAUAAAAAAAACCUGAAAAACCCUCUCUCUCUCUCUCUCUCUCUCUCUCUCUCUCUCUCUCUCCUGCGCACAGCCCCUUUCCCCCCUUCGUUUUUUCUUUCCGUGGCUUCCAAGAGCCACCAUCGCCACCACGAAUCACCACCGGCCAUGAGGCCGGACUCGUUCGAACUGCCGCCGCAUCCUCUUCCUGUUCCGGUCGCUCCCAGUCGCUGCCAUCCGCUGUGCUGGCCGGAAAUCGAAGAAAACCAGCCGAUUUUUGUCAAACUUUCGGCCGCUCGUUCUCCCACUUCCGGCCACCAUUUUGGCCAUCCAGGUAUAGAUUUUGAACCUCUCGAGCUGUUCUUGCUGCCUGUUGUGUUAGAUUUGGGAGAUUUCCGCGUUUUGAAGGUCGAUUAAACGAUGGAAGUUUGGCUGGUUUUUGGCCUCCGAUUCCGGCCACUUUCGGUCACUUUUUGGGGUAGGUCCAAGAACAAAAGUGGUUCCAAAUAGGGUGUUAUACCUAGGGUAGGAGUCUUGAGCCGUGGUUUUGAGAUUUCUCGGUGAUGCGUAAUCGCUUUGGACACCCAUACGCUACCGGCGCGUGUGGUGGCGCGUGGGCACUGUAGAAAUGGGGUAUUGUGUCCCGAUGCGAUCCCCUUGUUGUCACGAGUGUGUAGUGUGCUCGGAUUCCAAUUUGGUUGACAUUCGAACCCCGAACGAAUUUCUCCUAUUGCACGUUAUCCGCGUUUGAUAGGUUUGAACCGUUGGAUAGUCUUGAAUUUAAUAUAUUUAAUCUAAGCAUUUCUAGGAUCGUGUAGGAAUUCACGGAUCAUGAAUCGGAACCCCGGAUGUUCCGAUUUAAUAAUUUAAAGUUUAUGUUUAUAUUAACUGUCAGAUCGUGCAAUCGUGAGCGAUCCGACCUUCCGAUCCGGACCAAACGUGCAGGACGUAUAUCCUAAACCUUGUGGAACCUAUAGGAACUUUCGAAUCAGAAUUUAGAGGUCGUGGGCCUAGUGGCCCCGUUUGACCAAGUGUGGAUAGUUUGACCCUUGGUUGACCUUGAGUCUUCCAAGGUAGUUUUCCUUCCUAGAAGGAUUAUAAUGACCCUAAUGACAGGUCUUGAGCGUUGUUGAGCCAUGUUGACUAGGUUAAGAUUUUUAGAGUGUUUAUUAUUGUCGUAGGAAACUCUUGGACAUUAUUUUAAUAAUUGGAAUUAUAAAAGUGAGUUUUGGGUUCGGCUAUGACUUUAGUGAAUGGACUUUAUUUUUAAAUGAAUAGCAUGGCUUUGUGAUGGAAUUUUUAGGCAUGUGAAUUUAAUGGUUUAUUGAAAUUCAUUUUUAUAAUUAAUAGUUAAUUUAGCAGUUUUGGUAAAGUAUUAGUGAUGUGUGGGGUACUUGGGAUUUUGUUGAGGUUUAUACAAUAUUAGAGAUUAACUUAUAUAUUUAAAUAUAGGUAUGAAUGUAUGAAAAGAGUUUAGAAUGUCAGUUUGAAGUACUAUACGCACUACCCUAGGUACCUCAUCGGAUUUUGAUUACACUAUAAGUACCACCCUGUGAUUGUCAGGUCACCCAUGGCGUAGGAUUUUCCGGCGGAAUGACAGACCCCAUACGUGACGUUGGAAUUUCCGGCGUAUGGGGAGAUGAUAUUAUGAUUGUUAAGUCACACGUGGCAUAGGUUAUCCGGAGUGCUGACAGACCCCAUAUGUGGCGUUGGAAUUUCCGGCAUAUGAGGAGAUUAUGUGAUUGUUAAGUCCCACGUGGCGUAGGUUAUCCGGCGGGAUGAUAGACCCCAUACGUGGGGUUGGAAUUUUCGGUGUAUGGGGAGAUGAUAUAAUGGUUAGGUCACAUGUGGCGUAGGAUUUUCCGGCUUGAUGACAGACCCCAUACGUGGCAUUGGAAUUUCUGGCAUAUGGGAGAUUAUGUGGUUAUUAGAGAGAUGAAUUAAGAUUAUUAUACUGAGUUGGGAACGAAUGAUGUUUGAAAAAGAUUUUGUUUGGGAUUUCUGCAAUUGAUUGCAUGUUGAUGGACUUGGAAAUUUUGUAUGAAAGAACUACGUGUGGCUUGAUCCCUUAGUAAGGGUACAUAUGCAGCUUAGGGUAGUGCCUAGGUGCAGCCGUGUGCUAAACUUUACUCAUGUUGUGUGAUGGAGAUUCGUUCGGACCUUGUUGUUAGUCCUGAAUUUUAGGUGAAAAUGAGAUGCAGUCUUGUUAGGAGGUUUAAAUUUUCUACGUUUAAUAUUUGGGAAUUUAGAUGAUGGAAAUCGCAUUUGGCGUUCAUAAAUGUGUUUGAGUUUAUAUUUGCAUUGUUUAGAGUUAGUUGGUGGUUUCGUUUCGAAUUAUUUGAAGGCCGAAGGCUGAUUAUGUGAUUUAUAUGAAAUUAUCUUGUGCAUACUGCCAGUUGUGAAUAUCAAAUGUGUUUUAUGCACGUUGAAAUUUUUAGGAUUGUUCAACUUACAGGGGAGACUGCCGAAAUUUCGGCAUAAAAUCUCGUGCCCUUAUUCCUUAUUGGGAAAAAUGAUUUAGUUUUAGAAGUGGGUUCGACAUCGGGGUGAUGUCGGGAAUUUUCACAGGAUUCAUCUCGGGUUUCGGGAAAUUCGGGUCGGGUCCUGUCAAACACCACGUAUUAGGUAAGGGUAAAGGCUCAAUUCAGGCCCAGUCAAUCAACCCAUUAUGAUAUCAUGUUAAAUUUCAGAUAGACGGGCCUGUGGCCCACCACUAGUAACAUUGAUAUUGUCCCCAACUUAACUACAUGUUUAGUAGGUGUGGAGUUCUAUACAAAAGAUCUCGAUGUUUUUAGGAGUGAAACCACUUAUUAUAAGUUGUAAUUUAUUUAGUCAAGUUUCCAGUCAACCUGACUUUGAUACCAUGUUAAGAUUUUAAAGGGACGAACUCUUGGCCCACCAUUAGCAAUAUCGACAUUGUCCCCAACUUAACCACCUGUUUAACAAGUGUGGGGUUUUAUCCUAAAGAACUCGAUCUUAUUAAGAGUGGAGCCAUUUAUUAUAUGAAACUUUCUAUUUUGUUAACUCUGUGUAUUCUUCAUCAAUGUGAACACCCCUAAACCAAUCAUACCUGAUACGGAUUGAAACACAAGUUUGUUUUUUGCCUUUGGUAGAUGAGUAGCUAGAAAAGCUCAAUGCACUUGCUCUUCUUCUGCUACAUUUCAAUAUAAGAACAAGGUUUGGAAGCCAGGUCAACUCCUCAUAGUUUCCUUGCCUUUGCUUUGACAUGUCUAUGCACUUCUUGGGGAAGUUUGAAUAAUCAAUUGCAGGCCCCACGACAACUAAGGAACCAACAUUUUGUAGAAGGUUUUGUCUACACCUUUUGACUAUAAGUAAAAUCUUUUGUAUCUGCUCUUAUGUUUCGGUGAAGUUUCUAUGUGUCCUUUGUUGAACGAAAAAAUGAGGUUGUUUCUUACUAGAUUCAAAUACUUAAAAGAAAAAAAGAAAUUAUUGUUUCUUAAUUGAUUUUAUGGUGAACAAUAUCAAACUCUCCUCUUAUACGUCUUCUUCGUUGGACUUGGGGUUGUUUUCCUUAUAUGUCCCUUAUAUAUAUAGGGCCUUUGGUUGAGCCCACAAAUACCUUCAGUUAGUUUUUGGGUUUAGGGGCCUACAGAACCUGCACUAAACAAUAAAAGAAAAUACCUAAUUAGUUUAGUACGAAUUCUAUAAUGAAGGCUUUAUUAGGUAAGAUUUUAUUUCUUAAUCGUUAGAUCAAAUUUGACAGGACCCGUUCCUGAAUUUCUCGGAAAUCAGAGCGAACCCCGUCCUUGUUUCGACAUCACCCCGAUGCAGGGUCCACUUACUAAAAACCGAGACUUUCUACCAAAAUUUUGAUAGAAUCUCCCUUGUAAAUUGAGCAAACCCAACAAAAAUUUCAGCCUGCAACAUACAUAAAAAUAAUCCCAACCAGCAGCAUGCUUACAACAUACAACAAAACGUACUAAAUGGCCUCCGGCCUCACAAGUAAAAUUUAACAUGGGUAAUCUACUGAUGUAAACGAUUCGGCCUUCGAACACUGCUUGCAACCUUCCUGAAGCGACUACUGGCUAAGGGGCGCAAAACAGAAAACAUGUGAGUGGACAAAAACAAGAUUCAAUUAAAACAACAUAGUAACCCCACCGUGUAAAAAUAAUGCUCAAGACAUGUAGGUUUACAAUUCAUAAUUAAAUAUUCAAAAACAAAUUUCAUUUAAAAUUCUUUAAAACCACAAAUCACUCCAUCCAUAAAACCUCAUGCCCACAAUUUUACUGCUCCUACCAACCCACUGUAUAGACUCUAAUUUCUUCACAAUCACAACUAUAUAUAAAUAUAUAAAUUGUAUCAUACAACAUACUCCUCACACUACUUAGGUACAGGGGAAACAAUCCAACCGGAGGAUCGUUUAACUAGCCCGCAGGAUUUUCAGGUGCUAUCCUGAGUCUAGGAAUGAGUGGUCCAACCAGGGGACGAAACUCUAUAGCUCACACACCGGAACAUCCAACGCCACGUGUAGCUCCAAUACUAAGUCCUACAGGCACAGACUGGAUCACCACACACCGGAACAUCCAAUGCCAUAUGUGAUAAUCCCAAGCAAUAUACAGAGUCUUCCCAUACGUCGGAACAUCCAACGCCGCGUAUGGAAAGUGUUCACACGCCGGAACAUCCAACGCCACGUGUGGGAAGCCUAUUAACUGGGGAAAGUACUUACAUAGUGUAAUCAUACAAUUUCUCUCAACAACUCCUCAUACUCAAGUUCUUCCACAAACUCACCUCAACAAUCCCAAGUACCCCACCUAUAGACAAUAUAUAUAUAACUUCCCCAAAAUCUAUACAAAACAUACUCUCGAUAUCCAAAUAUGCCAAACUCACAAUAUAUUGCCAAAGUGCAAUACAAACAUCAAAAUCAACACAUGAAUAUAAUAUAUAUUCAAUAUACCAUUUAAAACAUUAUGCGUAAAUCUUUCAUCAAUAAAACCAUGCGUAUGAUUGAAAACAAAGUCCACUCACAAGUAUUCCUACGCUGCUUGACCACGAGAGAGUCCUGCCUGCUGAGUACGUGCAGUAGGAGCACCUAUUUUGAGAUACAAACCUUUAAUUAAUAUAAAAUUACUUCAAAACGGAAAACACAAAUUAAAUACUUAAAUCCCCAAGUUCCCAGUACAUGUACGUUGAACGAGGUAUCCUAAGGUCUAGUUACAAGUUUGGGAAUCGCUCACGAUUGGACGGUUAUCGCUAACCCACAAAUUUUGAAUUAUUGAAUCGGAACAUUCGGGGCUCCGAUUCACGAUCCGUGAAGUCCUACGUGAUCCUAGGAAUACCUAAAACAACAUAUUUUAAUUGGAAAACGCACAAUAUGCGAAAAUCCGUUCGAUAGUCAAACGAUGUCCGAAUUGAGAUUCGCAAAAUGCUACGCACUCGUGACAACCUGAGGAUCUCAUCAGGACAAAGUGCAACUUCACCACCCUCACCCACGCGCCGGCAGCGCGUGGGUGUGUAGAGUAAAUUCCGGCGAUGGAAAAACUCCACACCUACUUGAGGUCAGGAUCUCAUCACUCAACUACAGGGAGGUUCAAUUAGGACGGCAACUGGCCGGAAUUUCACUUUGAAAUCCAGCCAAAACUUAGGUUUUCUAAUCGGUUCCUAGACAACAAAUCGAUCUAAACCUAUGCAACAGUCAGCUAGACUAAGGAAAAAGAGGAAGAAACCUCACAUUUUUCACUGGAAUCGGAAGGGAGAGGCGACGGGGCGACGUCGGGAAGACUCGGGUUUGAACCAGUCGAUGCCGUUGACGAUUCUCGCAUUUUUCGGGGGGACUUUGGGUGGUUCGGGUUAGUGGCUUCACGACGAGUCGAACGGGACCGGUCUCGGGGGCUGGGGUGGUCGGGUGUGGUGGCGGUGUGGUGGUUUUCGUCUCGGUGAACAGUAACAGGGGAGGGUUUCGCACGCGCAGAGAGGGACUCGGGAGAGAGAGAGAGAGAGAGAGAGAGAGAGAGAGAGAGAGGAGAGAAAAGAAAAAUUAGAUUUUUACUCUCCUCUUUUCAAAAUAUUUACAAGUUUGCCACUAAUGAUGUUUUGAUCGCCAUUUUCUUGUUACAACUCCGAUUCAAGCCUACCGCAUGUCUAGGAAUUCAUCUCAGUACCACCUACCCAAAAUUACCAGUCAUGGUCCCAAACUCUUCCCGUAACAGAAAAUGACUAAAAUACCCCUACCCCAAGGGUAAAUUCAUAAUUUCACUUAAAUAAAUUAAAAAUAGGAAUCAAAUUUGGAGUCGGGGUGUUACAAAAUUGGUUAGUACGAUCCAACGGUUAAUAGAUAAAACUUUACAUAAAAGUCAUAUAUAAGGCCCUCACUAUAGAAUGACUCGUUAGUUUAGUCUCUUGUUACAUAUCAACUGUUAGAGAUAUUUUUUUAAUAAGGAUCUACCAUACCACAUAGUUGGAUAAGACAUUAUACACAACUUUUGUAAGAGCAUCUCCAGCGAGCCAGGCCAGCCCAAGCAGCAAGGGGCCUUAAGCCCGGUAAGCAGCUCCAGCGCUCAAGAUUCAGCCCAGGCAAGGUGUGGAACCCACAAGGAGAUCUGGCCCGUCACCUUGCCUUUGGGUUUCAGUCAGGCUGAUGUCAACGAAAGAAUUUCAAAAAAAUUUUGCCGUUGCAAUGCACGCGCCAACGAUAAAUUUUCUUUGGAUUUCUUGCGUUGAUCCACAGCUACCAAAAACCAACGGCUACAAGCCACGUGGCUUCUCCAAGAGCCUCUGAUCCAAAAAUCUUGUCAAAUCUAACGGCUGUCCAUUUUUUGGCUAAAAAAAUAUCAAAAAAUUAUGGAAACAUUUUCUAUAAAUACCUACAAAUAUUAUUCACUUCCCACACCAAACCUUCAUACAAAUUCAUAUCCUUUCAAUAUUUUUCACUUUCCACACAAGAUUUUCUACUACUAAAUUUCAUUUGUGUAAAAAUACAAGUGGCCUCUUCUAUCAAAGCCGGAGGCGCGUGGACAACCGUGGAAGAUAUUUUGUUGUGUGAGUGUUGGGUCAAAGUUGGUCAUUGCCCGAUCACCGGCAAUGAGAUGAAGUCCUCUCGUAGGAGUUUCUGACAUCGCAGCGAAAGUAAGAUGUGAUAUGAGAAUGUAAGGAAUUUGAUGAGAGGAAUGGGAUUUGAGGAGUUUGAUGUAGGAAUUGAUGUUGAAUUGGAUUUGGGAGGUAUGUAUAUAUGAUUUGAGAGUAUGUGUUUAGGGAUUUUGAUAGGAGGAUUUGAGGAAUUUAGAUUUGAGGGAUUUGGAUUUGGGGAAUUUAAAUAUGAGGAAUUGAUUUAGGGUUUGGGUUUGAAUAUGAGAAAUUUGAUAUGAGAGUUUAGAGACAACUGAUGAUUGAUUGCUCUAAUACCAUGCUAAAAUAUAAAUAUGGUUUGAAUACUUUAGGUUGAGUUUUAUUCUUUUCCAUAAGGAGGUAUAUAUAGCAGUUUACAUGAGUGUUUUACAAGGAAAUAGAUACAGUAAUCAAUUAGGAUAAUAUCUCCUAAUUAUACAAUAAUUUGUCAACUAUAUAGAAUAGGAAAGUAAAUUCCUUAAUUAAUCAAGAAAAUAAAUCUCAUUGAUUAAUUAAGAGACUAACGUCAACAUUUAUAAGCCAUGGAAGAGCAGAAAAAGAGGUACUUAGGAGAUUUUAUACGUCGGACUAAGGUAAGCUUAAAGGACUAUAUCAAAAAAAUAAGGGACCAAGAAGCAAGACUGAGAAGUUGUUAUGCAAACCCAUUAAGUUUAGCAGUGAUGAAUUUGUAAAAAUCAUUCUAGUGGAUGCUGCCUUCACUAUUGAGUUCUUAUUGAGGUUCUAUCUGAAAGGAUGUAGACAUGAAGGAGACCGCUUAUUAAACAAAUCAGCUCCCAUUCUUUAUUCUUGAGGAUCUUUAUCACACAUACAUAAUAACCGACUCUUUUAGGAAUUAUUACAGUACUCAUGAUCAUGAGAGGCUUUCAAUAAUUAAUAUUUCUAAGAAUUUCGUCACAGCUGGAAUAUUGAAUUUGGAGGGGAAGGGAGACAAAUGGAACAGAAUAUCAUCUUCUUCUAGUGUUGGAAAUUUUAUAUUAUUUAAUAAUAUUUAAUUUCUAUUGUGAAUGAAAAAUAAGUUUCUUUAAGAAACGUGUGUCUUAGGCCAGUUUUUCUAACUGGUCGGCUUCCUUAGAUUUGUGCCUAUUGCUUUUCAAAGUAUAAUGAUGCAAUGGUUGUAUCUCGUUCAGGCAAAUGGAAGGUAUAUAGCAAUUUAUAGAACAAUACAGUAAUCCAGAAGAAAUAUUAUGAAAUGAAAAGAAUAAAAAGUAAAAAAAGAGAAGGAAAGGAAUUCCCACCUGCAAUGUAUAUGUAUGAAAGGAAGGACCAAGUUUGUUUUAAAAUGGUAAGAACAAGUUGAUUUAUAAUUGGGUUCAGAUCAACUCAUGGAUUUCUUGCCUUUUCUAUUCUCCUUCCUUGGACAUGAACUGUUUAAUCUUGGCUCUUCCCCAUCAUGUUGGGCCUAUCUUCUUCUUGAGGAUUGUAUAGGCCCAGGAAAUGCUUCAAGAUAGUUUUUGUGUUUUGGGCAUUGGGACCUAACUUCACAAAAAGAAAACAGAUUUGGCCAAAAAACAAAUUUGAAGGACAUUGAAAUUGUACCUGUAGGAUAGGUUAAAACACUGUAAGGGAGGUAAAUAGUACGUUUACAUAGUUUAAGUGUAAUAAAGGAAUAAAAACAUGCCCAGAGGAUUGAUAAGUGAUAUCAAUUCUUGAAUAUAGAGAACGUAAAAUAAAGGAACACGUAUAAAAUUAUUUUAUGUGGUAAAACCCCAUCUCUAGGGAAAAUCCACGGGACUUCUUAGUCCAAAACAAAUCUAUUAUAGAACGAUGAUUACAAGAAGUACUCACACACUUAUCCUAGACACAUUCUAGAUAAUGUUUACUGACCUCUUCGUAACUCAACUUCUGUCACAGGAUGAUCUUUCGACACUUCUUAUGUUGAACGCAAUACUAGUCACGAUUUCUUUCAAGCUCAUUGGAGAAAAACCGCCACAACAGUCUCGGUGCCCUCAAUCUUAUGAGUCACUGAACAUGCAAAUGAAUACAAUAUGAAUGAUAAAAGUGUUUGAUAAAUCACCAAGUUAUGGAACACUUGAUGAUUUAUUUCAAGUAAAAAUUCAGCUUUCCAAAGUUUAUGAAUUGAAAAUAUGAUCGUUAAAGCUCUCUAAACAAAAAAAACGAAGGUCUUAUUUUAUAGACUUUUUCUUUACAAGAAAGAAAACACGUUGAAAACCAAAUCUCCAAUUUCAAGGCUUGACAGAAAAUCACAAAAGUAUCUUUCCUAUUCUAGAGAUUGGUCACAUGAAGUCCAACCAAUAGGAAAUGAGAUAUUUAAGAAAGGAAGAUUUUGAUCAAUAUCAAUAUCAAAUGAAUUCUUAUAUGCCUAGUCAACUAUUAAGGGUAUCUUAACUACUUGAUAUUAUGAUAUGAUUGAAACAUGAUUUCCACGUUAGAAAAUUAAGGGGAUUUUAAAACAUGAAAGUAAUAGGAGAAUCAAAUUGAUUUGGACCAAAAUUGCCUAAAAAGAAAACACUCCUAAAUAAACUUCAAUUCACUUUUAAAAACAGUAAAACUUGAUUGAAUCGUUCUUUAAAACAAUUCCCUAAUAUACAUGCAUGAUAGUGACAUCACUUACCUCUGAAUCAGAUGCCUUUUACGAGUCAAGCCACAAGUUUGUGUUUUGGGGAUUGCUGAGCUGCAUCAAUCCUGCCAAUGUCAAUUCUGCCCCUAGGCUCUCUCAAAGCACGUUUACAAUCUAUGCUAAUAUAUACUAGAGUUUAUGCUAGUAUCUAGAAAAUGCCAACACUAAUUUCGUAACACGUAGAAAUUGUUAGAGAUUGGAAGUUUUUUUCAUUUUUUUCUUCCAGACUCUCCACCACUCACUAAUACAGUUUACUCAUGUGAUGAAUUUACAAAACCUAUUUCUCUACUCUCACAAAGACUAUACUUAGGGGGGGUGUAUUCAAUUAGGAGUCUAGAGCGUUUAAAAAGAUUUUGUUUAAGUGCCAGCUUUCAUAGAACUUGAUGGAACUUUAUAAUUCGUAUAGAACUUGAUAGACUUUCAGAAGACUUCUGUAUAAUUUGUUAAUAAAACUUUCUUAAGCUUUCAUAGAACUUGAUAGGCUUUUAUUCCAGAAUUAUGUAGACAGUAUAUUUCAUUUUAUCCCCAUCCUUGUCAUUUAAAGAAAGAAACUUGAAUGUUUUCAAUCAAAUUUGUUUUUGUUACCAAAGCAAAAACAAAAAGUACUUGUUUGCGAAGGAAGAACAUAUGCACAGUUCAAAAUGAAAAGAAUAAGAAGCAAAGUACCUAUUGGACCAAUGAAUGCUGUGUCAACUAGAGAAGCAAUUGGAUCGGCUGUCAAAGCCAAUGCUACAGGCAAUGCAUCGAUGGUCCAAAUUGCAAUAAAAAAUAUUUUGUAUAAUGGUUCUUGCAGACAAAGACCACAUAAAUUCUGGACUGGUCCAGCUUGAAUAAUAAGGUUAGAUUAGCCGAUGGAUGAGAGUAAAAGCAAAGAAAGUUGAUGAAUUCAUCACCAAUUAUUUAAUAACUGUAACAUCCCACAUUGACCAACGGAGAGGGGGUGAUGUGCCUUAUAUGUACAUGCCCACUUCCAUCUAGCAUGAGUCCUUUUGAGAGCUCACUGGCUUCGGAGUCAUGGGAACUCUGAAGUUAAGCGAGUUGGGGCUAAAGCAAUCCCAGGAUGGGUGACCCACUGGGAAGUUGCUCAUGAGCUUUAGAAACAAAAAUCAUGAGGGCAUAAAGGGAGGCCCAAAUUGGAUAAUAUCGUGCUACGGCGGAGCCGAUCCCAGGAUGUGACAAUAACCAAUAGAGUAUUUAAACAUAAACAACAAUGUUUGAUAAACAAAACAAAUAGUCCAAAUAUUAUCCAAAAAACAAUUCUAAAACCAAUCAUUCCAAACAAACUAGUCAUUCCCAAAAACUCUCAAAAAACCCACUCAUUCCAAAUUAUAGGAUAUCCAAUUUGAGCGCUCCUCAGGAGACAUUUUCAAAAAUGCAUCCUUUUUUGUGUUACUAUGCAACAAAGAGAGCGCUUUAUAAUGAGCACGUUCAUCCAAAUUUGAGGUCUCCUUAAUGGCAUCCCACAUAUAACUCUGCUGCUCUCGCUCUUUUCCCCUUUUUGCCAAUAGGUUAUGGACCUCCCGGAAGUCGGUGACAAUUGAAUCAAUGCUAAGGCUAAUUCUUCCCAUAGCUUGUUGGGUGGUCACAUUUGAGAUGGCAUUCCCUUCCAAAUCUAUUCUAGUUCGUUUCCUCUAGUAACAAGCAUAAAUCCUAGUAACAAGCAUAAACCCUAAUCCCAACCUAUAACCUAAUAACAAGAAAAACACGAUGAAAAAAAAAUCAUGGAAAAAGAAAACCCAACGAGGUAUUGAUCAAAAAAAAAAAUAGGGAGCAUACCUUCACAGAUGGAGGAAGGAAGCUGUUUGUCUUCACAGAGAGAAAAGCUAGGGAAAGAGAAAAACGUCUGAUGAAAUACUUUGGGGGGAGGUUGGAUUUCUUUUGGUCUUUGAUAUUUAUAACUCUCCCCUUAAAACCUACAAAAAUUUAUCACUUAAUGAAAUCCUUCCAAAUAUAUGACCUUUCGAAUACACCUAGAUUUGAUUCAACUUUUUUAUAAUCCUAAUUGAAUACACCCAUAUUUGAGUGGACUUUUUAAAAGUUCAUAUAAGUCCGAAUUGAAUACACCCAGACUUGUAAAACCUCUUUUAAAGUUUGUAUAAAUCCAAAUUGAAUACACCCGGAUUUUUAAAAUAUUUUUUAAACGCUUUAUAAUCCUAAUUGGUACAUCCCCCUUAUUCUCAAAAGACUAUAUCACUUUACCUCUAUCUCUGUGAAAUGUAAAAAGUUGAAACUUUAAUGUCAAACCUCGACAAAAGAUGAACUUCCAUCAGUUGCGUUGAAUUUGGAUUUGUUGAACUAAAGUGGUUUUACUUUCUCUGUCAGUGUUUGAUGACUUAAUUUGGUAUUUACUUCUUUUUUUCCUUGGAAAUGUGUUCCACCAACGUGAGGAAGAAAAAUGUGCACAAAUUAAUAUAUUUAAUAAAAGCCCAAGAUUUCGGAAGCACAUAAUUUCUACAAAAAUCUAGAAAGUGUUCUACUUUACAAACUUCUUAUGUCUAUCAAUUUCUACUAAAAUUAAUUUCUCUGUGGUGCUCAGAUUCAUCAUAUGUGUGUCCUUAAUUUUAUUGGAAAUUAGAAGUUUCCAUAAUUUUUAUUUUUUGGGAAUUUUCUGAACCAAGAAAAAUCAAGUAAAAUUAAUAAAGCUUAAAUUGGAAAGGGAAAAUAUCUAGAGGACGCAUUGUAGGAUUUCUCAUGCCGAUAAUUGUACCCUCUAAAUAUAUAGGGACAUAUUUUUUUUGUUUUCAUGACAUGUGGUCCUAAAAUUAUUGUUCCUAGCGGGCUCUCCACCCCCUCUCAAAUUUACGUGGUCCAUUAUGAUUAACCAUAUAUUUUAUUGACCAUCCAGCUGUGAGGUUUUAUCCCAAAAACCUUAGGUACAUUUCUCAAUUAUGUCUGAUACAUCACAUCAUGCCACAAUUGUAUAUUCACAAUUAUGUCUGAUACAUCACAUCAUGCCACUUGCCUCAAAUGAAUUUAAGUGAGUGUGGCAGUGGGAAGUAAUUACUUCUAGGUGCCCCUCAUCAUUCGUCUAUAAAAUGGUGAAGCCAGUGGCUAUAAGAGCCAGCUCCAACUUUCUUUUAUUCGUCUAUAAAAUGGUGAAGCCAGUUGCCAAGUUAAUUUCAGUCCUAAUGGGGUUUCAUCUCCCACUCAUCUUUGCUAUUCUCAGUGUAAGCUCUGCAAUUUGAUUAACUUUUCCAUUCUCUCUCAUUGUACUCUAUAUAAACGAAAGUUUUGUGUUCCUAUAAUUCUCUUUGAUUUUAUUUAGUACGUACUUAAGUGUCGUCCACUAAUUAAUUACAGUUUGUGAGAUUUGAUUUUAAUUAGAGUUCGAAUUAAUGUUGCAGCUAGCAGUGGUUGCACUGGCAAACCAUGCUGCUCAACCAGCACCUCAACUUUACUGGAACUCCGUCCUGCCAAACACACAAAUGCCAAGAUCUAUCAGUGAACUUCUGCAUCCUGGUUUGUGUUGAGCUCUUUAGAAUCUUAGAUAUCUCUUCUACCUGCCAUUUUACUAAAAUAUGUUCGACCACAUAUUUAUCAGUUAACUACUGUCAUUACAUGAGUGACACUUAUUCACAAAUCGGCUGAUCACUUAUUUUCCAUUUUACAUGAGUGAUAUAUAAUUUGCAGACUCCACAAAUGAAGAAAAUAUCGUGAAUGCUGUUGGGAAUGGAAAGCGCAAACCUGAAAUUUUCCCAUUGAGAAAUAUAAAUUACGUUCAAAGCCAUUAUGGAGUGUUAAAUAGAAAUUACGUUCAAAGCCAUUAUAAAAAACGUCCUCCUCCACCUGAAAAUAUCCCAUUUGCAAAUCGAAAAAAGUACGCACUAGGUUCUCCUCCAUCUGACAAUCAACUACUCCAUUAUAAAGAGUUAGCUAUUUUCUUCUUCGAGAAGGACAUGCGCCCUGGCGCAACAAUGAAGUUCCAAUUCCCUAGAAAUUCAAACACGGCUACUUUCCUGCCACGCGAAAGUGCUCAAUCGAUCCCCUUCUCCUCUAACAAACUACCAGAAAUUUUCAACCAUUUUUCAGUGAAGCCAACAUCUGUGGAAGCCAAAACAAUUAAGCAAACAAUCGAAGAGUGUGAAGCUCCAGGCACUAAGGGAGAGGAAAAAUAUUGCGCCACAUCUUUAGAAUCAAUGGUUGAUUUUAGCACUUCGAAGCUUGGAACAAGAAACGUUGAAGCAGUCUCGACGGAGGUAUUGGAAAAAGGAGCCACCAUGUCCAUGCACAACUAUACAACAAUGCCGGGACUGAAGAAGUUGGCAGGUGACAAAGUCGUUGUGUGUCAUAAGGAGAACUAUCCCUAUGCUGUGUUUUUCUGCCAUGCAAUAAAACAAACAGCAGCUUAUGUUCUCUCCCUGAAAGGCGAUGAUGGGGAGAAGGUUAAAGCAGUAACCAUCUGCCAUCUAGACACAUCAGAAUGGAACCCAGAGCAUUUGUCCUUCCAAAUCCUCAACGUUAAGCCCGGAACCGUUCCCAUCUGCCAUUUCAUUUCCACUGAUGCUAUUGCCUGGGUUCCAAAACACAAAUUUGCAUGAUCAUCACUUAGCACUGUGGUGUAAGAUAUAUGAUGAGAUAAAGUUUUUGGUAUUAGUGGUCGGGUUGCCUGAAAAACACAGAUUACAGAAACUGCUUGAAAUUAACCCGAUCAUGUUUUCUCUUGUAAGACUUCAACUUGUACUCCUAAAGCAAGUUAUAUUUAUGAAGAGAUAUUAAUCUAUAUAUAUUUUAUGUAUAUAUAUAUAUAUAUAUAUAUGCUUUGGCUUUGUGGUUCUACCCAGUGUUUGAGUGUUGAAUUGUUACGUUGGAAUAGGCUGAUAAUGCGUGUAGUUAGAGAAGCCUUCAUUUAUAUCAAAGUCCUCAAACUAUCAAGAACUAAUGUAUCCAGAAACAUAUACCAAGACGCAAAACAACAUAUUUUCCAUGCUCUGUCUGUAACGCCAAAGCAAACUUCCUUUAUCACAUCAUUUAAAGGAUCAAAUUCCAGUACUAAUCUAAUCCAUCAUGUAAAGCAUACAAGUGCCUCCCUAAAUUUGUCCAUUGGAUAUAAAUGUUGAGAAAAUUAGAGUACACAACUCUAAUAUGAUAGUUGUACACAACUCUAAUAUCAUAAAGCAAACAAAAUUUCUAAGUUAGUUUGCUUUAUGAUAGUUGUUUUUUGAAGGGGUCCUUAGAUCCUAUCUCAAAAAGUUUGGCUUUUAUUAGGUUUAACUCUGGUUUUUAUCUCUACCCACUAACUUUUAUCUCUCAUUUUUAUUACCCAUUUUACCCUUUAAAAUAAAUAGGGCAAUAAACUAAAAAUUCUGAUUUAAUGCAUGUUUUACUCAUAAGAGAACUAAAAACUAAAAAUUCUAUACUCUAACACAAAAAAUGAAAACUAAAAACUAAAAUUGAAAUGGUUUCAAGCAAUUGCAUGUCAGGCGCUAUAUAUAAUGUAUUAGCCAUGGUUUGUUUAAUACGCGGUCAUUCGUCAUUUUCCCAUUCAAAAUAUUGAAAUUACGAACUACAUACCAUGAAAGAUAAGAAACUAAAAGCUUCAAGCAAAUAGAAAUGUGCUACAAACAUAGUAAUGAAGAUGUGGAAGCAUUAUCUCAGACGAAUGAUUCUGAAGUGGAAAAAACAAGAACAAAAAAGGAAGUGAGUUAAAUUUGCACCUGCUAUGUUCAAACGACAAAGUUGGUUUCCCUUUGGUCGAUUACAAGAGAAGCUCAAUGCAGCUUACUUGGUUCCUCUGGUAGAUGAAAAUAUAAUUUUUCUCCUAAUAAUAAGGGUAUAGUGCAAUCAAUGAUGGGCUGUAUAGAACAACUUUUUUGUUUUAUGUGUUUAUGUGAGACAUGUUUUGCCAGAUUGAAUUAAUGUCUUCUAGCCAUGUACCUUAUCUUUUUGCCGGGCCAUGAGUUGAAUGUAGAGGCAAAGUAUGGACUUGGGGUCAAGUUUGACUUGUAAAAUAAUUAGGAAUUGAAUGGCUCCUACGUUCAAUUAUUUUAAUUUUUUUUCCCGAGCCAUUCAAUUCCUAAUUAUUUAGAUUUUCGAUUUAGUGAGCAUCCACAAUCAUGCUCUCUAUUUUUAAGUUAAAUUUUAGUUAAAAACAUAUAAAAGUUAUUUAGGAGCUCUCUAUAAAAUUUAAACUUCAAUCGUUUUCUAUAGUUUAGGGAGUCAUAAAUGUCAUAACUCUUUUUUGAUUGGUCCAUCUCUAUUAAAAAAUAAAAUAAAAAAUAGUUAGCAUGAAAUAAAGGUUUGAAAUACUCAUUAAAUAAAGCAGCAUUAAAUUAUAGGGAGCCACUAAGAGUCCUUUCUCUCUCCUCAAGUUUAGGAGCUCCUAGAGGUCUCCCUAUUUUAAGAGGUGGAUAGGGAGUAUGGUUGGAAUUGUAUUUUUACAAUUCCUCCCUAAAAAUUUUCUAUGGAUAGGUGGUUUUAAGGAACCCAUUGUGGAUGCUCUGAUCUCAAAGAAAGAAAACCUCGAGUUUGCAAGCAAGUUUUCUACGUAUGUAUAUAUGAAAAACUGACAUUUAUGAAAAUAAUAAAUCCAUAUUUUUAUGUAAGCCAACUUUCUAAAUCCAUGUACUAUAUUUAUUAGGGAAAUAUUGGAGAAACUGAUUAUUUUGAAAAAUUAAAUGUGAAAAACUGAACAAAAAUUUGACAGGUUACAUAUUUCAACUCAUUCAGCAGCUUAGGUUGUGAAGACCUCAGAAGAGGCUAUGCAAUGAGCCUAGCUAGUGCACUGUUGAUCACUUCAGUGUUUACCGAUCUGUAAUUUUUCCAGAUUGGUUAUAUUUUCCUUUACAUAUUCUUAUAUUUUUCCCAGUUGGGGAGACUUAUAAAUAAACCCAAAAUGGGUACAAUAUCUAUACAGAAGGACAAAAUUAAAGUGUUUGGACAAUAAUCCCCUAUUCAUUUUGGGAUUGCCUAAGGAAUUCUUUUUCUGAUUUUCAAUGAUGCAAAGGACUGUUGUUUGAUGCUUGCCGUAUGGAGCUAAGAAAACUUGCUUUGAUAGUUUUGGACAGAUGCAAGCUACUGUUGUUGGUAGGGGUGGGCACGGUCCGGAUUGGUUCGGUUUUACUCUCAAACCACAGCUGAACCAAUAAGAAAAUAACGGUUCGGUUUGGUUCGGAUUAGCCUAAAAUCAUAAUGGAAACCGAACCAAUCCAAACCACUUGUAAUCGGUUUGGUUCGGAUUGGUUCGGCCGGUUUGUGCCUAACACAAAACCAUGCAUUUUUCAACCUGCUCUUACAUUAUAAUGCUAACAUUUUGCCAUUAUAUCAUUCCAUUCCAUUCCAUCAAAGGCUAAUACAACAUCAUUCCAUUUAUUCAAAGGUUGUCCAAUGUCUAGCAUGCAUCUAAGUUCACAAUUUCCAUCAAAACAAACAUAUACAUAAUUUGCAUUAACCAAGUAGCAUUACAUUUACUCAUUGCAUUCAUCACAAUUCAUAAGAGAUGAGAACGAAUCAAUUUUACUUUAACAUAUUAAACAAAUGCAUUCUUUGUAAUAGUUAAACAUUCUCACAUCAUGAAUAUCGGCAAGCUUAUAAAGCUGCUGCACCAACUUGCUAAUUGAUUCGUCUGUACCAGGAACAACAGUAGUAAUGCGAGAGAACCCCUCAACUUCUGCAUGGCCAACAGCUAAACUCUGGAAACGAGAAACCAGCUCAAUUAUAACAAAUGCCUAAAACUUCUACCUUAACAGAAGACAAAGGAGGAAAUAACAGCAGAAGGAAACCAAAUUUCUCAAUUUAAUAACUGAUAUUUCCAAAGGAUUCUUAAGUCUAAAAUUCGACCAAGACUUGAUUAACUAUUCCAAUGUCUAGCAUGCAUCUAAGUUUAUAACUUUGUUCCUUCUUUAACAAAAAGAACAAGGAGAAAAAGCUAAUAAUAAGGUAUCCUUCUUUAACAGGCAUCAAGCAUAUCACAUAAGCAACAUUUUAUAUACAUUAUUCUAUGAACAAAACUAAAUCAAAGCAAGGUAUGCUACAGUCUUUUUGUACAAUAAAAUAGAUUAACAUAUUUUAUAACCAUAAAAAUGAAAAAUUAGGCCUCAUAGAAAAUACCAUUUUAUUUUUCAACUCUCUAACUUUUUAUAUAACCAGUUAUUGGAGACAAUACAAAAAAUAAAGUAGUAGACAGAACUAGCAUAUUUUACAAACCCAGCUGAUGAUGACGAUCCACCACCAACAAUAUUCCCAUAAUCAAUCCUUGCAUAACCUGAUGGUCGAUGAUGGAACUUGGGUUUUGUAGAGAUGGAUUUCGCUGAGGACAAAUGGGUGGGUUUCGCCGAGUUCGAAUCAUGUUGGCUUGAGUUAGCGUCGAGGGAGAGGGAGAGGGAGAUGUAGCAGAGAGACAAAGAGAGAGGGAGAGGUAGCAGAGAGAGAUGGAGAAAUAAUGAGAGGGAGUUGCGGCUAGGGUUAAGAGACGAAGGAAGGGAGAUAGGAGAGAGGCUCUUCUGAGGGAGAGAGAAUGGUUAGAUAACUUAGAUGUGUCCGUGAGUUGUAGUUUUGGAGUCCAAUCAAGUGUUGCAGGGUACAUGGUACACUCUUAAAUAACCACUCAAACCUUGCCACAUGUAAACUAAAUUAAAUAAAUAAUAAAUUGAUUUAUAAUCGGUCCGGUUCGGUUUAGGACAGUUUUUAAAACUCUCAAACCACAGCUGAACCAAACCAAACCGGUUCGGUUCGAUUUUUCAAAAUGUUGACUUUUUCUUUGGUCAAAACCAAACCAAACCAAUCCAAUAUAAUCGGUUCGGCUGGAUUGACCUGAUCGGCCAGAUUGAUGCCCACCCCUAGUUGUUGGGAUGAUCUUUUCACGUGAAAUGAGGAUGACGAUACUUCUACACUACACAAUCCAACGAAUUCACAUUUCUAUUUCAGAUACAUGUAUAAACAGACAAGGCUUUAAAAUAUGGGAUGCUGCACUGUUGUUGCUGCUGCUGACACUGUUACUGUGUUGCUGCUACUGUUACUGCGCUGCUACUGGAAGAAGGACAAGGACUUCACAUGUUGCUUUCGUCCUUUGUGGAGGAGAGAGACCUAGGACUUGCAUGUCUUAGAUAUUUAAGAUAAGGGGCUUUCGUGCCAUUUUGAAAAUACUUUGGGUGUUUUUGAAAGCUGCUUGUUUCUUUUGGGUUUCUCACUAAAUUUCGCUAUUAGAAGGGAAAAUAAUAAUAAUAAAAAUACAGCUCUUAUUAGCAACAGGGUUACAAAUUCUUCUACAACACACCAACUGUUGUAAAAGUUUGAAGGUGGAGCCCACAGAGGAAGUUUCCUUGCAUCUUCCAGGAACUUUCCCUUCCCUGUAUUUAUCAAUUCAGGAAGUUUCCUUGCAUCUUCCAGGAACUUUCCCUUCCCUGUAUUUAUCAAUUGAGGAAGUUUCCUUGCAUCUUCCAGGAACUUUCCUUCCAUGUAUUUAUCAAUUCAGGAAGUUUCCUUGCAUCUUCCAGGAACCUUCCCUUCCCUGUAUUUUACCAAAACCUUAGCCUAUAAAUAGGCUUGCUCAUUCACUUGUAAUACACACCAAAAUGAAGAGAAGAAUGAGUGAGGAAAGAAAGAAAGGAAGAGAAGGAAGAAAGAGGGUGAGUAAGUAGAGAGAAAAAUAGAGUGGAGAGAAAUUAGUGAGCCACAUAUAUUGUAAACACUAAAGUUGUAGCCCUAUUAUUUUACAUAGUGGAAAAGUUACUACUGCUGCUCUCCGGGGACGUAGGCAUAGCCGAACCUCGUUAAAUACUGUGUCUCAUUUACUUUACGUGCAGCUCAAUAUUCAUACAUAUUCCAGGUUAUUUUUAUAACACGUUAUCAGCACGAGAAGCUCUCAGGUAUAAUUUUUGUGCUGCACUAUUAUCUAUACUACUAACCACUAACAAAAAUGGACCCUUGGUAAUACUAAACAUAUUAUCAGUGGGAGACCGUUACUAAUACUAACUUUUUCUUAUUUUAUUCGGUGGUGGUUUUAACCCCACAUUUAUUUACUGUAUGGUGUAGGUUUAUUACCCAUACAUGCACCUUUACUUUAUCGCAAAUUUAUUUUACCGCAUAUUUAUUUUAUUUACUGUAUGGUGUAGGUUUAUUACCCAUACAACAGUAUUUAUUUAAAAGGGUGGUGCGAGUUUAUCGUCCACGCCUUUGCUUUUAUUUAAAUGUAUGGAGCAGAAUUAGUGCCCAUACAAGCACAAUUUACUUUACCGCACAUUUAAUUUUAUUUAAAGUAUGGUGCGGGAUUAACGUCCAUACAGCAAGCAAUUUAAUUUAUGAAUUUAAUUUACCGCACAUUUACAUUUAUUUAAAAGGGUGGUGCGGGUUUAUCGUCCACGCCUUUACUUUUAUUUAAAUGUAUGGAGCAGAAUUAAUGCCCAUACAAGCACCUUAACUUUAUGAAUUUAAUUUACUGCACAUUUACAUUUAUUUAAAGUGUGGUGCGGGUUUAUCGUCCAUACCAGUAAUUUAUUUAUCAGCAAUUUAUUUUAUGGAUUAAUUGUUUAUUUAUCAGCAAUUUAUUUUAUGGAUUAAUUGUGCUGUAUGAUGAGUUUUUCCAGUAUGCAGAUCAGGACCAGAAGUUCCUUGAUCCUCAUCAUACAAUUACAUCAGGACUUGAAGAUCCUUGAUGAUGAUAUUAAAAUGAGAGCUGGCAGUCUCACCGGUACUGUAUUUGUAAACAUGUGAUUGGACUUAAAGGUCCUUGAUCCCUGACAUGUAAAUAAGGACCUAGAGUUCCUUAAUGAUGUAACAGUACCGUAUUGGUUCAUAGUGCCGUACACAUUGAUGAUAACUGUACUGGCAGAUGAAUAGAUACGUAUUCAUGACUUGAUGAAUAGUACUAUUCACAUGAAUAGUGACGUAUGCAUAAAUAUUAACCAUUUUGGGUAAACCGUCACUAUAUACAAAAGGGAACCUGCAGUUCCUUAAACUCAUGGAUGAGCAAUUAAAUGAGAUGCCAGAAGUUCCUCAAAAUAUGGACAAUUAUGUAAGGGCUUGAAGUCCCGAAAUAUGUACAGAAAAUUGUAAAAAUGUCCAUACCAUGAGAAUAUGUGGCUUUGGCCUGAAGUUCCAAAUUUAACAGUGUUGAGAACCUGAAGUUCCAACAAUUAAAUGGACAACCCUUGAGGUAUUAUUGCAAAUUGUGGUAUGCCACAUAUUUCUUUGGCAUAAGAAGAUGAUGAAUUUAAUAAAGUUCGAUUUUGUUAUAAUCGACACCUCAAGGAAGAAAUAUAUUUUGUGAAUUCCGGUUGUUAAGAAUACACCGCGAAAUGGAUAAUAUUAAUAUAAACCUCAAAUAAUGAAUUGAGACUCCCCACAUAUUUUGUUAUAUCUGGGCCGGAAGCCCAUGGAUCCAAAUAUAUGAGAGAUCCUAAACUUGAAGUUGUGGGUAUAUAGUAGUUAAUGCUCUUCACUACUAUAUUGCGAUAUUAUCAUGGCUUUUACUCAAUUCAUAUUUCAUGUCCAUUUGAAAAGGGCAAAUAAAUUCUGAGUUUGUGCCCAGGCCAUAAGUUCCGGGCUACCAUACGUUGAAAUAUGAAAUUUGGGAGAGUCGAUGUGGUUAUUUGAACCUAUAAGGCACAAGGUUCCAAAUCGUCAUUUUGAAAAGACGUAAAAACCAAAGGUGCAAGUUUAAGAAUGUGCGCAAUUAUUAUUACAGGAACAUACAACAGAUAGAUUUUUUCCACUUGCAAUGAAGGUGCAGGCCCUGUAAAAUCUAUAAAAUUACAUUAUGUUCUGGAAGCCUCUGAAGGAAGAGGACGGCGCCUCUUAAGCUUAGCCAUGAGCUUCUCAUGGUCUCCCAAAAUUCUUUCAUUGGAGACCUGCAGCAUGUCUAGCCUUCUCAGUGUAUCAACAGAGUACGAACUCACCAGUUUCAACAAGGAAUUAUUCUCUCCUUUAAGUUUCUCAACCUCCUGUUGAGACUCAUGAAGCAUUCUUUGGAGAGACGAAUUUUCAGUUGUUAAAUUCUCAACCUCGUUUGCUCUGGCACGCAAACGAUCAGCCAUGUUAGAAACAGAAACAGCACUCUGAAUGCUAAAAGCCAUUGAGUCAUCAAUAGCCUCUUCCUCUGAUCUCCCCGUCAACAACAUUUCAUCCAUUGGAGUAAUGAAAUUCCUAGCUACUAUGACAGCAGUAGCAUCAUUCAUCAUCACAGAAUCAUUAACUGUGAGAUGACGAUUUUUGGAUACAAAGGAUGGACGCCAAACUUGGGCGUCACUGGUAGUUGUGGGAGUAUCAUUUAAAUUGAAAUAAUUUGGGCAGGAAGAAGAGGAAGCCAUUUUUAAGAAGGUUUCGAAGAAAGCCUUAGGAAAACUAAAGUUUCAUAAAAUGAAGGAAGUUAAGUUGAAACGCAAUUGCUCCAAUCAAGUUUUGCAAAGGCAAUAUCUAUAGACGAAAAUAUGGCAAUAUCUUCAGGAUUCCAAUAUCUUCUCGAAUCCCCAUAUUAUCUUUUUCUUUCCCAGAGUCCAAAACUUCACGUGGCCUCUAAUAAUGCCUGUCGGCACUUUCGGCGUUUUUCAAAGUAUUAUUUUCAAAGCCGAUCUUGCUUUACGGAUUUCACGGAACUACUUUUUCAAAAGUAUCCCGAGAAUCUCGCAAUUUUCCUAUGGUUAAUUUGAAAUUCACCGGUUCUACCUAUUUAUUGUAUUUAUGUAUAAAUGUGUUACUAACGAAAUUUUCUUUGCAAAAGACAUCCAGUUUUCUCCAUACCUAGUGAUGCGAUAUCUACUUAUUUUUCUUAUCAGUGAGCACUUAAUAUGCCUGAGAAGCAAGACUAUCUCUGAUCAUACAUUCAGGAAGCAAGACUAUCCCUGAUCAUGUUUCCGCUACAUUAGGGAACUGUGAAGGUGACCUUAUGCUCCAAUCUCCUGAGGUCUUUCUAGACUAGGAGAAAUGAGAGCUUGUUGUUUGCUCCCACCAGCUUCCUUCCUUGAUUGCUUACCUUACCUUGCAAUCAAUAUCACAAUCUUUUUGCAUUUUUUCUCUUUUUAUAACUCUCUGUUCAUAAGAGAUUUUAUUUCUUUAGAAUGAACAUCUGAAGAAUGAAUCCAUGAAGUAAUCCUAACUAUGAGGGUUAUUUGUUUUGACAGAGGCAAAAGAGUUGUGAUUUUUGCUCUUGCAGGAUAUAACUAGAUCAUCAAGCGCUACAUUAUAUUUACUGGGCUGAUAUGAGCUUGAAUGAUACUUGAGAAAAGUUUCUCCCACCUAAGGAUGUAAGCAAUACUUGUGUUAUUUUAUGCUUAUAUACCUAUUUGAUAUUUUAUCUUGAAAGGUAACUAAAUGGGGAGAUAAGUCCGUUCCAAAAGAAUGACUUGUAUGUAUCCAUGAAUUAUUAAUGCAAAUUUUACAGAUUGCAAGUUGGAUACAUUGAUAAUACACUGCACAGAUUAAAGUCCCAUAAGAACAGAAUAUGGGUAUAGCAGUGAUCAAUAUGAUGCACGCCUAUUGCGUAGCAAAUGAUAUGGAUUGAAGUCCCGAAAGGACAAUCCUUUGACAUUUCAAUAUUGAUAUUAUGCACGCCUAAUGCGUAGCAAAUUAUAUGGGUUAAAGUCCCAUAAUAUGGGUUAAAGUCCCAUAAAUUAAUUGACAUGUAUGUAUUAAUCUGUGGCAUGCCUGCAGCAUGACAGAUAUAUGGGUUCUAAAUGUUCCAACUCCCUAAAUGGAGAUUAUCCACGCCCUACUAUAAAAUAACGCUCCAUUGGAGGUUAUAAUCCACAUUCUCACAUAAUAAAAGCCCCCUGCAGUGGCUUGGGUACCCAAAAGCAAAGAAAUGCUUAUAAUUGAUGCAUGCGCAUGCACAUGAGAAUGGUGGGAUCAUGAAUUGAUGAAUGACAAUUUUUGAUCAUGAAUUGAUGAAUGACAAUUUUUGGUUUUAGAGUAGCUACUCAAAUCAUCAAUGGGCUGUGUUGAUUGGAACCACGUUCAAUUAUUAAAUGUCGACAAUAUCAUUGGCCAAAAUGGAACGAGGUAAUUCCAUUAUAAAUGAGAAUGAACGUGAAAGAACAAACCCACAAUACGAACCCCAAAAUUUGUUAAUACUAAAAGUUAUACUUGGGUGUUCGGAAUAAAAGGAAAUAUAUCUACUUUGUAUGACACACUGUUUCUGGCAGAAACAAGGAAUGUUGGGUUUUCUCCAUAUUUACAGAUUCAAUUGUGCCCCCCUUAUUACACAAUUACGGAGACCAACAUAUUAUCUUUAAGGGUUAUUAAUGCACAGAGCAUAUCGCCAGAAGCGAUUUCCUAAAGAUGUAUAAAUAGCUGGGUAAAAGCUAUAUAAUGUGUCAUAAAGUUUAAUCCCUUUUAACCAAAAUCUGUUGAGAGGAUUGAUAUUGCAUAGAGCAAGUCCCUAAAGAACAUGUGCUUGAAGCACAAAAUUUGUACUCAAUAUUAAUAUGCAUAAAUUACCUCAGUGAGUACAUUGAUUAUAAUGUGAUUGCAACACAUUAAAGCUUCUGCAGAAUUCAUGAAAUAUUUGUCUCGAUCGAGCAUUAUGCCAACGAGAUUCUUGCUUAUACUAAGAAAGUAUUAAAGUAUUUUUAUGAGGAUUAUCCGUUGGACACUUUAAUGAUUUUCCGGAAGUAUAUUGGACCGGACAUCAUAUUUUCCAGAUAGGGCUCAACUCCAUCACCAUCAUUUUGGGAUGAUGUGAGGUAUAUUUGAUGCUAUCUAAGCAUAACACCAUAUAGGGGCAUAUUUUUUUAGUGAACUUAUAAAUAGCCCAAGUGUUCUAAGAUAUGCGGACUCAGGAAAUCUCUAUGGUCGCUUACUGGAAAAAGCUAGUCAUGAAGUUUUCAGGGGGAGAUAUUCAUCAGGGAGAGCAUGGUAUUAAUAAAGACCUUCAUACACUAUUGACUCACAGCAGCAGUGUCAACUAUGAUAUUCAGACAGAUGAUCAACAGUAUGGCUUAAAGAUAUUUUGCCAAGCAUCAGGGGGAGCGUGCUGUCAAUACAGACCCUUACCCACUGUACUCUUUUUCCUUCGUCCAGGUUUUUAUCCCACUGGGUUUUUCCUGGCAAGGUUUUAACGAGGCAGUGUCGCACGCGCGUCAAUAUACACAGAAUUUUAUGUUACACGUGAUUAUGUACUCUUUUUCCCUUCGACCAGUUUUUGUCCCACUGGGUUUUUACUGGCAAGGUUUUUAACGAGGCAUAUUCCAUAUCAUUUGUGGUCUCCAAGGGGGAGUGUUGUAAAAGUUUUAAGGUGGAGCCCACAGAGGAAGUUUCCUUGCAUCUUCCAGGAACUUUCCCUUCCCUGUAUUUAUCAAUUGAGGAAGUUUCCUUGCAUCUUCCAGGAACUUUCCUUCCGUGUAUUUAUCAAUUCAGGAAGUUUCCUUGCAUCUUCCAGGAACCUUCCCUUCCCUGUAUUUUACCAAAACCUUAGCCUAUAAAUAGGCUUGCUCAUUCACUUGUAAUACACACCAAAAUGAAGAGAAGAAUGAGUGAGGAAAGAAAGAAAGGAAGAGAAGGAAGAAAGAGGGUGAGUAAGUAGAGAGAAAAAUAGAGUGGAGAGAAAUUUCUCCAAGAGAGAAAAAUUAGUGAGCCACAUAUAUUGUAAACACUAAAGUUGUAGCCCUAUUAUUUUACAUAGUGGAAAAGUUACUACUGCUGCUCUCCGGGGACGUAGGCAUAGCCGAACCUCGUUAAAUACUGUGUCUCAUUUACUUUACGUGCAGCUCAAUAUUCAUACAUAUUCCAGGUUAUUUUUAUAACACCAACAUCAAUCUAGCCCUGAUCCACUCUUUUACAUACUUGAAAACAAAACAAAACACGAAAAACAAAAAACAACAGGGAGAAAAUGGCUCCGGAGAGACUUACUGCUAAUACUUGAUCAAUAACAGAGAUAAUAGAGCACACUGUUUGUAUGGCAGUGAGUAUCAGAAGAAUAAUAGCUGCCCAAGGUGUGUUGAAAUACUUUUGUCUCAAAUUUGCCUUCCAUAUGUUCGUGGUCUUCUCGCAAUACUCGUUUAGUUUGCCAGCAAGAUCACCAAAAUAGUAGUUUCCCUGGUUAAUCAUAAUGGAAACCUUACUGUUGUCACCUAGCGUGUUUACAACAAUUCCAUUGUCAACAAGCAACUCUACAUCCUUUGGGGUGUUUACAAAUUUAUCCAGGAUGAAAACAUAAUCGCUUAAUUAUUUAUUAACGCAAUGGCAUUGUUCAAAGGCAAUGAGAUUUCUAAGUGUAAGCUCUGUGUAAUCAUGUAUUUCAAUUUUUGGAAUUUCCAAGGUGUUUUUCAAGAACUGUAUAUCGAAUAAGUUCUUGCUUGAUUCAACGUUAAACUUAACUCCGGCCUGGUGUAGUUUUGUCAUGCCGGGUGUACUUUGGAGCCCUACAUUUUCUUUUAGGGUUGGAUCUGGCAGAUGUAAAGUUCUAAUAAAAUCAACAAAUUGUACAGGUUUUUUAGGAUCAGGAGGCAUAAAAGACUUACGGAAGGCUGGUGAGUUCUCCAAGUUUUCUAAACGCAGUGCCUGUUGGAAGAACCUGUAAGAGAGUUCAAUUAUUGAAGGCUCCCCAGUCUGGGCACCUGUAAGAUUGUAAAGAUCCUCGAGAAUGAAAAAUGGCAGCUGAUUUUCUAGCAUAAGCAUGUCAGGCAAUAUAUUUUGUAGCACCCAUGGUUUUUUAAAUAUCCAAGCAUUAUCAUCCGGCAAUUUUUCUUCCUGAAAUUUUUCUUCGGAUUUAUUCCUCAACAAUAGCUCAAUGACAAAGGCGGCAUCAACUAGAAUGAUAUUCACAAAAGCGGCAAUGUUAAACUUCUUAGUGUCUUCAUAAUAAUGACGGAGUUCAACUUCUCUCUCCUUUAGGUACCUGAGUUUGUGAUCUUCCAUGGCUUCUAAGUUUUUGCUGCCAUGGUGAAGUGGGCCUAUUGAGACUACUUGUGGUGUGUAGGCCUUUUGUUUUACGUUCCGUAGUCGCUCAGGCACCCUGUAGAUACUGCAGGCAGGGGACAGGGCACGGAAGUUUGUCAACUGAUUUUCCAUGGAAGUUGCUUGGUUUUCUAUGUCAAAAGAAGCUUCAUUGCUGCUUUCUUCCACUUUCUUCCUCCGCAUUAUGUGUUGUUCUGAUUGUAAGUGACGAGGAUGGUGAUGAUUCUAGACACCAUAAUCAACAAAUGUUUCAAUCAUAAUUGACAUUUCAAGAUGCUCCGACAAAAAAUUAGAAAACAUUCAUCACAAAAUGCGAACUCAUACAACAGAUGGGUUGAGAAGAUCCACACAUUGCAAUCAUACAAUCCAAUUGAACAGGGAUUACUCCCUAUUCUCCUCUCUCUCUAAAAAAGAUUUUCAUAUCGAUAACAUCUUAUUGCAAGGGACUUGUACAUCAAGUGGUGAAGAACAGAAAUUCAUAUUCUUUCAAUCAACAAAUUUCGAAGAAGUUUGUUUGUUUUAUUUUUGGGGGAAAAAAAUCUGAGCAUAUAUAGAUGCAUAUUAUACGUAGACCUAAGGUGAAAACAUACCAGAUUUUUACUCCAUUUUUCAUGAGGUUUAAGUUCUUGAUGUAUAUAUUUAUCUCAAGUGUAACAUCCCACAUUGAUCAACGGAGAGGGGGUGAUGUGCCUUAUAUGUACAUGCCAGCCUUCAUCUAGCACGAGGCUUUUUGGGAGCUUAUUGGCUUUGGAGUCAUAGGAACUCUGAAGUUAAGCGAGUUGGAGCUAGAGCAAUCCCAGGAUGGGUGACUCACUGGGAAGUUGCUUGUGAGUUCCCAGAAACAAAACCGUGAGGGCAGAGAGGAGGGCCCAAAGCGACCAAUAUCAUGCUACGGCGGAGCCGAUUCUGGGAUGUGAUAAUUUGGCAUCAGAGCUACUCUGCCGUGUGGUGUGAGUGUGCCGACGAGGACGCCGAACCCUUGAGGGGGGUGGAUUGUAACAUCCCACAUUGACCAACGAAGAAUGGGUGAUGUGCUUUAUAUGUAUAUGCUUGCCUAUAUCUAGCACGAGGCCUUUUGGCAGCUUACUGGCUUCCGAGUCAUAGGAACUCCGAAGUUAAGUGAGUUGGUGCUAGAGCAAUCCUAGAAUGGAUGACCUACUGGGAAGUUGCUCAUGAAUUCCCAGAAAAAAAAAGCUGUGAGGGCAGAUAGGGGGGCCCAAAACGGGCAAUAUCGUGCUACGGCAGAGCCGAUCUUGGGAUGUGACAUCAAGAAUUUAUAUCCUCCCUUUUCAGAUCUCAUGUUCCAGUCAAUACAUAACGAAACAUAAGAAACUAAAGUCUUGUUUAUACCCAUCCUCCCACCCACCCACGGCCAUCCACCCCUACCCCCUAUCUCCAUUAAAUCUACAAGUAGCUCAUCAAUUUCUCCACCAUCCCAAGUUCAAUAUACCACCCAACAACCAUCUUACCCAUCUUCUCAUUGAUCUUCCACCCAACAUCCAACACUAUCUUCAUAAACUCUUUAGCUUAAUCUCUCUGUUGCUUUUGUUUUUUGUUUUUUAGAAAUUAAAUUUUUUAGUUUAUUUUUUUGUUGGUACAAAUUCAAUGAUAAAGAACAUCGAACUCGUCGCAACAUCCUGUUCUAGAUCCAAGCUCUACCACCAUCACAACCCUCUCUUGACCUCCGACCAACCUUAACACCCAACUUCAAAUCUAGGUUGUUUGAAACCCAGCCCCCAACAACCCCCCCAAGUCAUCCCAUUGCAACUGACUUGUAGAUGAAGUAGUAAAGAACAAAAAGUCAUAUUCUUCCAAUCAAAACGUAUCAAGUCAAACAAAAUUUCUAGUUAGUUUGCUUUAUGAUAGUUGUUUUUUGAAGGGGUCCUUAGAUCCAAUCUCAAAAAGUUUGACUUUUAUUAUGUUUAACUCUAGUUUUUUGCAAUUUUUUUUUAUCUCUACCCACUAACUUUUAUCUCUCAUUUUUAUUACCCAUUUUACCCUUUAAAAUAAAUAUAGUAAUAAACUAAAAAUUCUGAUUUAAUGCAUGUUUUGCUCAUAAGAGAACUAAAACCUAAAAAUUCUAUACUCUUACACAAAAAAUAAAAAAUAAAAACUAAAAUUAAAAUGGUUAUCAAACAGACCCUUAUAUUACAAAAAACCUUAACUGACCACCUUAUAUGGCAACUGAUNNNNNNNNNNNNNNNNNNNNNNNNNNNNNNNNNNNNNNNNNNNNNNNNNNNNNNNNNNNNNNNNNNNNNNNNNNNNNNNNNNNNNNNNNNNNNNNNNNNNUAGCAUUCUAAAAAAAGUGGCCUCAUGGCAGCAUUCAUUAAUUGACAUGGCAUGACACAUCAGUUGCCACAUAAGGUGGUCAGUUAAGGUGGUCAAUGUUGUGUGUCCAAAUAGCAUUACUAAAAAAAAAUCAAAUAUUGAACUCAUCAUAAGAGAACACAGAAAAACCUCACUGCUUGCAACUCUUACACCACCACUACACGAACAGAACAACUGCUAAUUAAAAUGAGUCACAUGUCACAUGUCACAUGUGGUACUUAACUCUAAAAACUUAUUUAGAUUAUAUAUCCAUAUUUAUAUAUCCUACUCCUCGAUCAAAACAACCAUGAAACAUAAGUGACUUAAACCUCUAGGCAAAUGGACGGUAUAUAGCAAUUUAUAGAACAAUACAGUAAUCCAGAAGAAAUAUUAUGAAAUAAAAAAAAUAAAAAGUAAAAAAAGAGAAGGAAAGGAAUUCCCACCUGAUAUGUAUAUCUAUGAAAGGAAGGACCAAGUUUGUUUUGCCUUUGGUUAAUGACUAGAAAAGCUCACUUGUAUAUUGCUUUCUCCGGCCGUAGAUGCAAGAGAAAUUUUCUCUUAAUAAUAGCACAAUGAUCGGGUAAUCGUAAGAACAAGUUGAUUUAAAAUUCAGGUCAACUCAUAGAUUUCUUGCCUUUUCUAUUCUCCUUCCUUGGACACGAGCUGUUUAAUCUUGGAAUCUUCCCCCAUCAUGUUGGGCCAGUCUUCUUCUUGAGGAUUGUAUAGGCCCAGGAAAUGCUUGGAGGUAGUUUUUGUGUAUUGGGCCUUGAGACCCAACUUCACAAAAAGAAAACAGAUUUGACCAAAAAAACAAAUUUGAAGGACAUUGAAAUUGUACCUGUAUGAUAGGUUAAAACACUGUAAGGGAGGUAAAUAGUACGUUUACAGAGUUUAAGUGUAAUAAAGGAAUAAAAACAUGCCCAGAGCACUACUACAAUUUUUCCCUGUCCUGGCAACCCUUUGUGAUCGGUAAAAACACCAUUAUUGACGGAACUUCGUCAGUAAUUGCUUCUUGACGACUGCAGCGACGAAAAUGAGUAUAGUCAGUAAAAGUCCCGUCAGUGUUACUAUUACUGACCAACUUUUGCAACUUAUUCGUCAGUAGAGGUGUGUCUCUGACACAAGUCAUGAAGUGACUCUAAAUUAUUACUGACAAAACAAAUAGCCACUAUUAAACAAGCUUUUGUCAGGAUUAUUAUUUUAGGAUGGAGUACUAGUGGCAAAGAUUUGUCAAUAUUGUUUUCAACAAAAAAAAAAAUUCAGUCAAUUUGCUUCUGAGCUGAUGCGCCUUUAGAUAUCCUUUUCUGAAAUGUCUUUUGUUUUCUAAUAUAAUGGAUGUUUUUCUUUAAUAAAAAUUUAAUGGAUUCUGAAAAUGUAAUAACAAUUAUAAAUACUCAUAGAUUGAACCAUUCAACCCCCAUCCUUAUAAAUAUAAACUACCAAUGUCGAUUACAAUAGCCAAAUAUUACAAAGUCUGCCUACAUCAGUAGAGUUCAAAAACUUUAGGUGCCCUUACUAUACAAAAGUAUGCAAUUCCAAAUAUUCAACAAAUACACUACAAAAGCAUGCAUACCCCAAUAGGGUCCAAAAUACAACGUCAGCAACUAUAUAUACCAAAAAUGCAUAACACUAAGUAACUGCAUCUAUUCAAGUCCAUGAGUACCUUGAUCUGAUUCUAAAAAGUCUGUCUCACUUGGGUAUGCAUCCCCCCUCAGCAAUCCAGUUAACCCACCAAUAGGAGUAACUGACCUGGCUUGAUAAGGCAUUUGAUGGAACAUCUGCGGCGAGUAAUAUGACAUAUGGAAUGGGUUUGGCAGCUGCUGGUACAAUGGGUGAUGCGAAGCUGACGAGCACGAUAACAUCUGCCUCAUUUCCUCAAUCUCUUGCUGGUUAUGCUUCAGCAACUCUUGCGUCGCCUUCAAUUCAGAACGCCAAUGAUCCUGGUCAUGUUUGUACCUUUCUUGUAACUCUACAUACUGUGACUCAAGGUGAACAUAGUCGUGCCCUCGCAAUCUCUUGGAUGACCCUGCUUUCGUUUGAAUCCAAGGCACCUGAUGGGGUUUCACCCCAAGUCCUUCACCACGAACACUAUUAUUUGUCUCAGGACCCAUUGCCUCAACAUAAGCCCUUCUUCGUGUCUCUAAAUUAUCAGGACAUUCAUCUUCAACCAAUUCCUUCAACUUUUCCUGCAUUUCAGCCUAACAAAAACAAAAUAUAUAUCCUUCUCCAUCAAAUUGUGGUCAUCAUAGAACUAGCCCAAUAAACUCUACAAUGAUGAAUUGCAUUAUGUAAUAAAAAUUUAGGCCAAUUAGUCUUCUGGACCUCUACUGUUUUGUUUUUCAUAUGCUUAAACAAAUAAAAGAACAUAAAGAAUAGUGAACAAGAAAAAAAAACUACCUCCAAACAACUUUCCAUAUGCUUAAAAAAAAAAAAAAAAAAAAGUCAACCAAAACAAAAUAAGAGAAACAUCCUGGACUAUGGCUAACAAUUCCUCAUGAAAAUGAACUUAUAUAUAAUUAUUCCAAUAUAUAGUCCAUAUGCUUACAUAUUUCUGCUCAGCCACCAAGUUAACCCAUGAUCGAUCUUCGUCACGCCGUGUAUGCUUAUCUUGGAAAAACCAAAUAGGAUCGGGGUCUUCACCAUGUUUCUUAUUCUUAGCAUGCAAUCAAUAAAAUAAAAUAAGAUAAUCAAUUAGCUAACACGACCUCAUAUGCUCAAUAUUUGAAUAUAGUAAAGAGUAAACAUUCAAGUGCAUCAUCAAAACUGACAUAUUGUGCUUUGCUGCGAGCAUAAGACUUUGUUCUAGAUGUGUGAUUCAAUGUUUGUUUACUCCGAUUUUCAACAUUUCUUUUAGCUUGCUCCUUUUAUUAGCAAAAACAAAACAUACUUAAUCAUUGCACAGAUUAUAUAUACUGAGUGUUGUGUAAUAAUACGUACUGCAAUCUCAUCUUUUUCCCAAUGUUCAACCAACACCCUCCAUUGAUCUGGGUCUACACGAGAAUCCCCACAUUGCCACCGUCUUUUACUUCCUGUGAAAGGCUUAUAAUAAGCUUUCUUCAAAUCACUCUUGAAACUUCUCCACAAUUUUUCAAUAUUCUUCAUUGUUACAUCCUUGAAGACAUGAAUCAUAGGUUGUUGUUCAGGACGAAAUUCAAUGGUGCCCUGCAUCCACAAUAAGGUAGUCUUACAUCAAGUUGAAAUAUACCUAUUAAACUCAAUUUCAUGCAAUAAGUAUUCAAUAAUUUUAGGAAAACCAAACCCGUAGAGUGUCCCAGACAUCAAGUUUGCAAGAGUCUGGUACUUUUUCCCAUUUUAAAUACUUGAUCGGAAUUAGAUUGGCAUCCCGCGCCAAAAUACCCAUGUAUCUAGAAAAAUGGGGACUAUUGUCACUAAUAACUCUGCCAAAUGGAGAUAAAUCAACUGACUCUUUUUUGUUAUUUAGAAACCAGUUGCAUUUCCCUUGACCUCGACCUUGCUUCGCCUCCUUGCCUACAUGAAAAGUUAAUUUUAACUGAUCAAUACAACAAGAAAAUAAUAAGAAACUGUAAGGUAAUAAGUUUCUCACACAUUAUUCAAAUGAAAAAUUAGCAUAGCUAUUUGGAGAUGAUGUGAUCGUGAAACAUCCCAUAUUCAAUACAUUUGUAUAUGAUUAAAACAUACCAAUUUAUUAAAAGAAAAAGGAAAAGAAAACCAACAUACCAGUAGCACUUAUAGAACCAUCUCCCUCUAGACUAUCCCUAAAGUCAGCGUUGGGCCCUUCUUGUGAACUAUCUUGAGAACUGCUCAUCUAAAAAAUUUGAUAUGCAUAACAGUGAAGGGGUAACAAAUUAAUCAGACAUCAUUGGUAAAAGAAACUAUUACUUCAACAUUCUAAUACAAAACAAUCUACUAAAGAAAUUCUUGUACAAUAUUCUUAAAAUUACGUAGUCCAUUUAAGCUGACAGCUCAUCAAAAUACAUGAAAAAUUCAAUACUCCAUGUCAUCAUAAAGCUCAUCCUCGUUUUCAGUAGAGAGAUCGUCUGAAGACUGUUCAUCUUCUUCAUCCUCAUUUCCGGGCUCAUGCUCAUCUACCAUCUCAUCCAUAUCAACCCUAAUAUGAAAUUCCUCAUUGUCUAGCAGCUGAUCAUCAAGAUUCGGAAUGGCAUAAUUAUCAGUAGCACUUAAAAGGGUUAUCUAUAGUUGGAGCUAGAUCACUAUCUUCUAGCACAUCAAAAAAAUCUCUUGGUUGAGUUUGGGUUGGCACAUGCCAAUGACUGUCUUCUGGAUCUACAACAUAAAACACUUGUGUAGCUUGAGAAGCCAAUAUGAAAGUGUGUCUUUCGUUUGUCGCAACCGAUUGAAACUAACCAAAGGGAAACCAUACCCAUCAAACCUCAUCCCCCUAUCACUAGCAGUAUCAACCCAAUCACAGUUAAAUAAUGUAAUUUUCCGACCAUUAUCAUUCUGUUCUAUUUGACCCCCGUAAUUAAGUUCAUAAAUCUCUUUAAGAACACCAUAAUAAUCAACAUUGCCAAUUACUGGAUUGCGAUCUCUUGCGCUUGAGUAACUAGAUGUCUCUGCACAUUGAAAUACACCACUAUUCUGAUUCUUCUUUUUAUCGUCUACUGAUUUAAUCCGGAACCUACACCCAUGAAUUAUGUGAUUCUUAUACUUGUUCACAAAUCUACUAGGACCAAUUGAUAGCCAACGCAAGUCCUCAGAUAUUGACAGAUCAUGGGCUGUGUACAAUUUAGUAACCUAUAAUUUAAAACAACAACUAAAGUAAAUAACUUUAAUUAAAAAUAUGGUGCAGCAACAUAAAAUGAAUCAUAUUACAACUAAACAUACUUACAUGAUCCUUGAACCAAGUUGGAAAUAUCUUAUUUCUCAUCCCCUCAAUUUCCUGUAUGGUCUUCCGUCGAUUACUUUGUCUCAAUUCUUGGAAGCAUUUUCUGUUUUACAAUAUAAUAUAAUGACUUGUUAGUUAUUAAUUCAUAAUUGAGGAUUGAAAAAAAAAAAUAUCAACAACUUGCUUGUUUUUAUUCAUAAAUAUCUUACUCUAAAAAAGGGGAAACUUCAUCGCAAUUGAACAAGACCACUCUGCGACAUUGGUCCCAAACAUCUUUGUCAAGAUAUAUUUGUUCAGCUGAACCCUUAGAAUGACAUGAAGAGUCAAAAACUUUUAGCUCCCCAAUGACACCACGACCAAUACCAUCAGCAUUUCGACCCUUUCGAUUCCUUCGAGUCUCAACGUUGCUAAGAUACAUGGUACACAUAGCUAAUCCCUCGUCGACAAGAUAUCCUUGUUCCAUACUUCCUUCAGGAUAACUCUUAUUCUGAACAUAUUUCUUUAAUGUUUGUAGGUAUCUAAAGAUAUGGCAAAAUUGAACAUGUUAAUUUACAAUUAAAAUGGAAAACUAGAAAUAAUAAAUAAGAUUUGAACUAAUUACCUUUCAAUGGGAUACAUCCACCGGUAUGGGGCAGGCCCUGCGAUUGCAGCCUCAUCUGCCAAAUGCAUGAUUAAGUGUACCAUCACAACAAAGAAGGAAGGAGGGAAUAUCUUUUCCAUCUGGCAUAAUGUCACUGCAAUCCGAGGUUUUAAAGCCAUGUAUGACGCUUCAUAUUCCUUCUUACUACAUAACCGUCUAAAAAUUGCACUUAGCUCAAGCAAAACAAUGGUAACAGCUUUUGGUAAUACUCGUCGUAUUGCAAGGGGCAGCAGCUGUUGCAUUAUAAUAUGAUAGUCAUGACUUUUCAAUCCGUGUAUUUUUCUCUCAUUCACAUUAACACAUCUAGACAGAUUUGCAGAAUACCCAUCAGGAACUCUCACAUUUGCCAAGACUUCGCAAAACAUUGUUUUUUCCCUUUUCCUCAUGUCAAAAAGUGCUGGAUCAAAAACUUCCUUACCUUUCCCAUUUAUAUAAGGGUGCUGUUUUCUCCUUAUAUUCAAAAUUUGAAGGUCCUUACGAGCUUUUAUUCCAUCCUUUGUCUUCCCAGGAAUAUUUAACAGUGUACCUAAAAUGUUUUCACAAACAUUCUUUUCAAUAUGCAUUAGAUCAAGGUUAUGCCGUAUCAAAAGAUAUUGCCAAUAUGGUAACUCAAAGAAUAUGCUUUUCUUCUUCCACUGAACUUUGUUACUAUUUAUAUUCGUUGUGGGAUAGGUAUUUGUAUUCCUAAUGGGACAAGAACAUUUUUUGGGUUUUCCUUGCCCAACAAAAACAGCUGACUUCUUUUUGGGUUUUCGAAAUGUGAAUGUCAAACUUGACAAUUUUUCUAAACACUGUGAACCUGUCAAGGGAAUAGGUGGAAGAGCAUGUUCUUCCUUACCGUUAAAGGCUGCUUUAUCUCUUCGAAACCUAUGUUGUAUAGGUAGAAAUCUCCGAUGACCCAUAUAACACAUCUUACUACUAUUUGCCAAAUGCAUUGAGACUGUAUCAUCCAUGCAAUGCGGACACGCUUUCUUCCCCUUCGUGCUCCAUCCUGAAAGAAUUGCAUAUGCGGGAAAGUCAUUAAUCGUCCAUAACAAUGCAGCCUUCAUUGUAAAAGUUUGGUUGGCAAACACAUCAAACGUCUUAAUACCAACCUCCCACAACUCUUUCAACUCAUCGAUUAAAGGCUUCAAAUACACGUCAAUAUUAUUGCCAGGCCCAUCAGGACCAGGAAUUAUUAACGAUAACAAUAAAUUUGGUUGCUUCAUACACAUCCAUGGAGGCAAAUUAUAAACUGACAGUACAACAGGCCAUGUACUAUGGGGUUUGUUCAUAUUUGAAAAGGGAUUAAACCCAUCACUUGCAAGCCCCAAUCGCACGUUGCGUAUCUCCGAAGAAAAUUCAGGGUAUAAGGAAUCUAAAUGCUUCCAUGCACGAGAAUCUGAUGGGUGCCUCAUGAAUCCAUCUUUAGGACAUUCGGUUGCAUGCCAUCUCAUAUCUUCAGCGGUAUGCUUCGACAUAAACAAUCUUUGCAACCUUGGUUUUAAUGGAAAAUACCGAAGAACCUUGGUUGGAACCUUAGCUGAUGUGUUCUUACUCAAAGAACCUCCCACAAUAUUGACUUUGUACCUUGAGGCACCACAAAGUGCACACUCAGUCAAGUCUGAUGUAUCUUUCCAAAACAGCAUACAAUCAUUGGGGCAAACAUCAAUCCUCUUGACUGUAAGUCCCAACUCCCUAAUGAUUUUUUUAGCAUCAUAAUUAUUUUUUGGUAAACAAUUCCCCUCUGGCAACAAUUGUUUAACCAAUUGUAACAGCAUUGUAAAGACAUUAUCGCUUCCCUAAACAUUUAAUCUGGAACAGUCUUACAACAGAAUACAAUUUCUUAUAUUUACACCUAGGGUACAACUCCAUAUCUGCUUCUUCAAGUAACUUAUAAAAUAUUUCAGCCUCAGGUGUUUGGCCAUCAAAGAUAGGUGGCUCUGUCGAAGUCCCAACAGUUUCUCCAAUUAUUGGUUGCACAAAGGCUUCAUUGAGAAAAUCAUGAAUGUCAUCUAUACAAACUUCUUCAUUAUGAACUGAUUCUAUAUCCUCUUGGAAUGGUAAAUUUGUCAUGGGCUCCCCAUGAUGCCUCCAAGGGCCAUUCAUAUAUGUGGGAUCCAUUCCUUUUUCUAUAAGAUGAAGCUGGAUGAUGUUUCUUUCAUAGUGAUAACGGUUACAACAUUUUUUGCAAGGACAUAUGACCCUCUCUCCAAAACCCACUUUGGCAAAGACGUCAUCUAAAAACAUUCUCAUUCCGUCUGCGUAUUCCUUACAAUUUCUCCUUAAAUGUACCCAACUUUUAUCCAUAGUUCACCUAUAUUGAGUGCAAGGCACCAAAUACAAUUAUUCAGCACAGAUCAUCCCUCAUACUUAUUGUCUAUAAAUUCCUAUCAGGUGGGUCAAUUUAUUAUCCAUUAGAUGACCCUCAUGACCAUCUACAUCAAUUCACAAGAAAAACCAAAUUAAAAUAACAAAAACCUGAGUCUAAAGAAUAUAUUAACUAAGAAAUUGCACAUUCAUUCAACUGAAGAAAAGAACUAUAACACCAAACAACUAGACCCACUUAAUAGCUAAAGAAACUCACGUCAUAACAACAAAGUAUACAUAUUAAACAACAUAUCAACUCAUAGAUAAAAGCCCGAUAAUCUCAAUACUAUGAACAAUCUUAUUCAAAAAUAAUAAGAUAACAGCAACAUAAUAGAAAAAAGUAAAGGGAAACACACCUGGAUUCUAAGUUUCCAACAACAAUUCAACACUCCUGCAGUAGAUUAAUACAUACAUACCCACAUAUCAAACUUCACCAACAAAUAAUAAAAAAUUAAAACAAGAGCUUUGAAAAAUCAAAGGAUUCGUGUCACAUCCCGGAAUCGGCUCCGCCGUAGCACGAUAUUGUCCGCUUUGGGCCCCCCUCUCUGCCCGCACGGUUUUGUUUCUAGGAGCUCACGAGCAACUUCCCAGUAGGUCACCCAUCCUGGGAUUGCUCUAGCCCCCAACUCGCUUAACUUCGGAGUUCCUACGACUCCGAAGCCAGUGAGCUCCCAAAAGGCCUCGUGCUAGAUGGAUGCGGGCAUGCACAUAUAAGGCACAUCACCCCCUCUCCGUUGGUUGAUGUGGAAUCUUACAAUCCACCCCCCUUAAGGACCCGACGUCCUCGUCGGCACACUCGCACCACACGGCAGAGUGGCUCUGAUACCAAAUUGUCACAUCCCGGAAUCGGCUCCGCCGUAGCACGAUAUUGUCCGUUUUGGGCCCCCCUCUCUGCCCGCACGGUUUUGUUUCUAGGAGCUCACGAGCAACUUCCCAGUAGGUCACCCAUCCUGGGAUUGCUCUAGCCCCCAACUCGCUUAACUUCGGAGUUCCUACGACUCCGAAGCCAGUGAGCUCACCCCCUCUCCAUUGGUUGAUGUGGGAUCUUACAAUUCGUUUAUAUCUUGGAAUAAAAUCAGUAUUCUAAUUUUUAUAUCUAAUUGGAAGGAUUCAUGGGUCAUUACCUACACUAAAAUACUUGAAAAAAUAAAAUAAACAAACAAAAUAAGAACAAAAAUUUCACCAGAACAGAGGCACAAAAAUCUCACCAAAACAGAGGGCCUCUUUAAUGAAGGACAACCAAGUCAGCCCCAAUUGAAAAGAGCAAAGAACCCCCAGAUUUAAUCUCUCUCUCAAUCUGAAUCAGCAACCCCAAUUGAGAAAAGCAAGGAAAACCCCCCAAAUUUAAUCUCUCUCUCUCAAUCUGAAUUAGCAACCCCAAUUGAGAAGAGCAAGGAAAACCCCCCAAAUUUAAUCUCUAUCUCUCUCAAUCUGAAUGAGCAGACACGAAAAUCACUACCACACAUGACUCCAACUCCAUUAGCUAUGAGGAAGAAUACAAUUCAUUCUUCAAUGAAAAGAAGAGGGAAGAGAUGGCCGGUUUGGAGGAAGUAGAAAAGCUCAAGUAAACAAUUGAAGUUUUUUAUAUAUCAAUAGGAAAAUUUUGAAGUUAAAAAUUAUAUUUAAGAAUAGUAUUGGCAAUCGAACUCGUCAGAAAAAAAGUUGGCUUCCUGGUGUCUGAAAAUUUAGGCGCUUAUGUUUUCACUUCCCGCGUUAAAAGAGACUGGCGCAGUGUCUCGUCAGUAAAGGUAGUAAUGACAAAAGACUUUGUCAGUAUUAUUUACUAGUGAAAAAUCACUUUAUUUUGCUAGUAUUUGGUCUCAGUACUGACUAAGCUGCUCUUUCAUCAGUAUUAGUCCGUCAGUAUAAGCUAAAAUUGUAGUAGUGAGAGGAUUGAUAAGUGAUAUUAAUUCUUGAAUAUACAGAAUGUAAAAUAAAGGAACACGUAAAAAAUUAUUUUAUGUGGUAAAACUCCAUCUCUGGGGAAAAUCCACGGGACUUCUUAGUCCAAAACAAAUCCAUUAUAGAAUGAUGAUUACAAGAAGUACUCACACACUUAUCCUAGACACAUUCUAGAUAAUGUUUACUGACCUCUUCGUAACUCAACUUCUGUCUCGAGAUGAUCUUUCAACACUCCUUAUGUUGAACGCAAUAUUGGUCACGAUUUCUUCAAGCUCGUCAGAGUUCUUCCAACUCUCCUAAUAUUGAAUCCGAUACUAGUCACGAUUGAUUCAAGCUCAUCGUAGAAAAACCGUCACAAUGGUCUUGGUGCCCUCAACCGUAUGAGUCAUUAAACAUGCAAAUGAAUACAUAUAUGAAUGAUAAAAGUGUUUGAUAAAUCACUGAGUUAUGGAACACUUGAUGAUUUAUCUCAAAUAAAAACUCAGCUUUAAUGCUUUCUAAACAAAGAAGACGAAGGUCUUACUUUAUAGACUUUUUCUUUACAAGAAAGAAAAUAAGUUGGAAACCAAAUCUCCAAUUUCCAAGGCAAAAUCACAAAAGUAUCUUUCCUAUUCUAGAGAUUGGUCACAUGUAGUCCAACCAAUAGGAAAUGAGAUAUUUAAGAAAGGAAGAUUUUGAUCAAUAUCAAUAUCAAAUGAAUUCUUAUACGCCUAGUCAACUAUUAAGGGUAUCUUGACUCCUUGAUAUUUUGAUAUGAUUGAAACAUGAUUUCCAAGUUAGAAAAUUAAGGGGUUGUUAAAACAUGAAAGUAAUAGGAGAAACAAAUUUAUUUGAACCAAAAUUGCCCAAAAAGAAAACACUCCUAAAUAAACUUCAAUUCACUUUAGUAAAACAUGAUUGAAUCGUUCGUUAAAACAAUUCCCUAAUAUACAUGCAUGAUAAUGACAUCACUUACCCCUGAAUCAAAUUUGUUAAUGUAUGCAUUUUGAGUUUUUUUUUCUUUUGGCUUCCCUUGACAAUUUUGUAAUAGGAAAAUCAUUGUAGUUUCUCAAGCUCUAAGUUUAGAUUAAGAAUUACUUCUCUAGGUGUUCUUAUCUGCCUACAUUCUGAUGGAAAACAAUGCGUUUGACAAAGGUAAAUUCUGCAUUACACUACAUUGCAUUCACUAAAUUUCUUAAGAUUAUGACUAGUCAUCUUUCUUUCGUAUGACUAGUCAUCUUGCAUUCGUAUGACUAGUCAUCUUUCCUUCGUAUGACUAGUCAUCCUUUGUUUCAAUUAGGAUUUCCAGCUCACUGUUUCCAGCUGGGGCUUAAGCAUUUUUUUGUCCUUUUCUACGAAUUUCUCAGCUUCCAUGUGUCUAUUCUGACCUAGGAAUUUUUGGUAAAAGCCAUAGAAUUCCUCAUUUGGCAGCCGUCACUUUUGGGGACAAGUUGUGGAAAGUUUCAUAGCAAACUUUCGCUUCUUCUUCCUCAAGAGUAACCUUCAUAUUUUUCAUCUUUGAGUUCUCUAAAUUGUUUCUUUUUGAAAACUGCAUUUGAAAUAUGAAAACUUCAUCUUGCUAGAUCAAACACUCUAUCAUAUACAUCUAGGUCAGAUUCAAGAUUGAUUUCUUCAAGAGUAUGGUUUCUUGAAGAAAUUGGUCAUUUUCUCCAUGAAUCCAAAUUUCAUUUCUGUCUGAGUUAGAGCUUGCAAGCUGGUGCCAUGGGAUGAAUGAGCUGAAGAAGGAGCUGCCAUUGCCAUGAAGAACUGAGCUUCAAGCUUUGCUAAGUUGGAGAAGAAGAUUGCACAAAGGAGAUAUAGCAUCUUCCUAAAUAGACCUAGGAAUUUCUUGAGCUUGCUAGUGUUCUUUGUAAGAAUCUUUUUGCUUAGUGGAUUGCCUGGUCGGUUGAUGACCCCCAGUUUUUCCCAAUGGUGGGUUUCUGGGUGAACAAUAUCUGGUUUCCAUCUCUGUAGAUUUUUUGGGUUUGUGUUCUUGAUAGUUGACUAGUCAUCUGAAUUUGUGUGGUUGACUAGUCAUCUUUUUCUGCUGUUUGGUGUUUUCUUGAUUAUGUUGUCUUCACACACUUUUACCAUAGUUGUUGCUAGCACAAGGGAUGCCUAGAUUGAUGGGUCCUUCUGAGUGCCUAGGUUGUCACUAGUAAUUCUCUAGGCCUGCAGGUACAUCUUGGUAUGCUUUGUGUAUGUUAUUGUUUGGUUUAAUUCAUAUCUAACAGUUGACUAGUCAUAAGAGUAUUUGGUCAAGGUCUAGAGUGUGUGAAGUUUGUUGCGUUCUUGAUUGAAUAUCUUUUAAAUUUACCCUUCGUCACCUAAUUACCAAUUUGCAGACUCCACAAAUGAAGAAAAGAGCACAAAUAUCGUGAAUGCUAUUGGGAAUGGAAAGGGCAAACCUGUUCAAAAAGGGUAUGGAGGGGGCGUUAGACUUUACGUUCAAAAAGGGUAUGGAAAACGUCCUCCUCCAUCUGACAGUCAACUACUCCAUUAUAAAGACAUAGCUAUUUUCUUCUUCGAGAAAGACAUGCGCCCUGGCUCAACAAUGAAGUUCCAAUUCCCUAGAAAUUCAAACACGGCUACUUUCCUGCCACGCGAAAGUGCUCAAUCGAUCCCCUUCUCCUUUAACAAACUACCAGAAAUUUUCAACCAUUUUUCAGUGAAGCCAACAUCUGUGGAAGCCAAAACAAUUAAGCAAACAAUCGAAGAGUGUGAAGCUCCAGGCAUUAAGGGAGAUGAAAAAUAUUGCGCCACAUCUUUAGAAUCAAUGGUUGAUUUUAGCACUUCGAAGCUUGGAACAAGAAACGUUGAAGCAGUCUCGACGGAGGUAUUGGAAAAAGGAGCCACCAUGUCCAUGCACAACUAUACAACAAUGCCGGGACUGAAGAAGUUGGCAGGUGACAAAGUCGUUGUGUGUCAUAAGGAGAACUAUCCCUAUGCUAUGCUAUGUUUUUCUGCCAUGCAAUAAAACAAACAGCAGCUUAUGUUCUCUCCCUGAAAGCCGAUGAUGGGGAGAAGGUUAAAGCUGUAACCAUCUGCCAUCUAGACACAUCAGAAUGGAACCCAGAGCAUUUGUCCUUCCAAAUCCUCAACGUUAAGCCCGGAACCGUUCCUAUCUGCCAUUUCAUUUCCACUGAUGCUAUUGCCUGGGUUCCAAAACACAAAUCUGCAUGAUCAUCACUUAGCACUGUACGUAUAAUAAGCUUGGUUGGGUUGCACCCCUGUAUAAUUAUCUCCCUACUUAUUUCUGCCUCUUCAUCAUGUGGUGUAAGAUAUAUGAUGAAAUGAAGUUUUUGGGAUUAGUGGUCGGGUUGCCUGAAAAACACAGAUUAUAGAAACUGCUUGAAAUUAACCCGAUCAUGUUUUCUCUUGUAACGAUAUAGACUUCAACUUGUACUCAUAAUAAAGCAUGCUAUAUUUAUGAAGAGAUAUUAAUCUAUAUAUGCUUUGGCUUUGUGGUUUUACCCAGUGUUUGAAUGUUGAAUUGUUACGUUGGAAUAGGCUGCUAAUGCAUGUAGUUAGAGAAGCCUUCAUUUAUAUCAAAGUCCUCAAACUAUCAAGAACUAAUGUAUCCAGAAACACAUACCAAGACGCAAAACAACAUAUUUUCCAUGCUGUCUGUAACACCAAAGCAAACUUCCUUUAUCACAUCAUUUAAAGGAUCAAAUUCCAGUACUAAUCUAAUCCAUUAUGUAAAGCAUCAGGGACAGACUCAAGAUUUCAAAAUGGAGUGGGCUAGAUUUUAGGUCCGGCUAAACUUUAUAGGGAGACUUAUGAAAUUAAUCAUAAUAUUAUAUAAAUUUAAUUUAAAAACAUAUCAUUUUUAUUUUAUUUAUUUAAAGAGUCCAAUUUUACACCAACAAUGUCAUCAACAAUUGAUUAUAUAUGCUUAAAAUUAACAUUAGUUGACAACUCACAACUCAUAUUGCAACUUAUUUAGUAUAUGUGUUUUAUACUAACAAUAACAAAAGAAAAACACUUGACUGGGCUAUAGCCCAGUUUGUACACAUUGCAGGCCCGUCCUUAUAAAGCAUACAAGUGCCUCCCUAAAUUUGUCCGUUGGAUAUAUAUAUGUCACUUUUUAUUUUUUGAUAGAGAUAUAAAUGUUGAGAAAAUUAGAGUACACAACUCUAAUAUCAUAAAGCAAACAAAAUUUCUAAGUUAGUUUGCUUUAUGAUAGUUGUUUUUUGAAGGGGUCCUUAGAUCUAAUCUCAAAAAGUUUGGCUUUUAUUAGGUUUAACUCUGGUUUUUGCAAUUCUUUAUCUCGUAGUGGCAAUGUUCAAAUGCGAUGAGAUUUCUAAUUAAUACCUCUGUAUGAUCGCUUAUUUUCAAUCUUGGAAUUUCAAGAGUCCGGUCAGCAAAUCUAAUAAGGUAUUCGUUGAUCCCUCAUUCAACUUGAUCCCUGCCCUGUGUAGCUCUGUGAUGCUGGGUGUGUUUAUAGUUAUGAGUUUCCUGUCAUCAAUUUUUAGGGCUAUUCGUUAUAUGAGUCCCUGAACUUAGACUCGAUUUGCAUUUUAGUCCCUCAAUUUCCAAAAUCGUUUCAGUGGUCCUUCAACUUCAGUUUCGUUAGGACAAAUGGUCCUGCCAUCAAACGAUUAUAAAGUGGAAAAAACAAGAACAAAAAGGGAAGUGAGUUAAAUUUGCACCUACUAUGUUCAAACGACAAAGUUGGUUUCCCUUUGGUUGAUUACAAGAGAAGUGAAAGGACCCGCCCGAAUUUUCUCAAAAUCCGAGACAAACCCUUUGGAAUUCCUGACAUCACCCUGAUGCCAGGCCCACUUACUAAAAACCGAGACCUCCUGCCGAAAUUUCGGCAGAGUCUCCCCUAUAAAUUGGACGUUUCCCAAAAUUUAUACCUGCAUAAAAACGCAUUUAAUAUUCCCAACUGGCAGCAUGCACAAUAUAAUUUCAUGCAAUUCACACAAAUGGCCUUCGGCCUUUCAAUAAUUCAUAUCCAACUACCAAACCAUUCAAAUACCAAAUAUGACUAACAUUUAGUCUGCGGCUGCACCUAAUAACCCUAGGCUGCCUACGUACCCUCCUUGAGGGAUCAAGCCACACGUAGUUCUUCCCUAAAACCCAAUUCCACACUUGGGCGAUACCUUAUUUCAUUUCUCUGGAUUUCAUAUAAUCUCCCCAUACGCCGGUACAACCAACGCCACGUAUGGGGCCUGUCAACACGCCGGAUAACCUACGCCACGUGCGACCAUGCCAUACUAUCAUAAUAUCUCCCCAUACGCCGGUACAACCAACGCCACGUAUGGGGCUUGUCCCAACGCCGGAUAACCUACGCCACGCGGGACCUCAAUAUUCAUAUCACAAAUCUCCCCAUACACCGGUACAACCAACGCCACGUAUGGGGUCUGUCGACACGCCGGAUAACCUACGCCACGUGCGACCUCACACAAUAUCACAAUAUCUCCCCAUACGCCGUACAACCAACGCCACGUAUGGGGUUUGUCUCAACGCCGGAUAACUACGCCACGUGAGACCUGAAACAUCAUAUUACAAAUCUCCCCAUACGCCGGUACCACCAACGCCACGUAUGGGGCCUGUCCCAACGCCGGAUAACCUACGCCACGUGGGACCUAACUUUCACUUGGUGGUGCUUGUAGUGAAUCCAAAAUCCGGGGAGGUAUCUAAAGUAGUGCGUUUAGCACUCCAAACUGACACUCUAGACUCUGUUGUACCCUUGUACAACCAUAUAUAAUUAUAGUUAUAUAAAUUAAUUCUAAUAUUGUGUAACCCUCCACAAUAGUCUAGCUCCCGAUAAUCCCCCCCUUAGAAAGGUGAGAUUACUCCGGGAGACUCACGGUCAACCAAGGGUCAAACUACUCUAACCCUGGUCAACCGGACCUGCAGAACCCACUACCUCCAAUUUCCGAUCCGAAAGUCUCUAUGGGUUCUACCAGGUAUAGGACACUUGUCCUGCAAGUUUGGUUCAAAUCGGACGGUCGGAUUUCUCACGAUCGCACGAUCUGACGGUUAAUAUAAGAUAUAAAAUUAAAAUUAUUAUUCGGAACAUCCGGGGUUCCGAUUCAUGAUCCGUAAAUUCCUACACGAUCCUAGAAAUACCUAGAUUAACAUAUAUUAAAUUUGGGACCAUCCAACGGUCCCAACCUAUCGAACUCGGAUAACGCACACUAUGCGAUUAUCCGUUCGAUAGUCAAACGACGUCCGAAUUGAGAUCCGCGAAAUCCUACGCACUCGUGACAACCUAAGGAUCUCAUCGGAACACAUCGCUACAUUUUCUACAGUGCCCACGCACCGGCAGUGCGUGGGUGCCCAAAGCGAUAACGCUUCGCCGGAAAAUCUCAAAACCACGGCUCCAAACUCCUACCCUAGGUAUAACACCCUAUUUGGAGCCACUUUUGUUUUGGACCUACCCCAAAAAGUGGCCGGAAAUGGCCAAUCACGGCGGCCGAAGUUUCGGCCGAUUUUCAAUUCGAAAAUUGAGUUGCCUACGCUAAGAAUCGAUCUAAUCCUACCCAACCAUCAGCUAGAGCAGCUCGAGAGGUUCAAAAUCCAUACCUGGGUCGACGGAUUUGGUGGCCGGAGGAGGAGGAUCGACGGCGUUGAAGUUCCGGCGACAUCUGGGCGAAAAUCGCCAUUUUCCGGCGGCUGGAGCGGCGGCCGAUGGCGGGGAUGGGCUGGGUCGUGACGCCGAGGUCGAGCCGGUUCUUUUGACACCGGCCCCGUCCGCAGCCGCGGCCGGUGGCCGGAGUUACGAAGAGAGAGAGAGGAGAGAGAGAGAGGAGAGGCCGACGGGAGAGAGAGAGAGAGGAGUCUCGCAGGAGAGAGAGAGAGAGAGAGAGAGAGAGAGAGAGAGAGAGAGAGAGAGAGAGAGAGAGAGAGAGAGAGAGAGAAACCAGAUUUUAUAAAAAAAAUCCCAUUUCGAAAUAUUUACGAUUAUGCCACUGGACUUCUUUUGACCAUAUCUCUCUCGUUACAACUCCGAUUCGAGCCCACUACGUGUCUGUGAACUCGUCUCAGUACGACCUAUCCAAAAAUAUAAGUCACGGUCCCAAACUCUCUCCGGUUAAAAAUAUGACUAAAAUACCCUCAAAGCAGCUUACUUGGUUCCUCUAGUAGAUGGAAAUAUAAUUUUUCUAGCUAAAUUUCUCAAAUGGUCCUCAAACUUGUACGCGAUUUACAUUUUGGUCCAUCAAUUAAAUUAUUAGUCCAAAUGGUACAUAAACUCUAUUUUAAUCGCCCAUUUGAUCGAACCGUCUAAUUUUCUGUUAGAUUUAACCAAAUUUUAGGGUAAAUAUGACUUUUCAUAAUUAACAAAUAAAAUAGGAUUAAAAUAAUUAAAUACAAAAUUAGAAAAAAAAAAUGAAGAAAAGGAGGAAGAACAGAAGAGGAAGAAACCCAGAAGAAGAGGAAGCGGACAAGGUUAUUGCAAUGGCUUUCUUAAGUAAAAUUGGGAAUAUACUCAGAUGGACUGCAAAGAAGCAUAUCUGAUCUGAAUUAUCUCCUUUCAAACUAUCUAUCCAUCAAGCAGUAAGAUGCAUGUCAAACAUGGUGAGUUCAAAACUCUUAUUGGAGGUAUUUCGUACCAAACAGAUGAGCAGAGUCUGAAGGAAGCUUUUGCAAAAUAUGGUGAAGUUAUUAAUGCAAGAAUCAUCAGUGACCGUGAAACUGGUAGAUCUAGAGGAUUUGGGUUCAUCACUAGCGAGGAGGCAUCCAGUGCAAUCCAGGCCUUGGAUGGGCAUGAACUUCAUGGCCGUCGAGUAAGGGUGAAUUAUGCUACUGAUAGACCUCGCCCUAACUUCGGUGAUGGAGGUGGUUUUGAAACUGCUAGCACUGGAGGUGGUUUUGGCAAUAACAUCAAUUUGGGUGUUGCUGUUGCUGUUGGUGGUGCUCAUAACUUUGUUGGCGGUGCUGACAACAGCUUUGGCAGUGGUGGAGCUCAAUUGGGAGAGAACAAAGGUGGUUUCAGCUUGCAUGAUCCCUUGAAAGGAAAUGAUAAGGAUGAUGAUGAUGAUGCCGGCAACUUUCUCAAGAGGGCUUGAUAAUAUUUAGAUAAGAGGAGCGAUUUAGUUUGCUUCUAUGCAGAGCUACUAGUAGAUUGUCUUUUUGUUACAGCUGCAUGUCCCCCCUCCCCGUCUUUCUAAACUAUUAAUUUCAUUUGGCGGAAUUUUCUGUGAAUUUCAUGCACCUUUUAGUGUGCUUUGUCAACUAAGGACCUGGAUUGUGGGAAAAAAAGAAGCAAAAAAAGAAGAAACCAGGAAGAAGAAGAAGAAACCCAGAAGCAAAAGAAGAAGAAACCCAGAAGAAGAAGAGAGAGAGAGUUGGUGGAUGCAAUGACCAAGUUGCCCUCAUAUUUAACGGAAAUAUUGAUAGAAUGUAACGGUAGGAUCAAUGAAGCGAAUAAUAUAGAGUUGAUGUACCAUUUGGACUAAUAAUUUAAUUGAGGAACCAAAAUGUAAAUCGAGUAUAAGUUUGAGGACCAUUUGAGUAAUUUACCCUAAUUUUUCUCCUAAUAAUAAGGGUUUAGUGCAAUCAAUGAUGGGCUGUAUAGAACAACUUUUUUGUUUUAUAUGUUUAUGUGAGACAAGUUUUGCCAGAUUGAAUUAAUGUCUUCUAGCUAUGUACCUUAUCUUUUUGCCGGGCCAUGAGUUGAAUGUAGAGGCAGAGCAUGGACUUGGGGUCAAGUUUGACUUGUAAAAAAUUAGGAAUUGAAUGGCUAAUACGUUCAAUUAUUUAUUUAUUUAUUUAUUUUUGUCCGAGCCAUUCAAUUCCUAAUUAUUUAGAUUUUCAAUCCAGUGAGCAUCCACAAUCAUGCUCUCUAUUUUUAAGUUAAAUUUUAGCUAAAAACAUAUAAAAGUUAUUUUAGGAGCUCUCUAUAAAAUUUAAACUUCAAUCGUUUUCUCUAGUUUAGGGAGUCAUAAAUGCCAUAACUCUUUUUUGAUUGGUCUAUCUCUAUUAAAAAAUAAAAUAAAAAAUAAUUAGCAUUAAAUAAAGAUUUGAAAUACUCAUUAAAUAAAGCAACAUUAAAUUAUAGGGAGCCACUAGGAGUCCUUUCUCUCUCCUCAAGUUUAGGAGCUCCUAGAGGUCUCCCUAUUUUAAGAGGUGGAUAGGGAGUAUGGUUGGAAUUGUAUUUUUACAAUUCCUCCCUAAAAUUUGUCUAAGGAGGUGGUUUAGGGAACCCAUUGUGGAUGCUCUCAUCUCAAAGAAAGAAAACCUCAAGUUUGCAAGCAAGUUUUCUACGUAUGUAUAUAUGAAAAAAUGAUAUGAAAAUAAUAAAUCCAUAUUUUUAUGUAAGCCAACUUUCUAAAUCCAUGUACUAUAUUUAUUAGGGAAAUAUUGGAGAAACUGAUUAUUUUGAAAAAUUAAAUGUGAAAAACUGAACAAAAAUUUGACAGGUUACAUAUUUCAACUCAUUCAGCAGCUUAGGUUGUGAAGACCUAAGCAACAAAUCUGCUACUGGGGUGUUGGGGUUUUCUACGUCAUGUGGAGCUUCAUUGCUGCAUCCUUCCACUUCCAUUAUGUGUUGUUCUGAUUCUAAGUGAUGAGGGUAUUAUUGGCACCAUAAUAAACAAAUCAUUUCAAGAUGGUUCCUUCAAAAAUUUAGAAAACAUGCAUCACGAAAUUUUUUAGAAAACAUGCAUCAUGAAAAAAUUACGUGAACAAUAUACUUACACCAUGGGAUCACUCCCACAUAUUGUAACACCCCGACUCCAAAUUAAAUGAUUAUUUUAAUCGAUUUUUAUAAAAUUACGAAUUUACCCUUGGGAUAGGGGUAACUUGGUCACUUUCUUCUUCGGAAGGAUUUUUGGACCAUGAGUGGUAUUUCUGGGUAGUUGGUACCGAGACGAAUUCGUAGACAUGCGGUAGGCUUGAAUCGGGGUUGUAACGAAAAAGUUACGGGCAAAAUAGUGUCAGUGGCAAACUUGUAAAUAUUUCGAAAAGGGUUAGGGUAAAAAUCAGAUUUUUCCAGUUUUACCUCACUUUCUCUCUCUUCCUCCCGAUUCUCUCUCUCUCUCCCGCGUCUCUCUUCCUUCUCCGAUCUGCAGAUCGCAGAGCCGCCGCCACAGGCCACGGCUAGCCCCGAGACCGGACCCAAAACGAUCGGCCAAACCUCGCCGACGUCCCCCGACCCAUCUCCAGCCGCCAGCCGCCGCCUCGUCGCCGGAAACCACGGAUUUCAGGCCGAUUCUUGUCUGAGCUUCCAGUCGAUCGUUCUCUCUCCUCCGAGCACUAUUUCAGACGGGUGAGGUAUGGUUUCUCAUCCAAUUUUUGAGUUCUAGCUGAUGAUGGUAUAGGUUUUCAUUGAUUUUGAGUCUAGAAAACCGAUUAGGAAUCUAGGUUUUGGGCCGAAUUUCAAAAUGAAAUUCUGGCCAGUUGCCGGCCGAAUUGGAGCUUCUCGUAGUUGAAUGAAGUGAUCCUGACCUCGAGUAGAAGCUAGAGUAGGAAGGGUGAGCUCGGGUGUGGAGUUUUUCCGUCACCGGAAUUACUCUGCACACCCACGCGCUGCCGGCGCGUGUGGCGGUGCGUGGGCGAGUCUGGUGAGGAUGUAAAUUGACCCGAUGAGAUCCUUAGGUUGUCACGAGCGCAUAGGAAUUCGCGGAUCUCGAUUCGGAUGUCGUUUGGCUAUUGAAACGGAUUUUCGCAUAUUGUGCGUUAUCCGGGUUCGAUAGGUUCCGACCGUUAGAUCUUUCCCAAAUUAAAAUAUGUUGUUCUAGGUAUUCCUAGGACCGUAUGGGACUUCACGAAUUCUGAAUCGGAGCCCCGGAUGUUCCGAUUCAAAAAUGCAAAGUUUGCGGGUUAGCGAUAACCGUAAAAUCGUGAACGCUUCCUAAACCUGUAAUCGGACCUUAGGGUACCAUCUUCGACGUGCACGUAUGGGAAUUUGGGGAGUUAAGCAUUUAAUUUGUAAUUUCCGCUUAGACGUGGUUUUUAUAUUAAUUAACGGUUCGUAUUUCGAAAUAGGUAUUUCGACUGCACGCACGCAGCAAGCAGGACCUUCACGUGGUCAGGCAGCGAGGGAAUACUUGUGAGUGGACUUUGUUUUAAUCAUAUGCCUGGUUUUAAUUAAUGAAAGAUUUUGCAUAAUGUUUUAAUGGCUUCUGGAUUUUAUGUAUUAUAUGCAUGAAUUAAUUUCAAUGGGUGUAUAGCAAUUGGCAAUAUAUUAUGAGUUUGGCCUUUUGGGUUUUGAGAGUGUAUUUCAUGUAUAGAUUGGGGAAGUAUAUUUUGAUAUAUAUAUAUUCUUUUAGAGGAGAUAUUUGGGUUGUUGGAGAGUGAUAUGGAAGAAUGUGAUUAGAGAGGAGUUGUGGGAUUACACUACGUAAGUACCUUCCCCGGUUACUAGUCUCACUCGCGGCGUUGGAUGUUCCGGCGGGUGAGACACUUUCCGUAUGCGGCGCUGGAUGUUCCGGCGUACGGAAAGACUGUGUAUAGAGUUUAGGGUCAUCACCAUGGCGUUGGAUGUUCCGGUGUGUGAUGAUCCAGUCUGCGCGCGUAGGACAUAGUUUGAGAGCUACACAUGGCGUUGGAUGUUCCGGUGUGGGAGCUUUGGAGUUUCGUCCCCCGGUUGGACCGCUCAUCCCUAAACGCAGGAUAGCACCUGGAAAUCCUGCGGACUAGUCAAACGAUCCCCCAGUUGGAUUGUUUUCCCCGGUACCUAAGUGGUGUGAUGAGUAUAUCAUAUAGCUAUUUAUAGUUAUUUAUAUAUAUAUAUUUAUGUGUAUAUUUAUUGAAUAUGUAUAGUUGAGUGUGAAAGGAAUUGGAGUUUGUUUAAUAGUUGAUAGGAGUGGUGAGUUUGAGAGAAUGGGGUUCUUUUUGAAAGAGAUAACUGAUGUUUUUAGAUGAGUUUUACUGAAGCAUAUUUUGAGUAAUUUCUUAUUGAAUUGUGAACCUGCAUGACUUGAGCAUUAUUUUACAUGGUGGGGUUACUAUGUUGUUUUUAACUGCAAACCUGGUUUUUGUCCACUCACAUGUUUUCUGUUUUGCGCCCCCCCAGCCAGUAGUUGCUCUUGGAAGUGCAAGUGGUGUACGAAGCGGAAUCGGUGCAUCUUUCUAAUUAGGAAUUGUGUAAAUUCUUCUACUCAACUGUUCUUGUAAUCUAAAUUCAGUAGAUGCUCUGUAUUUGCCAUGGUAGAUUUUACUUGUGAGGCCGGAGGCCACUCUAGUAUGACUUAUGUAUGUAUGAAAGCAUGCUGCUGGUUGGGAUUAGUAUUACUGUGUGUGCAGGUUGAAUAAAUUUUGUUGGGUUUGUUUAAAUUGCAGGGGAGACUCUGCCAAAAUUUUGGUAGAAAGUCUCGAUUAUUUAGUAGUGGGCCCGGCAUCAGGAUGAUGUCGGGAUCAAGACGGGGUCCGCCUCGGUCAACGGGAAAUUCCGGGGCGGGUCUUGUCACAUAUUUGAACACAUAACACGUGUUCAAGGUUAUAUAUUUCAUUACCUUCACAAUAGGUACCAAACCGUACCAUGGGAACAUUCAUAUACGCACAACAUACUUAUAACAUACUUACACUCGUGUAUAUUUGAACACAAGAAGACGUGUGCACCACCGUGCACGGUUCACAUGAAGUAAGAAGAUGAAGAGGAAAUAAAGAAGAAUACAAAAGAAAAUGGAGAUGAGAAGAAAAAAAAAACACGAAUAAUGAAAAAUGAGUUGACAAUUAUAUAUGGUUGACAUUAGAUGUAAUAUUAUAUGUAAUAACUAAUGAUCUAAAAUAAACAUUUAAUCUAUUCACUCGUUUCGUGUUUACUCCUGUGAUGGAAGGGCAAAGUUCCCCAUUGCCUUGAAAACCAUUGACUGGUCAACAAGACAACUUUCUUUGGUGUGCGAGCGUGCCACUACUAGCAAUAAAAAACAUAGCAGACUUCUUUGAAAUAUAUAACUUGCGUCCUAAGUUACUAAUUUCUAAACAAGCGAUCGUGAAUUUGGGUGAGGAAUAUCUCCCAAGUAAGUUCUUUUCUUGCCUCAGACUGGUGAGGACUUCACAAUUUAUCUUAGUACAAGAUUGGUAGUUUUGGCCAGAAUAAAUGAUAAUAAAGUGGACUUUUUUAGGCAGAACUGCCUUUUACAAAACUAGAAAGGAAAAGAUCAACUCUAGAAAGACAAAAAAAUGGCUGAAAUUCCAUUUCUGCCUGGAUAGAAGCUUCUGAUCCGGGCUGGACUGGGUAUGUUUGUUCUGGACUGAAUUGUCAACAACUUCAACUACUAAGCUUCAGCUGUAAAUCGAUACCAAAGUUUGAGUUUGGCAGAGUUUUAAUAUAUUUCAAGCCCUGGAAGGCUUUUCGAACGGGCAGAACUGCAACUUCUUUGGUCUGAACGGGGCAGAAGUGGCUGGACUUAAGGAUUACUAAGCCGGAACUGCACUAUGGUACCUGUUCUGCUUGAUCCGGGCUCUCUAUAAAUUUGUUGAGGUUUCCAUAUUUGUGAAAACUCAAACUCGGCUUGUCUUGGCUUUUGCUGAACCAAAUUUGUAACGCGAGAAGUCUCGUUUUGAAUGACUUAUUUAUCUGAGUAUGAACUUGGAAGUUCGAUCUAUAGCUGGCUUCUUUUGUGGCUCGAAUGAGUUUUUGGUUGCUCUAGUUUGUUUUGAAGGUUCUCAAUGAUCAAGUGAUCAUUUUGAGUUUUUGCCUUUGGUUGAUUUUUGAUUGUUUGAUUGAUUGUUGAAAAAUGAGUGUGUUUUGCUCUGUUCACCCUCUCCUAUAUUUAUAAGAAAUGCUUUGGAGUAGGGUUUCUAAUUUUUUAGAAAUCGGCGGCAGAUUUUCUCAAAAGAUCUUUCAUUUUUUAAAAUGUAAAGAAAUAGGGGUUUUAUCAAUUCUGGUAGAUAAGCUCUCAAUGGUCAGUUUCUUUAAGUCAAUCACUUCUCUGUUUUUUGAAAGAAAACUUAAUCCCUCUUUAAUUCCAACUGCCCCUUGUGAGAGCUCAAACUGUGAUGGUUAGUUUGAUUUUCCAGUUUAAACAACUUCCUGUUUCAUGCUUUAUCUUUUUUUAGAAAACACAGUCUGCGUAUCCUGAAAGAUGGUGCCUUCUUUGGAGUAUAAACAAUAUCUCUGAAUAUAUAAAAGGGUUUUGAUCUUCUGGUGGCAGAGAUUUCAGAGACAUCCCUUCUUUUCGCCUGCCUCUGUCAACUCUUUAUUAACCUAGUUGAAAUUGUUGACUUUCCUAAAUCAGAGAAAAAGAUUCACUUUGGUAUGUUUCCUUUUGGGCUCCUUCUUCUCUUUUAAUAUGCCCAAACCCUUUUGUUUUUCCUGGAGCCAUGAGCUGAUUGCUCUUUUUUUCUUUUUUCGAGGCCCAAGUUUAUUUGCAGAGUCCAGACUGCUUGGGCCCUGUGGUUUGUCUUUGUUGUUUUUGGGCUGGGUGUGUCAAAUUAGGCCCAAACAAAGUCAAACAAUAAUUAAAAGAUUUGACAAUAUAAAAAUAUAUUGAGAACAAAAAAAGGCAAAAACUUUUGAAAAAUGGAAACAAUAAAUAUGAAUUGAGUCAUCAACUCACCAAGGUAAGUUUGCUGAUGUGUAAAAAUAGUCAAUGGACUACAUCGAAAAAUAAUUGGCUUACAUCAAAAAUUAAAAUCACGUGGUUUAUUCUUAAGAAACCUUAAUAUUUUUGGGUUCAUAUAUUUUUUGUAUUUUAAAAAAAAAGAAAAAAAAAAUCUGACCAUGUAUGUAUGAUGAUGAUAUGCAUGUUAUUUUUAGACCUAAGGUAAAACAAACAAACUUUUUACUCCAUUUUUCGUGAGGUUUAUCAAAAGAAUUAAACUGUUAUAUCCUCCAUUUUAGAUUUCAUGCUUCCAUUUAAAGAAAAGAAUAUCAACAACAAAAAAAGAAUAAAGUUACAACAUUGAUCAAUUCAAAUGUCCAACUAUCGGAUCAUGAGCCUCUGCACUUAGAGACUACGCAUUUACCCGUAUUUCGUUAAAUUUAGACCAUUAUAAUAAUCUAACCCCUUAGAAUGGGACACAUCAUCAAGUUUUUUUUCCUUUCACUAAACAGAAGAGUUAAGUUUUAUUUGUGGGUAACUAAACUCUUGUUUAGAGCAUGUUUUUUAUUUAUUUUUCUUUGUUCUGUGUAAAUUAUAAUAGGUUAGAUUAUUAUUUGUGGGUGACUAAAAUCUUGUUUAACAAUAAUAGUUAACGUUUGUUUAGAGAAGAAAAAAAAUUUGAUGAUGUGUCAUGUUCUAAAGGGUUAGAUUAUUAUAAUGGCCUAGAUUUAGCGAACUGUAGAUAAACGCGCAGUGUCUUAAUGCAGAGGCUCGAGAUCCCCAACUAUCAUUGAAACAUAAGAAACUAAAAUCUUCAAGAAAAUGCUAUCAAUUGAAAAAACAAUAAUUAAAAAACAAAAAAAGGAAGGGAAUUCGCAGCUGCUAUGCAAAAAAGAGCAAGUCGGUUCAAUGAUUUUUUCUUCUUCUUCUUUUUGUUAUGGAAAUGAAAAGCUAAAUGAUGGGCUAUAUAUGGGAAGAAGCUCAAUGAUUGAAUUAAUAUCUUCUAUCUACAUUCUACCCUCUUCCUCGCUACAUACACAAAUGGUGCACGUACAUGGACAUGGGUUGACAUGAAUAAGAACAGCGACGCGUACUUGUUUUUAUUUUUGGUUCUUUAGAUCCAGUUGCACGUACCAAAGAAAGAAAACCACAGGUAUGCAAUGCAAGCUCUUUUCCCAUGUUUUCCUCUGUUUUCUCCUAUUUUUCUCUCUUUUUUAAAAAAAAAAAAAAAGAUAUACGGAAGUGAUUAAAAUACUCCUCUAACUAAGCUUGUUUUGCGUUCGGUGGCCGACUGUAAAAGCUCUGCUCAAACCUAACGUACUAGGUAUUUAUUUUAUUGCUCUGUUCAGACCUAGUGAUUAAAAUGCACUUGCGAUUUUGUGUUUCAAUUCCCUCUCCCCUAAUAUUGCUUGUAUAAAAAUAAAAACUUUUAAAAAGACAUUAAUAUUGUAUUCUAUAUUCUAUAAAGUGUUGGACAUGUUUUAUAUUGUUGACAACCCCCUAAUAUUUUGGUGGUGCCCAGUUAUAUUCAAUUCGUAUGUAUUUAAUUUGCCACUUACAUUCUUGCCUUAAUACAUUUAGGCUUAUUUUUAUACAAAUUUCUCUAACAUAACUUUUGCACAUUCUUUUAGUCUCUAAUAUAUAUAUAUAUAUAUAUAUACAGAGAGCUUCCAUUGAGGGAUCCCUCAAAUAAACUUAUUUGAGGGACACUCCUUGUAGGCCCCACUCCGAAUUGUAUUUCACUAAUACAAACCGUCUAUUUUGUAGAUACUCAUUCAAAGAUCAUCUCUACAAAAAAUCACUUGAAUCCGAUAUCAUUUGACCACUCAAUUAAGUUAUUGAAAUUUUAGCAUUUUCUUGAAGCACCGUGUUCAUUGAUUUUGUAAGACACAAUUGGAUGUCGAAACGGUUUCCGAUUUGUCUAAUUUUUUGUAAGGAUGAUCUAUGAAUGAAAACCUAAAAAAUAGGUAGUUUGGAUCAUUGAGAAAAAAAUUGUAUGGUACCUUAAAGGGCGUCCCUCAAAUAAAAUUAUUUGAGGGAUCCCUCAAUAGAAGGGGACUGUAUAUAUAUAUAUAUAUAUAUUUUCUAAUAAAUAAUCUUACCCAUUUGAGUUAUCAGCUAUUUUCUUUUAGCCCGGAAAAUCGACAUUUUGACAGAGAGUUGAAAAGAACUCCCCAAUUUUAAUGUCAGCCACUUGAAAAAAAAAACAUAAAUUUAAUGACAACAAUUACAUUUAGCAAUGCAACCUAAAAACUCAACCUUUGCGCCCCUUUCACAACGUAGAUAGCAGAGUAAGGAUAUUCGGAUAAGAACCAAGACAUAAGCCAGAGAAACUACGAUAGCCAACCAGGGCCUUCAUUUCUUACCAUCUGAACAAUGCCACCAUUUUGUUUGGUAAGUAUUUAAUAACAUUUCUUGCUCUUCAUAAAGUAAUAUUAAAACGAAAUUUGCCUAAAUUUUUCUUACCAACAAUGCAUACGAAAAAAAAAAAGGAAGAUUCACUAUUAUACUCAAUAUAGGAGCCCAAAUUAUUUAUAAUUAAAAAAAAAACCUUACAUGAAAUGGACUUUAGAAACACACUCAAAACCUAUUUACAACAAAACAAAGACUUUUAACUUCUUUUAAAUUACAAAACUAUCAUUGAUUUCUUAAACAAACCCAACCCCAAUACCUCAUAAAAAAACCCAAAAUACUUGAUAAAGCAUCAAAGUAAUUUAAUAAUCAAAAUUAAAUUCAAUAGGACCAGCAGUUAUUUUUUGGGUUUUUUUUGUUUGUUUAUAGAAAUUAAAUGGUGUAGGAUCUAUCUAUAUUAUUAGUGCUAAGAAUGGAUAUGUGACUAAAUAAUUCCAAAAAAAAAUUAUAAUAAAUCUACAAUUUUUCUUUUUAUAAAAAAAUUCUACAAAAAUUUAUUAGAUUAAUAGGCACUACUAGAAAAUCUCCAUAUAAGCCACUAAUACACCCAUGACAGUUGUCCAAGCGUAGUGUUGUCAUUCAAUAUUCCCCACAGCAACCAGCAUCCAAUAAAGGGUUGCCUCUCUGUAUGUAGCUAUUUGAGAAUAUAAAAGAAAUAUUUUUUAUUCAACAUGGACGCAGAAACUGUUGCUAAACUGCAAACUUCUUAAAAUAUUUAUCUAACUUUCUAGAUCCAUGUACUGAGAUUUAUUAGGGAAAUAUUGUAGAAACUGAUUAUUUUGAAAUAUUAAAUGUGAAAAACUGAACAAAAAUUUGAUGGGUUACAUAUUUCAACUCAUUUCAGCAGCUUAGAUUUUGAAGACCUCAGAAGAGGCUAUGCAAUGAGCCUAGCUAGUGCACUGUUGAUCACUUCAGUGUUUACCGAUCUGUAAUUUUUCCAGAUUGGUUAUAUUUUCCUUUACAUAUUCUUAUAUUUUCCCAGUUGGGGAGACUUAUAAAUAAGGGAAAUAGCCCUAAAUGCCACCAAUUUUAUAAUUUUUUGUCAAAAUACCACCCCUCCCCAAAAUUUUUAAAACUACCACCUAUAAAUACAUCUUUAUUGUAAAUUAAUUGCACCCAUAUCACUUUUUCAGAAAUUGGGUUCUCCCUCAACUCUCUUGGCUCUGUCUCUCUCUUUAGCCUAGCUCUCUCUCUCUCUCCGACAUAGUCAUCUUCCUCCCUCAGCCAUCCAAGCUUAACUCCACAGUUCACAUCCACGAGGUACUGUUCACGUUCCUUUUCUUAGAAAUUUGGGGUUUUUGUGAAUUUGGUUUAUGAUGUAUGGAUUUGUAUGAAAUUGGUUUAGGGGUUUCUUCCAAAUUGGUUUGGUAAGAAGGUGAUGUUGUUGUUGCUGUCACUGACAGACUAUUUUUCCUGGGUUGUGGUUGGUGGGUGUUACUGCGAAUGCUUACAAGGUUGCUGAUUCUCCUUCUAAGGUCUCUCUUUCUCUCUAUUUCUACAAAUUCUAAGGUUUUUUUUUUUUUUUGGGUUACUUUUUUUUUUUUUUUUAUUUCUUUUGCUAAUUGUAAUUGGGCCUUUGUUGCAGAGGUGGAUUUGUUUUGUGCCCAAAAGAUUGUGACUUUGUUGAAAGUUCGUAAAUAGAAAAGGCAGCUGCCCCCUGCGGCUUGGAACGCUCAAUUCGGAGGUAUUAUGCCUUGAAUUUUUACAAAAGAAGAAUUGAAACUACCUUAUAGAAGGCAAAACAAAAAUAUAUAAGAGGAAAAAAGGAGAAAAUUUAUCUAAUUUCCCUUUUUUUAGUUGUAUUUUUNNNNNNNNNNNNNNNNNNNNNNNNNNNNNNNNNNNNNNNNNNNNNNNNNNNNNNNNNNNNNNNNNNNNNNNNNNNNNNNNNNNNNNNNNNNNNNNNNNNNNNNNNNNNNNNNNNNNNNNNNNNNNNNNNNNNNNNNNNNNNNNNNNNNNNNNNNNNNNNNNNNNNNNNNNNNNNNNNNNNNNNNNNNNNNNNNNNNNNNNNNNNNNNNNNNNNNNNNNNNNNNNNNNNNNNNNNNNNNNNNNNNNNNNNNNNNNNNNNNNNNNNNNNNNNNNNNNNNNNNNNGGGGGAAGGGACACCCUAUUUCGUUACAGGGUUUAUUGACUGCAUUCUUCCUUGUUCUAGAAGACCUCCUCAGUUCCAUUGAGCCGACAAACCUUAUGAAGUUGAAUGUGAAGUGUUACCUUGCAUCUACAUGUUUCAUCUUUUAACUUUAUUUUCAUGUUUCACACUGAUGCUUGUAGUUAUUUCUAGUUUUGCAUACAGAUUAGCAAAUAGGUUAUGCAUUUACUGUUUAGUCAUCUAAUGAUUUGAUAUCUAAUAUUUAGGCAUAUGGGAAUUUAUAGAUGUACCGAUUAUGCAUACAUAUAGGUUUUGUGCUUGUAUUAGGAAGUUAGAUUCUUGUGGUUCCUCUUCAAUGGCAUGAAUUUAAAUUGUUGUGCUUCAUGAUUAGGGUCUGAAGAACAACCAUGUAGUAAGAAAGUUGGAGAAACGUCAACAGAUUUGCACCCUUGACCAACAUAUUGAAGAGUAAUUUGGUGGUGGUCGUCUAUUGGCUUGUAUCUCAUCACGACCUAGAUAGUGGCUGUGCUGAUGGGUAUGUGACUUUAUUUGCCUAUGUCUGUUUCUAGUCAGCCGAUAUGUCAUUGGCAUAUUAGUGUAGUUACCAUAUUGCAAGGGCUGAAAUCUGGAUGAUAACAGCUUCUUUUUAUUGUUGUUUUAAAGUGAAGUAUGUAUGGAUCUUAUGAAAUUUUUACAGAAAUAUAUUGGAGGGCAAAUAAUUUUAUUUUAGUUUUUUUAUUCCCAAAUGAUACCCAAAACAUGUAAGCUUCACACUAUGUUAAUUUCUGCAGGAUGGGAAAACAUUGGACAAUGAGUUGGAGGUUGUUAAGGGAAUGAAGCUAGACAUGGGCUACAUAUCCCCUUAUUUCAUCACCAACCAGAACAAUUAGAAAUGUGUAAGUUUUGGUUUGAUUCAGGGAUGACUAUGUCUUGAAACUGUUAGAGGGCUGCUUGUUAAAGUUAGUAGCACCUCAAGUCCCUUUUUUAUUGAUGCUGAUUAUCUUCAAACUUGUGUAUGUGCUGAUAGGAAUUGGAAAAUCCUCUAAUCAUAAUCCAUGAGAAGAAAAUCUCAAGUAUUAAUGCUGUGGUUAAAGUAUUGGAGUUGGUCUUGCAGGUUAUCAUUUCUCUGGUUAGGUUCACUAGUUUCUUCUUUUUUAUCAUGAAUUGGUUGACAAACUUUUGCUCUUUUUCAAAAGCAAAGGUCUUUGCAUUUUGUUAUAUCUUUCAGAACCAAAGUUAUAAAAGAAAAUGGUUUUCCUCUUUGUUAAUUGAGAAUCAUCUGCAGUUAUGAUUUCAGAUCUAUAGAUAACUUGUUGUUGCUGAUAUUGCUACACGGGAGGAGAAUAGAACAGCUUGAAAAAUGUGCAAGAAGAGAGAGCUAACUCAUACACCGAAGAACAAAUUGGUGAAGUUAAGAUCAAAUUAGUAGAAUUUGUGAGCUCUCCAUUAUUUAUAAUUAUAGGUAGGAAGUAUGUAUGUAAUAGAGUAAAGAUUGGUUGACUAUGUAAUAACAAUUGAAUUUUCAAGUUUUAUGAAAGAAAUAAUUUUUGAGCAUAUAUAUUUGUUAAUAAAGCAUUAUAAUUGGUUUUCUAGUUAAAAUCGUUGUAUAGAAUCGUAGGAAACAAAAACCUAAAUAUAACAGCUUGGGAACUUAUUAGACGACAGAUUUAAAGAUAAUAAAAUGUAGUCUGAAUUGUUAGGGUUCGGUGGCGAUUUAUUUUGCAUGUCUAAAUUGUAGUCUGUAAUAUAUGUGUGUGUAUUGUAUGUAGAUUGACUUAAUAUUGCUAUCCUAUUGCAUGCGUAUUGUACUAAUAUUGCCUUUGUAUUGCAUACAUAUUGUAUGCAUAUUGCCACCCUAUUGCAUGUAUAUUGUGAUGUUAUUGCUGUUGUAUUGCCGUUAUAUUGCCCUAAUAUUGCCUCUCUAGUGUAUGUAUAUUGGCCUAAUAUUGCCAUUAUAUUGUAUGUAUAUUGACUAUGACUCAUCAAUGGGUUUACGGUUUAGGCCCUACUUCAUUCAAAAAGAAGACGACGACGAGAAAGAAACAAUGUGCCUUUCAAAAACAAGCAGUCAGGUGCAUUAUAAUUGCACCGUAAGACAUUGUAAGAAAUUAUUUUAAAAGAUAAUAACAACUAAAAAAUAAUUUACCAAAAAAGGAAGGUAUGAAUAAAUAUGCAAAUGCUUCGUCAUGGGUUGAAGAAAAGGAUGAUUACAUUUGGUGGUUUGAUUAUGUUUGGUGAUAUGAUAUGUUGUUCGUCUGAAUCUUCAUAUAUGUAAUUGUUAUGUUAAUACUUGACACAAAUUCAUCUCGUAAUCAUCCAAUUAUUAAAGCUAAGUAAAUGAAAUGAAACAAAAGAAGAAGCCCAAAAUAAACAGAAACAGCAAUUUCUAGCACCCAUUUAUCGCUUCUGUAUUACCACUGUAUCACCAACGUAUCACCAGCUUAGCGUUGAUGACCAUUAGUUCAAACAUUAUGUGAUCUAAUAGGGAUAACUAAUUUUUGGAACAACUAAUGAAUCUUCAAAAAGAUAAAGAACAACUAGUAAACUAAUGUAUGCAGUUUAACUUUGCACGGGUCAUAGUGCUCAACAUGAUAUUUGGCAACCAUCUCUACACUUGGUGUAUAUUGCAGGCUUCUAUGCAUUCCAAACCUUCAUUCUUCUGUGAUAAAACUGUUAAAUUACCAAGAUUUCUAACACAUGGAAGUAAACAAACGAAUCUGCACAUUUAUUUGUACAUACACACUGCGUAUUGCACAUCUGCGCAUCUAUUAAUCACCACACCAAUGUUUCAAAGAUUGAUUCAGAGGGCAAAAUGAUUGAUUACAUAUUUCAAAUUAGUCAUCUGCUCAUAAGAACUUGGCCCUAAAACUGUACUAAUGGUAAAUAUACUGACAUAAUAGCUAUUAAUGAAAAAUUCUAAACAAACGAGGGACUUAUUUUUCUAAUAUUGUAGUGGAAGCAUGUUAAGUGAUUUUCCACAUUUGUUCAUGGGGGUAAAGUAUAUCUUACCCCUUUCUAAACAUUAUGAGGUUUCAAAUUUCAAUAACAACAGAAUGCUAAGCAGAAAAGUAGAAUUGCUACAUAAAUUACUUAGAAGGAACAAAGUCAAAACUAAUUUGACAAAUCUUAAGAAAGCUGUAUGCUUCACUAAGUCAACUAACAGAUUCCCAGUGCAGGAAAUGAAAUAUACCUAUAUCACAUAAAUUGCAAAGAAAACCACAGAGACUAAAUGUUAACAAUGGAUACAAAAAUGAGUAGAAUUCAGUGGAAACGAACACAUCGUUUCAAACAAGUAAAUUGUUAUAUGUCCAUAAAGAGCAACUAUGUUUAUAUAUGGAGGUGUACGAAAUAGUUCAACUUCAAAAUGGAAACAGUUUAUGUGCCAUGUAAGGCAAUGAACAUAUAACAAGGUGAGUCUUCAACAAAUUAAAAGUAGACAAUUAUUUUCAAACAAUCUGACAGCUGCCCGAGAAAACUGAGGGAGUUAAGGCAUGAGAUGCAAACAUGAUAAACACUGUUAAGCACUCGGACGAACCCAUGCUAUAAUACAAGCCAACAGACAAUCACCACCACCAAAUUGCUCUUCAAUAUGUUGGUCAAUGGUGCAAAUCUGUUGAUGCUUCUCCAACUUUCUUACUACAUGGUUGUUCUUCAGACCCUAAUCAUGAAGCACAACAAUUUAAAUUCAUGCCAUUGAAGAGGAACCACAAGAAUCUAACUUCCUAAUACAAGCGCAAAACCUAUAUGUAUGCAUAAUCGGUACAUCUAUAAAUUCCCACAUGCCUAAAUAUUAGAUAUCAAAUCAUUAGAUGACUAAACAGUAAAUGCAUAACCUAUUUGCUAAUCUGUAUGCAAAACUAGAAAUAACUACAAGCAUCAGUGUGAAACAUGAAAAUAAAGUUAAAAGAUGAAACAUGUAGAUGCAAGGUAACACUUCACAUUCAACUUCAUAAGGUUUGUCGGCUCAAUGGAAUUGAGGAGGUCUUCCAGAACAAGGAAGAAUGCAGUCAAUAAACCCUGUAACGAAAUAGGGUGUUCNNNNNNNNNNNNNNNNNNNNNNNNNNNNNNNNNNNNNNNNNNNNNNNNNNNNNNNNNNNNNNNNNNNNNNNNNNNNNNNNNNNNNNNNNNNNNNNNNNNNGAUAUGAAGAAACAAAAUGAAUCUCCCACAAGCCUAACAGGCUAAUACCAUUAACAAGGUCUGAAAUUGACUCUAUAUCAUGUACAUAUAUAUAUAUAUAAACUCCAUCUUUACAUAUUGGAACUACAUCAAUGUAAACCAACUAGAUCGACCCUGCAUCCUGAACACCACCCCCCCUCCCAAAAAAAAGACCGAGAAAAAAAAAAUACAACUAAAAAAAGGGAAAUUAGAUAAAUUUUCUCCUUUUUUCCUCUUAUAUAUUUUUGUUUUGCCUUCUAUAGGGUAGUUCCAAUUCUUCUUUUGUAAAAAUUCAAGGCAUAAUACCUCCGAAUUGAGCGUUCCAAGCCGCAGGGGGCAGCUGCCUUUUCCAUUUACGAACUUUCAACAAAGUCACAAUCUUUUGGGCACAAAACAAAUCCACCUCUGCAACAAAGGCCCAAUUACAAUUAGCAAAAGAAAUCAAAAAAAAGUAACCCAAAAAAAAAAAAAAAAAACCUUAGAAUUUGAAGAAAUAGAGAGAAAGAGAGACCUUAGAAGGAGAAUCAGCAACCUUGUAAGCAUUCGCAGUAACACCCACCAACCACAACCCAGGAAAAAUAGUCUGUCAGCGACAGCAAAAACAACAUCACCUUCCUAUCAAACCAAUUUGGAAGAAACCCCUAAACCAAUUUCAUACAAAUCCAUACACCAUAAACCAAAUUCACAAAAACCCCAAAUUUCUAAGAAAAGGAACGUGAACAGUACCUCGUGGAUGUGAACUGUGGAGUUAAGCUUGGAUGGCUGAGGGAGGAAGAUGACUAUGUCGGAGAGAGAGAGAGAGAGCUAGGCUAAAGAGAGAGACAGAGCCAAGAGAGUUGAGGGAGAACCCAAUUUCUGAAAAAGUGAUAUGGGUGCAAUUAAUUUACAAUAAAGAUGUAUUUAUAGGUGGUAGUUUUAAAAUUUUUGGGGAAGGGUGGUAUUUUGACAAAAAAUUAUAAAAUUGGUGGCUUUUAGGGCUAUUUCCCUAUAAAUAAACCCAAAAUGGGUACAGUAUCUAUACAGAAGGACAAAAUUAAAGUGUUUGGACAAUAAUGCCCCUAUUCAUUUUGGGAUUGCCUAAGGAAUCCUUUUCCUGAUUUUCAAUGAUGCCAAAGGACUGUUGUUUGAUGCUUGCCGUAUGGAGCUAAGAAAACUUGCUUUGUGUUAUAAAAAUAACCUGGAAUAUGUACGAAUAUUGAGCUGCACGAAAAGUAGAUGAAACACAGCAUUUAACGAGGUUCGGCUAUGCCUACGUCCUCGGAGAGCAACAGCAGUAACUUUUUCACUAUAUGAAAUAAUAGGGCUACAACUUUAGAGUUUACAAUAUGUGAGGCUCACUGAAUUUUCUCUCUCUUUCUUCUUCUCUCUUUUCUUUCUUCUUUUUCUCUUCUCCCCUUUCUUUCUUUUCUCCGUUGGUCACACUCCCCUUUACAAUUGGUAUGCCUAUUUAUAGGCUAAUGUUUAGGCAAAAUACAGGGAAGGGAAGGUUCCUGGAAGAUGCAAGGAAACUUCCUGAAUUGAUAAUGUCACACCCCGGACCGACUCCGCCGUAGCACGAUAUUGUCCGCUUUGGGCCCUCCUCUCACUGCCCGCACGGUUUUGUUUCUGGGAGCUCACGAAGCAACUUCCCAGGGUGGUCACCCAUCCUGGGAUUGCUCCAGCCUCCCACUCGCUUAACUUCGGAGUUCUUACAACUCCGAAGCCAAUGAGCUCCCAAAAGGCCUCGUGCUAGAUGGAUGCGGGUGUGCCAUAUAAGGCACAUCACCCCCCUCUCCGUUGGUUUGAUGUGGGAUCUUACAAUCCACCCCCCUUAAGGGUCCGACGUCCUCGUCGGCACACUCGCACCACACGGCAGAGUGGCUCUGAUACCAAAUUGUCACACCCCGGACCGACUCCGCCGUAGCACGAUAUUGUCCGCUUUGGGCCCUCCUCUCACUGCCCGCACGGUUUUGUUUCUGGGAGCUCACGAAGCAACUUCCCAGGGUGGUCACCCAUCCUGGGAUUGCUCCAGCCUCCCACUCGCUUAACUUCGGAGUUCUUACAACUCCGAAGCCAGUGAGCUCCCAAAAGGCCUCGUGCUAGAUGGAUGCGGGUGUGCCAUAUAAGGCACAUCACCCCCCUCUCCGUUGGUUUGAUGUGGGAUCUUACAGAUAAAUACAGGGAAGGAAAGUUCCUGGAAGAUGCAAGGAAACUUCCUGAAUUGAUAAAUACAGGGAAGGGAAAGUUCCUGGAAGAUGCAAGGAAACUUCCUCUGUGGGCUCCACCUUCAAACUUUUACAACACUCCCCCUUGGAGACCACAAAUGAUAUGAAAUAUGCCUCGUUAAAAACCUUGCCAGUAAAAACCCAGUGGGACAAAAACUGGUCGAAGGGAAAAAGAGUACAUAAUCACGUGUAACAUAAAAUUCUGUGUAUAUUGACGCGCGUGCGACACUGCCUCGUUAAAACCUUGCCAGGAAAAAUCUAGUGGGAUAAAAACCUGGACGAAGGAAAAAGAGUACAGUGUGUAAGGGUCUGUAUUGACAGCACGCUCCUCCUGAUGCUUGGCAAAAUAUCUUUAAGCCAUACUGUUGAUCAUCUGUCUGAAUAUCAUAGUUGACACUGCUGCUGUGAGUCAAUAGUGUAUGAAGGUCUUUAUUAAUACCAUGCUCCCCCUGAUGAAUAUCUCCCCCUGAAAACUUCAUGACUAGCUUUUUCCAGUAAGCGACCAUAGAGAUUUCCUGAGUCCGCAUAUCUUAGAACACUUGGGCUAUUUAUAAGUUCACUAAAAAAAUAUGCCCGUAUAUGGUGUUAUGCUUAGAUAGCAUCAAAUAUACCUCACAUCAUCCCAAAAUGAUGGUGAUGGAGUUGAGCCCUAUCUGGAAAAUAUGAUGUCCGGUCCAAUAUACUUCCGGAAAAUCAUUAAAGUGUCCAACGGAUAAUCCUCAUAAAAAUACUUUAAUACUUUCUUAGUAUAAGCAAGAAUCUCGUUGGCAUAAUGCUCGAUCGAGACAAAUAUUUCAUGAAUUCUGCAGAAACUUUAAUGUGUUGCAAUCACAUUAUAAUCAAUGUACUCACUGAGGUAAUUUAUGCAUAUUAAUAUUGAGUACAAAUUUUGUGCUUCAAGCACAUGUCCUUUAAGGACUUGCUUUAUGCAAUAUCAAUCCUCUCAACGGAUUUUGUCUAAAAGGGAUUAAGCUUUAUGACACAUUAUAUAGCUUUUACCCAGCUAUUUAUACAUCUUUAGGAAAUCGCUUCUGGCGAUAUGCUCCGUGCAUUCAAUAACCCUUAAAGAUAAUAUGUUGGUCUCCGUAAUUGUGUAAUAAGGGGGGGCACAAUUGAAUCUGUAAAUAUGGAGAAAACCCAACAUUCCUUGUUUCUGCCAGAAACAGUGUGUCAUACAAAGUAGGUAUAUUCCCUUUUAUUCCGAACACCCAAGUAUAACUUUCAGUAUUAACAAAUUUUGGGGUUCGUAUUGUGGGUUUGUUCUUUCACGUUCAUUCUCAUUUAUAAUGGAAUUACCUCGUUCCAUUUUGGCCAGUGAUAUUGUCGACAUUUAAUAAUUGAACGUGGUUCCAAUCAACACAGCCCAUUGAUGAUUUGAGUAGCUACUCCAAAACCAAAAAUUGUCAUUCAUCAAUUCAUGAUCCCACCAUUCUCAUGUGCAUGCACAUGCAUCAAUUAUAAGCAUUUCUUUGCUUUUUGGUACCCAAGCCACUUCAGGGGGCUUUUAUUAUGUGAGAAUGUGGAUUAUAACCUCCAUCGGAGCGUUAUUUAGUAGUAGGGCGUGGAUAAUCUCCAUUUAGAGAGUUGGAACAUUGAGAACCCAUAUAUCUGUCAUGCUGCAGGCAUGCCACAGAUUAAUACAUACAUGUCAAUUAAUUUCUGGGACUUUAACCCAUAUUAUGGGACUUUAACCCAUAUAAUUUGCUACGCAUUAGGCGUGCAUAAUAUCAAUAUUGACAUGUCAAAGGAUUGUCCUUUCGGGACUUCAAUUCAUAUCAUUUGCUACGCAACAGGCGUGCACCCAUAUUGAUCACUGCUAUACCCAUAUUCUGUUCUUAUGGGACUUUAAUCUGUGCAGUGUAUUAUCAAUGUAUCCAUCUUACAAUCUGUAAAAUUUGCAUUAAUAAUUCAUGGAUACAUACAAGCCAUUCUUUUGGAACAGACUUAUCUCCCAAUUUGGUUACCUUUCAAGAUAAAAUAUCAAAUAGGUAUAUAAGCAUAAAAUAACACAAGUAUUGCUUACAUCCUUAGGUGGGAGAAACUUUUCUCAAGUAUCAUUCAAGCUCAUAUCAGCCCAGUAAAUAUAAUGUAGCGCUUGAUGAUCUAGUUAUAUCCUGCAAGAGCAAAAAUCACAACUCUUUUGCCUCUGUCAAAACAAAUAACCCUCAUAGUUAGGAUUACUUCAUGGAUUCAUUCUUCAUAUGUUCAUUCUAAAGAAAUAAAAUCUCUUAUGAACAGAGAGUUAUAAAAAGAGAAAAAAUGCAAAAAUAAUGUGAUAUUGAUUGCAAGAGAAGGUAAGCAAUCAGGGAAGGAAGCUGGUGGGAGCAGACAAUAAGCUCUCAUAUCUCCUAGUCUAGAAGGACUCCCGGAGAUUAGACCAUAAGAUCGCCUUCACAGUUUCCUGAUGUAGUGGAAACGUGAUCAGGGAUAGUCUUGCUUCCUGAAUGGAUGAUCAGAGAUAGUCUUGCUUCUCAGGCAUAUUGAGUGCUCACUGAUAAGAAAAAUAAGUAGAUAUCUCAUCACUAAGUAUGGAGUAAACUGGAUGUCUUCUGCAAAGGAAAAUUUCGUUUAGUAACACAUUUAUACACAAAUACAAUGAAUAGGUAGAACCGGUAAAUUUCAAAUUAACCAUAGGAAAAUUGCGAGAUUCUCGGGAUACUUUUGAAAAAGUAGCUCCGUGAAAUCCGUAAAGCAAGAUCGGCUUUGAAAAUAAUACUUUGAAAAACGCCGAAAGUGCCGACAUGCAUUAUUAGAGGCCACGUGAAGUUUUGGACUCUGGGAAAGAAAAAGAUAAUAUGGGGAUUCGAGAAGACAUUGGGGUCCUGAAAAGUUGCCACAUUUUCGUCUAUAGAUAUUGCCUUUGCAAACUGCGUUUCAACUCAACUUCCUUCAUUUUCCGAACCUUUAGUUUUUCUAAGACUUUCUUCGAAACCUUCUUAAAAAAAUGGCUUCCUCUUCUUCCUGCCCAAAUUAUUUCAAUUUAAAUGAUGCUCCCACAACAACCAGUGACGCCCAAGUUUGGCGUCCAUCCUUUGUAUCCAAAAAUCGUCAUCUCACAGUUAAUGAUUCUGUGAUGAUGAAUGAUGCUACUGCUGUCAUAGUAGCUAGGAAUUUCAUUACUCCAAUGGAUGAAAUGUUGUUGACAGGGAGAUCAGAGGAAGAGGCUAUUGAUGAAUCAAUGGCUUUUAGCAUUCAGAGUGCUGUUUCUGUUUCUAACAUGGCUGAUCGUUUGCGUGCCAGAGCAAACGAAGUUGAGAAUUUAACAACUGAAAAUUCGUCUCUCCAAAGAAUGCUUCAUGAGUCUCAACAGGAGGUUGAGAAACUUAAAGGAGAGAAUAAUGCCUUGUUGAAACUGGUGAGUUCGUACUCUGUUGAUACAUUGAGAAGGCUAGACAUGCUGCAGGUCUCGAAUGAAAGAAUUUUGGGAGACUAUGAGAAGCUCAUGGCUAAGCUUAAGAGGCGCCGUCAUCUUCCUUCAGAGGCUUCCAGGACAUAAUGUAAUUUUUAUAGAUUUUACAGGGCCUGCACCUUCAUUGCAGGAAAAAAUCUAUCUGUUGUAUGCCCCUUUUCUGUUAUAAUAAUUGCGCAUAUUCUUAAACUUGCACCUGUGGUUUUUACGUCUUUUCAAAAUGACGAUUUGGAACCUUGUGCCUUAUAGGUUCAAAUAACCACAUUGUCUCUCCCAAAUUUCAUAUUUUAUCGCAUGGUAGCCCGGAACUUUUGGCCUGGGCACAAACUCAGAAUUUAUUUGCCCUUUUCAAAUGGACAUGAAAUAUGAAUUGAGUAAAAGCCAUGAUAAUAUCGCAAUAUAGUAGUGAAGAGCAUUAACUACUAUAUACCCACAACUUCAAGUUCAGGAUCUCUCAUAUAUUUGGAUCCAUGGGCUUCCGGCCCAAAUAUAACAAAAUAUGUGGGGAGCCUCAAUUCAUUAUUUGAGGUUUAUAUUAAUAUUAUGCAUUUCGCGGUGUAUUCUUAACAACCGGAAUUCACAAAAUAUAUUUCUUCCUUGAGGUGUCGAUUAUAACAAAAUCGAACUUUAUUAAAUUCAUCAUCUUCUUAUGCCAAAGAAAUAUGUGGCAUACCACAAUUUGCAAUAAUACCUCAAGGGUUGUCCAUUUAAUUGUUGGAACUUCAGGUUCUCAACACUGUUAAAUUUGGAACUUCAGGCCAAAGCCACAUAUUCUCAUGGUAUGGACAUUUUUACAAUUUUCUGUACAUAUUUCGGGACUUCAAGCCCUUACAUAACUGUCCAUAUUUUGAGGAACUUCUGGCAUCUCAUUUAAUUGCUCAUCCAUGAGUUUAAGGAACUGCAGGUUCCCUUUUGUAUAUAGUGACGGUUUACCCAAAAUGGUUAAUAUUUAUGCAUACAUCACUAUUCAUGUGAAUAGUACUAUUCAUCAAGUCAUGAAUACGUAUCUAUUCAUCUGCCAGUACAGUUAUCAUCAAUGUGUACGGCACUAUGAACCAAUACGGUACUGUUACAUCAUUAAGGAACUCUAGGUCCUUAUUUACAUGUCAGGGAUUAAGAACCUUUAAGUCCAAUCACAUGUUUACAAAUACAGUACCGGUGAGACUGCCAGCUCUCAUUUUAAUAUCAUCAUCAAGGAUCUUCAAGUCCUGAUGUAAUUGUAUGAUGAGGAUCAAGGAACUUCUGGUCCUGAUCUGCAUACUGGAAAAACUAAUCAUACAGCACAAUUAAUCCAUAAAAUAAAUUGCUGAUAAAUAAAUUACUGGUAUGGACGAUAAACCCGCACCACACUUUAAAUAAAUGUAAAUGUGCGGUAAAUUAAAUUCAUAAAGUUAAGGUGCUUGUAUGGGCAUUAAUUCUGCUCCAUACAUUUAAAUAAAAGUAAAGGCGUGGACGAUAAACCCGCACCACCCUUUUAAAUAAAUGUAAAUGUGCGGUAAAUUAAAUUCAUAAAUUAAAUUGCUUGCUGUAUGGACGUUAAUCCCGCACCAUACUUUAAAUAAAAUUAAAUGUGCGGUAAAGUAAAUUGUGCUUGUAUGAGCACUAAUUCUGCUCCAUACAUUUAAAUAAAAGCAAUGGCGUGGACGAUAAACCCGCACCACCCUUUUAAAUAAAUACUGUUGUAUGGGUAAUAAACCUACACCAUACAGUAAAUAAAAUAAAUAUGCGGUAAAAUAAAUUUGCGAUAAAGUAAAGGUGCAUGUAUGGGUAAUAAACCUACACCAUACAGUAAAUAAAUGUGGGGUUAAAACCACCACCGAAUAAAAUAAGAAAAAGUUAGUAUUAGUAACGGUCUCCUACUGAUAAUAUGUUUAGUAUUACCAAGGGUCCAUUUUUGUUAGUGGUUAGUAGUAUAGAUAAUAGUGCAGCAUAAAAAUUAUACCUGAGAGCUUCUCGUGCUGAUAACGUGUUAUAAAAAUAACCUGGAAUAUGUACGAAUAUUGAGCUGCACGAAAAGUAGAUGAGACACAACAUUUAACGAGGUUCGGCUAUGCCUACGUCCUCGGAGAGCAACAGCAGUAACUUUUUCACUAUAUGAAAUAAUAGGGCUACAACUUUAGAGUUUACAAUAUGUGAGGCUCACUGAAUUUUCUCUCUCUUUCUUCUUCUCUCUUUUCUUUCUUCUUUUUCUCUUCUUUUCUUUCUUCUUUUCUCUUCUUCUUCUCUCUUCUUUUUCUCUUCUCCCCUUUCUUUCUUUUCUCCGUUGGUCACACUCCCCUUUACAAUUGGUAUGCCUAUUUAUAGGCUAAUGUUUAGGCAAAAUACAGGGAAGGGAAGGUUCCUGGAAGAUGCAAGGAAACUUCCUGAAUUGAUAAAUACAGGGAAGGGAAAGUUCCUGGAAGAUGCAAUGAAACUUCCUCUGUGGGCUCCACCUUCAAACUUUUACAACACUUUGAUAGUUUUGGACAGAUGCAAGCUACUGUUGUUGGGAUGAUCUUUUCACGUGAAAUGAGGAUGACGAUACUUCUACACUACACAAUCCAACGAAUUCACAUUUCUAUUUCAGAUACAUGUAUAAACAGACAAGGCUUUAAAAUAUGGGAUGCUGCACUGUUGUUGCUGCUGCUGACACUGUUACUGUGUUGCUGCUACUGUUACUGCACUGCUGCUUGAAGAAGGACAAGGACUUCACUUGUUGCUUUCGUCCUUUGUGGAGGAGAGAGACCUAGGACUUGCAUGUCUUAGAUAUUUAAGACAAGGGGCUUUCGUGCCAUUUUGAAAAUACUUUGGGUGUUUUUGAAAGCUGCUUGUUUCUUUUGAGUUUCUCACUAAAUUUCGCUUUAGAAGGGAAAAUAAUAAUAAUAUUAAUAGUACAGCACUUAUUAGCAACAGAGUUACAAACUUCUUCUACAACACACACCAACAUGAAUCUAGCCCUGAUCCACUCUUUACAUACUUGAAAACAAAACAAAACACGAAAAACAAAAAACAAGAUAGGGAGAAAAUGGCUACGGAGAGACUUACUGCUAAUAGUUGAUCAAUAACAGAGAUAAUAGCGCACACUAUUUGUAUGACAGUGAGUAUCAGAAGAAUAAUAGCUGCAAAGAGAGAAAUAGCUGCCCAAGGUGUGUUGAAAUACUUUUGUCUCAAAUUUGCCUUCCAUAUGUUCGUGGUCUUCUCUCAGUAACUCGUUUAGUUUGCCAGCAAGAUCACCAAAAUAGUAGUUUCCGUGGUUCAGAGCAACUUUACUGCAAAGCUUGUUAAUCAUAAUGGAAACCUUAUUGUUGUCACCUUGCAUGUUUACAACAAUUCUAUUCUCAACAAGCAACUCUACAUCCUUUGGAGUGUUUACAAAUUUAUCCAGGAUGAAAACAUAAUAGCUUAUGUAUUUAUCCACGCAAUGGCAUUGUUCAAAGGCAAUGAGAUUUCUAAGUGUAAGCUCUGUGUAAUUAUGUAUUUCAAUUUUUGGAAUUUCCAAGGUGUUUUUCUUGAACUGUAUAUCGAAUAAGUUCUUGCUUGAUCCGGCCUGGUGUAGUUUUGUCAUGCUGGGUGUCCUUUGGAGCCCUACAUUUUCUUUUAGGGUCGGAUCUGGCAGAUGUAAAGUUCUAAUAAAAUCAACAAAAUGUAAAGGUUUUUUAGGAUCAGGAGGCAUAAAAGACUUACGGAAGGCUGGUGAGUUCUCCAAGUUUUCUAAACGCAGUGCCUGUUGGAAGAACCUGUAAGAGAGUUCAAUUAUUGAAGGCUCCCCAGUCUGAGCACCUGUGAGAUUGUAAAGAUCCUCGAGAAUGAAAAAUGGCAGCUGAUUUCCAAGCAUAAGCAUGUCAGGCAAUAUAUUUUGUAGCACCCAUGGUUUUUUAAAUAUCCAAGCAUUAUCAUCCUGCAAUUUUUCUUCCUGAAAUUUUUCUUCGGAUUUAUUCCUCAACAAUAGCUCAAUGACAAAGGCGGCAUCAACUCGAAUGAUAUUCACAAAAGCAGCAAUGUUAAACUUCUUAGUGUCUUCAUAAUAAUGACGGAGUUCAACUUCUCUCUCCUUUAUUUUCUCGAAAUAAUCCUUCAAUUUUACAUUAGUCCAAUCAAGAAAACACUUUAGGUACCUGAGUUUGUGAUCUUCCAUGGCUUCUAGGUUUUUGCUGCCAUGGUGAAGUGGGCCUAUUGAGACUACUUGUGGUGUGUAGGCCUUUUGUUUUACGUUCCGUAGUCGCUCAGGCACCCUUUAGAUACAACAGGCAGGGGACAGGGCACGCAAGUUUGUCAACUGAUUUUCCAUGGAAGUUGCUUGGUUUUCUAUGUCAAAAGAAGCUUCAUUGCUGCUUUCUUCCACUUUCUUCCUCCUCAUUAUGUGUUGUUCUGAUUGUAAGUGACGAGGAUGGUGAUGAUUCUAGACAACAUAAUCAACAAAUGUUUCAAUCAUAAUUGACAUUUCAAGAUGCUCCGACAAAGAAUUAGAAAACAUUCAUCACAAAAUGCGAACUCAUACAAUAGAUGGGUUGAUGAUAUAACCAUUAUUUCGUACAUUUUUAUUAUCUUUCUCUUAGAUUCUUGCUAUGGUUCUUGAGUGAGUUUAGUCCAUUUUUACUUAGUUUUGUGUUUUACUAGGUUUGAAGAGUAAAGAUGGAAAAGCAAGCAAAAGGUGCAAUUUUGGUAUUGAAAUAUAAUGUGAAAUCCUAGGAGCAGAAUGUGUUGUGCGGAUCGGACAACUUUACAGAACAUACUGUACUUCCUCAGAGCGAACCAGAUGUUGAACCUUAUAUCAUUGGAAAGAUACGGAUGUUCGCCUUCUGUAGAAUUUCGCGGUUCAUGAUUCGGACGUGUGUGGAGAGAGUUGUGGCCAUUUUAGUACGGACAGUUCGGGCAGAAUGUGUUCUGCGGGUUUUGCAAAAUAAUCCAUUUGAAGUCCAAUCCUUGGAGUUUAAUUUGUGUCAAUUACAUUUGGGAAGUGUCUACAAGGAUGUGGAGUUAUUUUCUGAAGUCUGACCCUUUAUUUAGUAGGAUUAUGGAUGCCAACUCAUCAAAGACAAUGAAGCCAAACUAGGAAAACAUAGUUACCAAGUCAAAAGAGGAUUUGUUCCUUAUUUAAAGAAGACCAGAAAAUAGGGUUCUCUCAUGCUGGAAUUUGAAGGAGAGUUAAAGAGCCGCUGCCAUCGUCAAGUUCUCAAGCAUCGUCAUAAUCCAUAAGUUCUAUUUUAUGUUUUCUAGUUUUUCAAUUAUGUUUUCUUUGAACAUGAGUAACUAAAUCAUUCUCUAGGGCAAGGAUGACGCCCGAGCAUGGAUAGUUAUGAUUUUUAAUGCUAUUUAAUGAAUUCCAAGUUUCUUUUAGAUGAAUGUUUAAUCACUAUUUUAAUUGUUGCUAUUUGUUUAAGUUCUUUGAUUGAUCACCUUAUGACAUGACCCGCCCCGAAUUUUUCGAAACACGAGACGAAUCUUGUGGAAUUCCCGACCACACCCCAAUGCCGGGCCCACUUACUAAAGACCGGGACUUUCUGCCGAAAUUUCGGCAGAGUCUCUCCUGUAAAUUGAACAUUUCCCACAAUUUCAACCUGCAUAAAACACAUUUUAUAUUACCCAACUGGCAGCAUGCACAAUGUAAUAACAUGCAAUUCACAUAAACGGCCUUUCGACCUUCCGAUAAUCCACAACAAACCACCAAGCACGCUAUCAAAUCAAUUCAUACCUUAAACAAGGCAAACAAUAAAUUCAAUCACACUUAAGAAUGUCAAAGCAAUCCACUACAUUUAAUUUUUCUCAACACCCAACAUACGAGGUUUUAACAUCCUAACACAAUCACAUCUAUGUCUGCGGUUGCACCUAAUAACCUUAGGCUGCCUAUGUACCCUCACUGAGAGAUCAAGCCACACGUAGUUCUUCCUACUAAAUUCCGAUUUCCAAACACAUACAAUACCUUUAAUCAUCUCUAUGAUAAUCACAUACUCUCCCCACACGCCGGAAAUUCCAACGCCACGUAUGGGGUCUGUCAUCACGCCGAAAAAUCCUACGCCUCGUGUGACCUAACCAUCAUAUCAUCUCCCCAUACGCCGAAAAUUAUAACGCCACGUACGGGGUCUGUCAUCCUGCCGGAAAAUCCUACGCCAUGGGUGACCUGACAAUCACAUAAUCUCCCCAUAUGCCAGAAAUUCCAACGCCACGUAUGGAGUCUGUCUCAACGCCGGAAAAUCCUACGCCACGCGAGACCUAACAAUCACAUAAUCUCCCCAUAUGCCAGAAAUUCCAACGCCACAUAUGGGGUCUGUCAGCACGCCGGAUAACCUACACCACGUAGGACCUAACAAUCAUAGCAUUUCCCCGUAUGCCAGAAAUUCCAACGCCACGUAUGGGGUUUGUCCUCAUGCCGGAUAACUUACGCCACGUGGGACCUAACAAUCACAUAAUCUUCCCAUAUGCCGGAAAUUCAACACCUCAUAUGGGGUCUGUCAGCACGCUGGAUAACCUACGCCACGUGUGACCUAACAAUCAUAGCAUAUCUCCAUACGCUGGAAAUUUCAACGCCACGUAUGGGGUCUGUCAUCAUGUUGGAUAACCUACGCCACGUAGGACCUAACAAUCACAAGGUGGUACUUAGGGUAGUGCGUAUAGCACUGACAGAAAAUCACAAAAGUAUCUUUCCUAUUCUAGAGAUUGGUCACAUGUAGUCCAACCAAUAGGAAAUGAGAUAUUUAAGAAAUGAAGAGUUUGAUCAAUAUCAAUAUCAAAUGAAUUCUUAUACGCCUAGUCAACUAUUAAGCGUAUCUUGACUUCUUGAUAUUGUGAUAUGAUUGAAACAUGAUUUCCAUGUUAGAAAAUUAAAGGGAUGUUAAAACAUGAAAGUAAUAGGAGAAUCAAAUUGAUUUGGGCCAAAAUUGCCUAAAAAGAAAACACUUCUAAAUACACUCAAUUCACUUUUAAAAACAGUAAAACAUGAUUGAAUCGUUCUUUAAAACAAUUCCCUAAUAUACAUGCAUGAUAAUGACAUCACUUACCUCUGAACCAAAUGCCUUUCACGGGUCAAGCCACAAGUCUGUGUUUUGGGGAUUGCUAAGCUGCAUCAAUCCUGCCAAUGUCAGUUCUGCCCCUAUGCUCUCUCAAAGCAUGUUUACAACCUAUGCUAACAUAUACUAGAGUUUAUGCUAGUAUCGAGAAAAUGCAAACACUAAUUUUGUAACACGUAGAAUUGUUAGAGAUUGGAAGUUUUUAUCAUUUUUUUCUUCCAGUCUCUCCACCACUCACUAAUACAGAUUACUCAUGUGAUAAAUUUACAAAACCUAUUUCUCUACUCUCACAAAGACUAUACUUCUUCUCAAAAGACUAUAUCACUUUACCUCUAUCUCUGUGAAAUGUAAAAAGUUGAAACUUUAAUGUCAAACCUCGACAAAAGAUGAAUUUCCAUCAGUUACGUUGAAUUUGGAUUUGUUGAACUUAAGCGAUUUUACUUUCUCUGUUAGUAUUUGAUGACUUAAUUUGGUAUUUACUUCUUCUUCUUUUUUUCCUUGGAAAUGUGUUCCACCAACGUGAGGAAGAAAAAUAUGCACAAAAUAAUAUAUUUAAUAGAAGCCCAAGAUUUCGGAAGCACAUAAUUUUUUCAAAAAUCUACAAAGUGUUCUACUUUACAAACUUCUUAUGUCUACCAAUUUCUACUAAAAUUAAUUUCUUUGCGGUGCUCAGAUUCAUCAUGUGUGUGUCCUCAAUUUUAGUGGAAAUUGGAAGUUUCCAUCAUUUUUGUUUUCUGGGAAUUUUCUGAACCAAGGAAAAUCAAGCAAAAUUAAUAAAGCAUAAAAUGAAAAGGGAAAAUAUCUAGAGGAUGCAUUGUAGGAUUGCUCAUGCCAAUAAUUGUACCCUCUAAAUAUAUUGGGACAUAUUUUUUUUUGUUUUCAUGACAUAUGGUCCUAAAAUUAUUGUUCCUAGCGGGCUCUCCACCCCUCUCAAUUGAAAACCUAUUGUGUAAAUCUUCAAUCCUGAACGAUGAACGAUGCACCUAAAACACAUGUUGCAAUACACAUCCACCCAUUCUCAGGCCAAUUAUUGUUCCUAGCGGGCUCUCCACCCCCUCUCAAAUUUAAGUGGUCCAUUAUGAUUAAUCAUGUAUUUUAUGGACCAUCCAGCUGUGAGGUUUUAUCUCAAAAACCUUCGGUACCUUUCUCCCACAUGCCACAAUGGUAUAUUCACAAUUACGUCUGAUACCUCACAUCAUGCCACUUGCCUCAAUUGAAUUUAAGUGGGUGGAGUGUUACUUCUGGGUACCCCUCAUCAUUCGUCUAUAAAAUGGUGAAGCCAGUUGCUACUGUUACCAUAAGAGCCAGCUCCGACUUUCUUUAAUUUCUUGUUUCGUAUCCACUAGCUACAUCUGUUGCCAAGUUAAUUUCAGUCCUAAUGGGGUUUCAUCUCCCACUCAUCUUUGCUAUUCUCAGUGUAAGCUCUGCAAUUUGAUUAAGAUUUCCAUUCUCUCUCAUUGUACUCUAUAUAAACGAAAGUUUUGUGUUCCUACAAUUCUCUCCGAUUUUAUUUAGUAUGUACUUAAGUGUCGUACGUCCACUAAUUAAUUACACUUUGUGAGAUUUGAUUUUAAUUAGAGUUCGAAUUAAUGUUGCAGCUAGCAGCAGUGGGAAACCAUGCUGCUCAACCAGCACCUCAACUUUACUGGAACUCCGUCCUGCCAAACACACAGAUGCCAAGAUCUAUCAGUGUACUUCUGCAUCCUGGUUUGUGUUGAGCACUUUAGAAUCUUAGAUAUCUUUUCUACCUGCCAUUUUACUAAAAUUUGUUCGACCACAUAUUUAUCAGUUAACUACUGUCAUUACAAAUCGGCUGAUCACUUAUUUUGCAUUAUGACGUUGAUAUAUAAUUUGCAGACUCCACAAAUGAAGAAAAGAGCACAUAUAUGAAUGCUGUUGGGAAUGGAAAGGGCAAACCUGAAAUUUUCCCAUUGGGCAUUAGACGUUACGUUCAAAAACGGUAUGGAGGGGGCAUUAGACGUUACAAUCAAGAACGGUAUGGAAAAGGUCCUCCUCCAUCUGACAAUCAACUACUCCAUUAUAAAGACUUGGCUAUUUUCUUCUUCGAGAAGGACAUGCGCCCUGGCGCAACAAUGAAGUUCCAAUUCCCUAGAAAUUCAAACACGGCUACUUUCCUGCCACGCGAAAGUGCUCAAUCGAUCCCCUUCUCCUCUAACAAACUAUCAGAAAUUUUCAACCAUUUUUCAGUGAAGCCAACAUCUGUGGAAGCCAAAACAAUUAAGCAAACAAUCCAAGAGUGUGAAGCUCCAGGCCUUAAGGGAGAGGAAAAAUAUUGCGCCACAUCUUUAGAAUCAAUGGUUGAUUUUAGCACUUCGAAGCUUGGAACAAGAAACGUUGAAGCAAUCUCGACGGAGGUAUUGGAAAGAGGAGCCACCAUGUCCAUGCACAACUAUACAACAAUGCCGGGACUGAAGAAGUUGGCAGGUGACAAAGUCGUUGUGUGUCAUAAGGAGAACUAUCCCUAUGCUGUGUUUUUCUGCCAUGCAAUAAAACAAACAGCAGCAUAUGUUCUCUCCCUGAAAGGCGAUGAUGGGGAGAAGGUUAAAGCAGUAACCAUCUGCCAUCUAGACACAUCAGAAUGGAACCCAGAGCAUUUGUCCUUCCAAAUCCUCAACGUUAAGCCCGGAACAAUUCCCAUCUGCCAUUUCAUUUCCACUGAUGGUAUUGUCUGGGUUCCAAAACACAAAUCUGCAUGAUCAUCACUUAGCACUGUACGUAUAAUAAGCUUGGUUGGGUUGCACCCUAGGCCUGUAUAAUUAACUCCCUACUUAUUUCUGCCUCUUUAGCACUGUACAUAUAUAGACUUCAACUUGUACUCGUAUAGCAUGCUGGAAAAAAAAAGGACCAAUAGGGAGAAAAUGGUGAACUAAGGAGAGACUAAUACUUCUGGUUCUUAGAAGGCAUAACAGAAAUAAUAGAGCACACUGCUUGAAUGCAAGUCAAUAUUGUUAGAAAAUUAGGAGAUUUACUUCCUAAUAUAUUAUGAUUCUAUUUAUUUCCUUUUGUAUUGAUAUUAUGUAAUUAGGACUUUAUCUUAGUUUCCUAGUAUAACCCUACUAGGGUUUGUACUCUUGUAUUAUAAAUACCUCCUUUUGGAGAAUGAAGUAUAAUCUGAAAAUAUUCUAUCCACUUUGUUUGACAUGGUAUCAGAGCAAACUUUUCUAGUGACCUGUGUGUUGUGCCAACCCGUAUUCUAGCCCCAUAUUUUUUCUCUACCUAUGCCGUGUGUGCCCCCCCUCUGGGUUUGUGGGUUGUGUUGUCGUGUUGGUGUCAUUCCUAUCUUCGUGCAUCUGCCGUAUUUGAGCCUUUGCUGUGUUCCGCUGUGUACUCUGUUGUGUUCAUACCUCUAUUGUGUUCGUGCCUGUCUUCGUGCAUCUGCUGUAUUUGUGUCUCUAUUGUGUUCCAUUGUACAAUCUGCCGUGAUCUGUUGAAUUUAUGAUGUAAUCAUAGGUGAUAACUCAUUUGUUGGUGUUGUUGUUGCUGUUUCUGGAAAUUUAUGUGAUUCAGACUCUAUUCCAUUUACUGGCUACAAUACUUAGAUAAUUGAUACUGGUACUUAUGAUCAUAUUGACAGGACUCGCCCCGAAUUUCCUGAAACCCGAGACGAAUUCUGUGGAAAUUCCUGACAUCACCCCGAUGUCGGGCCCACUUCUAAAACUAUAUCCUUUUUCCCCAAAAGGAAUAAAGGCAUAAGACUUUCUACCGAAAUUUCGGUAGAGUCUCCUAUGUAAAUUGAACAUUGCCCAAAAUUUUAACCUGCAUAAAACACAUUUUAUAUUACCCAACUGGCAGCAUGCAUAAAGUAAUAACAUGCAAUUCACAUAAACGGCCUUCGGCCUUCCGAUAAUUGGCAACAAACCACCAAGUACGCUAUCAAAUCAAUUUAUACCUUAAACAAGGCAAACAAUAAAUUCAAUCACACUUAAGAAUGUCAAAGCAAUCCACUACAUUUAAUUUUCUCAACAGCCAACAUACGAGGUUUUAACCUCCUAACACAAACACACUUCGUUCUCACUCAAAUAGCAGGACCAACUUCAAGGUCCGCAUCAUACUCAAUAAUACACAAGUAAAGUUUAAACCGCGGCUGCACCUAGGCACUACCCUAGGCUGCCUACGUACCCUUAUUGAGGGAUCAAGCCACACGUAGUUCUUCCUACUAAAUCCUGAUUUCCAAACACAUACAAUAAUACCUUUAUUCAUCUCUCUGUUAAUCACAUAAUCUUCCCAUACGCCGGAAAUUCCAACUCUACGUAUGGGGUCUGUCAUCACGCCGGAAAAUCCUACGCCACGUGUGACCUAACCAUCAUAUCAUCUCCCUAUACGUCAGAAAUUCCAACACCACGUAUGAGGUCUGUCAUCCAGUCGGAAAAUCCUACGCCACGGGUGACUUGACAAUCACAUAAUCUCUCCAUACACCAGAAAUUCCAACGCCACAUAUAGGGUCUGUCUCAAUGUCGGAAAAUCCUAUGCCACGCGAGACCUAACAAUCACAUAAUCUCCCCAUACGCUGGAAAUUCCAACGCCACGAAUGGAGUCUGUCUCAACGCUGGAAAAUCCUAUGCCACUCGAGACCUAACAAUCACAUAAUCUCCCCAUAUGCCGGAAAUUCCAACGCUACAUAUGGGGUCUGUCAGCAUGCCGGAUAACCUACGCCACGUGUGACUUAACAAUGAUAACAUCUCCCCAUACGCCGGAAAUUCCAACGCCACGUAUGAGGUCUGUCCUCACGCCGGAUAACCUACACCAUAUGGAACCUAACAAUCAUAGGGUGGUACUUAGGGUAGUGCGUAUAGCACUUCAAACCGACAUUCAAAACUCUAUUUAUACCUUUAUAAAUUUAUAUAAAAAUAUAUAUAUUAAGUUCUAAAGUUGUAUAAGCCUCAACCACAAUCUAGCAUCCGAUAAUCCCCCCCAAUUUAAAACAAUAAAUUAAUAUCAUAAACCCACAUAAUCAACAUAACUUAACAACGCUCAAGACCUGUCACUAGUGUCAUUGUAAUCCUCCUAGGAAGGUAAAACUACUUCGGAAGAGUCACGGUCAACUAAGGGUCAAACUACCCAAACUUGGUCAAAUGGGCCCACGGGCCCCACGACCUUCAAAUUCCGAUUCCAACCUACCGAAAUUUCUUAUGGGUUCUACAAGGUUUAGGACACUCGUCUUGCAAGUUUGGUCCAGAUCAGACGGUCGGAUCGCUCACGAUCGCACGAUCGGACGGUUACUAUAAACCUAGCCCUAGGGUUGGUAUUUUCGGAGUAUCCAGGACUCCGUUUUACGAUCCGUCGAAUCCUAUACGAUCUUGAGGAUGUCCAAACUAACAUAUAAUAAAUCUAUGACUAUCCAACGGCUCAAACCUAUUGAACCCAGAUAACGCACAAUAUGCGAAAUCUGUUCAAUAGUCAAACGACGUCCGAAUUGAGAUCCGCGAAAACCUACGCACUCGUGACAACUUGAGGACCUCAUUAGGACAAACUGUAGCUUCACCACCUUUGUCCACGCGCCUGCAGCGCAUGGGUGUGUAGAGUAAAUUCCGAUGAUGGAAAAACUCUACACCACCGCUCACCCUUCCUAUCCUAAAUACUACUCGAGGCAAGGAUCACUUCAUUCAACUACGGGGAGGUCCCAUUUGGACGGCAACUGGCCCAAAUUUCACUUUGAAAUCCGGCCAAAACCUAGGUUUUCAAAUCGGUUUUCUAGACAUCAAAUCGAUCCAAUCCUAUCCCAUAGACAGCUAGAGCUCAGAAAAUAGAUGACAAACCAUACCUCACCCGACGGAAUUGGUGGCUGGAGGAGAAAGAUUGAGCGAUGAGAAGUUCUGUCAAAACCGACUCGUUUUCGACUGAUUCCAGCGAGCACAGUUGACGAUGAUGGCUAAGACUAGUCGGGAAAAGACAAGGGAGAGGUGGUGAUUCGAACGGGACCGGUCUCGAGGCCAGUCGUUGACUGUGGAGGCUGCAAUAGCCUUGAAGGGUGGCGGCUGUAAAAACGAAGGGGAGGGGGGCUGUUCACGAUGGAGGAGAGAGAGAGAUAGAUAGAUAGAUAGAGAAAAAUCUGAAUUUUAUAAAAAUUCCAUUUUGAAAUAAUUACGAUUGUGCCACUGAGUUUCUUUUGACCGUAACUUCCUCGUUACAACUCCAAAUCAAGCCCACUAUGUAUCUAUGAACUCAUCUCGUCGAGCUCUACGCAACGGUAGAGCUGAAAUUCUCAAAUUUCUUCCUGAUCAAAAAGUCAACUUUAAACCCAAUAAAAUAUUCUAUGGGUAUAAUGGUCUUUUAUCUACAUAAAUUAAUAAUUUCCAAUUUAUUUAGGACCGGGUCGUUACACAUAUGACUUAUGAUGCUAUAUUUUUUUAUGAGUUGUCUAGUAAUACUCGUGACCCAUACAUAACUAGUGCUAAUGGCUUGCCCUAUCCAAUUACUGGCGAGGGCAUAAUCUCUCACUCCUACUCUGUCCUUGUCUCGUGUGUUACUCGUUCCCAAUAUCCAUUGUAACUUGUUGUUUGUUGGCCGAUUACUUGAUACACUUAAUGCUUAUGCUACUUUCUAUCCUACACAUUGCUCUUUUCAGGAUCUCAAGACUUGCGAGACGAUUGGGCAUAGUAAACGGAUAGGGGGCUUAUAUUAUUUGACAUUGUCUUCUGCACCAAUUCGUGGUUGUGUCAUUCAUACUGUUCAAAGUUGUAGUGUCAAGGACAAAUAACAAAUUUGGUUAUGGCAUCGUCGCUUGGGACACUCGUCGUUCGGCUAUCUUAAGCGUCUGUUUCCAUCUUUAUUCCGCUCUUGUGACGAGUCCAGUUUUAAGUGUGAGACAUGUAUUUUGGCCAAGAGUCAUCGCACUGUGUUUCUUUUAAGUGACAGUAAAGCUGCAAAACCUUUUGAUUUAGUAUAUUCGGAUGUAUAGGGACCUGCUCGUGUGACUUCUAAUGGUUUCUAUUGGUCUAUUACUUUUAUUGAUGACUGCACUCUCCCCAUAGUCCGGAAUUACCAACGCCACGUAUGGAGCCUGUACGCACGCCGAAAAAUCCUACGCCACGUGGGACCUCAUCAUCAUAUCACAUAGUCUCCCCAUACGCCGGAACUACUAAAGCCACGUAUGGGAUUCGUCUCAACGCCGGAAAAUCCUACGCCACGUGAGACCUUACAAUCACAGGAUGGUACUUACACAAUGUAAUCAAACCAUCUUUAUCUCUUUAAUAUAUAUAUAUAUAUUCCCAAUUUCCCCAAGUUUAAAACAAUAAACUAGUUCCUUAAACCCACUAAUUAACAUAACUCAACUAAUGAUCAAGACCUAUUGAAAGGACUCGCCCCGAAUUUUCUCAAAACCUGAGACGAACCCUUUGGAAGUCCUGACAUCACCUCGAUGCCAGGCCCACUUACUAAAAACCGAGACUUCCUGCCGAAAUUUCGGCAGAGUCUCCCCUAUAAUUUGGACAUUUUCCAAAAUUUAUACCUGCAUGAAAAUGCAUUUAAUAUUCCCAAUUGGCAGCAUGCACAAUAUAAUUUCAUGCAAUUCACAUAAAUGGCCUUCGGCUUUCCAAUAAUUCUUAACCAGUUACCAAACAAUUCAAAUACCAAUUAUGACUAACAUUUAGUCUACGGCUGCGCCUAAUAACCUUAGGCUGCCUACGUACCCUCCUUGAGGGAUCAAGCCACACGUAGUUCUUCCAUAAAACUCAAUUCCACACAUAGGUGAUACCUUAUUUCAUCUCUCUGUAUUUCACAUAAUCUCCCCAUACGCCGGUACAACCAACGCCACGUAUAGGGCCUGUCAACACGCCGGAUAACCUACGCCACGUGCGACCAUGCCAUACUAUCAUCAUAUCUCCCCAUACGCCGGUACAACCAAUACCACGUAUGGGGUCUGUCUCAACGCCGGAUAACCUACGCCACGCGAGACCUGCACAUCAUAUCACAUAACUCCCCAUACGCCGGUACAACCAACGCCACGUAUGGGGCCUGUCCCAACGCCGGAUAACCUACGCCACGCGGGACCUCAACAUCAUAUCACAAAUCUCCCUAUACGCCGGUACAACCAACGCCACGUAUGGGGUCUGUCGACACGCCGGAUAACCUACGCCACGUGCGACCUCAACACAAUAUCACAAUAGCUCCCCAUACGCCGGUACAACCAACGCCACGUAUGGGGCCUGUCUCAACGCCGGAUAACCUACGCCACGUGAGACCUAACUUUCACUUGGUGGUGCUUGUAGUGAAUCCAACAUCCAGGGAGGUACCUAAAGUAGUGCGUAUAGCACUCCAAACUGACAUUCUAGACUCUGUUGUACCCAUGUACAACCAUAUAUAAUUAUAGUUAUAUAAAUUAAUUCUAAUAUUGUGUAACCUUCCACAUUCAUCUAGCACCCGAUAAUCCCCCUUAGAAAGGUGAGAUUACUCCGGGAGACUCACGGUCAACCAAGGGUCAAACUACUCUAACUCUGGUCAACCGGACCUGCAGAACCCACGACCCCCAAUUUCCGAUCCGAAAGUCUCUAUGGGUUCUACCAGGUAUAGGACACUUGUCCUGCAAGUUUGGUUCAGAUCGGACGGUCGAAUUUCUCACGAUCGCACGAUCUGACAAUUAAUAUAAAAUAUAAACUUUAAAAUUAUUAAUCGAAACAUCCGGGGCUCCGAUUCACGAUCCGUGAAUUCCUACACGAUCCUAGAAUUACCUAGAUUAACAUAUAUUAAAUUUGGGACCAUCCGACGGUCCCAACCUGUCGAACCCGGAUAACGUACAAUAUACGAUCGUCCGUUCGAUAGUCAAACGACGUCCGAAUUGAGAUCCGCGAAAUCCUAUGCACUCGUGACAACCUAAGGAUCUCAUCGGAAUACAGUGCUACUUUUUCUACAGUGCCCAAAGCGAUAACGCUUCGCCGGAAAAUCUCAACAUCACGGCUCCAAAAUUCCUACUCUAGGUAUAACACCCUAUUUGGAGCCACUUUUGUUCUUGGACCUACCCCAAAAAGUGGCCGAAAAUGGCCGAUCACGGCAGCCGAAGUUUCGGCCGAUUUUCAAUUCGAAAAUCGAGUUGUCUACGCUAAGAAUCGAUCUAAUCCUACCCAACCAUCAGCUAGAGUAGCUCGAGAGGUUCAAAAUCCAUACCUGGGUCGACGGAAUUGGUGGCCGGAGGAGGGAGAUCGGCGGCUUUGAAGUUUGGACGACGUCGGCCGCUUCAUCUCCAGAUUCCGGCGAAUCCGCGGCGGCUGGCGGCGGGAGGUGGCUGGGGUAGGAAGAGGACGACGGCCCGGUCAUUUUGGUACCGGUCCCGUCGUCAUUGGUGGCCGGAGGAGAGCACGGCCGGCCAAAACGUGGCCGGCGGUCGUCGCGCGCGAGAGAGGAGAGAGAGAGAUCGCGCGGAGGAGAGAGAGAGAGAGAGAGAGAGAGAGAGAGAGAAAACCAGAUUUUUAUAAAAAAAAGUCCCAUUUUGAAAUAUUUACGAUGUGCCACUGGGCUUCUUUUGACCAUAUCUCUCUCGUUACAACUCCGAUUCAAGCCCACUACGUGUCUAUGAACUCGUCUCAGUACGACCUAUCCAAAAAUACAAGUCACGGUCCCAAACUCUCUCCGGUUAAAAAUAUGACUAAAAUACCCUUAAAUAAUGAAAUAAUUAAAUAAGGGUUAAAUUUGGGGUCGGGGUGUUACAUCUAUCACCAGGAUCAUUAUAAUCCUCCGAGGGAGGUGAAACUACCUCGGAAGACUCACGGUCAACCAAGGGUCAAACUACCCAAAUUUAGUCAAACGGGCCCACGAGACCCGCGACCUCCCGAUCUGAAAGUUCCUAUGUGUUCUACAAGGUUUAGGACACUCGUCAUGCAAGUUUGGUCCAGAUCGGACGAUCAGAUAGCUCACGAUCGGACGGUUAUUAUAAACAUAAACUUUAAGUUAUUAAAUCGGAACAUCCGGGGCAAAGAUUCACGAUCCGUGAAUUCCUACACGAUCCUAGAAUUGCCUAGAUUAACAUAUAUUAAUUUUAAGACUAUCCAACGGUCUGAACAUGUCAAACCCGGAUAACGCCUAAUAUGCGAUAUGCGAUAUCCGAUCGAUGAUCAAACAAUAAUCAAAUUCAAAUUCGAGCAUACCGUCACGCUCGAGACGACGAGAGGGUUAUUUUAGAACUCUAAGACAAGCCACCACAUGGCCCACGCGCUGACAGCGCGUGGUUGUCUAGAGAAAUUUCCAGCGGCGGGAAAAACUCCAAACCGCCAGCCAAGACUCCCAGGUUAGGUAAAUCACAUGUAGUGGAACAACUUUUGUUCUUGGACCUACCCCAAAAAGUCGACGGAAGUGGCCGUCGGAGGCCGAAACUGGCCUAAACUUCUAUCGCUUAAUUGACAACCAAAAUGCAGCAAUUGAUCCUAAAUAACCCAACCAGCAGCUAGAUCAGAUUGAGGGGAUGGAAAAGCAUACCUAGAUCGCAUGAUUUGGUUACCGAAAACGUCCGAACGAGCUUCCGAAAAAUCCGCAAAAAACCUUUCGGAUUUCUGCAAUUUCCGGCCAGCACCAGCAGUUCCAGCAGCUGAGGUUGGUCGGAAAAGGAAGAGGAGGUGGCAGCGGUUUGAACAGGUCCGGCCUCGUUGCCGGUGGUGAUCCGUGGUGGCAACUGUGGCUCUUGGAAGCCACGGCUGUGCAGAAAAAUGAAGGGGGAGGGGGCUGCGCGCGUGGGGAGAGAGAGAAAGUGAGAGAGAAUCAGAUUUAUCAAACCUUUUUUUGCCAAAAGUACGAGUAUGCCACUAAGGGUAAUUUGAUCGUAUCUUCUUCGUUACAACUCCGAUUCGAGCCCAUUACGUGUCUACGAACUCAUCUCGCUGUGCUUUACACAACGGUACGGUUGAAAUUCCCAAAUUCCUUCCCAGUCAAAAAGUCAACUUUAAACCUAAUAAAAUAUUCUAUGGGCAAAAUGGUAUUUUCUCUGAAUAAAUUAGUGUUUACUAAUUUAUUUAGGACCGGGUCGUUACAAUACCCAAAAAUUUCCUGUGUCAGAAUCAACACAUGGCAGCAGAGAAAGAAAGGGGAAUAGGACAAAAUAGUUGGUUAUCCAGCUGGAAAUCCUACAGAGCAAGGAUGACUAGUUAUACGAGAAACAGAUGACUAGUCAUCAUUUUAUGAAAUCAAUUUAAUGCAAUGUGAUGGAAUGCACAAUUUACCUUUGUCAAUUUGCUUGAACCUCUAUACGAUAGUUGUUAGUUAAGAACACCUAGAGAAACUAUUCUUAAUCUAAACUUGAGCUUGAUAAAAAUAAUAAAAAUCUUAUUACAAGAUUAUCAAGGAAAGUGUUGUGUCUACCCAAGUGCAAGUAGUCACACGUAGUAAUAAUCUUGGAAGUCCAAGUAUCGUAUCCUCAAGGAGCAGGUAGGCAAAUAUCUGCACACAAAGAAAUAAUUAAACAUACCACAAUAAAAGUGACAAGCAAAAUGGAAAAGUUAUUUAUUUGAUUGUUGUGAAAAUUGAAUUUAAAAAUGAAAUAUCAAUAAUGGAAAUGCUAAGGCAUCAAGGUUCAAUUCUUUAAACAAAAUAUGUUUCAUGCUCUUUACUCCAGAUUAUAACUCGAUUAAAAUCAUCAUCGAGAAACUUUAACCGGAAGAUAAAGAAAUUAAAACCAAUUUAAUUUUUCAAUGUAAUCUUUUAUUAAUGAUUGUUCAGAAAAUGGAAUUGCUUAAUAUCUACUCUUUUAAUUUAAAAGCAUGCCAAGUCAGUUCUUAACAAUGAGAAAAAUAAAAUUGAACUCAUGAAAAGGUAAUAGCACUUAACAUCAAUCAAAAUAAAAGGAUAUGAAAAUAUUGAACAACCAAAAAUAAAAGAAUUUAGCAAUUCAUACCGUAUAUUGGAUUAAAGAACAAUUCACAAACUUACUUAAAGAACAUUCCCUUUAGCCUUAGCUAGAGUUCUAGCAACUCAAUUACAAAGGAAAACAUAAACUAAAUGGAUAAAGAAAUCAGUCAUAGUGGUGCCCUUGCCAAAGAAGUUGAUGGGUAAUUUAUAGUGAAUGAGGUGAGUGGGAAGUUAAUACAUGGGUAAUGAAGGGUUUAAGUAAGGGAUUAAUUGGAUUAAACAUUGGUUGAUGGUGGAGAGUUAGUGGAAAAGAAAUAACGGUGAGGUAAAUAGGCGUUAAAUGGCUAUGAAUGACAUGAAAUAGGCUCUUUAGCUUCAACGGUUGUGUCUUCUCUUCUCCCUCUUUACUUCUCUUUAUAAUCACAAUAAUCCAACAAUCAAUUCUUCAAUAAAAUCCGCCAGCAAUUCUCUUCACACCUAGCUUGAACUUGGACAAAUGUAUGUCUUCAUCUUUUGGCUUUCUAACUUCCUACCGAAGAUAAAUUCACCUAAUAAGUUCACCAAAUUAAUAUAGAAAAUUCAUAAAUCCAGUUGAUGAGAAUAAAAUGUAACAAUAAGUGAAAUUAUAUUUAUUAAGUCAAAAUUAUAUCAUAAAGUCUCCAAAAUAAUAUUAAAAAUAUAUAAUUUAAGACUCUCAUCACAAAGCCAAAAGAAAAACUCAAAAUGCAUACAUUAACAGUUUUGCCAUAUUGAAUUAAUGUCUUCUAGCUAUGUACCUUAUCUUUUUGCCGGGCCAUGAGUUGAAUGUAGAGGCAGAGCAUGGACUUGGGUCAAGUUUGACUUGUAAAAUAAUUAGGAAUUGAAUGGCUCCUACGUUCAAUUAUUUUAUUAUUAUUAUUAUUUUUUGUCCGAGCCAUUCAAUUCCUAAUUAUUUAGAUUUUUGAUCUAGUUAGCAUCCACAAUCAUGCUCUCUAUUUUUUUUUUUUGGUCAUAAAUGCCAUAACUCUUUUUUUAUUGGUCCAUCUCUAUUAAAAAAUAAAAUAAAAAAUAGUUAGCAUUAAAUAAAGGUUUGAAAUUCUCAUUAAAUAAAGCAGCAUUAAAUUAUAGGGAGCAACUAGGAGUCAUUUCUCUCUCCUCAAGUUUAGGAGCUCCUACAGGUCUCCCUAUUUUAGGAGGUAGAUAGGGAGCAUUGUUGGAGUUGUAUUUUUACAAUUUCUCCCUAAAAUUUGUCUAAGGAUGUGGUUUAGGGAGCCCAUUGUGGAUGCUCUCAUCUCAAGGAAAGAAAACCCCAAGUUUGCAAGUAAUUUUUCUACGUAUGUAUAUAUGAAAAACUGACAUUUAUGAAAAUAAUAAACCCAUAUUUUUAUGUAAGCCAACUUUCUAAAUUCAUGUACUGAUAUUUAUUAGGGAAAUAUUGGAGAAACUGAUUAUUUUGAAAAAUUAAAUGUGAAAAACUGAACAAAAUUUUGACGGGUUACAUAUGUCAACUCAUUCAGCAGCUUAGGUUGUGAAGACCUAAGCAACAACCCUAGUGCACUGUCGAUCACUUCAGUGUCUACCGAUUUUCCUUUCCAUAUUGUUAGAUUAUUCCCUGCUGUAACACUUGCAUUUAGAAAAUAAUAGUACAGCUCUUAUUAGCAACAGUUUUACACACUUGCAUGAAUCUCACUAUGUUAAAGCAAUCACAUAGCACACCUUUAUUGAAAACAAAGCUAGCCCUGAUCCACUCCUUUACAUACUUAAAAACAAAACAAAACGAAAAAAAGAUAGGGAGAAAAUGGCUACGGACUUACUGCCGACAAAAAGAGAUAAUAGCGAACACUGUUUGUAUGACAGUGAGUAUGAGAAGAGUAACCGCUGCAAAGAGAGAAAAAGCUGCCCAGGCCCAGGGUGAGUUGAAAUACUUUUGGCUCAAAUAUGCCAACCAUCUGUUCCUGCACUUCUUGCAGUACUUGUUUAGAUUGUCAGCAAGACCACCAAAAUAGAAAUUUUGCUGGUCCGGAGCAACCCCCUUGCAAAGUUGGUUAAUCAUAGUAGAAACCUUAUUGUUGUCACCUAGUGUGUUUACAACAAUUUCACUCUCAACAAGUAAAUCUACAUCCCUUUUGGUUUUUACAAAUUUAUCCAGGAGGAAAACAUAAUCGCUUAAGUAAUUGUCUGUGCAAUGGCAUUGUUCAAAGGCAAUGAGAUUUCUGAGUAUAAGCUCUGUGUCAUCACGUAUUUCUAGUUUUGGAAUUUUCAGAGUUCCAUUAUGGAACUGUAUCGCGAAUAAGUCGUUGCUUGACUCCAGACGACUUGAUUCCGGACGAAACUUAACUCUGGCCUGGUGUAGUUUUGUCACGCUGGGUAUACAUGGGAGUUCUCCAGCUUCUGAGGUACCGGUAUCCAAAUAUUGCACAUGUAAAGUUCUAAUAAAAUCAACAAAAUGUAAAGGUGGUUCAGUCCCCUCCACUUCGUCUUCCGACCUCUGUAAACCCACUACCUUUUUGAAGAAAUGGUAAGAGAGCUUAAUCAUUGAAGGCCUCUCAGUCUCAGAAUUCUUAACUCUGACUUUGCUUGCAUCGAAAAGAUCCUCAAGAAUGAAAAAUGGCAGCUAAUUUUCGGGCAAAAGCAUGUCGGGCACUAUAUUUGUUAACAUUUAUGGUUUUUUAAAUAUCCAGUCAUUAUAUCGUCUCGCAAUUCUUGGAAAUGGUACCUCAACAAUAGCUCAAUGACAAAGGCAGCAUCAACUAGAAUGAUACUUACAAACUUGUCGCUACUCUUGAAGUGCUGAGCGUUUCCAUAACGACCACGGAGUUCAUCUUCUUGGGCCUUUAUUUUCUCUGCAUAAUCCUUCAAGCUAACCUUAUUAUUCCGAUGAAGAAAAUUUUGUAGGUACCUCGGUUUGUACUCUUCCAUGGCUUCUAAUUCUUUGUUGUCAUGGUGAAUUGGGCCUAUUGAGACUACUUCCGGGGUGUAAGCGUUAUUUCUGCCCCGUAGUCACGAAGGAACCCUGUAGAUACAGCACUCAUCAGAGGGCCUAUUGAGACAAACUAUCCAACCGCCGCUUCAAAUCUGCUACUGGGGUUUUGUGGUUUUCUACGCCAUGUGGAGCUCCAUUGCUGCAUCCUUCCACUUCUAUUAUGUGUUGUUCUGAUUGUAAGUGAUGAGGGUUAUUGGCACCAGGGGCGGAUCUAGCCCUUUUUUGGCUAGGCAGCCACCCAGUCGAGAAUUUUCAUAAAAACAAAAUAGGUACGUAUUGUUGUAAAUGUAUGAGUUGGUGGAUGACCACCAUACCUCUUAGCAUUCACCUUUUCUAAUUCUAUGUAACUAUACACUAAAUGCCAUAGUUAUGGACUUGUAACUUAUGAGUUGUUAAUGUUUUCUUACGUGUAAGCCUAUAAAUAAGAGGGCUAUCUUGGCAUAUGUGUUCGUCACUAACUAUAUAAUUUAAGUUGUUUUCAGUGACUAAUUUAAAUAAUUGUCAGAAAAUUUGGUCAUUAAAAAUUAAAAAAUAAGGGUCAAUUAUUUUAGUGACCAUGAAGUAUUAUUAGUCAUUAAAUUCAUUGUAUUUGUGACCAUUAUUUAUGUGGAAUUGGUCACUACUGACCUUUUUUCUUGUAGUGUACAUUCUUGCCUUAAUACAGUUAGGCUUAUUUUUAUACUAAUUUCUCUAACAUAACUUUUGCACAUUCUUUUUAUAUUAUAAUAAAUAAUCUUACCCAGUUGAGUUAUAAACCAUUUUCUUUUAGCACGGAAAAUCGACAUUUUGACAGAGAGUUGAAAAGCACUCCCCAAUUUUAAUGUCAACCACUUGGAAAAAAAAAACAUAAAUUUAAUGACAACAAUUACAUUUAGCAAUGCAACCUAAAAACUCAACCUUUGCGCUCCUUUCACCACGCAGAUAGCAGGGUGAGGAUAUUCGAAUAAGAACGAAGACAGAAGCUAAAGGAAUUGCGAUAGCUAACCAUAGUCUGCAUUUCUUACCAUCUGAACAAUGCCACCAUUUUGUUUGGUAAGUAUUUAAUAACAUUUCUUGCUCUACAUAAAGUAAUAUUAAAGCGAAAUUUCCCUAAAUUUUUCUUACCAACAAUCCAUACCCAAGAAAAGGGGAGAUUCACUAUUAUACUCAAUAUAGGAGCCCAACUUAUUUAUAAUAAUUAUAAAAAAAAACCCUCUAUGAAAUGGACUUUAGAAACACACCUAAAACCUAUUUACAACAAAACAAAAAGACUUUUAACUUUUUUUAAAUUACAAAACUGUCAUUGAUUUCUUAAACAAACCCAACCCCAAAACCUCAUAAAAAAGCCCAAAUACUCAAUAAAGCAGCAAAGUAAUUUAAUAAUAAAAAUUAAAUUCAAUAGAGUCAGCUGUUAUUUUUUGGGUUAUUUUUUAUUUGUUUAUAGAAAUUAAAGAGUGCUGCUAAAAGAACCCUAACAUUAACUAAAUACACCAAAUGAUCUAAGUACACCCUAAUAUUUUAAUUAAAAUACAAAAUUAACUAAGUACACCUUAUUUAACUACCAAAAUUACCCGUGUUACACCCUAAUACACUCUAUCACUGUUCACCCGUUUAGUUUUUGCUCCUGUGAUGGAAGGGUAAAGUUCCCCACUGCCUUGGAAACCAUUGACUGGUCAACAAGUCAGCUUUCUUUGCUAUGUGAGCGUGCCACUGUUAGCAAUGAAAAUCCUAACAGACUUCUUAAAAUGGAUACUUGCGCCCAAGUUACUGAUUUCUAAACAGUGAUUGUGAUUUGGGUGAGGAAUAUCUCCAAGUAAGUUCUUUUCCUGCAUCAGGCUGGUGAAGACUUUAUAAUUUUCACAGUAUAAAUUGGUAGUUCUUGCCAGAAUAGAUGAUAUAAAGUGGACGGUUUUUAGGCAGAACUGCGUUUUACAAAAUUAAGAAGGAAAAAUCAACUCUAAAAAGACAAAAAGAUGGCUGGAAUCCCACUUCUGCCUGGGUAGAAACUUCAGAUCCGGGCUGGACCGAAUACAUUCAUGAUGGACUGAGCUGUUAACAACUUCAAUUGCUUAGCUUUAGCUGUAAAUCGAUACCAAAGUUCAAUUUUGGCAGAGCUUUAAUCUACUUCAAGCCUUGGAAGGCUUUUGAGCGGGCAGAACUGCCGUCUCUUCUGGCUAAAAGAGGCAGAAAUGGCUGAAUUUGAGGUUUACUGAGCUGGAACUGCACUGUUGUACCUGUUCUGCUUGGUCAGGGCUUUCCAUAAAUUUGUUGAGGUUUUCAUAUUUGUGAAAAACUCAAACUCUGCUUGUUUUGGCUUUUGCUGAACCAAAUUUGUAACGAGAGAAGUCUUGUUUUGAAUGACUUUUCUCUAAGUUUGAGCUUUUGAAAUUCUAGGAGAGAGAGAGAGAGAGAGCUUUUGAUUGCUCCAGUUUGUUUGAAGGUUCUCAAUGAUCAAGUGAUCAUUUUGAGUUUUUGCCUUUAGCUUAUUUUUGGUUGUUUGUUUGAUUAUCCUUUGCUCUAUUCACCUUCUCCUAUAUUUAUAAGAAAUGCUUUGAAGUAGGGUUUCUUUCUUUUAAUAAUGGGCGGCCAAAAUUCUCAAAAGGUCUUUCAUUUUUUUAAAUACGAAGAAAAAGGGGUUUUCUCAAUUUUGGCAAAUAAGUUCUCAACAGUCAAUUCCAUUGAAAGAGAACCUGACUUUUCUUUAAUUCCCAACUGCCCUUGUGAGAGCUCAAUCGUGAUGGUCAGUUUGCUUCUCCAUUUUGAACAACUUCCUGUUUCCUGUUUAUCUUUUUAGAAAAUACAAUCUGGGUAUCCCUUGAAAGAUGGUGCCUUUUUUGGAGUAGAAACAAUGUCUCUAAAUAUAAAAGGGUUUUUUUUUUAUCUUUUGGUGGCAAAGAUUUCAAAGACGUCCCUUCUUUUCGCCUGCCUCUGUCAACUUUUUAUCAACCCAGUUGAAAUUGUUGACUUUCCUAAAUCAAAAAAAGAGAUUCACGUGGGUCUGUUCCUUUUGGCUCCUUCCUCUCUUUUAAUCAUGCCUAACCUCUUUUGAUUUUACUGGAGCCAUGGGCUGAUUGCUUCUCUUUUCGAGGCCCAAGUUUAUUUGCAGAGCCCAAACUGCUUGGGCCCUGUGGUUUUGUCUUUGUUGUUUUUGGGCUUUUUAGGCUGGACGUGCCAAAAUUAGGCCCAAACAAUGUCCCCUAAGUUUGAAUCGUUUCUAGAACGGUUCGAGAUUUAAUGAUUUUGGCCAUUAAUUCGUGCGCGCCAACUUCUUUCGUUUAAUGCACGUCUGCCUACCACGAGCUAGACUUCAUGGGAAACUGUUUUGUUACUAGCUAGUUACUUAGCUAGUUAUUAUCAUAUGGCGUCUCGUCUUCCUCUUCCCACGAUUUCAAGCCCCUUUUUUAAGAAAUUCGAAACUCCAACUUCUGUUUAUUUCAAAAACUAGCUUCUUUUUAGACCUCGACAAUUCUUAGUUUUCCCCAGAAUUCUCACUUUUUCUUCGACCAGACUCUGCCUUUCUUAUCAUUUCCUUUCCUAGUUCAACACUUCUGAUCAUGUCUUCUCCCAAGACUCGUGCUCAAGGUUGGUCCUCCUCAGUUCCUCCUAAUUACAUCACUGGGACUGGGAUUGACAAUCACGCGAUAGAGGUUAGAAGCAAACUGAUAGGACCCGCCCCGAAUUUUCCAAAACCCAAGGCGAAUCCUGUGAAAUUUCCGACAUCACCCCGAUGCCGGGCCCACUUACUAAACACCGAGACUUUCUGCCGAAAUUUCGGCAGAGUCUCCCCUAUAAAUUGGACAUUUCCCAAAAUUUCAACCUGCAUAAAAACACAUUUAAUAUUCCCAACGGGCAGCAUGCACAAAAUAAUUUCAUCCAAUUCACAUAACGGCCUUCGGCCUUUCAAUAAUUUUCAACAAACUACCAAGCACACUAACAAAUCAAUUCAUGCCUCAAACAAGGCAACCAAUAAAUUCAAAUAUGCAUUAUGACUACCAAAUUUCGACAUGCAUCAUUUUGCUUUUCCAAUCUCAAUAGAUGAGGUUUUAACCUCCUAACACAAUCACAUCUAUGUUCGCGGCUGCACCUAAUAACCUUAGGCUGCCUACGUACCCUCACUGAGGGAUCAAGACACACGUAGUUCUUCCUUAAACCCAAUUCCACACAUAGGCAAUACCUUUAUUCAUUUCUCUGUAUUUCACAUAAUCUCCUCAUACGCCUGUACUACCAACGCCACGUAUGGGGUCUGUCAACACACUGGGUAACCUACGCCACGUGCGACCUCACCAUAUUAUCACAUAAUCUCCCCAUACGCCUGUACUACCAACGCCACGUAUGGGGCCUAUCGACACGUUGGAUAACCUAUGCCACGUGCGACCUCAACAUAAUAUCACAUAAUCUCCCCAUACGUCAAUACAACCAACGCCACGUAUGGGGUCUGUCUCAACGCCGGAUAACCUACGCCACGCGAGACCUGAACAUCAUAUCACAAUAGCUUGCCAUACGCUGGUACAACCAACGCCACAUAUGGGAUCUGUCGACACGCCGGAUAACCUACCCCACGUACGACCUCAAUAUAAUAUCACAUAAUCUCCCCAUACGCCGGUACAACCAACGCCACGUAUGGGGUCUGUGUUAAAGCCGGAUAACCUACGCCACGCGAGACCUGAACAUCAUAUCACAAUAUCUCUCCAUACUCCAGUACAACCAACGCCACGUAUGGGGUAUGUGGACACGCCGGAUAACCUACGCCACGUGCGACCUCGAUAUAUUGUCAGGUAAUCUCCCCAUAUGCCGGUACUAUCAAUGCCACGUAUGGGACCUGUCCGCAAGCCGGAUAACCUACGCCACGUGGGACCUAACUUUCACAGGGUGGUACUUGUAGUGUAACCAAAAUCCGGAAAGGUGCCUAGGGUAGUGCGUAUAGCACUUCAAACUGACAUUCUAGACUCUUUAUACCUUUACAAACAUAUAUAAACAUAUAUAAUUUAAUUCUAAUUGUGUAAACCUCAACAAUAGUCUAGCACCCAAUAAUCCCCCUAGGAAGGUGAGACUACUCCGAAAGACUCACGGUCGACCAAGGGUCAAACUACCCUAACAUUGGUCAAACAGGCCCACGGGGCCCACGACCUCCAAAUUCUGAUCCGAAAGUUCCUAUGAGUUCUCCGAGUUAUAGGACACUCGUCCUGCAAGUUUAGUCCAGAUCGGACGAUCAGAUCGCUCACGAUCGCACGAUCUGACGGUUAAUAUAAAACAUAAACUUUAAAUUAAUAAAUCAAAACAUCCGGCACUCCGAUUCACGAUCCGUGAAUUCCUACACGAUCCUAGAAAUACCUAGAUUAACAUAUAUUAAAUUCAAGACCAUCCAACGGUCCCAACCUAUCGAACCCAGAUAACGCGCAAUAGGCGGUAUCCGUUCGAUAUUUCCCUUUAAUAAUUUAAAUAAGGGAUUUAAUUUGGAGUCGGGGUGUUACAAUCUACCCUCCUUAUAAAAAUUUCAUCCUCGAAAUUUCAUACCUGCUAGAAGAGGAAUCUGCCAGAACUGACUUUAGGAAGAAGUUCCUGAGUGUCACUCUGCCAAGAGAUCUGCCCCACGGAGGUGGGAAGCCUCCAAACUAUCAUUUGGGAGCAGAAGUCUAUCAUCGCAACUUCUGUGCAAGGCAACUUGGCUGCCCCAGCUUAUUCCACUAAAAUCAUACAGAAGCUGCAAUCGGGCCACUUCCUUGAGAGAUGCGGAUGAUCUGGAAGUGCACAAAGAUGCUAGAUGUGCAGUAAACAAGAUAAAUAACAGCGCAGAUGCCCUCUAUCCAGCCUGGGAACUGAACUCCUGCAGUUCUGCCGAUUUUGACGCUUGGUGGAAAUCCAGGUUUCAUGGUCUGCCAGCCUCCAUUGCUGCACUCAAGGUGAUUUUUGAGGGCUGGGACUCCUGGACUGUCUACGCGGAGGUGGAUGCCAAGAACUUCAUGGUGCAGACCAUCAAAGACAUUAAUGCCCAGGGUAUAGAAGGUAACUUUCAAUUCUGUCUGUCUUGCCUAUUCUGUCUCUUAGUGAUGAUGCCUAACAGUUUUGUUCUGUAUAUAUCAGACCCUUAUUUGACAGAAAACAUAGGUGGACAGUCUGUCCAAGCUGGAGAUGUGAUUGGUAAGUUUUUCACUAUUCUGUUCCUUUCAUUAUUUUCUUGCUUGAUUGACUUCUGACUUUGUCUAUUUCUUGUGUAGUCAUUGCUGUCAUUGCUGCUGGGACUUGGAGCUUCCCUCUGGAGAUGAAGAGGAUCUAGCUGCUGAGGCUAUUCCUUUUGGCAGAACAUCCAGCUGCUGAGGCCAUUCUUUCUAGCAGAAGGAAGAGAAAGGAAAUUUCUUCUGCCCAGCACAGUGCUGCUCAGCCUGCGACUUCAGGUAAGUUCUGACAGUUUGAGCUUUUCGUAAUUCUAUUUUGUCCUAUUCUGCCUUAUGUUCUAAUGGUUUAUUGUCUGCUUAUUGUAGCUGAAAGUUCCUCUCCUCCUCCUACUAAGUCAAAAAGACUUAAAAAGAGGACUGUGGUGGAAUAUAUGGCCAUGGAGGAGUCUGCAGCAGUUCCCACCAACACUUCUGGGACGGAUGAAGAGCUGAGAGAGGCCUUCAAGACAGUGGAAUAGGAGAAAGAGCUAGAAGAAACAGAAGAAGAACCUCAAGAAAAGGCAAAAGAAAUGGAAGAAAAUGUGAGUAUUGUUUUCUGGCUAUGUCAGCUUUUCUUUUGUUUCUUCAUUUCCUCUGUUCUGACUUCUGUCUAUGUAUAGAAGGAAAUCCCCGCUGAAGUGAUUGCAUAGAGCAUUGCUUUGGCGCAGAGGCAGCAGGAGAAUCAAAGGGCAGAGCUGACCAGCUCGGAGUUGGCCCUUUUUGAAGACGCAGAGGCAGAACACUCAACUGUUGUUCCAGCAGCUGAGGAGCAGGUGGAGCAGUCUGCAUCAGAGCCUGUGGAGCGAGCAGAACUACCUGUUGCAGUCCCAGCACCUGGAGUGGAAGUGGCUGCUGUUGUUCCCGAAGUUGUGGUAAUUUUUAUUCUACUUCUGUCCACCUGUUUCCUGCAAUUCUGUUCUGUCUGUGCUUCCUUAUCUAUUAGUCUUUUCAGGUAGAAGUGCCUAGGCCUGCUGGGGUUUUGGCAGUGGUGACCAGCCCCUUGAAGCCUCUCAUCGUUGCUGUAAGUGUUAAUGCAUUCCUGGGCUUUUUCUUUUCUGUCUCUGCCUAGUUCCUACUCUUGUUCUUUUCUGCAUAUGCCUAUCCAUUCCCUUCCAAGUUCAUCUGCCACAGCUUCCUAUGCUGAUUCGGAGCUGGCAGAAUUUGAGGCUCUGGAUCUGAACGCCCAGCUAGACAAGCUGAACCCUAAACCCUUGAGAAACUCAGCUCCACUCCUUGCAAGGCAAAGUCCAAGGCAGUGGAGGAGGCUAUGGAGAGACUGAAGAUCUGGCAAUCAACUGAUCUGGAGCUGGAUAAGGACAGGGAAGCUGUUGACCAAUUGAUGAAGGAUCUGGACCUUCUGCACAGACAGAACAUGGCCCCCAAACCCAUACUUGAGAUGAGCCUUGGCUUGGGAAGAGAUGUGCUCAACCUCCACGACCGUUACGAGGAUCUCAAGCCCACCUUCAAGACCUCUGAGUUCUGCAAAGCCACCCAUAAAGCCAACUUGGCUGACUAUGCAAAGCAGAAGGCAGAACUGGACCAGAUGGUUGCAGGAUACAAGGAAGCCAAAGCCACUAUAGACAAGUUGGAGAAGCAGAUUGAAGAGCUUCAAAAACAAUUGGCAGAGUGCAGAGAGGUGCAGAGCAGGCUCGGGGCUAGACUGAGCUCUAAGACCAAGGCCACCUUCCUUGUGUAGAAUAUGGUUUCAGCUUCUAGGCCAGCUUUGGAAAUUGCAGAGGCUUCAAUCCACCAGGGGUGCUACUUCAGAAGGAACUCUCCAUUAAAAAGGCCAACUUGCAAGAAACCCUUAGGAAAUUAGGGUUUUAGAUUCUAGUUUUUUUUUAAAGAAAUGUAAUAAAUAAUUUAGCCAUAAAAAGUGGCUAUAUUUAAAUAAAAGUUCAUUUAUUUUUGUGGGAAUUCCAAAUUCUUUCGACAAAAAGAAAAGAGAGAAAAAGUAAUUUAAAGCAUACUUAACAAAUUACAACGAAAAUGAAAGUGAUCAGAAAUUCAAACAACAGUUUUAUCUUGCUGUCUCUCUAUUCCGGGAUCUGUCUGUACCGCCUGUGAAUCCCACAUAGUUGGAUAGAACUUUUUUAACCAUUUGUCAUUAAUUGGUGCAGUAUGGACAUCUCCAUCUCGAUCAUGUAAUCUGUAUGCCCCCAUUCCAAGGAUCUGAUUAAUUAUGAAAGGACCUUCCCAUGUAGGUGACCAUUUUCCAUAACCAUCUAUAUGCGUUCCAAGGGGCAGAACUGCUUUCUAGACUAUUUCCCCCUCUUCAAAACUCUUGUUCUUGACUCUUUUGUUGUAAGCCCUUGAUACAGCUUCCUUUCCUGCUAAGAGUUUGUUGAGGGUAUCGAUCCUGCUUGUAUCCAAUCCUUCCAGUUCUAGCAUCAUAGCUUGAGAGUAGUCUUCUCCAACCAAACUGUGUUGAUGAGCAAUUCUGAGGGAUUGGACUGCUAUCUCCAUAGGCAGAAUUGCAUCGUGGCCAUAGGUGGUCAUGCCAGUUGCUUCUCUUCUUGAAGUUCUAUAUGCCCACAGAGUUUCUGACAACUUCUCAUGCUACUAUUUUGGAUUUUUCUCAAGCAUUUUUCUGAUAAUGUUGAUGAUCACCUUGUUACUUGAUUCUGCCUGCCCAUUAGCUUGGGCAUAAUAAGGGGUGGAUUGAAGCAGUUUGAAUUUAAAUGCUCCUGCCAUUUCCAACAUUUCUCCAGAUAUGAAAGAAGAUCCCCUAUCAGUUGUGAUUGAUUCUGGAAUGCCAAACCUUUGUAUAAUCUGCUCUUCUAUGAAAGUGAUGAUUUCUUGAGAUGCUGUGGACUUAACAGGCUUGGCUUCCACCCAUUUGGUAAAAUAAUCUGUAGCUACAAUAAUAAAACAGUGUUGUUUGCUACUGGCUGGAUAAAUCUUACCAAUGAGAUCCAUUGCCCAUCCUCUGAAAGGCCAUAGUUUUACUACUAGAUUCAUGGGAACUGAAAGAGCCUGCUGGAUUAGCCGAGCCAUUUCCUUUUAUGCUACCGAUUUCUUUUAUGCUACUGAGCCGGGCAAAACCAAUAAAAUAAAGAAAGGCAACGAAUUUAUUAACCGAGUAUAAAGGAGAGAGAGGGAUUCGAACCCUCGAUAGUUCUUUGUUUCGAACUAUACCGGUUUUCAAGACCGGAGCUAUCAACAACUCGGCCAUCUCUCCGAAAUAAAAUUUAUAUUUUAUUCCACCUAAUAGAACAUGGACAUAUGAGUUGAUACGAUUACUAUCUAUAGAAAGAUAUCAGGUGUGAGUCUAUAGGUCUAUCUAUCUGUAUAUAUAUAUAUAAUAUAGAUGCAUGAUCCAGCAAGCAUGCCCCUGAAGUUGACUUACGCUCAAAUGUAGAAGAAUCAGCCAUGGCAAAUAGGUAGCUGAAUUGCAGCGGAAUAGAUGAGCAACGGUGUCACUCCCCCUCAUAUCCAACGAUGUAUAAGAGUCGAGAUUUGGAGAAAGCAAUACCGAAAAAUAAAGUUGCAGAACUCAAAUAAAGUUGCAUCUAUCUCCCCAUCAAAUCCGACACUGGUAAAGGGUCGAGAUUUGAAAGAGGAGAAAUUGAAAUAAUAGUAAAGAGACUCAAACAUGCAGUCUCAUGGCAGAAACAAAUGCAAGAGGGGAAGAUGGUAGCAUACGGUUGUCCCAUGAAGAAAAAACUUUAGAAAAGGAGAAUAGUAAGGGAGGAAACCCAGCAAAUCAUGAACAGAGACAAAGACAAAGAUAAGGUACUCAAACUGAGAAGCGGAAAGGCAACUCAAGAGAGCAACCGAAGAAGACAGAGGCCCGCAGAACAGUCAAAGGAAAGGCUCGGCGAGUGGUGACGAUGCUCGCGGAGGAAAGCAACGGCUCGGUGAGCAGUGACGAGGCUCACGGAGUAAAGAGACUUGUUAUGAAGUUUCAAAGAUAGAGAAGCUGAGACAUCAAGAAAGACCAUCUGGCAUACAAAGAUGAAAAAUAAAAUUUUUGGAACAGUAGCAAAGAAGCAUGUGAAGGCUAGGUGCGGUGAAAACACAUAUGAAAGGAUGAACAAAAGAAGAUGACUAUACAAGAUGAAGACCCAUGAUGGGUUAGAAAUGAGGAGUGCCAACGACUCUCAAUUUGGCAGAGGCUAUCACAGGUUAGGAACCUGGCUCUGAUACCAUGUCAAACAAAGUAGGGUAAAUAUUCAGUUAUGCUCAGAUAUGCUCAUAUUAUUAUUCUUCUCCAAUAUGGAGAUAUUUAUACAAGUACAAAGAUGUGUUAACCCUAAAUAAAAUAGAAAAUAUAUCUAAAUUACAAUUGGAAGUAAAUCUCUAUUACAAUAUGAGUAAAUAAUAAUUGAUAAGUAACCAAAAUUCUAAUGAAAUAAGGAACUAAAAUCCUAAGUAAGUAAGGACUCGCCAACGAAUAAUAGUACAACUCUUAUUAGCAACAGGUUACAAACUUCUUCUACAACACACCAACAUGAAUCUAGCCCUGAUCAAUUCUUUUACAUACUUGAAAACAAAACAAAACACGAAAAACAAAAAACAAGAAACAAGAUAGGGAGAAAAUGGCUACGGAGAGACUUACCGCUAAUACUUGAUCAAUAACAGAGAUAAUAGAGCACACUGUUUGUAUGACAAUGAGUAUCAGAAGAAUAAUAGCUGCAAAGAGAGAAAUAGCUGCCCAAGGUGUGUUGAAAUACUUUUGUCUCAAAUUUGCCUUCCGUCUGUUCGUGGUCUUCUUGCAGUACUCGUUUAGUUUGCCAGCAAGAUCACCAAAAUAGUAGUUUCCGUGGUUCGGAGCAACUUUACUGCAAAGCUUGUUAAUCAUAAUGGAAACCUUAUUGUUGUCACCUAGCGUGUUUACAACAAUUCCAUUGUCAACAAGCAACUCUACAUCCUUUGGGGUGUUUACAAAUUUAUCCAGGAUGAAAACAUAAUCGCUUAUGUAUUUAUCCACGCAAUUGCCUUGUUCAAAGGCAAUGAGAUUUCUAUGUGUAAGCUGUGUAAUCAUGUAUUUCAAUUUUUGGAAUUUCCAAGGUGUUUUUCUUGAACUGUAUAUCGAAUAAGUUCUUGCUUGAUCCCACGUUAAACUUAACUCCGGCCUGGUGUAGUUUUGUCAUGCUGGGUGUACUUUGGAGCCCUCCAUUUUUUUUUCUUUUGGCAGAUGUAAAGUUCUAAUAAAAUCAACAAAAUGUAAAGGUUUUUUAGGAUCAGGAGGCAUAAAAGACUUACGGAAGGCUGGUGAGUUCUCCAAGUUUUCUAAACGCAGUGCCUGUUGGAAGAACUUGUAAGAGAGUUCAAUUAUUGAAGGCUCCCCAGUCUGAGCACCUGUGAGAUUGUAAAGAUCCUUGAGAAUGAAAAAUGGCAGCUGAUUUACGAGCAUAAGCAUGUCAGGCAAUAUAUUUUGUAGCACCCAUGGUUUUUUAAAUAUCCAAGCAUUAUCAUCCUGCAAUUUUUCUUCCUGAAAUUUUUCUUCGGAUUUAUUCCUCAACAAUAGCUCAAUGACAAAGGCGGCAUCAACUAGACUGAUAUUCACAAAAGCAGCAAUGUUAAACUUCUUAGGGCUAGUUUGGCGUUGCUGUGUUUUAAAAAAAAAUAUGCUUCUGCUGUGCUGUGAAAAUAAUCAGCUGUGAAAAAAAGCUACUAAGCGUUUGGUAAACUGUUUUUGAAAAACUGUUGUGAGUAGUCAAAGUGUUUGGUAAAUUUUUAUCAGAAGUGUUUUUAGUGUGUAUAAUGACCAAAAAGGACAUGAUGAUGAAAUUGUUUGUUAUUUUCUUCAUUCUUUUUCUACUUUUUUUUUUAAAAAAAAAACCCAAUUUCACUACAUAAAUUUUUAUUCUUUUUUAAUUCACACCUUUUUAUCAAAAAAUUUAAUCUACAAUUAACAUACAUAUUUUACCAUAAAUUAUAAAUUACUAUUAUAACAAAAGUAAUUCUAAAUAUUGUUAUAUUAAUAUGGGCUUCGGACAUGACAAAAAUACAAAAAUUGUUCAAUUUUAAAAUGCCCCAAUAGAUCACUACAAUAUAAAAGAAGCUAAUUAGAUGCAUUCAUUAAACUUGUAGCGAUGCUAUUUCUUAAUGCAUUCAUUAGCUUCUUUUUUUGGUUUCCAAUGGUUCUCUAACAAUUUUAACUAAAAAAACAACCAUAAUGCUUUGUGAACAAUAAAUUCAAGUCCAAAUCUACUAAUGCCCACACCAUACAUAUAUACAUAAUUGUUUCUUUCAUAAAACUUGAAGAUUCAAUAGUAAUUACACAGUUUACCAAUCUUGAUUCCAACUAUAUCCAUAAAAUUAAACUAUAAUUAGAAACAGAGGAGCUACAUGUGAUUACUUAUAAAUGUUGCCCACUCUCAUCAUCAUCUUCUUCCUCCUCUGUACUUUGCCUUUCACAAAUGGACAAGACCAGAUGGUAACGUACACGACAUGGUCCACAUAUAGAUAAAUUUUGGGUUCACUGGAGAACAUAAAAGAGUUUUUACACGAAUACAAAGUUAGUUAAGUAGUGAAUAAGGUAAAACUAUUCUGUACAAUUCUAGCUGAUGCAGUCCAAAAAGAAUAUAUGUCUAAUAACUUAAAUAACAAUAAAGAGAAACAAAAACCUCAUGAAAAAUGCUAGAGUAAAAGUUACAUAACUGAAUCGAUGGACAGAGAACUCCACAGGCAGAGAAACAGCAACAAAAAUUGUCAAAACAGUAGCAAGACCAUGUUGGAGUCAAGGCCAAAGAUCAUAUUUCCUGUGUAUCUUCUUCCAUUCUGAAUUAUUCUCGUAUUCAAAUACUGUAACUCUAUUUCAAGUGCACCCCAAAAUACUUAUCUAAGGCCAGUACAUAGGACUUCAUAAAGGGUGCCAUAAAAAAUAUUGCCCCUUAAUUGAUAAACAGAACCAAGAUCCCAAUGGCACACCAAAACUAUACCAACCACACCUACAUAAUAUGGACAGAAAAUCCUGUUGUUCUGACCUCUAACCACACCAAUGACAUUCAUUAGGAAAAUACAAAAGAUGGGUACCCUGCAUUUCUAACAUUUAAGAUAAAAUUCACUGCCAGCUAAUCACAAAUUUGAAAAGAUGGCAAGAAAAUUGGCUAUGCUUUAACAAAAACCAGAGCAGUCCUUGCAUAGACCUGACUUUUUGCUCCAAGCUUUAGCAGAUCACUUACUGGUAGAGAGCAGAGAACAUGUAUGUGAAUAUCUGAAGUUGGAAGGGUAAGCCAUCACAAACACCAAGAGAUCUGAUUCUCAUCUCUUGUUACAACAACAAAUCACAAACACCAAUACAUCUGAUUCAGAAUCUCAUAAACAAUGGAGGAACAAACACAUAUUCACACACAUAUAAAUCCCUAAACCGAAAAAAAAAAAAAAAAAAAAAAAAAAAAAAAAAAAAAAAAACAUGAAAGUAAUAGGAGAAUCAAAUUGAUUUGGGCCAAAAUUGCCUAAAAAGAAAACACUCCUAAAUAAACUUCAAUUCACUUUUAAAAACAGUAAAACGUGAUUGAAUCGUUCUUUAAAACAAUUCCCUAAUAUACAUGCAUGAUAAUGACAUCAUUUACCCCUAAAUCAAAUGCCUUUCACUGGUUAAGCCACAAGUCUGUGUUUUGGGGAUUGCUGAGCUGCAUCAAUCCUGCCAAUGUCAAUUCUGCCCCUAGGCUCUCUCAAAGUGCAUUUACAACCUAUGCUAACAUAUACUAGAGUUUGUGCUAGUAUCUAGAAAAUGCCAACACUAAUUUCGUAACACGUAGAAAUUGUUACAUAUUGGAAGUUUUUAUCAUUUUUUCUUCCAGUCUCUCCACCACUCACUAAUACAGAUUACUCAUGUGAUGAGUUUACAAAACCUAUUUCUCUACUCCCACAAAGACCAUACUUUUUCUCAAAAGACUAUAUCACUUUAUCUCUAUCUUUGUGAAAUGUAAAAAGUUGAAACUUUAAUGUCAAAUCUCGACAAAAGAUGAACUUCCAUCAAUUACAUUGAAUUUGAAUUUGUUGAACUUAAGUGGUUUUACUUUCUCUGUCAGCGUUUGAUGACUUGAUUUGUUAUUUACUUCUUCUUUUUUCCUUGGAAAUGUGUUCCAUCAACGUGAGGAAGAAAAAUAUGCACAAAUUAAUAUAUUUAAUAGAAGCACAAAUUAAUAUUUACAAAAAUAUGCACAAAUCAAGUAAAAUUAAUAAAGCAUAAAUUGGAAAGGGAAAAUAUGUAGAGGAUGCAUUGUAGGAUUGCUCAUGCCAAUAAUUGUACCCUCUAAAUAUAUAGGGACAUAAUUUUUUUUGUUUUCAUGACAUGUGGUCCUCAAAUUAUUGUUCUUAGCGGACUCUCCACCCCUCUCGAUUGAAAGCCUAUUGUGUAAAUCUUCAAUCCUGAAUGAUCCACCUAAAACUCAUGUUGCAAUACACAUCCACCCAUUCUCAGGCCAAUUAUUACUCCUAGUGGGCUCUCCACCCCCUCUCAAAUUUAAGUGGUCCAUUAUUAUUAACCAUAUAUUUUAUGGACCAGCUAGCUGUGAGGUUUUAUCUCAAAAACCUUUCUCUCACAUGCCACAAUUUAUGUCUGAUACAUCACAUCAUGCCAGUUGUCUCAAAUGAAUUUAAGUGAGUGAGGCAGUGUUACUUCUGGGUACCCCUCAUCGUUCGUGUAUAAAAUGGUGAAGCCAGUUGCUACUGUUACCAUAAGAGCCAGCUCCGACUUUCAAAAUAAAAAUUCCAACAAUGAUCUUAGUGCCUUCAAACGCAUGAGUUACUGAACAUGCAAAUAAAUACACUAUGAAUAAUAAAAGUGUUUGAUAAAUCACCAAAUUAUGGAACACUUGAUGAUUUAUCUCAAAUAAAAAUUCCAAGGCUUAUUUUAUAGAAUUUUUCUUUAUUACAAGAAAGAAAACAUGUUGAAAACCAAAUCUCCAAUUUCCAAGGCUUGACAGAAAAUCAAAAAAAUAUCUUUCCUAUUCUAGAGAUUGGUCACAUGUAGUUCAGAAAAUCAAAAAAAUAUCUUUCCUAUUCUAGAGAUUGGUCACAUGUAGUUCAACCAAUAGGAAAUGAGAUAUUUAAGAAAGCAAGAUUUUGAUCAAUAUCAAUAUCAAAUGAAUUCUUAUACGCCUAGUCAACUAUUAAGGGUAUCUUGACUCUUUGAUAUUGUGAUAUGAUUGAAACAUGAUUUCCAUGUUAGAAAAUUAAGGGGAUGUUAAAACAUGAAAGUAAUAGGAGAAUCAAAUUGAUUUGGACUAAAAUUGCCUAAAAAGAAAACACUCCUAAAUAAACUUCAAUUCACUUUUAAAAAUCGUAAAACAUGAUUGAAUCGUUUUUUUAAAACAAUUCCCUAAUAUACAUGCAUGAUAAUGACAUCACUUACCCCUAAAUCAAAUUGUCACGCCCCGGACCUGGGGGUCAGUGGAAAUCCCGCGCCCGGUGCGUGAGAAAAUAAAAAGUAAAAUAAAAUAAAAAGAAAGCCGAAACAAGGGUUUAAAAUAAACUUCUCUUAUAAAAAUAACUCUAAAAUCUUAUAACUUUACAAGAAAUAAAUAAAGCUCUAUCAUUCUUAUCUAAUUCAGACUCAACUGGUUUAGUCCUUGUCUUGCCCACUAAUUCAUCUGAAAAAUUAAGAGUGUUGCUAAACGAACCCUAAAAUUAAUUGAGUACACCAUACUACCAAACAAUUUAUUGAAUUUGUCAAGGUUUUGUUUCUGGGAACUCACGAGCAACUUUCCAGUGGGUUACCCAUCCUAGGAUUGCUCUAGCCCACAACUCGCUUAACUUCGGAGUUCCUACGACUCCGAAGCCAGUGAGCUCCCAAAAGGCCUCGUGCUAGAUGGAUGCGGGUGUGCACAUAUAAGGCACAUCACCACCUCUCCGUUGAUUGAUGUGGGAUCUUACAAAAUUACUAAUUUAUUCUAAUAUAAAAUGAUCAAAAAAGAUAAAAUAAUAUUGGUAUCUAUUGCUUUGAAUCCAUGCCUUCAAACAAAUUGACUUAAUUUUUAACAAACAACACGGAGUCCAGGAGAAGUGUAUUGAUCCAAGUUGAUUUUUGUAUGCAUAAAACUUAAACAAUCAAUAACACAAAGCAGUUCAUGCUGAAAUAUUGGAAACCCACACCCAAAGAGUUCUCCGCUGCGAGGUUGAAGGCAGGAGAGAUGGGUGACAGAUUUUACUUCCACUGCGAAGUUGGAGGCUAGGAGAGUCUGUGACUGCCAUGGUUGAGGGAGAAGAUGCGUUCAAAAUGCCUAUUGAUAUUUUACAUUAUUUUCUAUACAAGUUAACAGUGUUUGUGUAUUGUUAAAGGUGGAGAGACGUGUCAAAAUUUUAGACAAAGGACAGGAGGAGAUAGGGAAUUUGGGGACAGCAGAUCUCAACUCCCUUGAGACCCUAUUCUCUACGCCACCCCUCCCCCUCAACAACCCUAGUCACCAUUUCUCCUUCAACUCCAACGGCAACUCAUUAAAACCCAAUUCUCAAAUGCAACAAUCUAAUCCCAAUCCCAAUUCAGAUGUUUCUAAAAAACCAAUGGUUGUCGUGGUGGAGAACUGCAAUUCCAGGUGGUGGUGGUACCACAUGGGAGAGAGAAAAAAGAAGAAGAAGAAGCAGCAGAGAGAGAGUUUUUUAUUAUAUUAUUAUUUUACUGUAAUUUUUUAAUUUAAAAAAUUAAAAAAAUUAAAAAUUAAAGAGGAUGUACCAUGGGUAUUUUUGGUAGUUAAAUAGGGUGUACUUAGUUAAUUUUCAAUUUAAUUUAAACAUUAGAGUGUACUCAGUUAAUUUUAGGGUUCAUUUAGCAGCACUCAAAAUUAAACAAGGUAAGGGAUGAGCAAGUAGGGACAUGAGACCUUGCCACAGUAGAUUGAUAUAACUAAAUAUUAUCAUAAACAUCGAAAUAUAUAAAUAUUAUUAUGAUAGGAUUCAUAAUAAUUAAUAUAAAAGUAUAACAACAAGAUUUACAUUUAUGUACCAAGAUAAUUACACAUAUAAAUAUAACCAAUAUAUAUUUUUAUAUAUUUUAAAAUACAAGUCUUUACGUAAAUGCCCUUCACGGGUCAAGCCACAAGUCUGUGUUUUGGGGAUUGCUUAGCUGCAUCAAUCCUGCCAAUGUCAAUUUUGCCCCUGGGCUCUCUCAAAGUACGUUUAAAACCUAUGCUAACAUAUACUAGAGUUUAUGCUGUAUCUAGAAAAUGCCAACACUAAUUUCGUAACACGUAGAAAUUGUUAGAGAUUGGAAGUUUUUAUCAUUUUUUCUUCCAGUCUCUCCACCACUUAUUAAUACAGAUUACUCAUGUGAUGAGUUUACAAAACCUAUUUCUCUACUCUAGCAAAGACUAUACUUCUUCUCAAAAGACUAGAUCACUUUACCUCUAUCUCUGUGAAAUGUAAAAAGUUGAAACUUUAAUGUCAAACCUCGACAAAGUGUUCUACUUUACAAACUUCUUGUGUCUACCAAUUUCUACUAAAAUUAAUUUCUCUACGGUGCUCAGAUUCAUCAUAUGUGUGUCCUUAAUUUUAGUGGAAAUUGGAAGUUUCCAUAAUUUUUGCUUUAAGUCACUCUUCUGAAGGAAGUUGAGGUUCCACUCCAUAAUCCAAAAUGUCAGGUUGACUUAUGGCAAACAAUGUAAAUAUGUAGGAGUACUAUGACCUUUUAUAGCAUUUUUAGUUUGAAUUUGGGUUUUAUACAUAGAUUUCGAAAUUAAUAGGUUGAUGCCUAGGAAAUAGAAAUUGUAAGGGCCUAUAUUAGACUAGCCCUCUUAAAAAAUAUAUUAAUUAAUGAAUAUUUGUUCUUCUUGUUGUUUUGAAGUAGUGGUGGGAGGCAUACCAACAAAAAAAAAAAUAUAGUGAAGGCUUAUAAGAGCAUUUACAAUCAUGCUCCCUAUUUUUUAGUUAAAAUUUAGCUAAAAAUAGAAAAAAGUUAUUAUAGGAGCUCUUUAUAAAAUUUGAACUCCAAUCAUACUCCCUAGUUUAGGGAGUCAAAAAUACUAUAGUUAUUUUUUAAUUCAAUUUGAUUUUGGUUAAUCUCUAUAAAUAAAUAAAAAUAUGAAAAAAUAGUUAACAUUAAUUAAAAGUUUAAACUAUGCAUAAAACAAAGAAACAUUAAAUUAUAGGGAGCCACUAUGAGUCGUUACUCUCUCCUCAGAUUUAGGAGCUCCUAGAGGUCUCCCUAUUUUAUGAGGUGGAUAAGGAGCAUGGUUGGAGUUGUAUUUCUUCAAUUUCCUCCCUAAAAUUUGUCUAAGGAUGUGGUUUAGGGAACCCAUUGUGAAUGCUCUAACUCUGGUAAAACACGAGUGACAUGGACAACAUAUGUUACGUCGUACAGAAGAUUUUUGGGUUUCUUUAAUUGGUUAAGUAGCAUCCACAAUGAGCUUCCUAAAUCAUCUCCUUAGACAAAUUUUAGGGAGGAAUUGGAAAAGUACAAUUCCAACUAUGCUCCCUAUCCACCAACUAAAAUAGGGAGACCUCUAAGAGCUCCUAAAUCUGAUGAGAGGGAAAGGACUCUUAAUGACUCCUUAUAAUUUAAUGUUGCUUUACUUUAUGCAUAUUUUGAACUUUUAAUUAAAUCAAAUUAUUAUUUUUAUAUUAUUUUGUAUACAGACGGGUUAAUUAUAUUAAAUUAAAAAAUAAUUAAAAUAUUAAUGACUCUCUAAACUAGGAAGCAUAAUUGUAGAUCAUCUUAUAUACCUUAAUUUGAAGAUUCUUUAUUUGGGUUUCUUUCAAGACUUAUCACCUUAGCCACACCACCUACACGUCUGCAAGCUUCCGUAAUCUAACAAGGAAGGGGAGGCUGCGCAAUACUUAUCACCUUAGCCACACCACCUACACCACAAGACCAAUAUGUGUAGUCCAGCAGGCUUUCCAAUUUUAAUAUAUAUUAUAAAAUAAAAUAAAAAUCAAUCUAUUAUCAUAUAUAUUAUAAAAUAAAGAUUAUUGCUCCAUCCUCCAUGCACUUGCAUGCCCUCUUACAAAGUGUGAAGUAGAUUUUGUGUGCUCCAAGUCAUUGACGAGAGCUGUAACAUGGUUAGCUGGAUUUAUAAGAUCUUUUCUUUUCUGGGAAUUUUCUGAAUUAAGAAAAAUCAAGUAAAAUUAAUAAAGCAUAAAUUAGAAAGGGAAAAUAUCUAGAGGAUGCAUUGUAGGAUUGCACAUGCCAAUAAUUGUAUCCUCUAAAUAUAUAGCGACACAUUUUUUUUGUUUUCAUGACUUGUGGUCCUAAAAUUAUUGUUCCUAGCGGGCUUUUCACCCUCUCUCGAUUGAAAAUCAAUUGUGUAAAUCUUCAAUCUUGAAUGAUGCACCUAAAACUCAAGUGUCCCAGGCCAAUUAUUGCUCUCAUACCACUUGUUGUAAUAAACAUUCACCCAUUCUAAAGGAAAGAUAACCAUCGAUAUUAUCUGAAAUUUAACCACUUAAGUUCAUUAUGAUUAACUAUGUAUCUUAUGGACCAAUCCAAUCGUAAGGUUUUAUACUCAAUUAGAUCGACCAAUACAAAGUUCACACUGGAUUAAAAAGGGCUAUCGGUAGGGGAGUGUUCGGCACCCUUUACUGUGGAGCGCAACACAAGACCCCUUGCAUGCCCUCACUAAGUUGAGCCCAACUAUUUUUGAGCAUUAACAAUAUAUAUAGAUUGAAAAAAUAAAAUAAAAAUCAAUCUAUUAUCAUAUAUAUUAUAAAAUACAUAUUAUUGCUCCAUCCUCCAUACACUUGCAUGCCCUCUUACAAAGUGUGAAGUAGAUUUUUUGUGCUCCAACUCAUUGACUAGGGCUGAAACAUGGUUAGUUGGAUUUAUAAGAUCUUUUGUUUUUUGGGAAUUUUCUGAAGCACGGAAAAUCAAAUAAAAUUAAUAAAGCAGAAACUGUACCCUUUAAUUAUAUAUGGACAUAUGUUUUUUUGUUUUCAAGUCUUAGAUGACAUGGGGACCCCUCUCAAAUUUAAGUGGUCCAUUAUUGUUAACCACAUAUUUUAUGGACCAUCCAGCUUCGGUACAUUUCUCCCACAUGCCACAAUUGUAUAUUCACAAUUACGUCUGAUACAUCACAUCAUGCCACUUGCCUCACAUGCCACAAUUGUAUAUUCACAAUUACUUCUGGGUACCCCUCAUCAGUCGUCUAUAAAAUGGUGAAGCCAGUUGCUACUGUUACCAUAAGAGCCAGCUCCGACUUUCUUUAAUUUCUUGCUACAUCUGUUGCUAAGUUAAUUUCAGUCCUAAUGGGGUUUCAUCUCCCACUCAUCUUUGCUAUUCUCAGUGUAAGCUCUGCAAUUUGAUUAACUUUUCCAUUCUCUCUCAUUGUACUCUAUAUAUAUAAAUGAAAGUUUUGUGUUCCUAUAAUUCUCUCCGAUUUUAUUUAGUACGUACUUAAGUGUCGUCCACUAAUUAAUUACACUUUGUGAGAUUUGAUUUUAAUUAGAGUUCGAAUUAAUGUUGCAGCUAGCAGCGGUUGCACUGGCAAACAAUGCUGCUCAACCAGCACCUCAACUUUACUGGAACUCCGUCCUGCCAAACACACAGAUGCCAAGAUCUAUCAGUGAACUUCUGCAUCCUGGUUUGUGUUCAGCUCUUUAUAAUCUUAGAUAUCUCUUCUACCUGCCAUUUUACUAAACUAUGUUCGACCACAUAUUUAUCAGUUAACUACUGUCAUUACAAGAAUGACACUUAUUUUCCAAUAUAAUUUGCAGACUCCACAAAUGAAGAAAAGAGCAAACCUGAAAUUUUCCCAUUGCAGGGCAAUAGAGUUUACACUCAAAGCCAUUAUAAAAAACGUCCUCCUCCUCCAUCUGACGAGGGCAAACCUGAAAAUUUCCCAUUGCAGGGCAAUAGAGUUUACACUCAAAGCCAUUAUAAAAAACGUCCUCCUCCUCCAUCUGACGAGGGCAAACCUGAAAAUUUCCCAUUGGCCAAUAGCUUUUACACUCAAACCCAUUAUAAAAAACGUCCUCCUCCUCCAUCUGACGAGGGCAAACCUGAAAAUUUCCCAUUGGCCAAUAGCUUUUACACUCAAAGCCAUUAUAAAAAACGUCCUCCUCCUCCAUCUGACGAGGGCAAACCUGAAAAUUUCCCAUUGGGCAAUAGCCAUUACACUCAAAGCCAUUAUAAAAAACGUCCUCCUCCUCCAUCUGACGAGGGCAAACCUGAAAAUAUCCCAUUGGCACGUUCAGGUUACCAACGAAAAAAUUAUGGAGCAAGUCCUCCUCCAUCUGACAGUCAACUAAAGCAUUAUAAAGACUUAGCUAUUUUCUUCUUCGAGAAGGACAUGCGCCCGGGCACAACUAUGAAGUUCCAAUUCCCUAGAAAUUCAAACACGGCUACUUUCCUGCCACGCGAAAGUGCUCAAUCGAUCCCCUUCUCCUCUAAGAAACUACCAGAAAUUUUCAACCAUUUUUCAGUGAAGCCAACAUCUGAGGAAGCCAAAACAAUUAAGCAAACAAUCGAAGAGUGUGAAGCUCCAGGCCUUAAGGGAGAGGAAAAAUAUUGCGCCACAUCUUUAGAAUCAAUGGUUGAUUUUAGCACUUCGAAGCUUGGAACAAGAAACGUUGAAGCAAUCUCAACGCAGGUAUUGGAAGAAGGAGCCACCAAGUACAUGCACAACUAUACAACAAUCCCGGGACUGAAGAAGUUGGUAGGUGACAAAGUCGUUGUGUGUCAUAAGGAGAACUAUCCCUAUGCUGUGUUUCUCUGCCAUGCAAUAAAACAAACAGAAGCUUAUGUUCUCUCCCUGAAAGCCGAUGAUGGGAUGAAGGUGAAAGCAGUAACCAUCUGCCAUCUAGACACAUCAGAAUGGGACCCAGAGCAUUUGUCCUUCCAAAUCCUCAACGUUAAGCCCGGAACCACUCCCAUCUGCCAUUUCCUUUCCACUGAUGCUAUUGCCUGGGUUCCAAAACACAAAUCUGCAUGAUCAUCACUUAGCACUGUACGUAUAAUAAGCUUGGUCGGGUUGCACCCUAGGCCUGCAUAAUUAUCUCCCUACUUAUUUCUGCCUCUUCAUCAUGCGGUGUAAGAUAUAUGAUGAGAUGAAGUUUUCUCUUGUAACUAUGUAGACUACUUCAACUUGUACUCAUAAUAAAGCACGCUGUUGGGGGGUUCUACUUAAUUUCGUUCUCUCCAAUGUUUGAGUGUUGAAUUGUUACGUUGGAAUAGGCUGCUAAUGCAUGUAGUUAGAGAAGCCUUCAUUUAUAUCAAAGUCCUCAAACUAUCAAGAAUUAAUGUAUCCAGAAACAUAUACCAAGACGCAAAACAACAUAUUUUCCAUUCUCUGUCUGUAACACCAAGGCAAACUUCCUUUAUCACAUCAUUUAAAGGAUCAAAUUCCAGUACUAAUCUAAUCCAUCAUGUAAAGCAUACAAGUGCCUACCUAAAUUUGUCCAUUGGAUAUAUAUGUCACUUUUUAUUUUUUGAUAGAGAUAUAAAUGUUGAGAAAAUUAGAGUACACAACUCCAAUAUAGACUUGUUGGAGACAAAACAAGUAAACAAAUUACUUGUAUUAGACUCACAAAAUAUUACAACAAGACAACUCUCAAAGAAAAGACAAACUCUCACACUUCUCACAAGGACUACUUAACUUUAUAGCUUAUUGCAUAUAGCAUAUGCAAACACAAUUAGAACAUACCUACGUACACUAUGGGAACACUCGUGUAUAUUUGAACACAAGAAAACAUGUGCGCACCGUGCACGGUUCACAUGAAGUAAGAAAUGAAGAGGAAAUAAAGAAGAAGAAUACAAAAGAAAAUGGAGAUGAGAAAAAAAAAACACGAAUAAUGAAAAAUGAAUUGACAAUUAUAUAUGGUUGACAUUAGAUCUAAUAUUAUAUGUAAUAACUAAUGAUCUAAAAUAAACAUUAAAUCAAACAAUAAUUAAAAGAUUUGACAAUAUAAAAAUUUACACGUCAGCAAACUCACCAUGGUAAGUUUGCUGACGUGUAAAAAUUGUGAAUGGACUACAUCGAAAAAUAAUUGGCUUACAUCAAAAAUUAAAAUCACGUGGGUUAUUCCUAAGAAACCUUAAUAUUUUUAGGUUUAUAUAUUUUUUGUAUUUAAAAAAAAAAAAAAAAAGAGAAAUCUGACCAUGUAUGUAUGAUGAUGAUAUGCAUGUUAUUUUUAGACCUAAGGUAAAACAGACAAACUUUUUACUCCAUUUUUCAUGAGGUUUAUCACAAUAAUUAAACUGUUAUAUCCUCCAUUUUAGAUCUCAUGCUUCCAUUUAAAGAAAAGAAUAUCAACAACAAAAAAAGAAUAAAGUUACAACAUUGAUCAAUUCAAAUGUCCAACUACCGGAUCAUGAGCCCUUGCACUUAGCGAUAUGCAGAUAAAUGCGUAGUGUCUUAAUGCAGAAGCUCGGGAUCCCCAAUUACCAUUGAAACAUAAGAAACUAAAAUCUGCAAGAAAAUGCUAUCAAUUGAAAAAACAAUAAUUAAAAAACAAAAAAAGGAAGGGAAUUCGCACCCGCUAUGCAAAAAAGAGCAAGUCGGUUCAAUGAUUUUUUUCUUCUUCUUUUUGUUAUGGAAAUGAAAAGCUCAAUGAUGGGCUAUAUAUAGGAAGAAGCUCAAUGAUUGAAUUAUUAUCUUCUAUCUACAUUCUACCCUCUUCCUCGCUACAUACACAAAUGGUGCACACCAGUAACUAAGCUUGUUUUGGGUUUGGUGGCCCACUGUAAAAGCUCAAUGGAGAUGGUUUGAGGUAGAAUUUUCUCCUAUUUCAAUAGGACAAUGAUGAGAUCUAUGUAACAACAAAUUUCUUUAAUAAUGAUAACUAAAAAAAGUGUGAUUCAUUGAAUAUUUGCGGGGUUUUGUUCUAAGUCAACACCUCAAAUUCCUUUUACACCAUCAAAUUCAAAAAGUUUUAUUCAACCAUCUCGACCUUAUGCUAAAAAUUUAUUUUGUUCAUACUUAACGUACUAGGUAUUUAUUUUAUACCAACGAGUACGAUGGUCCAUAUAAGUAUUCUAAUCAUUCACUCCAGUUGCAGGCCCCAAUAAUUUAGAAGGGCCGAAGGUCUUUCUUUUUUUCUUUUUUCUUUUUUGAGAAAUUCUAUGAUUGCAUUCAUAAUUCAGGCAAAAAAGUCACUAGCCACAAAAGGGCCAGUACAACAACGGAGCGGUCUAAUAUCAAAAUUAAGACAAUCUAGUGUGUCUCCACUAACGAUCAGGCGAGCCGAUGGUCUUUCAUUGGAUGAAAGCUUCUAUCUACCGACCCCACUAUAUGAACUAUGCAAUGGUGAUGAUGUUACAUUGCAAAAAAUAAAAAGUCAAGGUUUCUUAUUAAUGUUAAUGAAGGCAUAGCAAAAAAUUUAUAGCUCCAAUGGUUCAAAGCAGUUACCCAUGCACUUGAGAUUCUGUGUUUGAAUGCCCUCUCCCCUAAUAUUGCUUGUAUAAAAAUAAAAACUUCUAAAAAGACAUUAAUAUUGUAUUCUAUAUUCUAUAAAGUGUUGGACAUGUCUUAUAUUGUUGACAACCCCCUAACACUUUGGUGGUGCCUAGUUAUAUUCAAUUCGUAUGUAUUUAAUUUGCCACUUACAUUCUUUCCUUAAUACAUUUAGGCUUAUUUUUAUACUAAUUUCUCUAACAUAACUUUUGCACAUUCUUUUAGUCUCUAAUAUAUAUAUUUUCUAAUAAAUAAUCAAGAUCUAAUAAAUAAUCUUACUCACUUGAGUUAUAAACUAUUUUCUUUUAGCACAGAAAAUCGACAUUUUGACAGAGAGUUGAAAACGACUCCCCAAUUUUAAUGUCAACCACUUGAAAAAAAAAACAUAAAUUUAAUGAAAACAAUUACAUUUAGCAAUGCAACCUAAAAACUCAACCUUUGCGCCCCUUUCACAACGUAGAUAGCAAGGUGAGGAUAUUCGGAUAAGAACCAAGACAGAAGCCAAAGGAACUGCGAUAGCCAACCAGAGUCUCCAUUUCUUACCAUUUGAACAACGCCACCAUUUUGUUUGGUAAGUAUUUAAUAACAUUUCUUGCUCUACAUAAAGUAAUAUUAAAACGGAAUUUGCCUAAAUUUUUCUUACCAGCAAUCCAUAUGGACAAAAAUAAAAUAAAAUAAAUAAAUUUACAAUUAUACUCAAUAUAGGAGCCCAAAUUAUUUAUAAUUAAAAAAACUUAUAUGAAAUGGACUUUAGAAACACACUUAAAACCUAUUUACAACAAAACAAAAAAACGUUUAACUUCUUUUAAAUUACAAAACUAUCAUUGAUUUCUUAAACAAACCCAACCCAAAAACUUCAUUAAAAAAAAAAAGCUCAAAAUAUUAGACUCACAAAAUAUUACAACAAGACAACUCUCAAAAAAAAGACAAACUCUCACACUUCUCACAAGGACUACUUAACUUUAUAGCUUAUUGCAUAUAGCAUAUGCAAACACAAUUAGAACAUACCUACGUACACUAUGGGAACACUCGUGUAUAUUUGAACACAAGAAAACAUGUGCACCGUGCACGGUUCACAUGAAGUAAGAAAUGAAGAGGAAAUAAAGAAGAAGAAUACAAAAGAAAAUGGAGAUGAGGAAAAAAAAAACACGAAUAAAUGAAAAAUGAAUUGACAAUUAUAUGUGGUUGACAUUAGAUCUAAUAUUAUAUGUAACAACUAUUGAUCUAAAAUAAACAUUAAAUCAAACAAUAAUUAAAAGAUUUGACAAUAUAAAAAUUUAUUGAGGACAAAAAAAGGCAAAAACUUAUGAAAAAUGGAAACAAUAAAUAUGAACUGAGUCAUCAACUCACCAUGGUAAGUUUGCUGACGUAUAAAAAUAGUCAAUGGACUACAUCGAAAAGUAAUUGGCUUACAUCAAAAAUUAAAAUCACGUGGUCUACCUACUAUAUAGGAUGAAAAAAUUAGGUGAACAAUAUACUUACACCAUGGGAACACUCCUAUAUAUUUGAACACAUGAACACGUGUUCAAGGUUAUAUAUUUCAUUACCUUCACAAUAGGUACCAAACCGUACCAUGCGAACAUUCAUAUACGCACAACAUACUUAUAACAUACCUACACUAUGGGAACACUCGUGUAUAUUUGAAAACAAGAAGACCUGUGCACCACCGUGCACGGUUCACAUGAAGUAAGAAGAUGAAGAGGAAAUAAAGAAGAAGAAUACAAAAGAAAAUGGAGAUGAGAAGAAGAAAAAAAAACACGAAUAAUGAAAAAUGAAUUGACAAUUAUAUAUGGUUGACAUUAGAUCUAAUAUUAUAUGUAACAACUAAUGAUCUAAAAUAAACAUUAAAUUAAACAAUAAUUAAAAGAUUUGACAAUAUAAAAAUUUACACGUCAGCAAACCCACCAUGGUAAGUUUGCUGACGUGUAAAAAUAGUCAAUGGACUAUAUCGAAAAAUAAUUGGCUUACAUCAAAAAUUAAAAUCACGUGGGUUAUUCCUAAGAAACCUUAAUAUUUUUGGGUUUAUAUAUUUUUUGUAUUUUUUUUUUAAAAAAAGAAAAGAAAUCUGACCAUGUAUGUAUGAUGAUUGUUGGUAAAUUUUAACAACAAUAUUAAAACCUUGCAAGUGCACAAAUCAAAUGAUAGUAUAGUAAGCAAGCAAGGGUCGAUCCCACAGAGAUUGUGAUCUAAAGAGAUGUUUAUCAAUGUCACGCAAUGAAAAUCAAAACAAAGGACUUCCAAACACAAGCCAACACCAAGGGGGGUUUUGAUUUGUUUUUGUGAAUCAAACAAAAUAAGGAAAAGGAAACAAAAGAGAAUUUAAAUUAGAGUUUAAGAGAAAUUGGUUUAAAAACAAUCAAGAACAAUAGCUAGGACUUACUAUCCACCUCCAAACAAUCAAUCAAUCCAUAAACAACAAUAGAUAAUCAAUUUCUAGCAAGCAUAUGAUGACGACACUCACAACAAGAUCAUGGCAUUUGACUCGAGUUGUAUGAUUCUCUCUUAAGUGUAUGUAAAGUGUAUGGCAUUUACAUCAAUACGUGUAUUCUUAAUUAAAAUCUAGUAUGACAUUUACUCAAAUUAACAAUCAAGAAUCCAUUAAGAUCAAAGAGAAUAUGAGUGUCACAAAAACCCUAAAACAUGACAUUUGUUAUUAGGAAUUCAAGAAUCGAUUUCUCAUAACUAGUUCUUAACCCAAUUAUUCGUUGCAAACAAGAACACAUUCAAUAUGGCAAUUGACCUAUGUUCUACAACAAUUUAAUUCCAAUACAUGCUUCUAAGUUAGCUACUCAAAGAAACAAAAUACCAGAAUUCACAUAACAUAGAGAAACCGAAAUCAUCACGCUUGUAGAAACUAAAAAUCCAUUAAACUUGUUUAUAAAAUUGAAAUCAUGUCUAGGGCUUCAAGAUUAAGCCCUAACUAACAAGAAAUUAGUUACUCAUGGUCUUGGAUGAACUCAAAAAUAAAUACAUAAGAACUGAAAAUUAAAAGAAGGAAGGAAAAGAAAGAACUCGUUCGCAGCUUUCUCCUCUUGCGCAGUUGACCUCUUUAGGACGUGAAUCCUUUUUAUCAGGCCUUGGCUCGUCUUUUAUAUCACUUAUAUCAGAGUUCUAAACCCUAAAAUUGACUGAAAAGUCGUCCAAGAAGUCUUGAUAAACAAGGAAUCCAAAUAGGAAAGUAAAAAUCACAAUUCCUAACUCCACUGGGAUAUACAGCUCAGCCCAAUGUUCACACGAUUUGGGGAUCUUCGACCUUGUAGAAAAAUUAUUAAAAAUAUAUUUUAGAAAGAUAAAUGUCUUAUCUUUCCAACAUAUAUAGCACGUAACUUGAAAAAUUUGGAAAGGCUUCCGUUUCUUCACAUUCACGUAACAUGUACGAAACUGUCCUGUCUGCACGUGGGCUAACUUUACUUGUAAUACUGUACCAAUUGGCUCGGUAGAAAAUUCUAGAAAAAUAAUAGAUUGAACUUCAAGAUGUUAGCUUUCAUCUCCAAUUGGUCUUGUGCUAAAAUUCCUCCGAAAAGUUGAUUUUCCCUUAAAAACCUUCUAAGAGCGCAGAAAAGCUGAAAAUCAGAAGAAUAAAGUAAUAAGCCCUUUUUAAAUCUAAUUCUCUUACAAAACCAAAGUAAAAAGAGUACAUAAAUGAGUAUAUUUAUGGACUUAUCAAUGAUGAUAUGCAUGUUAUUUUUAGACCUAAGGUAAAACAGACAAACUUUUUACUCCAUUUUUCAUGAGGUUUAUCACAAUAAUUAAACUGUUAUGUCCUCCAUUUUAGAUCUCAUGCUUCCAUUUAAAGAAAAGAAUAUCAACAACAAAAAAAAUAAUAAAGUUACAACAUUGAUCAAUUCAAAUGUCCAACUACCAGAUCAUGAGGCCCUACACUUAUAGACUACGCAUUUUCUCGUAUUUUGCAAAAUUUAGACCAUUAUAAUAAUCUAACCCCUUCAAAUGUGAAACAUCAUCAAGUUUUUUUUCCUUCACUAAACAGAAGAGUUAAGUUUUAUUUGUGGGUAACUAAACUCUUGUUUAGAGCAUGUUUUUUAUUAUUUUUUUCUUUCUUCUGUGUAAAGUAUAAUGGGUUAGAUUAUUAAUUGUGGGUGACUAAAAUCUUGUUUAACAACAAUAGUUAACGUUUGUUUAGAGAAGAAAAAAAACUUGAUGAUGUGCCAUGUUCUAAAGGAUUAGAUUAUUAUAAUGGCCUAGAUUUAGCGAUAUGCAAAUAAAUGCGUAGUGUCUUAAUGCAGAGGCUCGGGAUCCCCUACUACCAUUGAAACAUAAGAAACUCAAAUCUUCACGAAAAUGCUAUCAAUUGAAAAAACAAUAAUUAAAAAACAAAAAAAGGAAGGGAAUUUGCACCUGCUAUGCAAAAAAGAGCAAGUCGGUUCAAUGAUUUUUUUUCUUCUUCUUUUUGUUAUGGAAAUGAAAAGCUCAAUGAUAGGCUAUAUAUAGGAAGAAAAAAAUGGUGCACACCAGUAACUAAGCUUGUUUUGCGUUUGGUGGCCCACUGUAAAAGCUCAAUGGAUGUAACACCCCGACUCCAAAUUAAAUUCCCUAUCUAAAUUAUUUAAUUUAAUUAAAUAUGGAAUUUCCAAUUUACCCUUGGGGUAGGGGUAUUUUGGUAAUUCUCUUAUCCAGAGAGAUUUUGGAGCAACAAGUGGUAUUUUUAGGUAGAUCAUACUUAGACGAGUCCGUAGAUACGUAGUGGGCUCGAUUCGGAGUUGUAAUGAAGAAGUUACGAUCAAAACAAGUUUUUUUUUUUUUUUUUGGAGAAAUUCUAUAUGAUUGCAUUCAUAAUUCAGCCAAAAAAGCCACUAGCCACAAAUGGUCAAUACAAACUAGCAACAAAAGGGCCAUUACAAUAACGGAGCGGUCUAAUAUCAAAAUUAAGAAAAUCAGGUAUGUCUCCACUAACGAUCAGGCAAGAUCGAAGAAACUCUGGCAUAGGCAUCCCAACUAAGAUUGCAAACUUAGAAUAAUAAAAAAGAGAUAAAGCUUGAAAAAACCAAGCCAUAACAAUACAAAUAAAACUCUCACCAAGGAUAGAUGAAAAGCUGUCACAAAGGAGAAAUGAAAAACUCUCACAAAAGGAGAGGUGAAAACUACACAGACAACCCAAAGAGUCUCUGCAACUUAUUCCAAACAUAAAGAAAAUGCAAAAAAGAUGGUGGUGGAGAUCCGACGCCGAAAUGCAGGUGAAGAUCCAACGUUGAGCCGCAGCCGCCUAUAAUGGUUGGAUGAAAAUCCUAACAAAACUAAGAAAAUAGGGACAACCAUUUAUCUUUGAAAAUGGGGGAAGAGGUGAAAGGAGGAAGAAAGGAAGAGAAGAGGGGAGAGGAGGGAAGAACAAUGGCUUUCUCCCCCUUCAAAGUGGAAAAGGCUCUAAGAGUGUUUUUUGGGAGAAAGGGGGCACGAUCAAAACAAGUUUAAUAGCACAAUCAUAAUUAUUUCGAAGUUGGUUUUUAAUAAAUCAGAAAACACACACACACACACACACACACACACACACACUCUCUCUCUCUCUCUCUCUCUCUCUCUCUCUCUCUCUCUCUCUCUCUCCCGUGCGAUUCUUCCUCCCUCGUCAAACAGCAGCGGUGGUUUUUUCCACCGCCACUGCCACACGCCACCAUACGAGGUGGCACCGGUCCCAAAAGGACACCCAGCUCAUCCUCUUCCAACCCCAGCCAAGCCACGCCGCCAGCAGCAACGAGAUUUGCUGGAAACCGCAGAAAAUCCUGCCGGUUUUUCCUAAACUUCAAACCUCUCGUUCUCUCUCAUUUCUCCACCGAUUUGGAUGUAUAGGGUAUGGAUUUCCACCUAUUUUUCAUGAUCUAGCUGAUGGUAAGGUAGGAUUUCAUUAAUUUUGAGCUUAGGUUAGUUGAUUCUCUAUUUGAAAUUCUGCCGGUUUUGGGAUCGCGUUUUCGGCCAUUUCCGGUCACUUUUUGGGGUAGGCCCAAGAACAAAAGUAACUCCAAAUGGGGUUUUACACCUAGGGUAGGAGUCUGGGCCUGAUAUUUUGAGGUUUUUUCGGCAAGUGUUAUCGCUUUAGACACCCACGCACUGCCCGUGCGUGGGCACUGUAGCAAAGGUGCAUUUUUACCCCAAUGUGUUCCCCUACUUGUCACGAGUUCGUGGGUGUGCUCGGAUUCCAAUUCGUAUAUCGUUUGACUAUCGAACAGAUUUACGCCUAUUGUGUGUCAUCCGGGUUCAAUUUGUUCGGACCGUUGGAUCGAGUUCAAAUUAAUAUAUGUUGAUCUAGGCACUCCUAGGAUCGUGUAGGAAUUCACGGAUCGUGAAUCGAAGCCCCGGAUGUUCCUAUUCAAUAACUUAAAAUUUGUGUUAAACGAUAACCGUCCGAUCGUGCAAUCGCGAGCGAUCCGACUGCUCGAUCGAGACCAAACUCUUGGGAUGUGUUUAGGAAACUCUGUUGGACCUUUAGGAACUUUUGGAUUGUAAUUGGGAGGUUGUGGGCCCCGUGGGCCAGGUUGAUUAUCGGUUGACUAAUUUGACUAGUGGGACCGGAUAGUUGACCACGAGUCUUUGGAGAACAUUUUGUCUCUUGUUAAGUACUAAGAUGGCCUUAGGGUUUUACAAGGACGUGCACCCCCUGUGAGUCCUGAGAGUUAGGAUUUUGAAUUAAAGUUCAGUGUUGGAUUUGAGUAUUCAGUUAAUCUUGGUAUUCUCUCAAAUAGGUUCUUUGGCGCUAGGAAUCGUUCUUGACAAAACCGCGGAGGGUUGAAUGCGCUUUGGACCGUGUGUGAGUAGACAUUUAUUUUCUAAAUGGUUUUAUGAAACUCUUGGAUUGUGAUUAUAAUUUGUGUUGUUUUAUGGAUUUGAUGAUUUAUGGUUAUUAGUUUUCUAAUAGAAUAUUAUGCAUAUUCGAAUUUAGUUUGAAAACUAUUUUGAAAGAAUUAUAAAUGGUUUGAAUCAAAUAAUGAAAUUGGGGUUUUAUCUCGGUUUUAAAGAGAAUUUUGAUUAAUUAAUUAAUUAUAAUGCAUACUUGGAACUUUAUUUGGUUUUGAAAGAUUUGUGUUUUAUUUGAGAUAACUAAGAAGGGAUUUGAGAAACAGUGUGGUAAAUAGGGAUUUGUGGAAAAAAGAAAAGAAAAAAAAAAGGGCUUUUAUGAUUAAGUGUUGGAAUUGGAUUUCAAACCCACCCUAGAAACCUAUCCCUGGUUGCCUACAAAAUGUAUGAGAUGCCUUGGGAAUAAAUGAGUUGCCUCGGAAAAGAUAAAAAUGGUUGCCUUUGGAAAAAGUGUAAUAAGUUUCCUUCGGAAAUUAUGGUUGCCUUCGGUUAAGUCUGUGCACAUAACUAAGAUUGUCUAUACCUACAUAGAGACUACUCUGUAGGUAUCCGGCCAGAGUAUAUUGUCUGUACCUGUGUUGACUAUGCAGGUGUCCGGCCAGUGAUUUGCCUGUACCUACAUAGAGAUUACUUUGUAGGUGUCCGGCCAGUAUUUUGCCUGUACCUGCUUAUGUGGUUGUUCGGCCAGGAUUUUCCCACUACACCUAUCUGAUUGUCUAUAUAGGUGGUUGAUGUAACACCCAGACUCCAAAUUUAACUCUUAUUUAAAUUAUUUAAUUAUUUAAGGGGAAUUACAAAUUUACCCUUGAGAUAAGGGCAUUUUGGUUAUAUUCUUAACCGGAGAGAGUUUGGGGUAGGUCCAAGAACAAAAGUGGCUCCAAAUAGGGUGUUAUACCUAGGGUAGGAGUUUGGAGCCGUGGUUUUGAGAUUUUCCGGCGAAGCUUUAUCGCUUUGGGCACCCACGCGCUGCCGGUGAGUGCGGCGGCGCAUGGGCACUGUAGAAAAAGUGGCAUUGUGUCUCGAUGAGAUCCUUAGGUUGUCACGAGUGCGUAGGAUUUCGCGGAUCUCAAUUUGGACGUCGUUUGACUAUCGAACGAAUAUCGCCUAUUGUGCGUUAUCCGGGUUCGAUAGGUUGGGACCGUUGGAUGGUCCCAAAUUUAAUACAUGUUAAUCUAGGUAUUUCUAGGAUCGUGUAGGAAUUCACGGAUUGUGAAUCGGAGCCCUGGAUGUUCCAAAUAAGAAUUUUAAGUUUAUAUUUUAUAUUAACCGUCAGAUCGUGCGAUCGUGAGCGAUCCGACCGUCAGAUCGUGCGAUCGUGAGUGAUCCGACCGUCCGAUAUGAACCAAACUUGCAGGACGAGUGUCCUAUACCUUGUAAAACCCAUAGGGACUUUCGGAUCGGAAAUUGGAGGUCGUGGGCUCCGCAGGUCCGUUUGACCAGGGUUAAGGUAGUUUGACCCUUGGUUGACUGUGAGUCUCCCGGAGUAAAUCUCACCUACUUUUCAUGCUCUAGCUGCCUGUUGGGUAAGAUUGGAUCGAUUCUUAGCGUAGCCAAUUCGAUUUUCGAAUUGAAAUUCGGCCGAUUUUGGGAUCGCGAUUCCGGCCACUUCCGGUCAGUUUUUGGGAAAUGUCCAAUUUAUAGAGGAGACUCUGCCAAAAUUUCGGCAGGAAGUCUCGGUCUUUAGUAAGUGGGCCUGGCAUCGGGAUGAUGUCGGGAAUUCCAAAGGGUUUGCCUCGGGUUCUGAAAAAUUCGGGGCGGGUCCUUUCAGUUGAUCAGUUUUCCCCUAUUCUCGGUUACCUCAGUAUAUUGUCUGUACUUGUAUCACAAAUGCGAGUGUCCGGCCAGUGAUUUUUUCCCAGGAUGUUCCCCUGCCACCCUGCCGAUUUAUUACACAGGGUAGGCCAGUUAUUUUCCCCAUAGGUGUACUUGCAUGGAGAGAUUUCGUAUAACUUGGUUUGAGAUUGGAUUUUUGGAUGAUUUGUGUUUGAGCUUGCUUGAUUUAUUGGAUUCAAAUGAUGUUUUGAAACUGGAUUUUUAUGAAAUUAUAUUUUGAGUUGUAUUGGAUUUAAAUGUUAUUUGAAGUACAAAUUUGGGUCAAUGAUAUUUUAUUUACUAGAGUUUAUUUUACUUGCACAUGUAUUGAUUAUAUUUUGUUCCUGUAUAUAUACUUAUGUGUAUUAAUGAGUUUUCCAAAGGUUUGCAAAAACAGAGGGGUUAGUAUGUUCUGUAUAAUUACUUUCAAGAAAAACUUUCUUUUUGUCUACUCAUGCUUUUACUGUUUUGUGCCCCCAUGAAGUAGAUAGCUCAGCGUUCGGACAUCUACAUAAGCUACUCCGACGUCGGUGAAGUCCUUAUAAUUCUAAGUAUGAGACUUCAUCUUUCGUUCUCAUGGUUCAUUUGGAAAAUAAUUUUGUAAAUUCAACUUCUGUAGUUGCUCUGAUAUUUCCCACUUAGGAUUGAAAUUGAGGCCGGAGGCCAUGUGAAUUUUAUGUGUGCCUUAACUUGUGUGUGCUGCCUGUUGAGAUUAUUAGAUUGUCGGUAAUUGCAGGUGUUAAUUUGGAGAAAGUCCAUUUUAGAGAGGAGACUUUACCGAAAAUUUCGGUAGAAGUCUCGACCCUUUUAUCUUAAAAGUUUGGGUGAAAGGUGUAAAUUUAGUAGUGGGUCCGGCAUCUCUUAGGUGUCGGUCAGAUAGCAGGAUUCGACACGAGUUCCAAUGGGAAAUUCGGGUCGGGUCCUGUUAAUGGAGAUGGUUUGAGGUAGAAUUUUCUCCUAUUUCAAUUGGACAAUGAUGAGCUCUAUGUAACAACAAAUUUCUUUAAUAAUGAUAACUAAAAAAAGUGUGAUUCAUUGAAUAUUUGAGGGGUUUUGUUCUAAGUUAACACAUCAAAUUCCUUUUACACCAUCAAAUUCAAAAAAUUUAUUCAACCAUCUCGACCUUAUGCUAAAAAUUUAUUUUGUUCAAACGUAACGUACUAGGUAUUUAUUUUAUAUCAACGAGUACGAUGGUCCAUAUAAGUAUUCUAAUCAUUCACUCCAGUUGCAGGCCCUAAUAAUUUAGAAGGGCUGAUGGUCUUUUUUUUUUUUUUUUUUUUUGGUUGAGAAAUUCUAUGAUUGCAUUCAUAAUUCAGCCAAAAAAGUCACUAGCCAAAAAAGGUUGUUACAAUAACAGAGCGGUCUAAUAUCAAAAUUAAGACAAUCUGGUAUGCCUCCACUAACAAUCAAGCGGGCCAAUGAUCUUUCAUUUGAUGAAAGCUUCUAUCUACCGACCCCGCUAUAUGAACUAUGCAAUGGUGAUGGUGUUACAUUGCUAAAAACAAAAAGUCAAGGUUUCUUAUUAAUGUUAAUGAAGGCAUAGCAAAAAAUUUGUAGCUCCAAUAGUUCAGAGCAGUUACCCAUGCACUUGAAAUUCUGUGUUUGAAUGCCCUCUCCCCUAAUAUUGCUUGUAUAAAAAUAAAAACUUCUAAAAAGACAUUAAUAUUGUAUUCUAUAUUCUAUAAAGUGUUGGACAUGUUUUACAUUGUUGACAACCCCUUAACAUUUUGGUGGUGCCUAGUUAUAUUCAAUUCGUAUGUAUUUAAUUUGCCACUUACAUUCUUUCCUUAAUACAUUUAGGCUUAUUUUUAUACUAAUUUCUCUAACAUAACUUUUGCACAUUCUUUUAGUCUCUAAUAUAUAUAUUUUUUAAUAAAUAAUCUUACCCACUUGAGUUAUAAACUAUUUUCUUUUAGCACAGAAAAUUGACAUUUUGACAAAGAGUUGAAAACCACUCCCCAAUUUUAAUGUCAACCACUUGAAAAAAAAAACAUAAAUUUAAUGAAAACAAUUACAUUUAGCAAUGCAACCUAAAAACUCAACCUUUGCCCCCCUUUCGCAACCCAGAUAGCAGGGUGAGGAUAUUCGGAUAAGAACCAAGACAGAAGCCAAAGGAACUGCGAUAGCCAACCAGAGGCUCCAUUUCUUACCAUCUGAACAACGCCACCAUUUUGUUUGGUAAGUAUUUAAUAACAUUUCUUGCUCUACAUAAAGUAAUAUUAAAACGAAAUUUGCCUAAAUUUUUCUUACCAGCAAUCCAUAUGGAAAAAGAAAAAAAGAAAAAAGAAAAAUACAAUUAUACUCAAUAUAGGAGCCCAAAUUAUUUAUAGUUAAAAAAUCCCUAUAUGAAAUGAACUUUAGAAACACACUCAAAACCUAUUUACAACAAAACAAAAAGACUUUUAACUUCUUUUAAAUUACAAAACUAUCAUUGAUUUCUUAAACAAACCCAACCCCAAAACCUCAUAAAUAAAAAAAGCUCAAAAUACUCAAUAAAACAUCAAAGUAAUUUAAUAAUUAAAAUUAAAUUCAAUAGGGACAUCUGUUAUUUUUUGGGUUUUUUUGUUUGUUUAUAGAAAUUAAAUGAUGUAGAAUCUAUCUAUAUUAUUAGUGCUAAGAAUGGAUAUGUGACUAUAUAACUCAAAAAAAAUUUAUAGUAAAUCUACAAUUUUUUUUUAAACAAAAAUCUAUAGAAUCUUUUAUUAGAUCAAUAAUCAAUAGUCACUACUAGAAAAUCUUCAUAUAAGCCACUAAUACACCCGUAACUUAUACAAAUGUGAGCUACUGACAAACCUGUAGCCAAAGAGUAUUGGCCACCUACCACACGACAGUGGUCCAAGCAUAAUGUUGUCAUUCAUUAUUCCCCACAGCAACCAGCAUCCAAUAAAGGGCUGGGCCCCACCCAUAUUCCACCUCUCUUUGUGAAUAUAAAAGAAAUAUUUUUUAUUCAACAUGGACGCAGAAACUGUUGCUAAACUGCAAACUUCUUAAAAUAUUUGUCUCACUUUCUAGAUCCAUGUACUGAGAUUUAUUAGGGAAAUAUUGUAGAAACUGAUUAUUUUGAAAUAUUAAAUGUGAAAAACUGAACAAAAAUUUGAUGGAUUACAUAUUUCAACUCAUUUCAGCAGCUUAGAUUUUGAAGACCUCUGAAGAGGCUAUGCAAUGAGCCUGGCUAUAGUACACUGUUGAUCACUUCAGUGUCUACCGAUCUGUAAUUUUUCCAGAUUGGUUAUAUUUUCCUUUACAUAUGUAUGCUUAUAUUAUUCCCAGCUGUAAGUGUUUUAGCAACAGGGUUACAAACUUCUUCUACAACACACCAACAUGAAUCUAGCCCUGAUCCACUCUUCACAUACUUGAAAACAAAACAAAACACGAAAAACAAAAAACAAGAUAGGGAGAAAAUGGCCUUGAUCAAUAACAGAGAUAAUAGAGUACACUGUUUAGGGUGAGUAUCAGAAGAAUAAUAGCCGCAAAGAGAGAAAUAGCUGCCCAAGGUGUGUUGAAAUACUUUUGUCUCAAAUUUGCCUUCCAUCUGUUCGUGGUCUUCUUGCAGUACUCGUUUAGUUUGCCAGCAAGAUCACCAAAAUAGUAGUUUUCGGAGCAACUUUACUGCAAAGCUUGUUAAUCAUAAUGGAAACCUGAUUGUUGUCACCUAGCGUGUUUACAACAAUUCCAUUGUCAACAAGCAACUCUACAUCCUUUGGGGUGUUUACAAAUUUAUCCAGGAUGAAAACAUAAUCGCUUAUGUAUUUAUCCACGCAAUGGCAUUGUUCAAAGGCAAUGAGAUUUCUAUGUGUAAGCUCUGUGUAAUCAUGUAUUUCAAUUUUUGGAAUUUCCAAGGUGUUUUUCUUGAACUGUAUAUCGAAUAAGUUCUUGCUUGAUCCCACGUUAAACUUAACUCCGGCCUGGUGUAGUUUUGUCAUGCUGGGUGUACUUUGGAGCCCUACAUUUUCUUUUAGGGUCGGAUCUGGCAGAUGUAAAGGUUUUUUAGGAUCAGGUGGCAUAAAAGACUUACGGAAGGCUGGUGAGUUCUCCAAGUUUUUUCUAAACGGAAGAACCUGUAAGAGAGUUCAAUUAUUGAAGGCUCCCCAGUCUGAGCAGCUGUGAGAUUGUAAAGAUCCUCGAGAAUGAAAAAUGGCAGCUGAUUUUCGAGCAUAAGCAUGUCAGGCAAUAUAUUUUGUGGCACCCAUGGUUUUUUAAAUAUCCAAGCAUUAUCAUCCUGCAAUUUUUCUUCCUGAAAUUUUUCUUCGGAUUUAUUCCUCAACAAUAGCUCAAUGACAAAGGCGGCGUCAACUAGAAUGAUAUUCACAAAAGCAGCAAUGUUAAAACUUCUUAGUGUCUUCAUAACAAUGACGGAGAUCACCUUCUCUCUCCUUUAUUUUCUCUAAAUAAUCCUUCAAUCCUACUACUUUAGUCCGAUUAAGAAAGCAUUUUAGGUACCUGAGUUUGUGAUCUUCCAUGGCUUCUAAGUUUUUGCUGGCAUGGUGAAGUGGGUCUAUUGAGACUACUUGUGGUGUGUAGGCCUUUUGUUUUACGUUCCGUAGUCGCUCAGGCACCCUGUAGAUCCAGCAGGCAGGGGACAGGGCACGCAAGUUUGUCAACCGAUUUUCCAUGGAAGUUGCUUGGUUUUCUAUGUCAAAAGAAGCUUCAUUGCUGCUUUCUUCCACUUUCUUCAUCCCCGUAUGUGUUGUUCUGAUUGUAAGUGACGAGGAUGGUGAUGAUUCUAGACACCAUAAUCAACAAAUGUUUCAAUCAUAAUUGACAUUUCAAGAUGCUCCGACAAAAAAUUAGAAAACAUUCAUCACACAAUGCGAACUCAUACAAUAGAUGGGUUGAGAAGAUCCACACAUUGCAAUCAUACAAUCCAAUUGCACAGGGAUUAGUCCCUAUUCUCCUCUCUCUCUCUCUCUCUCUCUCUCUCUCUCUCUCUCUCUCUCUCUCUCAAAAAGAUUUUCAUAUCGAUAACAUCUUAUUGCAAGGGACUGGUACAUCAAGUAGUGAAGAACAGAAAUUCAUAUUCUUUCAAUCAAAAUGUAUAAAUUUUGAAAAAGUUUGUUUUAUUUUUGGGGGAAAAAAAUCUGAACAUAUAUGUAUGUGCAUAUUAUACGUAGAUCUAAGGUGAAAACAGACCAGAUUUUUACUCCAUUUUUCAUGAGGUUUAAGUUCAUGAUGUAUAUAUUUAUCUCAAGUGUAACAUCUCACAUCGAUCAACGGAGAUGAGGUGAUGUGUCUUAUAUGUACAUGCUCGCCUCCAUCUAGCACAAGGCCUUUUGGGAGAUCACUGGCUUCGGAGUCAUAGGAACUCCGAAGUUAAGCGAGUUGGGGUUAGAGCAAUCCCAUAAUGGGUGACUCACUGGGAAGUUGCUCUUGAGUUCCCAAAAACAAAACUGUGAGGACAGAGAGGGGGGCCCAAAGCGGCCAAUAUUAUUCUACGGCAGAGCCGAUCCUGGGAUGUGACAAUUUGGUAUUAGAGCCACACUGCCGUGUGGUGCGAGUGUGCCGAAGAGGACGUUGGGCCCUUGAGGGGGGUGGAUUGUAACAUCUCACAUCGACCAACAGCGAGGGAGUGAUGUGCCUUAUAUGUACAUGCCCGCCUUCAUCUAGCACGAGGCCUUUUAGGAGCUCACUCACUUCGGAGCCAUAGGACCACCAUCCCAAGUUCAAUAUACAACCCAACAACCAUCUUAGCCAUCUUCUCAUUGAUCUUCCACCCAGCAUCCAACACUAUCUUCAUAAACUCUUUAGCUUAAUAUCUCUGUUGCUUUUGUUUUUUGUUUUUUUUAAUUUAAAUUUUUUAGUUUUUUUUUUUGGUUGGUGCAGAUUCAAUGAUAAAGAACAUCGAACUCGUCGCAACAUCCUGCCCUAGAUCCGAACUCUACCACCAUCACAACCCUCCCUCUCUCGAUCUCCAACCAACCUUAACACCCAACUUCAAAUCUUGGUUGUUUGAAACUCAGCCCCCUUCUCAAACCCCACCCUCUCUCUCUCUCUCUCUCUCUCUCUCUCUCAAAAUCAACAAGAUUUUCAUGUCAAUAAGAUAAGAUCUCAUUGCAAGUGACUUGUAGAUGAAGUGGGAAAGAACAAAAAGUCAUAUUCUUCCAAUCAAAACGUAUCAAGUCUAACAAAAUUUCUAGUUAGUUUGCUUUAUGAUAGUUGUUUUUUGAAGGGGUCCUUAGAUCCAAUCUCAAAAAGUUUGACUUUUAUUAUGUUUAACUCUGGUUUUUGCAAAUUUUUUUUUUUAUCUCUACCCACUAACUUUUAUCUCUCAUUUUUAUUACCCAUUUUACCCUUUAAAAUAAAUAUGGUAAUAAACUAAAAAUUCUGAUUCAAUGCAUGUUCAUAAGAGAAUUAAGGCCCCGUUUGGGAUUGCUUUUUUUCGUCAAAAACUUGUUUCACUUUAAAGUUAAGCAGUUUAAGGUGUUUGGUAAAAAUAAAAUAUCCUGAUUAUUUUAAAAGCAGUGGCCUUUUGACAGCUGCUUUUAAAAGCAGGUUCUGGGUUGCUUUUCAAAGCUGCUUUCAAAAGAAGCAAAGAUGAACUUUUAAUGAAUGUUUUUUAAUUCCCAAAAUACAAUCAUUCAUUUUAAAAAAUGACACCACCUCCACUUCCACAUCCAACUCCACCACUUGCACCACCACAUUCACUACCUCCACAACCACCGCCAUUACCACCACCACCACAUCCUUCUCCUCCUCAUCCUCCGCCACCACCACCAGAAGCAGAUCCAGAAAUUUUUCAGGAGAGGGGCAAUAAUGAUUUUGAUACUGCCCAAUUAAAAACAUAUUAUGAAAACCAGACCCUUAGUUAAUUUAAAGAUUAAUUAGCACGAUAAAAUAAAUACAUAAUUAAUAAUAAAAAUAUAUUAUCACAGUGAAAGAUUAGAUCAACAAACAAGUAGUAUCAAUCAAAUCCUAAUUAAACAAAAACUCUAAUAUCAAAGUGUGAUUUGAGAUCAUUGUGCAAGGACUCUUCUUCGUUGUUGUUUUUUAUUAUUUAAUUUUUUUGACAGAUGGGCUUCUUCAAAUUGGGAGCAUUGAGGUAAGCCUUUUGGUAUUACAUUAUUAUUAUUAUUAUAAUGAAAUAUUUAUUAUAACAACCAAGUAAUUGAAGCCAAACAAUGAAUCUUGAAACGGUUUGCACAAAAAACGAAGAGUUUGAAUUUUUGAAAAACACUUCAUUUAAACCAUUAAACAUAGAUCAAGGACGACGCCGUUUGUGACAAAUAAAAAUAGGGUUGUCUUCUUCAUUCGUGAACCAGAGCCUCCAUCAGGACACACCUCUACAACUCCUCCUCUACAACACAGUGUGUGCCUCAAUCGUGUAACUUGCCAUUUGCGAUUCAGGAGGCCUUAGAUCGUCGCACUCACGAGAUGCGCCUUGAUACACUUUUAAACGCUAGANNNNNNNNNNNNNNNNNNNNNNNNNNNNNNNNNNNNNNNNNNNNNNNNNNNNNNNNNNNNNNNNNNNNNNNNNNNNNNNNNNNNNNNNNNNNNNNNNNNNNNNNNNNNNNNNNNNNNNNNNNNNNNNNNNNNNNNNNNNNNNNNNNNNNNNNNNNNNNNNNNNNNNNNNNNNNNNNNNNNNNNNNNNNNNNNNNNNNNNNNNNNNNNNNNNNNNNNNNNNNNNNNNNNNNNNNNNNNNNNNNNNNNNNNNNNNNNNNNNNNNNNNNNNNNNNNNNNNNNNNNNNNNNNNNNNNNNNNNNNNNNNNNNNNNNNNNNNNNNNNNNNNNNNNNNNNNNNNNNNNNNNNNNNNNNNNNNNNNNNNNNNNNNNNNNNNNNNNNNNNNNNNNNNNNNNNNNNNNNNNNNNNNNNNNNNNNNNNNNNNNNNNNNNNNNNNNNNNNNNNNNNNNNNNNNNNNNNNNNNNNNNNNNNNNNNNNNNNNNNNNNNNNNNNNNNNNNNNNNNNNNNNNNNNNNNNNNNNNNNNNNNNNNNNNNNNNNNNNNNNNNNNNNNNNNNNNNNNNNNNNNNNNNNNNNNNNNNNNNNNNNNNNNNNNNNNNNNNNNNNNNNNNNNNNNNNNNNNNNNNNNNNNNNNNNNNNNNNNNNNNNNNNNNNNNNNNNNNNNNNNNNNNNNNNNNNNNNNNNNNNNNNNNNNNNNNNNNNNNNNNNNNNNNNNNNNNNNNNNNNNNNNNNNNNNNNNNNNNNNNNNNNNNNNNNNNNNNNNNNNNNNNNNNNNNNNNNNNNNNNNNNNNNNNNNNNNNNNNNNNNNNNNNNNNNNNNNNNNNNNNNNNNNNNNNNNNNNNNNNNNNNNNNNNNNNNNNNNNNNNNNNNNNNNNNNNNNNNNNNNNNNNNNNNNNNNNNNNNNNNNNNNNNNNNNNNNNNNNNNNNNNNNNNNNNNNNNNNNNNNNNNNNNNNNNNNNNNNNNNNNNNNNNNNNNNNNNNNNNNNNNNNNNNNNNNNNNNNNNNNNNNNNNNNNNNNNNNNNNNNNNNNNNNNNNNNNNNNNNNNNNNNNNNNNNNNNNNNNNNNNNNNNNNNNNNNNNNNNNNNNNNNNNNNNNNNNNNNNNNNNNNNNNNNNNNNNNNNNNNNNNNNNNNNNNNNNNNNNNNNNNNNNNNNNNNNNNNNNNNNNNNNNNNNNNNNNNNNNNNNNNNNNNNNNNNNNNNNNNNNNNNNNNNNNNNNNNNNNNNNNNNNNNNNNNNNNNNNNNNNNNNNNNNNNNNNNNNNNNNNNNNNNNNNNNNNNNNNNNNNNNNNNNNNNNNNNNNNNNNNNNNNNNNNNNNNNNNNNNNNNNNNNNNNNNNNNNNNNNNNNNNNNNNNNNNNNNNNNNNNNNNNNNNNNNNNNNNNNNNNNNNNNNNNNNNNNNNNNNNNNNNNNNNNNNNNNNNNNNNNNNNNNNNNNNNNNNNNNNNNNNNNNNNNNNNNNNNNNNNNNNNNNNNNNNNNNNNNNNNNNNNNNNNNNNNNNNNNNNNNNNNNNNNNNNNNNNNNNNNNNNNNNNNNNNNNNNNNNNNNNNNNNNNNNNNNNNNNNNNNNNNNNNNNNNNNNNNNNNNNNNNNNNNNNNNNNNNNNNNNNNNNNNNNNNNNNNNNNNNNNNNNNNNNNNNNNNNNNNNNNNNNNNNNNNNNNNNNNNNNNNNNNNNNNNNNNNNNNNNNNNNNNNNNNNNNNNNNNNNNNNNNNNNNNNNNNNNNNNNNNNNNNNNNNNNNNNNNNNNNNNNNNNNNNNNNNNNNNNNNNNNNNNNNNNNNNNNNNNNNNNNNNNNNNNNNNNNNNNNNNNNNNNNNNNNNNNNNNNNNNNNNNNNNNNNNNNNNNNNNNNNNNNNNNNNNNNNNNNNNNNNNNNNNNNUACAAACCACAACCACCAACUCCACGUUCAUCACCACCACUACCUCCACUCCACCACUACCAUUACUACUACCACAACAUGAUUAGUACAUAACACUUUUAACAUCAUGUCUAUUUUAGUCAUUAUUCACAUUUACAACAAUUUUAUAUUAAAAUUUACCAAACGGUUUUGACACUGCUUUUUGUACUAACAGCACUUUAAAAAUAUUGUUUAUCAAACAUGGAGUGCUUUACUUUACAGCUAAUUAUUUUCAAAGCACAGCAAAAGCAAAUUUUUUUAAAAGUGACAGCAAUCCUAAAAAUUCUAUACUCUAACACAAAAAAUAAAAACUAAAAACAAAAAUUAAAAUGGUUAUCAAACAUACACUUAUAUUACAAAGAAAAUAUCAAAUAUUGAACUCAUCAUAAGAGAACACAGAAAAACCUCACCGCUUGCAACUCGUACACCACCACUACACGAACAACUGCUAAUUAAAAUGAGUCACAUGUGGUACUUAACUCUAAAAACUUAUUCAGAUUAUAUAUCGUACUCCUCGAUCAAAACAACCAUGAAACAUAAGUGAUUUAAACCUCUAGGCAAAUGGAAGGUAUAUAACAAUUUAUAGAACAAUACAGUAAUCCAGAAGAAAUAUUAUGAAAUAAAAAGAAUAAAAAGUAAAAAAAGAGAAGGAAAGGAAUUCCCACCUGAUAUGUAUAAGUAUGAAAGGAAGGACCAAGUUUGUUUUGCCUUUGGUUAAUGACUAGAAAAGCUCACUUGCAUAUUGCUUUCUCCGGCCGUAGAUGCAAGAGAAAUUUUCUCUUAAUAAUAGCACAAUGAUCGGGUAAUUGUAAGAACAAGUUGAUUUUAAAUUCAGGUCAAGUCGUAGAUUUCUUGCCUUUUCUAUUCUCCUUCCUUGGACAUGAGCUGUUUAAUCUUGGACUCUUCCCCCAUCAUGUUGGGCCUGUCUUCUUCUUGAGGAUUGUAUAGGCCCAGGAAAUGCUUCAAGGUAGUUUUUGUGUUUUGGGCCUUGAGACCCAACUUCACAAAAAGAAAAUAGAUUUGACCAAAAAACAAAUUUGAAGGAUAUUGAAAUUGUACCUGUAGGAUAGGUUAAAACACCAUAAGGGAGGUAAAUAGUACGUUUACAGAAUUUAAGUGUAAUAAUUGAAUAAAAACAUGCCCAGAGGAUUGAUAAGUGAUAUCAAUUCUUGAAUAUACAGAACGUAAAAUAAAGGAACACGUAGAAAAUUAUUUUAUGUGGUAAAACUCUAUCUCUGGGGAACAUCCACGGGGCUUUUUAGUCCAAAAUAAUCCAUUAUAGAACGAUGAUUACAAGAAGUAUUCACACACUUAUCCUAGACACAUUCUAGAUUAUGUUUACUGACCUCUUCUCAACUUCUGUCUCGAGAUGAUCUUUCGACACUCCUUAUGUUGAACGCAAUACUGGUCACGAUUUCUUCAAGCUCCCUAGAGUUCUUCCAACUCUCCUUGUAUUGAAUCCGACACUAGUCACGAUCGAUUCAAGCUCAUUGGAGAAAAACUGCCACAACGGUCUUAGUGCCCUCAAUCGUAUGAGUCACUGAACAUGCAAAUGAAUACAAUAUAAAUGAUAAAAGUGUUUGAUAAAUCACCAAGUUAUAGAACACUUGAUGAUUUAUCUCAAAUAAAAAUUCAGCUUUACAAAGUUUAUGAUGAAUUGAAAAUAUGAUCGUUAAAGCUAUCUAAACAAAGAAGACGAAGGUCUUAUUUUAUAGAAUUUUUCUUUACAAGAAAGAAAACACGUUGAAAACCAAAUCUCCAAUUUUCAAGGCUUGACAGAAAAUCACAAAAGUAUCUUUCCUAUUCUAGAGAUUGGUCACAUGUAGUUCAACCAAUAGGAAAUGAGAUAUUCAAGAAAGCAAGAUUUUGAUCAAUAUCAAUAUCAGAUCAAUUCUUAUACGCCUAGUCAACUAUUAAGGGUAUCUUGACUCCUUGAUGUUGUGAUAUGAUUGAAACAUGAUUUCCAUGUUAGAAAAUUAAAGGGAUGUUAAAACAUGAAAGUAAUAGAGAAUCAAAUUGAUGUGGACCAAAAUUGCCUAAAAAGAAAACACUCCUAAAUAAACUUCAAUUCACUUUUAAAAAACAGUAAAACAUGAUUGAUCGUUCUUUAAAACAAUUCCCUAAAUAUACAUGCAUGAUAAUGAUAUCACUUACCCUUAAAUCAAAUUGUCACGCCCCGGACCCGAGGGUCGGGUGGAAACCUCACCGCCCAGUGCGUGAGAAAAUAAAAAGAAAAUAAAAUAAAAAGAAGCCGAACAGGGUUUAAAAUAAACUUCUCUUAUAAAAAUAACUCCAAUCUACAACUUUACAAGAAAUAACUAANNNNNNNNNNNNNNNNNNNNNNNNNNNNNNNNNNNNNNNNNNNNNNNNNNNNNNNNNNNNNNNNNNNNNNNNNNNNNNNNNNNNNNNNNNNNNNNNNNNNNNNNNNNNNNNNNNNNNNNNNNNNNNNNNNNNNNNNNNNNNNNNNNNNNNNNNNNNNNNNNNNNNNNNNNNNNNNNNNNNNNNNNNNNNNNNNNNNNNNNNNNNNNNNNNNNNNNNNNNNNNNNNNNNNNNNNNNNNNNNNNNNNNNNNNNNNNNNNNNNNNNNNNNNNNNNNNNNNNNNNNNNNNNNNNNNNNNNNNNNNNNNNNNNNNNNNNNNNNNNNNNNNNNNNNNNNNNNNNNNNNNNNNNNNNNNNNNNNNNNNNNNNNNNNNNNNNNNNNNNNNNNNNNNNNNNNNNNNNNNNNNNNNGAUUUCAAUUGGUAUUCAGAGCGUCAGCUCUUAAUACAAAUAGAGAGAUCCUAGGAUUUGUUUUGGUGUUUAGGUGUGCUCACUGUGGAACGGGAUCGAGUUGCUGGAUCUUGCAACUCCCCUCCUUAUUUUGAUGGAAACAACUACGCUGCUUGGAGAGAAAAAUUUGAGAUAUUCCUUGAUGCUCUUGAUGAGUACGCAAGUGAGUAUCUCACAAAAGAGUGGGUUGCUCCUGUCAAGACUGUUGAGAGUAAUGUUGUGCCCAAGCCUAGGUCGGAAUGGACUGAAGCUGAGGUGUUUGCUGCAUAUUCAAACAAGAAGGCCAGAAAUGCCUUAGUUACAGCCUUGUCUAGCACACAAUUUUCACAUAUACAACACAUCCUAAAUGCGAAACAGGCUUGGGAUAAACUAAGGGUGGUUCAUGAAGGGGAUGACCAAGUUAGAUCCCUAAAACUUCAGAUGAUGCCUGCACAAUUUGAAGAACUUAGGAUGUCUGAAACUGAGUCUAUUUCUGAGUUCUAUGGGAGAGUUGAGAUGAUCACUAAUGAAGCCAUGAGUCUCGGUCAACCUAUUGAUGAGCUUCUUGUUGUUCAGAAAAUCCUUCGUGUUCUACCAUCUAGGUUUAGAGCAAAGAAAACCGCAAUCAUGGAGGUCCAAAACUUAAAUGAAAUUAAGCUUGGCAAGCUCGUAGGAAAAUUGAAAACCUAUGAGAUGGAGUUGAAUAUGGAAAAGAAUGACACUAAAAAAUCAAAAAAUGUUGCACUUCAAGGAGUGAAUGAUUCCUCUCUGAAAGGUGGUGAAAAAUCCUCAGGUUUUGAGGAUGAGAUGGCUUUGUUUGUCAAAAAAUUUAGGAGAAUUCUUAGGGAUAAAGGAAAGUUUGCUAGAAAGGGCAGCUCUGGUAGUGAGAGACAAGUUAGACCAUCAACUGAUCAGUCUAAUGAGAGGAACAAGGAUGUCAAACCUUUCACUAAAGAUUUUAGAAAAUCUGUCAAGUGCUUCACAUGUGGAGGCAUUGGGCACUAUGCUGCCCAUUGUGCAAACAAUCAGAAAAAAUACUCCAAAGGAAAGGACAAGGCCAUAAAAGUUAGCUGGAGUGAGAGUGAAAGUGAAGUGUCUCAAGGGGAUUCAUUUUUCUCUGAUAAUGAUGACCAACAUGUUGCUUUUGUUGCCUCUGUGCAGUCAGUGUCUGAUAAAUCUGAUUCUGAGUCAGAUGACCUGUCAUACGAGUGAUUAGGAAGAAAAUAUGAUUGUUUGUUCAAAGAGACAUUGUCUUUGAAAGAAGAGAGCCUCAAACUUGAGGCCAACAACCAUGAACUUCAACAUGAAAUCCUCAUCUUAAAAGAAACCAAAAAGGAGUUGAGUGACAAAUUUGUGUCUCUAGAAAAAGAAUUUGUUGCACUUGUGUCAAUUAGGAGUAAUCUUGAAAAUCAAGUUAAUGUGCUCAAGGAAAGUAACAUUGGUUUCCAGAACUCAAACAAAUUGCUCCUAGGUAAAUUGAAUGAAGCAAAAAAGUAAGGUUAUAUCUAUGACCAUUGGUGCCUCAAAAAUUGACAAAAUGUUGACUAUGGGAAAACCUCAUGGGGACAAAGGUGGUCUUGGAUUUAAUCAUUUUGAUUCUAGUUCGUCUAGCUCUACCACUAGGUUUGUCAAUUCAAAAACUCCAACCAUGGCUUCUCUUGAUGCUCAGCCGGUAGUCAAGAAACCUAAGUUUGUUCCAACUUGUCACUGGUGUGGGUUGACUGGUCAUAUUCGAUCAAUCUGUCUUAUGUACAAAAAGGAUAAGACUAGAAAAUUGUCUUCAAAAUCUAAAAAUCCAAGAUCUUUGCAAGAUCAGGUUGAUCAUUUGCUAAAAGAAGUAACUAAGAUUGCAAAACUUGUCUCCCUUAAAAUGUGUUCACCUAUUGUGCCUAAGUCUACUUGGGUUGAAAAAGGUCAUACCAAAUGUCUUGUUGUGCUAAAUGCUUUUGCUGCAUCAAACACCAACUCUUGGUACUUUGAUAGUGGCUGUUCCAAACAUAUGUUUGGUGAUAAGAGUGUCUUCUCAUCUCUCAGUCCUUUUGAUGGAGGCACUGUGACUUUUGGUGGAGGUCACAAGUCUCAAGUUUUUGGAAAAGGUACUGUUUGUAUCCCUGGUUUACCCGAGCUUAAGAAUGUUAGAUGUGUUAAGGGUCUUACAUCCAAUCUCAUUAGUGUGAGUCAGCUGUGUGAUGAUGGAGUAAUAGAAGUUAGAUUCUCCAAGCAUGGGUGCAAAAUCGUUGGAAAAUGUGGCAAUGAGAUUGUGAGCGUGACUAGGUCUAGGGACAAUUGCUAUUGUAUUGAUGGUGUCAAUGAUGAAAAAGAAGUAGUUUGCAAUAAGGUUGUGAAUGAAACAAGUGUCUUGUGGCAUCAAAGGCUUGGACAUGUGAACUUUAGAGACUUGCAUAAAUUGUCCAAGAAAGAGUUAGUGAGUGGAUUACCAAAGCUUGACAAAUCUGAUCAACAUGUUUGUGAAGGAUGUCAAUUGGGGAAGCAAGUUAGAGUGUCUCAUAAGAAGGUCAAACACAUUCAAACACAAGUAAGCCUUGAACUUGUUCACAUGGACAUUGUUGGUCCUAUCCAAACCUUGUCCCUUGGUGGAAAGAAAUAUAUUCUUGUCAUGGUUAAUGAUUUCUCUAGGUUCACUUAAGUCUCAUUCUUACGUGAGAAAUCUGAAACUUUUCUAAGGUUUAAGUCUGUUUGUCAUCUUUUGCAAAAAGAAAAGAUGACUAGUCAUCUGCCUCUUGUUAGAAUUAGAACAGAUCAUGGUUCUGAGUUUGAGAAUUCUCAGUUUCUGAAAUUUUGUGAAGAAAUGGGAAUUAAGCAUGAGUUCUCUGCACCUAUUACACCUCAACAAAAUGGUGUUGUGGAGAGAAAGAAUAGAGUUCUUGUUGAGAUGGCUCGGGUGAUGCUCAAUAGCAACAAUCUUGCUAAACAUUUUUGGGCUGAAGCUGUAAGUACAGCUUGUUAUAUCUCAAACAGGGUAUUUUUGAGGUCUGGUACCAAACAAACUCCCUAUGAGAUUUGAAAAGGAAAGAAGCCUAAUGUGUCAUAUUUUAGAGUCUUUGGUAGCACAUGCUAUAUUUUGAAAGAUAGGGAGCAUCUUCCUAAGUUUGAUUCUAAGUGUGAUAAGGGAAUAUUUCUAGGGUGUUCCACUUUAAGCCGAGCUUAUAGAGUGUACAACUGUAGGACCAGAACCAUCAUUGAGUCCAUAAAUGUCAAAAUUGAUGAUUUUGCUGCCUCUACUGAGAUGGCAUUAGAUGAGAAUGGUCUUUUUUCUCCUCAUCUCGUGCAAGAAUCUCUAGGUCUGGAUCUUGUAGUUGACCUGUCAACUUUCGGAAAUUUUGUCCCAGUUGACCUGUCAACUCCUUCAACCUCUAGUUCCAUCUCAUCUAUCCAAGUUGUCAGCUCCCAUGCUGAUCAUAGCCCUCUCACUCAAACUGAGAGUGUCAUUAUUGGUCCUCUUAAUCAGGGAGUGAGAACUAGGAAAUAAUUAGCUCAAGAAAUUAGUCAUGUGUGUUAUGUCUCAAAAGAAGAACCUAAGAAUGUGAAAGAGGCGUUGAACCAUGGUGAAUGGUUUCUUGCAAUGCAAGAAGAGCUGAAUCAGUUUGUUAGAAAUGAUGUUUGGUACCUUGUUCCCAGACCUACCAAUACAAAUGUUGUAGGUACUAAGUGGAUUUUCAAGAACAAAACUGAUGAGCAAGGUAAUGUUGUUAGAAACAAAGCUAGAUUAGUUGCUCAAGGUUACACUCAAAUGGAAGACAUUGACUUUGAUGAAACUUUUGCCCCUGUUGCAAGACUAGAAUCAGUUAGAUUACUUCUUGCUAUUGUUUGUCACUUAAAAUUCAAACUUUAUCAAAUGGAUGUCAAAACUGCUUUUUUGAAUGGUAUUUUAAAUGAAGAGGUCUAUGUUGAACAACCAAAGGGUUUUGAAGAUCCACAUCAUCCAAAUGAUGUGUUUCAGUUAAAAAAGGCACUCUAUGGUUUGAAACAAGCUCCUAGAGCAUGGUAUGAGAGGUUAUCUUCUCAUCUUCUAAGAAAUGACUAUGUUAGAGGGUCAAUUGACAAAACUUUGUUUGUCAAAAGGUUCAAAAAUGAUGUCUUGAUUGCUCAAGUGUAUGUUGAUGAUAUUAUGGUUGGUUCUACCUCUGACUUGCAUGUUCAAGAGUUUAUUCAUGUCAUGACUAGUGAAUUUGAGAUGAGUCUUGUAGGUGAGCUUAACUAUUUCUUAGGUCUUCAAAUCAAACAAAGCCAUGAUGGGAUCUUUGUAUCUCAAUCGAAAUAUGCAAAAAAUCUUGUGGAAAAGUUUGGUUUUGAGGAUGCAAAAUCUGCAAGAACUCCAAUGAGCACUAGUGCUAAAAUUCAUAGAGACUUGCAUGGCAAAAGUGUGGAUCAAACUCUCUAUAGAAGUAUGAUAGGAAGUCUUCUCUACUUGACUGCUAGUAGACCAGAUAUUUCUUAUAGUGUUGGAGUGUGUGCUCGGUUUCAAAGUGACCCAAAAGAGUCUCACUUGUUUGCUGUUAAGAGAAUCAUAAAAUAUGUGAGUGGGACUGUUGAGUUUGGGUUGUGGUAUACCUAUGACACUUGUGUCAGUCUGGUUGGUUAUAGUGAUGCCGAUUGGGCAGGUUGUAGAAACCCCUCCCGGGGGGGGGGGGGGGGGGGUCUUUUAUGUAGGCAACAACCUUGUUGCUUGGCAUAGCAAAAAACAAAAUUCUGUCUCCUUAUCCACUACUGAAGCAGAGGAUGUUGCAGCUGGGAGUUGCUGCACUCAACUCCUUUGGAUGAGACAAAUGUUGGAAGCUAUGGUCUUGCUCAAUCAUGCUUUCUCAUCUAUUGUGACAACAUGAGUGCCAUAGACAUUUCUAAAAAUCCUGUUCAACACUCUAGGACUAAGCAUAUAGACAUUAGGCAUCAUUUUAUUAGAGAUCUUGUGGAAGAUAAAAUUCUAUCUUUGGAAUUUGUUCCCUUUGAGAAACAGCUAGCAGAUAUACUCACCAAGGCCUUGGACUUUCAGAAACAUGUCACACUUAGGCAGUCCAUUGGCCUUUGCUCAAUUGAUUGAUUAGCUUGUCUGUUCCUUAUCUUCAGCACAUUGCAGAAUUGUUGACUAGUCAUCUUCGUUUUAGUUGACUAGUCAAAUAUUUUUUUGGUGUGUAAAUGUCUAAAACAUAUGCUUCUUCUGAUCUCUGGUGGUAUGAAGUUUGAAUCAUUUUAUGCUUUGCCUGAUUUGUGGAUAAUUCCCCCCUUCUUGUUUGGAGCCAUUAGAUGAAAUCUUUUGGUGUUCUUUCGUCCUCUUGUUGAGACAAGUGUUGUGAUCCAUUAUGGACAAUCAUUGUUAUAAUCUCCUAUCUUUUCUCACUCUCUUAGGCAAUUUGUUUAGCAUUAAACAAAAAAUAAAAAAUAAACAAAAAAUAAAAAAAAUAAAAAAAAGUGUGACCAAUGUAGUCACGACUCUAGGAAGGUAUAAGGUGUUAUGAUUGAAGAAUCUAGAGCAAGAGCCGCAAAAUUGGGCCACUCAAGCACUUAAGUCUAGGAUGUGCAAAUAACAAGGAUAAUAAAUGGCCAGAUUGAGUGAUGAAAAUCAAAUAGGUUGGGUUUAUGCCUUGAGUUUGUCUUGAAGGUUUAUUAUAUACUUGUCUCUCCAAGAGGGGUAUUUCUUCUUCUCUUGUGUUCUUCUUUUGGCUCUGAACCUCCUCUGUCCAUUUUGCCUUAUCUCUGAGCAUGAAAUCUAAUUCAUAUUCUAUCUAUCAGAGUUAGUUGCACUUGUUUUUGUUUGCACAUGUGGUUAUCUUCUCUCUCUCUUCCUUCCUGUGCUUGAAGAUUUGGACUAGGCUAUAGUAGCUAAUAGAUCGUUGAUCACUUGAUAUAUUUGCUAGUUCAUGUUUGUGUUUUUUUUUUAAAAACCCACAAUCUUGUCUUCCACAGGGUCGAUACUAACUUUGAUGCGUGUCAUGAUAUUGCCUUAGUUGACUAGUCAUCUAUGCUUAUGGUUGACUAGUCAUCCGGUUGUGUUAUAUUUGAUGCCCGUCAUGUUAUUGCCUUAGUUGACUAGUCAUCAUUUUUGUGGUUGACUAGUCAUCUAGUUCUGCCUGUUUUUGUUAUUGCCUUGGUUGACUAGUCAUCAUGCUCAUUGUGGUUGACUAGUCAUCAGGUUUUUCUCCUGAACAAUACGUCCUUUUCUUUAGCGGUUAUUCUUAUUAUUUUAUUUUUUUUUCAUUUUUUUUUCUUCUCUUUUUUGUGUUUUGAGCGGUUCUUUUUCAUUGGGGUCAGUUUUCGCAUUUUUUCCUUUUUAGGUCUGUUUCCCUCUUCUUCGUUAGAGUCUACUUUCACUCCCGUUCUCUCUCUGUUCUCUUCAGACACAAACCCAGGCCCCCGCUUCCCUUUCUCCCUCUGUGUUAGUCUCUUCGCCCCUUCUUCCCUCUGUUUUUCUCUUCCAAUUUCUUCCCGCUGACCACCAUGUCGUCCUCCGCGCCCUUCCUCACUUACCAGCGCCGCUCCAAAUCCAAAUCCAAUGACAGAGUGGAUUUUAUACCCUCCAUUCCUAGGGCUCCUAGGACUCGCUCUUCUCACUCUGUUCCCGCUGGAGACUCCUCCCCGUUUGUGUCUCCUGAGGCAGCCUCGUUCUUCGAUGGUGUUGUCUCUAAAAGGAAGUUUGUGCCUGAGAGAGCUUACCAAAUUGAUGCUCCCCCCUUAGCGGCCCAGGGUUCUGCAACUCAGAUUUUUGAGCACUGCCAUCUCCAUUCUCUCAACACUCUGUCUGGUAAGUUCAAUGCUUCUGUCGUUAAAGAGUUUUACUCGAAUUUUCCUGCUGAUCCUAAGGGGUCUAAUUAUCAGUGUGUUGUUCGUUAUGUGCCCAUUACUCUGAGACCCUCUGUCAUUAAUAGGGUUUUAGGUUUUCGGUCUUGCCCUGGUUUUGAUUCUGAUCAGUUUGCUCUUGCCUCUUCUCAAUACACUAUUGAUCUAUUUAAAACCAUGGCCUAUACUGAUCAAACAAUGCCCCUGACUUCUAAAGGUGUUCCUAUGAAGUCUUAUCUGUCACCAUUCUACAAAUUUCUAUGGGAUUUUAUCUGUCACAAUGUUCUCCCAACUAGAAAUAAUUCAAACCCCACUUUGGCUGGCUGUCAACUCAUGAUUUCAAUGGUGAAUCAUGAUAAAAUUCCCUUUGGGGAUAUUCUUUAUCAUGCAAUUCUUGGCAAAACCAUAGGUCAUGGUACAAAACACAAAGGGACUCUUGUCUUCCCAUGUCUUAUCCAGCGUCUCUGUGAGAGAAACCAGGUGGUUUUUCUUGACUCUGAUCAGUGCACUCCUCCUAUUGCUCCAUUUGGCAAGGCUUUUGUUGCCCUUAGCCAAAAAGUUUCAAAAACUUUUCUCACCUCUGUGUCAUCUACUUAUGAAAAUGACUAUCUUAGAUCUCAGCUUGCUACCAAGGAGAAACAUAUUCAACAUCUGUUAAGCCUCAUUCCAUCCUCUUUGGUUCCUGCUGCUGCUGCUGCUGAAGUACAUCCUCAGCCGACUCCUGCCACGGAGGUCUCAGAUGAUUCUGUAGAUUCUGAUGAGUCUGCUGAUUCUCUUGUUUUUUAGCUACAGUGAUCUUGUAGGCAAUGUCCUAGAUAGGGGGAGUAUUUUUGGACAAGUAUAUGUUUGUAAUUCCCUUGUGGAAAUUUGUUUUUGCUUGGGUAGUCUGUGCAUCUUGAUAGGGGGAGUUGUGUUGUAUUAUUUUGAACAAGUGAUUUUUGCUUUGUAAUCAACCUAUGCUAUGUGUUUUUCACUUUGUUCAAAUCUGAUUAUCUGCCUUGUGUUUCAUCCCCUUGUAUGCUGACUCUCUCUCCUUGCACUUUCCUUAUCAACAAGGAGGAGAACACUCUCAACCCCCAUAUUGCAUAUUGUUUCAAAAUUCUGUGAUAUAAUAUGCCUGUUUUUGUGCCUGGAAGAUUGGUUGUUCUUGCAGGUAUCCUCACUUCAUCAUCUCCUUAGGCUUGGUUUUGGGUUGAGUGUUGUUAGAGAGUGUGUUGUCAAGGAAAGCCAAAAAGGGAGAGAUUGUUAAUGUAUGCAUUUUGGGUUUUUCUUUUGGCUUCCCUUGACAACUUUGUAAUAGGAUCUCUAUUGUUAUUUAUCAAGCUCAAGUUUAGAUUGAGAAUAGCUUCUCUAGGUGUUCUUAACUAACAACUAUCAUAUGGAGGUUCAUGCAAAUUGGCAAAGGUAAAUUGUGCAUUGCAUAACAUUGCAUUAUACUGUUUUCAUAAAAUGAUGACUAGUCAUAUGUUUCUUGGAUGACUCGUCAUCCUUGCUCUCCAGCUUGAUAACCAACUUUUUUGUCCUAUUCCUUUUUCUCUCUCUGCUGCCACAUGGGAUUCUGACCUAAGGGUAUUUUUUGGUCUGUAUAGGCCUUGCGAUUCCUCUUUUGGCAAGCCGUCUCUUUUGUGUAGAAUUGGAGGAAAGAUUGGUUUUCUAUAUUUCCGUUCUUCUUCCACAAGAAAGAACAAUAUUUCAUCUAUGAGUUUUUCCAAAUUGAUUUCUUUAUGAAAAAACUGCAUUUGAAAUAUGAAUUUGCAUCUAGCUUCAUAAAAACAUUCUCUCAUUUAUAUCUAGGUCAGAUUCACUACUGAUUUCUUCAAGAGUAUGGUUUCUUGAAGAAAUUGGUUAUUCUCCCUUGAAUCCAAAUUUUGGUUUCUGUUUGAGUUGAGCUUGCAAGCUGGUGCCAUGGGAUGAAUGACUGAAGAAGGAGCUGCCAUUGCCAUGAAGAACUGGGCUUCAAGCUUUGCUAAGUUAGAGAAGAAGAUUGCACAAAGGAGGUAUUGCUCAUCUUCCUAAAUAGAUCUAGGUUUUGCUUGAGCUUGCUUGUGUUCCUUUGUAAGAAUCUUUUUCUACUUAGUUGAUUGCCUGGUCGGUUGAUGACCCCCAGUUUUUUCCCAAUGGUGGGUUUCUGGGUGAACAAUUUCUGAUUGCAUUCUUGUAAUUUUUCUGGGUUUGUGUUCUUGGUGGUCGACUAGUCAUCGUAUGAAUUAUGGUUGACUAGUCAUCAUUAUCUGCUGUUUGGUGUUUGCUUGAUUAUGCUGUCUUCACACGUUUUCACCAUAGUUGUUGCUAGCACAGGGGAUGCCUAGAUUGAUGGGUCUUUCUGAGUGCCUAGGUUGUCACUAGUAAUUCUCUAGGCCUGCAGGUACAUCAUGGUAUGUUCUAUGUAUGUUGUUGUUUGGUAUAAUUCAUAUCUGACAGUUGACUAGUCAUAAGAGUGUGUGAAGUUUGUUGCAUUUUUGGCUGAAUAUCUUUUAAGUUUACCCAUCGUCACCUAAGUACCGAUUUCAACAUGAGACCUUGCCACAGUAGAUUGAUAUAACUAAAUAUUAUCAUAAACAUAGAAAUAUAUAAGUAUUAUUAUAAUAGGAUUCAUAAUAAUUAAUAUAAAAGUAUAACAACAACAUUUACAAUUAUGUACCAAGAUAAUUACACAUAAAAAUAUAACCAAUAUAUAUUUAUAUAUAUUUUUUAAAAUACGGAUCUUUACGUAAAUGCCUUUCACGGGUCAAGCCACAAGUCUGUGUUUUGGGGAUUGCAGAGCUGCAUCAAUCUUGCCAAUGUCAAUUCUGACCCUGGGCUCUCUCAAAGCACGUUUAAAACCUAUGCUAACAUAUACUAGAGUUUAUGCUGUAUCUAGAAAAUGCCAACACUAAUUUCGUAACACAUAGAAUUGUUAGAGAUUAGAAGUUUUUAUCAUUUUUUCUUCCAGUCUCUCCACCACUCACUAAUACAGAUUACUCAUGUGAUGAGUUUACAAAACCUAUUUCUCUACUCUCGCAAAGACUAUACUUCUUCUCAAAAGACUAGAUCACUUUACCUCUAUCUCUGUGAAAUGUAAAAAGUUGAAACUUUAAUGUCAAACCUCGACAAAGUGUUCUACUUACAAACUUCUUGUGUCUACCAAUUUCUACAAAAAUUAAUUUCUCUACGGUGCUCAGAUUCAUCAUAUGUGUGUCCUUAAUUUUAGUGGAAAUUGGAAGUUUCCAUAAUUUUUGCUUUAAGUCACUCUUUUGAAGGAAGUUGAGAUUCCACUCCAUAAUCCAAAAUGUCAGGUUGACUUAUGGCAAACAAUGUAAAUAUGUAGGAGUACUAUGACCUUUUAUAGCAUUUUAAGUUUGAAUUUGGGUUUUAUACAUAGAUUUCGAAAUUAAUAGGUUGAUGCCUAGGAAAUAGAAAUUGUAAGGGCCUAUAUUAGACUAGCCCUCUUAAAAAAUAUAUUAAUUAAUGAAUAUUUGUUCUUCUUCUUGUUUUGAAGUAGUGGUGGGAGGCAGACCAACAACAAAAAUAUAGUGAAGGCUUAUAAGAGCAUUUACAAUUAUGCUCCCUAUUUUUUAGUUAAUAUUUAGGUAAAAAUAGAAAAAAGUUAUUAUAUGAGCUCUUUAUAAAAUUUGAACUCCAAUCAUACUCCCUAGUUUAGGGAGUCAAAAAUACUAUAGUUAUUUUUUAAUUCAAAUUGAUUUUGGUUAAUCUCUAUAAAUAAAUAAAAAUAUAAAAAAUAGUUAGCAUUAAUUAAAAGUUUAAACUAUGCAUAAAACAAAGAAACAUUAAAUUAUAGGGAGCCACUAUGAGUCAUUACUCUCUCUUCAGAUUUAGGAGCUCCUAGAGGUCUCCCUAUUUUAUGAGGUGGAUAAAGAGCAUGGUUGGAGUUGUAUUUCUUCAAUUUCCUCUCUAAAAUUUGUCUAAGGAUGUGGUUUAGGGAGCCCAUUGUGAAUGCUCUAACUCUGGUAAAACACGAGUGACAUGGACAACAUAUGUUACAUCGUACUGAAGAUUUUUGGGUUUCUUUAAUUGGUUAAGUAGCAUCCACAAUGAGCUUUCUAAAUCAUCUCCUUAGACAAAUUUUAGGGAGGAAUUGGAAAAGUACAACUCCAACUAUGCUCCCUAUCCACCAACUAAAAUAGAGAGACCUUUAGGAGCUCAUAAAUCUGAUGAGAGAGAAAGAACUCUUAAUGACCCCCUAUAAUUUAAUGUUGCUUUAUUUUAUGCAUAUUUUGAACUUUUAAUUAAAUCAAAUUAUUAUUUUUAUAUUAUUUUGAAUACAGCCGGAUCAAUUAUAUUAAAUUAAAAAAUAAUUAAAAUAUUUAUAACUCUCUAAACUAGAAAGCAUGAUUGUAGAUCAUCUUAUAUACCUUAAUUUGAAGAUUCUUUAUUUGGGUUUCUUUCAAGACUUAUCACCUUAGCCACACCACCUACACGUCUGCAAGCUUCCGUAAUCUAACAAGGAAGGGGAGGCUGCGCAAUACUUAUCACCUUAGCCACACCACCUACACCACAAGACCAAUAUGUGUAGUCCAGCAGGCUUUCCAAUUUUAAUAUAUAUUAUAAAAUAAAAUAAAAAUCAAUCUAUUAUCAUAUAUAUUAUAAAAUAAAGAUUAUUGCUCCAUCCUCCAUGCACUUGCAUGCCCUCUUACAAAGUGUGAAGUAGAUUUUGUGUGCUCCAAGUCAUUGACGAGAGCUGUAACAUGGUUAGCUGGAUUUAUAAGAUCUUUUCUUUUCUGGGAAUUUUCUGAAUUAAGAAAAAUCAAGUAAAAUUAAUAAAGCAUAAAUUAGAAAGGGAAAAUAUCUAGAGGAUGCAUUGUAGGAUUGCACAUGCCAAUAAUUGUAUCCUCUAAAUAUAUAGCGACACAUUUUUUUUGUUUUCAUGACUUGUGGUCCUAAAAUUAUUGUUCCUAGCGGGCUUUUCACCCUCUCUCGAUUGAAAAUCAAUUGUGUAAAUCUUCAAUCUUGAAUGAUGCACCUAAAACUCAAGUGUCCCAGGCCAAUUAUUGCUCUCAUACCACUUGUUGUAAUAAACAUUCACCCAUUCUAAAGGAAAGAUAACCAUCGAUAUUAUCUGAAAUUUAACCACUUAAGUUCAUUAUGAUUAACUAUGUAUCUUAUGGACCAAUCCAAUCGUAAGGUUUUAUACUCAAUUAGAUCGACCAAUACAAAGUUCACACUGGAUUAAAAAGGGCUAUCGGUAGGGGAGUGUUCGGCACCCUUUACUGUGGAGCGCAACACAAGACCCCUUGCAUGCCCUCACUAAGUUGAGCCCAACUAUUUUUGAGCAUUAACAAUAUAUAUAGAUUGAAAAAAUAAAAUAAAAAUCAAUCUAUUAUCAUAUAUAUUAUAAAAUACAUAUUAUUGCUCCAUCCUCCAUACACUUGCAUGCCCUCUUACAAAGUGUGAAGUAGAUUUUUUGUGCUCCAACUCAUUGACUAGGGCUGAAACAUGGUUAGUUGGAUUUAUAAGAUCUUUUGUUUUUUGGGAAUUUUCUGAAGCACGGAAAAUCAAAUAAAAUUAAUAAAGCAGAAACUGUACCCUUUAAUUAUAUAUGGACAUAUGUUUUUUUGUUUUCAAGUCUUAGAUGACAUGGGGACCCCUCUCAAAUUUAAGUGGUCCAUUAUUGUUAACCACAUAUUUUAUGGACCAUCCAGCUUCGGUACAUUUCUCCCACAUGCCACAAUUGUAUAUUCACAAUUACGUCUGAUACAUCACAUCAUGCCACUUGCCUCACAUGCCACAAUUGUAUAUUCACAAUUACUUCUGGGUACCCCUCAUCAGUCGUCUAUAAAAUGGUGAAGCCAGUUGCUACUGUUACCAUAAGAGCCAGCUCCGACUUUCUUUAAUUUCUUGCUACAUCUGUUGCUAAGUUAAUUUCAGUCCUAAUGGGGUUUCAUCUCCCACUCAUCUUUGCUAUUCUCAGUGUAAGCUCUGCAAUUUGAUUAACUUUUCCAUUCUCUCUCAUUGUACUCUAUAUAUAUAAAUGAAAGUUUUGUGUUCCUAUAAUUCUCUCCGAUUUUAUUUAGUACGUACUUAAGUGUCGUCCACUAAUUAAUUACACUUUGUGAGAUUUGAUUUUAAUUAGAGUUCGAAUUAAUGUUGCAGCUAGCAGCGGUUGCACUGGCAAACAAUGCUGCUCAACCAGCACCUCAACUUUACUGGAACUCCGUCCUGCCAAACACACAGAUGCCAAGAUCUAUCAGUGAACUUCUGCAUCCUGGUUUGUGUUCAGCUCUUUAUAAUCUUAGAUAUCUCUUCUACCUGCCAUUUUACUAAACUAUGUUCGACCACAUAUUUAUCAGUUAACUACUGUCAUUACAAGAAUGACACUUAUUUUCCAAUAUAAUUUGCAGACUCCACAAAUGAAGAAAAGAGCAAACCUGAAAUUUUCCCAUUGCAGGGCAAUAGAGUUUACACUCAAAGCCAUUAUAAAAAACGUCCUCCUCCUCCAUCUGACGAGGGCAAACCUGAAAAUUUCCCAUUGGCCAAUAGCUUUUACACUCAAACCCAUUAUAAAAAACGUCCUCCUCCUCCAUCUGACGAGGGCAAACCUGAAAAUUUCCCAUUGGGCAAUAGCCAUUAUUCUCAAACAGGGUAUGCAAAAGGUCCUCCUCCUCCUCCUAAAAUUUUCCCAUUUUCAGGUUACAGUCGAAAAAGGUAUGGAGGAAGUCCUCCUCCUCCUUCUCCAUUCGUUCAAAAAGACUAUGGACAGAACGAUAAACAUUACGUUCAAAAAAACUAUGGAAAAGUUCCUCCUCCACCUGACAAUCAACUACUCCAUUAUAAAGACUUGGCUAUUUUCUUCUUCGAGAAGGACAUGCGCCCUGGCGCAACAAUGAAGUUCCAAUUCCCUAGAAAUUCAAACACGGCUACUUUCCUGCCACGCGAAAGUGCUCAAUCGAUCCCCUUCUCCUCUAAGAAACUACCAGAAAUUUUCAACCAUUUUUCAGUGAAGCCAACAUCUGAGGAAGCCAAAACAAUUAAGCAAACAAUCGAAGAGUGUGAAGCUCCAGGCCUUAAGGGAGAGGAAAAAUAUUGCGCCACAUCUUUAGAAUCAAUGGUUGAUUUUAGCACUUCGAAGCUUGGAACAAGAAACGUUGAAGCAAUCUCAACGGAGGUAUUGGAAGAAGGAGCCACCAAGUACAUGCACAACUAUACAACAAUGCCGGGACUGAAGAAGUUGGAAGGUGACAAAGUCGUUGUGUGUCAUAAGGAGAACUAUCCCUAUGCUGUGUUUUUCUGCCAUGCAAUAAAACAAACAGCAGCUUAUGUUCUCUCCCUGAAAGCCGAUGAUGGGAUGAAGGUGAAAGCAGUAACCAUCUGCCAUCUAGACACAUCAGAAUGGGACCCAGAGCAUUUGUCCUUCCAAAUCCUCAACGUUAAGCCCGGAACCACUCCCAUCUGCCAUUUCCUUUCCACUGAUGCUAUUGCCUGGGUUCCAAAACACAAGUCUGCAUGAUCAUCACUUAGCACUGUACGUAUAAUAAGCUUGGUCGGGUUGCACCCUAGGCCUGCAUAAUUAUCUCCCUACUUAUUUCUGCCUCUUUAUCAUGCGGUGUAAGAUAUAUGAUGAGAUGAAGUUUUCUCUUGUAACUAUGUAGACUACUUCAACUUGUACUCAUAAUAAAGCACGCUGUUGGGGGGUUCUACUUAAUUUCGUUCUCUCCAAUGUUUGAGUGUUGAAUUGUUACGUUGGAAUAGGCUGCUAAUGCAUGUAGUUAGAGAAGCCUUCAUUUAUAUCAAAGUCCUCAAACUAUCAAGAAUUAAUGUAUCCAGAAACAUAUACCAAGACGCAAAAUGUCACAUCCCGGAAUCAGCUACUUCCCAGUGGGUCACCCAUCCUGGGAUUGCUCUAGCCCCCAACUCGCUUAACUUCGGAGUUCCUACGAUUCCGAAGCCAGUGAGCUCCCAAAAGGCCUCGUGCUAGAUGGAUGCGGGUGUGCACAUAUAAGGCACAAUACCCCCUCUCCGUUGGUUUGAUGUGGGAUCUUACAAUCCACCCCCCUUAAGGGUCCGACGUCCCCGUCGAUACACUCGCACCACACGGCAGAGUGGCUCUGAUACCAAAUUGUCACAUCCCGGGAUCAGCUCCGCCGUAGCACGAUAUUGUCCGCUUUGGGCCCCCCUCUCUGCCCUCACGGUUUUGUUUCUGGGAGCUCACGAGCAACUUCCCAGUGGGUCACCCAUCCUGGGAUUGCUCUAGCCCCCAACUCGCUUAACUUCGUAGUUCCUACGAUUCCGAAGCCAGUGAGCUCCCAAAAGGCCUCGUGCUAGAUGGAUACGGGUGUGCACAUAUAAGGCACAAUACCCCCUCUCCGUUGGUUUGAUGUGGGAUCUUACACAAAACAACAUAUUUUCCAUUCUCUGUCUGUAACACCAAGGCAAACUUCCUUUAUCACAUCAUUUAAAGGAUCAAAUUCCAGUACUAAUCUAAUCCAUCAUGUAAAGCAUACAAGUGCCUACCUAAAUUUGUCCAUUGGAUAUAUAUGUCACUUCUUAUUUUUUGAUAGAGAUAUAAAUGUUGAGAAAAUUAGAGUACACAACUCCAAUAUAGACUUGUUAGAGACAAAACAAGUAAACAAAUUCCUUGUAUUAGACUCACAAAAUAUUAAAACAAGACAACUCUCAAAGAAAAGACAAACUCUCACACUUCUCACAAGGACUACUUAACUUUAUAGCUUAUUGCAUAUAGCAUAUGCAAACACAAUUACAACAUACCUACGUACACUAUGGAAACACUCGUGUAUAUUUGAACACAAGAAAACAUGUGCACCGUGCACGGUUCACAUGAAGUAAGAAAUGAAGAGGAAAUAAAGGAGAAGAAUACAAAAGAAAAUGGAGAUGAGAAAAAAAAAACACGAAUAAUGAAAAAUGAAUUGACAAUUAUAUGUGGUUGACAUUAGAUCUAAUAUUAUAUGUAACAACUAUUGAUCUAAAAUAAACAUUAAAUCAAACAAUAAUUAAAAGAUUUGACAAUAUAAAAAUUUAUUGAGGACAAAAAAAGGCAAAAACUUAUGAAAAAUGGAAACAAUAAAUAUGAACUGAGUCAUCAACUCAUCAUGGUAAGUUUGCUGACGUAUAAAAAUAGUCAAUGAACUACAUCGAAAAGUAAUUGGCUUACAUCAAAAAUUAAAAUCACGUGGUCUACCUACUAUAUAGGAUGAAAAAAUUACGUGAACAAUAUACUUACACCAUGGGAACACUCCUAUAUAUUUGAACACAUGAACACGUGUUCAAGGUUAUAUAUUUCAUUACCUUCACAAUAGGUACCAAACCGUACCAUGCGAACAUUCAUAUACGCACAACAUACUUAUAACAUACCUACACUAUGGGAACACUCGUGUAUAUUUGAACACAAGAAGACCUGUGCACCACCGUGCACGGUUCACAUGAAGUAAGAAGAUGAAGAGGAAAUAAAGAAGAAGAAUACAAAAGAAAAUGGAGAUGAGAAGAAGAAAAAAAAAACACGAAUAAUGAAAAAUGAAUUGACAAUUAUAUAUGGUUGACAUUAGAUCUAAUAUUAUAUGUAAUAACUAAUGACCUAAAAUAAACAUUAAAUCAAACAAUAAUUAAAAGAUUUGACAAUAUAAAAAUUUACACGUAAGCAAACUCACCAUGGUAAGUUUGCUGACGUGUAAAAAUAGUCAAUGGACUACAUCGAAAAAUAAUUGGCUUACAUCAAAAAUUAAAAUCACGUGGGUUAUUCCUAAGAAACCUUAAUAUUUUUGGGUUUAUAUAUUUUUUGUAUUUUUUUAAAAUAAAAAAAAGAAAAGAAAUCUGACCAUGUAUGUAUGAUGAUGAUAUGCAUGUUAUUUUUAGACCUAAGGUAAAACAGACAAACUUUUUACUCCAUUUUUCAUGAGGUUUAUCACAAUAAUUAAACUGUUAUAUCCUCCAUUUUAGAUCUCAUGCUUCCAUUUAAAGAAAAGAAUAUCAACAACAAAAAAAAGAAUAAAGUUACAACAUUGAUCAAUUCAAAUGUCCAACUACCGGAUCAUGAGCUCCUGCACUUAGCGAUAUGCAGAUAAAUGCGUAGUGUCUUAAUGCAGAGGCUCGGGAUCCCCAACUACCAUUGAAACAUAAGAAACUAAAAUCUGCAAGAAAAUGCUAUCAAUUGAAAAAACAAUAAUUAAAAAACAAAAAAAGGAAGGGAAUUCGCACCGCUAUGCAAAAAAGAGCAAGUCGGUUCAAUGAUUUUUUUUCUUCUUCUUUUUGUUAUGGAAAUGAAAAGCUCAAUGAUGGGCUAUAUAUAGGAAGAAGCUCAAUGAUUGAAUUAUUAUCUUCUAUCUACAUUCUACCCUCUUCCUCGCUACAUACACAAAUGGUGCACACCAGUAACUAAGCUUGUUUUGGGUUCGGUGGCUCACUGUAAAAGCUCAAUGGAGAUGGUUUGAGGUAGAAUUUUCUCCUAUUUCAAUAGGACAAUGAUGAGCUCUAUGGAUUUUUUUUGUUUGUUUAUAGAAAUUAAAUGGUAUAGGGUCUAUCUAUAUUAUUAAUGCUAAGAAUGAGAAUAUGACUAAAUAACUCAAAAAAAAUUUAUAAUAAAUCAACAAUUUUUUUUUUUUAAAAAAAAAUCUAUAGAAUCUUUUAUUAGAUCAAUAGGCACCACUAGAAAAUCUCCAUAUAAGCCACUACUAAUACACCCGUGACUACUGACAAACCCGUAGCCAAAGAGUAUUGGCCACCUGCCACACGACAGUGGUCCAAGCAUAAUGUUGUCAUUCAUUAUUCCCCACAGCAACCAGCAUCCAAUAAAGGGUUGGGGCCCACCCAUAUUCCACCUCUCUUUAUGAAUAUAAAAGAAAUAUUUUUUAUUCAACAUGGACGCAGAAACUGUUGCUAAACUGCAAACUUCUUAAAAUAUUUAUCUAACUUUCUAGAUCCAUGUACUGAGAUUUAUUAGGGAAAUAUUGUAGAAACUGAUUAUUUUGAAAUAUUAAAUGUGAAAAACUGAACAAAAAUUUGAUGGGUUACAUAUUUCAACUCAUUUCAGCAGCUUAGAUUUUGAAGACCUCGGAAGAGGCUAUGCAAUGAGCCUAGCUAGUGCACUGUUGAUCACUUCAGUGUCUACCGAUCUGUAAUUUUUCCAGAUUGGUUAUAUUUUCCUUUACAUAUUCUUAUAUUACCGAUCACUUCAGUGUCUACCGAUCUCAUAUUUCUGGCAGAACAAUAAAUCUUUCAACAUUAAAAGUUUAAAACUCCAAGAUGCUAAAUUUAACGUUAAAAUAAAUAAUUAAAAGGGCUAAUGAAACCUAUAUGCCCAGGUGAGGAGCAUGCCACAAACUUAUUUCAACCCCAAAACUUCAUUAAAAAGCCCAAAACACUCAAUGAGGCAUCUAAGUAAUUUAAUAAUUAAAAUUAAAUUCAAUAUGACCAGCUAUCAUUUUUUGGGUUUUUUUUUGUUUGUUUCUAGAAAUUAAAUAGUAUAGGAUUUAUUUAUAGUUUUAGUGCUAAAAAUGGGUAUAUGACUAAAUAUCUCUAUAAAAAAAAUACCUAUAUGUUUGAGAAACAAAAUAAUAAAACUACAACAUAGGUUAAAAACAUUCUAAUAAACUCAAUACAUAUGGUCUACGUACUAUACAGGAUGAAAAAAUUACAUGAACAAUAUACCUACACCAUGGGAACACUCCUGUAUAUUUGAACACAUAAACACGUGUUCAAGGUUAUAUAUUUCAUUACCUUCACAGUAUUCAUCAAAACCCACCAUGGGAACAUUCAUAUACACACAACAUAACAUACCUACACUGUAGGAACACUCGUGUAUAUUUGAACACAAGAAGACAUGUGCACGGUUGAUGUGAAGUAAGAAGAUGAAGAGGAAAUAAAGAAGAAUAAUACAACAGAAAAUGGAGAUGAGAAAAAAAACACGAAUAAUAAAAAAUGAAUUGACAAUUAUAGAUAGUAGACAUUAGAUCUAAUAUUAAAUGUAAUAACUUUUGAUCUAAAAUAAACAUUAAAUCAAACAAUAAUUAAAAGUUUUGACAAUGUAAAAAGUUAUUGAGGACUAAAAAAGGCAAAAACAUUUGAAAAAUGGAAACAAUAAAUAUGAGCUGAGUCAUCAGCUCACUAUGGUAAGUUUGCUGACGUGUAAAAAUAGUCAAUGGGUUAGAUUAUUAUUUGUGGGUAACUAAAAUCUCGUUUAACAACAAUAGUUAACGUUUGUUUAGAGAAGGAAAAAAACUUGAUGAUGUGUCAUGUUCUAAAGGGUUAGAUUAUUGUAAUGGCUUAGAUUUAAUGAAAUACAGGUAAAUGCGUAAUGUCCAAAUGUAGAGGCUCGGAAUCCUCAUCUACCAUUGAAACAUAAGAAACUAAAAUUUUCAAGAAAAUGCUAUCAACUGAAAAAACAAAAAACAAAAAACAAAAAGGGAAGGGAAUUUGCACCUGCUAUGAUGGGUUGAAUGAUUUUUUCUUCUUCUUCUUCUUUUUCUUUUUCUUUUUGGUUCUUUAGAUCUAGUUGCACAUUCCAAAGAAAUAAAACCUCAGGCAUGCAUGCAAUGCAAGCUCUUUUCCCAUGUUUUCCUCUGUUUUCCUCCUAUUUUCCCAUGCAAACUCUUUUCUUAUAUGGAAGUGAUUAAAGUGUGAUUCAUUGAAUAUUUGCGGGGUUUUGUUCAGACCUAACAAAGUUCUAAGUGAGCACAUCAAAUUUCUUUUACCCAAUCAAAUUCAACUAGGUUUAUUCUACGACCUUAUGCUCGAUCAUUUUCCACAAGCAACCGUCCACGUACCAAGUAUUUAUUUUAUAUCAACGAGUACGAUGGUCCAUGUAAGUAUUCUAAUAAUUCACUCCAGUUGCAGGCCCCAAUAAUAUAGAAGGGCCAAUGGUCUUUCAUUUGAUGAAAGCUGCUAUCUACUGAUAACAAAGUUCAAUGAAGACGUAGGAAGAAACUUUGAGAAGAAGCUUGCAAUUUCUUUUAUUGAUUUUCUCUCUUUUUCGAUCUACUUCACAAUGAACAGUAUCUAAUAUUUAUAUGACAGAAGCACUUAGCUUCUCAGCUACGACUUAACAAACACGUGAACCCACGUGAACUUCUAACUAACUAAACGCAUUAUAUACAUGUCUUUUGCCAAUCAUCCCCCCUCAAUCGCAGUGGUGGCUGGACCAACACUAAGAUUGUGACAGUGUUUCAAAAACAAUGGACUAUGCAGGCCCUUUGUGAAAAUGUCGGCAACUUGUUCUUCAGUAUUGACAUAUCGAACCACCAAAUCAUGACGCUGAACCCGUUCUCUGAUAAAGUGAAAAUCAAGUUCUAAAUGCUUUAUGCGAGAGUUUAAAACUGGAUUACUACUUAAGGCCAAUGCUGAUAAAUUGUCACUAUGUAAGACUGGAGCUUCAGGAACAAUAAUAUGUAAGUCUUGAAGAACAUAUCUGAUCCAAGAGAUAUCAGCAGCACAGUUGGCAAGAGCUCGAUACUCUGCCUCUGUAGAACUACGAGAGACAGAAGAUUGCUUACGAGAGGACCAAGAGAUAGGAUUCUGUCCAAGAAAUACAACGUACCCUGUAGUAGAGCGACGAGUAUUGGGAUCCCCAGCCCAAUCUGCGUCACUAUAGCCAACCAAAACAGAAGAACCAGAUGUAAAUGUCAAACCAUAAGAUAAAGUGCAUUGCACAUAUCUCAGUAUACGCUUAACUAAAGUCAUAUGAAUAUCAGUAGGAGCAGUCAUAAACUGGCAUACGGUGUUCACAGCAUAUGCCAGAUCUGGGCGUGUGAAUGUGAGGUAUUGAAGAGCUCCAACCAAGCUGCGAAACAUUGUAGGAUCAGGAAGUAAUGUACCAUCAGUUGUCAGAACAUGACAAUGAGGUUUACAAGGUGUAAUUGAUGGUUUACAAGUUUCCAUGCCAGCUCUCCUAAGUAAAUCACGAGCAUAUUUAGCUUGGUUGACAAACAAAUCACCAUUGGACUGAUAAGAAACCUCCAAGCCCAAGAAAUAAGUAAGCUGGCCAAUAUCUUUCAUAUCAAACACUUGUCCCAAAUCAUCAAUCACAGAUUGCGCUAGGGUAGAACUUGACCCCGUGAUGAUAAUGUCAUCCACAUACAGCAAAAGAAUAACCACAUUAAGACCAUCAUGCUUCACAAAGAGACUAGGAUCGGAGUGUGAAGAAACAAAGCCCAAAGCUGGAAGAUAUCCAGUGAACUUGGCAUUCCAAGCACGUGGUGCCUGUUUAAGACCGUAAAGAGACUUUCGUAGCCGACAUACAUAAUCUGGAUAAUGAUCAUCAAUGAAUCCCAAAGGCUGUUUCAUGUACACUUCCUCCUGUAGGUCACCAUGAAGAAAGGCGUUUUUAACGUCCAAUUGGCGCAAACACCAUCUAUGAGAUGCAACCAAACUUAAAAUCAAUCGAACUGUGGUAUGACGAACUACAAGACUAAAGGUUUCGUCAAAAUCUAUACCUUGUUCUUGACUAAAACCUUGUGCAACUAAACGAGCUUUAUAUCGAGCAAUACGUCCAUCAGCAUGUCUUUUAAUUUUGUAAAUCCAACGACAACCAACAAUAUUCUUAUCAGAGGGUGAAGGAACUAAAUUCCAUGUACCUUGAGUUUGUAAUGCUUUAAUUUCCUCUGUCAUAGCCUGCUGCCACUCAGACUUUGUACUAGCUUCUCGAAAAGUAUGAGGCUUAUCAAGAGCAGUAAUUGUAGAUAAACAAGUGGAAAAACAUUGAAAAUCACCAAAAUCUUUCUUCUUGCUAAUACCACUUUUAAGACGAGUUUGCAUAGAAUGACCAUGCUGUGGAAUGGAAAUAUGAGAAGAAGAACUAGAGGCAUCUGUGACAGAGAGAGGAAGCAAAACCUGUAAUUGAGCAGGAUCCAAAAUAGGUUGCAUAGUCUGAGCAGAACCUAAGACCUCUUGAGCCUCAUAUGUAGAUACUGAAGAAGAUGAAUUCUCAUUUGAACAUGGGAGAGGAGAGUGAUCAGACUCUGUGGUAGUAACAUAUCUAUAAGGCAAUGAAACUGCUAUAGCUGAGGGAGACAAUUGUGUCAUGACAGAAGAAGAUUAGGUUGAGGAUACUGAAUAAUUCUUCAUUGGAAACUGAGUUUCAUCAUAAAUCACAUGUCUUGAAAUAACCACUUUAUGAGUGUCAGGAUGAAAACAAAUAACACCCUUAUAACCAAGAGAAUAUCCAAGGAACACAUGCUCUGCUGAUCGUGGCUCUAACUUGUGAGAAUUAUAGGGUCGAAGAAGUGGAUAUACUGCAGAUCCAAAAACCUUUAAUGAUUGAAGCUCAGGAUUAUGACCAAACAAUUUGAAGUAUGGAGAUGUCAUUUGAAGAAGCUGACAAGGCAUACGAUUUAUGAGAAAGGUAGCAUGAGCUGCAGCAUAGUACCAAAACUUGUCAUUCAAGGCAGCAGUAGCAAGUAAUGUAAUUGUGGUUUCAAUAAUUUGCCUAUUCUUCCUCUCAGCAACCCCAUUUUGCUGAGGGGUAUAAGGACAUGAAAUCUGAUAGAAGCCAAGAAAUCUUUAAAUGCUUUACUAUUAUACUCCCCACCACCAUCAGAUUGAAAAUAUUGCACAGAAGCUUGAAAGUUCUUAGUAAUAUACGCAUGAAAUUUCACAAGUGUGGGAAAAACCUCAGAUUUAUUGAUUAAUGGAAAAAUCCAGAGAAAUCGAGUACAGUCAUCGAUGAUUGACACAUAAUGUCUUUUCCCAUGUUUUCCUCUGUUUUCCUCCUAUUUUCCCAUGCAAACUCUUUUCUUAUAUGGAAGUGAUUAAAGUGUGAUUCAUUGAAUAUUUGCGGGGUUUUGUUCAGACCUAACAAAGUUCUAAGUGAGCACAUCAAAUUUCUUUUACACCAUCAAAUUCAACUAGGUUUAUUCUACAACCUUAUGCUCGAUCAUUUUCCACAAGCAACCGUCCACGUACCAAGUAUUUAUUUUAUAUCAACGAGUACGAUGGUCCAUUCUAAUAAUUCACUCCAGUUGCAGGCCCCAAUAAUUUAGAAGGGCCGAUGGUCUUUCAUUUGAUGAAAGCUGCUAUCUACCAACCCUGCAAUAUGAGCUAUGCAAUGGUGAUGGUGUUACAUGACGUCAGAAUGUCGUAGGGAAAAUAAAAAAUAAAAAGUCAAGGUUUCUUAUUAAUGUUAAUAAAGGCAUAGCAAAAAAUUUGUAGCUCCAAUUGUUCAAAGCAAUUACCCAUGCACUUGAGAUUCUGUGUUUGAAUCUCCAAUUUUCUCUAAUAUUGUUUGUAUAAAAAUAAAAACUUUUGAAAAGACAUUAAUAUUGUAUUCUAUAUUCUAUAAAGUGUUGGACAUGUUUUAUAUUGUUGACAACCCCCUAAUACUUUGGUGGUGCCUAGUUAUAUUCAAUUCGUAUUUAUUUAAUUUGCCACUUACAUUCUUGCCUUAAUACAUCUAGGCUUAUUUUUAUACUAAUUUCUCUAACAUAACUUUUGCACAUUCUUUUAGUCUCUAAUAUAUAUAUUCUAAUAAAUGAUCUUACCCACUUGAGUUAUAAAUCUUUUUUUUUUAAUCAUGAAAAAUCGACAUUUUGACAGUGAGUUGAAAAGCACUCCCCAAUUUUAAUGUCAACCACUUGAAAAAAAAAACAUAAAUUUAAUGACAACAAUUACAUUUAGCAAUGCAACCUAAAUACUCAAAACCUUUGCGCCCCUUUUGCAACGCAUAUAGCAGGGUGAGGAUAUUGCCAAAGGAACUGCGAUAGCCAAUUAAAAAAAAAAGUAAUGAAGGCUUAUAACUCUGGGUUAAGAGAUUGGUCGUGGAGAAUUUACAUAAUUGGAGAAUGUACCAUCCCACAUCGACCAACGGAGAGAUGGUGAUGUGCCUCAUAUGUACAUGCCCACCUCCAUCUAGCACGAGGCCUUUUAGGAGCUCACUGCAUUCAGAGUCAUUGGAACUCCGAAGUUAAGCAAGUUUAAACUAGAGCAAUCCCAGGAGUGGUAAUCCACUGGGAAGUUACUCGUGAGUUCCUAGAAACAAAACCGUGAGGGCAAGGGGCCGAAAGCAGACAAUAUCGUGCUAUGCCCACCUCUAUCUAGCACGAGGCCUUUUGGAAGCUCACUGGCUUCGGAGUCAUGGGAACUCUGAAGUUAAGCGAGUUUGGGCUAGACCAAUCCCAGGAUUGGUGACCCAUUGGGAAGUUGCUCGUGAGUUCCCAGAAACAAAAUCGUGAGUGCAGGGAGCCCAAAGCCUACAAUAACGUGCUAUGGCGAAGCCGAUUCGGGGUAUGACAGAGAAUAUUCAAAUAUUCAAAAUAUUUAUUUCUUUGGAGUGGAGAUUUCAGCUUGAAGACCAACAAUCAAUGAUCAUGAUUUUAAUCCAAGAAGGCAUAAAUUCAACGACAAAUUUUUGUCAACCCGGGGAGAAUGAUGCAGAUAAAAAGCCAUUAAAGUUUAUGGGGCAUUUGAAUCAAAAGCAUUAAUAAGUUCAAUGCAUGAACGUUUUGUUUUGGCUUCUAAUAAAUUCUAUGUAUUUGGAAUGGAAUAGCUAGAGUCGUAAUUAUUUGGAUGGGGCUUAAUGUAUUUGGAUUAAUAGGUUAAUUAAUUUAGGUGCUAGUUCAAUGUGUGCGGUGAGAGAUUAAGUCUUUAAAUACUUGUAUGCUCAUAUUUCUCAAAGGAGUGGUUGUUGAUAAUUGAAAUUGAAAACAAAGAGAAUGUUCUCUCAUCUUUGCUCAUAAUCUGGAUAUUCUUAGAAUUAACGGGUUUGAGUAUUUUAUUCUAUCUUUUAUGCCAAGUUUCGGGUAUUCUUAGACUAAACGGGGCUUGGUGGUUCGUGGUUCGUGUUUUCCAAUAUCCUUGCUCUUUCCAACAUCCUUGCUCGAGUGCCGCUGCACUAGUUGGUAUCAGAGCGGGAUUCAAUUGCAAAACUGAAAUCCUGUGGAGGAACUGCACCCUAGUUGUGUAGUUAGUCAAAUCUACAUCAGCUGUUAUUAGAAAUGGUUAGUGGUGAUCAUACAUUUGAUCAUUUAUUAGAUUUGGAUCUCCCUCCAGUAUUUGAUCAAUGUUCAGAUGGUUCUUGCGAGAUUUGUUGUGAUUAACAUUUUAUAGUGGAAUGCAUUGAAGAAGUCGUGGAAAAUUAUGUCAACCUUCAUAUUGCAAAUGUCGAUGAUUCCAUCGCUUUAUUCAACUCUCAUGAUACUUUCGAAGUUGUUGAAUAUAUUGAUUUCACGGGGGUUGAAAAUUUCAGUCAUCGUAGUGCAACCACUUUGGUUGAUACCAUAAUUCAUAAUAUCUGGGUUAAGAGAUUGGCAGUGGAGAAUUUACACAAAUGGAGAAUAUUCAAAUAUUCAAAAUAUUUAUUUCUUUGGAGUGGGAGAUUUCAGUUUGAAGACCAACAAUCAAUGAUCAUGAUUUUAAUACAAGAAGGCAUAAAUUCAAGGACAAAUUUUUGUCAACAUGGGGAGAAUGAUGCAAAUAAAGAGCCAUUAAAGUUUAUAGGGCAUCUGAAUCAAAAGCAUUAAUAAGUUCAAUGCAUGACCGUUUUGUUUUGGCUUCUAAUAAAUUCCAUGCAUUUGGAAUGGAAUAGCUAGAGUCAUAAUUUUUUGAAUGGGCUUAAUGUAUAUGGAUUAAUGGGUUAAUUAAUUUAGGUGUGUUUAUAUCGGAAAUAAACGGCCUAUGAUCACCGAACACGUGGACAGGAUUGAUAUUGAUCACAGAACCCCUUCGGCAUGCUUCCUACCGAAGCCAUCUAUCUUGGCCCUUUUUACCAUCGGACACGUGUCAUGCUCACAAUCCAUGUCCACAGUCCCACAUCGGAAAUAUGAGCACAGUGCACACCUCCCAAGGCCUAUUUAAGAAGACCCCUAUCCUCAAAAGGAGGAGAUCAGAACGAACGGUACGCUACCGAUUGAUCUAUCAGUUAACAUUACUAAAACUGUACUUACUAAAGCAUCGGAGAGCCUUCGGCCGGUACCACACCGGUACCCCAAGGAAUUACCGAACGUGUCCUUUUGCAGGUACUUACCCUUCUGAAGUAGAACAUCUUCCGAAGACAGUCACCUGCCGAAGGCAUAAUAUCACUAAGUUGGCGAAAUACGUGCCGAACCACUUUUUCGCAUCAACAGUUUGGCGCCGUCUGUGGGAAUCCAGAAAAAUCAUCAACCCACUAUCUCCAAAACACAUGGGGACCACUUCAGUACCCACGUUCUUAUCGGAAGAAGGGGUACCGUUCGGAAGGUAGACCGGAGCUAGCCCAGCGCUACCCCCAUCCACUCCCUUCGGAAACGCCCCCGCAACCCAAACAACCGCCGAAGCCGAGCUGUUAGUCCAAAUCGCGUCCCUACGGAAGGACAUAGCGAGACUUCAGGAACACAACAACCUUCUUUCGUCCAAAGUGGACGAAACCCAGCAGCUGCUCCACCAGCAGCACACGCAGAACAUCCAAGCAACUCACUCUUCCCAGAGCUUGCAGACCCCCCAUAGGAAGAAGAAACACGAGAAGGUAGCGAGGGCAACGCCCGCACCUUCCAAACAGUUGGUAGUUCCGGCACCCAGGGAUCAGCCGCACAUCCCCAAGAAAGUCUACUCCGAUUGCCGACAUCGGAUUAACGAUCGGGAGGCAGAGAGACAGAGGUCUCCGAUCAGGAUUAGCGCUCGACUAAGGGACUCACGGAUGAAAAUCCUAGGAAGCAAGUCGCCUAUUCGGAAGGUCAGAGGGCUGGACUCCGCAGAGGAGUCAGAAUCCGAAUAUAUCCCUUCCAGGACGCAAGCUUCCACCUACCGUUCGACAACGCCUUCACGGUACUCGGGGGUUAAUUCAUUAAGUCUAGAAAGACGAUCGGAAGA